rnacentral:lncRNA from 1 species
CCGAUUUCCGGCCGGUGGCCGUUGUUCUUGCCUCCGACAUGGAAGGAGCUUUUACGAGCGGAAAAGGAGAGGAGCGGAAGAAGCAGACAGAUGACUCUCUCCGGCAAGUUAUGUACCUGAACUGCUGGGGACAAGGGAGGAGUGAGGUUGAGUUCUCCGGCGAAGAGGUGCUGGAGGCGUUUGUUUUUAUCUCCGGUGAAGCGAUCGGGUAUUUUGAUGCUCUGCUUUAGACGGGAUUGACUUGCUGGAGAGUUGCCGCUGAGUACGGCGAGUCGAAUGCGCCGAGUUGACUAGGUGGUGAAGGAGAAGGAGGAGACCGAGUUGACUCGGAGUUGCAGAAAGAGGAAGAGACCGAGUUCAGAAGGCUAAUUAAGUUCUGGCCUUGACUGAAAUUAGUACAAAAUGAUGUGGAUGCAAAUGUAAAUAUAUUGUAAAGUUUGUAGCCGAGAUAGAGGAAUAAUAGAAGAAAAAAAAAAAAGAAGGAAGCUUUUAUGGCAGUUGGAUAUAUCUUUUGUCCUUACUUGAAUGAAUUUUUUUGGUGAUUGCAUUUGAAUGAUUAUCUCUUUUAUGGCAAUUGUAUUUGAAUGAAUAUUUUUGGUUCUUGUUAUGUUUUUUCAUUCUACUUCAGACGAUAAUACUCGAUUUAUCUCAAUAAUCCCAGAAUAUGCCUGCAACAUUAGGGUAAUCCUUGGUUAAUUUUGAUGAUUAAUCAACUUUUCUUUUCUGGAUGAUUAAUUUUGAUGACUAAUCCGUGGCUAAUUUUGAUGAUUCAAACUAAGCAAUCCAUGGCGCGUGUAUAACAUUUCAUUUCUUCAAAAAAAAAAAAAAAGAAGUGUACAAUAAUAUUUUACUCUCUUUAAGAUGUUCAAUGAUUUGUACCCUGCUGAACUUAUCCUCGAGUCUUGUUGACAUUUUGCCCUUAUCCGCUCUACUUUUCUUUAUUGAAGAGUUGGUAGUAGUUCUGACAGAGCAUUUGCUGGUGUUUAAGGAUAUUUGCUGAUUAAUGUAACUCGAGGUAACAAGCCCAUUGGUUUCUUCUCACCCAACCAAAAAAAAAAAAAAAAAAAAAAAAAAAUCUCUGCAAGGAUUGGUAAUAUUGCUUUUUACCUUUCAGGCAGACCCUAAGAAAGAUUGUAAGGAGUUUGCUUCACACAAGGAGAAGAUGUUCGUUAAUUUUUCUUAGACCAUGCCGGUAAUUAUUUCUUAACUCGGCUAAUUCUCCAAAGAUUAAGAUUGUUGAGUAGAGAAAAAAGUUUAAGUUCAAGAAUAAUUUGCUAGUGAGAAUGGUGGAUGGCUAACUGCUAAUAAUAGUGAUGUUUAGCUCUUUCAUGUUCCUUAAAUUAAGCAGCUGAGUGAAAAAUGUGUGUUUGUGGUUUGCCCUCGCCUUGGAAUAGGGUAAUAUUUUCCUUCUAAACUUUUGUUUUUUCAACCAAAUGAAAAUAAGUAAUUGAGAUUACUUAGCUACUGCAUCUUAUUUACUUUUUAUUUAUUUAUUACCAUUAUUAAAGAAAGGUGAUGGGCAAGAUGAUCAAGUCUUUGACAGUUUGAUUGAAUUUCUGAUGGCUUCUUUGUUCAUCUUGCAGGCUUGAUGGGCUGCUCUCUAGUGGGAUAGGUCUCAUUUAGGCGAGCCAGGAUUUUCUUUCCAGCAUUGAAUCUGUCCUUGACUCUAGAAGAGACAACUUGAAUUCAGCCUAAAGCAUUUUAUGUCUCGCCCGGUGUUGUUCUUGUUCAAAUGCUGCUCUUGAGCAUUUUGAUUCAGAGAUAAUUUCAGAAACCUCGAGGGAGGUUUCUGAUAAUUUCACUAGCCUCCCGUAAACUUUGUAAAAUUACACUAAGGUUUUAAUAACAAAAUUAGUCCAAUUAGAAAAAUAAAUAUUAAAAAGUAUUUAAGGAGAGAGAUGAUACUUUUAUUUCAUAAAUAUCCCUUAUGCAUGCCAUGUAUAUACGUUGUAUUAGUAAAAGAAUGAAAAUAAUUAAAAAUUAGAAACAAUUAAUGCACAUAUUUAACAAAUUAGACAACACAAAUAAAUAACAAAACUAUACUAAUGAUCAUAGGAUUCAGCAAAACAAACUAAUCAUCUCUUUUGACAUGAUGUUUGCUACAAUUCUUAUAAUUUUGAAAAGAAAAAUUUUUAAAUUUUGUCUUUCUUUUCCCUCCUUUCUCCUUUUAUUAAUAUCAAAUGAUUAAGUAAUUAGAACACUAAUUAACUAUUAGUAACUAAUUAACUGAAAUAACUGUUAAAAAUUUCUUUAAUGAUGAACAAUGACUUGUAAUUACAAAUUACAUCAAUUGAUAAAUCUAAUGACGCUAUUUUGUGAUUGAUAGAAUUUGACAAUGACUAGAAAUCAGUUGUACACAAUGUGAGAAGAAGGAUUCUGGUAGAAGAAAAAAUAUAGGCCAAAAGAAGGUUGUUCAUGUGGAUAUUUUCUUUGAAACUCUUAAAAUUAUGAUAGUUGUAAAAUAAUCUCGUGGAAGUAAAAGAGAAAGGAUGAAAAAGUAAGGCAAAAUUCAAAAAAAUUUUUUGUUUAAAAUCACGAGAAUCAUAGAAAAUAUCAUAUUAAAAAAGAUGAUUAAUCUGUUUUGCUGGAUCUUAUGACCAUUAGUGUAGUUUUGUUGCUUAUCUGUAUUAUUUAAUUUAUUAAAUUUGAACUUAUUGAGUGAUGAAAUGUAUAUAUUAAUUAUUUUUAACUUUUAAUUAUUUUUAUUCUUUUACUAAUAUAACUUAUAUACAUACAUAAGGGGUAUUUAUGGAAUAAAAUUUUUAUUUCUAUCUUUAAAGUACUUUUUUAAUGUUACUUUUUCUAAUUGAGCUAAUUUUGUUAUCAAAACCUUAAUCUUAGGAGAGGUUUGUGUAAUUUUACAAACUUCAGGAGAGACUAGCGAAAUUAUCAAAAAUCUCAGGGGAGGUUUCUGAAAUUAUCCCUUUGAUUUAUCAAGUAGUUAAACCUUCAAAAAAAAUAAGAAUACAUUAGAUCUGGUUCUAGAAAAACACAAAAAGUACACUUCCUAUACAUUUCAAUCAUUAAGGAAAAGUUGGCUACAUGGCUGCAUAGCAAACUACACCAAUUCUGCUGAGAGGAAGAAAAUGCAAAUUAUUCAAACUGAAGGACUUGUGUUGGCUACCAUGAGAUACAAAUUUGACCUAAGUCAAAUGAUUUUUACACAUCCAAAAUUUAAUGGCUAGUGCCUAAGAUGCUUGAAGUUUAAGAACACGUAACCAAAAAACCAAUGUAGAAAAACCAAGUUUUCUUAAUUUUUCUUCCCUCGUUCUUCUUUUGUAGAUGGAUUGUCCCAUCCUUUCUAUCUUGUUCUGACAAGGGAACGCAAAUGAUCAAUAGCAACAUGCAAUUUUUUAAAGACCUCCUAGUCCUAAACCUGCUCACUUUCGCCCAUUUUUGCAGUUGCACAUAAACUAUCAUAAUAGCAAUUUUAAUCCCAUCUAUUUCGGAACCAAAAUCAAAAGGGUUGUUGGUGGUCAUUUUUAAAACUAUUUAUGUUGGUAUUAUCCUUACCAAUUACUUUCUGAUUAUUUUGGCUUGGUUAACAAGGUGCAUAGUUUAUUUGGAUCUAUAUGACCAAAAUUUUGUUGAAAACUUGUUCAAUUUGCAAUAUCAAAUAAAAGACAACGAAGAUCAGAUUAUGUAGUGUCUCAAACAAAGAAAAAUAUGUAUCUGUAUUUUUGGUUAGAAGUAUCGUUGCUUGUAAACUCUGUUAAGCAUAUAUUUCGAUUUUGUGCAUGUUUCUCAAUAUUCCAUGGAUCGACUCAGAGUCAGAGAAUAUGGUAUGUAACGAGGCUAGCUGGCCACCUUGUGAGACUCAGAUAAGCUCUGUUUGGAUUCUUCAUUUUUUGUCAAACAAAUUUUUCAAAUAAAAUGCUACACUAAUAUACAAACAAAAACAAUUCCAAAAACAUCAUAUCACAAUAUACACAAAGAAUUAAAAAAAUAAAAUUUACACCAUCUUCUUAUUCUACCGACCACCAUCACCCCUACCCACCACUGCCACCACCUUCUCCCUCCUCCUCUCUCCUUCACUUCUCUCUUUCUCUUUCCUCUCUUUUUUCCUCCUCCUCUCCUUCCCGUUUCCCGCCACAUCCCCCAGCCAGAUCGAAGGGUAUGGUGGAGAACCGGAAGGGGAGGAAUAGGAAGAAAGAGAGAGAGGAUGAAGUGGGAGGGAAAGGAGAGAGAAUGAGGGAGGGGUUGGCGGCGGCGGUGUGUGGUAGUGUUAAUUUUUAAAAAAUACCUUACAAAUUUAUAUACUUUUAAAAUAUCCCAAAAUAUAUCCCAAAACACCUCCAAAAACACCACCAAACCAAAAACAUGUAUGGUGAAAGUUUUUUAUAUAUAUUGUUACAAUAAAAUAUUUCAUUUUUUUUGCUUCAUCUGUUGGCAUAUUGGUGACAUUUUCUUUAUAAAUCCAGACUCUCAUUUCAGUAAAGUCAAAUAGAAGUUGUUAGAUAGAUAGUGAUGCUUCUUGACAAUUUACUUUUUUCUGAAUACAUAUGGUGCUCCUAUUACUGACAUUGGUCUAAGCUGUUAUUUGAAGUACCACCAUAGAUUAUGCUAAUGUAAUCUUACCAGAGAAUGACUUGUCAGUAAUUGUGUUUGGAUUGCAUUUUUCAUGAAUUUUUGUAGAAAAAAUACUGUAGCGAUUUGAUGUAUGUGAAGUAAAAAGGUGAUAGGGAAAUAUGUUCACGGAAAACAAGAACAAUUUUUUUUCGAGUUUUUGAGUCCUGUUCGUUGAUUUUUGGAUUAACUCUGAAUUGCUUUGAUUAUUUAUCAUGCAUCUGUUUACCUUUUACGUAAUAAUCUUUUCCUGUAGAUUAAAAAGUUGUUUGACCUAAAGUUAAUGAGUUCAUACACGCAAUAUUUACUGUUUCUCCAACUGAGGCCACUGCCUUUCUUCUCUGAUUACAGAGGAUAAAAUUAAUUUUGAACUUUAUCAAAUGUGGACAUGUUUUCUGUUUAAUCAAAAGAAAAAGAAAACACCUAUUCAGCACAUUUCUUACGAGUUUCUAAGAAUAACUCCAUAUACACUGUAUAGGGUGAAUAUAUGUACUGAUCGUCAAAGUAAUUUUUUAAGCUUUAUCAGAAAUUACUUUUUCCAAUUCAACAAAGAAUCUUAUCAAAUCUUAUCUUUCUAUCAGUAAAUCAUGAAUGGUCCUUUUUGUGUAACGUUAUGCUAUAAAUGUUUAUGCAAUUUAUUGAAUGAUCCUUAAAACUGAAUUUAAAAACCAUUGCAGUCCUUAAUUUCUUGCAAAUAAUUCUUGAAGUCUCAUUGACAAUUUGAAUAACCUACAAGAUGCGGGAAUUAUAGAGAAAUGAGGAUGUUAAAUGCUUGUGUGUUACUAGACGUAUUCCACUUGAGUAUAAACUUAAUUUCAAAUUUGAAAUCAGAUUUUAAAUUACAUGAAAAUUUUACCUUAAGUUGGUUGUUUGUAGUUCUGAUUUUAGAUGUUUUUUCUGGUACAAGAGGCAACGAAUUUGGCCUCGGAAUUGAGAAGGCUGAUCGACAUGGGUAAUUCCAAUCUACCAAACAUUCCCCAGCUCGUUGUCCUCAAAGGCCCAAUGGUUAUUAACAGGCAGACCGACCCAAAAGGCCUUCUUCUUCUUUUACUUGAGCCCAAUCAAAUAGAGGUGGGUAAUACAAAUGUGUGUUGUACGUGGGCCUGGUUGCAAUUGGGGUGUUUACUGGGCUGGGCCUCUCAGGGGGCUUGAGAAAGUUCUGGUGGAUUUUGGAUUGGGCCUAACACAGCAUCUGAGGGAGCGUUUGGAGAACGCGAUUAGACAAGUUGGUAAAGAGUUUAUAGCCAAGUGGGUCAGUCAAGGUUGCCCACUACUACUAAAGACCAAUACUCUACAUGUCCGCAUAGAUAGGCCCGAGUUAUUUUGGAAAAAGGUGGCCGAGUGAUUGUAGUUGUGCAAAUUUUUAGAAAUAAUGUAAAAAAAAAAAAAAAUUUCUUGUCACGUGACUUUGUAAUAGCAAAUUUUUAGGAAUAAAGAUUUUGUAAUUUCUUUGUUGGUUGUGAUUUUCUUAUGUAUCUAAUUCUCCUUUUUCUACCAAAUAAAUAUCUAAGCGAAUACAAAUAUUCAAAUAAAUAUCCAAGCAAAUACAUUAUUUGGCAAACAAUGCAAAUUUUGAUAAUGUAAAGCCUAGACAAUGCCACAUAAUUCAAUAUUAUAUAGAAAUUCUAGUACCAAUCUGAAAAUUAAGCGCAACGAAUGCUUUAGAUUAAAUUCAUCACAAACAACCGAAAACAAAAACAGUAUACCCAUGCCCUGGCAAACAAAAUGUAUACGUGAAUUAAGCAAAUUGCACAUAAGUAGACUUCCACACAUGCUAAGAUGAAAAAUACAAACAAGUGCAUUAUAACAAAGACACAUAAUAAAAACAAGGUACAAACACACUGAAAUGGAAAAGAAAACAAAGACACAUCCUGAAAACAAAGGCAUAAACAAGUACAUUAGACAACUCUUUACCAACUUAAUGAGGACAGUAGUCAUUAUUUGUCCUUGAGCACAUCUAACUGCUCCGAGGUGAGGAAAGAGGCCGCGUCCUGAAUGGCUGUGGUAUACUCGAACAUGAAGUUCGGUAGUGUCAACUCGCCGAGAUCUUUCGUGAAGGUCUCGGACGAACGAAAGGCCUCCACAGCCGUGCUGCCCGCCUUUUCGAUAACCUCUCAAGAAGACUGCUCCUCUUUUUGCCGCCUCCUUUUUUCCUCCUCGAGAGUAGUCUCCAAAGAGUUGACGGUAACCAUGAAACGUUCCACUUCGGCCACUGCGGUGUCGUGCUGCUAUUGGAGCUUAUCCUUUUCUUCAGCAACCACGCUUAACUCCUUCUCCAGCCGAGAUACUCGAUCCAUAACUUUAGCCGAGGCUUGGUUCUCGGUCUUGUUGGUGUAUCUCUGCAUGAGUUCCGAGAGGAAGGCCGAGGUCGAAGCUUAUGCCACCGAGGUACUCUGCAUUAAUUCCUCCGGGGUGAGUUUCUUCACAUACCUAUGAUCUCGGGACAGGCUGGAGUGGACGAGCAGAUGGUGGGCGACCCGAGAAUCUCUGCGUCGGUCAUUGACACUGACGUCCCACUCCGGGCACUAGCGCCAGCCGGGAUGCCUCUUGUCUUCUUCCUCGGCUACGGGCUGAGUCGGGUGAAAGUUCCAAAGGGAGGACCCCGUCACGGACGCACCGGAGGUCUGGAUUUGUUUACCUCGGCCAAUUGGGGGGGAGCUGCCAGCGUCACUCCUCGGGUGGCAACUCCCUCCGAAAUAGCCGAGGUCCUCGACGCAUUUUCAGAGAUGGCUGUCAAUGGGGUGGCAACCGAGGAGUUGGGAGCGCUCUUCUUCUUCUGAACCCCCGAGGACUGACCCUGCCUUGCGCUUCUGCGGCUUUUUGGCCACUAUAGCUGCGCCCGAGGUGAUCAGAUCUGACACUCUCAUCACUGCACAAGGAGAGAGGAUUACUACUUAGUCAAGGAAAUGAGGAAACAACAAAGUAAUGAACUGGAAAAUACAGUGCUUUUCGAGCCGAGUAGAGAAGUAUGGUGGACGAUCCGGGCUAAUCAUAGCUCCGCUUACGCCGCCAUCGACCAGGACCGCCUCGGGGUAUGCCCAGCAAUUGAUCCUGAGGCCCGACCCCAGGAGUUUGCUGAAAUUCUCUUCCUCGUGCUUUCUCGGGGGAGGAUCCUUGACCGAGGUAGGUGGCUUCCACCAAAAGCCUCUCGGAAAAUCCUCGACAGGGACGAAGACGAAAUUUCUCUUCCAUUCUUUUAUGGAGGUGGGGGCGUCCACUACCAAUUUCGGAACCUUCGGACUUCGGUUACCGAAGUAGAACCAGCCCUUCUCACCUCCGCUGUUCUUUAUGGUGUAACAUCGGUGGAAGAAGGUAGCUAUAGGUGUCAAUCCCUGCUCCCGGCAAAGCAUCUUGAACCCGACGAGGAUACGGAUCGCGUUGGGAGUAAGCUGGGUAAUCCUAGCGCCCCAGAGUCUUAGGACAUCCCGGAAGAAUCUUGAUGUGGGCAUCCUAAGCCCGGCUUCCAGUUGGUCAACAUAGAUGGCCACCCUGCCAUUGGGAGGCAUCUCAGCUGUCUGAUCCUCCCUGGAGGGACGAAUAUUGUAGUUACGGCGGAAGGGGUAACGUUGGAUACUCGGAUCACCUCAUUCGCCGUCGCCUCGUCAAUCAUGCUGGUGAACAAAGGAAGUUGGCCGAAGUCUAUGGCCGAGAUGUCUAGGGGAGUGGUCGGCUCUUGUACCCCUUCAUCUCGAGGUAUCUCGGAGCCGAGCUCGUCAUUGUAUAGAAUCUCGGAUCCCCCGUCGCUCUCGCUUCUUGAGGCUUUGCCUUCGGUGGGUAUCACGGCUGCUUCCUCCCCGGUGGGGUCGGGCCUCUCGGUUGCUCCGUAACUCGGCCUAACUGUCUCGUGUGUGCGGCCUACCCUGGCCAUAUCGCUAAGAGAAAAAAUGAGGAAAGAAACUUACUGCUAUAAUGGGCAAAGAAGAAGAAGAGAUGGCUAAGGGGUUACUUCAAAUUCGUCCUGGUUUCAGAUGCCAACUUUGAUCUCGGACACUUGUUGUGGGGAGUGCUGUGAAACUCUUGCGGUAGAAAGACAUUGGCGAGACGGAACCCUUAUUUAUACUGGGGAGGAGGGAGGCGAAAGGACAAUGUCUGUUGAGUUUCCCUAGGAAACUCCCCUCUCCUCAUUUAGUAACUGACGUUCUGAUUGUCUGUCACGCGUCUUUUCAGGCCGUCAUUAUGUCUGACAUUCUGUCCUUUUCCUCUGGUCAUACUUUGACCUGCUUUAUUCAUACAAGCCUCGAUAGGCAAGUGGGGACCUCUUCCCUCCCGAGGCUUGGGGGGCUUAUUGAUGGUGUAUAUCUGAUCAAAUCUCUCAUGCCAUGGUCAACCAGAUGUAAAAGGUAACUCUCAUUUCGAUAACAAAAGUAGCAAUGACCUGAGUUUCUUGAUUAUUAUGCAUGAAAAAAUUUGCCAAACAUUAUUUUCUUCCUUUACGUAUUAAUGUUCAUGAUGAAGAUGUCUAAAUCCUUUUUCAUAAGAUGGUGCGUCAUCCUCUCACUAGGAUAGCAAGCGCCAUGGAUAGGGUCGAGAAGAUAUGGUACAAUUAUGUCUUUCCUCAUUAAUGUUUUUCAUCUUCUUAAAAAAUAUCUUAUAUUUUGUUUCUUAUUUGAAAUAAGGAUUUCAUACACGUCAUUUUGUGCAUGACUGUACAAUGCAUAAAAUCUAUAGAUCUAUUCUCUUUAUGUACUAGUAACACUAUCAUUUGAUUCGAAUUAAAACGAAGUAUUUUGCUCGGUAUAAUCCACGGUUUCAUUUCAUAUACCCUAUAUAUGAAUAAGAAUUCUUUGAAGAAACCUAAAUGUCAAACUCGAGAUAGAAUGAUUAAUAUCUUUUCAUUCAUUCUUAACGAAUAAAAAAGAAAUGGACUUGACAAAUGAAUCCACGUCAUCAUUAUUCAAAUUUUAAAUUUAUUUUUCACCUAUGUAUCAUAUAUCUAUAACUGAUUGCAGAAAAAAUCUUUACAUUGACAUUAUAUAUAACAUUAAUCCUUAAUUAUUAUUGGUGCCAAUCUUGCUUGAACAGUAAAUGGUAAAUAGCUGUAACUUUUCCAUAUAAUGGUUACUUAAAAUAUCAAAAGAUCUUAGUUCACAGUAGCUUACUUAAAAAAAAGGAGAGAAACAAGAAAAAGGGUCCUAGUUCACAAUUACAUAUGACGUGUAGUAUACGUAGGCUUCUUAUUGGUGGUCCUAAACAAGAGAAUGUUUUACUUCUUGAUUUUCUUAUCAUUAUAUUAACAAAUGAAGUGAUAUGGCACCUUUUGAAAGAAUCAAGAAUGUCAUUCUACAAAAACCAAAACAGCCAACAAAUAAACUAUACCACCUUUCAUAAAUGGAGUUAGACAACAUGUAUGCUCGCAUACAAAAAUUCAAUUGAAUUUGUUUCUCUUUACAAAUCAAGGAGCGAUAACCAAACAAGAGAACAAGUAGGAAAAGUAAAAAUCAGAAAAGCCAAUAUGAUUUAGAAGAAAUGCAGGGCUAGCAUGACCAAUGUAUGCAGCAUGAGCAUCGAUAGAUGUUCUUGCAUCAAUAUAACCAUUGAUCGGGAUAUAAAGCUCUACUUGCUUUAAAUACGUAAUUAAGACAUAGAUGACAACACUAGACUCUGUUACAACUUAAUAUCUAAUUGCAAAUAUCGGGUUUAGUCACCAUUGAUCGGGUUUAGCUAUCAGUUAUCGAUGUACGUUAAGCCAUUCACAGGCAAAUACAAAGCUCCUUAUAAUAUGCAAUAGUUUUCUAGCAACAAAAUGAAGUUCACUUAGGAAUGAUAUGAAAAUUUAAAAAAACAAGAAAGAAAGGAGAAAAACCCUUCAAUCCUAAAUCAACUAGUUUUAACAUGAAGUUGCUAUACUAUUUCCUUACUAUAGUUACAAUGUCUCCUGCUCUAAUCGUUUGAGACAACAUUAUCAAAAAUUAACUCAAACAUCGAGUAGGGAUGCUAACAAAAAUUUCUUGAUCUAUAACUAAAUAGGAAAAGUUGUCAUAGAUCUUCUAUGCAAAGAUCUUUCAUUGACUUAAAGAAAAGACUUUUGUCAAAUGUUCUUCAUUCUUUUGACUUAAAUUAUCCAGUUUUAAUUUACUAAAAUUAGUUUAUCUUGCCUUAAAAAAAUAUAUACGAGUUUGUCUCAAAUAGAUGUUAGUGUUCAUUACACUAUUUGUGUCUAUUCUUAUAGAUGUUAGUAAAUUGGGGAUUGUUAAGUUUGUAAUAUGUACAUACUAAUCCCACCAUUAUGGGCUUCUUGUAAUCAGAUAAAAAAAAAAAAAGGUAGAGAAAGAGAGUGAAUAAUUAUUACCAAAAUUGUUGAUUUGCGAAAUAAAGUUAGUUUUCCAACAUUUUGCAUUUAGAUAUAUGGAAUGCUCAAAACUUGUAAGAUAACAGGGUAAAUGCUUAUAUUUUGCACCUUUUCAUUUGGAACUACGAACCUGGUAUCAAGGGCGACAUACGUGCACCUUCAGUUUUGACAUCUUUUAGCAGCUAUAGAUAGUAGUAGGACCAGUUCAAUUGCUAAAGUUGUGGGAAAUUAAACUCAUCAAUUGGGGUUUUCAUGUAAGGCCAGUUAAGGGUUCUCUCUUUUUCUCUAAACUUGAAAAUUAUUUUCAUUGAUGAAGAGCUAGCUCUUUCUUCAAUUGUUGAAUAUACACCUAUGGUCCGCCCCAGCCAGAAAGUUUGAAAGGAUUUUUUUGGUUUUCUUUCUUUUGAUAAAGAUUUAAGGGUUUGAGAAUGAGUACUCUAGGUUUCAAGUCUCUCCAUCAUAGUAUUUACACGAAAGCCGGAAAAAUUAUUUGGCCACUUUCAAAAAGGGGAGCAACUUCAAAACUUGAAAGACUACAACAUUGCUAGCCCUUAAGAAAAGCUCUGCAUGAGAUGUAGGUGGCUAAUCUAUGAUUAUGUCCGUAUAAUCCAACUUGACAAGAAGGUUAGUUUGAAGGAUUUAUAAGAGACUGAAGACAAUUCUAAAGUCUUAUUUGCAACUGCAAGAUCUAAUUAAAGAGAUGGAACACUGGGAGAAAAAUGAUCGAGUAGGGAAUGUUGUCACAAACCUACUUUGCAAAGAUCUUUCAUUUUACAAAGAGAGAUUUUGUUAUGCAACAAAAAUCUUUCAUUGUAUAAAGAGAAAAUCUUUCUUAUCUAAUUCAUUGUUUUAACUUACAUGUUUACCUAAACUAAAGGUACUGAUUUCAUAUUUCACUACAUACAAAUUUAUCUUAAAUCGAUGUUGGUUUUCAUCCCACUUUUUAUGGGCUAUUUGUCGUAUUUUUGUUUUGGCCACAAUACUGAACUUGUACGUUUAUUGAUUCUCAUAAACGAACAUAAACAAUUGCCUUUCUGGCCAAGACAACUUUUCUAGUUUUACACUCUAUGGGGUAUGUAUAUGAUUGUUCAGAUUUGAGUUCAGCAGUCAACUUCUACUAUUAAUCUUCCAACGGCAAUGAGGUCCCUCUUUAGGCAAAGCCAUAUCUAAAUUGAUGAUGCUUUGCUGUCUCCCUUGCAGGGAACUUCAUCCAGCUUCCAAUAAUAUUGGGGAUUUUGUCAAGAAAUGUAUCGAUUGAUCGAACUAUGUGCCCAUCGUAACUCCUUUCGUCGUUGAUAGCAAUGUUAAUUAAGUUGAUGUUUCAGAGAGAGAAGUUGAGAGGAUGUGAAUAUGUGAUGUACGAGAUGCUCCAUGCCAUUCCUUUCCAACUUCUUUGCUUCUUAAUUUCUUAGCCAACUCUCCUCUGCUACAAAUAAAUCCCUAUGGGUUAUCAGUUUUGAGAUUGUGGGCUGUAAUACGUAAUUAUUGAUCCCAAUAUCAUGGGUUAUUUGUCAUCAUGUAAUUUGCAAAACAAAAUUAUUUGCAAAAUAAAAUUGGUUUACCAAGAUUUCAUGUUCAAAUACACGGAACUCUCAAAAUAUAUGUAAAAUGAUAUGUGUUAACAAUUUAAUAUUGUUCUACAAAAUCAUAGCAUUGGUAUUGCAACAAUUGUUAGUAAAAAGAGGCUCCAUUUUUUUUUUUUGAAAGAGAUAAAAAGAGACUCCAUUGAACUGGUAUCAAGUGCGACAUUCGUGCACAAGUUCCUGUAACUCAAAUUAAGCCAAGUAAAAGCUUAUUGAUUGGAGUUAUCCAAUAUAUAGUGACAACUUUGACCAAAUUUUUUCGGGUAGUUAAGUGUUGCUCUCCUUUUCCUUUUGCUUAAAAAAAUGAUUUUCAAAAUGUUCCCCACUUAAUAUUCAUAUUUAAUUACUUCACUAAUUUUUUUCAGGUAGUUAAGUGUUACUCUCUUUUUUCUCUUUGCUUAAAAAUAACGGAUAAUUGCAUAAACCUCCCCUGAGGUUUCUGACAUUUGCACUGACCUCUCAUGUGGUUUGAAAAAUUACACUGACCUCCCCUGAGAUUACUAAUCCUUUGUAAAUUCAGUCCAAACAAUUAAAAUAUUGUUUUAAGAGUGAAAUUAGAAUUUUUUACCAAAUUUGUCAUUUGUAUUACAUGUCCAAUGAAUGACAAAGUACUACAAAUAAAUUAACAAUUAAUAAACUUUAAGGAGUAUAGUUUAUAGGCAAAUAUGCAUUACCUAUUUAAAGUAUCGGUUCUUUAUGGGUAUUUUACUUUCAAACAUUUAAUUUAAUACAAAUAUUUAAGCUCAAAUACCUAUUUGUAUUUACUUUCAAAUAUUUAAUUUUUGUUAAAUACAAAAUCUACCAAUCUCUCUUCCGUAAAAAUAUUAAUAUAACACUUUUUCAAUUUUAGUUACAAACAUUUACGUAUUUAAUAUAAAUUAAAUGAUUUAGAAUAAAAUGCCCAUAAAGAGCCAAUACUUUACUCAUGUAAUAGAUGAAAGCCAUAAAGAAUUAAUACUUUAUGGCCUAUUUCUUUUUUUUUUUUUAAUUUAAUUUAUAUUAAAUAAAUAACCUACCGAUUUCCUUUUUACAAGAAUAUUACUGUAAUACUUUUUGAAUUUUACUUACAAACAUUGAUAUAUUUAUCAUAAAUUAAAUAUUUGAAAGUAAAAUACCCGUAAAAAGUCGUAUUUUAAAUGAGUAAUGCGUGUUUGCCUAUAAAGAGCCGGUAACUAUUUAAAGUACCGGCUCUUUACCGAUAUUUUACUUUCAAAUAUUCAAUUUAAUACAAAUAUUUACGCUCAAAUACAGAUUUAUAUUUACUUUCAAAUAUUUAAUUUUUGUUAAAUACAAAAUCUACCAAUCUCUCUUUCGUAAAAAUAUUAAUAUAACACUUUUUCAAUUUUAGUUACAAACAUUUAUGUAUUUAAUAUAAAUUAAAUGAUUUAGAAUAAAAUGCCCAUAAAGAGCCAAUACUUUACUCAUGUAAUAUAUGAAAGUCAUAAAGAAUUAAUACUUUAUGGCCCAUUUCUUUUUUUAAAAAAUAUUUAAUUUAUAUUAAAUAAAUAACCUACCGAUUUCCUUUUUGCAAGAAUAUUACUGUAACACUUUUUGAAUUUUACUUACAAACAUUGAUAUAUUUAUCAUAAAUUAAAUGUUUGAAAGUAAAAUACUCGUAAAAAGUCGGUACUUUAAAUGAGUAAUGCGUGUUUGCCCAUAAAGAGCCGAUAACUAUUUAAAAUACCGGUUCUUUACGGUUAUUUUACUUUCAAACAUUUAAUUUAAUACAAAUAUUUACGCUCAAAUACAGAUUUGUAUUUACUUUCAAAUAUUUAAUUUUACCAAUCUCUCUUCCGUAAAAAUAUUAAUAUAACACUUUUUCAAUUUUAGUUAUAAACAUUUAUAUAUUUAAGAUAAAUUGAUUUGUUUGCUUCCCCUUUUCACCAUAUAUCAGCUGAAGAGAAGAAUCAUGCGAUCCAAGAGGGUAAAGUGAUUGAUUUGUUUGCUUUCCCUUUUCAACUUCUUUUUGAAGCACCCGCAGUGGAAUGGUUUUUUUUGAGUUUUUGUACCCUUCAACCAGGUUUUCAAAGGCCAAUUUAACUCUCUAAAAGUCCUUAACUUAUUUCUGGUUCCUGUGGGCAAUGGAGAAGUACCGACCAUUUUAUCUUCUUGUUUGAACCCUCAGAUGUUUUUUUUUUGACAAGAAGUUCAUAAGCAACACAUAAAUUAACCCCACAAGAUACAGCCAAAAGGCAAUUGCUGACUCUUAGUUGCAUCCAUGGAACUUAAGCACUACUCACACACACUCAACAAACGAUGUGAGACACAGGGAGAGGGAACAGGAGAGCCUCUACUAAGCACUAACUAGCAUUCACUCACUCUUGUUUUUAACCUCACCAACCGGUCUUUUUUUCUUUUGUUGAAUAUUAGACAUUGUAAACUUCCUUCUAAGUUGUGUAUCUCUGGUGAAUGUCUCCAGCUGAAGUCUCUUGUGAUCAAAGUAAAAGAGAUAGAACUUUGUGCUGGCAAUCUAACAACUUUUGAUUGUUGUGCCAAAGGCAUGAUAAGAUAUUCACUCCUGAGCUAAAAAAACAUCUAUGCUGGCAUUAACGGCAGCAAUGCCUUUCCUUGCAUGAUUGGUGAAGUUGCAAAGCAUAGUCCUCGGCUAGAAAACUUACUUUUCCAAACAGAAACUGAUAAGGUUUGUACAUGUUAUGUCUACUCUCGCUCUUAGCCUUUUAUUUCAUUAUGUAAAAACCGGAUACGUUCCUCCUUACUUGUUUUGGCAUAGGUACAACACAUACCACUGAAGAUGAAUAUGUUCAGCAAACUGAGGCAGUUAUAUUUGCUGAUGGGACUUGAUUCUAAAUUUGAUUUAUUUCAUGUUACUCCUAUUCUGGAUGCCUGCCCGCUUCUAUUGCAACUCCAUCUAAUGGUUAGUUGUUGUACAAUAUCAUUGUUGCCCUGUUGGGAAAGGCACAUUCAUUUUCUACUAUUUCAUGCUGAUACCUUUUGACAACACUCCUAAGUGAAUGUUAUUGCACUGAACCACGUGAAGAACAACCCCAUGUAUGUAACAGUUUCAGGGAAUGACUUUCACUUAUAUGCGGUAUUCAUGAACUAUCCUGUGUAGGUCUACACGAGUAUUGUCCCUGAGCAUCACCAGCUUGUUCUUCUUCGUUCCCCUCUCAUGUGGGCUGAGGUGGUCACCUAUGUUACAUGGUCUGAGUGUUGGACAUAUGUAUGCAUCUAGGUUUCAAGUUUGCCAAUGUCCAAGUAAAAGAUACAUGGACAAUGGUUUAGACACGAAUACUUGGGUAUAGUGUUAAAACAUAUUUUUAUCAGAAAUUUUGAAUUCUCAUCAGUAGAGUAUUUUUGGCGUGCAUAGCUGAAUUAGGCUUUUCACAGAUUAGUAGUCUGUUUCAGAAGAAUAUUUCCUUGACAUAACUCCAAAUUCAUCAACCGUAAUACCUAAGUGAAUUUGAUUCCAUUACCUCGAGACUCAGUGGAUUUAUGCCUUUGCUGGAUCUUUCCCAAAGAAAGUCCAUUUAUAAUUUAUCAAUGCUCUUUGCCACGCUUACAUUUCCUGAGGGAAAUGAGUAGCAUUUCCCUUCUUUAUAAAAAUUCUUUCAUUUCCAGAUAGCUUUCUUGUGCUUCAUCUUCUGCCUGACAAUUCCAUAUAUCCUUUGCCUUGUGCUUUUCCCUAAGGAAGUAGCAUAUAGGUACUUCGGAGGCUUUGAAAGCCAAAAUGUUUGCUAAGUUUUGAAGCAAUGGACAUUCGCGACAGCUAUUAAUUGGAUUUUUCUAGCAUCAAGUCUUGUCCAGGAAAUAGCUUGAUUUAUUAUCAGCAUCCCUUGCUUAGCUCUAGCUAACUAAGGAGUAGACUGAUGUAGAAAAAAUAAAGUUAAGUAUUAGAAGGCAAAUGCCUUAUUCAACCCUCAAUGAAUCAUCCCUGAGUGCUCCAUCCUGGUAAUAGGCUUCUGUAUAGGACCAAAAUAUGAAUAAAAGUUAAUGUGCAUUUUGUUACCGAUUAUCAAUUUACUUUCAGCUUUGUUAAACUCAAUGAAGCACACUGUCUGUUUUCCUUUUAUUUUUUCCCCUUUGACAAAAAAAUGGAGUCAGACAUUCUAUGAUCUGCUUAUUGUUGAGAUUCAUGAGGACUUAUGAGCAUAGCUGAGACUUGAACUCAUGAAAUUUUCCUACCAAAAAUAAAAAUGCUAAUUUGGAAACACGAUUGAUAACGUGCUUAAUACAUCAACUGUGCAUAAUAAAGGCAUGAUCUAAGCACCGAUAGAAACCCAAAUCCAACUUGUCCAUGUAAGUAACUAUACCCAAGAAAAAUGAUUUACUGCUUGGCAAUUUAUCAUUCAGAUGGGGAAAAGAAUGAAAUUUUGACUGCCCUUUAUUUUCAGAACUAUCCUGAUAUCAAAAGGGUGUAUUUCAUCAUUAUAUGAUGAAGAGUAAAAGGGGAAAAAUUCCUUAGCUUUUAAUUUGUGCUGAUAUCUGGGAUUUCAUUUGUUCGCAUCCUUUUUGAAAAUUUUAAGCUUUGGAUGAUUCUUUGCCCGUAAUUGGGUUGAAAGCUCGUGGAUGCACAAGUCAUAUCUUGAAUCUUUGUUCCUUCUCAGCUGCAUCAGAAUACUAUCAGUGGGCAAAUUAGUCGAAAUAAGGUGUAAGUUUCAAAAGGAAACUCUUAAGUGCACUAUAUAUUCAGCAAUAACUGGAGUCUCUGUUCUGAAAGUUUGGUUUCAUUCACAAGUCAAAUUUAAAUAUGAUGAGCCAUGCCUUUGUGAGUAGCCAAAUUUCUUGCUCCUGGGAAGAGAUGAAGAUAAAUUCUGCUGAGGGGGUAAAGCACAAGUAUCCUUCAUAGAGUAGCUGUUGCAUAGGGAACAAGCAUCCUUCGUGGUUUCAUCCAAUUGUAGACUCGUCAACAUGAAUAGGGCUGUCAACGGUUCGGGUCUGGACCCGGACCCGUCAAUAUUUGCCGGGUACGGGUAGACAUAUAGUUUCGGGACCCGGACCCGGACCCGUUCAAUCUAAUAGAUUUGCGGAUAGGAUACGAAAUAUGCCGUUCCGACCCGCAUAGGACCUGAACCCGUUUUUUAAUUAAUUAAUAAUUAAAAAUAUAUACUCAAUUUUGUUCAACCCUAAAUCCCUAAUAGUCUAAUACCCACGUAACCCACCGCCGCCGCACUCUCUUUUCCUUUGCUCUUUACCCAGCCCCAGCGACCAUUUUUCUCCUCUGCCUCCCAACUCCUGAGUCACGCCUCCACCACCACCACUCACCAUUCACUAGAUCUGCAAUUUUUCAGGAAAUGUGUUUCCAAGCUUGAUCGCCAGGAGAUCCGCCGUUAUCUGGAAAUGUUUUAUGCUCUCAAGUAUCGCAAGUUGGUAAGUUAUCUGGUCUUGAGUUGAUGAAUCUGCAUUGUUCAGCUCUCCUCUUUCAAAAGCAUUUCUUCUAACAAUCGUGUUCUCUGUUUUGGGUUCCAGGCUGAAGCUGUUCCAUUGGCUGUUGAUCAGUAAGAGUUUGCGGCAGAAAAAGUUGGAAGCAGCGGGAGGGAGACAAAUAAAUAAAAGAGCUUGAGAUCGUGUAAAAAGAAGAGGAUUGUGUUUUUGUUACUUCUGCCAGUCUUGCCUUUCUUUAUUGUUGGUUGGUUGUGUCUUUUUAGUCCCUGUUCCAAGUGUCAAUUAGGUCCUUCUUGUAGGUCAUUUUCGUUGGGUUGUUUGCCAUUUCCUUUUCUUUUCCUGCUUCCGGAUUCGGGACCCGUCGGGUACGGGUCCGGUGACAGAUUAGAAGAUCCGUCGGAUAUUCGGGUCGAAUCCGGAAUUAAUCUAGUAUAACGGGUCCGGGUCCGAAUGUAUGCAUUCCGACCCGGACCCGACCCGUUGACAGGCCUAAACAUGAACAGUAAUGUAAAUUUGACUUUUGCCCUCACACAGAGAAUUUGAGUAUCAUGGAGAAUGGCUAGAAUCUAGAAGGAUUUGGAUGACUAGAUGAAUAAUGGGGUAGAGACUUUCAUGAAGUGGUUCAUUUGUGGUGGUUUUAAUUGUUUAAAUUGGAGAUUGUAUUGGAUAAAUUUAGUAUAUAUUGGACACUAUUGCCUCAAGAGCGGUGCAGCAAUUUCUUUAUGUUCUGUAAGUUGAACUGUUGGGACGGCAUUUAGAGAACAUCGAAAACAAUUAAUAGCACCUUACCCCUCGAACUUCAGGGGUAACGAUGCUGUGCCCCCUCUAAUUUUAAAUAUGUACACUUUUCCUCUGUGAAGAUUAGUCAAAGUUAGAAAAGAAAAAAGAUUAUUAUUGCCCUUUUAUUCAUAAAAUUAUGGGUUAAUCACAUUUUAUCCCCUUAAAGAAUACCCCAUUUCUCACUUUACCCCAUAACCUUUAAUUUUGCUCACUUAACCCCCUUUAGGACAAAAUUGCCCUUGCAUUAUUUUGACUUUUCAUUUACCUUGUUUUCCUUUUUUAUUUCUUUUUCUCUUUCUUUUUUAUUUAAUUCUCCCUCUUUCCCACAAAAAUCUUCAUCUUAAUGAUUGAAAUUAAAAAAGAGAAAUUGCAGAGAUCUAUCUUCUCCUUAAAUGAUUUAAAAAAUAUUCAAAUCACAUUCCUAAAAUACAAUUUUUUUUAGCUUUUCAAUUCUUUUAAUUUUGGGUUUUCCUUUUUCCGUUCUAGUUUCUCAUUUUAUUCUCAAGAAAAUAUCAUAAGAUGAAAUUAUUUUCCUUUCUUUUAUUUCUAUUUCUUUUUCUCUUUCUCUUUCAUCCUUCCCAAUAGAAAUUCCAUUUCAACGAAAAUUUUUGUUUUGAGUUGUAAUUGCAUAUUUCUGGGUGAAAGUUUUAAAAGGCAUCAAAAACUAAUUUUGAUUUUUUGUAUGAUGCCACGUGUCACAAAUUUCAAUUGAUAAUAAUUAAUCAGGUCACAAUUUCAUCUUAAGGUAUUUCUUGGAAUAAAAUUAGAAACUAAAAAGGAAAGAGGAAACCCAAAAUUAAAAGAAUUGAAAUGCUAAAAAAUUGUAUUUUAGGAAAGUGAUUUGAAUAUUUUUUUAAAUCAUUUGAGAGAAGAUAGAUCUCUACAAUUCCUCUUUUUAAUUUUAAUAAUUAAGUGAAGAUUUUAUAGGAAAGAUGAAGAAUUAAAUAAAGAAGAAAGAAGAAAAAGAAAUAAAAGAAAGGAAAACAAGGCAAAUGAAAAUUCAAAAUAAUGCAAGAGCAAUUUUGUUCUAAAGGGGGUUAAGUGGGCAAAAUUAAAGGUUAUGGGGUAAACUGAGAAAUGGGUAUUCUUUAAGGGGAUAAAAUGUGAUUAACCCUAAAAUUAUUUAUAAAUUAACAUUAUUCUUUUAUUGUUAAAAUAUUUAUAUCUUCUCUAUCGUAUCAAUUAUAAAAAAUAUCAAGCUAAAACAAAGUUAAAGAAAGUCAAUAUUUAGUUUACAUCCUUGAAAUUUUUCCUGUUGGAUGAAUGUUUACUUCUUGUGGUUUUGUUGAAUUUAUUAGACUUUAAGUCAAACAAACAGAUAAAUAACACAAUGCUAAAAUAAAUACAAUUACCAAAAUUUAUUAGGGGUGAAAGCCUGACCCAAACUUGUAACCUCUUAUUGGUAAUAACAAUCCGCUUACCAGCUAUUCAAGCUCAUGGGUUGAAUCAAUGAGGUUCGAUCCUCUUGAUCUCAGUCCCAUCUUUUGUAUCUCAGGACGGCAUUAGUUUUAAUAGUGUUAUAAUGUACAUUGUGGCAUGCACAAACAACAGCCGGCCAGAAUUCUUCGAUAAUAAUCAUGAAUUUCUGCUUGGUACACUGGUCAUUCCAAUGUUGGGCGCCUUUAUAUAUACCUUGAAUAAUCAUCAGAAGCGAUCACACCAUAAUCAACCAUUCAAGAUAUCAGCUUGAAGAAAAAAUUGUACCAUUAUACACAUCUACAAAUGGCUCAGACUAAGAUGGCAACUUUUCUCUCCAUUCUUCUCCUCAUCAGCUUGGCCGAAAGCAGAAAUUUAGGCCGUAAGUAUUAACAAUUUUGAAGCUUAAUUGCCUUUUCUUUUCUUUUUUUUUUUGUUGGGUUUGGAAUCUGAUUCAUAUUUUCUCAUGACAUUUUCUUGAAACACUAGAUAAUGAAGUUAAACUAGCGACAGCUGAAGCAGCAUCCCCAGCUUGCAACUCGGUCCACGGAGCUGGAAAAGGCGACACUUGCUUUAGCGUUGCCCAGAACUUCAAUCUGGAAUUCCAAUCAUUCCUUGAUAUAAAUCCAAUAUCAACUGCGACAAAAUCUUUGUGGGUCAAUGGCUAUGUGUCCAGGGUUCUCUAUUUCUUGAAUGGAGUUUGCUAAAAUGGCAAUGAUAUGGAGAAAAAAAGGAGGGUUACACUUGAAAUGAUGUAGCUCGUCCCCCUUUUUUAAGUAUUUUGGUUUUUCCUUCAAAAAUAAUUUGUAAACGCUGCAUGCAAUUUUAUUGUAAUGGUUGUUUUCAUUUGCAGCCUAUUAAUGCAAAGAGGGUCCUUAAAAGGGUUUAUCUUCGUGUAAUUCUUGACAAUUCUAAUAAUAUUUGAAUGAUGCAACUUUCAUUAUGUUACACUUUUGGAGGAAAAUCUAACUAUACAUUUUGGAGAUUUUGACAAAUUAAAGAAUUGACCAAAAGAUAACAAGAAUUGGUCAAUGUUUUUGUUCGUACGAUCACUACCAUUGACCUUUGCAGAAACAAAACUAUAUAAUUUGCAUCCUGUGGCAUUAUAUCACAUACUUACAUAAGAAAUAAACUAUCCAAGACAUGUAUGUUCAUAAGAAGGAUUUCACUUGGUAUUUACUAGCAUACCUAAAUUACAUAUAAUUUAUCAUAUCAUACAUAUAUUCACUUAGACACUUUUUUUUAACUAACUUUAUUUUUACAAAAAAAAAUAUCACUGGAUAUUCAUUAGUCAAACUCUUAUAAAAAAAACUUAAUUGAUUGAAAUUGAGCAUGUAUAGUGAAUAAGAUAACUAUAAUAUAUUAAUAUGUUUGGUUAUGGCAUUAUUUUGUUAUAAAACUAAUAAAAUGAACUACUAUAAUAGGAAUUGAGAUACUAGAGAAAUGAGUAGAGAAAUGGAGAAUGAUUUUCUUAUUGUUCCAACUAAUACAAAAGGUAAUCCUAAGAGGUGCCAAGGUACCUUUAUAUAUAGGUACUAUAAAAUUAAAGGUACAUCAAUUCUAUUAAACACUCAUUACUACAAGAAUAUAAAUAGUCUGUAAAACGGUUCUUCCAAUACAUGAAUGAGUUUUAUAGAUUGAAACCGUUCAUCCAUUGUAAUUCCUCUACAUAAUGUAGUAAUGAAUUAUGAAUUAAUCUCCUUGUGAUCAAUGAAUUAUGAAUUAGUCCUCUGGAGAAUACAAAUGGACAUCCACACUUUAAUUAUUUCAUAAUACUCCCCUUUGGAUGUCCAUUAUACAAAGAAUAUGCCUCGUUAAAACCUUAUUAGGGAAAAAUCCAUCGGGACAAAACCCUAAUGAAGGAAAAAGUACACUAUUCUUGUGUAUUAAUUUCUCCCCCUUAUGCAAAUAUCAUUUGAAAUCUUUUAAUUAUCGCAUUCCAAUAUUCUUCACCAAUUUCUCAAAUGCUGCAGUCGGCAAUGCCUUGGUAAAUAGAUCUGCCAAAUUAUUAUCUGAUUGGAUUUGUUGCACAUCAAUUUCACCAUUCUUUUGCAAAUCAUGAGUAGAAAAAAUUUGGUGAAAUAUGUUUCGUCCUAUUCCCUUUAAUAUAUCCUUCUUUUAAUUGAGCUAUACAAGUUGCAUUAUCUUCAUAUAAUAUAUUUGGAGAAUUUUCUUUUUUGGAGGAUAACCCACAAUUCUUCCGGAUAUAGUGGAUCAUUGAUCUUAACCAAACACAUUCACGAGUGGUUCAUGAAUUGCUAUUAUUUCAGUAUGAUUCGAUGAAGUGGCGGCUAAUGAUUGUUUAGUAGAUCGCCAAGAAAUGAUUGUACCUCCAUAUGUAAAUAGAUAACCAAUUUGAGAUCUUGCUUUAUUCGGAUCAGAUAAAUAUCCAGCAUCAGCAUAACCAAGCAAUUUAAACUUAGAUUUAUUUGAAUAAAAUAAGCCAAGACCAAUUGUUCCUUGGAGAUAAUGAAAAAUAUGUUUAAUACCAUUCUAAUGUCGUCUUGUGGGCGAUGAACUAAAUCUUGCUAAUAAAUUCACUGUAAAUGAUAUAUCAGGUCUUGUACAAUUAGCAAGAUACAUUAGUGCAUCAAUUGCACUGAGAUAUAGUACUUCAGAACCAAGUACCUCUUCAUCUUCCUCUCGCGGUCUAAAAGGAUCCUUAUUAGGAUCUAAUGAUCUGACGACCAUUGAGGUACUUAAUGUAUGUGUCUUAUCUAUACAAAAUUGCUUUAAUACCUUCCGAGCAUAAGUAAUUUGGUGGACAAAAAUUUCACUUUUCAAAUGCUCAAUUUGUAAAUCAAGGCAGAAUUUUAUUUUUUCAAAUUUUUUUUAUCUCAAAUUCCUUCUUCAUCAAUACUAUUUUGAAUCUCUUCAGGAGUUUCAAUUAGAUUUAGAUCAUCAACAUAUACAGAAAUUAUCACAAAAUUUGACUCAUUUUUCUUGAUAAAAAUACAUGGACAUAUUGAAUUAUUGGUAUAACCUUCUUUAGUUAAACAUUUAUUGAGGCAAUUAUACCACAUACGUCCAGAUUGUUUGAUCCCAUACAAAAAUAUUUGUAAUUUAAUACAAUAAAUAUCUUUAGAAUUUGAUUUGCACGUUUUAAGCAUGUUGAAUUCUUCGAAAAUUCUUAAAUAAAUAUCAUUUUCAAGAUUCUCAUAUAAAUAUGUAUUAACGACAUCCAUUAGACGCAUAUCUAGUUUUCAUGUACUGCAAAACUCACAAGAUAUCUAAAUGUGAUAGCAUUCACUACAGAUGAAUACGUUUUAUUAUAAUCAAAUCCAGACCUUUGUGAAUUUUCUUGGGCUACAAGUCUUGUUUAUACCUCGCAAUUUCAUGUUUCUUAUUUCAUUUUCUCACAAAUACCCAUUUAACCUACUGGCUUUACACUUUCAGAUGUUUGGACUACAAGUGAUAGGGUGCAUUUUAGUAGAUUAUUUCGCUGAUAUUUUAUAGUUGUUUGGACUAAAUGCGUACUAUUUGGUGGAUUCUAUUAGGUUGUGUAUUUGGUGUUAAUUGCAGGAAGUAGUGAAAAAAAGGUGUUGAAAAUCAACAUUUCAAAAGACAUCCUGAUAAUUAGGCGUGCCCACGUCUAACUCCAACCUUCAAGAUCGGAUUCUCGGGAUUAUUCGCACAUGGGAAGCUCCAAAAAAAUGAGUGAAGUAGCUGGCUACAAAUUGAAAAAUCAGUGGUCACUCCAAAGGAGAGCAAAAGUUGAAGAAGUUUCAUUGUAAUAGGAUUGUUAUUUAGGAAGUAAUUGGUAUUUGGAUACCAAUUAAUUAGGAGAAAAAGUAGGAAGAAUGAGAGAUUUAGGAACCUUUUGGUGGCUAGAAACGCAAAGAAGAAAUUGUACUUUCUUUGGUCUUUGAGUUUUUCUGGCUUCUUGGCAAAACUUGGAGGAAACCAACAAAAAAAGCUACAAUUAUUGACUUGUUCUAAUUCUUUUGUUUUCCCUGUUUGACCGAAUUGGAGAGACAUCAGACUCUCUUUAUGCUUUUGCUAGAGACAAACGAAGGCAACGAUAUUUCUUGUUCUUUUCUUCUCUGUUGACCGAUUUUGGGAGACAAGAAUUGACGGUUUUUCUCAAUUAUUUUGCAUGGCUUGUUCUCCAUUAAUGGAGAACUAACUUCUUAUUUUUAGUCAAGAAGACAACUGAAGAUUUGGUUCAACAAUAACUGUGAAAUAUAAAUUAUUUUAACUGUUUCCUUCAUUUAUUGGUAUUUGUAUGUUUUCUGCUUUUAAUUGUUAUAGCUAUCGUGUAUGAUUAAAUAGAUGCGCAAUAUUUAAUUAUUCACGUAGGUUAUUUGCUAAUUGAGGUAGUUGAAUCUGUAAUUGUUCGAUUACUUCCGUCCCAGUAGCAACUGGCAUAAUUGGAUUUAUGUCAGGAAAACAUACGAUCUAAUUUAAACAAACCCUCGUAGCAUGUUUAUUAGUUAGGGUUGAAUUUUUCUAAUUCUUAAUGCAAUCUAAAAAUUAAAUCCUACGGUCAUACCUAGGGUUAUUUUCUGGUUAGAGAAAUAGUUAAUGGUUGUACUUUAACUAUCGAAAAAAUAAGAAAAUGUUGGUUGUUUAUCGCGUGUAUGACAACUAUAAUCAAUCUAUUAAUAAAUGUUGGAAUUAUAUUUGAAUCGAUGAUCAGUUGCAUGAACGAUGUCUGAAGUGUAUUCUUGGCUAGAGUUUCUUCGAUUAUUUCUCUUAAUUAAUUAUUUUUCACAUUUAAUUUAUUUAGUUGGCAAUUCAUUAACAUUUAAUUCUAAAAUCCCCCGUUUGUCUUGACUCAAAAGGAACGAACUUUUUCUAGAUCCCUGAGGAAACGACCCUACUUGUCACUGUCUACUAGUUAGUAAAUUUUGUCAGUUAAUUAAUUCUGAUAUAUCGGAUUAAGCAAACUCUUCGGAACCAGAGUGAAUCAAGUAAUCCAUUGCACAUCUAGAGUGUCUGCUCCAAUACUUGGAAUUGAUUAUUGACUGUUUUUUAUGGUAGUUAGGUUUUUAUUAUUAUUGCACAUGCUUGGUAUCUAUCAAUUUUUGGCGCCGUUGCAGAGGACUGGUGCUGGAAUUAUUUCUCUUUUUGAGUUCAGAUUAUUUUUGAUACUUUUGCUAGUUUAUGCUCCGUUCUUCUUGACAGGUGAAUUGAUAUACAACCCUGAGAUUGAGAAGGUAGUGCGUAGGCGAAAGCAAGAGACCAAGGAACGAAAAUAAGGACAGUCAUCUACUGCAGAUGAGUCAGUAGAAGACGAAAUUAGCAUGAUUAAUAACCAAACACUAAGGGAGUUGGUUGUCCUGGAGUUGACCCACCAGCCUUUGUGCAUUACCUCUUAUUGGCAUUGGCAACCCGUUUACUAGCUAUUUCAAACUCAUGAGUUGAAAUCAAUGAGGUUCGAUCCUCUUGAUCUCAGCCUAUCUUUUGUAUCUCAGGACGGCAUUAGUUUUAAUUGUGUUAUAAUGUACAUUGUGGCAUGCACAAACAACAGCCGGCCAGAAUUCUUCGAUAAUAAUCAUGAAUUUCUGCUUGGUACACUGGUCAUUCCAAUGUUGGGCGCCUUUAUAUAUACCUUGAAUAAUCAUCAGAAGCGAUCACACCAUAAUCAACCAUUCAAGAUAUCAGCUUGAAGAAAAAAUUGUACCAUUAUACACAUCUACAAAUGGCUCAGACUAAGAUGGCAACUUUUCUCUCCAUUCUUCUCCUCAUCAGCUUGGCCGAAAGCAGAAAUUUAGGCCGUAAGUAUUAACAAUUUUGAAGCUUAAUUGCCUUUUCUUUUUUUUUUUUUUGUUGGGUUUGGAAUCUGAUUCAUAUUUUCUCAUGACAUUUUCUUGAAACACUAGAUAAUGAAGUUAAACUAGCGACAGCUGAAGCAGCAUCCCCAGCUUGCAACUCGGUCCACGGAGCUGGAAAAGGCGACACUUGCUUUAGCGUUGCCCAGAACUUCAAUCUGGAAUUCCAAUCAUUCCUUGAUAUAAAUCCCAAUAUCAACUGCGACAAAAUCUUUGUGGGUCAAUGGCUAUGUGUCCAGGGUUCUCUAUUUUCUUGAAUGGAGUUUGCUAAAAUGGCAAUGAUAUGGAGAAAAAUAAAGGAGGGUUACACUUGAAAUGAUGUAGCUCGUCCCCCUUUUUUAAGUAUUUUGGUUUUUCCUUCAAAAUAAUUUUGUAAACGCUGCAUGCAAUUUUAUUGUAAUGGUUGUUUUCAUUUGCAGCCUAUUAAUGCCAAAGAGGGUCCUUAAAAGGGUUUAUCUUCGUGUAAUUCUUUGACAAUUCUAAUAAUAUUUGAAUGAUGCAACUUUCAUUAUGUUACACUUUUGGAGGAAAAUCUAACUAUACAUUUUGGAGAUUUUGACAAAUUAAAGAAUUGACCAAAAGAUAACAAGAAUUGGUUGAUGUUUUUGUUCGUACGAUCACUACCAUUGACCUUUGCAGAAACAAAACUAUAUAAUUUGCAUCCUGUGGCAUUAUAUCACAUACUUACAUAAGAAGGAUUUCUCUAACCAUGCUCACUUGGUAUUUACUAGUAUACCUAAAUUACAUACCAUAAUUUAUCAUAUCAAUACAUAUAUUCACUUAGACACUUUUUUUUUCAACUAAAUUUAUUUUUACAAAAAAAAUAAUAUAUCACUGGAUACUCGUUAGUCAAACUCUUAUAAAAAGCAACUUAAUUGAUUGAAAUUGAGCAUGUAUAGUGAAUAAGAUAACUAUAAUGUAUUAAAAUUUGUUUGGUUAUGGCAUUAUUUGACUUUUUCCUUUCCCCAAGAAAAGGCUGUUUUUUAUUUGUUAUUUUAAAAAUUUUUCAUUUCACGUGUGUUGAAAUUGAAGAAGACAAACUGGGCCAAAUUCAAUUAAUUGGACUAGGCCAAUAUUGCUACGACCCAACACCACAACAUCAUUAGGCCCCCACUCUUAGGCAGGCUGGCCGGCGCGUCUGAUUUUUGCUAAUCAAUGCGGAUUAAGCUUUAAAUCUAAUCGGAGCGUCUGAAGCAGCCGUUUUAAUAUCCAAUGGCCAAGAUGGAGCGGAGCCUCAACGUUUAAGUUUAUCUCUAACGGUCAGAAAACUCAAAAACAAAACCAAAAAAAUCCUCACAUAAAUUUCUCCAUUAUUUUACCCCAUUUUCUCUCCUACAAUUCACAUUAAGAAUCCCCUCAAGAAAUCGUCGAAACCCCACCAUCCAUUUCUAUUUUUCACAAGAAAUCAUCAGAUUUUGAAAACCCGAGUGAGGAAAAUGAGUGUUUUACAAUACCCAGAGGAGAUGAAUUCAUCAGAUCUUCAGAUAUGGAACAAUGCAGCCUUCGACAAUGGAGAUUCUGAAGAUUCAUCGGCAAUACUUAAAUGUUCUUGGUCUCCUCUGAAACCCCAGUUUUUGAAUCCUUCUGAUUCACUUGAAUCUUUUUCGAGUAAAGAAAAUGAAAAUCAGACUCAUCAGUUCCAGCAUUCCUCUAUUUCAUCUGUUUCUUCACUGAAGUCUCCAAUGUCCCAGCCACUCAAGGUUCUUGAUCCGAAUGGGCCGGUUGACAGCUCAAGAAUAAAGUCAAUUAAGGGGUAUUAUAACCAGGGUUUUGCAGAAAAGCCGAUUUUGAGGAGUAACAAUGAAGGGGAGGUUCAUGAUGAGAAGAAGAUUGAUAAGGAAAUUGAGGAAAUUGAGAUGGAAAUCAGCAGGCUUUCUUCAAGAUUAGAGGCUUUGAAGAUUGAAAAGGCUGAGAAAAGUGUGAAAAUGUCUGAAAAGAAAGGAAGGAUUGUGGCUGCAAAGUUUAUGGAUCGAAAACUGGUUGGAAAGAAUGCAGAGGAGAAGAAAAAGAUUGAAGAAAGUUUGGCUACGAGUGCGAAAACCAAGGUUCAGAGAAGAGGGCUAAGUUUGGGUCCAUCAGAGAUUAUGGCUGGGGCAAGAAGGGGUAUGAGUUUGGGACCAUCUGAGAUACUUUCUGAUGUCAAAUCCCGGCAAUUUGGUAAAAAAGAGAGUACGAUUACCCCUGUUCAGCCUAUUCAGAGUAGGCGAAAAUCGUGUUUCUGGAAGCUGCAAGAUAUUGCAGAAGAGAAGGUGACUAAAGAAAGGAGAAAAAGCUUGAGUGUUAGUCCGAAAUCAAGAAAAAAUUUAGCAGGAAAAACUCAGGGUUCAAGGCAGGCAGUCACCACAGUUGCAUCAAAGAAGACUGUGAAGAAAGAAGAGAUGUUUGGUAACUCUGUUCAACCGAAAAAGUUGUUCAAAGAUGCUGAAAAGUCAGUUACAGCUACUAAUAAGAAGCCAUUGAGGCCAGGGAGGGUUGUUGCGAGCCGCUAUAAUCAGAGUAGUAGUCAGACCUCAGCAAUGAGAAAGAGAUCUUUGCCUGAAAAUGACAAGGAUGAAAACAAGAGAUGUGAUAAGAAACGCUCUCUGUCAGCUGGGAAAUCGCGUGAAACACUGCCAGAAAAGAAGAAUUUAGGCACGAGAGCAGCAGGGUGAAGAAGAGAUGGGAAAUUCCCGCUGAUCUUGUUGUUCAUAGUUCUGAACCUGAGAGUUCUUCUCCAACGACCUCUGUUGUGCCUGAAAUACUUCCAAGAAUUCGUAUUGCUAGGUGCAUUAAUGAGUCCCCCAGGGACUCUGGACCAGCCAAAAGGGUAGCUGACUUGAUAGGAAGGAAGCAAUAUUUUGCUGAGGAUGAAGAGGAGGAGCCAUCAUCAUUGUGCCAAGCCCUAAGUUUUGCAGAUGAUGAGGUUUAAAUAUCUGAUAAAAAUGAUGAAAAUCAUGGAGGUCUCUCAGUCUCCACAAUCUAUUUCUUGAUUCUAGUUCUAUGAAAUUUAAGUCAAUUGAUGCUUGAGUCUGUAAACUUUGGUAAGCAGGUGAGCAUUCUUGUGCUCACUCCUAAGUGAUACAUGAGAUUAUGAAUCAAUCCUCUCAUCUAUGGUGUAUCUGCAAUAAGCUGUUCUAUGGAUUUAUGUGUGAAUACUGAGUUUUGCUUCACUUAAGAUCUUCUGACUACUGUUUGUCUUGUUUUCUUGGUGAAAGUCUUGAAAAGUCUUUCUGUUAUGCUCUGUGGUUGAAUUGUGUCUUGAAAAAUCAUGUUUUGCUGUGCCUAAAAAGGUGGGAGAUUAGUAGGAUCUCUGGUAGAUAUACCGCAUGCCAUAUAUCAAACAUUGUGUUUCUAACUUUACAAUCAAAGUAUUAUAUGGAAAGGGGACCAUUCCAGAUUGCAUCAACGAAGGCAAACUUUUCCAUUUCCAAAGGAACAGUGAAUAUUCAAUCCUAUGGCAACUUUUGUUGAAAAGGUGAUGCUACCACAGUGUCCCACCCCUAAACACUUAAAAAGAGGAAAUAAUGUAUAGAAAAGUUGAUUUAGUAGCUAAUUGCAUUCCUGUACAAAUGCACCUUGCUACAACAGUUAAAGGAUAGGUAUACAUUUUAUUCAGGACAUAAAGGAUAGGUGAUUUUGUCUGCAGUCUUCAAACUUAUGCUUUCAGCAGUGCUGCACUUGAAAAGUUUAAGCACCAAGUUUUGGAGAACAUGUAACCAUUACUUCAAACAGGAAAAUGAUAAGUUCAUGAUCUCAGAAUCAAACUGAAUCUGAAAAACUGUCACUUCAAUUAUGUUGUUACAGACAUUAAACCUAAGCAAGAAUUAUAGGCCUGAAAAAGAAUCUGUUUUUCAUAUCAGAUUCGACCUGAUGAAUUACUUAAAGGUGUGAAACCCCUAAAGCAUGGAAAAUUGAGCACAAACUGAAACUGAAAUAUAUAUCAAGUCGCACUAAAUAGAGAUUCUAGCAAUGAAGCAAAAAGACUGAAACUCAAGAAGAGUGUACGUGUUGCAUUUGGAUCUUUUGCUUCCUACAUAUAGUACUCAAGAAGGCCAUAGACAAAAAAUUGUUUACCAUAGAAAAAAUCUUUCCUCAGUUUUCUUGCUGAAUUUAUCACACAAUUAGGAUUCAAGAUAAGGCCUGAUGCUUCCUUCCUUUGGGCAGUUUUAUUGACAGCUACUUAGUAGAUUGAGAGUUUGAGAUUAUAUGUGAUAAACACUUGGCUUGAAUGGAAUGUUUUCUUUUUCUUCACCUCUAGCUGACUACUUUAGCAUCAAGUGUCAAGCAUGUAAUGCAAAAUGUAUUUUCUAAGAAAAAUAAUAAUCAUGUACUUCAAAGAGAUAGUAAGCUUUUUAGUUUCUUGAGUAUCUAACAGUCGCAUUGCAUCAAUUGAACUGAAAAUCCUAGCUCACAAAAUGUGUCUUAUCUACAUGUAACCAACAUAAGGAUCAAUAGGGAGAGAUGGUCCAAAUUACAACUUUCUGUCCACAGAAGAAUUAAGGGCUAAAAUUCAAUAUUGCUAUUUUUUGGCUUAUGAACUUGGAAAUCAAUAAGAAAAAUCAGCCAAAGACAAACAAAGUAGUUUGUUAAUUACUACAUGGCAUCUAAUCAUUUUUUUUCUAAUUAUUCUUUCACAUCUAACCACUUUGCACAGCCAAAAUUUGUAUACAUUGCUGAUAGUUACUAUCAAUCUCAAAAAAAAAAACGCGAGAGUGAUUAAGAACUUGAUAAACUCACCAAUAAUUUUUUGAAAAGAUUUCUAAGUGCUUGUAUUACUCCACCUCUUCAUUUGCUUUCGGAAAGAAAAAAAAAGCAAGGUAAGAAUUUCUUCGAAAGAAACUUUUUCGAUUGAAUGAAUCUGGUUGGAUUGGUGAUUAUUUUUAAAAUAAUAGUAUAACAAUUUUUAUGAUGUCAUAUACAUGAGAUAAAAAAUGAAUGAAAAUAUUAAAAAUUAUUAAAAAAUAUGUUAUGACGUAACAACAAAGAAAUUCUCAGAUUACAUCCUAUCCAAACACACAAGGAUCCAAAUUAAAGAGUUACCUUGCGUCCAUUAGCUAUCUCAAAAAAAUGAAAAAUGUAGUAGGGUAUGUAAAGUUAUUUCACAAAAGUAAAGGGGAAGAAAGAUACAUUUCCAAAAAUGUGUGCAGAUUAUUUUUUUAAAAAAUAAUAACAAAAUAGCUAAUAUAGUUGUCUCCCAGUACUUCUUGUCCAAAUUUCAAUGCCUCAAUUGUCUGUCAACAUAAACCCUAAACCCUAACACGAAUUUUUUCUUCGAUUAAUCCCGAAAUCCAAAAAUGUUUGCUGCUGCGAUUUCCAAGCGCAAAACCCAUUUGAGGUUUCAACAUUGUUACGCCACUAUUACUGUUCCAGUUGCCGCAGACCUUUUUCAUUCACCACUCUGCAGGGGUUCAGAAAAAUCCAUCUUGUUGUAAGCUCUCAAAUUUUCAUCUUUCACUUACUUAUGUGAUAUGGGUUUUUCUUUUUUUUUGGUUGUUUAUUAUCUUCUAUAAUAUAUUUCCUCAUUUCAAGAUUGGGGUUUAGAGUGAAAUAUGAAAUCAAAUAAAUCCCACAAUUUUAAUCAUGAGAAUGUCAUUGCUAAUCUUGGGUUGGCGAUAGUGGUAGAAGUUAGGAUGCUACUAAAGUUGAUGGUGAAAAUCCAGGGAAAUAAAAUGUGUUUGUAACUUUAGAAUUCUGGGAGAUGGUUAGAUUUUUGCCGAAGUAGAAAUGCAGCUCUUUUUUUUUUGAGAAGCUUGAUGACAAAUGAUGGCGUUCUUUUAGCUGGUUCAAGAAAGACUCUUUUUUUUUCUUUCUUUCCUUUUAUUCUUCUAUGCUAUGGAGAAGGGACAUUUAAAUGGAAUGAAUUUAAUGGAUUAGAGAUAAAUUUGGGACCUAAUAAUGAUGCAAUUUUUAAAGCCCGUCCACAGUGGUGGGGUUGUUGUCUUGCUAGUUGUGAAAUGGCUGGUACCUAAGGGUAGUUAAUCUAGUGAGAGAGUGAAACAUCUGAUGAAAUGUGACCUGACCAGGAAAUGAUUUUUGGAUUUAUUGUUACCUGUUCUUAGGGAGAACUCUUUGCUUUUGCUUAUGUACUCUUCAUCUUUCUGUUUUCUGCUUCUGUUGGGGUGAGCAUGAAGAGUGGGUUCCAUGGGGAAAUAUCCCGAUAUUUGCUUUCUUUAGUGUACCGAUGGAGUUGGCCUCUGAUAGAGGUAGAGGUAUUUGUACCUCUGUAUAAGGACAUAUUGUAUUUUUGAACUUGGGGAUGAUGGUCUUACUCGUCUGAUGAUAUUGGUUUCUGGUGUCUGUUUUGGUAUGAUUUUUUCAUUUUGUUUUCUGAACCUGACUGUAAGCGUGUUUGAACCAAAAAUUUUUGUUUUUUUGACUGCCGGUAGAUCAAUUAUUAGUAACUCUGCCAUUCCCUUUUAUUCAUCUUUUGAUUUGUUAUUAGUUGCUAACCAAUACACACUUUGCUUGGGACAAUAUUGUACAGUUGUUUUAGCGAAGGAUGGUAGAUGUCUUAUUUUUUGGUUUUUAAUUAAUUGCUGGCUUUCUAAUACAGAAUUCUGUUAAAUCCAUCCCAAUAGGAGCCUUCUGGAUUUGGCCGUUCUUCCAAAUUCUGAGUUAUUAUGUUUCUAGUCAUCGUUCAAUUGCAACACAAACUUCUCCUUCUCAUGAUAUGCAUGAUAGAAUUUUGAAUGAAAUACUUUCCGAGUUGGAGAACUCUGCAAUUUCUUGUGAGAAAAUAUGUAUCUCCAAGAUUGAUAAGCUAUGUAGUGCUGGAGACCUUACAACUGCUGCUAGACUAUUGCGGUCUUUACGUGAGCAACGAAUCUUUCUUGGCCCUCGAGCAUAUAAUAUCCUUCUUCAAGCAGCAGGUGAACAAGAUGACACUGAUAUUCUAUUACACACUUUCAAGGAUUUAUUGGUAUUCUGUAAUUCUAUUAAGUCGGCUUCCUGUCAGAUCCUUGCCAAGGCUCUGGUUAAGGAAAGUGAUGAUGUUUUCUUGUUGAAAUUUGUCAGAGAAGUUUCAGAAUUGAUAAUUCCAAUAAGUGCAAUCACUUUGAACAGGAUCAUAUUUGCCUUUGGUGAGUUUAGACAGAUUGAUAAAGCUCUGAUAAUAUUCGAGGAAAUGAAGAAUCUGAAGUGUAAACCAGAUUUGGUUACAUAUAACACUAUUUUAGUGAUAUUGGGCCGGUGUGGUCAGGUAGAUGAUAUGCUUCAUAAGUUUGCUGAAAUGAAAGAGGCCAAUAUUGCUCCAGAUACUAUUUCUUAUAAUACCAUUAUAAAUAGUUUACGCAAAGUCGGUAGGCUUGAUUUAUGCUCAGCAUUUUUUAAAGAAAUGGGUGAAAGAGGAGUUCAACCUGAUUUGCAAACAUACACACCAUUGAUUGACAACUUUGGAAGGUCUGGGAACAUUGAGGAAGCACUGAGACUUUUUGAUGAGAUGAAGCACCGAAGAAUUCGCCCAUCGAUUUAUGUCUAUCGUUCGCUAAUUAGUAACUUAAACAAGAUGGGGAAGUUGAAGUUAGCUACAAAAUUUUCAAACGAGAUGGAUGCAUGUCUUUCAGGUCUUGUUGGUUCAAAGGACUUCAAAAGGAAAAGAGAUAAAUGAACUCAAAAGAGUUGAUGUUUGGUUUCUUUUUGACUCUGCAAUCUCAGAGAAACCCUUUUGCUGAACUCUGCAUCUUUGUUGGAUAUCGUGGGUCAAAAGGCAUUAUACGGUAUGUUCUGAAAAACCAUUUAUCUCGAGGUUCAAGAUUUGUUAAGAGUCUGCAAUACUUAGGGAUACUUUGCAUGGUUUGAUGUUCAGAAGUACUGCAGUAACAAAUGGAAUAACAUGAAUUUACUCAACUCAUUGUCAUGCUUAAAGAGAGCACUAAGUGGACUUCCUUCUUUUGAUUAUAAGUCUGGAAAAUCUGGGCGUACAUGACUUACAGCUGGUUGUAUCUGUCCGCUUGCUAAAUGUUUCAUCGGCUAGUAGGAACUCGAGCAAUUUUGAAGAUUGUAAUGGACCUCUUAGCCUUUGGAUUAACAACCGUUGCUGUGCUGUGAACAAGAUCUUGAGUAAAGAUGCUACAUGGUUAUCCUCAAAUGAUAAACUAGCGUUGGGGAUCGUGGCCGCAGUGGUACCAUUGAUCUCCUUGGUACAAUUUUGUGUGUCUGCUAACCUGUUAGAUAUGCAGGCAUAUGUAGAUUGAUUCUGAAGAUGUACGUAAUGUUUGUACCAUUCCAUAUCUCUGGUGGCUGGUGACUUGUGCUUUGAUAAUCUGGUUAUAGGUCUAGAAGCUUAAAGUAAAUAUGCUCAUUUGUAAUUGUUAUUUUUUCAAUUAUUUGUCUUUGUAGAUUUUUUAAUGAGGAUUACUGGUUGACAUGUUAAAAGUAAUGCUCUAUGUAAAUUAAAAUUCAGAAAGUUUUUUAAGACAAAAAGCCUUACUCUUUUACCUGCAUCAAUUCGAGUCAAGCUUUUGUCUAAUUGAACCGAACCUCAAGUUAAUUUUAUGAAUUCAAGCCGACGAGUUCAAAAUUUCGAACUCGAGUUCGAGUUUAAAAAUAUAAUUAAGCUUAUAAGUCGCUCGCGAGCUAAUGAGUUUGGUAUUUUUGAGUUUGAGUUCGAGCUCGACUCGAAUUUGAUAUUGAUCGAACUCGUAUUCGAGCCAUUCGCUGCAGCCCUAUGCAUCAUGAUAUGAAAAAAAAGAUAUGCAACAGAUGAGCCAACUACUGUGCCAAAUGACUUAAAAAACGAAUCCAAACACACAGUUGCCAAAACGAUAGGGGAGUUAGGUACUAUCUGAAGCAACAUGACAAAAUUUUCUCAGUAUCUGUAGCAAGAAAUAUUGGAAAGUGAAAAAGUUCUCUGCAGUUUCAUGUCUGAGAUCAGUCUUCAAAUCCGACUUGAGUCCCUUCCGAAGAUGAAACGUCUUCCCCAGUCAGAUAUUACUAGCAGCCUUGUGCGCCAACUUACUAGCUUGCUGGAUUUGAAACAAAGCAAAACGUGAAAAAAGAACUCAAAGUGGAACCAAGUACAGUUCAGGGGAACAAAGAAAUCAAAACUUGCGGGCAUAUAAGUGAUAGUAGUAUUUUUACCUAGCAUAAACUGAAUACCAAAGCCACUGCGUGCUAUGACCUAUGGAAACCCUCUCAGGGAGUUGUGCUGCAGCUUGUUCUCCACCCAGUGGUGCAAAUUGUCCAAAGUGUUUGUACCUUUAACCGUAAAAGUCAGCAGAUAUUACGCAAAAUAGCCAAGAUCAGGGACCAUUAUUCUUUACUGUUUGGUAAAAAAAUUUAUUGACUGCAGUGGUUGCAAAUCUAUUAUGAUCUGGUUCCAUAAAAACCUUGUCUGAGACAAACUAGCUAGUGCGUUCUUCUCACUUUAUUGCUUCACGAAGGGCAGUAAUUUGAAGAUUGGCUGUUAUAUCAACCUAUUAAGAGCUUUUGCAAAUUGCAAAAACGAAAAAAAAAAAAAAAAAAAGAAAAGAUAUCGUCUGAAGUUCUAUAUGUAGAUUAAUCCUUACCUAAAUGGACGGAAGCGAUGCCUUCCUGCUGCUCUGAACCUUAUUGGCCCUUCAGGAUACUUUUCACAGAUAUCCAUGCGGUUGAAGCAGUCAGCAAGAUAAACUCCUUGUUGGGAAGCCACCUGAGUACCGAACAUCAAAAAAAGAGGAAGCUAAGCUCAAGCAAAUCAGCCACACUACCCAAAAAGAAGAAAAAUCCUUUCCAGUUUCCACUUACCUGUGCUGUUGGAGGAAGACUUUUCAUCUGUUUGUCCACUUCAGCAAGUGCUUGUUUGAAUUUCUCGAUGUUCAGUUCAUCCUCGCCGUCUUUACUCUUCAGUAGUUGAAGAAAAUUCCUUAGUUGGUUUUUCUUCAGAUGAAUCUGCACCUGGGGAUACCUUUCAGCAAUGUCUUUGAUAACCCCUUUAAAAUCAUCUACCUUCAGGGUACCAGAGUUAUUCUCAUCGGCUUUACUAAAUAUUGCAGCGAUAUCUUCCUGAUAAAAGAUCAAAUCCAAAGAUUACAGCUGAUAUCUUCCUCAAAAAACAAAACAAGUAUCCAAAGAUUUGCUACGUAAUCUCGACCAUAGGCCUCGCAUACUAUGGCAAAUGAUGCAUCUUAAGGAAGUCGGUCAAGGAGGACGCGAAAAUAGCAGCUAAAGAAAUGUGAACUGUGACUUAAAUCCAAAGACUCAGGUUGUGUAUUGCUGCUCAUGCUAACAAAUUAAGUAGAAAUAAUUGUUGCAUACCAUUACUUUGCGUUGGUUGAUUGUGGCGCAGUCACCUAAUGCGUAUAUGCUAUCGCAACCUUCCACCCGCAGCCAUUCAUCAGUUGCCAGAACGCGUCUAUUGGUCUGUCAUCCACACAAAGUAAAAAGUUGAGCUUAGCAAUUUAUAUGUGAUAGCAGAUGAUAACAAAAACUUUGGCGUAAGAAAUGUUUGUAGCAUUGAAAUUCAAGUGCCAAAUCGAAAAAUCAGGCGUACAGUUCUGAAAUCAAAUAGAAGGAUUAGAGCCGCAUGCCAUACCUGACCAAUCUGCUUCAUAAAAUCCAUGAUAACAGGUCGAGUUCCAAUGCCAGUAGACCAGACAACCAUUCCAAAAGGGAUUUCUACAGUUUUACCAGAGCUCCUCUCUUUAGUGGAUAUCUCCUUAUCAGAUACCUUUACAACCAUCGAUCCAGUUUUUACAUCAAUUCCAUCUCUCUGAAACUUUUCUUCAGCAAAUUCAGUAAUUCGCUUAUCAAACCUGGAUAAAACAAAGGGAAUGAACUGUGAAAACCAUCCACAACUGCCAAAAGCAAACAAGGUGAUUUGGAGAAUCCAUGUAACUUUCAGACACAUGUGCAGGCGACAAGGAAUUGUAAUUUUAACAUGAUCAAGCUCCUGCAUUUUGAUUGCUGACAUACUCUACUGAACUUCUAUGCCAUAAAUGAUUUAAACACCCUCCUGUUUUUUGUAGUACAAUCAACUGUUGAACCAAAAUUUCGUCGUAAAAUAAAAUACAAAGUAAACUAGUUACAACACAGAGCAUGCUGAUGCAAAGCAUUGGAUAUAAGCAUGCUUAAAAAAAGAACAUUCUGCUUAGCUUCUAAUUCGAGAAAAACAAGACUAGUUUCUUAUCAUAUAUAUAAUAAUAUAAUGUCAAAUGACUAAUUAGCAUAUUAGCUGUAGGAGGCCUUCCUUACAUGUUCAGAAUGUGAUCCGCAGCUUCAAGAAGUGUUAUUUUGACAUGUUGCUUAAGAGCAGGGUAAAGCUUGGCUAAAUCCUCAUUGACGAAAUCAUGAAGCUCUGCAGCAAAUUCCACACCAGUUGGACCACCUCCAACAACUACGAAAUGCAGGAUCCUCUUUUUCUCUUCUUCACUUACAGUUGGAAGGCUUGCCCUCUCGAAACAGUCUAUGACUGUUCUACGGAUCCUUUGAGCAUCUUCGACUUCCUGAAUUCAUGUCAUUACUUUCACUUCCAACACAAAAUAAUGGAAAUGACACGCACCUACAUUUUGUUCUUUUUCUCUAAAUGGCAUUAUGGCUUGUCAAGUUACCUUCAAAAAGUGAGCAUACUCCACAACACCAGGGGUGUUAAAUGUAUUUGCACGUGCACCCAUUGCUAUAACCAGGUAAUCAUAAUCCACUGUAAAUUCUUCUGAACCACCCAAGUUGUUUUCUUGAGUUGAGCGACAGCAGACCUUCUUGUUUACUGUAUCAAUCUUGUAGCAUUCAGCCUCCUUGAAGUGGACAUCAAAUUUUUUCUGAGGCAGGAAAGCAAGUAUAGCUGUCAUGUCCUUCAAAUGGUUACAUAGGUUUGGCUAAGUGUAAACAUUACUUAUCCACCACUGUAAUUCUAAGAAGAAGCAUAUUGUAUCAAACUUUGCAGUUAUCAAAGAGGUAGACCACUGUGAUUGAAGUCCACAAUUGCAAUAGGUACUUCUACAGAUAGAAAAAUCAUAUAUAAAGUGGAAUUGUCUUUUUGGCAGAUUAUAAAGGUUUCAUUAGGAAUUUAGGACCUGACAGCCAAUAGGAAUAGGAGAAUCAAGGUUUUCUGGUUCUUCCAUAUUGCAGAACUACGCAUCCAAAGAUUUGGUAUGAAAAUGUCCCCUUUUCAUGUCUUUUUCAGAAUUAAUUAUUAUCACAACAUGGUAAAUGAUCAUUUAUCUUUGAUGCAUUGCAAAGUUUCCAAAUCAUAUCAACCAGCAAUUAUACACAAGCUUUUGUAGCAGUCCAUAGUUUCUAAUUUAAAUGUCAUUGCCAACUAUGUAAGAACAUAGAGGAGACAUGCCUAAGAGCUAACACCAUAACCUUUGAAAUUAGCAUUGCCUCCUAAAAAGUAGAACUAGAACACAAAAAUUUAGUAUGAAAAUCUAUACCUUCCUAACAAUGCUGCGGAUUGGCUCCACAAUGCUGCGUGCUUCAACCGUGCCAUUGGUAACACUUGGUAACAAAGGAGUAAAUGCAAAAUAAUUUCGUGGAGAAAUAACAUGAACAUCAUAGCUGGGAUCUUUCAAGCUUUUAAGAAAGCUUGUUCCAGCCCAUCCAGUUCCUAGAACCACCACUUUCUUUUUCUUGACAUCAUGAGCUGCAUCAGCAUAGCCAAAUUGGAAUGGCCUGGCAUCAGAGAAAGCAGCUACACCCCCACCACUGCAGAAUCCAGAAUUCAAGAAAAAAAAAAGUAUCACAUCUCAGAUAUCUUCAGAACAUUUUUGAACAAUUCUCACCCUGCAGAAUCUUCGUAUCUUUUUCUAUUUAAUAUUAAUCUUGUUUGUAGAGAGGAUCAUGGCAUUAUAUUCUAAAAAAAGAAGUGUACUUCAAGAAAAAACUUCAAUGUAAUUGAGGUGCAACUAUAAAUCUCAAAUUUUCAGCCUCAUUCACUGUGGUACAAGAAGUGGAAAGUAUAACAGUUAGUGUAUAUUUCUGUUAAGAACAAUAAAGUAUUAAAUUGAAUACCAAAAAUAGAGUUUCAAAAGGGGUUGAUUGAAUUUUAGAUGGAAAUAGUUAAGAUCUAUCAUGGCAAUUAAUAAGGAUUUAUUCGUCUUCAUGAAUAUGUAUAUAGAAGUAGAUUCAAUUCCUAAGCUCUAACCUUCAAUUAAAAAAUGCAGGAGCUUACAAGCGUCAAAAAAUUACCACAAACAGAAGAGAAUAAAUCCUGACUGCAGAAAAGUUACACCUUACCAGUGAAUAAAGCAAAUAAAGACAUAAUUAUGAAAGAUUUUAUGAUACAUUAUUUUCUUCCAAUAACUUCAUGGAUUCAGUUUUUAUCAAUGGUGGAUUUUUUACAUUAAUACGUGUAGAUGUAUGUUAAUUAUGUAAAACAUGAAUUUAAAGAUUGAAAUUGGAUUGCAUAGCACAGCAUGCAUCUACAUCCUGCUCCGGUUGUGUAUGCAUUGUUAUCCUAACUUGAUUAUGACAGCCUAAACAAUGUUACUUGCUUAUAGCCAUUGAACAAAAUCAAAUCUUACAUUCAGCAAAAUAAAAAUCAAAUCUGAACACACUACCACCUACUUUAAACACAGUAAAAGUGUAAAACAUACACUGAAAACAAUAAUUACCGUCAAUAUGCAAAAGAAAUUCUUUUUCCAAGUAAAAAAAAAAACAACAAGAGCAACGACAAGAAAACUUUGCAUAACACGUAGCCUGUUACAUAGGAAUUAUUACUAACGAAACAAAACAGGAAAAAUAACAAAAAAUCCUACAAAAUAUACAUUAUAUCAUAAAACUACACCUUCUAAUAAUUAAAAAAAACAUAGAUUUAGAUUGUAGACCUGACAGAGAGGACAACAAGAAGUUUAGUGACAGUUGGGUGGUCAUGAAACGCCCCUUUGGCUCUCUGGUAAAAAUUAUAGCCUCUCAUCUUUUUUUUUUUCCCUUAACUCUCUUUUCUCUUCUGCUACUUCUUCUCUUCUCUUGAGUGAUGAUCAAGAAACCCUUUAAACUCUACUUGCUUAUUCAAACAAUCUCCGUAAAUAAUGAAUCAGUAUGAGAAGUUAACAUGCUAGAGGACUACCUCCUUUGGCAGGUUUCUUUCUUGCAGUUUCUAAUGUUAUUAGACUUCCCUUAUGGGAAGAUCAUGGUUUUAAUGUCGGAGUAACUGUCAAGCAAUAUUAAGCAGUCAAACGCCUAGGAAUAUGGACACUUGCCCAAUUCUUAUCGAACUACCGGUUUCCUGCAUGCUCUCAGUUUCUUGGUAGGUAGGUUUUCCUACGCCUGUUUCGUCUAUUACACCACACAAAUUUCGAUUUCUUCGCUGGUUAAUUCUAUUCUUGGUAAAUUCUACUAGUAGUACUAGAGUAUUAGUAGUAUUAGGCUUGUGUUAGCCUUUUUUUUUUUCCUUUUUUUGACGACCAACAGGCAACAACUCCUAUUUUGUUUAGAAAUUUGUAAGUAUACUAACACAUGUUUGUAUGGGCUUUCCUGUUGGUCACUUCAUUUAGGUUAAUCUGAUCUUUUCGUUGUUCUAUAGAAAAUGGCCAGAUUGAUUUGGUGUAAACAAUUCAUUGUUAUUUUUUAGUAUUCAUUGUUAAUUUUAAUAAAAAUUAUUCGAGUCGAAUUGAGCCUUAACGAGUCAAAAAUCUUUAAAUUUAAACUCGACUCGAUACUACAAAUGAACCCUAAUUCCUAUUCGAAUUCGAAAUCGAAUUUUUUAAAAAUCGAACUCGAAUCAAGUCCUUAAUGAAUUGAGGCGAAACUGUUCGUUAAGAAUUGGUCCGUUUAGAGCCAUAUUCUUCUCACUAUCCACUUUAAUUCAAGUACUAACAUCACACAACCAAUGAAAUAGGUGUGUAUCACUUAAAACAUGAUAGCUUAUAGAUAAUUGCUUGAUUUAAGUUUUUGUUUGAUUAUUAUAAUUUUUUUGUGUUAACUUUUUUAAAUUUACUACUAUUGGAUUUUUUUUGUCAAAUAAUGAAUUUACAUUCAUCAGUUCAACUAAAGACAUUUUUUCAAUCACUUGUACACAUAUCGAGUGCAUGACAGCCCAAAAUCUAAUCUUGGAUGCGUAAUAAUGUACACAAAUUCUAAAGAUAAGAAGACAUGUAAAACUCUAAAACGCGUUUGUUGUAUAGCAGAACUUAAAUACAUCUAAUCCUAAUGUAAACAAAAAUAUAGGACCUACAAACUAGAAAACCUCUCUAUAUGUUUAAACAUAACUCUUCCCUUUGAUUUUAGUCAUUAUUCAGCUUUUAGUAAAGACUUGCUUAAAUUGGAAUUUCGUUUUAGUCACUCACCCAAAUUUAGUAAAGACUUGCUCCGUCGAAAUUAUAGAAUUCAGAUUCAAUCAACUCCUCAUAUUUAGGCAGAACAUUUGUACAACUACCCAAUAACGCAACCUACAAGGCACAAGCUAUAGCAUUUGUUAUCAUUGGCCAACUAGUGUUACUCGAUAGGAGCCUCCCUCUAAUUUAUGCCAAAUAAAAAAAUUAACUUUGAACCACAACUGUAUUUGAAAUUGUAAUUGUAGGUGUAAUUUGCACGAAAAGCCAAAAGAGAAUGGGAUGAUUUUAGAAACCUCCCCUGAGAUUUCUCACAAUAUCAUCAGCUCCCCUAAAGUUUUUAAAAUCUCACUUAUCUUCCUUGAAUUGGCAUUUAUUGUAACAUUUUAGCCCCUUUGGAGGAAAUGCAAGAAGGAUAAAACUUUUAUUCUAGUACUACUUUCUGUUAUCCUACUUAUAAAGUUUACAACAACAAUACAAAACAAAAUAAUGUUAACUUUUUAUAAGGUGUAAAUUCCUUAACUUAAACUAUUUAUUUUAGUUGUUUUGGAACAAAGUAAAAUUUACACCUUGACAAAUUCACACAUAUAAAGAGAUUAUUUUAAUUUUCAAUACAACUUAAACUACAUCAUGUAUUAAAUUGUAUUUCCUAAAAAAAUUUCUUGACUUUCAUAUAACUAUUGUCUACGAAAUUUUUCAAGGUGUUAAUUACUCACUAAAUUCCUCAUAAGCGGUUGAUCUCAAUAUAGAGAAAUAUAGAUCAUUAUUAGAUAACAAUUUUUUUGUUUUAAUCUACAUUUUUUGGUUUAAAAUUCUAUUUUGUUUUGAUUUUUUGGUUAAAUAGUUAUUAAGAGCAAGGGUAAUAUUGUCAAUUUGUAACAUUUGAUAAGAAUAUUUAGUCUUGUCCAGUUGAUAAGAGAUGAUAUUAUGAGAUAACCUUAGCGGAGGUUCUGAAAUUAUCCCCAAGAAAAAGGUAAAAGUAAUUUGACUAAGUGGUACGUUUUACAUAAUAUUUACAGUUGCUGAAGAUAAAAUAAAGGAUAAGCAACUGGUAUUCCAUGAAGAGAUGUGGAAUUAUUAUUGGUGUCCGGGAUCGAAAUUCUGCUCAGCCAUUGUUUUCUACCAUUUUGGGGAUGACACAAAACACAUUUUUAUUGGAGCAGAUUUGUGACAAAAGGAUCAAAGCAAGCCUCAGCAUUUUCCCGUUUGAUCGAUGAUUAGGCCACUGAUAAUAAUUUCUCAUAAAGCAAGAGGAGGCCAUUGCAUGCAGAAUUUGAUACUUUAACCAUGAAAAUGUCCAGAUACCAAGGCAAAGAUGUUUUAUUUUUCCAUGCACUGAUAUUCAACCAACCACUUAACAUAUGUGGAGAAACUCGUCCAUUCUCAAUCUUCUUUGCAGCCAAAUUCAACAGCAGUGAACCAUAGCACGUUGUCCCCAUACAUACCAAUUAAGUGCAACGGCAAUGCACAAUUAUGACUAGUUACAUUAUGAAACUCCAAAUGUAAGUGAACUCCUCCUCUGAAAAUUCAAAAGCAAUGCUUUUCUAUUUCUUUUGGAAAAAGAGAGGGGGUGGGGGAUGCAGGGAGUCAGGGAAAGAGGUAUGAAGGAUGUACACUAGAAGGGGGCAAUCAGUGAGAAACUUCCCAGAAACGGGUUUUCACUUAGAGAAUGGCUACAGCCCUUGGAUGUCUGCAUCAAAUGCGACUUGAAUCUCGCCCAAAAAGGAAUCUCCUUGACCAAUCACCGACCACCAACAACCUUGUUCGCCAGCUAACUUGCUUGCUGCAUAUAACACAGAUAUCUGGAUUAGAUGAGUUCAAUGCAGCCCAAAACUUAAAAAACACAAGCAAAUGGUAUUUUGUCUGUUUAAAAAAGUAGUGGUUACCUUGCAUAAACAGAAUACCAGAGCCACUGUGUACUACGACCCAUAGAAACCCAAUCUCCAGGAAGUUCUGCUGCCGCUUGCUCCCCUCCCAGCGGAGCAAAUUGCCCAAAAUGCUUAUACCUGGGGUUGGAAAACAAUGACAUGUCAACAUCUACAAAUUCUGACGGGAACUUCUGUCAUUUGUAUCUUUGUCAAUACGGCUCAAAGCCUCAACUGACAGUUGUAGCUGGAGAUUAUCCUUGUGGUCAUUGCAGCACAAUGAAGUUGCAACUAAUUUUUGUAGCCAUAACAUCCGACGCAUGAAUUCCCUCAUAACUGAGAGGUUAUAGUCUAUUUUCUCAAGGAAAAUAACAGCGUUGAAAGCCAGUGCCAGACAUUGAUAUUAAACAUAUUAUUGAUUUUUUUUGGGGAGGAGGGGGAGGGGGGUUUUGGAAGGCUGUGAGUCUCUCUAAUUUCCUACUAUAUCUGUAAAAUGAUCCUGCUGUUAGAUUUUUCCAGUACACUAUUUAAAGAGCAAAAAAUAGCACAGGCAAAGGUAAAGUUUAAAUUUAAAGAAUUAGCUUGUGUGGUUUUGACUUAAAUGUAUAAGAUAUCUAGCAAUUUUUUGAACAGCUAUGACAUACAACUACCAUCCAGACUCCAUCCUCAGUACCUUAUCCCUUACAAACCUCAUUCCUAUAUCUAUCCCGAGUAUCUUCUAGGAAAAUAGGAAAAUUUUUCAAGGAACAAAAAAAUCAUACUGCAACAGAAGCUUGCUGGAAAUAACUAUAAGAAUCCUAAACUUAAUAGCAAAGUUGAGCAAAAAGUACAAUAAUUAGUCUGUUGAGACUGACAACCUAUUUCAAGAAGGAAAUAAAAAAAGCUUGGUCUAAAUUUCUCAACGGGAAAGCUUGUUCCCUUUUAGAGUGCAACCACAUGAAGUAGAACGUGGGCGCAGUCCCAGAAUUAAGGGACAAGCUGAAUCUUAGGCCAAAUAGAAGAAUUACUCGACAAAACUGUUUUGAAAUUAGGUAAGGGUCCCUGAACAAUUCUAUCUGUAAUUUAAGUGACACUAGUGUACAAUGCAAUAUUAAGAAAACUCCCCUAUUUUGACCUCAAAAUUUUCUCCUAUUUCACUAAAACCUUAGAGAACAUUGAAAAUCCACUUUCUAAGUUGAGAUACCUGACAUAGAAAGUAAAUCUUUCCACAAUAAUAAAAGUCUUUUUAAGCCCUUUUCAACAUCUUCAGGUUUUUCUAAGUCCUUUUAAGCUGAGACAGCAUUAUUUAGACAUCUUCAGGCAAAAUGUAAUCUUCAAGUAAAAUUUUCCAUGAUAAUAAGCAAAACAGAAACAACCAAUAAAAAUCUUUCAGUUGGAACAAGGGAUCUGGCUAUCAAACAUAUAUGAAUGAGAAGAAAGCCACAAGAGUUCAUUUAGCAAGACCAAGACUUUUGUAAUUAGAUACUAUGUAUUACGUAACAGAAGGUUCAUUAGAUCAUAUUAUACUAGAGUUGAUUUAGCAAGACCAAGACUUUUCUAAUUAGACACUGUAUUAAGUAACAGAAGGUUCAUUAGAUCAUACCAGUAUUUCUUUAUUACAAGAUUCUUCAUUUUCUUUGGCCAUAAAAGUUCUUCUAGUUUCAUGUUGAGGCAAAACUUUAUGCCACUGCUUGUUAUUGUGAGAUGGUGAGCACUUUUACCUUGUUUCUGAUAAACUUUGGCUGCUCUAUCAUAUCUAUGGAAAAGAGUAGAUAGUCAAGACUGAACUGGUACGAAAUGAAAGUUUUGACUAAUAGGCAUUCUGUAAGAAGUAUCACACCCCGAUCUAAGUUCAAAAGAGUAAUUUCCACAUAUACUGUAAACUGAACCCAGAAUCUCAAACAUUAUACUCAUUAAGUUUGUAACAAACCAUCUGAUAUUGAUAGACUCAGUGUGAGGCUCAAGAAGUAUAGAAGACUUAACACCCAUUUAUGUUUGGUUUAACAAAAUGGAAAGUGCCCAGUGACUGUGAUGACUAACAAUUUCCCAUGGAAACCACGUAAGACAAUUUUAAUUGGGCAAUCACAAUAAUGAACCUCAUCCUUUUGCCUUGUAUUCUUCCUUAUGGAGAACAGAAUCCACAUUCCUCCAUAUUGUGUUGGUGGUUUCAUGGUACCACAUGCAAUCAUUGAUGAGGUAUUUGUGAUUAAUGGUUCGUAAAUCAAAUUAACAAUUAACUUUAUCUUUCUUUCACAUUUUGCCAGUGUAGUGCAGCUGAAAUUGAAACACGGAAUUAUGCUACCAGAAUUAUGCUACCAGGCCUUCUGAACUCUUUCUGUCUGCUCAGUGAUUACAAUGAUAAUUUCAAAAUUAUAGAGGUGUAUACGUGCCUGACUGAAAUAGCCAAAUAUGCAAAAAUGAUGGUUUUCGCCAUUAGCCGAGCACACAGUCAAACAUUUCAGAAAGCUCCUUUUUAAUUGGUUUUUUAGAUGUGGAAGCAUAGAGGCAGUUAUAAGAAGAAAAGAUUCUCCAAUCAUGAUCAGACAUUUUUAUUUGGUCUGAUGGAAGCAAAGCAAUCACUAACUGAACUAUGUGAACAAGAUGAUCAAUACAUCAAAUCAGAAGGUAGUUUUUCCUGUUUUAAAGGUUCUAUAGUCAUACAUGAAUUUUUUUAUUUUUCUAAUUAUACAGAGAUUAACUGAUUAAUCACAUGGAAAUACAGAAACUACAAGCUCUGCAAGAGGCAAAACAUACCGGAAAGGGCGAAAUUCAUGACGCCCACCGCUUCUAAAACGGCGCGGGCCUUCUGGAUUUCUUUUACACUUCUCCGAAAGGUUGAAGCACCUAGCUAGAUAUGCACCUUGUUGAGAAGCUACCUAGCAUUCCAAAAGAUGAAUUACAUGAGUAAUAGUGUCAAAAUAAGGCAAAAGCAACACAGAGGAAAUGAAAAUAAGUAACCUGAGCAGUCGCAGGAAGACUCUUCAUCUGUGUAUCAACAUGAGAAAGGGCUAACUUGAACGCUUCAAUAUCUAUCUCUUCUCUAUCAUUACCCUCGGCGUCCUUGAAUAGGUCUACCACAUCAAACAGAUGCUUGCUUUGUAGGUAAAGUUCCACUUGGGGGUAUCGAAUAAUAAUGUCCUCAAUCACUUCUCGAAAUUCCUCAAUCGUGAGACUCCCAUUAUUAUCCUUGUCUGCUGCUUUAAAUAUUUCUGAGAUAUCUUCCUGAUACAAAGACAAGUGAAACUAAGAAUGAACGGCAAGAUAGCAAAAUGAAAGCAAUUUUGUGAGAACCAACACAUUGAUACAUCUUAAGAAUAUAAUGUGGUUCUACAAUUGCAUGAGAAUGAUUGACCAGUAAGCCCUUGUUAGGCUAUUAUUUAAUUCUUUUUCCUGACUAGACUAAUUGUACCAAUGACUGCAUGCACCUCAACAAAGUUUCACAACUCCCUUGUUUGCUAGUUAUUUUUUAUUAGCUGAAACCCCAAAAUCUUCACCUGACUGUUAUUGUUGGCUUUCAAAACUCAACUAUAUUCAAAAACUACAGUAAUAACUAGUUCAUGACCCUUGAUGCUGAAAAUUCUCUGUAGAAACACUUCAUGUUAACAUGCUAAGUUGAUGUAAAGAUAUUAUAUCUGUUAGACUUACUGUGUUUUCUCAGCUAAUUGUUGAUAUGUCAUUAAGAUGAUUAAAACCUGAAAACUGAGCGACCUCAUUCAAGUGCAUGCAUGCCAAACAGGGAGUAAUUUACCAUCAUCAAGUUAAUGGGAGUUUACAACUUUCUUGUCUAACUCAGUCAAAAUUCUAAGUAAAUGAACACAUAUAAGAACAUACCUUAAUUUUCUUCUGCUGGAGAUGGGUACAAUCACCAAGAGCAUAAACAUAUUCACAUCCCUUUACUCGCAGCCAUUCAUCAGUUGCUAGAACACGUCUACUGCCCUGCAAAAGGAUUAGCAUUGCACUAAAUUGACAUAUAAGAACACCAGUAUAGAACGGACUUACAUUUUUUUUUAUAUCCUCACAUACGCAACCAAACUCAGUUACAAGGUAGCUUGAUACUAGAAAAAGAAAUAACCAAAACAUAGGGAAGAAGUGAGAGCUUACCUGACCAAUUUGUUCCAUAAAGUCUUUCACAACUGGACGACUGCCUAUCUCCAGUUGACCAGACAACCAUCCCAUGCGGCAUGGAAAUAUCUUCUCCAUUUGAUUUCAUUUUCAUGUUUACGAUUCUAUCAGAAACACUGACAACCCUCCGUCCUGUUAAAACUUCAAUACCAUCUCUACUGAAUUUCUGCUCAGCAAACGUGCUAAUUCUUUCAUCAAACCUACAUUAAAUGUAUAUUCACAAAAUCAGCUUUCCAGAUAUUCUGUCAAAUCUAAGAGAUUUCAAAGCAGAGAUAAUGUAUCUUUCCAACUCUCCACAACCAUUUAUUGGCUGUUGUAAAGUUUCUUACAAACUCAAUAAAACCUAAAACUGGUUAUUCUCUUUCCCCACCCACACCAAAGCACGCAAUAAAAAACAGAUGGAAAGACAUGUUAAUAGCAUUGCGCAACUAUUAACAGACAGGAGAUAUGUCACCUAUAAGUUACAUGAACAAAGAUGAAAUGACCAAUAUAACUACACAAGAACAAUUGAAGAGCACCAACCAAAUGACCAAUAUAACUACACAAGAACAAUUGAAGAGCACCAACUAAAUGAACAAGUUGUUUAUAGAUAACUAGCCAGUCAAAUCUACCCCCUUAAACAUCCAGAAUAACUUAUUAGGACAUUCAGAGGAAGUAAAUCAUCAAAGUAGUGCCAUAGAAACAAUAGCACAAGUCACUGGCCAGAAUGAGUAGGUAUCAGGCAAGUUAGGCAGUUAAAAUAUAUCCAACGUAGGUUGCCAACUACUAUAGUAAGUCUACUUGCACAUGAAAGGGAGAAAAUCCACAUCCUUUUCAACAUUUACAGCUUUGAUUUGGAAUUAUGGCAGGGCUUUCGAAGGACAAAGAACAGAUUGCUAAUAGUCAAAGAUUAUUGUUGAGACAUCCACAAGGUGAGUGCAAGGUCACAAUGCUGAGAUAGGAAUGGUGAAACAAAAUUAUUCUAACAGACAGUUUAGAAUCAUUAGGUUGUGAGUCAAAGGCCCAACAUAGCAUCAGGACUGCUCAGUCUAACUUGGAAACUGAAAUGUAGGAAUUUAAACAAACAUAUAUUCUCCAUUACCUUGUUCUCCCAAAGGAAACAAUUUUCAGAAAAGGACUACUACAACAAAAAGGAAGAGGAUAAGGGAGUCAAGAUUUUCAUCAUCAAAUGCAUAAAAAUGCUGUUGCAAUUUUGAGAUAAAUUUGGCAAAUAUAUACAAGUCAGUUGGCACUUGCUAAUCAAUUCUAUGAAUGUUACUGAAGAGUUAUCUCAAGAUAAUCUUGUGAUGAACUAAAUGUUUGAUCUCAUGAACGACGAAGGCUGUGAGACUAAGGAAAACUUAAGCUUGUAAUCAAGAUGAUGAUAUUAAAAAUGUUUAAAGUUUUGUAUAUAUCAUAUACUUGUUUUGAAAUUGUCAAUUAUUGCCUUUUCGUUCAAAAGGGAUAAUCCAACUUCAAAUAGGAUGGAAUAUUCCUGAAGAGUUAAGAGUGUGAUAGUAGUUUAAACAGGACAGAAGGAAAAAUAUAAUAUCUUAUAAUCUAAAAAGAAACUUUUCUUGUACAAAUGCCUGAAAGAAAUAGUAAAUUUAAUCUUCACAUUAAGCAAAAUGAACAUAAUCUGAACAGUGCCUAGGAAGAAAAGUAUGAAACCCAUUUUGAUGCAGUGGCGACAAGGUAGUAUAGAAGGCAAAGACCAAGCAACUAAAGGAAGUUUGCAAUAAAAAAAUCUACUAGCCUAGAAAGUCGAUAACCUAACUAUAAAUCUCGUCUUGUGUGUGCUUAUUUCUGGUGUGCUACUAGAAGUAAAAUUCAAUGCCUACGAAAAACUUUCAGAGUCUUAAAAUCACCAAUUUUUUGUCUACAAAUGAAUCAGAAAAUUAAAAAUCUCUGCAGGAUCACCAUUUCUAAGAGAUCCACGAUUCAGAAGGUUCAGAGCAAAUACGCUAGGAAAUAAACUGGGCAAGGCAUAUCUUACGUGUUGAGAAUAUGGUCCCCAGAUUGGAUCACUGUUAUUUUUACUAAAUCUUUAACUCCGGGGUAUAUAUUGACUAGAUCCUCGAAGACAAAGUCAUGUAGCUCUGCAGCAAACUCUACACCAGUUGGACCUCCACCAACAAUAACAAAAUGUAGAUUGGUUUUUCGUUCUUCAUCUGUCAGCCCUGGAAGAACGGCUUUUUCAAAGCAAUCAAUUACAGUCCUCCGGAUCCUUGAGCAUCUUCUACUUCCUGCAUACAGUUCAUGGCUUCUUUAUUAAAGGAGAACUCAGAAUCUAGAAAUGAGAUUCUUCUAGUGAUAGAAUCAUGAAAUACUGUUCCCAAUAAGCUGUUAACUGACUAAAUUAUGCUUGUCCCCAGUGAACAAGUACUCAACCUUCAAAAAGUGGCAAUACUCUGCUACACCAGGAAUGUUAAAAGUAUUAACUUCUGCACCUACUGCUAUAACCAAACAAUCAUAUUCUAGAUCAAAUUCAUCUUUUCCUGCUAAAUUCUCAUCAACAGUGGACUUGCAGAAAACUCUCCUAUUUGCUGCAUCAAUCUUCAGGCAUUCUGCUUCCCAAAAUAGUAUUUCACCAUUUCUCUGUCAUGAAAGGGAAUUGAUGAAAAAACCAUCAUUAACUCAUCAAUGGGAUACUUAAUUGGAAAUCAGAUAAAGGAAAAGAAAAUUGUUACUGAGUUAUAGGCACAGAGACAAUAAUGUCCUGAUACCAAGUGAAGAAUGAUGUAGCUCAGAAACGGACAAACUAAACAUGUAUAGAAACAAGGGAGAGUGAAAGGGAAACUUUCAGGCAAGAUAAAGACAUAAAAACUUCCAAUUUCCACCAAAACAGCAACCCUAUGGAUAACCUAAAUGUACUGCAUGAAGUUUUCCAAGGAAAAAAGAAAGAUCAACACAAAAGAUACUACCAUCUUUGCAUCACCUUCUUUAUCAUGUUCCGCACAGGCUCCACAAUACUUCGUGCCUCAACUGUUCCACAUGUCACACUAGGCAGCAAAGGAGUAAAUGCAAAAUAAUUCCUCGGGAGACAACUUGCACAUCAUAGGAAGAGAUAUCCAGAUCCUUCAGGAAGCUAGUAGCGGCCCAUCCUGUCCCAAGCACAACUACCCUCUUCUUCUGUGAUUUCUUAUUACCAUGGUCAACAAUGGACAUUUUGCCGUCUGGUUGAGAAUCUGCAUAUGCAAUGAGACCUCCACUACUGCAGAAACCAGUGAAACAUGAGGUUUACUGAUUGAAAAAAGGACCACAAAAACUUGCAGUCCCUAGCACGGUAAAGCAUAAGAAGAAUGAUACACAUGAAAAGAUAAUCCAUUUCCUAUUCCAUUUACUUGUAGCAUUAUAUAAGAAUACAAAUGAAAGCCAACUGGCAUCUGAGGGAACAAGUCCAACUCCACAAGGAAAUCCUUGUGCAUUAGCUACUCACAAUGUAAAAAUGACUACCCUGAACAAAUUAUAGAACCAGAGAGAUAAGUUUGUUAGCCAGAUAUUACUAGACUAACCAGAUUAAAAUUUCUAUUCCUGUCAUAGAUGAGUUAAUAAUGCUCCAUUUGUACCCCAAAUGCAAGCAUGCACAACUCCCCCAAUUCCCAGACCAUAUUUUACCUGAAUAUCUUGAUGUGCACAAGAAAAAUCACCAUGCACAGGAUCAAAUUUAUUAAACACUGGACUCAAAAACCAAAUGAGUGGAAUUCAUGAUUCAAGUUCAUGUAGAAAUUCAACAAACUGUAGCUAUUAAGUCCUUUAAACACUAUCAAUCAUCUAAAGAGAUCAUGGAAACUCCUAAAAAAGCAUGCUAAUCAACUGUCAUGAGUUCAUAAUCCAUCAAGUGAAUGCUUCAAUUUUACUACCAUCUGAUUUGCCCUUAUUUCCUUAUAAAGCGGGGAGAAAAAUUGUCAAACUGAAAGACUUAUGAAUCAUAGAUAUGACUAUUAUUGACAGACUCAAGUAUCAAUCAUCCACAUUACCAGCCAGUGAAACAAUAAGUCUGUCUUUUCUUCAAAUACUCUAGAUCAGAUAACAUAUCAAACAGUAGAACCAUACAAGUUUCUGGUGAGCACUUCUCAGCAAGACAACAUGCUCAAUCUUCCAUUCAAGAAUAAAAGAAAAGAACCCGCCAAUAUCACAAAAUCAACAUGUUUAAGAUGGGAGAUUCAGUCAAACUCUGAAUUCGCAAACUUCUCGACCAAACAAGGCAAUAACACAUCAAACAACCAAGUACACAAAACAAGCAUGUAAAUGAAUUAAACAAAGAUAAAAGAUCCAUUCUUUCCACUAAACAAAAAGAACCCAUCAUAGUUUACCAAUAAAGAUUAACAAAAUGUAACUAAAUUCAAGCCAAGAUCAAGCACAGAACCUUAUAGAGCAGAGAAUCAAUAACUUAGAGGCAUAAGGCCGUCCAUGAAAAGCUCUUUGCAGGUAUGACAGAACCCUCAUCUUCAAAUCUUCUCCACCCUCUUCUUUCUUGGCUGAUCAGAAACGAGUGUGUGUGAAAUGAACAGGAGAGUGGGAAGUCUCUGACCAGUGUUUCUUCCAACUUUGUGUGGAUUUUGCCUUUUCCGUAGCUAAAAGUGCCAGCAAAUUUUUCAAUCAAAUUUUCUACGUAUACUACUACUUUACUACUGUAUAAAAUAAACAGAGUUUGUUUUUCUCUUUUGAAUAAUUUUUAAGGUUUUGAUUUGGAUAUUUGAGUAUUUUAAGGCCUGAGCGUGAGAGAAAUGCCGCGUGGCAAUUAUGGUUAAAACCUCCACUCGGAACGCUCUGACUUGACUUUACGUCUGACCACUGACUAUUCCCCAUUUGGAAUAAGAUCUAAAUAUCUAAUCUCUCUCUCUCUCUCCCCUUGCGGUUGUUUGUUAGCAAUAGAGCGGGGCUGUUGAUGCUGACAAGUCUUCUCCGUUUGGUGUCGUGUAGACCUGAAAUAAAAUUUUAGUAAGAUGGUCACAUUUUUUAUCUUUAAAAAUAAAAGAAUAGUGAUUUCUUAUUUAUAUUUUUGAUCACUCGAACCUCGAACUUGUGACAUAUAAGUUUAUCUGUGAUCCUGAUUAUAGGUAAAAUGAGCGUGUUAUCAAUUAAGUUGCGCUUCGUUAUCAAAUGAUAACACUAAAUAAUCAUUUAUGAUGCUUAAAUAGCAAAAUUUUACUAAGAUAGCAAUGCAUGUCUUAGGAUUUGCUAAUAGGGUCAAAAAUUGAGGAGCUGAAUUAACAUAUUCAAGUAGUAUUAUUCAUGUAUUAUAAUUUACAACUAUUACAUCAUUGAGAACUGAUGGAUUAACGAAAGCUAUGGUUACUGGUUGAUUGUAGUGUUAGAACUCCAUUUCCAUCUCUGCGGUUACUUUUGGCUCUAUAACAUAGUUGUAUCUUCGUUGAGUUGUAUGCAGUUAUUGUAUUUUCUAUAUUAUUCAGGAUAUAAUCACAUUAUAUUAUUGUAUUUCAGAAAGAGUCAAUAUGUAUAAAUAAAAUAUUAUAUAUAUUUUUAUUCAAUAAUAUAAUGUAAUUAUACACCACAAAUUAUAAUAUAUACAAUGAUCGGACAAAACCAGAAACAAUACAGAUGCACCUGUCCCGUCCCCCUGUCUAGAAAAUGUCAUAAGUUUUCUUUUAAAAUCCAAUUGCAUUUAGCCUUGAAAGGAUGAUUAUGUCAUUUUAACAAUCAACUUAAGUGUUAAAAUACUUUUGAGUAAAUUUCAAUCGUUGAAUAAUCUCGAAGGAUGGAGGCGUGGACAUUGGAAAAAUCAUUAGCUAAUUAUUUUCUUAAUCUAAAAAAAAAAAAAAAAAUCAGGUGUACUCUUGGUAUGACUAACCUUCAACCACGUGGCAUGGAACAAACAAAGCUUGUUCAACCAAAUUGAUGUGUGGAGUCAGUUUGUUCAACAUUAACUGUGGCGCAAUCAAAGGGAAAAGAUUGAAAUAAGCAUUUUUAGUAUAGCUAGCUUAUUAUAGGUGAUGAUAUAGACAACGAAGUCAGGAAGUUUUAGAGUUAAUCUUGUAUACACUGACAGUAUAUAUAUUAUUUUCAUUGGAUACAUGACACAUAUAUAAAAUUCAGAUUUUUAAUUUAAAUUCAGGUUAAUUGUCACAGAUUUAGUGAUAAUAAUACAUACAUCGUCAAUGUGUAUAAAAUUAAUUCCCAGUUUUAUAUAGUGUUAUUGAUGUUAGUGUUGGUCCUAAGUUUGUUCCUCGAAAACAAAUUUGUAACAAUUUUAUGUUGUAUUAAUAUGCUUUCUCUAAUUUUUGAAUUUUGUUAGUAUGGACUGAAUUUCCCACCAGAGCUUAGUAGAUUGUUAAAAUAGACAUUUGAACGUGCAAUUCUGACCAGAAAAAAAAAAUUAUUACGGAACCCCUAUUUCGUUUGUUUGUUUAUCGACUCUGAUAAUUCAAUUCUGCUGCCUUCAAUUUUUUUUUUUUUUUUUUUGGUUGCCUUCUUCAAUGCUUAAUACUCCCAUGCAUAAUACCAGCAAGUAUGAAAUGGGUUCUCUUAAACAAUGCCAUUUCAAUGAUAAAGCUGGAAUUAGGUGGACGAUCCUUCUCACUCGUAGUGAUACUACACGCAAAUGAAAGUUUGGGUAGUUUUCGAUCACCAUGAAAGGUCAUAGGAUAGGCUUCUUAAAACUAUGACUCACUUGAAUAUAACAGUUUCUGUAGUAGCAGACAAUUCCUGAUCAAUAUUAACUUUCAGUUAAAUACAAAAACAUUCUAGUAUCAUAUAACAUUUAAGUUUGGAUGAUUUUCAAUUACUACCAAAGAUCAUAGGACAUGCACCUUAAAAUUACAAGUCACUUACAAAUCCUUUUCAAUAACAUAGUUCAUCUUUACUGACUGAAUCAACAGGACCAACCAAGGGCAUAGAUAGUUAUUAGUGACAAAACGUCAUAAACAGUGUAAUAUUUUUUUGAACGAAGUGUGAUUCAGUACAAAUUACUUGUAAAAGUUCAUAACAAAAACGCAAUUAUUAUACAUGAAAUCCAGAUGAAAAGUAAUAGAAUAUCACACCUCUAUCAAAAAGAUGGUCAAGAGCAAUUUACAUAUAAUUGCAAAACGUUUAAAAAAUAUUAUACUGUUCAAGAAUGGUUGAUCUGACAAAUAUCCAUAUCCCGUGCCAUCCGAACCACCAUUGGUGAAUAUGCAUUGGCAUUCAAAUACUAUAUCAGUCAGACCAGUUCACAAACACUGUAGACUCUAUUAGAUCAUGUUCGUUGUCACCUCAGGAUAUCCUCGUCCGCAAGGUGCUAGGAAUACGGCUAUACUAGCGAGAAAGAACAUAUUGUCCGUUUGGAUUCUUGUUUUUUGGCCUGUUUUUGAAAAACUGUUUUUCACAAUCCAAAUGCUACAGUAAAUGUGUAUUUCAAAAACAACUCCAAAAACACCAAUAUCCAAACAAUAUAUCAAAAACAACUCCAAAUACAUAUUUAAUAUGUUUAUUUCAACUUAUAUAUUUCAAUUAUGUAUAGGAUAUAUAUAUAUUAUAUUAAUUUAAAUAUAUUUAUUUAUACAUAUUAUAAAUAUUUUACUUUAUAUAAAAUAUAUUUUUAUAUAUUUAUAUAAAUAAUAUAUAUUAUAUAAAUUAUAAAUAUUAUAAAUAUGUUAUUAUACAUUUAUAUAAAUGUUAUAUAUUAUAUAUAUUUAAUAUAUAAAUAAUAUAUAUUAUAUAUAUUGAACAUUUAUAUAAAUGUACAUUUAAACAUAAUAUAUAUAUUUAUGUAUAUUUAUAAUAUACAUUUAUAUUAUGUAUUAUAUAUAAUAUAAUACAUUUAUACAUUUAUAUUAAUAUACAUAAUAUUAAUUACACAUUUAUACAUAAUAUUAAUAAAUGUAUACAUUUAUAUUUAUUACAUUAAUACAUUUAUACAUAGUAUUAAUAUAUAUUAUAAUAUAUUAAUUUAUACAUUUAUAUAAUAUUCAUUUAUAAUUUAUACACAUUUAUAAUAUACAUUUAUACAUUUACAAAUAUAUUUAUAUUAUGUAUUAUAUAUAAUAUAAUACACUUAUAAUACAUAUAUAUUUAUUUAUAAAUAUAAUAUAUAAUAAAUAAAUAAAUAUAAUACACUUAUUUAUUUAUAUAUAAUAUACUCUCUCCGUUCCUUAUUAGAUGUCCUAAUCCAUUGUUUCUUUUUAUCUGUCAUUUUAUGAUAUCAAGAAAGCAUUUAUGAACUUUUUUCCAAAUUUACCCUUGCUUACCCUUUCAACUUUCUUGAAUUGGAACUCUAAAUAAUUAAAUGACAGGUAGUAUUAAUUAGGUAUAGUUGAAGAGAGAUAAAGGGUAAUUUUGAGAAGUAAAGUAAAACUUUUGUUGACUUUUAGAAAAUAACCAACUUUCUUAAUCUAAGAGAAUUAGUUAUUCAGGCCAUCUAAUAAGGAACGGAGGGAGUAUAAAUUUAUUUAUAAAUAUAAUACACUUACUUAUUUAGAAUAAUAUAUAAAUAUAUUUAUUCAUAAAUAUAUAAAUAUAUUUAUUCAUAAAUAUUUAUAAUUGUAUUAUAAAUGCAUAAAUGUAUAUAAAUAUAAAAACAUAAAAAUUAUAAAUUAUAAAUUAUAAUAUACAUUUAUAUAAUAUUCAUUUAUAAUUUAUAUAUUUAUAGUAAUAUACAUUUAAACAUUUAUAAAUAUAUUUAUAUUAUGUAUUAUAUAUAAUAUAAUACAUUUAUAUAUAAAUAUAUGAAUAUAUUUAUUUAUAAAAGUACAAAUAUAUUUAUUUAUAAAAGUACAAAUAUAUUUAUUUAUAAAUAUUUAAAUAUAUUUAUUUAUAAAUAUUUAAAUAUAUUUAUUUAUAAAUAUUUAAAUAUAUUUAUUUAUAAAUAUUUAAAUAUAUUUAUUUAUAAAUAUUUAAAUAUAUUUAUUUAUAAAUAUUAAUAAAUGUAUUAUAAAUGCAUAGAUGUAUAUAAAUAUAAAAAUAUAAAAAUUAAAAAUUAUAAUUUAUACAUUUAUACAUUUAUAUAAUAUUCAUUUAUAAUUUAUACAUUUAUAAAUAUAUUUAUAUUAUGUAUUAUAUAUAAUAUAAUACAUUUAUAUAUUUUUAUAUAAAUUUAUUUAUUUAUAAAUAUUUAUAAAUGUAUAAUUAUAUAUUGUUAUAAAAAUAUAAAAAUUAUAAAUUAUAAAAAUACUCGAAAAUAUGUUUUAAAAAUACAUCUAAAAAUAAUCCAUAAAACAUCUACAGUAAAAGUUUUUUAUAUAAUUUUUUAAAAACAACCCCAAAAACAACUAAUCCAAAUGGACUUGUAUUUGAAAAACGAAAUGCUACAGUGCUGUUUUUGAAAAACAACCCAAAAAACAGCUAAUCCAAACGGAUUCGAACUUUUAUUUCCAAAUGAUGUAGCUUUUGAUCUAUUUAGACAUAAAUUUAUUAAACAAUGCACUCAGAGUACGUUAUUUAAAAAACACGUUCACAGAUCACGUUUUUUAAAAAUCAUCAAUUUUUAGACUGGUGGCCACUAACAAAGAUCAAUUGCCACGUUAAAGUAGUUUUGCUUUAAAAAAUUCACACCCGUCUAAUUUGAUGAUGGUUCAGUCCUCUCUGAAUUACCCAUAUACCUCCUUAGAUCUGCCCCCUUCCCUUAAUAUAAGAUAGAUUAAAUUAUACAAUAGUUAUUAUUUUUGGAAGAAAAAAAAGAUCACGUUUUCUUAAAACCUUCCCAGUUUGGGAACAAGUUUCAAAAAGUUGCAUCAUUUGGAAAUUUUCUCAAAUACAGUCCCUUAUUUUGAGUUAAUUCCAACUGUGUAUGAUCUUAUAAAAGAAAUUGUCAGAGUGAUUUUCAAACAUCUUUUAAAAGGGUGAAAAACAUAUUUACUAAAUGUCAUGUAUCUUCAAAAGUUGCAUUCACAAAAUGCAUUAUGUCAAAAGUCGAAUAACUCGUAUCAAAAAGCACCACCAUUGGAAAUUUACUCCUUAUUCCUUGCAAAAGCAAAUUUGCAAUACAAUGAAAAAAUAAACCUAAGCACAUUAAACAACCCCUAUUAUCAUGUAAACAAAAUAUCCCCCUUUUUCCUUACAAAAAAUUACUAACAUGCAGAAAGCCAACUACCUAGGGGUAAAGAGUAAUUGAAUGCUUAGAUUGAUUUUGUUUUUUUUUAUUUUUUUUUAUAAAAGGAAUGCUUAGAUUGACAAUGAAAUUCCAUUAAGAGAGGCACAGUUAUAACCUAAAAGAAGUUCACACUUCACACAACAGAGUUCUACUUCUACCACAGGGCAAAGUCGACCAUACCAUACUUUAACAAUACAAAAAUCACCUGCCAUUUAAGCGCUCACUAUUAGCAAAUACCAAUUAUUACGGUUGGAGAGAAUCCAUUUAAAACUUUUUUGAGUCAUUCCUUAACUUACGGUAUUACCAAUAGCAUGCCCAAAAUACCCUUUUUGGCACUACAGAGUUUGCCCAAAGAACAUAGCUAGUAUAUUGCAUCUUGGUCAUGAUCCAGGUAAUACAGCGAUUUGACUGUAGAAUAAGAUCACUGUUUGUCUAAUCAUUUCAUCUGAAAGCCCAGUGGCAUCUAUACUACAACAGCAAAUCACAAUACAAUUGGCAAGAAUUCACAUCUUCGCACUUUAUAUUUACAUCGGAAGAAAGUAAACUGGUACUCCCAACUUCCCAAAGAGAUCUGACGCCCAUUUCAUGCUGUUGAAUGCUGACUUCAACUACCUUUACAACUGGAUUGUCAUAUUUCAAAAAUGGUGCAUCUGAGAUCAACAAGCUGCACAUUACAUAUCAUAAUUUGAGAUGGAAAGAGAUGAAAAGUAUUGUCCUCCAUAAUCCGAAUGUAGUGCUGUGAUUUAACUCCACCCUCAUGGAGUAUUAGAGAGGCAAAGCUGAUAAACAACACUCCUUUCUUUUUGAGUUUUUCUGUUACAAUCACCUUUAGUUAAAAAGCGUGAGUGUAUAGCUUAAACUCAAUCAGUGGAAAGAAGAGCCAAUCAAUUUUUUUUGCAACUUCCAACCCUCGCGCCAAAAGCUCAACAAGGUUGUGCCUCAGUAUUACGAAUCGGCACUAGGAUUCUCCAACAUGAGACCAAGCUUAUGGCAUGAGGCACGUAAUAACUCAAAACCAUCUGAAUGCGUCAAUUGCCAUGACUGGCUCAUAAUGCCAGUGUAGGACUUCUUAUACAAAGACUGUUACUAUUCAUUAUGCCACUCAGUCAUCACAGAGCUGUGUUAUUACUAACUUCUGCUUCAGAAAACCUUGCUGAAAUUAGAAAAUUUUCCAGGAUCUCAAUGACUUAGAUCCACAACUAAAAAUUGAUUAUCAUGUUACAACCUCAGGAAAAAUCCAAUAAUUUCACGCUCUGAUGUAAUCACUAAGCAGGUUCUCCCUUAAAGCAGGGAAUUGAGGAACCACACCUCAAAUAAGCCAUCCUUGACUCAGCUUUACAGAUUAAAUAGACAAGUUUUUCAUUCAUCCUAGAUAUUAGUCCAAGCACAUCCAAAAGAAGGAAAUAAAUUCCAAGCAACCAAGCAAUUAAGAUAGAUCACUGGUAACCAAAACAAACAUGCUGGAUAAGAUUCUGGCACAAGACGUGGAAUUUUGAACCAAAUUUAGUGUUGUUAUUUAACUCCAAUCUCGUCAGCAUUCAAGAGAAAGAAGCUGAUGGCAACACAUACUUCUCUGAGUUUUUCAGACCCUAAACCCACAGCAGAUUUAGUCGGGUAAGAGUAUAGUUAAACUCAAUCAUACUAAAUAACAAUCCACGUUUUCAUUUGUAUGCAAACCAUAGUAACAUCAGCCAAAAAAUCUGUCAAGGGACAAGACAAAUCACCAAACUAUUGUAAAAAUACAAGUGCAUGUUCUUUUACUCAUUACUAAACAAACAUGGCAUCAUAUUCAUUGACAACCAUAAUAACAACAUUUUCACAGAUUUCAUCAGAACAAUUUUUCUUUUCCUGUGCUAUUAAAAAUCAAAGACAAGAAGAAAAAAAGAAGAUUUCUGCCUCAGUUAAAUCCCGUAUGAUCAUGUGCAAUGUAGCUUCACCAAGUAGGUUCUCUCUGCAAAAGCAGAGACUUGGCUCCACUACACCUCAUAUAGGUGGAUUAUAUCAUCAUGGCAUUUGAAAUACAAAAGAUCAAUCAUAAUUACAAAAAUACGUUCAAUGAAAGCGAAUGAAAUAAAAAAAUUCAAAUCAACAGCUAUAGUCUCAGAUUUAUCCCUUAUAAAAUAGUAAUAUCAUGUAUUGGUGCAAUUACUACACCUCAAAUACUAUCCAGCAACAUUUUCACAGAUUUCAUCAGAACAACUUUUUCUUAUUUCCUGUACUAUUAAAAAUCAAAGACGCAGAAAAAAAGACCAGAUUUCUGCCUCAGUUAAAUCCCGUAUGAUCAUGUGCAAUGUAGCUUCACCAAGUAGGUUCUCUCUGCAAAAGCAGAGACUUGGCUCCACUACACCUCAUAUAGGUGGAUUAUAUCAUCACAGCAUUUUUGAAAUACAAAAGAUCAAUCAUAAUUACAAAGAAUACGUUCAACAAAAAUGAAUGAAAUAAAAAAUUCAAAUCAACGGCUACAGUCUCAGAUAAAUCCCUUAUAAACACAGUAAUAUCAUGUUCUGGUGUAAUUGCUACACCUCAAAUACUAUCCAGCUUAUACUAACUUAUCUUCAUUGACUGCUAAACCAUUUCCACUAUUAAAAAUGCAUAAAUAAUUUGAUUAUCAGAAUUAUUAUUAUAAAAAAUCAAUAAACGAUAAGUAAUUGCAAAAAUGAAAAGGGCUCAGAGGAAUGUUACAGCUCUAUCAAUCAAGAAUUUUCUGAAGCAGAACUGGCAUUAUAAGCUGAAUUUUCAUCAUCCUCGCCGAAAUUAACACAAGAAUAUGUUAUGCAUCUUAAAAAUAAUGAAUAUCUCAACAGAAUAACACAAAAGAUAGUAAUUUUUUGAUUUGGCUCAUAUCAAGAAAUUCAACCAUUUUUUAAAAUUUUGCAUCAGAGAAAUGCUCUCAGAAGCGCGGAUAAAUCCAAUUUAAUCAUCGCCAAAGAAAAACAAUUUUCAAAAUUAAAGCUAAAUUUGAAGACAAUUUAGCGGAUGUUCUUAGAAGUAAAACAACAAGAUUGAAUUUUCCCCACGUUGACACCGCCGGUAAAUUUUCAUAUUUGCCUCCUUGACUAGACCUUUUUUCAUUUAUGUAAAAUCAGAAAAAAAGCUAAAGGUGUUGAGGCAAGUCAUUCGAAAUUGAUAAAAAACAAUCAGAUGAAGGCUAAUCAAAAUAUAGCCGUUACUUUGACACAGAUUCAGCCCUGGGAUGAAAUUAGGUACAUGAGGCUGAACUGCAACACUGAACGGCGACGUUUUAGCACGAGCUUUGGGGCAAUCUUCUUCAUUUAAUAUAGAUUCGGAGCAGCCCGGGAGGCUACGUGCAAUUCUAUCAAUUUCUGAGAUUGAAAAAAAAACCACAAAAAAGAGAAACUCGGUGUGUGUUCUGUGUGUGAGAGUUGGAGGAAGAAUGGUGGGGCGGAUUGAAUGAAGGGGAAAAUUUCGGGUUUUAUAGAAGAGAGAAGAGGAGAAUGCUUUGGAACCCUAACCCCUAAAAUCAGGGUUUUAUAGACAGCAUUGGGUUUUGUUUGGAUCAAACCCAUCAAAUCAACCCAUUGGGCUCAGGGGUUUAUUUUAUGGGAGUGGCAUUCUUUUUUUUCUUUUUUUUUUUUGUGAUCUGUUACGUAAAAAUUCUUCAAGAAUUUCUUCUAUAAUUAACUUGCAAUAACUCUAUACAAGAAUUUCUUUCGUAGGUCUAAUUAAGGUAGGCUAUAAUUUUGAAAGGAAAAAGAGCGUAAAUGAGAGAUUUGAAUUUGAAACCUCCCACUUACAUAAAAAAAAUUGAUAAGUUAUAAUUUGUAGAAUAUAACAAUGCACACUUAAAAUUUAGCAUUUAUUAGGAUAAAUUUCUGAACACUAUUAUUAUAAAAGUUUUGCUUUAUUUAAAAUUUUUUUAAAAAAUUUCUGAACACUAUUACAAUUUACAUGAUUUUUAUUCGAAAUUAAAUUACUCUUUUCGCCAUGUGGUAAAAAUUUACGCCAAGUGUAAAAGAAUUCAAUAUUUGGUACCAUUUCCCUUGGGUUUUAUUCACCAAGUUUUGUUUGGACAAAAACCAGUUCUAACAGCGCAAGAAUUUAGCAAUGUAAAUACCAGAGGCCGAGAUUUAAAGAAGAAUUGAGGGCAACCACUUUUGACUGUCAAACCAUAUGACAUCUUCUAAAGUUGUGAAUUUAGUGAACUGCUGUGGUAGAAUAUAGGAAACAAGUUACAAAAGUCAUCAACUUCUAUAAUAUCAAGUGCUACAUUUUAUUAGGCUCCAAUUAAAUUUUUUUUAUGAUUUCAUUCUCUUCAGAAAUUGGCUCUUCAGGAGCAACCUCUUCAAGAGGUUGAAUUUUGUCAUGACAUUUAAUUUCCGGAGAUAUUUGAAAUCAAUUUAUACCUUAUUUAGAUAGGCCGGCCUUAAAUUUAUUUGUAGCACUUGUGCAUGUCCUUCAGGGACAUCAAUUAUAAUCAAGGUAUUUCCUGCAGGAAUAGUUGAUUUAAUAACUCUUCUGGAGUCGAUAAUAUAUCUGACAACUGGUUUGCAAUUUUCUGCAAAUGAAUAAUUUCUUGAACUUCCAGUUCACGUUAUUUUGUAUGAGGAUCGAGGAAAUCCAAUUUUUCAGGUGAUUUCCUUUCGGUUGAUUUCUUCCUCCCCCUAAUGUCGGGAAUGAUAACUCAUCAGAAUAAAUAAAUCAUUUAAUAGAUCAUUCAUCAAAUAUUUUACGAUAUUUAAUCGUAAAAAGUGAUUCAUACCCGACAUAAAUUCUAAAUUUCUUUUGGAGCCAUAUAUAAUAUAAAGGGGGUAUGUAUAAAUACUUGUCGGCUCUCAAAUAUUCUCACUUUUGUCAAAUCAUAUAUCCAUUGGGAUCAGUAAACUUCUGAUUUGCUGCAAUUGAUGAUUAUAAAUCAAAAUGAGAAUGAAGACAACUAUAUCGAUAACCAUUUCUCUCUUGAAUGGUUAUUAUAAUAUAAUUAACCUUUAUCUCACUUGAUUUCUAAAUAUGAUUUUUAUUAUUGUCUCAUUUAAUGUCUCAAUUUGAUAUCCAUUUCAAUGGAUAUUCAAAUUCAAUAAAUUUUUCGAGACAUGGUAAAAAGUAGUACUUUAUUCAUGAUAAACUUUUCUCCUACAGGGAGAAAUAUAGUAGUGGCUCUUCUGGAGGUUUCAAUCACUUAAGCACUACCACUAAUUGUGUUUGUCUCUUUUGUUGGAAUAUAGUUUAUAUAGUAGCACUUAUUAAUGAGACGCAUAUCAUUAUCACCAUAAUUCUUAUGGGAGAAAUAUCAUCACCAUAAUCCUUUGAUUCCAAAUAUUUAACAUCCAUUUCUUCUUCAGGAAGAAAGGUCAAUUACUAUCAUAAAUUAAAUCAAGCAUCAUACACCUUCAGAGUGUUUAAAGAAAUUGGCCAUGUGAAGAUGCUAUUAUAAUUUUGAUUCGUCAAAUGUACUUCGGGACAAUUAUCUUCAGAACCUUUAUUUUCUUGUCCUUAUCAUUAUUAUCCCACUUCAAGUGGUAACUUUUUCUCUUGUCAUGGUAAAAUAUAUAUUUACCAAAAUCAUAGUCAUAGCAUCAACCAUAACUAGUAAAUUGAAAUUUAGUCGCAUUCACUUCUGGGAAUGGACUAGAACUAGUAUGCAAUAAGUACAAAAUACUUCUCAAAUUUUCUUUCAAUAUUGCUACUACAAGAGCAUAUUUGAGAAAUGUGUAGAGAAUAUUAUUUUCAACUAAGAAAUAAUUCUAAACAUAGCAGAAUUAUGUUCUUGUAGCCAUAGGUAAAUUUAUCAUACCAGACUUUUGAAAUAAUGACCAUCUUCUGGUGGCCAAAUCUUUUUGUUAAAGAACAAUCAUCUUCAGGUGAUCGAAUCUUUUUCUUUAAAUAUUUCAAAGGACAAGUAGAUCCUCAAAUAUAAUUGAUUUUCUAUAAUAGCAUCUCCAAAAUUCAUUGCAUCAGAAUAUAAGUAUUUAUAACAAAUAAUUAUAAAGAUAAAUAAGUAGAAUUAAAAGGAGAAAUAUUACCUCAAAGAUGUCAAACAAUAUAUGUUUUUGUUUAGUGGUUGCUCAACAGUAGGUACUUGUAUUUUGCGAUAAUUCAAAUAUUAGCCAUAAGAAAUUGAAAUAAAUUUAUGUGUCAAAAAUUUACCUCAAUAAGUAGACAGAAGUUGCCGAAAAAAUACGGACAAAAUCUCUUGUUUCACUUUUACUCAAGGUAGAGGCUCCGUUUUCACCUUUUGCUCAAAAGUAGAAACUCGUGCUGAUAACGUGUUGUAAAACUAAUAAACAACUAUAGUAUGAAUAGAGAUAUUAGAGGAAAAGUAGAGCAAUGGAGAAUGAUAUUCUUAUGAUUCCAACUAAUACAAAAGGUCAUCUCAAAGGGUGUCAAUGUACCUCUAUAUAUAGGUACUACAAGAUUAAAGGUACAUCAAUUCUAUUAAACACCCACUACUACAAGAAUAUGAAGAAACCUAUGAAACGGUUUCUCCACUAUAUGAAUAGAUUUAUGGAUUGUAACUUCUAUACAUAAUGUAAUCAUAAAUCAUGAAUUAAUCCUCUUGGGAAUACAAAGGGACAUCCAUACUUUUAAUUGUUUCAUAACAUGAAACAUAUUGUCUAUGUUAACGCUUUGAAUGUAAGAAAGUAUCCUUAAAUAUUUAACCUAAAACCAUUCAAAAAACGUAUAGAUUACAAUCAUUAAUUCAAAAUAAUAUGUAGAUAAUUGUUCAUCAUAUAUAUAUAUAUAUAUAAUAAUAAUAAUAAAGUCGUAUCUUCAUUCUUAUCGUUUCAUGUUUUCUCUUUUCUACGUGGCUUAACGAGACGGCAAGUAGUUUCCUACGUGACUUGCUCCUUUUUUGUUUAGAUGUAUAUCAAUUCUUAUUUCCUAUAAGACGUUUUAAAUUUCAAAAGAAUUGUUAUCAUUACAAGAAAUAGAAAAGUAACUAAUUUCAAAAUGAACUAUUAAUAACAGAAGUCAAUAUCUGGUGUUGGAAAUAGGAUUCUUAAUAGGAUUCUCAUUCUGAAUGCAUUAAUUAAUUUUAUUUCAUUUAAAAUAAAUAUUGCUACAGACAUUGAGAUAAAUACAUUAAGUUGCUUAGACUUCCUUUUUGUGAAAUAUCCAAUUUAUUUUAGUGCUAAAAGAUCAAAAUGCAUAGUAUAAUUGUGUUUAGAUGCAUUUUACAACUAUUAAAAAAAUAGAUAUUUAUUAUGUUACAAUUAUUAGGUGUGUUUAAGAAUUAUAUAUGAAUAUUUUGAUCAUAAAAUAUAUAACUUCAUCUUAAUACCGGCAAAAAAUUGACUACUAGAGGUAUAAAAGUGUCACAAGGACUUACAUUCGAGGGUGCAAGUGUAAUUAAUCCAAAAAGAUAAUGCUUAUUACCAUUGGCCGAGGUAAAAGGUCACUACAUAAGAUGCUAAUAUACUGCUUUACUCAAGACAUAGUGCAUAGCAUGAAAUUUAUGUAAAAUCUGUCAUGAUAACGCACUUUUAUUUCCUAUAAGAAUUCUUAAUAUUAUAGGAUUCUUAUUUUCUACCCAAAGUUACGUAUUUCAAGAUAAACCUACUUUUAAUGUUAUUAGCAAUAUCUUUUUAUAUCCUUAUCAAUUCUUAUUUCUUAUGCUUACACUUAGAGGUGUCAAAAUGGGCGAUUUGGACGGGUUUGAAUUGGGUAAAAUGGGUAAUGGAUAUAAGCGAGUCAAUCCAUUUAUAUCCAUUUAAUUAGAUGGGUAUAAAUGGGUAAGUCAAAAAAUGAAUUGGGUAACCUAAUUACCCAUUUAUAACCCAUUUAUUUUAACUUUUGUAAACUCAUUUAAAUUCAUUUUUGCAAACUAAAUUAUCAAUUAAUACCGUCCUUUGCACCCAUCAUUAGUUUUAAAUAUUUACUUAUAAUGUUCAAUAAGCCUAAUUAUCAAUUUUUUCCCUAUCCGUACUUUAUGUUACAAAAUUACAUGCUAUUUAAUAAUUGAAUAAUAAGAAUAUAAAAAUUUGAACUAAGUACUAUAAAAGUUAACAUAAAAACUUAAUCCAAAAAUUUUGAAUUCCUAACACUUUUUUCAUGUAUAAAUUUAAAAUUUCAUUUUGGAAGGAUAAGAAAAGAGGUUAAAACUUAUCAUAAAUUGGUAAUGCUGAAAAAGGAGCAAGUUAACAAACAAAGAGAAAAUAAAAUAAUAAAAUAAAACCAACAAAUAACAAUAAUAAUGAAACAAAAGUAGUUAACAUCGUGACAAAAUGCAAAAUCUGAAAAAAAAAUGUGUGGGGGAAGAGAGGAGAUUUGGGGAAAGACAAUUUUAAAUGGGUUAAUUGGAUUUGAUGGGUUACCCAAUAAUACCCAUUUAUUAAAUGGGUAUUAUUGGGUAACCCAUUUAUACCCAUAUACAAAAAUUUAAGAUACCCAUACCCAUCUAUUCAUGAGCGGGUAUGGGUAAAUUUAAUUAAAUGGGUUGAUUUGCCACCUAUACCUACACUACAUAUAGCCUCUAAUAUAUUGAUUUCAAGCAUCAAAUUUAUGGUUAGGUAUUUCCAGUGCAAGCAGUUGGCAUAUUAAAGCAUCGAUUUUGGGUUUCCACUCUUCUUGAUUAUCAGGUACAUUUUCUUUCAAUACAUUUUUUUUUAAAAAAGGCAAGUUGAUCUUCAAUUGUAAAAGUUUAUUAACAUAUCUUGAAUUUUGUUUUUUUUUUCUAUUUGUUUUGUAUGAAGACAUAGGAUUAGUAACAUAUCUUGAAUUUUGUUUUUUUUUUGUUUUUAUUUUCUGUUUGUUUUGUAUGAAGACAUAGGAUUUAAACAAGUACUUUCAGCAUUAUUUUUGUACGAUUUUUGCUAACAUGUUUGUUAAUUGAAUUUGGUGAUCAAAUACGUAUUAAGUAAUUCAAACAAUUAGAGUUAUUUGAAUGGAUUUUAAAUGCUUCAUCAGAUUCCUCAAUCCAAGCAUAAGAGUUGAUAUUGAAAUGCUAGAAAUUUAACCUUGGGCGGUCACCUUAGGCUUAGAUAAACAGGUAUACUCUAUAUACCGGUGACGUACUUGCGUUUAGAAUAAUCACAAAGAAUUCCAGCGCUAAUCUCCUUUACCUGAAUUCCACUGUUUCUUUUCCUUUUUGUUCCCUUAGACUGAUUUACAGUUCGAUAGCUUAAUCUCUUUGCAUAAUUUACUGAUUAUAUCCCACGAUGUUGAAACUCCGUAUUAAGUGUGGGGAUAAUCUGGCUGCAAAGAAAGAAUCUAAUACGUUAUUAAACAAAGCCCAGUCGGCAAACUUGACAGGUUUUCAUGAUAAAUUUGUGUGAUGUGAUUAGAUCAACAAUGAAACCGUUUUUUGUAAGUAUUCUCAAAAAACAAAUAGUAAUAAUGCUACUAAUCACGUUGUGAAGUUACAGGAUGAACAGCUAAUACGCUAAUGUUCGAAAUCAUGAAUUUUUUUUCCCAAAAGAAAAGCUAAAUUUAGGCAUUAUUAUUUCUGGAAUACUAAGUAAAGUAUGUCAUUGGAGUACUCUUGCUUUGGUUCAAGUUCAUUGUUGUGCAGCUAAAUUGCCUUGAACUAAAUAAAAUAGCCAUCGUAUUUGAAUAGAGAAAAUGAUUUGUAACCUUUGAUUUGUACUCGUGGGUAUUGUGUAUGAUUGAAAUUGCAAUCUUUGGAAGCUACGAGUCUUGCUUCCAAUUAUAUGGGAUCGUGUAUUGUUACACGGUCAGCAAUCUUGCCAGCUAUACAUAUGCGUAUGCUGUAUUGGCUUUGGGUUAUCUUGGCGUGUAGAUUUCACCCGAGGAAAUGAGAUAUUUACUGAACAAACUAGAAUUCAAGAAGUUUAAUUCUAUCUAACUCAAAUCGAUUUACGUAAUUUUUAUUGCACUUGGGAUUUGGCAUAAAUCUAGAUAAUUUUGGUAUAAACCAUCAAAUUAGGCGUACGAAUUGAUAAAUUCAAAUUUAUAUCUAACUACACGAAUUUAUAUCAAAAGUUGUAAAAAUUAUACGAUACGAACCUAUUUGAAUCGGACAGAACAGAAUCUAGGAGAUCCCCGAUCUUUUCUUUUCUUUUCCUUCUACAGUCAGAAAAAUGAAUGUAUGGUGAAUUCAGGUACAUCUUCUUUCCACUGCGUCUGCAUUCCUUCCAGUUUGUACAGGCAGGCUCUUCUAGAAUUGGACAUCUAAAUUCAUUCAUAUGCAACAAAGUUUUUUUAUCUUGUCUUAAUAAUCAAAAGUACGUUAUGCUUACUUUUUCCAUCAAAUAAUUUAUUAUUAUAUGCUAAAUUAUUUUAAUUAUUUAUUAAAAUUUUUUAUUAUAUGCUAAAUUAUGUUACUUAUACAAAUUAGGACAUGUACAAUGAAUAUAACUUCUAAAUUUAGAUUCUUAUUUUUGUUGAUGUAAUUAUAUGUUUACAAAAAUUAAGUUUCUACCAUAUAUUAAAAUGCAAUCAAAUAUCAAAUAUAUGUAUAUCUAUAUAUAUGUGUGUGCAUGAAUGUGUGCGCAUCAAAUUCAUGGUUAGGUAUUUCCAGUGCAAGCGGUUGGCACAUUAAAGCAUCGAUUUUGGGUUUCCACUCUUAAUUAUCAAGUACAUCUUCUUUCAAUACAUAUUUUUUUUUAAAAAGGCAUGUUGAUCUUCAAUUGUAAGAGGUUAGUAACAUAUCUGAAAUUUUUUUGUUUUAUUUUUUGUUUGUUUUGUAUGAAGACGUAGGAAUUGAUUUAACAUGCAUGUUUUCAGUCCCAAAAUGUAAUUGAUUGAAUGUUAUAUAUUUUAAUUGGUUCAAUGACCACUUUGGGUAAAAUAAAUUUUUUACUGUCCCAAGUAGAUAACUCUAAAUAAUUGAGUGAUAAAAUUAUGCCACCUGCUCUUUGUAAGCAAAACAUGACAAAACGAGCAAGUUCCAGAAAAAUUGUCAAAUGAAAUUUCCAUCGAAUUUCUUUAAUUGGUCACAUGCAUCGAAUCAGAAAUAAGUUUUAAGGGAAUUACACAUGCAGUCAUGCACGCAUCAGUAUAUUGAAAUGGGUGCACCCAUUCUGUGGAUAGCCUUGGAGUCUUUCUUUUGACUCAUUAAUGCAUGAUAAUUUAUUACGACUUUAUUAUACCGAAAUAAAGUAAUGAUGUGCUAUAUACAGUUGUCAAUAGUCUUACAAAACAAGGACUGGCUACGUAUAUAGUCUAUUUGCAUUUCCCUACAACGAGUCAAUCAUAUUUAUCCUCCAUAGUUUUGAAAAUUUAUUUUGGUUCCUUUUGCGAAACUUAUGUAUGUUGGUGUUCAAGGGUCAACGCAACAAGAUUUUCAUGGGCAUAAUAUAUAGUCAACUAACUCUACAAAUACAAUUUACUAUAAAAUUAUUACCCACUUUAAUACACCAAAUAUCAUAAAAAGUGUGGCUAAUUAAAUGUACAAUAUUUUAUUUUAGCUCAAAUUAACAUUAUUGUAUCAUUGCACAUUUAUAGUUACACUUAAUUUAUUUAAUGGUAUUUAUGUAGGAAUCAUGAAUCAAUCACGAGUUUUUAAAAUUUCAUUCAAGACACUAUUGAAUGAAAUAUUGGAUUCAUACAAUAUACCAUUACCAGAGUGGACCUACGAGAAUAAUGCCAACAAGGCAUGGAAAGCACUGAUAUCUUUAUUAAAUGUUUGUUUAAUAUUUUCAUAUAAAUUGUGCCAACAAGGCAUGGAAAGCACUGAUAUCUUUAUUAAAUGUUUGUUUAAUAUUUUCAUAUAAAUUGUUUAUAAGUAAUUAAGAUAAGAUUGUUAUUAGGAUUGAUAGCACUGCUCCUCAAACUAUUGAGGUUUUACAUCCUUAAAAAACGUGAGAAGUUAUACAGCAACUAAUGUUCAAGAAUCGAAAAUUAUUAUCAGAAAUAUAUCAAAUAAUGGCCGGUGUUCAAACAAAGGUACAAUUAAAGUUACAAGUUACAAUUAUAGCACAUUAGUUUUCACAAUUAAAAAUAUUUAUUAUUUAAAUUGACUGCUUAGAUCUUUUCAUUUCUCUAGGAAUUGGUUUACCCUUCCAAAGUGACGAUUCUGAAGGUUGAUUUCAAUAGUCAACUGUACUACAAAAUAUGUCCCAAAUGUUAGAGAAAAGUGACAUUAGAAGGAUCUAAUUUUGUGUGCAAUGCUUGCAAUCAAAAUGUGGAGUAUCCUAAAUUGAGGUAUGUCGUAGGUGUUAACCUUUUUAUCAUUUUAAUUGUUACAAUAUCUACAUAAACAUAACUUUUAGAAUGUGUAUUUAUACAUAUAUAUGUUAAAAGUCUUGGCAAGUGAUGCAAUCGGUAGUGCUUGGUUUAUUAUAUUUGAUCAAGAAGCUGAAAGAAUAAUGGAACACAAACUUUCUUUUGUGCUUGAAGAAUUUAACAAGGUAAACUUAUAUCUAAUGUUUAAAAAUAUUUUUAAUAAUAGUAGACAAUUCGACACUUAUCUAAGCCGUUGAAUAUUCUAACAAAAAAAAAAUCUAUUAUGCAUUUCAUUUUCAGGAAGGAUUUAGCAAUGAAAUCGUGUCAUCAAUUAUAAAUACGAUCACGUGGAAAUCUUUUGUGUUCCAAAUCAAGUUGAACAAUUAUAAUUUGGAACAAGGUAGUAAUAAAUUUAUAGUGACUAGAUGGUUCCACUGUGAUUUCGAGAGGGAAACGCAUUUCAUGCUUUCACGGUAAUGUGCAAUAAAUUUCUCUUAUAUUUCACAUAUUAUAUCUCACAUAAUAUUUUUGUCUUUAAUUUUGAUAAAUCAUUAUCAAAUUGGUGGAACCGACAACCAAUACCAACCUGAAGCAUUUUCUUCCCAGAUCCCAAUUAGUAUAACAGAUGAUUCUAAUCAAUAACAUUUCAAUACACUUCAUAUGAAUCAUUCAUCAGAGGGUUCAACAAAAAUCACAGAAGAAGGGAAUCCUCAUAAAAAGAUUUGCAUGAGAAGGUAGAUUUAAUAUAGUAUUUUACUUUCUUAAAUUAUAAUCUUUACAUAUUGUUAUACACAAUCUUGAAUGCGAUAAGUCAUUUUUUUCCAGUACUUAGUUAUCCUACUUUGCUAUCAUGCAGCGAUAAUGGAAAAUCAAUAAAUGCUGAUUUGCAUGAACAGAUCGAGGAGAAUGUUCAAACAAAAGAAAAACAAAAAAAAGUUUCUGAAGAAUAGAUUAUUAUUUGAUACUAUUUACUGUACUUUUUAUUUAUUUUCAAGUUUUUGAAUGUUAUGAUAUUGUUGAAUGCCAUUUUUUCUAUUUUUGAAUUAUUAUUCACUGAAUUAGAUGUUCAAAUUUAUAUUAUAAGAAUACUUUAUAUUACAAUGCGCACAUAGUAACAUACUUAAGACAAGUUAUAAUAGAUUAUACAUUAAAUUUGUAUUUUAUAUCGAUAUUUUUAUAAAAUUAACUAAAUAGUUUAUUAUUUUUCGAUGAUUCCCGUUCAACGAACGGGUACAAAACUAAUUAAUUAAUUAAUUAAGAGAAUUUUUAACAUAGAUGUGAUACCAAAUUAAGUUGAGGGUUAAGAUCGAUAUCAGAAAAAGGUUGAAAGAGAUGGUAAAUUGCGAUUUUUGAUGAAAUUAAUUUUUGUUAUCUCUUAUUACUAGGUUGGAGGAGUUUUAAUCGAAGUGUAAUUGCUAAUUGGAGGAGUAUUAAUUGGAGUGGUAAGGUAUGUGAAGAGAGGAGUGUUAGUUGGAGUAGAAUUCUUGUUUGAUGGAAACAUGAUUAUGUGUUUCAAACGUGGACAUGAUAUAUUUUAUGAAAUAAAUUAAACGUGAAAUGCUAGAAAAAUGGAAUGAGAGUGGAAAGAUGUGUGGAGGCUUAUUGCUAAAAAUCCUUUCUCAAAUUUAUAUAAAUAUAGAUUUUUAAUUAAUCUUACCUUUUCCAAAAUCUAAUAUCUAAAGUAAAUUUUAACGAGCAUUCAUUGUGCACCCAUUAAUUAGACAUACUGUACUAAAGAAGGAGAAGUAACAAAACCAAGCUAAUCUCUCCUUAUCGAAUCGUACUAAUUAUGUGCUUAAAUGAGCUUAUUUUAUACCAUAUUUUACGUCAAUUCAUGACAAUUGUAACUAUGUAUUGUAGUCGGUACAUAAGGAGCAUUGGACUUACAAAAUUUGAUACUUCCACCUAAUUAGAGUUUUUUGUGCCGAGUGAUGUGAUAACAUGGGCUAAAUUCACACCUUUCAUUCCAAAUCCACACCCACUCAUUGACGACUUGUCAUAUGAUAUGAUAAAAGAAAAAAUAAAAGAAUUCAGUGAUAACUUGUACAAUUAAUAUAAAAACUUGUACACAGUGUAGAUUGGAUGAACGAGUAUAUAUCGAGCCUUUCUCUUUCAAUUAUCUGAUAAUUCAAGAUUUGGUCUCGUAAGUUGAGUUCUUUCUGGUUUAAUUUGAUUGAUGUAACUUUUAUAAUUUUUCGUGUAAACUCAAAUAAUUUAAGUAUAAAUUUGAAUUUGUCAACUCGUACAAUUAAGUUGGUGUAAAUUUCACAAUUAUACCAAAACUAUAUGAAUUUACGCCAAAUGUGGUACGAAUUAUCCGACUCAAUCAAUUUGAAUUGGACAUAACUCAACUUAUUCUGAAAUCCAUAAUUUGGAAACAAUAUGACCCUAACAUGAAUAACAUAAUUCGUCUUCACACCAUGGCCAUCAGUAUCCUCCCAAAAACUGGAAACUAAGGAAUCCUUAGACAUGCACCACUUCUAGUUCUAGCCCAAGAUUCCUCGAAGUAUGACUUCUGUGGUUUCUUCCCAUAGUAUCAACGAUUCCACACAAGAAUCUCGCGGCUCAUGUAUAUAAACGGUCCUGCGAAUCCUGCAAUAGUCCAACACGUCUCUCCAUUCAUUCAUAUCACACAAGGUUUGCUCAAUUCCCCCUCAAUUUCUCCUCUCCCUUAUUUCCCCUGCUGCGCCAAAGGGUACCGUCGGACUGAUCUUUUAGUUUCUUUUACUCUCUCAAUUUUGGGUUUUGAGUGUAUAUGAUGACUCUUCUUGUUGAACGAUGAGAUAGCAUGAAAUUCUUGCGUCAAAGUUUUAUUUUGGUUUGUUGCUUUUUCUUAUCCUAAUUCCAUGCUGGAUUGAAUAAAAACAGAAUAAGGGUAGCGUUUUUCUUCACCAUUAGCUCCAAAAUAACUGAAGAGUUCAAUUGUUUUUCCAUCUUUUUGUCUGUAUCAGAACAUUCUAAUGUUACUGUCAUCACAGCAUGAACUGCUUUUAGGGGUUUUGCAGAAUUCAUGUCGUUUUUCUGUUAUGAAUUGCUUCUUUAGGUUUACGUAGCAUAUAACUUUCAAGGAGCUUUCUGAGGGUGAUCAGCAGAAAUGGAUACAGAUAAUGGAAGUGGAGGUGGUCCAGUUAGGCUUGAGGUCUGUUGGUAAUACUCUUGAUUUUCAAUGUCCUAUUAAUAUUUUAUUUCACAUGAUAAUUUCUUUUUCUCCCUUUGGCAGGGAAAAUUUGCUGCAAUGGCAGUCUGUUGGCUUCUUGGAAAUGGCUGCUUGUUUUCUUGGAAUAGUAUGCUGACAAUAGAGGAUUAUUAUGUCUACUUAUUUCCGGUAAUCGCAUAUGUCAUUGAAGAAUCUGUUGGUUAUCAAUGUUGAUUUCUAGCCCGACUUGAAGCUUUUCCUUAAUUGAUACUUAGUUUUGUAGAUGUUUCUAUCUUUUAGAAUUACAUGUAUAAAGGGCAUUCUCCUGAUCGCAAUACUAGCUUCUUCCUCAAUCAGAGUACCCUAUAGCCAGAUCAUUCCUGGAAAAAAACAUUGACAUUGUGCCUACUUCAUUAUAGUGCAAAAGUUUUUGUUCUUUAAGGAAGGUUUUUCACUAAUUGAAUCCCUGAAAUUGAUCCAAUCAUAUGUAUCUUUGGAUGUUUAAUGGAAGCACCUUGUCUUGGAUUUGCCAUGUUCUGUUACAACAAUAAACACCUCAUGAAACUGCUAAUUUUACUGCCUUGUCGGCUUAAAAGUUUGUCAAUCAUAAUCCAUGAGUUUUGCUUUAAUUUCUCGGUGUUGUAUGGUCAAUUUUCAUUCAUUGUUUGGCAUAGUGACAGCACCAACUAAACUUCUUUACUCUUUCCAAUCCUUGACUGAAAGUAAGAUAAUGGCUUUGUGUUCUACUCUGCUUUUCUUCAGUUAUUAAUCUGAUAUCUUUUGAUUUUCCUCAAAAGCAAGUUCAUGUCGUAAUGUUUUUCAACCAGCAUUUUAAGAGAAACAUUUCAUAAAGAAAGGUAUCUCUAUUAAGAAUGCAGAAGUAGCAUGCCAUGUGGACUAAACAUUAUGCAGACCUAAACUGUAAUAUCAGUUGUUAGCACAAACAAAUGCAAGACAAUAUUACCUUGUGAAUGAUGGACAAUACCUAAAGCAGCAAACCCCAACUUACUCACUCAAAGGUCUUCAGAGAAACAAGUUAUUCCUAGUCUUUUAAUGUUUUCAUGCCGUUCUUGGAAUAAUCCAUAGUAAUAAGACAGCAAUCAGAUUCCAACUUCAAUUAGGAAAAUCAAACAUGGGUCUCAUAACCCCAGUUGUCAGAUGGCACGGUUUGUGGUUGUCCUUAUUGGAGGUAUGAGCAUUUGUAGUUGACCAAGUGAAUGUUUUCUUCUCUGCAGAGUUACCAUCCCUCAAGGGUUCUUACUCUUGUAUAUCAGCCAUUUGCACUAGGAACCCUGGCAGUGCUAGCAUACAAUGAGGCAAAGAUCGAUACAAGAAAGAGAAAUCUUUUUGGAUACAGUCUUUUCUUUGUUAGCACGCUUUUAGUACUUGUUGUAAGUAUUAUUCUCUUUCUAUUCAUUCCGUUGGAUUUAAUGUUAAGCUUUACAUUAUACGUGAAAGAAUGUAAUUUUUAGGCAAGUGCACUUACUUGUAUCAUAUACAUAAUUUCACCAUAGCUCUUGGAAAAAAAAUGUGUCUUUUAGUAGAAGACAUUUACUGGUUUCAGUUAUUUCCAGUUCCCCCAUUAUCCAUUAUACUGCAUAUCAACAGUAUUUGAACUUAAUUUGAUUUUUACGUUCAAUUGCUCCAAUAGCUGGAUUUAGCCACAUCUGGAAGGGGUGGAAUUGGAACAUUUAUUGGAAUUUGUGUUGUCAGCGGUGCUUUUGGAAUCGCUGAUGCUCAUGUUCAGGGUGGAAUGGUCGGAGAUCUCUCAUUCAUGCUACCAGAGUUCAUUCAGGUUAGUUCUCUUUUCUCGUGUUCUGCUGUAUCUGAAUAGUUCUUUCUUCUGGAAUCUUUGUAUGACAUUCUUUAAUUUGAUUGCUUUAGUCUUUUCUGGCGGGGUUAGCUGCAUCUGGCGCACUAACAUCUGCUUUGAGGUUGAUUACCAAAGCGGCAUUUGAAAAUUCCAAGGAUGGCCUUCGAAAGGGAGCCAGUAAGUUAUGAUUUCCCUUUUCUGUGGUUAGUCUUUUCUGAUUGUGUUAUUUUGUUCAUAUAAUCAAGCCUACAGUUGACAAAUAACUGCAGUUCUAUUCUUUGCUGUUUCAACAUUCUUUGAGCUUCUCUGUGUCCUUCUUUACGCAUUUGUCUUCCCCAAGCUACCAAUCGUGAAGUACUAUCGUUCUAAGGCAGCCUCAGAGGGAUCAAAAACUGUUUCUGCUGACCUUGCUGCAGGCGGAAUUCAUAGGCAGCCUGAACAAGUAUAAGCUCUUUUAAUGUAUUAGUGAAUUCAAGAUCUCGGUAGUGACUUUAUCAAUCUUCUUUAUCACCAUUUCAGGUUGGUCAAGAUCCUAAACAGCCCGAAAGAUUGAGCAACAAACAACUACUAGUUCAGAACAUUGAUUAUGCAUUAGAUAUGUUUCUGAUAUACGUUCUAACACUCUCUAUAUUCCCUGGAUUUUUAUCCGAGGAUACUGGAUCACACAGCUUGGGAAGCUGGUAAGUCUGCUUGACCACAGCUGCUUGGUUUUUUUUUUUUUUGGUGCUUUCUCACUCAUGAACGUGGAACAGAGCUGUUGCAACUGUCUUGUAUUUUUCGUCUGUGAACUUCUGUUGUUAUCUAGACCAAACUGAGGACUUUGUGAAAUAUGUCAUUCCAGGUAUGCCCUUGUCUUGAUUGCAAUGUAUAAUGUCUGGGAUCUCAUAGGUAGAUGUAUACCUCUUUGGAAACGCAUAAAGCUGGAAUCGCGCCGGGGACUUACAACAGCAAUUCUCUCUAGAUUCUUGCUCAUUCCUGCCUUCUAUUUCACAGCUAAGUAUGGUGAUCAGGGCUGGAUGAUAACGCUUACCUCUUUUCUGGGGUUAAGUAAUGGCUACCUUACAGUGUGUGUCCUUACUUCUGCCCCAAAGGGAUACAAGGCAUGUUUGGAUUUAACAUAUUUAUUUUAACUAAUCUUCCUAGCAUCCGCACAGUAUUCUUAUAGAACUUUUGGCAAUCUGAUUUUUGCAGGGACCAGAACAGAAUGCCUUGGGAAAUAUACUAGUAUUGUUUCUCCUAGGAGGUAUAUCUGCAGGGGUUACUCUUGAUUGGUUAUGGCUCAUAGGCAAAGGCUGGUGAGCAUUGUCACUAAUAGUUUUUCAGUUUUUCCUACAAUCUGCUCCUCAAGUUAGGUAUAAUAGGGUGAGCCAUUCCUAGUAUUGUUUCUCCUUUGAUGUAAGGUGAAUUUUAUUGCCAUAGCAAUCAAUUUAUACAUAAGCUCCUUAGAUAGUUGGGGAAAAAUAUGACUCCAAGAAAUCUUAAGGCUUACAGAGCAGGGUCUUUUGCUUUCACACCCUGUUCGCACUUUUAUGUUCUUGGUUGUUUUUUUGAUCAGCUGUUCAGUCAAAACUUUGCAUUAGACAAUUGAUAUCCUUGUGUUUCUCAAGAAUGGCUGAAAGAUAUUUGUAACUGCUUGCUGAAAUUUUUGCGCAACGGAUCUUCUGUCCCACACUCUGUGCCACUCUCUGUCCCACUUUUUAUUAUAUUGCUAUUUCUCCUAUAUAAACACCAUGUUUUAGUUCUUUUUUGUUUCCUUAAGAUUUAAUAACUAUUAAUUCAGUAAAAAAUAAAUACAAUCGCUUCAAAAAAGUAAUAUAUAAUAGAAAAUUAAAAAAUACAGUAGAAAAUUUAUAAAAAACCUCAUUUUUUAUGCAUUUUGAUUUUUUUGAGUUUAAUAAAUUUUGUGUAUUACUGAAUUAAUAAUUAUUGGAUCUUAAGGAAACAAAAAAGAACUAAAACAUGAUGUUUAUGUAGGAGAAAUAGCAAUAUAAUAAAAAGUGGGACAGGGAGUGGCACAGAGUGUGGGACAGAAGAUUCGUUGCGAAAUUUUUGCCACUGAUUCUAACUGUUUAUAGACCAAAUGGUACAUUUCUUUCUUUUUGAAAUAAUUAAAAAAUCACCAAACUUUUGUUUUGUAGACCAAACGGAUCUUAUUUGAUCUAUUAUUCUGAUUUUCAUUUUACUAUGUAAAUAAAACAACUCAGUUAUCACCUUUCAAAUCCCAAAAAUAGCCUUCAAUAUAAAGUUUGUGACAGUUGCAUUUAGAGAUAAAGCAGUUGAAUUUUUUUUUUGGAGGUUUUGUUAAUCUUAAUUAACUCCCAAUAAUCCUCAUCUUUUUUUCAAGUACAUCAAUAUAAUGGUUGGGUCAGCCACUAGUUUCAAUUACAGUAGAUGGAUUUGCCACAAAAACUAAAACUAAUUUGAACAAAAAAGACCAAAGCAAAAGAAAACACAAGAUGCUAAACAUGCAAUAUGGCGACAAACAUCCAACCGAGAUUCUCUCCCCAAAUUACGUGUGAAGGAUUACUAUUUUAUAGAGAAAAAAUUAUUUAAUUAUUUGAUCCAAUUUUAAAGGUUUAAGAUCUGAAUUAUAAACAAUAAUGUUAAGUUCGAUGCUUUUAUGUGUCCAAUAUGAUCGAUCACCUACAAAAAAACUAUACGACCAACAUGCUCAGUCCUGGGGAAUUACCCUUCUUCGAGUUUCGAGUGUACCCAAAAAGUUGAAAAGCUUUUUGUUUUCUUAUCGAUGUUUGAAAAUCCGCGUUGUUAAUUGUUACUACGACAAUCUGCCCCAUUCAAAACCCAAGCGGCAAAUGUACCAUAUAAUUUUACUUGUAGUAGCAUUGUUAGCUACUGAGCUAGUUCGAGCAAGUUAAACUCCAACUCGACCUUGAACUCAAAAAUAUUCAGUUUGUUAACUCCCAAAUCGAUUUGAUUAUAUAUAUAUUACUUUUUGUUUUAAUAAUAAAAUUAUAUAUAUAUUUCUAAUAUUUUAUUAUUUAUUAAAAAGUAUUAUUUUAUUCAUUUUUAAAAAAUUUAUUUUUUUAAACUCGAACUCGAGUUCGAAAUCGAGCUUCAUUUUUAUAUUUUGAAUUCAUCAAACUCGAGUUCGAGUUCAAGUUUCAUAAAACUAAGUUGAGGUUCGGAUUGAUUAGGUUAAAACUCAACUCAUUUCGACUCGUUUGCAUCCAUAUACUGAGCAAAACAUCAACUUCGAAUUUCAAAAAACGAAUAAUAUGUGCCUUAGGUUUAACUUCAUCCGCGCAUCUUUCUCUCUAUCUUUAUCACUUAAUUCACUUGAUCAUAACUGUAUAUUAUAUCUUUUUCCUCCUACUUGUUAUGAUUAAAUGUUUAACGUUACUCACCAAGACACAAAUCAAUUUCUUGUUUUAGUAUCCAAAUGUUCCACAAUACCCCCAAAAAGAAAAAACUACAAAGGCUUUGCAUCUCCACCAAUGGGCUUUGGUCCGGAGAGAUGUCAUUAGACACCCAAUUUGGAUUAUGGUGACAUUUUCUCAUUAAGACAAACAAAUAGAGUGAGGGUUCGGUAUUUACCUUCUCGAUUUAGUGAUAAAACAAUUAAGGUUGAAUUCUCAAGAAUUAGAUUUUUCGAAUUCAAGGUUUACUAUAUGCAUGAGCUAUAAUCUUGUAAAAAAAAUAGGGUUUGUUCAUUUUACUACUUACCAGAUUAAGAAAGAAUUAUUACUAAUCACCGUUCCAAUAUACAAUUACAAUUUGAUUUUGCAGACUCACAAGGCGGCCUCAUCUUAUUGUAAAAUUCUUGAAAUGGUUGCCAUUAUACUUCGACAUUUUAUGCCUUUUAUCUUGGUCAAAUUAGGGAUAUUAUGAAUAAUUGGCAUUUUCAAAAUUAUUUUGACAAUAUAUAUCGGUAGUUUGACCUUUAAAAGAAAAAAAAAGGAGCUAGUUGAGCAAUAAUAAAAGCAUCAAAAUUACAACUUCUUUCUACUCAGUAAAAUGUGUCCGAAAUAAUCAAAAAAAUAUAAAAUUGUAAAUAGGAGUAAUUCAAUAAAUUAAAAAAAGCUACCAUCAAAUGACUUGAUGACCUAAUAAACAUCAAAACCUAGACUAAAUGUAAGGUCACUCUCCGCAGUAAAAGUAAGAUCUUGUCCUCGUACCGCAUGUCAAAAAGUACAAAUCUGUGAAAGUGACCUCGCAAAUUUACAGUGGUACAAAAAGACAAAAAUGCCCCCUCCAUCCCAUACAAUUUGUCAACUAGCUUCACGUGAAUCCACCCGACAACCCGUCACAGGCUAAAAAACAAAGGCAGCCGGUUUUUUUUUUGCCCUUUCCAAAAAGUUCCUGUUUUUUCACACGAAUAGAGAUCCAGUAAUGAUUAAGGGUAAAAUCGGAAACAGGAGAAUAUUGAUUGACCGAGAAGUAGUGGAAAUGGACGGCGAAGAUGAGGCCUCUGAUUGCUCAAACUGCAGCGAAUUGACGGCUAAGGGCAUGUUUUCUUGGUCGGGGCUGCAUUUAGCAUCAUGAGGAGGAUGAGCACUGUACAUAACCGCCCGCAAUACUGCCGAAACGGUGGGUAUGUAUGCCGUUUUGUUCCGAGCUAGAAGCCACGUCAGUCCCAUGAGCUGGCAAUCCCUGCUUAACAUUUUGCUUGCUCGGUCCCCGUCUUCCACGUCCAUCUUUUGAGUUCCGUUUUUAACCUCGCCGUUUAACUACAAAUAAGCAAUAUAUUCAAGGGCCAUUUAGAGAUUUCGUUUAUAAAUCUUGUCAAAUAAAAUAACAAGCUUUUUUGUUUUUUUUUUUUUGAACCAUCGUCAAAUAACAAGCUUCAAGUAACAAAGAUCUGCUUCAAACAAUAAUAACAAUAAUAAAUCGAUAGAUGCUUUGAAUAAAUUUUUGGAAGUCCAAAGUGAUGCUUUGAAUAAAUUUUUGGAAGUCAAAAGUGAUGCUUGAAUAGGGAUUAUAUGUUUGGGAGAGAAAAAUAUGUGUUUAUUUAGCAUCAAAAGAAAGACAAUUGAUUGAAAAUGAUUUAAUCAAAUAAUGAUGAAAAGAGAAGAAUGUGGAAAAUGCUCUCACUAAAAAUAGAUGAGCGCGUUAUAGACAAAAUAUAUCUGUUUGGAUCCAUCAGUCUUUCAAAAAUUAAAUUUUUAAAUACUAAUUUCUAAAAAAUAAUCUAAAAAGUUAUCUAAUUUUUUUUAAUAUUUAAAAAAUACCUCAAAAUAUAUUUUAAAAACUCUACUAUUCUUAAAUAUCUCAAAAAACUCUCCUCUAAUUCAAACGGAACGUUAAGUCCUUGAAAUUGAGUAAAUUUUUAGGGAUGGAAAGCAAUUUUUUUUUUUUUGUUCCCCAAAUAUGAAAUGAGUAGUCAAAGUAAUGAUGAUUAUGCAGCCAUUAUAUCAUUAACUUCAAAAGGAGACCAAAGGAAGAAUAAGAAACAAUUAUUAUAAGUGAAAGUACAAUAUAGGACAAUUGUCUCACCAUUAUACUCUAAUGAGAGAACUAAUAAUGCCCAAAGACUUUUUUUUCAAUACGAUAAGAUAAGAACAAAAUGAAUGAUUAGCGAGUGAAAUUACGAAACUAACCUUUUGGAGGGCGCCAAGACACUUGGUACAACCAGCAUAAGAAGAGUUGUGACAAUUCUUCUCCAAAUUCUUGACCGCGGCCGUCGGCGUCGCAUUCCGGGAGCCCGUCAGAUUAAACGCGGCUGGACAACUCAAGGAAGUGAUCUGAUGAAGGCGAAUCCCGCAAAAGCACAAAACGGGGUCGCAAGAGCCAUUAGGCUGAGGAAUAUGGAUGUUGCGGCUGAGCAAGGAGCUCUGCAGCGAGUUCACACACUUCUGCGAGUCGUCCGGCAUCAUGGGCAUGUCGGAGCUGGUCGGAGGAGCAGCUGAGGUGACCUGCAAAGCCGAGCGAGCAUGAGCAGCGAACAGCCACGCUGCCAGUACUGGGCAGCAUCGGCUUCUGUCUAGGUCACGCCCACAAGCAGCACUGACUCCGCCGAAAAGCUCGUCUGAGAGGUCAAGCCGGCAGGUUUGGGCCUGCGUUUGAACAGGAAAUGCGGGGACUGUGUUGGAAGAUGAAUACUCUCCCGGCUUUAAUGGCUGAGCCGGCUGGGAGAGCAAGCCAGCGGAACAAACAUCAAAGGUGGAAAAUAGUGCAGGGAAGAUGACCAGGAAAGAUAACGAAAAGGUGAAACGUCGACGUUUCUUUGUGCAUUGGACCUUCAUAAUACUAGCAAUAAUGCAAGUGAGAUGGAUUUCUUUUUUCCUUGCUUCUAAUGCUUUUUGGUUUUGGGCAAAAGUGAAGGGGUUGAGGAGAAAGCUAAAAGGGAUGCUGAGAGCUAAGAAGGUUUAGUAGUUGAGGGAGAAGAGGGAAAUGAAAGGAGAGGGCUAAAAGGUCCAAGCAGAAGCAUUUUUGUGGCUUUGUUUUUCUUUGUGGUUUGUUGAGUCCUAUAAAGAAAGGUGGCUAGGGAUUGAGGAGGGAUCUGUCUAAUAUUCACAGGUUGAAGAGCUAAAGGUUCACGCAAAUUAUUUCAUCACAAAGCUCUCAAGUUAUGUACCAUAUAAAUGGAUUUAGGACAGGGAAAGUUGAGGUUUUUGAUGGGAUUGCGCCCUUGUUGCAUAUUUUACUUGAAUUACGUAUAUUAAUAUUAUUUUCUUAUAUGCACAUAUUUUAUUUUUACAGACUAAUUCAAUAUAUAAAUAUAAUCAUGUUUGUGAACGUACAUUGAGUUUUUUAAAAAGAACAUAAUAAUCAUACCAAUUACAUCAAAUACAACAGUAUCCACCCCAUUCCUUUUUGAAUAAUGUGUGUGUAUUGUUUAGUUGUGUGAACUGGAUGUCUUGCUGCAUUAAAUCUCAGUUAAAAAAGUGUAAAUUGCUACUAGUACAAUAGUUUCAGCGAGUUUUCUUAGUUAAGUAAGUCGGAGUAGCAUAGAAAUUAAUGGUAGUAUAUGAUGUGACAUCACUGGGUUUGUUUGGAUAGAAAAUUAUUUUUAAUAAUAUUUUACUUGCAUCAUAAAAAAUUUAUCUUUUUAUUUCACAUACAUGACAUCACAAAAGUGUUAUAAUAAUUAUUUAAAAUAAUAUUUAAAAUAAUACUCUAUCCAAAUAAACCUAUGUUGAUUAAGUAGUGAUUAGUCAAGGAAUAAAUGGUUUAAAAGUACGAGGUCUAUAAGAUUUUAUUUAAGGGUAGAAGUCUUAUGGAUUGGUCAAUAUACCUAAAAGUUGCCAAUCGAAUUAUCCGUGCGUCUUAAUUUAAAACAAAAGCAAAGAAAAUUCUCAUAGGAGUUGACUUUUUUCAAUAUUAGAUUACUUGGAAUUUCGUUAUAUUUCUGUUUGGAUCGUGGUUGUUCAAAAAAAAAUUCUUGUUAUGCCUUCUGUAAUGCAAUAUAUAUUAAAUAAAAAGAUGAUAUAGAAAUGUAUUUAAUAAAGAUUUUAAAAAUUUUAUAGUAUGAUUAAUUCAGAAUAAAAAAUAAUUAAAAACAUAUUUAACCAAAUGAUUCCGAAAAUGUUUCCGUCUAAAGUUCCUUAAUUAUAGGGCUUUGUUUGGGUGUUUAGGAUAGAAAUGAAAAGAAGGGAAAACUCAAGUUAGAAAGAAGAGAAGGGAAAGCACUGUUAUAUUGUUUGGGAGUUUUAAAAAUUAAUCGAAUGAUUUUAAAUAUAGAAGUCAUUAAAUAUUUAUUCAAGAUCUUUUUAAGGACAAAAUAAAUAUUUUAAAAAAUUUUGACAAGCUUCCUUAAAGUUUCCUUCCAUUUCCAUUCAAUUUGGGAGGAAAAGUUUUGGUUACCGAAGUAUUAGGUUGUGUUUGGAUUGCAUUUUCCGUCAUUUUUCAUGAAAAAAUUACUGUAGCGAUUUGAUAUAUGUGAGGGAAAAAGGUGAUAGGAAAAUGUGAUCACGGAAAACGACAAUAUUUUUCGACGAAAACAAGCAAUCCAAGCAUGGCCUUACAUUUCAUACCUCUAAGUCCUCCCAUUUUCUUUUUUUUUCUUUCUGACCACAAACUACAAACGAAGGUAAACCACUUCCUUCCCUUUCUUUUCUGUCCAAAACCCCAACUUCCAAACGAAGCCUACAGUUAAAGAGUUGGACAAGGUUAAGGGUUGGAGUGCUGGAGUAGAUGGGUUCUGUGACUAGACAGGAAAAAGGAAAAGGAAAAGGUUGGUGAGGGGCCCGAAGAGAAAGGAUUAUAGGAGAAUUGGGAGUACCACGCCGACAAAAGACGAAAGAGUGAAAGGGAAAGGCUGUCUGAGAAUUUGGCUGCUUCUGAUGUCUCCUUCCUUCUCAUUCCUGCUCCAUUCUGAAGGACGUGAAAUGGAAAGGCUCUCUAUUCUUUUGUUUUCUUUUAUUUCUUGGAGGCCUUAGUUGAAGUGAGACUACAGUAUCCGUUGGUUUUAUUUAAAAGAGUAACAAUACAAUAUAUCCCAACAUGGAGAUUUCAGUCGUUCUUUCCUUUUGGUGUCUUUUUUCAUUAAGUUAUUAAGUUAUUUUUGAUAAUUUUAGUGUCUAUGAUAAUUGUUCGAGGAAUAAAGGAAUGGAUUUUUAUAAUGCAUAUUGCAGCAGACGUUCAUUACCACACCUAAAUUACAGUUAACUUAUUAUGUGUACGUACACAUUUACAUCUAAUGCAUUCUUCGAAAUUAAUUUUAGUAUUACUAGAAAACUAGUCCUGGGACACCUGUUAACCAAAUCCUGAAUAAAAAUAAAGUAUGAUUUUUUAGGAAAUUUUUUAGUUUUAAGAUUGAUGAAGAGCAAUUGACAAAAUGAAGGCUUUUCAACGACAUAAUUGCGUAUCAAUGAGUAAGUGGUCAAAGCGUUCGAGAAAAAAGGCCAAUGAUGAUUGAUGUAAUGAACUGAACUAAGUGACACAUUUUUGUAAUCUAAUAACAAAGUGGGAGCAUGGCCCUUGAUGGAAACUUCCAUUAUCACGGGGAAAUUCUCAAGUGCUGGAUGCAUGGAAAAUUUUUGUGCUCUUGAAAGUGAUUAUACCAAUGUGUAGUUUUCUUCAGUACCCAUCUAAGCGAAGUUUAGAAUUCAGCUAAUUUGGUUGGGUAUUAUAUUACAUGUGUAUUUUCUUAGUUCUACAUUGAAAUUAGAAAGCAAUUUUUUAAUUUCUUUUUUUUUUUUUUUGCAAAGAAGGGAUAGAAUUUAAGAAGCAAGAAUGAAAUAUGAGAAUUUGAGCCCAAAAUAUCUAAUUUCUAGAUUGUUAAUUUUAAUCUGUAGAUCAAAACCCCCUCUGCAAUCAAGAAGCAAGUUUGGUAUUUAUUUGAAAAAUUAUUGUCUAAAGAUAAAAUCAAGUAAUGCAAUUUGCUUCUGAAAUUAAAUUUUGUUUGUUUAAAGAGGUCUUGAGGUUUCUAAUACUUCAAUAAUAAUUUCUUGGUUAAGUUAUGUGAGAUCAAUUAUUUGGACUUUGAUUAGUGGUUCUGAAAGACUAAAACUAACUAGACAACUUCAUUCUAAUAAUUUUUUUUUCAAUACAAUAAAGAUUAAGGAUGCAAAUAGAUUGAGAGUUUCAACGAAAAAUUUGUUUUCAGAUUCUUUUAACUUUUGUUGAUGAUUUAGGGAAAUUUUAAUUGUGAUUUACUAAUUAUAUUAGUGUUUAAAUAUAUAGUCAAUAAUUUGUGAAUUACAAAGUUAAAAAAUCUCCUUUUUAAUCCAAAAAACUUAGAGAGAUUUGAAAAUAUUUCAAAUUGUUCAUCGAAUCCUCAUCAAAUGCAGCCAGGAAUUUGUCAACUUAAAUAGCUUCAUCCCAAGUGAAUUCUAUUUGAUCCAUUUCAAAUAGAAUGAAAAUUUUUACGUGAAAUUAUUAACUUAUACUCGAAGUCAAUCAAAUAAAUACUAUCACAUAAUCAACUAUAAACCAACCCCAAACUCUACUCAUUUCUGUUUGGAUUGAUCAUUUUUUAAAAGACAAGUUUUUCAUGUAUAAUGUUAUAGUAAUAUAUAAAAAAAAAAUCUCAAAAACACCAAAAAUACUAAAAAUAAUCUCAUCUACAUUAAAAGUUUUUCACCUACACUACUAUAGUAAAAAAUUUAAAAAAUACCCCCAAAAUAGCUAAUCCAAACGAAGUCAUUUCCUUCAUUCUUUUAAACAAAAAUCUGUUUUUCUUUGUGAAUCUCAUUUCCAUGCACACCGGCAAAAUCAAAAGCAGAAUUUGCAAUUACGAGAAAUGAUAUGGUGGCAUUGCUAAAUGCCAAGAACACAUGUACUAUAUUAUACAUUGGGAAAAAAGGAGGGCAUCUUUGGGAUUCAACAUUACUCUGACAGACUCUUGUGAUCGGCAGUAUGUGCAUGACGCAGUGCUUGUGGUUAGGUAUCUUCUUGGCAUUUGUUACCAACUCCUACAAGACAAACAAUCCUCGUUGCAUGACAACCAAUGUUCCAGUUGUUCUUGGAGACUUGAAAAGUCUUCAAGAUAAAUUAAACAAACAAAAUCAUCUUGAAGUAUUUGGAAAUUAAAAAUUACCUUAAUCUGCAAAAGGGUUCUUAUAAUAGUGAUGUUUUAAAUCUGUUCUAAAAUCUUUAGCACACAUUUGAAGUAUAAAGUUCAUAAUCUUGUACCUGCAUCUAAUUUUUCUUAGUACUAAAUGACAAAUACUGCUACAACGUAACACUUUUUUUAUAUGAUAUAUAUGAGAUAAAAAAAGAUUAAAAAAUAUGUUUAUAAUAUAAACAAAUAAAUUUGUGUAAAUAAAUAACUAAGCAUUAUGUUUCUGUUUUAAUAAGAUAAGUAAGAAAGUGUAGCAGCAUAUGUUUCUGUAAUCUAAAACAUAGGCCUGAGAAUCUACAGCUUAAAUUUAUAUGAAGUUGUAAAGACUAAAGAAUAAAACCACAUGGCUCUGGUUAAGAUCGAAUUUGCACCACAUUCCUAGGGUUUUAUUCUAUUGUUGUUUCUGGUGAUAAAAUCAUACACAUCCAAGAUUACAACAUUCUACAUGUACUUAAUCCAACUGUGAAUGGAAUCUAAAGCAUUUUUAAUUUGUCCUAUCUGCUCUACUUCUCGUGGGCUGCAGAUGAUUUGAUUUUUGUUUAUGUGAUUUUCUUCGGUUGCAGAAUCGAAAUGCAUAUCGGGGCAAUGAAAAACAAAAGUUAAAUGAAUAGAAUUUAUACAUUUUUGUCAUUAUCAUACCUUUUUCAAUUUUAGAGAGUGGCUUUUGAGAGUAAUGUUUAGAACAACAUCAUGGAAUUUUAAAAGAACAUCAAUGCAGUAAUUUCCCAAUAAAAAUGAUGUGUGCUAACAAGAUGGCUGUGAAAAUGGUUUGAACCUUUUGUUCUGAAAAGUUUGCUAGAUAAAGGCUAUGAAAAUUGUUGUUUUGGUUUCAAGUGAAAAUGUGACAUUCAAAAAUGGGAGGAAGAAAGUUGGGUGCAAAAGCACAACACGAAUUUGACUUUAGGCAAAGACAGAAAAAAAUGAUCUAUCAAACAUGACUAAUAACGUACGAGGCCAUGAUAAAUAAAGCUUCUAAAGUUUUUUUUUCUUCUUUCGACAAAAAGGUUCUCUGGGAAAAUUAAAAAAAGUUGCCUGACCCAUCCCAACUCCAGGAUGAUUACUUUUCUGCUUCAAAUAAAGAAAAAAAGACACUGACAAAGAUAAUUUGAUUUGCAAAAUUUAUUCUCAUAAAUCCCAAUCACCUUUUUAUCUUUCCAAUUAUCUUUUUAUCUCACAUACAUUACAUCAUAAAAAAUAUUACAGUAAAUAUCUCAAAUAAAUCAUCAAAAUGAACUCUUAUCAAAGUAACACUAUUACUUUUCGAAUCAUGACGUCUCUUUAUUUCUAUCAGUAAUGUGGUAGUACAUAUUUUUUCACUUUUUCUUUGCAUCUUUUAUUGGAACUUGGGCUUCCAAUAGCGGAUCCCUACUUUUUUCAAUUAAAGAAAUUCACUAACGAUGUAUUUUUUUAUUAAUAUAUUGUAUUAAUGUGAAUAAUCUCAAGUUAGACUAGACAAAACAGGAGUGAAGACUUUGGUAUUUGUGCAAAAAAGUGAUGAGAAAAAGCUGUAAUCAUAUCAUAGAGUUGGAAAUCAGGGAUUGACCCACAUCCAGCUGCUGAAGAGACACACUCACCUUUCAGAUUGAUUGUACAAUUGGCCAGACUUUUUUUUUUUGUUUGGUUUUUACCAACUUUUACGUUACCCCUCACCCCAUACAAAACUUGGAAACUGUUAAAUUGAAGUUGAACGCGUUUCAUUAGUCAUGGCUUCUUCUUCUUCUUUGAAAUCUUUUUAGUGAAUUGAUUCAUGGCAAUGACUGCCUUGAUCAAGAAAAUGGAAGUUGCUAUCGCAGUGGAAUGAAAGACAAGAACUCCAGAUUGUAUUAUUACUUUUUAGAGCUUUGAUCAAUAGUAUAUUAUAACAAUUUAAUAUAUGUCAAAUAAAAUAAUAAUUAAAAAUUAUCUUCAUAUAAAAAAUAUAAUUUUUUUUUUAGAAAAUAGCAAUCCAAAUGACGGGUAUGUCUUGCACUGAAUGCACCCGAAGAAAGCACAUUAUCAAAAUGUUUAAAUUAGGCAAAUACUUGUGAGCAUAAUAAGCUUAAACCAAGUCAUACAAAAAUUAAGACAGCAUCUUGAAGUGCAAAUCUCUGUUUACUUCCCAAAAAAAAAGGUGCAAAUCUCUGUGUAAUAUACUUCCACAGUUUCUCUCAUCUAAUUGUCAUUAAACCCUUUCGACCCCGGCUGACAGUUUUUGAAGUUUAGUCCUACUGAGCUCCUUGUGUUUCAAAACUAAUGGAUGUUCGGUUAUUGCACGAGGGUUCUUCAUAUCCAUCUCAUCUUUAACCUGGUCACUUUUUGUCUUCCAUUAUUUGAUUACUUUGAGUUCAAAUGUAACAAAUGGAGAUCCUCUUUUGCACUAUUGCUAUAGAACUUCCUCAGAGAAGAAUUAUUUGACAAUCAUGACAGGAUAGUAGAUAAAAAGUUUGCAUCUUUGUCAACUUUUGAAAAGAGGCCACCAUCGCUGAAUGCAGCUUUCUCAAUGUGAUAAUUGGUAUCAACCACUUCAAUAUGCUGGCAAAACAGAAGACUCCACUUGAGAAAACCAUAAUCGAGUGGGGGCCGAAUGUUUCAAUUAUGAGGGAGGCACUGUCGUCUAACGAAAUUCCCACUCUCGAGAUCGCAUGUGUUCGUGGCCGAGUUUAAAAGUUUAAAUCUUAACUUAUAUUAAAAAUUGUCAUUUAACGUGAUUUCUGUUAGGUUCAUAUGAGUGUCUUUUGUAUUCGUAUAAUUUGAUAGUAGUUCAGUUUUCUAUUUUUUCAUGAUUCUGUUGGAUCAUCUUCCAGUAUAAAUUAAAGUAAGAGUAGGUGUAAAUAGUGACAAUAAAAAAAAAAAAAAGACUUCAUCUGGUGAUUAUAUACGAAGUCUUCAAAGUAUACAUAUGGUCAUGAAUCUCAUGAUUAAACUUUUCUUCUCAAUUAGAGCAUGUAACAAGAACUUUUCAACUAUUCUUUGCCUAAAUAUUCACUGAAUUAAGAAGAACACUGGUUAGACUACUUAGGAGUACGCCAUCUAUCAAACGAUUCUUUAUGUGGCUGCACCAAUCGAUAUCAAGGAGAAGCUAUACAGAUGAUGUGCAAGAAUUUUAGUUCUAGUAAUGUUAAGACUGCAAUUUUUUUUCCCUUUUGUUUAUUGUGCAGAUAAGUCCUAUCAUGUCUGAGUAUGUUGAGCAAAUGAGAAGAUAAGCUUGAUGGUUUCUCUCUGUUACAAUCAAGUUUAACAUGUACAAAACUAGCAAAAAAAAACAAAAAAAAAAGAGCAGCCAGCUAAUAAAUUUGCACAUUGGAAUCUCUAUGCAGCCUACUUCAAAAUUUUUUUUUUCUUGAACGACAAUAUCUAUAACCUAUGUUAUCCUACUUUAAAGCGAGAGGGAGCAUAAUUGUGUUAUAUAAUGGGUUAGAGAGGAAAGACUCACCAAAACCAGAGAUAUGCAUUAUUACACCUUCGCUGAAUUUUUUUGACUGCAAACAGGGAAUUCGAACACUCGAUCUACGACCCAUGAGAAAUUUAGAUCUCUUCUUGGCAGCUAACUUAUCAAAGCAAGUUAAGUAUUUUCUCCAUCUUACUGAUGGACUAAAUAUGAGUAAAAGAAAUCACAGCAUUGCACAAAAAAGUGGCAUUUGCUCUUCCUCUAAUCUGCCACUUCGAAAACAUUAGUUUCAUUAUCCAAUGACUUACAGUGACAUUACAAAUGGAUGUUAGAAUAGUCCCAAGAAUUCUCAAAAUCACUAUCACCAAAACUGAGAAUAUUCAUUUUUGUUAAGCAGCUCGUGAAUGUUGUAUAUAAAUAUCUUGUAAGUUUUAAACAGAAUAGACAUUGAAUUUUUCUGUAAAACAAAAAUGAAGGAAAGAAGGUAAUAUAUAUUAUUAGAUGAAAAGAACUUAAUACCGGAAAUUGUAAAACUUCAUAACAGUUAAGAGUAUUUCUGGGAGCCCCUACUGGCCAUGCUACCUCCAUCACUGCCCACAUCAGUUCUUUAAAGAACUUUAGCCAUAUUAACAAAAUCUUAGACUACAAAAUCAAUUUUUGCUGUGUUGUUGAUUCGGUUCAAUGCCCUUUGUGCAAACUUAAGAGGAUCCAAAGCUUCUCAGCAAAUACAUGAUAACAUUGGUCCAGAGAAUUGCAAAUUUUCAUACGUCUCGAAAUGCAUUAAUUCUCCUUCGUCUGUCACUUCCCAACUCUUUUUUUUUUUUUUUUUUUCUGUUUCUUAAUUGGAUAUGUUAUGCUGACUUUUUUUUUUUCUAUUUCUUAAUUGGAUAUGUUAAUCUGACUCAAACAUGAGGGACGUAAUAAUGAUAUUUCAGGGGAGAUAAGUGCAAUUGAAACCUACUAAUUUUUUUUAUCAUCUAUUUUGUUAUUUAUCUGACAGAUCAUGGAAGAUGACUUGCAUUGGGCCUGGAAUCUCGAAAGUUUCGUUUUCUUCUGCCUUGCCUGAAGAUUUUUGGCCCAACCUUCUUCAGUCUGGACCAGUGCACUUUUAACCAAUGGCAAGGAACCUUAUUGAUGCAACGAUAUCAGAGUACUUUUUUUCUGAUAACAUGGCCUACAUGAAUAAAUUGACAGGACAUUAAAAAGUUUCAGCAAUUUUAAUUUAUUUUUGAAGCCAUAUAGAGUGUGUUUGGAUAUGAGAUUAUCUGGAAAAAAUUAUUUGAGAUGAUACUGUAUCAUUUUUUGUGAUGUGAUGUAUGUAAGAUAAAACGGUAGUUAAAGGACGUAUUUACUAUGCAAGCAAAUAAUAUUUGCAAAUUUUUUUAAUUCUUGAGAUAUUUUUACUUAACUGUUUGCUAACCUCAAACUUGCCUCAAAACCACAACUCUCUCGUGCAUGGCUUGCUAUAAGAUAUAACCGAAAUCAAUGGUGGUACACUUGGCAAAAAUUAGUGCUAUGAUUUUAUGGGUGCAAAGAAUUUUGGGCAUGCCUAAAUUUGAAUUGGAAGGAAUACUAUCAAAUUCCCAGCUAGGGGAAGGAAAUAAUCAAGUGUCAAUGAUACUCUCCUUAUCAUUUCCGUCGGUGUAUUUUUCUUGUUCACUUGUGCCAAGUCCUUUAAUUUCCCCAGCCGACAUGAUUGAUCUAACGUGAAACAGGUGGCUAAUGUGCAGUCCCUUGGCACAUAGAUAAUUGAAAAAGUUGAUGGCGCCUCUGAAAAAGAAACCAUCUAGUAAAUUAAUUUGAAUAUAAUCUAUUGUCCUAAUGAACAAAUCAAGAUAUAAUCAUAGAGCUCUCCUCGUUGCUAGAUUCAGGGUUUGAACACUGGGUAUGACAGUUGAGAGUGGAAAAGGUACGAGAAGAGAGGCGUAACUGCAGUAGUAUUCAUGAGUAGUACUUGCAGAAGAAUGCUGCAUUUCUAAUCUGAUAUCUGAUAUCAACCACUUCAAUAUUCUUGUUAACAGAAGGCUUUCCUUGAGAAAACCAUAAACAAGAAGUUCACUGGUGAUUGCAUAUUUAGUCUUCCAUGAAUAUGAGUCGUCAAGAUCAAAUUUUUUCUCCUUAAAAGGAAGUUCACUACUUAGGAACCCUAGUUUUGCUGCUUUUCUUGUACUUGACCAAAUCAACAGAUGUUAGUAGUUCUGACUGUUGCACUCAAUGAUGAAGCAACUGCUGUGUGGAUGAUUUACAAGAAUUUCGCUCGAAAACAUUUGAUUCGGCCUCAGCCAUUUUGCAUUUUCCCUCGGUGUAUAUGAUGGAAAGAUUCGUUUGUUUUCAUGGGAGCAUUUGUAGUCUUUCAAAUUAUCCAAGUGUUAAAAUAAAUGCUACUAUAAAACUUUUGACAUCAAACACAGGUCGAGAUAAAAUUAAGGAAAACUUAGAAAAAGCUAAAAAAGAAGAGAAAAAAGGUAUUUGAAAACAUAAAAUUGAAAGAAAGUGCUUUUUUCCUGAGUUUGAGUGGGUAAACUGCUGUCCGGGACUGGCAUUGUCAUGUAACAAAAUUCCAACUCAAAAGACUUUUCUCUAGCGGCAUUGUCAUCGUGUCACGUCACUUUUCUCUACUAUACAAUCCAUCAAUUAUUGUCCAAAGCUACAUAUUUGAUGUGCUAGAUUUUUUUUUUUUUAAUUUUGAAAAAUUGUGCUAGAUUUUCACUUCCACAAUUGAGACCGCAUAGUUUUUUUUUCACUUGUAAGCAUGAGACUGGAAGAACCCGAUAUGAACUCCUCGGAUAUUUCAAUCUUUUGAAAAUUCCACGUUUAUUCUAUUUCAUUUCCAAGUUCCAACAGUUCUAUAUAGUUUUAUUCAUGUCUUUCACAAAAAAAAAAAAAAAAAAAAAAAUUAUUUUAAAAGGAACGGAAUUGAUUUCUUACAAUUUUUACUUGUCAGUGGAAACAAAUACCUCUUUAGAUCUAGGGAAAUCAGAAAAAGACAGACAUAUUCCAAUCUAACACGACAAGAUUAUACGACAUUUGUUAUAUUAUUGAUAGAAGAGGCUUCCCGUCCAUGUUUUUCCUAUAUACCAUUGCUUAUUGAAUAGAACAAAUUUUCAUUCAUAAGUCUUAUUCUAGGCGUCCUAGGCAUAUUUGCUCCUUGCAUAUCCUAAGAUCUUCUAUAAUUCAAGAAAUCUCAUUGUAUUAUCAUAAUUGGUAGUACUAACAAAUAAAAAGUUCUUACUAGUACGAAGCAACCAAAAACCAGAAACGACAUACAAGUGUCCCAAAAUUAACCUUUACCGUAGAGUUUUACAGAGAAUUAAGCCGGUCGUUAAAAAUAACCGCAAAAGCAUCCAUUCUUGGCUUGGAAAGGGCUAAACCAACCUCAAUAUCUCCAUCUGUUUCUCUACUCCCACUAAGAGAAAUGGCCCCUGAAGUAUCAAUCGAAAUGAACUCGAACUUUUUAGGCUUUCCCCAUCCAAAAUCCAGAUUGUAAUAGUUAUACCUUGGUGAGCCAGCCACGGAAACAAGCCUGUCCAAAUUUAUACCUGCAAUACCCGGCAACCACGUGUCGGCAUCGUCGAAGAGUGAAUCAUUGUUCUUCAAUCUCUGAUGAAUGCCCUCCCCGAUUGACUCAACUGCAAUUGGAAAUCCUUCUUCUCCAAUUAACUUUCCAUUUUUUUCAUUUUUCCUAAUAACUGUUUGGCAAUUGCCAAAAUAGUUGGAAGGUAAAGGUGGAUCCAUACGUCCUCUACAAUCAGCCGUGCAACAAAAGUAUUCCACCUCUUCAUCAUCUACAUGUUCUCCACUUGGACCGCGACAUUUUACCAAGCAAGUCCAAACAUGGGCACAAAUUACCGUAAAUGAUGAUAAAUGAACUAAUUGUGGCCGUUUUUGCAGGGCUAACCUCUUGAGUUUUUCAAUAUUGUUUCUGCUAAUAACAAAAGAUCUGCGAACUUUGUCUGUUUUGGUCAUAGGUUUUGCUGUAGUAUCAGUAGAACUCUCAUUUUGAAAAAGCUUUAUGAAGACGACCCCUUGGUCCCAAAAAAUUGAGCUAAGUCCCUUUGUGUCUUUGAUCAUAGUCCUAUCGUAACAUGGUGGAGAAUCACUUACUAGAGUUGCUGCAACAUCAUCUCUGUCGAUAUUAUCUUCAAGACAUUUGGAGCAUAAAGCAGCCCACGUCUUCAUAAAUCUGAAAACGCUGCCGGCAUCUCCGACAGUGUGGUGGUUUGAGAUUCCAACAGACAUUCCACAGAGUGGAAAUAAUGUAACUUGAAGAGCAAGAACUUGAAGAGCAAGAACUGUGGAUCCGGAAUCAUCCUGAUUAGAUGGUUUCAAUUCAGGAAUCAAAGGAUGAAAAUCACAACAAUUCCGUGCAUGGUUUGCUGUAAGAUAAUUGAAAUCAGUCGUGGUACACUCGGCAAUGAUUAGUGCUAGUGAACUUCCAUUUUUGUAACGAAUUUCGGGCGUGCCGGAAUUUGAAUUGGAAGGAACUAUCAAAUUCCCGGCUAGGGGAAGAAAAUGUUGGAGUGUCAAGGAGAGCGAAUGUUCAAGCUUAGGAAUGAUGUGCUCGAUGAAAUGUGAUCUAGAGAGCUGAGGUACUUCAUAAAGGACGAGGCGUUCAAUAGGAGGAAAGUGGAACCAGGGCAUAUCAAGGAAUGUUAAAGGAAGAGACAUUGCAGUGACCGCCGCAGACGACGGCGGUGACACUAAUGAGUACUUAAGCACGGUGACUGCAUCGGGUGUAGCCAUUUUGCCUUCGUUGGUGCUGUAUUGCGUGUUCGAUCGAAAGAUGUUCUUUUUUUUAUUAUAAGAAAACAAGGAAAGAUGUUUUCUUUCCUCUUCUCUACUUUAUUUGGGGUGGUUGGGGAAUGGAUAUAUGAGCUCGUAUGUGUGGUCAAGAGUGCAGAAUGAAUAUCUCACACAUCUGAAUAGUCGGCCUUCGGCCACGUAGCAAGCGGGCCCACCUAUCCUCCCACACGCCUGUCGGCACACGUGAGAUGUUGGAUCCUUUUGGCACAUAAAUAUAUAUAUAUAUAUAUAUUAUCACACCUCACAUUCUUCUAUUCUUAGGAAAAGCCAAUUAGAUCAUUAGAAACCAGAGAAAACUAAACGGGUGCCCUUUGUCACCCCUUGAACUUGGAAAAGUCCCGAAGAUUAUUUAGACGUAUAUUAAAUCUUGUUAAAAUUACAUAAACAUACAUAACUAGACCAAAUUCCAAAGUUGACCCUGUACAUACGCCAUUUUUUCCUAUUACCACAUUGGGACUCUUUUUUUUUUUUAUUACAUGUCGAUCAAGCCACUCCGCAAACAUCCUUGCUGCGAUGGGUCCCUAAACAUCUCCCCAAUUUGGCUAAGCGAUCCGCACAACUGUUCCUUCUCGCCAUAUAUGUUCCAAUCUGCUCAACAUGUCUCUAAUCUCUGCUACUAUAUUCCAAUGUUGGCUCUCAUUUGAAGCUGACUCAAGCAAUGAAACAGCGACCUUGGAAUCUGACUCAAUGACUACUCUUCUAUAUCCUGAAUUCCAAGCAAUUCGUAGUCCCAGAAGAAUAGCCCAAAGCUCUACAGCCACAUUACUUGCAUUACCCAGGUUAGCGCUAAAUCCUUCAAUCCAGUGACCAUAUUCAUUUCUGAUCAACCCUCCAGCACUAGCUUUCCCUGGAUUGUGGUUAGAAGCUCCAUCAACAUUUAGUUUAACCCAUCCUUGUUUGGGUUUUUUCCAUUUAAUGUAUUGCAGCCGCUUUCUUCCAGUCCCGUGGAAGUUUGAAUUUAGUUCCUGAACAUCAAUCACUUGCUUCACAAGCUGUUCCGAACGGACUCUCAUUUUCCUAUCCAGGCCCUGAUGUAUCCAUUCAUUCCUAGCUGUCCAUGCCCAAUGAACCACCCGCUGAAACAAUAGAGGCCAGAAAAUCUCCCUGUUUCUACCUAUUUCGCCUUCCUUAAUGUUCCAAUCUACCCAUUGAUUUAGAGAUUUAGACUUGAACUCCCUCCAAUAUUUCUGCUGAACUAACUUGCUCCAGAUACCACUUGUCCAUUCACAAUGACGUAGCGCAUGAAUAUUAGUUUCACUUUUUGCCCCACAAAUCUCACACUGUCCAAUAGGAUGCAGGUGUCUGUUGUGCUUCUCUGAGUUGGUGAGCAGCCUUCCAUGUCUUACAAUCCACAACAAAAACUGCCAUCUCCCCGGGCCCUUGAGUUUCCGUCGCCUUUCCCAUGCCAUGCCAUGUUUCAUUAUGGUUGCUUGCUGCCCAUCUAAAUCAUAAGCCGAAGAGCUUGCUGAUUGCGACUCUUUGCAGUUCCUGCGGAGCAACUUUAAUCAACAGGUCUACCAUGCUUCUAAUAUACUAUCUAUUGAAAUAAUGCAACAUUGCCUGUAGCCAAAAGUUGCCAUUCUUGAAUUUAUGAGUUAGAUAAAAAAUCAUCCACGUGGGUAGAAGAAAUCCUGCAAUUAUGAGGCUAAUUCCUUAGAUUAUCCAUGAAAAAAAUCGAUUAAUUGUUAAUCUACAAAGGGAAUGUCUAAAACUGUGCCUGUCCUGCCGACAACCCGACAGGAAGAAGUAUUUUUUUUUUCUGGUAAAGUUAGAGGGCGGAAAAAAAAAAAAAGAAAAAACACCUGACAUAUUUAAUUUUUUUUUUUGGUCAAAUGUUGUUUCCUGUUGGGCUGAUUUUUUUUUUUUCAAAGGUAACCUGAAGUAAUGAUUUUCGCGUAGGCUUGUCAACUCCUGUAAUUCAGCAAUGCUUCUGGAAAGGUAUGAUUGCUUCUUAAAAGCUAAGAACAGAUAUAUUCAUGCCCAGAAACUCUUCCUGUGUCUAGUCAAGAUAACUUGACAGUAUGCUUAUAGAAGGAAUCAGCUACAACCUAAACGGCUAUGUAAUGAGUACUAAUAUUCUCUUUCAUUUAGCAAUUGUGUUUAGACAUCAUUGAACAUGUGCAGUUAAUUGUUCAUGUCUGAUCUGCUACAAGAUAAGUUAAUGGCUAAGUCAGAGGAGUUGGUCUAAAAUUUAGUUCUUGUAUCGCUUGCCAUUGAUAUUUCUUGAGACAAAUUGGAGCACUAUAUUGAGAAAAUUGAGUUGUGACUACAUCUAAUAACCUUGCCUCAAGGGAUUCUCUCCAAGUUUGGAAAAUUCUUUAUGCCGCCUCAGUUACAUCUGAUGUUGCAUCUCCCACAUAGAGAUGAAACAAUUGAACGUACAAACAAUGGUUAUGGACUGUAAUCCUAUUUAGAUGUAUUCCUCUGGUUUCUAUGGACAAGUUUUGGUUAGUUUCCGAACUGGCAUCUUUUGCAGUAGCCUUCCUUUUAUUUGGCUUUGUAAGCACCGUAAGCAUAGUUUUAGAAGACUAUCCUAUUAGAUCAAUAUUUGUCUGAUUUUUUUUUUUUUGAUCGAUACACUAAGGAAGAAGUAAUUUUUUUAAUCUUUAGUGAUUUUAGUGAAGCUUAAUUGAAAUUUUCACUUUACUUUUUCAUUUAUCCUUAUUUGUGCACUCUUAACUUGUCGAUGACUUAGAUAGUAAUAGCUUACUAAUAUAUGAUACUACACAAAAAGAGCUGCUAAAGUGUAUCUAAAAAGGAGAAAGGAUUUUCAGAAUUUGUCAAACUUUGACUUAUGAAUAUCUGAAAAAUGAAAAGUUACACAACGAAGCCUUUAAUUCUACCAAAUCUUGUGCUCUGAUUGUUAUCUUCACAAAAAAUGUAUAGCUGUUUAAUCAACUACCAAAAAAAAACAAGAAAAAGAAAAGUGAUGGACCUUGUCUCCGUUUCUAAGAAACAAAAAACAGAUAAAUCCAAAGAUUGAAGUUUGGAGCUUCAAUCCAAGUUUAUAACAAAGUCCAAAUUCCACCUUCAUACAUCAACAGAUAAACCAGAUGCAAAGUAGAUGAAGAUCAAAGGCAAUAGUUAAGUAGAACAAUUUCUAAGAUACAAAGUCUCAAACUGAGUGCGGGCCGGUUAUCAUGAAGCACCUAACUUAGUAGGAAAGAAGAGUCAGCCAAAGCUGCCAAAGGAUCACUCCCCGUCUAAAAACAAAAAAAACAUCUCAAGUAAACAAAUACUUGCACCGUUGCACGCAAAUUUUAUUCGCAUAAUGAUAUUAUUGUUGCCAUGUAGGAUAACAAGAAAGGAAAGUUCUAAUCUAGUUUAUAAUUUUCAACAUGAACUAAAAUUUUAAAUUUUUUAUUAUAGAGGUACAAGAAGAUUGCAGAACUUUUAUAAUUUCCUUAUAAUUAUUUAAAAUAAAUUCUACCAUUAUUGACCUUGCUAUUGGUUUCUGAAUUUUUUAAAUGUAUCAAACCUGUUGCAUAUUUUUUUUCAAAAAAUAAUUAUAAAAAUACAAAAAUUGCAACAAAAAUCGUAAACAAUUACAAAAACUUCAAGGCUAUUUUAUUUGUUUAUAUUAUCCUUUCUAUUCCUUGAAAAGACAAGAGAAUAAUCUUCAUUUGCCUUGUGAUUAUCGACUUGAGAAGCAUAUUUUUUAGAUGCUGAUAAUAUAAAUAUUGACUUCUUAGAAUUACGUUUGACAAGGAAAAGUAACGAAAGAAAAAAAUACGGGAAAGUUUAGAGAGAAAAUUGGAGAAGAUAUUAGAUGGGAAAGAGAAAUGGAGGAUGUCUUUAUCUCCAUCUUGGCACAUAUGCAGCUUAAGUGACAAAAAAAAAUCAUAAAAAUAAUAAAAUUUAAAAUUAAAUUACUUUGGCUACAUAUUUUAAGAGAAGAUUUAUUUUGGCAGAAAACUCUCGAGGAGAGUGAAUGUUAAAGCAUAGAAAUGAUGUGAUCGACAAAAUGGGCCAAGAAGGUUUGGGGAACUUCAUGAAGGACAAGUCUUUGGAUACUGGCAAAUAGGGGUGCAAACGAAUCGAGCUGCUCGCGAGCCGCUCGAUUCGAGCUCGACUCGAGCUGGUCGAGCCAAAGUCGAGCUCGAGCUCAAAACAUUAAGCUCGUUAGCUCGCGAGCUCGAGUAUAUAUAUAUAUAUUUUUUUUAUUUUUAUUUUUAAUAGUAAAAUUACAUAAAUAUCCUUAAUAUUUUAUUAUUUAUUAAGAAAAAAUAUUAUUUUAUUUAUUUUUUUAAAAAUAAAAUAAUUAUUUUUUAUUUUUUUCGAGCUCGAGCUUGAAACUUACCAGCUCGUCGAGCUCGAGCUCGAGUUCGAGUUCGAUGAAAUUAAGUUAAGGCUCGACUCGAUAAGGCCAAAGCUCGACUCGGCUCAGCUCGUUUGCACCCCUACUGGCAAAGCACAAGAAUAUCGUAUCAAGGAAUGUUAAAACUUAGGGAUAAUUUCAGAAACCUUCCCUGAGGUUUCUAACAGUCUCACUCUCCUCCCCUAUGAUUUCAAAAAUAUCACAAACCUCCCCUGAGAUUUAGGAUUUUGUAACAAAAUCAGCCCAUGAUGUCAAAAGUGAAUAAAAAAAAAGUGUUUUCAGGAAAAAGAGGGAAUUUUAUUUUCAUAAAUGCCCCUAAGAUAAGUGUACAAGUUAUGUUAGUGAAAUAAUGAAAACUAAUAAAAACCAAAAAUAAAUUAGAAAAUAGGGAUAAUUUCAGAUACAGUAUGUUAUUCAUCAAUAAUAUUAUAUCAAAAGCUUUUACUAUAUGAUUAUUUGUUCCAAUUGCAUAUUAAAUCAACCAUUAGUGCUUAUGAGAGUGCAUUAAAUAUUUAGUAGAGAUGUAGUUUAUUUCAAUAAGUAGCAUGUAUAUAAAUACUUAGUGAAUGUACAAUCUGAUUGAAAUAAUGUAUACCGUGUUAUCGACCAAGUACGAUGCAUAGAAAUUAUUGAACAUGCAGUUAUUUGUUCACAUGCAUAUUGCAAUUAGUCAUCGCAGCAAUAUGCAUAGUGCAAUGGUAUGGAAACAUUUGGAAUGGUUAUUGGUGCUUUGAGCCACUUGUGCAUCUCCUUACAAGCUGCAGUGGGUAUGUAAUUUUAUCUAUAUGACUAAUAUUAAUUUGCCUAUAAACAUCUUACACAGGGUGAUCUAUGAGGUACAAUCAAUUUACAAAUAUAUACAUUAUAUUAGAUGUUAGUUACUUGACUGUGUAUAUCUAUAAAAGGUAGUGUAAUGGUACGCAUAAAUUUGAAAUAGCUAUGUGUUAAAAAAGUGUAGAUUAUGUUAGGUGUUAGUUAUUUGACUAUGUAUACAUGUAAAAGGGAGAUUAGAUAGAGCGUAGAAAAAAAUAAUUACAUGAGUUGGAAUGUAUUUGUCCUAAUAAUCACGAAAUAUUAGUUGACUUGUGAGGGUAUUUAAGUUUUUUUGGCCAUGAUGAGUAAGAAAUGAGACCUAAAUUCUGACAGGAAAAAUUUGUGAUAUUUUUGAAACUACAAGAAAGGAGAGUGAGACUGUCAGAAACCUCAGGGGAGGUAUCUGAAAUUAUCCCUAAAACUUUAAAGGAAGCGACAUUUCACUAGCCGCAGUAGACAAUGGUGGUGAAACAAGAGUGCUUAAGCACAGUGAUUGGUUCUGCCUUAAGAUCCGUUUGAAAUUGCAGUAACUUAUUGAAAAAUAUUUUUAUAAUAAAAUUUUUAAUAAAAAUAUUUAUUAACUACUAAGUGCUUUUAAAUAUAUUAUUUGAAAAUAUAAUUCAAUAAAUAUUUAUUAUAUUAAAUAAUGUGUAAUUUAAAAAUUUUUAUAAGUUUUUAUCUCUUUAUUUGGUUCAUAAUAUAAAAUAAGAUGAUUAAAUUUGAUGUUUUAUUUUUUUAAAUCAUAAAAGUUACUCUAAAAGCACCAUAUUUGAACUUUUGCUAAAAGUGCUUGUAACAUCAAAAGAUCUAUUUCUAAUUUUAUGGAAUGAUAUUUACCAAAUAUUUUAAAAGUAUUUUCAGCACAUAAAAAUAUUUUUUUACCAAAAAUACCACAACCCCAAAUAAGGGCUUAGCUAUUUUCCCUUGGUGUUAUUUGUGUAUAUGAUGAAAAGAUUCCUUUGUUUUGAUGGGAGCAUUUGUAUUUUUUCAAAUUAUCCAAAAUUUAAAAUUAAAACACAUGUUGAGAAAAAAAUUAAGGAAAAUCUGAAAAUUGGAAGAAAAAAAAACGUGCGCGUGUCUCUCUCUAUAUAUAUACGCACAAGUGCCAACUUCUACAUUACUCUUGCUCCCAUUUUUACUUUUAACUCAUCUAAGUGAGGGUGCAAUUAUAUCUAUCGUUUCUGAAAAAAAAAAAAAGAAUAGAAGAAGUGAGGGUGCAACUGUACUAAGGGAGAUUAGAGGGAGUAAUUUACCUUGAUUUAUUACAGUGCCGUUAGGUUUGUACCCUGUGUUUCACUAGAUGGCCAAUUCAUCUAUGGUAAAAAUUGAAAGAAAGGACUUUUCCUGAGUUUGAUUGGUCAACUACUGUCUGGGACUGGCAUUGUAAUCAAUGUCACUUAAGUUGAAAAGACUUUUCACUAAAUACAAACGAACUAUUCCAUCAGGUCAUUGUCAAGUUUUUGAUCUUACAAAGCCACUACUUUCGACCACACAAUCCAUCAAUUAUUGUCCAUAUUUAUUGUUGUGGACCAUACCAAGUUAAAAUUUUGUAAGUGUAUCCGCUAUGUUUGGUAGCGAUCCAUUUCUAAACAUUUCUCUUUUAGUCUUUGAUAAAAAUGAGACGUUAAGCUAAACUAAAUAUUUCUUAACCCAUUUCUUCUCAAGAAACAAGUGGGCUAUUUCUUUGUAAAAUUGUGCUCAAAUUUAUACGUGACAAUCUUGCCAAGAUCUCUUCAUUAGUUGGGGGAAGGAAUCAGAUUUUUUGAAGAACGUAUCGAGAGAGAAUUUGAUUUGGUUAGACAAUGUAUGGUUGGUAAACAAGGAUCGAUUUUUUAGCAAGAUAUGGAAUGUAUCGUCAAAUAUUCAAUAUGAUUCCACAAGAUCUAGUUCGUUCAAGUAACGGAUUCUAAUCAACUGAAAGGAUCUUCUGAUCAAUCCAGAGAUCAUUUGGAUUCCAUUAGUAAUGAGGAUUCGGAAUAUCACAUAUUGAUUAAUCAAAGAGAGAUUCAACAACUAAAAGAAAGAUCGAUUCUUUUGGAUCAUCCCUUUCUUUCCCUUUCUUUAAACGGAACGAACAGAGAUAGAAUCAGACCGAUUCCCGAAAUGCCUUUCUGGCUAUUCCUCAAUGUCCCGGCUAUUCACAGAACGUGAGAAGCAGAUAAUCUUCUGUUUUCGGAAGAAAUAGAAGAAUUUGUUAGGAAUCCUACAAGAUCCGUUCGUUCUUUUUUCUCUGAUAGAUGGUCAGAACUUCAUCUGGGUUUGAAUCCUACUGAGAGCUCCACUAGAGAUCAAAAAAUUGUUGAAGAAACAACAAGAUCUUUCUUUUGUCCCUUCCAGGCGAUCGGAAAAUAAAGAAAUGGUUAAUAUAUUCAAGAUAAUUACGUAUUUAUAAAAUACCGUCUCAAUUCAUUCUAUUUCAUCAGAUCUGGGAUGUGAUAUGGUUUCGAAGGAUGAGGCGGAUAUGGACAGUUCAAAUAAGAUUUCAUUUUUGAACAAAAAUCCAUUUUUUGAUUUAUUUCAUCUAUUCCACGCCUGGAACAGGGGAGGAUACACCUUACAUCACGAUUUUGAAUUAGAAGAGAGAUUUCAAGAAAUGGCAGAUCUAUUCACUCUAUCAAUAACUGAGCCGGAUCUGGUGUAUCAUAAGGGAUUUGCCUUUUCUAUUGAUUCCUACGGAUUGGAUCAAAAACAAUUCUUGAAUGAGGUAUUCAACUCUGGGGAUGAAUCGAAAAAGAAAUCUUUAUUGGUUCUACUUCUUAUUUUUUAUGAAGAGAAUGAAUCUUUUUCUCGAAGGAUCAGAAAAAAAGGGUCCGGAUCUCCUGUGGAAAUGAUUUAGAAGAUCCACAACCAAAAAUAGUGAUAUUUGCUAGCAACAACAUAAUGGGGGCAGUCAAUCAAUAUAGAUUGAUCCGAAAUCUGAUUCAAAUACAAUCUAAUACCUAUGGGUACAACUCUCGUUUAUUACACUUUUUUCUAGCUGCUUAGCCUGUAGUAGGUAUCUGGUUCACAUCUUUAGGUAUUAGCACUAUAGCUUUCAACCUAAACGGGUUUAGUUUCAACCAAUCUGUAGUUGAUAGUCAAGGUCGUGUAAUUAAUACUUGAGCGGAUAUCAUUAACCGUGCUAACCUUGGUAUGGAAGUUAUGCAUGAACGUAAUGCUCAUAACUUCCCUCUAGACCUAGGUGUUGUAGAUGCUCCAUUUGUAAAUGGAUAAGACGUUAGUCUUAUUGUAUAAAAGUUAUUGAAAAAUAAAGGAGCAAUAACUUCCUUCUUAUUCUGUAUAAUAGUUCCUUUAUUUAUUUUUUUUUAUUUUGUUAUUUUAGUAGUAAUUGUACUUAAAUAUAGAUAGAUUUUUUUUAAUCAUAAAGAUUUAAAGAAAAGUAAAGAAAAUGUUCAAAUAUGAAAUAAAAAAAAUAUAAAAAUAGAGUAGAGGGGUGGAUGUAGCUGUGGAUCAAGGCAGUGGAUUGUGAAUCCACCAUGUGCGGGUCAAUUCCCGUCGUUCGCCUAUUAUUUCUUUUUCUGCUUUUGUAUUAAGUUUAUUAAUUUUUUUUAAAUAAAUGAUUGGCCACAAAAGGAUUUUUUUUAGUGAAUGUGUCACCGCUUACUCUUAAUUUUUUUUUUGUAAAGACGAAGAAAUUUUUUUUAAUUUUUCUCCUAUUUAUUACGGCGACGAAGAAUCAAAUUAUCACCAUAUUUAUUCUUUUUUCUAUUUCUUCUUCCAAGUGCAGGGGAUUGUGGGUUUUUUUUCUACCAAUUGGAGCUCUCCCUUCCCCACCUCCAUGGGGAUGGUCUACAGGAUUCAUAAUUACUCCUCUUACUAUAGGACGCUUACCUAGCCAACGCUUAGAUCCGGCUCUACCCAAACAUUUCUGGUUCACCCAAACAUUCCCUACUUGUCUGACUAUUGCUGAGCAGUUUUUGGAUAUCAAACGGACCUCCCCAGAAGGUAAUUUUUAUGUGGCCGAUUUACCCUCUUUUGCAAUUAGUUUCGCUACAGCACCCACUGCUCUAGCUAAUUGUCCAUCCUUUCCAAGUGUGAUUUCUAUGUUAUGUAUGGCCGUGCCUAAGGGCAUAUCGGUUGAAGUAGAUUCUUCUUUUUGAUCAAUCAAAACCCCUUCCUAAACUAUACAAGCUUCUUACAAAGCAUACGGCUUUCUGGAUGUAGAUGAUGAUAUUUAUAUAGAUGGAUCUUAUAUCAUACAAUGAAGUACCCCAUGGAUGGAUAUAUGAAUGCAAAUCUGCCGAAUGACUCAUGUUAUGAUCUUCUACAUUCUAGGUCUUCUCGUUCCGUCAUCUGGCUUAUAUUCUUCAUGUAGCAUUCAGACCGAAUGACUCUAUGAAAUUACGUCGAUACUUCCACAUAUUAUGGGUAACGUAGGAGACAUCUCUAUUUUUCCCCCGGGGAAUCUUUAGAAUUCCCACUGCUUAGCUUUCAAUUCGCCUCUGACCAUCGAAUGAAAUGUGAAUACCCUGUCCUCCUCUUUUUGAAAGAAGGGGCGCUUUCGGUUCUGUCGGUGCUUGAAACAAUUUUGUCUUCUUCAUAUUACUAUAUCUCUAGAGUCAAUAAGUUUAUAUAAGGAACUACUGAACUCAAUCACUUGCUGCCGUUACUCUUCAGUUUUCUGUUGAGGUCUAUCCUGUAGAGGUACUCAAAUUAGACCAGUGAUCGAUUUCUAGGUUUCAUCGUAAACCUAAUUGGUUACUUCCAAUUACGUAAAUCAAUAGUUCAAACCGCACUCAAAUAUAGGGCAUUUCCCAUUUUUAUAGGAACUUCUGUACCAGAAACAAUGGUAUCUCCUAUUUGACCCCCUCUGGGAUGUAAAAUAUAUCUCUUCUUACCAUCCCCAUAGUGUAUGAGACAAAUGUAUGCAUUUCGAUUAGGGUCAUAUUCUAUGGUUACGAUUCUACCAUAUAAGUCUUUUUCAUUCCGUCGAAAAUCGAUUUUACGGUAUAGACGCUUAUGACCUCCCCCUCUAUGCCCUGAACUAAUGAUUCCUCUGGCAUUAUGACCUUUACCACAAUGAUGCUGUCCAUAGAUCUAAUUGUUUCGUGGAUUGGAUUUCACUUGACUGUCUACUUUUCCAUUGCGUGUGCUCGGGGUAGAAGUUUUGUAUAAAUGUAUCGCCAUGCUAUUAACUAUUUUGAUUUAAGUUUUUUUUGUUCUACGAGAUGGAAUAGAAUAACCUGGUUGAAGCGUAAGAUCAUACGUUUGUAAUGCAUUAUAUGUCCCAUAAUAGGUCCCAUUCUUCUAUCCUUUCCCGGAAGUCGAUGACUAUUCAUAGCUAUUACCUUGAUACCAAAGAAGCGUUCGACCUAAUGCUUUAUUUCUGUCCUAGUUGAUCUCAAUUCGACAUUAAAAGUAUAUUGAUUUUUCCCCAAUAACCGAAUACUUUUGUCUGUAAAUACUGCAUAUUUGAUUCCAUCCAUAAAUCUAUUUUCUUCCCUAUGAGUUCUAGUCUCAAUAAGAAUGCUAGUUCUUACUGUUCAUAUAUUAUGAUAUGAAUAUACUACACCAAUUCGUUAUGUAUGGAUGAUGAGAUUCCAUUGAUGCAGAGUCAAUUCCAAUAGACUUAUUGGAGGGUCCUAUUGGCGUGCAUCCAGUAAGACUUGAACCUAUGAAUUCGCCAAUUAUGAGUUGGGCGCUUUAACCUUUCAGCCAUGGAUGCUUAGCGGGGAUCCUCGUACAUGGUGAAUGACCAAAUUCUAAUUGAAAUGAAAUCUUUAAGAUAAAUCAAUGCAAUUUAUGAGGAAUCAAUGAAAGGACAUCAAUUCAAAUCCUGGAUUUUCGAAUUGAGAGACAUAUUGAGAGAGAUCAAGAAUUCCACUAUUUCUUAGAUUCAUGGGCCCAAUUCAAUUCAGUGGGAUCUUUCAUUCACAUUUUUUUCCACCAAGAACGUUUUAUAAAACUCUUUGACUCCCGAAUUUGGAGUAUCCUACUUUCACGCAAUUCACAGGGUUCAAUAAGCAAUCGAUAUUUCACGAUCAACGGUGUAAUACUCUUUGUAGUAGUGGUUCUUAUAUAUCAUAUUAACAAUCGAACUAUGGUCAAAAGCAAAAAUCUCUAUUUGAUAGGACUUCUUCCUAUAGCUAUGAAUUCCAUUGGACCCAAAAAUGAUACAUUGGAAGAAUCCGUUGGGUUUCCAAUAUCAAUAGGUUGAUUGUUUCGCUUCUCUCUCUUCCAAAAAGAAAAAAGAUCUCUGAGAGUUGUUUCCUGAAUCCGAAAGAGAGUACUUGGGUUCUCCCAAUAAAUAAAAAGUGUGCCAUCCCUGAAUCUAACUGGGGUUCGCGAUGGUGGAGGAAAUGGAUCAGAAGAGGGGGGGAUUCUAGUUGUAAGAUAUCUAAUGAAACCGCCGUUGGAAUUGAGACCUUAUUCAAAGAGAAAGAUCUCAAAUAUCUGGAGUUUCUUUUUGUAUAUUACAAUGCCGUUAGGUUUGUACCCUGUGUUUAACUAGAUGACCAAUUCAUCUAUGGUAAAAAUUGAAAGAAAGGACUUUUCCUGAGUUUGACUGGUCAACUACUGUCUGGGACUGGCAUUGUAAUCAAUUAGUUUGUUUGGAUAGCAAGGUUUUCAAAUACAAAUUUCAGAUUUUGUUUUGCUUGCAUCAUACACACAAUUUUCAAUCAACUUUUUAUCUCACAUACAUCACAUCAUAAAAAGUGUUAUAGUAAUUUUUUCAGAUAAAUAUUUCAAAUAACUUCCUAUCAAACAAACCUAGUGUCACUUAAGUUGAAAAGACUUUUCACUAAAUACGAACUAUUCCAACCAGGUCAUUGUCAAGUUUUUGAUCUUACAAAGCCACUACUUUUGACCACACAAUCCAUCAAUUAUUGUCCAUAUUUAUUGUUUUGGACCAUACCAAGUUAAAAUUUUGUAAGUGUAUCCGCUAUGUUUGGUAGCGAUCCAUUUCUAAACAUGUCUCUUUUAGUCUUUGAUGAAAAUGAGACGUUAACUAAACUAAAUAUUUCUUAACACAUUUCUUAAUCAUCUUUUUAUUUUAUAUAUAUUAUAUCAAAAAAAUAUUAUUGUAUUUUAAAAAAAAUUAUCUCAAAUAAUCUACUAUUUAAACACACUUAGUAAACCAAACACCAAUAGUUAAGGGACAGUAACCACCUUUCCUUUUUUAUUCCGGCAAAAAGUAGUUUCCAUUUUCUAAUAGAUCAUAAGGACACUAGAAAGAGUUAUCAAGAAUCUUCCCUAGACCACGUUUUCAUAAUUUGGGUAACUGGCCUGUGCUUAGACUUAACGAGGAUCCUAAGCUUCUCAACAAAACAUGCCACAUUAGUUGGUCAAAGAAUUUGUUGUACAUAAAUUUUGAAUAGAUUCGUUCUUCAAUCCUACAUUUCUCGAAUGAGGAUGAACCUGCGUCAUGCAACGCCAUAUUACUUUGUCUGAAUCGUGUUCACUAUUGAGAAGUCAAUUGACAGAAAUUUCUACAUAGUUUUUUUCAUGUCUGUCACAAAAGAAAAUUAUUUUAAAAGGACCGGAAUUGGUUUCUUACAAUUUUUACUUGUCAGUGGAAACAAAUACCUUGUUAGAUCUAGAGAAACCAGCAAAGGAUAGACUUAUUCCAAUCUCCCCCUCCAUAGUCAAUUGAUUAUCCUCAUGUGUAUGUAACUAUUUCAAUGGUUGGUAACAAGAUGCUGUCGGGGUAUUAAAAGAAAAAUUCAAAUAUGCAUCGCAAAGAAUAGCAUAUGAGCAUAUGGACGAUUAACAUACAAUUCUUCUGGCCAUCCAUGUUGGAUCAGGGCUUCUGUCAUCACUAGUGGUGACAACACGGUGUGGGAUAGACAGUAAUAUAAAAUAUAAACAUUAACAAAAACAAAUAUAAAUAUUAGCACAAUAAGAUUUUGUUAUAUUAGUAUCAAUAUUUGUUAUAUUAUUGUCUACACAGUAUCCUAUUGUUGCCACUAAUGAUAGUAGAGGCUUCCAGUCCAUGUUUUUUCCUAUGUACCAUGGCUUACUGAAUAGUAAAAUUUUUCAUUGAAAAAUCUUAUUCUAGAUCAAUUACCCUUCCUAGCUAUACAUGACAUAUUUGCUCCUUGCAUUGCGUAAGAUCUUCAAUAAUUCAAGAAAUCAGUGAAUAACAUAAUCUCAUUGUAUUAUCAUAAUUGGUAGUACUAACAAAUAACGUUCUUACUAGUACGUAGCAACCAAAAACCAGAAACGACAUACAAGUGUCCCAAAAUUAACUUUUACCGUAGAAUUCUACAAAGAAUCAAGCCCAUUGUUAAAAAUAGCAGUAAAAGCAUCCAUUCUUGGCUUGGAAAGGGAUAAACCAACCUCAAUAUCUCCAUCUGAUUCUCUACUCCCACUAAGAGAAAUGGCCCCUGAAGUUUCAAUCGAAAUGAACUCAAACUUUUUAGGCUUUCCCCAUCCAAAAUCCAGAUUGUAAUAGUUAUACCUUGGUGAGCCUGCCACGGAAACAACCCUGUCCAAAUUUAUACCUGCAAUACCCGGCAACCACGUGUCGGCAUCGUCGAAGAGUGAAUCAUUGUUCUUCAAUCUCUGAUGAAUGCCCUCCCCGAUUGACUCAACUGCAAUUGGAAAUCCUUCUUCUCCAAUUAACUUUCCAUUUUUUUCAUUUUUCCUAAUAACUGUUUGGCAAUUGCCAAAAUAGUUGGAAGGUAAAGGUGGAUCCAUACGUCCUCUACAAUCAGCCAGGCAACAAAAGUGCUCCACCUCACCUUCACCCACUUGUUCUCCACUUGGACCACGACAUUUUACCAAGCAAGUCCAAACAUGGGCACAAAUUACCGUAAAUGAUGAUAAAUGAACUAAUUGUGGCCGUUUUUGCAGGGCUAAGCUCUUUAGUUUUUCGAUAUUGUUUCUGCUAAUAACAAAAGAUCUGCGAACUUUUUUGGUCAUAGGUUUUGCUGUAGUAUCAGUAGAACUCUCAUGUUGAAAAAGCUUUAAGAAGACGACCCCUUGGUCCCAAAAAAUUGAGCCAAGUCCCUUUGUGUCUUUGAUCAUAGUCCUAUCGUAACAUGGUGGAGAAUAACUUACUAGAGUUGCCGCAGCAUCAUCUCUGUCGAUAUUAUCUUCAAAAAAUUUGGAGCUCAAAGCAGCCCACGUCUUCAUAAAUCCGAAAAUGCUGCCGGCAUCUCCGACAGUGUGGUGAUUUGAGAUUCCAAUAGACAUUCCACAGUCUGGAAAUAAUGUAACCUGAAGAGCAAGAACUGGGGUAAUCCUGGCUGUGGAUCCGGAAUCAUCCUCCGUAGAUGGUUUCAAUUCAGGAAUCAAAGGAUGAAAAUCACGACAAUUCCGUGCAUGGUUUGCUGUAAGAUAAUUGAAAUCAGUCGUGGUACACUCGGCAAUGAUUAGUGCUAGUGAACUUCCAUUUUUGUAACGAAUUUCGGGCGUGCCAGAAUUUGAAUUGGAAGGAACUAUCAAAUUCCCGGCUAGGGGAAGAAAAUGUUGGAGUGUCAAGGAGAGUGAAUGUUCAAGCUUAGGAAUGAUGUGCUCGAUGAAAUGGGCUCUAGAGAGCUGAGGUACCUCAUAAAGGACGAGGCGUUGGAUGGGGGAAAAGUGCAACCACGGCAUAUCAAGGAAUGUUAAAGGAAGAGACAUUUCAGUGGCCGCCGCAGACGACGGUGGUGACACUAAAGAAUGCUUAAGCACGGUGACUGCAUCGGGUGUAGCCAUUUUACCUUGGUUGGUGCUAUUUGCGUGUUUGAUGGAAAGGUGUUCUUCUAUUAAGAAAACAAGGAGAGAUGUUUUCUUUUUUGUUCUUUUGUUUUUUGGUCUGGUUGGCGAAUGGAUAUAUGAGCUCGUAUUUGUAGUGAAGAACGGAGGAGCACAGGCACGGGUGAAAAAAUAAUUGAGAAUGCUUCAGUUGAGUUUUGCCUAAUUUUGUGCGGUUUGUAAAUUUUUUUUUGUGUAAUUUUAUGUGUAUAAUUCUAUGCUUUUUAGUAAGUUUUAAUGUACAUGUGAAUUUCUUUUACAACAUCUAAUUUUAGCACAGACGUAACUAGACCAAAUUCCAAGAUGUCACUGUGCAUCCGCCAUUUUUUCUUACUUCCUAACUACGGCUCUUUGCGGAUGUAUAUCAAAUCUUGUUAAAAUUACGCUAAGAGACGUAACUAGACCAAUUCCAAGAUGUCACUGUACAUCCGCCAUUUUUUCCCGCUACCGGAUUACGACUCUUUGCGGUUCCUGCAGAGCAACUUUAAUCUGCAGGGCCACCUAUUGGCUUCUAAUGUACCAUCUGUUGAAAUAAGGGAUAAUUUUAGAAACCUUCUCUAAGGUUGCUGACAGUCUCGCUCUCCUCCUAUGAGGUUCUCAAAAUAAUUAGAAAUUUCCUCUAACAGAAUAUUGAGUCCCAAUUCUUACAUCAUCGUGGGUGAAAUGAUUUAAGUACUCGCACAACUUAGCAAUUAUUUCACAAUUAUCUAGACAAAUUUACCUAAGCUAGUUAUAAAUACGAUUAACAUAAUAAAUGAUAAUUUAUAAGUACAAAUAAUAUCCCAAAUGCCAUGAGAAAAUGGGCACCAAAUUCAGGCACCAUUUUCUGAUUGAUGUAUAGCAUAGAAAGCUGCAGGGGUAAGACGUCACUUCAAUUAGAACAACAGAAGCAGGGGUUUUAAUACCAUAUGUGAGGAUUCUCAUUUUUGUUGAAGAGGAUUCAAGAGGUCUUUAAGGCUCACCAGUUAGUCUCUAAUAAUUUUAUAUUGAAAAUUUUUAAUUCUUUGGCAGUUUAUGUGGGUAUGGUUGUUGUUUGUGUAUGGUAGACUAUGCUUAGGUAAUUUUCUGUUUCCCGUGUGACUUGGGUUGCUAAGAAUUUUAAUUGAAAAAUUUUUAUGCUUUGGCAACUUAUGAUGAUAUAGUUGUUGUUUGUGUAUGACAUGGAAAGGUGCGGAAAGUUAAAAAAAAAAAAAAAAAAAAAAGGAGUUACAAUGGUAAUGGUAUCCAUGAGUAGCAGUGCAUUAUCAACUUCUAGAAUAAUGCUGCUUUUCCUCAGUCUUCUAUGAAUAUAUGUGGUCAAGAUCAAAAUUUUCUUCUUAAAAUUAAAUUCACUACUUAGGAACAUUAGUUUGGUUGCUUUUCUUGUACCUGACCAAUCAAUUAAUCUAUCAGAUAUUAGUAGUUCUUAUUGUUGCACUAAAUGAUGAAGCAACUGCUGUGUGGAUGAUUUGCUAGAAUUUCACUCGCAAUAUCAAGACUAGCUACUUUUGAUUACGUAUAAAAUCAACAUUCAAGUAAGCAUCGAGUAGCGGAUUCACUGUUGAAGUACAAUUCUUGUUACAAUAAUCAUAAUUUUCAUGUUUAGCUUGGCUUAUUAAAUAGAUCAAAUUGUAGUAGAAACAUUUUGCUCCAUGGACUGCCUCUAUACCCUUGGUGUUAUUUGCUACAAAUAAGCAUGUUUCGAAAACCUUUGAUUCGGCCUCAGCCAUUUUCCCUCGGUGUUAUCUGCGUAAAUGAUGGAAAGAUUCCUUCGUUUUCAUGGGAGCAUUUGUAGUUUUUCAAAUUAUCCAAAUGUUAAAAUAAAUACUACUAUAAAACUUUUGACAUCAAACACAGGUCAAGAAAAAAUUAACAAAAACUUAGAAAAAGCAAAAAGAAGAAAAAAUAUUUGAAAACAGAAAAUUGAAAGAAAGUGCUUUUUUCCGUAUACACUAUCAGUGUUGUAUAAAUGAUAGCUAUGCAACAUUUGAAUUUAAAAUUUAACUUUUGAACAUACGUUAUGGAUCCAACGGUGUAAGUAUAUAUGCUGUUAAUGUAUAUAAGAUUUAUUCCUAUUUAAAAGGAAUUAAAAAAGAUAAAGAAAUUUAUUCAUAUUAGGCAAUCUUAGAAUUCAAGUCAAAUAUUUUUUGGACUAAUAAGAAGUUCAAGAAAAAAAUCAAAAGAAAAGAAAAGACAAGAGCCAAUAGUUAUAUGUAUAUGAAUCUUUUGAAGGUGAAGGUCAUUCUUUGUUCAAAUUAGAAAAGCAAAUAUAUGAGUUGAUUGAUAAAAAAAUAAAGAAAGUACAAUUAAUACAAAUUUAUAUAAUGUAGAUUAUCUAUAGAUUUGUUGAAACUAACUAUAAAUUAAAAAAAAAUUGUAAAAAAGGCUAUAAUCAAUUGUUACAAAAAUAAUUCCAAACAAAAAAUAUAAUGUAGGUUAAUUUUCUUACAAGCAUUUGUAGUUUUUCAAAUGAUCCAAAAUUUAAAAUAAAUACCAUAAAAUUUUUGACAUCAAACACAAGUUGAGAAAAAAUUAAGGAAAACUUGAAAGUUUGAAAAAAUAAGUGUGUGUCGUGUCAACUUCUACGUUACUCUUACCCUUACUCUUAUUUUGAUUUAUUUAAGAGAGGGUCGAACUAAAUCAGGGAAAUAGAAAGGGCGAUUCACCUUGAUUUUGCUAUAGUGCAGUACAGUCAGACCUGCACUUUGUGUUUUAUUUGAUGACCAACUUGGUUAAGGUAAAAAUUGAAAGAAAGGACUUUUCCAGGUUUGACUGGUCAACCGCUCUUUCGGACUUGCAUAAUCAUGCAAGCUAAAAAGACUUUUCCCUGGUGAUUGUAUAUCAAAUAUUGGGAUAAUUUCAGAAACCUCUCCCUGAUGUUUCUGACACUUUCACUGACAUCUUUUGAGAUUCUAAAAAUUUUACUCAUCUUCAUUGCUUUUGAGUUUUUGGUAACAAUGCAGUCCUAAUCACAUUACAAUAUGUUAUUUUCAAAAGUGAGAUGAUAUUUUUAUUCCAUGGAUGCCCUUUUGAUCCUUGUAUUAGUAGAAAAUUGAAAGAAGAUUAACUGAUUACAAUGAUUACUAAAGCUGAGGGCGUAUAAGUGCAAUACAAAAACUUGUAAGCACCAAAUUUUUCUUGAAGUAGUGAUUUGGUAGCAAUUGCAAUGGCUAGCUGCAAGUUGCAACGGCCAAAUAUUUCUUUCAAUAGCAAUAGUAUAUAGAGCAUCUUAACUACCUCUACAUCCCUCAAGCUAUUAUCAUUCUUUGUUGCAAGUUUUGGAGUGAUAACAAAGUUAAUCCGUUGUGCUUCAUUUAGAGCUCAGAGUGAAAAGAUUUUAGCAGAAAUUAUGGCAUCUUCAGGCCAUAAGGGAGAAUCAUGGAAUUCAUCCACAUCUUUCACCAUUAAAAACAAAUAUUGCCAUUGUAAUCGCAAAACAACAAUGAAGAUAUGUGAGAAUGAAAAGAAUAUGGGCAAGUUGUAUUUCUGUCGUGCAAAGUGCAGGUAUUUUGAAUGAUGUGAUGGAGGUGAAGAAGAAGAAGCUAAUAGUAGAAGAAACAACCUCAAUGCAGGACUUAAGUGUCUAUGAUCAACUCGAUAAUCUACUUAACAGACAUAUAAUGUUCAAUAGCAAGACUUAAGUAACAGCAAGAGGUGGUAUGGCUGAUCAAGCAACACCAGUAAAGGAAAGUUAAGAUAAGAAUGAAAUUUGUACUUGUACUGUUGUGGUUGCAACUAUUUCAUCCAGUCAAAUUCUUCACUUUGUUGCUACUUGUCCAACGCAUAUCAGGAGCACAAAAUCUUUACUUUGCAUCCAUUUUUGUUCUUCUUUUUCCUCUAUUUCUUCUCCUCUAUCUAUUUCUUCCCUUGCACUUUAUAUGGUUAGGGUGUCACAUAAUUGAUCCCAUCUCCUUGUCCAAUCAUAGCAGUCGCCAAUUUUGUGACUCGUUGGCACCUUCCUCACUAAUCCAGGUUAAGUUCAUGCAUUAGACAUCAAAAUUGUGUUAUUGCUGUUAAACUUAAUUAACUACUUUAGAUGCCUUUUCCCCCAACUAUACAGUAGUAACAAACCCCAACUUCAUAGGAUAUACUAGUAAUUUUAGCCUUCAUGAUGUCAGCAAAAGGCCCCAAUUUUCUGUAAAGGGAGGUCAGUGGAAAUUUUAGAACCUCAGGAGAUAUCAGGGAAAGUGUCAAAAACCUCAAGGGAGUUUUUUGAAAUUAUCCUAUGAAAUAUUCCAUCCAUCCACCGUAUGGUCAUUAUCAAAAUUUUCUUCUUGCCAAGCCACUAAUUUUGACUACACUAUCCUUCAAUUAUCGUCCAUAUUAUUGAGGCUCUAAGCCUCUAACUGGAUCACGCGUCUUUUUUGCAAAGGCUUCCUAAUCCCACGUGGGUUCAGAAUGUGUCUCCAAAGAAAGGCGGUGGCUCCAGAGAUAAGGCCCGCGAUCCGGCUUUUUCACGCAGCUAUGCAGUCUCUGGCGUGGGCACGCUCUGAAAGGACUGGUCUUCUGAAAAUUUGGCCUCUUUUUACUACUUUUGACACCAAUCGCCUGCAACUGACACAAAUACCAAUUAUGAGUACAAACCCGUUACUCUGCACAAUAAUUGGCCAAAAUUAGGACCAAACACCAAUGUAAUAAACACUCAAUUAUCGUCCUAUCAGUGGACUCUGGAAUAACUUUGACUUAUGAAUCAUUCCGUGAAUUGCCUUGCUUGGUGAGAGAUGAUAUCGCUCUUGAUCGGUUGGGACUUCCAAGCUUUAGUAGAGUUAAAGUGUAGCAAGUCAGUUAGCAAUAGUGCUCCUCUGCCUUUUGCUUUAAGAGUAUGACCACCUUAUAUUUUAUUAAAUAAAGUCAAAGUCGUUCUUUAAAAAAAAAAAAAUAUAUAUAUAUAUACAUACAUAUAUAUAUAUAUAUAUAUAUAUAUAUAUAUAUAUGGAUUCAAUGGAGCAUCUUACCAGGAAAGUCAACGUUUGAGUUUUUUUAAUCAAUUUUACAUCUGGACAAGCGAGAAACAUACGUGGUCUAGAAAUUCGACUCCAAAAGAUAUGUCAACUAUAAGGAAUUUGGUGAGUGACAGGCGUCAAACCUGUGCAAUAAUAAAUACCUGCUUAAAUAAAAUAUAAAUUCUGUAUAUAGCGGUAAGCAGGGUCGAAUCCACAGAGACUGGGGAUAAUUUAAUUUCUUCUCAAGUUCCAGAUAUGGGGGGUUUUGAAAAUGAUAGUAACUAAAUUACUUGGAAUAAAUUAAUUAAAAUAAAAUAACUACAACUCAAAUAACUAAUUAUCACAAUAAAAAUAAUAAUGGACGAACUCUAGCCAAGAGACAACUUCGGAGAUGGUUCACUUAAUUCGAUCACAGAUGUAAGGAUUAUUCCAGUUACUAUCUGAUAAAUUAGUUAUAGUUGUCAUACACGCGAUAAACAACCAACUCUUCCUCAAUUUGUCGAUAGCCAAGGUACGACCGUUGACUAUUUCUCUAAUCAGGAAAUAACCCUAGGUACGACCAUAGAAGUUCAAUUCCCUAAUUGCAUGAAUAAUUAGAAGAGCCUAAUUCUAACCAAUCAACACGCUACGAGGGUCUCUUUAAGUUAGCCUGCCUAUCUCCCUGACACAAAUCCAAUCAUGCCAGUUGCCACCAGUUUAGAAUAAUUAAACAAUUACGGAUUUAACUAUCCUAAUUGGCUUCAGGUUAUUGAAUUAAUCUAGAAUCCGGGCCCUGGAUAAUCGAAUAAUAAAACAACCAUAUGAACAUAAAGCAGAAGACAGACAAAUACUAGUGAAUAAUGGGAAUAAAUAAAAAUUAAUUCGAUCUCACAAAUUUAGUAGAACCAAAUCCUCCGUUGUUCUUGACUAGACAAACUUAGCCAUGCCUCAUGAGAAAAUCUUCAAGUAAUUCCACUGAGGUCCAGGCCAUCAUAAGAGCCCAGAAAGAAACGAAAAAACUAAAAACUAUCCUAAAGCUUCGAUAGGAACUAAAGAUAAAAAGUAUUCAUUCCCUGAUCUCCAUCCGUGUACUUCUUUUUAAAGCCAAAGAGGACUAAUGCCUCUCCUAGUGCGUGGAUCCCGCCGAAUUGAGAGUCAAAGUCCAAGAAGGAAACUCUGCCGAAUUGAGAGAAAACCAAAUCCACAAGGUGGGUCCUGCCGAAUUGCUUCUUGUUUCCCAUUUCUGUACGUUACUUCUCUUAAAGGCCAAAUGAAGAAAAAACCUUUUCUCCUCUCGUGGUCCCCACCGAAAUUGGGAAGCUAAAAGAAAUACAAGAAGAAAGCUCCGUUGAUGUUUUAGGACUCUUGGUCCGCAGCUACUAGUCAGCCAGGAGCAAAGACCAAGGCAAUCCGUCUCCUCUUGUGGGCCAAGUCCAUGGGACUUUCUUCUUAAGUCUCCCACUUAUGGAGCAAGUCCCUCCUUUUUGGUAAUUUUUUGCUUCAUUCCCUGAAAUUAAAUCCAGAUACCAAAUCUAAGUAGAUAUCGACAAUUAACACAAUAUUUGGCAGGGAUAAAAGAGGAAAUUAAUAAUAAAAUUACUAACAAAUUAUACCCUAUCAAUUCCCCCCACACCUGAACCAUGCUUGCCCUCAAGCAUGAGAACAACAAUUGAACACCGAAAUUUAAUAAUGGCUAUUGCUCCAAUUACCGUAUUGCCAAGGUACCCAGAAAAACAUAUAUCAAGCUGCACAGGUUAAAAUCAAAGAAAAAUCACCCGGUUAGCUUCCCAAUCACCAACUCCUCCAAUUUAAAGCAAACUAAUCUAAGGAAAAGGAAUGGUUGCUCACAUCUAUCAGUAAAUGGUCCAACCAUUAAUCAAAAUCUCGACAUUAAGAUCACAAACCGGCAAGCUAACUUGUUCACAUACUAACACAAUCUUUAUUUUAUUUUAUUAUUUUUUUUUUGAGUAACAAAAGACUUAGUCUAUAGCCCUUAGAGCCUUUUGACGCGAACUCCAACAUUUGACAGAUGAAGGAGCCCGGUUACUCAGCUCCAAUCGCUACAGGACCACGCACUCAUAGCAACUACUACCUUUGACUCGAAAAUCGACACUUUAGGUGAAGAUUCCCGGUUACUCAGUAGUAAUCACUAGCGGAGUACAGUCAACUCUUAUUUACAACCAUACAGCACAAUAACUAAAAAUAAAAAAUAACAGCAGCCAGCCUCAAAUUUCCAAAUAUGGAGAACUAAAAUUAAUAACUGGACCAAUUCACAUGAAAAAUGCCAACUAUCAUUCUUUAUGCCUAGAAAAGUUAACCAAAAAUUAGAAAAGUCAAGCAAUUACUGAUAUUCACCAGAGGGAUGUUCCUGAACUCAACCACAUCAACUUGAUACCUUUUUAUUAAUAAACUUGGCAAUAGCAGAGUUAGAGAUAACAAUCCAGCAUCAAACUUGGUAUUCAUAUGAAGACUGACCACUAAAAAGAAAGAAAAGAAAAUAAACGAAAAAUAGAACAAAUAACAAAAAUAAAGGAAAAUAUGUAAAAACUAAAAAUUAGAAAUACUAGCUGUACCACAGCUGUCCCCCCCACACCUAUGUGACACAUUGCCCUCAAUGUGAUAAUGUAAAAGCAGAAGGAAGGAGAGGGGCGACGGCACUUCCCUGAAGUCAUCAAAAUAGGGGCGGUUCAGGUGGAAAUUGUGGACCAACUCGCAUCUGAAACUGGUGCCAAUCGUGGCUUCACCAUGGACUCUAGAUAUCACUCUAAGCAACAAGAGACUACAAUUGCCAACAAAUAAUGGAAGCCGAAAAUUCAAAGCAAUAACAAUUUUAAAGCCAACCCAACGAAUAAAAAGCACAAUUCAACCACCCAGAGAACAUACAAAUACCCCAACACUUAUAGCAAUUGCAAUCAAUAAGCACCUAUGGUCCAAACGUAGUCAAAUUCAGAAUCAAGACAGUCCAAAAUGCAACAAGUGUUCCAAAGAGCUUAGUAAAGGAAACCAAAAGGAUAAAAUGCUCCUGAGCAAGACAAUUAGAGGUAACCACUUCAAUAAGCAAAUUUAAGCGUAACAGGCACCUCUUAAUUUAACCAACAGCCGCAGCAAAUUACCCACAACUCGACACAAAUUAUACAAUUUAGACACAAAUGGACCCAAAAUCGUAACAACUGUCUCCAAUUGGACAGUUAAUUACCCAAUUCAACCUGCUAAAAUUAGCAAUUGACCACAGAAAUUGGCAAUUCCAGCAACCACAGUUCAGGAUUCGAAAAAUAAUUUAAGCACUAAGGAUCAAGAAACUGUAAGCAACAAUGCAACCAGUACCACUGGUGUACACACAGGGAGGAUUUAAAUCAAACAGCAGCAACUCAAUAAAUAUCAGAAAAAUAUCCCCACGUAUGGCAGCAAUUAAACCCAAUUCCGUCCAAAAUUCUACCCUAGAAAUUGCCUAACUCACCCCCUGCUUUAUCCAAACACUCAAUCACAGGGUGGUCAGGAACGACUCAAUCAUAAAUGCCCAGUAGUCACAACUCGCUUUAUUAGGCAAUCCAGAACACACGAUUAGCAGAUGUUAAACAACUACCAUCACCAGUACCACUGGUGAGUGUAUAGGGAGAAAUUAAAGCAAAUAACCAACCUAGUGAACAACAUGGAUUCGAACACCCGGCAACGCCAAAAAUGAGCGGAAAUUAAAGCCAGAAGCAAUGGGCAACUUACUCCCAAAGUACCCCCAAAUAUCGCAGCAGUUUAACUCAGCUCUACCCAAAAUUAACCCCAAAAAAUGUCUAAAAUCACUGCCUGCUGUUUUCCAACAAGAAGCCCAAGCAAGGGUACAAAAUUUCGCAAUUUAGGGUUCAGAAUAAGACAAAUUGAGGCAGGAAUUGCAAUACCUCCACCUGUCAAUUUACGUGCUGGGGUGGACGCGAGCUGGAGGUAGGCGGCUGAGGAUGGUGACGCGGCGUAGGCGCGGCGAGCUUGGAGGUGGCUUGUGAAGCUGCGGCGGACGGCAUGCUCGCUGGGCUGCGCGUGGCGAUGGGCUGGCUGUGGCGUGCGGCUGAGGAUGGUAGACAGUAGGGGGAAAGGUGAGGCCCGCGGCUGUCGCGCCUGGUGGUGCGCGCAAGACAGCGGAGAAAGGGUGGAAUUGGUGGCGUGCGAGGUUGCAGCCGCUGGUGGAGAUAGCGGGUUAGCGGCGGUCACGGGCUGUGGGAGAGAAAUGAGUGGCGGUUGAUGGAGCUUGGAGCUUGGAGCGUGGAGGCGGAGUGAUGCGGUGGUGGUGUGAAGGUGGCGGACGGCGAGGCGCGGCGGAGCUCGGCGAGCUGUGGGUGGACGGCCGUGGGCAGGAGAAGAAGAAAAGAAAAGGGAAAAAGAGAAAGUAGCGGGGAAGAAGGAAGAAAGAAAAGAAAGAAAGGAAAAAAAAAAAAAAGAAAGAAAGAAAGAAAAAGAAAAGAAGGAGAAAAAAAAAAUAGUUUUUGGGUUUUUUUUUUCAAUGUUUUUUUCCAAAUUUUCUUCCCGAAUUUGAAAUUUCAAAAUUUGAAUUUUUGAAGAAAAAAGAAAAAAAUGUUUUUUUUUUUUGAGUUUUUGAAUUUUCUCAAUGUGAAAUUUUUUAACUUUUUUUUUUUUUUUUUUUUUUACAAAGUCUUAGGCGUGGGCUAACGCUCCCUCGUCUUUUGACAUCCGGCGAAAUUCUCGACCGUUAGCGUGACCACCUGGCGUGGGCACGUCUAACUGCUAUAGUCCGCAGAUCCUGAACGAAAAUUUUUUCCCUCAGGCGUGACCACCUGGCGUGGGCAACUGCUCUAGAGUCUGGCGAACGCGAAAAUUUCUUUUCCUCAGGCGUGACCGCCUGGCGUGGGCACGUCUAACUGCUAUUUCCCUGCCACCAAACAUCAAACCAUUAAUUAACACUAACACUUAACUAAAACUUCAAAAAUGCAUGAAAACUAAAACAAAUAGUCUUGGGUUGCCUCCCAAAUAGCGCCUUUCUUUAAUGUCUUUGGCUAGACAUUUUCAUGUGUAUUCAUGGAGGAUAAAAUCUUGUGGCUCGUUUCAGUGCUUCAUCUUCUAUGUAAUCCUGAUAGCCCUCGUAACUGGAGUAAUUCUUGGGCACACGAGCUACAGGCUUCCAUGGACUAGUAAAUGGCACUAAACAAACAAAUGAUGGUCUUAAACCUUCACUCACUCCUCCAUCAAGAGCACUUAUUGGUUCGAGAUAUUUUGCCAUCAUGACUCUCAAUUUAUUCUUGGUAUGAAAUUCAAAAUCGUCUGGUAUAAUAAAAUCAAUCUCACUAACAGGAAUUAAAGAAUAAGAGUCAGGAAAAUAUUGAUCAAGGAAUGGAGGAGAUGUCACCGCAUUUGGAGAUUGUUCACUGGAUUCAUUCACUUGAACCAUUUGAUGUUGGGGUCUCAAUUUUUGCUCUUCAACUUUCUUUUCAACUGCAUCUUUAGAUUCUUCUUCUUGAGAUUCUUGCAGUACCAUGUCAUUUGUCAGAAUAACUGCACUCUCAUCUUCCUCAUGGUCGAUAAUAGUCGGUGAGGGCAAUUCUUCAUAAACUGGAGAAAUCAAUUUGCUCGUUUUAAAUGCCCGUUCACGCCUUGCUUCUUCCAUCCCUUUAUUCAUCCUUUGUGUCUCCUGUUGAAGUUGGUGUACCCCCUGUUGAAUUUGAUAUAUGUUAGUAGCUAUUAAUUCAACCAUUUCUUCAAGAGACAUACCUGACAUGGAUGACUGUUCUUGAGACUCAUACUGCUGAAAACUCAUUGGCUGCUGAAAAUUCAUUGGCCCUGUUGUAUAAUCAUAACUGGAGUUAUCCCACCAUCCUUGAUCAUACCCGUUUGGAUUAGAGUUAUACCACGUUUGAGACCAGGGUGAAAAAUCUCCAUAAUUAUUGAGUGGGACACUCAGAUUAUCUUGAUAUUCGGGGCACAUACCAGUUGAAUGAUCCCUGGCAUAACAAAUUUUACAGGUUGCAGCAGCCAUUCGUUUUCUAAUAGAGUUUACGGCCUCUGCAUGUGCGAACUUAGCAAAAAAACUAGUCUCAUCGCCUUCCUCGGAAACAAAAUCCAUUAUAUCACCAAAAUACGGAGUGUUAGAGGCCAUAAACUAUAUAUAUAAAAAAAAACAAGAGAAAAAUAAAUUAAAAAAAAUAAUAAAUAAAUAAAUAAAAACAAGGUGAACUCAAAAAGAAACAAAUUAAUCUGACACCAGUCCCCGGCAACGGCGCCAAAAAUUGACAGGUGCCCAGCCUGUGCAAUAAUAAAUACCUGCUCAAAUAAAAUACAAAUUCUGUAUAUAGCGGUAAGCAGGGUCGAAUCCACAGGGAUUGAGGAUAAUUUAAUUUCUUCUCAAGUUCCAGAUAUGGGGGGUUUUUGAAAAUGAGAGUAACUAAAUUACUUGGAAUAAAUUAAAAUAAAAAUAAAGUAACUACAACUCAAAUAACUAAUUAUCACAAUAACAAUAAAAAUGGAUGAACUCUAGCCAAGAGACAACUUCGGAGAUGGUUCACUUAAUUCGAUCACAGAUGCAAGGAUUACUCCAGUUACUAUCUGAUAAAUUAGUUAUAGUUGUCAUACACGCGAUAAACAACCAACUCUUCCUCAAUUUGUCGAUAGCCAAGGUACGACCGUUGACUAUUUCUCUAAUCAGGAAAUAACCCUAGGUACGACCAUAGAAGUUCAAUUCCCUAAUUGCAUGAAUAAUUAGAAGAGUCUAAUUCUAACCAAUCAACACGCUACGGAGGUCUCUUUAAGUUAGCCUGCCUAUCUCCCUGACACAAAUCCAAUCAUGCCAGUUGCCACCAGUUUAGAAUAAUUAAACAAUUACGGAUUUAACUAUCCUAAUUGGCUUCAGGUUAUUGAAUUAAUCUAGAAUCCGGGUCUUGGAUAAUCGAAUAAUAAAACAACCAUAUGAACAUAAAGCAGAAGACAGACAAAUACCAGUGAAUAAUGGGAAUAAAUAAAAACUAAUUCGAUCUCACAAAUUUAGUAGAACCAAAUCCUCCGUUGUUCUUGACUAGACAAACUUAGCCACGCCUCAUGAGAAAAUCUUCAAGUAAUUCCACUGAGAUCCAGGCCAUCAUAAGAGCCCAGAAAGAAACGAAAAAACUAAAAACUAUCCUAAAGCUUCGAUAGGAACUAAAGAUAAAAAGUAUUCAUCCCCUGAUCUCCAUCCGUGUACUUCUUUUUAAAGCCAAAGAGGACUAAUGCCUCUCCUAGUGCGUGGAUCCCACCGAAUUGAGAGUCAAAGUCCAAGAAGGAAACUCUGCCGAAUUGAGAGAAAACCAAAUCCACAAGGUAGGUCCUGCCGAAUUGCUUCUUGUUUCCCAUCUCUGUACGUUACUUCUCUUAAAGGCCAAAUGAAGAAAAAGCCUUUUCUCCUCUCGUGGUCCCCACCGAAAUUGGGAAGCUAAAAGAAAUACAAGAAGAAAGCUCCGUUGAUGUUUUAGGACUCUUGGUCCGCAGCUACUAGUCAGCCAGGAGCAAAGACCAAGGCAAUCCGUCUCCUCUUGUGGGCCAAGUCCAUGGGACUUUCUUCUUAAGUCUCUCACUUAUGGAGCAAGUCCCUCCUUUUUGGUAAUUUUUUGUUUCAUUCCCUGAAAUUAAAUCCAGAUACCAAAUCUAAGUAGAUAUCGACAAUUAACACAAUAUUUGGCAGGGAUAAAAGAGGAAAUUAAUAAUAAAAUUACUAACAAAUUAUACCCUAUCAGUGAGAUUCGAACGUAUUCGAGUGUCUCUUCAGACAAAUUUUACAACAACCAACUACAUAGAUAUAAACUGAAAUUACAUUCUCAAUAACUACAUUCAAUUGCACUUCCCUAGUACUUAAAAGACAUUUGUUUCAUUGUGAUUUCUCUGGUUUCUUUAGCAUGCUAACAAGUUUGAUGACCAACCGUUUCAAAAUGGGUUUGAUCAAUGUCUUAAUGAAUUUUACAAAAUAUUUAUUAUUUCAAUCUCUUUUCUUCGUCCAACCCUCUCCCCUCACCAGCACCCCCAUAUUUUUGGAUUAGGAGGUUGAAAGCCUAUAUAUGGCGUGUAAAUAGCUAAACAUGCAUGGACAUUUUCAAUUCCAACAACAAAAUUGAAACCUAUACUUGCACUUUUUUUAAAUUAAUUUUUUUUGUAAGAGGAGGCUAAAAGCCUAUUAGUGACUAACAAGAAAUGGAUGGCUCUUAUGCAAUUUGCAAACAUGAAUGGCUCCAGCCUAAAAGGUGAAAUUUAUAUUUAGAGUGCAAAAUGUUCAAAAUUAAAAUUUACGGUGCAAAAUGAAAAAGUAGUAUAAGUUCGAAAAUACAAAGUGGAGUUAAUCUUUUUUCAGAACCUUAUUAAAUGUGUUUCAUUGUUUUUCUUAGGUAAUUUGCUUCAAGUUUCCAAGGUUUUUCAUUAUCUCACUAUAUAACAAAAGAAAUUCUUGACUAUCAACUUUACAUUAUAUAUCUGCUGAGUAUACCACAUUAUUCUAGCCUCCUCCCAUUGAUGUUUAAUUCACUCUUAAAACAUUUUAUUCUCUACCUAACUGUUAGAAAUGUAAUCCUAUUUCAUUAAACCAUUUAUAUGCAAAAAAAUCAAAAGUCAAGAUUGAUUUAUCUACUGAGUAUAAGUUCGGAACCUUAUUAAAGUGGCACAAGUUCAAAGAUGCAAAGUAGAGUUAAUUCUUUUCCAAAACCUUGUUAAAUGUGCUUCAUUACUUCUUUUUUUUUUUUAGGUAAUUGUGUUUCAAGAUUUCAAGGUUUUCCAUUAUCCCACUAUACAAAAAAAAAUUCUUUGACUAUGAACUUUGAAUGAUAUAUCUGCUAAGUAUAUCACACUAUUCUACCGAAACCUACUGUGGUAGGUGGCCACCCAUUGAUAUUUAAUUCUCUUUUAAAACUUUUUAUGCUCAACCUAACUCUUUGAAAUGUAUUCCGAUUUCAUUUAAACCAUUCAUAUGCCAAAAAUUUAAAAGCCAAGAUUGAUUUAUCUGCUAAGUAUAAGUUCAGAAUCUUGUUAAAAUUGUAAAAAUUCAAAGGUACAAAGUGAAGUUAAUCAUUUUCCAGAACCUUGUUAUAUGUGUUUUUUAGGUAAAGGUGUUUCAAGUUUUGAUGGUUUUCCAUUAUCACACUAUAUAGCGAAAGAAAUUCUUGAAUAUGAACUUUCAAUGAUACAUCUACCGAGUAUACCACGCCAUUUUAUACAAACCUACUAUGAUAGGUGCCAACUCAUUGAUGUUUAAUUCUCUUUAAAAACUUUUUAUGCUCUACCUAACUCUUUGAAAAGUAAUCCAAUUUCAUUUAAACCAUUGAUAUGCAGAAAAAUAAAAAACCAAGAUUGAUUUAUCUGGUGAGUAAAAGUUCAGAACCUUGCCAAAGUGGUACAAAUUCGAAGGCUCAAAGUGGAAUUAAUCAUUUUCUGGAACCAUGUAAAAUGUGUUUUAUUUGUUUAGGUAAAUGUGUUUGAAGUUUUCAAGAUUUUCGUUAUCACGCUAUAAAGCAAAAGAAAUUCUUCACUAUAAACUUUGAAUGAUAAAUUUGCUCAAUAUAUUACACUAUUCUACCCAAAUCUAUUGUGAUAUGUGGCCACCCAUUGAUGUUUAAUUCUCAGAUAAAAUUUUUCUUCUCUGCCUAACUUUUAGAAAUGUAAUCCUAUUUCAUUUAAACCAUGUGUAUGCAGAAAAAUGAAAAGUCAAGAUUGAUUUAUCUACUAAGUAUAAGUUUAGAACAUUGUUAAAGUGGUAUAAGUUUGAAUAUGCAAAGUGGACUUAAUCCUUUUCCGGAACCUUGUUAAUUGUGUUUUUUUCAGAUAAAUGUGUUUCAAGGUUUUCUAUUAUCCCACUAUAUAGCGAAAGAAAUUCUUGGCUAUGAAUUUUAAAUGAUAUAUCUGCUGCGUAUACCACACCAUUCUACACAAACCUAUUGUGAUAGAUAGCCACCCAUUGAUGUUUAAUUCUCUUUUAAAACUUUUUGUGCUACACCUAACACUUUGAAAUGUAAUCCUGUUCAUUUAAACCAUUUAUAUGUAGAAAUAUCAAAAGUCAAGAUAGAUUUAAUUGUUCUACUAUAACCAUUUGUAACUGCUACUUCUUCCAUCCAAUAAAUAUAGUCAUUGAACAAAUUAUGUUCACCAGCUAACUAUUUGUUCUUCCUUCUUUGUUUAUCAUCUAGCCUUACAAAAUGGCAAAAAGUUCAGCUUUAGCAUCCAUCCAAAUUUCCCUUGUGCUAUUACUAGCAAUCGUUGUUUGUUUAGAAGCUAAUCUUCUUGACCCUUACUGUUGCUACCGUGGGAAGGAAACAAAGAUCACUGCGUACGUUCAACUAUUUUUAGGCGGACCAAAUGUCACCACUGUCCCAGUUGCCGGAGCCCUCGGUAGGCCGAGAAUUCCUGAGGAAUUUGGAACCAUUUCUGUUAAUGAUGCUCGCUUAACAGAAGGCAUCAGCAUCAAUUCUCUAACUGUCGGUCGAAGCCAAGGUCUUUAUGUUUCUGCAUCCCGUGAUAAUUUAAACUCAUUUGACGUAUUUUCCUUCCUUUUUACCAAUGCACAAUACAACGGUAGCACAUUGGAAUUCCAAGGACCAGGACUUGACUUACAAAAUGUUACUACGGUGAGAGAAGUUUCGGUAGUUUCUGGCACCAAAACGUUUAGGUAUGCUCAGGGAUAUGCAGCUUUUGAGACAGUUCUACGAAGGCCAGCAAUGAAUUAUACGGUUAUAAGGGCCAAUGUUACCAUAAGUCACUACUGAGGAGGAUGGGAAAUUUGAUUAAUAGAGGGAAAACCAAAAAUUAAGAAGGCCAGUUACAGAUAUUUAGUUUUAUUUCAGACCAUAUACGUACUUGGUGGUCUAUGUUUCUUUAUGUACUCCUUGUUCACUCGACUAUCUUAAUAAGAACUACAUCUAGAAGGAUGGGAAACAACAAAUAAUAAAAGUAAAAUAAUAAUUAAGAAAACCAAGUAUAGAUUUUUAUUUUUAUUGCGGACUAUUAUGUAUACUUGGUGAUCAAUGUGUGAUGUUUCUUCUUGUACUUUUAGUUUCACCAAUAUGUCCAUCGUAAUAAAAACACUAUUGGUGUUCUUCAAUUACACUUGACUUCGUAUUACGUAAGCUUGUGAAUGUGUUAACAUAAGCCAUGUGCAUUUACCAAGAGAGAUGUGUAUUGAAACUUAGAUAAAAUCUACACCUAAUUGUGGAGUUUGCUUGCACCGAUGGUGUACAUUGAUUAUUGCUUUUUGCACAUGCAAAAUCCCCGUCUCAAUAUUUUGGGAAAAUUUUUAAUAAUCUCCCCUAAAGUUUUUGAAUAUUGCAGCUACCUCCUCUAAGGUCUUAGAAAUUUAUGCUUACAAUACUUGAUGUUUUGAAUAUAAUAGUCUUCACAAAAACUUAAGAUACUAAGUGAAAAUCAUGUUGAAAAAAGGAAGAGGGAAACCCUUUUAAGCUGAUGCCUCUCUAUUCUAAAAGUUCUAAGUCUAUCUGAUGUAGUACAUUACAUUCCAUUCCCAAUUGUGCUAAAUGGAUUUCUUUUUGAGUUCUAUGAAGAGCUAACCAGCUAGUAGGAAAACAUUUGUUAAAAGAGAUCUCUUCACAAAUUAAUUAGAAAAAAGGUAUAGUCCAAGGACCAAAAAAUGAUGCCUUCAAAACAUGGUUCAAACUACAAAGAACUAUUAAAAAAUUUUUACCCAGUAGGUAUUUUUUUAAUUUUUUUAUUUUUUGGUAAUGGUGAUAUUUGACUUCUUUUAGCAUCUAAUUUGUUUUAGAAAUCAGAUAGGGGCAAUGGCUCAUGUUACGACAUGUUUAACUUGCAUAAAAAAAAAAUACAACUGAGAUUUGAUGUGCUUAAGCACGGCCUCCCCAUUUUAUGACAUGUUUAUGAAGCCACACAUUUGAUGUGCAAGAUUUUCACUUGCACAAUUGAGACCGCAUAGAUUUGCUUGUAAGCAUGAGACUGGAAGAACCCGUUUAGGAUUUGUUUUACAUAAGUUUUGAAUGGAUUUGUUCUUUAAUCUUUCAUUUCUCGAAUGAGGAUCAAACCUGCAUGAUGCUACGCCAUAUAACUCUGUCCGAAACCGUGUUCAGUAUGGAGAAGUCAAUUGACUGAAAUUUAAAAGCAUUGAGUAAAUUUUAGUUCUUACUUGUUGCUAUGUUAAACCUAUAUGGACUUCUCAGAUAUUUUAGAUAUUUCAAUCUUUUGAAAAUUCCACGUUUAUUCUAUUUCAUUUCCAAGUUCCAACAAUUCUCUCUAGUUUUAUUCAUGUCUUUCACAAAAAAAAUUAUUUCAAAAGGAACGAAAUUGGUUUCUUACAAUUUUUUCUUGUCAGUGUUUGAGUCCUGUAAGAAACAAAUACCUUGUUAGAUCUAAAUAAAUACCUUGGAUAAGGAGAGACUUAUUCCAAUCUCCCCCACCAAAGUCACUUGAUUAUCAAACGCUCCUCGAUCCUCAGGUGCAUGUAUCUAUCUCAAUGGUUGGUGAUUUUCCCUUAUUAUAAUCGUCAUUACACAUAUAAUUGGUACUACUAAUAAAUAAAGUUGUUAGUAUUAUGUAGAAGCCAAAAGGAGAUACAAGUGUCCCAAAAUUGACUUUUACAGUAGAAUUCUACAAAGAAUCAAGCCCAUUGUUAAAAAUAGCAGUAAAAGCAUCCAUUCUUGGCUUGGAAAGGGAUAAAUCAACCUCAAUAUCUCCAUCUGAUUCUCUACUCCCACUAAGAGAAAUGGCCCCUGAAGUAUCAAUCGAAACGAACUCGAACUUUUUAGGCUUUCCCCAUCCAAAAUCCAGAUUGUAAUAGUUAUACCUUGGUGAGCCAGCCACGGAAACAAGCCUGUCCAAAUUUAUACCCGCAGUAUCCGGCAACCACUUGUCAGCAUCGUCGAAGAGUGAAUCAUUGUUCUUCAAUCUCUGAUGAAUGGCCUCCCCGCUUAACUCAACUGCAAUUGGAAAUCCUUCUUCUCCAAUUAACUUUCCAUUUUUUUCAUUUUUCCUAAUAAGUGUUUGGCAAUUGCCAAAAUAGUUGGAAGGUAAAGGUGGAUCCAUACGUCCUCUACAAUCAGCCGUGCAACAAAAGUAUUCCUCCACUUGUUCUCCACUUGGACCACGACAUUUUACCAAGCAAGUCCAAACAUGGGCACAAAUUACCGUAAAUGAUGAUAAAUGAACUAAUUGUGGCCGUUUUUGCCGGGCUAAGUUCUUGACUUUUUCAAUAUUGUUUCUGCUAAUAACAAAAGAUCUGCGAACUUUGUCUGUUUUGGUCGUAGGUUUUGUUGUAGUAUCAGUAGAACUCUCAUUUUGAAAAAACUUUAAGAAGACGACCCCUUGGUCCCGAAAAAUUGAGUUAAGUCCCUUUGUGUCUUUGCUAGAGUUGCUGCAACAUCAUCUCUGUCGAUAUUAUCUUCAAGACAUUUGGAGCAUAAAGCAGCCCACGUCUUCAUAAAUCUGAAAAUGCUGCCGGCAUCUCCGACAGUGUGGUGAUUUGAGAUUCCAAUAGACAUUCCACAGUCUGGAAAUAAUGUAACCUGAAGAGCAAGAACAGGGGUAAUCCUGGCUGUGGAUCCGGAAUCAUCCUCAGUAGAUGGUUUCAAUUCAGGAAUCAGCGGAUGAAAAUCACAACAAUUCCGUGCAUGGUUUGCUGUAAGAUAAUUGAAAUCAAUCGUGGUACACUCGGCAAUGAUUAGUGCUAGUGAACUUCCAUUUUUUUAAAGAAUUUCGGGCGUGCCAGAAUUUGAAUUGGAAGGAACUAUCAAAUUCCCGGCUAGAGGAAGAAAAGGUUGGAGUGUCAAGGAGAGUGAAUGUUCAAGCUUAGGAAUAAUGUGCUCGAUGAAAUGUGCUCUAGAGAGCUGAGGUACUUCAUAAAGGACGAGGCGUUCAACAGGGGAAAAGUGCAACCAGAGCAUAUCAAGGAAUGUUAAAGGGAGAGACAUUGCAGUGGCCGCCGCAGACGACGGUGGCGACACUAGAGAAUGCUUAAGCACGGUGACUGAAUUUUCUGUAGCCAUUUUGGUCUAUAGUUGGCGAAUUGAUAUAUGAGCUCGUAUUUGUGAUCAAGACUAGAGGAGCACAGGCACGGGUGAAUAUAAUAUAGGGUUAAUCACAUUUUAUCCCCUUAAAGAACAGUUUACCCCCUAACCUUUAAUUUUGCUCACUUAACUCCCUUUAGGACAAAAUUGCCCUUGCAUUAUUUUGACUUUUCAUUUACCUUGUUUUUCUUUCUUUUAUUUCUUUUUCUCUUUCUUCUUUAUUUAAUUCUUCCUCUUUCCCACAAAAAUUUUAACCUUAAUGAUUGAAAUUAAAAAAGAAAAAUUGCAGAGAUUUAUCUUCUCCUUAAAUGAUUAAAAAAAUAUUCAAAUCACUUUCCUAAAAUAAAAUUUUUUUAGCUUUUCAAUUCUUUUAAUUUUGGAUUUUCCUUUUUCCUUUCUAGUUUCUCAUUUUAUUCUCAAGAAAAUAUCAUAAAAUGAAAUUGUUUUCCUUUCUUUUAUUUCUUUUUCUCUUUCUUCUCUCUUUCAUCCUUCCCAAUAAAAAUUCCAUUUCAACGAAAAUUUUUGUUUUGAGUUUUUAAUCGCAUAUUUCUAGGUGAAGAUUUAAAAGGCAUCAAAAACUAAUUUUGAUUUUUUGUAUGAUGCCACGUGUCACAAAUUUCAAUUGAUGAUUAUUAAUCAGGUCACAAUUUCAUCUUAAGAUAUUUUCUUGGAAAUAAAAUGAGAAACUAGAAAGGAAAGAGGGAAACCCAAAAUUAAAAGAAUUGAAAAGCUAAAAAAAUUGUAUUUUAGGAAAGUGAUUUGAAUAUUUUUUUUAAUCAUUUAAGGAGAAGAUAGAUCUCUGCAAUUUCUCUUUUUUAAUUUCAAUCAUUAAGGUGAAAAUUUUUGUGGGAAAGAGGAAGAAUUAAAUAAAGAAGAAAGAGAAAAAGACAUAAAAGAAAAGAAAACAAGGUAAAUGAAAAGUCAAAAUAAUGCAAGAGUAAUUUUGUCCUAAAGAGGGUUAAGUGAGCAAAAUUAAAGGUUAGGAGAUAACUAAGAAAUGGGGUAUUCUUUAAGGGGAUAAAAUGUGAUUAACCCUAUAAUAUAUAUAUAUGUAUGAGGGCAAAAUGCCCCAGUGACCCUCAAAUUAUUAUAAAAUUUAACUUUUAGUCCUCAAAUUAUUAAUUGAUAAGUUUUACCUCUCUAACUAAUUUAAACAUAUAAUUCUAACCUUUCAGUCAACUUGAGUGGUUAUGUUUAACAGAUAUAAAGGAUUCAUGGGAUGUUAGUGGCGCUCAAACUAUUACAAAUUUUAACUUUUGACCUUAUAAUUAUCAACUGAUAAGUUCUAGUUCUCCAACUAAUUAAAAUGUAUAAUUCUACUCUUUCUAUAAAUUUGAGUAGUUAUGUCGAACAGAAAUUCUAUUAAUAAAAAAUUUGGAAUGUGCCCAACUGAGUGUUUGAUAUAGUGAUAUAAAGUUUGGAGAAAUCUUACUAGAGAAUUGAUUAUUUGAGAAAUUUAGAAAGUUCAAACUUGGAAGUAAACCAAGACUUGUUGGAAUGUUCCUAGAAAUGAAUUGUGCCAUAUUUAUGUCAUUAGGAGAAGCAAAUGAACCCAAUGGAUUUGGAAGAACACCAAAAAAUGAGUGAAAUUCCAAAUCAACUCAAUUAAUUCAAGUUGCCUCUCUUUGCUAGAAUUUCUCUAUUUAGGGUUUUGGUUUUAGGUUUUCAAUUGAUUUUGGUCAAAUUCAACAAUUGGAGAUUUGGUAAAUUAAUUUAUGAGUCAAAUGGAGUAAAAUAAUUUUACCCCAACACAUGUCCUGCAAAGAUGAAAACACCUCUCGAUUAUUGCUUGGCCAUGCACGUGGUGAUUUUUUUGUUCAACAUAAGGAUUUAAAUUGACAGAAGAGUUAGAAUUAUAUGUUUUAAUUAGUUGGAGGUGUAAAAUUGAUCAGUUAAUAGUUGGAGGGUUAAAAGUUAAAUUUUAUAAUAGUUUGAGAGCUACUGCUGUGCAUAUGCUGCUAUUUUUGUUAAACAUAAUAGUUCAAGUUGAUAGAAGGGUUAAAAUUAUAUGUUUUAAUCAAUUAGAGGGUUAAAACUUGUCAAUUAAUAGUUAGAGGGUCAAAAAUUAAAUUUUAUAAUAGUUUGAGGGCCAUUAGAACAUUUACCCUAUAUAUUAUUAAGUGUCAAUAAUCUAUAUUUGCACCUAUUCCUACUCUUAGGAAGGGGAUAGACCCAGUUAGAUCAUUAGGAAGCGGAGGAAACUAAACCACUUUUAAACUAAAAGGAUACCAUUUAGCAUUCGUUAAAUUUAGAGAAGCCACGUGGAGUGACAAUUGAUGGGAAAUAAAAUUUGAAACCUUAACCUUUCAUCCACAAAGUCCUUAAGUGCCUUUGUGGAUGUCAACCGCCCUAAGGGGCCGUUGGAUGGAUGAAAAAAAUAAUUGGGAUUGUUUCAGUCAAGUUUUGCCUAAUUUUGUGCGGUUUGUAAAUGUUUUUUUGCGUGAUUUUAUGUAUAACUAGGUGUUGGACCCCGCGGGUGUCGCGGGGUGCCCAUAUUAUCUUGUUGUUGAGUGUUAACUGAUGAUUUUUUUGUAAAGAAGAUGUUUGUGUAAGAGAUGGAUUAUAAACAGGAAAGUCGAAACCAUGCAUUUUUUAUAUAUACAUGAUCAUUGGGAAUUGCAGCUUAAUACAAAAGUUAGUUGUUAUUUGUACAGAACAAAAUUCUAGAAAGCUGCUGUGAUUCGUAAACAAAAAGUACAAUUUUUUGUUUUACAUCCAACUGGAAUGUAAAUUAUCUAGUUUAGUUUUUGAUGCUUUGUGCUUUCAGAGAAAUCUGCCUCAAGAUUGCGCUUGAUGGAGGAUGAGGUCUCUAGCAGCUUUGGAGUUGGCAAGAUUAUCUUGCACGAUCACGACGGCUUUUUUCUAAACGAUAUUCAUCUUCUGAGGAAAUUUACGUUUCCGACCCAUAUGCAAUUGUAGCUAAAAUUAAGAAAAUUCUGUUAUCCAUGACAUUCAACAAUAACAAUCACAAAUCAUCUAAAGUUUCUUGAAGCAGACAAAACAAGCGUGAAUGAAAGAGAUGAUUUCCAUUUAAUAAGCAAAACGAUAACAAACAUAGAAGAUAAAACACAACGAAGUAGAACAGACUAAGCACUAAGCAGAUAAGGAACAAAUAAGUAAAGGAGAGAUUGCUUUACCUGAACAAUAAGCUUCGAAUAGGAUGGUUGAGCUGAGCUGCAUGGAAUAAACCGAUAAGAUCACAGAAAAGAUAAAUAUAACAUGGAAGUAGCUAACAUAAGAAAAGUCAGAGUCCAUGCAAACUAAAAGCUUGCAACAAAGAGAUGGAAAUGAUGGGGAAAAGAAAAUGAUAAAAGCAUAACUUGAAGCAUACGAAACAAAAAUAAGCAAACACAGUGAAAGAGCAAAAAGUUCACCGAACGAACAAUGUAAUAAACAGCUAUAUUAGGCGCAAAAGUGGAGAAAUACAGUAAAGGAAAAUAGGCAGCACCUGAUUGAAGUGAGCCAGAAGGAGGAAACUGGAAACAAAAAUCACCAAAAGCUGGCACAAGAUGGAGGCUUAAUAGAAAGACGCCGGACAAAAGAGAAAGUCUAAGCAAAGAAACUGACGGUGGAAAAACUAAUGUAAAUAUAGCACAUAGAGUGCUUAACUAUAUAAAGAGCCUGUGCUUUGGUAAAAGCAAGCACAUGCAUGCAUUAAAUCUACGUAAUGAUUGCAAGUCCACUAUGAUAAAAGAACCAAACGAAGCAAGCAUAUCUAUAAUCACCGAACGAACCAAAUAUAGCUGUAAUGCGUAAGCUGUAAGCACGUAAGAUGAAAUUUGACCCAGUGCAAUCUGCAAGGUGUAAUCUGUAAGCAUGCAACACGUAAGGCAAAAUUUGACAGAGUCAAAGGAGAAUUGCGCCACGUAAUAUGAAAGUAACAGAAAAGAACCACGUAAGAUCUGAUGAGUAGCUUUAAUUUAAUAAUCGAGCGAGUUUAAUUUAAUGGAUUUAAUAAGGUAGACAACUAAUUAUCAUUUUGUAUUAAGCACAUAUAUGUUAUGACAUUCAAUCUUAUAGCUAACAAUAGCUAACAAAUUUUAUCAAUCUUAUCUAAAUCUCAUCUCAAAACACCAUAGCUUUAAUUUAAUAAUUGCGUAGUUCAAAUUUAAUAAUCGAGAGAGGUUGAGCACAUUUAUGCUAUGCUACUCAAUCUAAAAACACAAUAGCUUUAAUUUAAUAAUUGAGUAAUUUUAAUUUAAUAAUCAAGAGAGGUUGAUGUAAUGGAACAAAGCGACGCAAUAGCUUUAAUCCAACAAGUGGGCAGCUUUAAUUUAAUAAUGAAGAGGGCUUGAUUUAAUCGAACAAAGCAGGGAGCAAGGGUGAUUUAAUAGAACAAAGCCGGACAAUUGAUUUAUAACUUGUAACUGGAGCUUCACACCUUCACGGGCACAGAUUGAGAGCAGAGGACGUUGACGGCUACAUAUUGGACCACAGGACAAAGAAGCACAAAUCGAACAGCCAAAUCAUGAUUUUUAAUAUAAUUUUUGUAAUGUAGUAUGGAUUUGUCAUAUUUUGUAUUAUUUUGAAUGAUUAUGAUUUUGAUAUGUUUUUCUAUUGGUAGAGUAAGUAAUUGUUUUGCAAUUUUUUGGUAUUUUUUUUGUUUACGGUAUAUUUAUGUUUUGUCUAAUUAUGAUUUGAUUAUUGGUUCUAAUUAAUUUUAUGAUAGCAAAAGUUGCGAGAAACUUGUAAAGAGUAAUUUGGCAGGCAAAGUUGGUGAUUUGUUUGCCUAUCAUAAUUUUUUUUUUUUUUAUAUAUCGACGGAUAUAGUAGCUAUGGAUGGAUACAGUCGCAUUUUUUUUGUUUCUGAAAUCCAAACACAAUGAACCAACAUAAUACGGCAGACCAUAAAAGAUUUCACAAAAACCGUGAGAGGUCCAAGAAAUCUGGGCAGGCAUGUGCAGCAGGCAACGGGCCAACCAGUACUUGCAAUAAAAAGACGGAAAAGGCCAAAAUCUGCCGAGAAACAACAACGAAACCAGUGUAAAAGGGUCAAAUUGGAAUCAGACGACCAAAAUUUAGAACCUGUGGGCGACAAGCAUGAAACAGAGAUGACCCCACAAUGCCUUCCAUCACACCUACAAAGACAAAUGAAGACAAAAUCAACGCUCAAAUUACAAAAUAACCAGCAGAAUCACUGUAGCAAAGCCUUCCGCGCCUUAUGUAGUUAGAGAUUUAUACUUCUAAGUUUUAAUGUACGUGUGAAUUUCGUUCAGGACAUCUACUUAAUACAUGAUAAUAAAUAAUUAUUUUGAUGUAUAUUAAAUCUUGUUAAAAUUACACUAACAGACGUAACUAGACCAAAUUCCAAGAUGUCACUGUGCAUCCGCCAUUUUUUCCUACCACCUGAUUACGACUUUGCGCGGCUCCUGCAGAGCAACUUUAAUCUGCAGGGCUACCGUGCUUCUAAUGUACCAUCUGUUGAAAAAGCUGAUAAAUUUAGAAACCCCCUCAAAAGGUUCCUAAGAGUCUCACUCCCCUCCUCUAAGCUUUCCAAAAUAAUUAGAGAUUUUUUUGACGGAAUAUUGGGUCCCAAUUCUUAUAUCAUUAUAGGCAAAAUGACUUAAAUAUCCAUACAACUUAGCAGAGAUUUUGCAAUUAUUUAGACAAAUUCACUUAAGUCAGUUAUAAAUAUGAUUAAUGUAAUAAAUGAUAAUUUAUAAGUGCAAAUAAUAUCCAAAAUGUCAUGAGAAAAUGGGCGCCAAAUUCAGGCACAAUUUUCUGAUUGAUGCAUAUCAUAGAAAGUUGCAAGGGCUAGUUUGGUUGCUAGUUUGGUUGCUUUUCUUGUAGUUUACCAAUCAAUUAAUCUAUCAGAUAUUAGUAGUUCUUAUUGCUGCACUAAAUGAUGAAGCAACUGCUGUGUGGAUGAUUUGCAAGAAUUUCACUCGAAAUAUCAAGACUAGCUAAUUUUGAUUACGUAUAAAAUCAACAUUAAUAAGCAUGUUUUUCAUAUUUAGAUUGGCUUAUUAAAUAGAUCAAAUUGUAGUAGAAACAUUUAGUUCUGGAUGGACCAAUCCCCCAUCCCUACACGUAACUUAUUUGCUCCAUGGACUGCCUAGAUACCCUUGGUGUUGUUUGCUACAAAUAAGCAUGUUUCAAAAGCAUUUGAUUCGCCCUCAGCCAUUUUGCAUUUCCCCUCGGUGUUAUCUGUGUAUAUGAUGGAAAGAUUCCUUUGUUUUCAUGGGAGCAUUUGUGGUUUUUCAAAUUAUCCAAAUGUUAAAAUAAAUACUAUAAAACUUUUGACAUCAAACAUAGGUGGAGAAAAAAUUAAGGAAAAAUUACAAAAAGGAAAAAGAAGAAAAAAGUAUUUGAAAAUAGAAAAUUGAAAGAAAGUGCUUUUUUUCUGUAUAUACUGUCAGCGUUGUAUGAUUGAUAAUUAUGCAAAAUUUAAAUUUAAAAUUUAACUUUUGUACAUAUGUUAUGGAUCCAACGGGUAAGUGUAUAUACUGAUAAUAUAUAUAAGAUUUACUUCUAUUUAAAAGGAAUUAACAAAGAUAAAGGAAUUUAUUCAUAUUAGGCAAUCUUGGAAUUCAAGUCAAAUAUUUUCUAGACUAAUAAGAAGUUCAAGAAAAAAAUUAAAAGAAAAGAAAAGAAAAACAAACACACAUAAUAUAGGUUAAUUUUCUUACAAGCAUUUGUAGUUUAUCAAAUGAUCCAAAAUUUAAAAUAAAUGCUAUAAAAGUUUUGACAUCAAAAACAAGUUGAGGAAAAAAAUUAAGGAAAACUUGAAAAAUUAAAAAGAAUGUGUGUGUAUAGUGUAUACACGCAUGCGCGUCAACUUUUGCAUUAUACUUACUCUUACUCUCAUCUUGAUUUAUUUAAAAGAGGAUCUAGCUAGAAAAGGGGUUUGACGCUGUCUGGGACUGGCCUCGUCACAAACGUCAAGUAAGUUCAAAUGACUUUUCUCCAGCGCACUUGACUGUGGCCAUUAUCAAGUUUUGAUCUUACUAAGCCACUACUUUUUGACUACACAAUCCAUCAAUUAUCGUCCAUAUUAUUGUGGCCCUAGGUCUCUAAAAGGAUCUCAAUUAUCUGUCAGGAGCAGGGACGUAAUUGCAAUUGGAGCAAAAGUUUUAGGGGUGUUAGUGUAAUUAGCUAUGGAGCCAAAAACUAUUAAAAGUAAGUUAUAACUGAAUUUGUUAACAUCAGUUCAUUGCACGGGAAUUCUGCAUCAAUUGGAUUCGGAUCCAUCAUUGGAGUUGUAUAAAUCCAAGACAAUGUAAUGGAUUUGACAACAAGAAAUACAAUCACAAUUUUUCUCCCAAAUUCUUAUUUCCUCUCUCUCUCUCUCUCUCUCUCUCAUCUCUUCCCUUCCUUUCUGUUCUUUUCUUCUUCAUUCAAAUCUCCCCUGAAUCUGCUGGUCACAUUUCCUUCUCAAUUCUACUUUGGAAAGGCCUGACAAAUUGGUAUUAGAGCUGACGAUCCUUCGGCAGCUUAGAGAUCAACCAAUGGUAGAGAGCACACGCUUCAAAACCUUAGAAGAUCAUCUCCGGAAGCAGGAACUCAAGUUGCAGGAUGUCAUGGAGGAUAUAAAGAACAUAUAGCUGCAAGUAAGGAAGAAAUGGCAGGCAGGGACAAGAGAUUGGAUACAAUCGCGCUAGGCAUGGAUCAGAAGUUUGAGGCACUCAGUUCAAUGAUGAAGACACUACUGAGCAUGGAGAAAAGUGCAGAAGAAGAAGGCAAAGCUGGCAGAGAUCAUACACCAUUACUACCCCACACCUCCCAUCCACCAGAGGCUGAACUUGGGAGCAGAUGAGGAAGCUAGAAGUUGCGAGUUCUUGGGUAAGAUUCCUGGCUAUAAUCCUCCAAAAAUUGAGUUACAUAUGUUUAGUGGGGAAAAUCCAAGGGAAUGGAUCAGAAAAUGUAACAAGUACUUCCUGCUGAAUAAGGCAACCAAGGAACAUAAAUUGCUGAUAGUAGAGAUGUCUUUAGAAGGUAGAGCUGAUAAUUGGUUCUAGGGAAUCAAAUUAGAAAAACCAAGGCUAACAUGGGGGGAAUUUGGGGAGCUGCUCUGUCAGAGAUUCAAAAGGAUCAUGCUGUAGUGAUAUUUUAGUGAUGUGAAACCCCGAUCUAGACAACCAAAACACCAUGGUUUAGGCAGCGGAAAUUUGACCCAACUAAUCCCUAGUAGUCACGAACAAUUUUGAUAUUAUCUCAACCCGUCACUACUCGAAUUAACGAACCAAAUUGGAGGUAGUAGAACGCCACAAUUAAGGAGAUACUCGAUUGAUAAGUUCAGGUGAAUAACUUGAGAAGAUUCUCAAGUAUUCAAAGGAAACUCUCUUGCCAGAGAGAAAGUGAAAAAUUCACUAAUUGUAUUUAAUAGUCAAAAAACUGAUCCCAAACAAAGAGGAAGUGGGGCUAUUUAUAGUCAUUACAAGCAUUAACCCUAAUCCAAAAGUUGACCAAACUACCCUACAUACUUAAGAAAAAUUUUGGGCCUUACUUACUAACAAAUGGACCGCAAUUAAAUUAGCUUAAUUACCUAGACUCUCUAAAGCAAGAAAUAACCAAAAUCAACAAGGAAAAUCAAAUAAUCCUACUAAACUCAAGCAUUCGUGCAAUCAACUAGUCUUCACUUGAAUCUUCCAAUUUCCCAUGUGCUUGAAUGGGUCUUGGUCUUUAUAUUCUCAUUAUUCCCCUCCUCUUAAAGGCGAUUUGUCCCCAAAUCAUGACUCUCUUACAAAACAAAAGUGAUGAGAGUAUGUGUAUAGUCACCAAGCAGCCUGCAUGUCGCCGUCUUAAGCGAAGAAUGAUCAUGACAUCCUUGUGUGGAAUAAGGACAACUCGUGGUGGUGGUAGAUACAUGUUGCGGACAGCAAGAUUUCCAUGAAUGGUCACACAAGCGACGUCUCAAUCCUAUGGGUGGAUCGUGAGCGGACGCCCGGUGAACCAAGGUUUGGUUGGGCUGCGAGUUGUACGCAUCAAGACGUGCAAAAACUGCAUCAAAUGCCAAUGUAACUCGACUAGUGUUGGUUGGAAUUACUUGUCCAGCACUCUCUUCGCAGAUCUCUAUGGUUGCGGGUAUUGCACACUGCAAGAUGAAGGAUAUCUGACCACGAACAACCUGCACAAAUGAAAACACGUUAAACACCACAAUGAUGAGAAUAUAAAGACCAAGAGCCAUUCAAGCACAUGGGGAAUUGGAAGAUUCAAGUGAAAACUAGUUGAUUGCACGAAUGCUUGAGUUUAGUAGGAUUAUUUGAUUUUUCUCGUUGAUUUUGGUUAUUUCUCUUUUUAAAAAGUCUAGAUAAUUAAGAUAGUUUAAUUGCGACCCAUUUGUUAGUAAGUAAAACCCAAAAUCUUUCUUAAGUAUGUAGGGUAGUUUGGUCAACUUUUGAAUUAGGGUUAAUGCUUGUAAUGGCUAUAAAUAGCCCCACUUCCUCUUUGUUUGGGAUCAGUUUUUUGACUAUUAAAUACAAUUAGUGAGUUUUCACUUUCUCUUUGGCAAGAGAGUUUCCUUUGAAUACUUGAGAAUCUUCUCAAGUUAUUCACCUGAACUUAUCAAUCGAGUAUCUCCUUGAUUGUGGCGUUCUACUUCCUCCAAUUUGGUUCGUUAAUUCGAGUAGUGACGGGUUGAGAUAAUAUCAAAAUUGUUCGUGACUUCUAGGGAUUAGUUGGGUCAAAUUUCCGCUGUCUAAAUCAUGGUAUUUUGGUUGUCUAGAUCGGGGAUUCACAUCUGUUGGUACCAGAGCUAGUCGACAACCACCAGGUUAUAUCUUUUUUUUUCCUCUUCAUUUAUUUCGAGUCAUAUAUGUUUAAAAAAAUUUAUUACUGUUCACCGUUACUGUUCACCGUUACUGUUCAUCCGAAUACAAAUCUGUCCAGCCUUGUUGUUUGUGUUAUCCAACUUGUUUACUUGAUUUUCAAAUCUGAAUUUUGGCAAAAUUUGUUGGAAUUUUGUGAAUUUUGAAGAGAACUUACAAUAAUCUUGAGCUUCUUGCAUUCUUGAUCACAAUCUUGAAAUUUCUGAAGUUCCUGACAACUUCCUUGAAAGUUCUUGAAAGAUUUUGGAGUUCUUGGUAGUUAUUAUUUGUGGACUUCCUUGUUUUGUGUCGUGGUUGAUAGUUGUAGUCAAGAAAAAAAAAACAGAAAAUAAAAACGAAAAGAAAAAGAAAGAAAAGAGAAAUCGGUUGGCAAGAAAAAAAAAGGAAAGGAAAGAAAGUGGCAACCGAAUUGUUUUGAAUAGGGGACCAAAUCUGAUUUGUGCAAUCUUUCUUGGAGUAGAAUUUGGAAGUUACCUAAAGGUUGUUUCAAGAAGGUUACCAAAAGUUGUUUCAAGAAGGUUACCAAAAGUUGUUCAAGAGGAAAAGGAUUUUCAAAGGGUUUUCAAAAACUAACUUGUUUCCAAAAUCAAUUAGGAAAUUAAGUAAAGCAUUUGGAUAACUCUUUGUACUCAUUUGGACACUCUCUCUCCUACUUUUUUUAGGAAACUUUUCCAAACUUUCUCAUCCAUUUUUUUUUUUUAAAAAUUUUCCUAAAUUCUCUCAUCCAUUUUUUUAGGAAACUUUCCUAACUUCUCUCAUCCAUUUUUUAGGAAACUUUCCUAAAAUCUCUCAUCCAUUUCUUUUGGAAACUUUCCUAAAGUCUCUCAUCUAUUUUUAGGAAACUUUCCUAAAUUCUCUCAUACAUUUUUAGGACCUUUCCUAUAUUCUCUCAUCCACUUUAGGAAACUCUCCUAUAUUCUCUUCCUAGAUUUUAGGAACACUCUCCUACAUUUUCUCCUAUAUUUUCUCCUAGUUUUUAGGAACACUUCCCUACACUUUCUCCUACAUCUCCGUGAUUACUCUUGAGGAAGAAGUUGGUGACAAUUAUUUGGGCUUGAGCAGCAUUUCUCAAACUACCUAACCCAACAGGUAAAGGUGUUUGGUAAGUCCAUUGGAGCGCUUUGAGUGACAUACACGAGGGCGAGUGGAUACACGUAAGGGAGCGUGAAAGGCAAUAUCUUCGGUUUCGUUGCUAAUUUUUUGCAGGUUCCCUCAUACGUCAUGGCGAGUAUAAGACGCAUAAAAACUAGCCCACAACAUUGUCUUCCUGAUCCUAAGGGAGUCAAAGAAGUGGCAUUACGUGGUGUAGAUGAGCAAUUGGAUCUCGUCAAAUCUCAGUUGCUUGGUUGGUUUUAUACUCGUUGCGGUGUCAAAGAUAAAAUUUGUAACUUGGCCAUUGAUGGUAGUUGUGAAGUCAAUCUUGCAAGUGCUAUCAUGGUUGAGAAAUUAAAUCUUCCAACCAUUGAUCAUCUUCAACCGUACAAGUUGACGAGCACUCAUGGGGAUGUUUGGGUUACUAAGCACACACUUGUACCUAUUCAAAUCGGCAAAUAUAUGGAUGAGGUGUUGUGUGAUGUAGUCCUAAUUCAAGUGACACAUGUGUUGUUAGGCAAAGUAUGGAUGUCGAGGCGAGAAAUUAAAAUUGAUGGACAUACUAAUAAGUAUUCCUUCGUAUUUAAUAGUCGUCGUCUUGCACUUGUAUCACUUACUUAUGACCAACUUUGUAUUGAUCUAGCAUGCAUGAAAAGUGAGCUUGAGCGUUAUAGAAUGGAGAAAAAGCUAGAUGAGGGAAUUGUGCCUGCAGAGGUAAAACCCGAGAAAGUUGAAAGUAAUGAGAUAAAAGGGUCAGCUGUUGAACUAGAAAAAGAGAUGGAAAAAUCUAAUGACAUGGGUGGUAAAAGGAAGAAAGAAGAGAAAGUGGGCUGAUCUUAAGCAACCCGGUGAAGGCCUAUUAUUUUCUUAACAAACUUACCUUUGCUUUGUUUAGUAUUUCUUCUUUUAUACAGAUCAAGCAAAGGCAAGUUGAGCUGAUCUUGGUGUGUUCCAUUCCAAAAUCAAUUGUAGACGUUGUAAGCCUCCAUGGAGUUGGUACUCCAAGAGUUAAACCCCCUUGGUAUCCAUUCAUGGAACAAUGUCAACUCAAAUCAGUCCACACCAAAGGGGAGUUGAUUCGAGCUCAUCUUGAAGGGAACACUCCAUAUUUUAGGGAUGGUUGUGUACCAAGGGUUCGUUUAAAGAACAAGUACCUCAAUGACCAUUAUAAUUUUCGUCUUGCUCUUAGUCCACAUGCAGCUCCAACAUCACCAAAUCCACCUUGGUGCCUUGCAAGUGUGUUCGAGCCGGAGUUCAAUUUCACGGGAUAUAUUUCAUACCACUUUGAGGACCCUUACCUUAUGACCACAAACAAUAAAGUUGAGCAUACAUUGAAGAUGGUUUGUGAGAGUCAAGGUUCGACGAGGGUUAUUUUUCAACUUAGCACAUGGGCUUUGCAUUGGAUGCCAUCUGUAACCAUCAUAACAAGAUUGAGUCGAAGGCAUGUAACUCGUCUUGUCACCAUUCGUGCUUCAAUUUGUGGGCAAAUUGCUUUUAAGAGGAGGGGAAUGAUGAGAAUAUAAAGACCAAGACCCAUUCAAGCACAUGGAGAAAUGGAAGAUUCAAGUGAAAACUAAUUGAUUGCACGAAUGUUUGGGUUUAGUAGGAUUAUUUGAUUUUCCUCGUUGAUUUUGGUUAUUUCUCGUUUUAAAAAGUCUAGGUAAUUAAGAUAGUUUAAUUGCGGCCCAUUUGUUAGUAAGUAAGGCCCAAAAUCUUUCUUAAGUAUGUAGGGUAGUUUGAUCAACUUUUGGAUUAGGGUUAAUGCUUGUAAGGGCUAUAAAUAGCCCCACUUCCUCUUUGUUUGGGAUCAAUUUUUUGACUAUUAAAUACAAUUAGUGAGUUUUCACUUUCUCUUUGGCAAAAGCGUUUCCUUUGAAUACUUGAGAAUCUUCUCAAGUUAUUCACAUGAACUUAUCAAUCGAGUAUCUCCUUGAUUGUGGCGUUCUACUACCUCCAAUUUGGUUCGAUAAUUCGAGUAGUGACGGGUUGAGAUAAUAUCAAAAUUGUUCGUGACUUCUAAGAAUUAGUUGGGUCAAAUUUUCGCUGCCUAAGCCAUGGUGUUUUGGUUGUCUAGAUCGGGGGUUCACAUCAUUUAGAGGAAUUCAAUAAGGUACUUCCUGCUAAAUAAGUACUUCCUGCUGAAUAAGGUAACCAAGGAACAUAAAGUGCUGGUAGUAGAGAUGUUUUUAGAAGGUAGAGCUGAUAAUUGGUUCCAGGGAAUCAAAUUAGAAAAACCAAGGCUAACAUGGGGGGAAUUUGGGGAGUUGCUCUGUCAGAGAUUCAAAGGAUCAUGCUGUAGAGAUAUUGUACAGGAAUUCAAUAAACUGCAGCAGAUGAGUACAGUAGAGGUCUACCAGGAAAAGUUUGAAGAGUUAAAGACAUUGAUGCUAAUUCAGAAUCCAAGCCUUAGUGAAGAAUACUCCAUUUCCAGUUUCACUAGUGGUCUCAAGGAGGAGAUUAAACCUAUGGUGAGAAUGCUCAAGCCAAAUACUCUUUUUUGGAGUUAUGGAGGUGGCUCAUUUGCAGGAACAGGCUCUCAGGUUACAAGGAAGGACAGUCAAAGAUGGCAACAAGGUGAUGGCUGAACCAAAGUUUGGGAUGUACAGGCAUCCAAUCUCUGCCGAUGGAGGGAUUAGUACUUACAAGCUACCACAGAACAACAUACCUAGGGUAGUUCCCAAAAAUCCAGACAAGAGUCCAGAAUUUAAGAGACUAUCCCCUCAGGAACUGCAGUUCAGAAGGAGUAAUGAACUGAUGUUAACAAAUUCAGUUAUAACUAACUUUUAACAGUUUUUGGCUCCAUAAACUAAUUACACUAACACCCUUAAAACUUUUGCUCCAAUUGCAAUUACAUCCCUGCUUCUGACAUUAUCGUCCAUAUCAUUGUGGCACUAAGGGUCUGUUUGAUAACAAAAAAUAGUGCUGAAACUGAAUCUUUUCAGACAUUCUGAUGGUUUGAUUGUUUGACAUAUGAAAAUUCAUCUGUUGAAUUUGUUAACUAGUGCUGAACUUGUGUGUAUUUUUUUCAGCACAAGAAUCCUAACCGAAUGCUUAGUUUUGAUAAGAAUCAAUAGAAUUACUUCAACUAUUGAUAGGUUGCAAUUUUAUCAUUUAUUUUAUUAUUAAUUCUCCCUAUUACUUGACCUGAUGUGAAUUAAUUAUUAGAUUCUACUCACUUUUCGUAAUUUAUAUUUAUUUCAGGGAGUAGAACAAAAAUAUCACAAUAAAGGCCAAUUUGACAGUUAUCGGGAAAGAGUUCACAUAGCAGGCAAUCGAGGGCAUUUUUGGAAUAAGGAGAUACAAGUCUUUGUUUAGUAAUUCGCAGAGGGCAGCAUUAAAAGGAGGAACGCAGGGCUGAAGUGAGGAGUCUUCUUCUUCCUCCCUUGGAGGGAGCCGCCGCGCAGAGGCCAGAGGGGCUAUGUGGCUUCCUUAGUUUUUCGUCUUUUAGCUUAGCUUGUCUUUAACUUUUUCUUCUUAGCUUUUGGGUAGUUAUUCUCCACGGAUGGCAGGAGGAAUUGGAGUUUCUCCUUUGACUUUUCCGCAUGGUCCUUGAAUAGUUUCUCCCUUCUUCGUAUGUCAGACGCAUUGAAACAACCUAUUGCUUCUUGUAAUUUGCUUUCGCCUUGAAUAGAACGAAUUGAGUUUUCCUGACUCUUGGGCACAAUGGCCGUAGCUUUUGCUUUAAUUUGGUGUGGAUUUUGUUCAUUAAUUAUGAACUAAUCUCCUCACUCUAGUCAAGGGACAACGGAUGCUUUGGGUCGCCUAAAACUGUGAGAUCGAUUUAAUUUAAUCUUUUUCUUUUAUUUAUUGGUAUCCGCAUAUUUCUUGGUUGCUAUGUUUAUGGUUAUUUAAUUAAUUGAUUGUCUUGGAUCCAGAUAAUUAGUUGAUUGGAUACUCUAUUGUCAAUUAGGGCAUUAAAUCCGUAAUUGUUUAAUUGCUCUAAAAUAGUGGCAACUGGCAUAAUUAGACUUGUGUCAGGGGAAUACGCGGGCUAAUCUAAAAUAACCCUGGUAGUGCGUUAUUUGAUUAGAAUAGGCCUCCUCUAAUACGUCAUGCAAUUGGGGAAUUAAAUUCUAUGGGCGUACCUAGGAUUAUUUCUCAAUUAGAGCAGUGAUUAACGGGCGUACCUUAAUCAUCGACACAGUAAGGAGGGGUUGACUGUCAUCGCUUGUUUGGCAGUUAUAACCUAUUUAUUAGUAAAUAAUUGGAAUUGCCUUUGCUUAUCGAUGAUCAAUUAGGUGAACCAUUGCUGAAGUUAUUCCUUGGUUAGAUCUUUAAUUAUCACUCAUUUGGUUUUAGUAAUUUGUCAUUUAAUUUCUAGUUGGCUAUUUUAUUUUUAUUAUUUUACUUUUAGUUGGAUUGCUUAAAUUGUCACCCCUGAGAUAAAAACACCCCCUUUGUCACUGUGAAUUUGAAAAGGAACAAUUACUCCCAGUCCCUGUGGAUUCGACCCUGCUCACCACUAUCUACAGAAAUUAUUUUUAGUUUGAACAGGUUUUAUUAUUGCACAGGCCUCGACAACCUGUCAAUUUUUGGCGCCGUUGCCGGGGACUGGCGCUAGUUAUUUGUUUCUUUUUAAGUUCAUCUUGUUUUCAUUUUUUUUUAUAGUUUAUGGCUGCUAGCAUUCCAUAUUUUGAUGAUAGACCGGACUUUGUUCCUGAAUGGGGUUAUGAGACUCAUGUUCUUCCUAAUGAUCAAUGGGCUGUUGCAAAUUGUGGAACUUAUUUUGACUCAAGUUAUUCAACUGACACAUACCCCGCAUUUCAAGACAAUCUAAGUGCUCCAAUUGAUACUUUCGGAGAUUUUCCACCCCAAUAUCAAAUGCAGUAUGACCCUUAUUCAAACGGGUAUGAUCAAGGAUGGUGGGAUAAUUCCAGUUUUGAUUAUGCGACCAGGCCAAUGAAUUUUCAACAGCAAGAGUCUCAACAACCAUCGUCCCUGUCAGGGUACCAGCAAUAAUACCAACCCCGACCACCUCCGCCCCCAAGCUCUGGUCCAUCUUUGGAGGAGAUGAUAAAACAAGUGAUGACAAACAUGGCGCAAAAUCAGCAAAGGACGGAGGCAAUUCUUAUGCAAAAUCAACAAAGGACGGACUCCGAAAUGCAGGAUAUAAGGAAUCAGAUAAGUCAAAUGGCUACAACAAUCAAUCGUUUGGAUUCCCAGAACCAAGGUGAAUUGCCAUCUCAACCUGAGUUGAACCCGAAGAAUGUCAGCGCCAUGACCUUGAGGAGUGGCAAAGAGGUUCAAGGGCCUGAGCCUGUGAUCCCUAAGGACAAGGAUGAGGAGAUGCAAGAAUGUCAAAAUGAGAAAUCUACAGAUGCAGUUGAAAAAGAAGCCGAAAAUGAAGAAAUGGAACCCCAACCGCAACCCAUUGAAGUGAAAGAAUCCAGUGAAGAAUCAUCAAAUGUGGUGACACCACCUCCAUUCCCUAACCCGCAUUUUCUUAACUUUUAUUCCAUGAUUUCUGUUAAUGAGAUUGAUUUUGUUAUACCGGAAGUUUUUGAGUCUCAUGGCAGAAAUAAAUUAAGAGUAGCUAUGGUCAAAUAUCUUGAACCGUUGAGUGCUCUUGAUGGAGGGGUGGAGGAAAAAUUGAGAUCACUGCUUGAUUAUUUGGCACCAUCAACUAAUCCAUGGAAGACCGUAGCUCGUGUGCUCAAAGAUUACUCCAUCUAUGAGGGUUACCAGGAUCAUAUAGAGGAUGAAGCAUUAAGACGAGUUACACGAUUUUAUCCUCCAUGAACAAAACAUGAUAACGUCUAGCCAAAGACAUUAAAGAAAGGCGCUCAUUGGGAGGCAACUCAAUUGUUUCUUUUAGUUGUUUGUUGGUUUCGUGUCAUAGUUUGAAUCUGUUUUCCUUGAAUUUGACUGAUUUUGGGUGUUAAUUUUCGUUUUUGCUGAUUUCUAGGUGACCUUCACUCAUGACGCGCCCGCGUGGCGACGUGCGGGAAGCUCACGAUCAGGAAUUUCUGAAACUUCUGGGAGAUCUCUUGGCCUCAUGAUGCGCCCGCGUAAUGAUGUGCAGGAAGCUCACGAUCAGAAAUUUCUGAAACUUCUGGGAGCUCUCGUGCUCUCUUGACGUGCCCGCGUCACGUUCGCGGGAAAGGUAAGAUUCAAAAAAAAAAAAAAAACAAAGAGAAUUUUUCUUAUCACCGUAGCUUUAGUUUCCAAAAUUCAAAAAAAAAAUUUUAAAAAAAAAAUUGAUUCCCGUAGAAAAAAAAAGAAAAAAAAACAAAAAAAAAAGAAAGAAAAAAAAUAUUUCUCACCGUAGCUCCAAUGGAGCCUAAAAAAAAAAAAAUUUUUUUUUCUUUUUCCUUCUUUUCUUUUCUUUCUUUUUCUUUCUUUCUUUUUUCUUUUUCUUUCUUUCUUCUUUCUUCUUUCUUCUUUCUUUCUUCCUUCUCCCCUGCUCUCUCUCUGUUGUCCGAAUCCCUUUUGCCCGCCGCCCACUCGCGCCGCCCACCUCACUGACGCCACCACCUCGCGUCUCGCGCGAAGAACCAGCCAGCCACCCACUUCGCACCUCGCCACCCGCCGCUGCUGAAGCUCCAUCGCCGCCGACGCUGCCCAUCUUCCUUCCACACGCAGCUCCUUCCUCACGAAACCCAGCUGCCCUGCGCACGAAGCUCCACCGCCGCACGGCCAGGCAGCCGUGCCUCCCUCCAGCUCCUCUGAGCUUCACUGCGCGCCACCACCGCAGCCACCACCAGCUCGAUCUCACCGCGGCAGCGCGCCGUCCCUCUCAUCUUCGCAACUACCACAUCGCCGCCCGACCUGCCGGCAGCCACGCGAAGGCCCAGCGCAGCUCCGCGCACCCACAGCCACUAGAUCUGCCGCCUGCAGCUCCACCUCUUCCUCCAUUUCCUCCACUUCCACCACAACCGCCCCACCGCCGGCCGUUUGCGUCGCUCUCUCUCACCCCAGUUCCGCAACACUACUUGCUGCUCUGUCCUCCAACUGCCGAGGUACUGGUGGAGGUAUUUGGAUUUCAUUCCUCAAUUUCACAUAUUGAUUAGUGAUGUUUCGGAUUUUCCACGGUUGGCUUUGUUGAUAGUUGGAGUUUAUUGUCUCAAUUGGUGAUUUCCGCCAGUGGUACUGGUUGGAUUAUUUUUGCUUGAACUGCUAUUUCUCUUGGGUUGGGGUCAAUUGUGCAAUUAUUUGGCCAUCUGGAGCCAUUUGUUGGGACGUUGGGUGGGCUGUUUUCCUAUGAUUGUUUGUUAACUUUGGGGUCACUUUGAACCUCCCGUUGCUUAUGGACAUUGCUUGAAUUGCUGGGCACUAUUCUGCUUGAAUUGCUGGAGAACUCGCUGAGGUUUCUUUUGGGAUUGUGAUUGAGUUAUUUCUGAAAAUUGCUUGUUGAAUUAGAAAACCUGGCCACUUGAAUUACUUGUUGAGGUUGGUAGAAUUUCAUUUAAUUGUUGGGGGCAUCUUGGUGAUUGGUUAAUAUUGCUAUUCUGGAGACCAUUGUCUGUGACUUCGGUGGCCGGGGUUCCCACCUGGUGGAUUAGUACAUACUUGGGGUUUUUGCUUUACUACUGUUCUACUCUGCUAUAGCAAUUUCAUUGAUUUUGGACUAUAUUUUACCCCCAGUGGUACUGGUGGAAAUAUUUUCAAUUGAAUUUGGUACCUCUAUUUGGUUGGCUGAGUUAGUAUUGUCAAAUAUCUAAGUUGUCAUUGUUGAAAUUGCUGAUUUUAAGUUAAGGCAUUAACUGGCCAACUGGAGCCAUUUUUUUUUUUUUUUUUUUUUUGAGAUUUUGGGUGGACAGAGUUUUGCAUUUGCUGGUUGAAUUGAGUUGAGAUGUCUCAGACCUUGGCCGUGUACUUCUACCACAUUGGUUUCCUCCACCGCCCCCGCCUACCUCUUGGCCACUCAAAGAGGGAAGUUUCGUUGUCCUCUUCACUUUUAUUACUUUAUUACCUUCAUUGAGGACAAUGUAGGAUUUAGGUGUGGGGGGGGGAGCAGUUAUGGUGCUGGUGUCUUUCGUUUAUUUUCUUUUUCUUCUUUUAGUGAUUGGCUCGUAAAUGCAUGCCAAGGUUUGAUGUUGGAUUAUUGCCUCUAUUUUUACUUUUGUCAAGUUUUAAUAAUAAAAGGGUGUCAAGUUAAUGUGGUUGAAUCCAAAAACAUCUCUUUGGUGAAUAUCAAUGAUUGUUUUACUCUUAUAAUUUUUGGUUAACUUUCCUAGGCAUAAGGAAUGAUUAUUGGCAUUUUCAUGUGAAUUGGUCCGGUUAUUAACUUUAGUUCUCCAUAUGUAAAAUUGAGGCCAGCGGCUGCAAAUUUUCUUUUGAUUUUUGUGUUAUUUUGAAUUUUUGGUUUUAUUUGGCUGUGAGUAAGAGUUGACUGUACUCCGCUAGUAUUUACUACCGAGUAACCGGGGAUCUUCACCAAAAGUGUCGACUCUCGCGUCAAAAGGUAGUAAUUCCUAUGAGUACGUGGUCACGUGGCGAUAGAAACUGAGUAACCGGGCUCCUUCAUCUGGCCAAUGUUGGAGUUCGCGUCAAAAGGCUCUAAUGGCUAGCGACUAAGUCUUUUGUUACUAUUGAAAAGAAGAAAAAAAAAGAAAAAAAAAAGAGAGAAAAGUAAAAAAAAUGUGAAAAAAAAAGUGAAGGUUGUGUUAGUGUGUAAUAAAAGUCAGCUUGCCGAAUUAUGGAUUUAAUGUUGAGAUUUUGGUUAAUAGUUGGACCAUUUACUGAUAAAUGUUAUGCGUCAUUCCUUUUUCUUAGAUUAGUUAACCUGAAAUUAGAGAAAUUUGUGGUUUAGAAGCUAACCGAAGUGAUAUUUCCUGGAUUUGAUCAUUGAUGCUUGAUUAUUAUUUUUCUUGGUAUCUUGGCAAUUUGGUAGAUAGAGCAAGGGCCAUGAUCACAUUUUGGUAUCUGUUUACUAUUUUUAUGCUUGAGGACAAGCAUGGUUUAGGUGUGAGGGAAAUUGAUAGGUUGCAAUUUUAUCAUUUAUUUUAUUAUUAAUUCUCCCUAUUACUUGACCUGAUGUGAAUUAAUUAUUAGAUUCUACUCACUUUUCGUAAUUUAUAUUUAUUUCAGGGAGUAGAACAAAAAUAUCACAAUAAAGGCCAAUUUGACAGUUAUCGGGAAAGAGUUCACAUAGCAGGCAAUCGAGGGCAUUUUUGGAAUAAGGAGAUACAAGUCUUUUUUUGGUAAUUCGCAGAGGGCAGCAUUAAAAGGAGGAACGCAGGGCUGAAGUGGGGAGUCUUCUUCUUCCUCCCCUGGAGGGAGCCGCCGCGCAGAGGCCAGAGGGGCUAUGUGGCUUCCUUAGUUUUUCGUCUUUUAGCUUAGCUUGUCUUUAACUUUUUCUUCUUAGCUUUUGGGUAGUUAUUCUCCACGGAUGGCAGGAGGAAUUGGAGUUUCUCCUUUGACUUUUCCGCAUGGUCCUUGAAUAGUUUCUCCCUUCUUCGUAUGUCAGACGCAUUGAAACAACCUAUUGCUUCUUGUAAUUUGCUUUCGCCUUGAAUAGAACGAAUUGAGUUUUCCUGACUCUUGGGCACAAUGGCCGUAGCUUUUGCUUUAAUUUGGUGUGGAUUUUGUUCAUUAAUUAUGAACUAAUCUCCUCACUCUAGUCAAGGGACAACGGAUGCUUUGGGUCGCCUAAAACUGUGAGAUCGAUUUAAUUUAAUCUUUUUCUUUUAUUUAUUGGUAUCCGCAUAUUUCUUGGUUGCUAUGUUUAUGGUUAUUUAAUUAAUUGAUUGUCUUGGAUCCAGAUAAUUAGUUGAUUGGAUACUCUAUUGUCAAUUAGGGCAUUAAAUCCGUAAUUGUUUAAUUGCUCUAAAAUAGUGGCAACUGGCAUAAUUAGACUUGUGUCAGGGGAAUACGCGGGCUAAUCUAAAAUAACCCUGGUAGUGCGUUAUUUGAUUAGAAUAGGGCUCCUCUAAUACGUCAUGCAAUUGGGGAAUUAAAUUCUAUGGGCGUACCUAGGAUUAUUUCUCAAUUAGAGCAGUGAUUAACGGGCGUACCUUAAUCAUCGACACAGUAAGGAGGGGUUGACUGUCAUCGCUUGUUUGGCAGUUAUAACCUAUUUAUUAGUAAAUAAUUGGAAUUGCCUUUGCUUAUCGAUGAUCAAUUAGGUGAACCAUUGCUGAAGUUAUUCCUUGGCUAGAUCUUUAAUUAUCACUCAUUUGGUUUUAGUAAUUUGUCAUUUAAUUUCUAGUUGGCUAUUUUAUUUUUAUUAUUUUACUUUUAGUUGAAUUGCUUAAAUUGUCACCCCUGAGAUAAAAACACCCCCUUUGUCACUGUGAAUUUGAAAAGGAACAAUUACUCCCAGUCCCUGUGGAUUCGACCCUGCUCACCACUAUCUACAGAAAUUAUUUUUAGUUUGAGCAGGUUUUAUUAUUGCACAGGCCUCGACAACCUGUCAACUAUUUUAUUUUAUCUAUCAAAUCUACCUUUGUUUAUUAAUUAUGUUCAAAAUUCUUAUCUAAUUAAACAACAUAAUAUUCUCUAUCUAACGAUUUUUUGUUUCUCUUUUCUCCCUUUUCAAUGAUUUUCACAUAUUCUCCAUAUUCCUCAUAUAAUAUAUAUAAUCUUUUAUAUUAAUUUGAUUUAAAAAUAAAUAUUAUCAUUUUUAUACCUAACAAUUUUAAACUAAUUAAAUCAUAAGUUUCAUUUCUUUUUUGAAUGAAAAGAUAUAAGGGCAAAAUUGUCAAAUGAAACUUAUUAAGCAUUCAGUUAUAAAUAUUUAUCAAACAGUAUAAAUAGGUUUAGCAUUAAAAUUCACACAUUCAUAUAUUUUUUUGCAGUACAUAAAUUUCAACAAAUUAAUUAUUUCAGUAUUCAGAUUUCAAAAUUCAGACUUCAGUAUUCAUAUUCAAUUUUAUCAAACGAAACCUAAGUCUCUAAAUGGAUCACGCGAAAGCUACACCUUUGAUGUGCAAGAUUUUUGCUUGCACAAUUGAGACCACAUAGUUUUGCUUGCUUGUAAGCAUGAGACCAUACCAGGCAAUUGAGGUGGGCCAAAAAUUAACUAGUUUUAUGGGUGCAGAAAAUUACAACAAGUAGGUCAGACAAUAAAGAUUUUUUUUUAAAUUUAAAAUGUACUUUGAAAUUAGAAACUCACCAAAAGCAGAUGUCGAUUACUCAAUUGUGACUAGAAUGUAGCAUUUUCAGACGUCUUUGGAAUCUGGCAGCAAACUGUAGUGGACAAAGAAAGCAAAAGAGGCUAUCUAUCAACCAUCCUCUAUACGCGUAAUUCCAUCCACAAACCAGAAAAAAAAAAAAGGAAGCUGGAAUUCAGUUUCUCAGCAUCUAAUCCUGAAAAAUAACAGCUUGAAUUCACUGUCUCGGCAGGCAUUGGAAAAGAAUUACAUCUGUUGUUGUUUGGUAAUUGUUUCAGCUCUCUUUUGGCGAGCAGAGAGACUUAGAAAAGAGCAUUUAUUAUCUCAGAUUGACUGAGUCUAUGCCCAAAAGUCGGUUGCUUCUACUGUGGAAAGUAGAGUGAACUCUCCACCGUGGGCAGAAGAAGUGUUAACAAGACAACGCAGCGUGGACAUCUUUCACAUGUCAAGUGGGGUCCAAUUGAAAUAAGGCAACCGGCUGUAGGGUUGGCUUAACAAACCUGGCCUUGACGAUGGAUGGAACCUGGAAAUCCUGAGUGAAUUAAUGACUUUUUUUGCAUCAAAACCUGAGUUUUGUUAUUACUAACAAGUAACAAGGUACUUAACAUACUAGUCGGGUAUUCAGAAUUACGAUCCCGAGCUUAACAUGCCAUGUUGGUACCAACUGGGUUAUGGUUAUGAAAUUAGUUUCUUGUUAAUUAUUAUAAUAAGAAAUAUUUAUAAUUGAAAAAGAUUUAAUUCUUGCAUACUGAAUAAUAAAUAUUUUUAGGGAAAAUCAUUCAAAAUGUCUUUCAUAUUUUGUUAAAUAAAUUUUUUCAUCUUCCACUUUUAAAAUAUUAACUUUAUAUUCUUUACAAAUUCAAUUUCACAAAUUUUGGUCCUAACCUAAGUUUCAACCACUUUUUAGUCUAAAACCACCACAGGACUCAUAUGCAAUAGUUUUUAUAUAAAAAUGUCAAAUUUUACUUUUAUAGUGGCAAAAAUAAAUAUGAAUGGACAAAAAUGAAUAUGGUUUCAAGUUAGAUUUGGCUUAUUUAAGUGCAAAAAUGAAUAUGAAUUUGAUCAUUUGUUUAAUUACAAAUGGGAUUUAACUUUUUUUCCUAUAAAAAAGAACUUUCUUUUUACCCUCAUAAAAACUACUUUUACUUUAACUGCCUAUAACUAUCCAUGACUAUUUUUACUUUUAACUAUUUAAAUAUAUGUUUUCAACAUAACUACCUAUAAAUAUUAUAACUACUUACAUAAAAUUAUUUUAUGAAAAAUAUUUAAAAGAUUAAAAUUUGUUUUGAUAAUAAAAAUUUUGUUUAAAAUAUAUGAUCAUAAAUAUUAUAUAUAUUUUGAUUGCACACACAUUGGAUGUGCAUGAGCACUAGUUAUAAUAGAAUACCUAAGAAAGUUUACGCGAUAAUAAAUCAUUGGGUGCUUAAAAUUUAUCAAAUCAAUAUGAACUUGAUAUACUUUAAACUAUUUAGAUAAAUAGAUAGAAGACACACACUUCAUGAUAAUGUAGAACAAAUGGGACCUAACAUUAAAUUAAAGUGAGAUAAUGAAUUUUGUACAUGCUAAACAAAAAUGUCUUCCGAGUUCCCAAAGGAUAAAGACUUUAAAAUAAUUGGGGACGUUGCAUUGGGUCAAGAGGAUCUUUUUCAUUUACUCUAUCAUGUACUGCAAUGUAUAAAUAUUUGUUAUUAUUUUGAAAUGAAAUAUAAAUCGAUGCAUAUUACGAAUCAAAAUGCUAGAAUAUGUUAAUUUGAAUGUGGGAUUGUAAUUGAUAUUUAUCUAUAUAUCAUUGCUUUGCAUGUUUCAAUGGAUUUGCUAUCAUUAGAUAAUCCAUAUCACAACAAAAUCUUUAAAUUUAGCACUUACUUUUAAGAGUGAACUUUGAUUUUUACUAUAAUUUGGUUAUCCUUAUCAUUAGAUAAUGCUAAUAUAUUAAAAAAUCUCAAAUUUUGACACUAUUUUACUAGUCAAAUUUGUGAUUUUAUAGUCUGUCACGUCCAAUACAACUAGUUGCGAAAUUAGGAUUUAAAUUGAUAACCAUCUAGUUAUUUCAAUAGCUGAAAGGUUCAAUCUUUGAAACAUUUGCAUUAUGUGAUUUAUGUUUAUGAUUAUUUUAUCUACAAUCUCAAUUCUAAUUUCUUGGAGUACUAUUUAAUUGUGCUUUUGAUUACUCAUCUACAAAUUCGAUAUCGAUUUGAAAAUCAUCAUGUUACGUAUAAGAUUGCUUAUCUAAUUUCUAAAUUAAAAUUAAAAUCUACCAGGUCAAUAAUGUCAUGAUUCUAGUUUCUUGAAAUACUAUUAUAUUUCUAAUAAUUCUUCUGUAAUUUUGAUUUCAGUUAAAAAGCCACUAUCUAUGCAAUAUAUAAAGUUAGAGGGAUCGCAAUUAAUGUAAACUUUUUAUGUCAUUUUUUAAACUUUCAAUUUUAUUCUUAAAAAAAAAACUAGUUUUUGCUUUGACUACUUAAUCACAUUUUGCCAAUAUAACUAUGCAUAACUACCCUAAAUAUUGUAAUUAAUAAAUUACAAUAACCUUAUAAACCAAAAUUUUUUUAAUAAAUGUAUUUACAUAAAAAUAAAUUUUAUAUAAAAUUAAUUUCUUUUAAUUAUUUAUAUAUGUAAUUACUCAUCUAUGCCAACUAACAAUUAAAUUUAAAUUGUCAUAAUUUUUUUUGUCAAGUAAGCAUUUAUAAAUUAAAAUUGGAGUACACAUAGUUUCAUUUUUGCGUAUUCCAAGGAUUAUUGCAUCUGACCAAUUUUUCCUACUCUUCCUGCUCUUUGCAACUUAUUUCCUGUCAAUUAGGCAUGGGAACCUACUCCCGAAUUAAUGACAAUUUUUAGGUGCAUACAAAUGCCUGUACAAAUGCCCAUAAAUUAUCGUUUAGAAAAAAAAAAUACAAAUGCCCAUAAGUUGUUGACGGGCAUACAUGUUAUUUCUCCUAAAAGUACAAUGGAUCUCGUAUGAAACUUCUUCUACCCGGUUCCGGUCACCACUUUUAAUAACUUUGCUUUGCCUAGGCCCACAGUGAUGUGUUGUCCUAAUUUCCUUUGCUCUUCCCACCAUGCAUAGGUGAGUCAGCUUUCCACCAUAGACGGAACCCCCAAAAGUCUGCCAUUUUGAUAAUGCACUCUUGGUGGGAUGGAAAAGGAACUUACAAAAUGAUAGUCCUUUGGUUCUUCCAGCAACGGAUCCAAAGAAGUAACCAAAAGACAAAAGACUAUGAAUUGGAAAUUAGGAUUUGGUUUUUAUGGAGAAUUAAGUCAAAGCACUAGUAAACAAGGGAACGACAGCAAUGCAUGCAGAUGCUGAGUUCGAGGUUGUUUUGGUAGGAGAGAGAACAAGAGGCCAAACCGGUAUGUUUAAGAGGGAAACAGCCAUUAUCACAAAAAAAAAAGAGGGAAACAGCCGGUGCAAAACCGGCAGCUUAUGAACACGGUACAGAAAGGGCAAAUUCAAAGGUCUUCACCAAAUACAUUAAAAAAGUAAGAAAACAAUUUAUGAACAAAAAACUCACAAGAAAUUAAGAAUGAAUAAAAUUAAUUUUUGGUUCCUUGAAAGUACCUAAAAUAAAAUUUUAAACAUAAACUCAAGUAAUUUUGCCUUGUAGUGGUUGAAGUGUCAAAGGUACCCAGCAAACUUGAAAGUUCCAAUCUUUGCACCAUUGUCAUGAAAUUCAUAUCCUGAAUAAGGUAUCUCACUAAAUAUGCUUUGAGGCUUUUUAGUUUUAAUGAUAUUUUAACUAGUAAAAUGCAAAAUGAUGGAGUAUUAUAGGACAACAAUAUGAUUUUUGACAAUUUGAAAAAUACAAAGCAAUGCAUAAAACUUUUAAGAUUAACCAUAAACUUUUGAAAAAAAAUAUUCUUUUUCUUUUGAUACCUUAAGAACAUAUCAAAUUUAUAUUGAAAUGUAAGAGUCAAGGAUUUUGCCUUUUAUUAGUUAAAACAUAAUAAAAAAAGUUAAGCCAUUCUUCGUGCCAGUUUGGUAUCAUUAUAUUUUGACUAGAAAAAGGAAAAGUACUUAAAUUUGUGUUCAAAAUUAUAUUUGAGGUGUUAUUAGAAAUACAAUAAUUUUUCCAUCUAUAGUAAACUAUAUUGAGUAAAUUUUAUGUGCUUCAUAAGAUUUUUCAUUCUUUUUUUAUCCAGACUAAUGGAACGAACACCAUUACCCAAUUCUAUCGGUAUAUCUACAUUUUCCAUUAACGAUUGAUGACAUUACAUUGGCCAACUUUAUUAACAGACUAAAUUAGUUUGUCAUGAUAACUAAGCGUCAUAUUACAAAAAACAUUAAACCUAAAAGAUUAAAAUUUUGUAUUCAAUCUUCUCCAAUCAAUUUGUGUUAUAGUUUAUCUCUCUUCUAACAAUUUUUAUCUUUCUUAAAAAAUUUGCAUUAUCUUUUAAUUCAUAUGGAGUAUAUGAAUUAUUCUUUUUUAUCUAUAUAAAGUACCUUUAAUUAUGACAUUGCCAAAUUUAUUAACAUUGAUAGAAAUUGAAUAUUUGUUGACAAGAAAAUAGAUUUUUGUAUUUUUUUUUGUAUUUUAUUGAAAUCAAAUAUCCAUUUUGAGGUUUAUAAUCAUUGUAAAAUUUUGAAAAUCACCUCAAAGAAUAUCUAUCAAUUUUUUGGAUAUCUUUUAGAAAAUUUUUCACUGAUGUUAGUACAUCGUAAUGAAUAUACUUAUAGUUAUUUUUUAAAAAUUUGUAUGGUUGUUGACUUAGAAUGCAUUAAUAUUGUAGAUAUUAGCAUUUUUUUAAUUAUUUAGCAAAGCUUGGGCUUUCCUUUAUCCCAUUUUGACCGCAUUUUUCACCUUUUCAAUUCCCACUAUUUCCGAUAAGCAUUUCAUUUUUUUAAAUAAAAUUUUAUUUUUCUUGAUUCAAUCUAUUCACAUAUUAGUUGUGCUAAUACAGUCAACACAAGUUGGUUAAAUUGGUAAGAAUAAAUUAUUUUAUAAUAAAAGAUAGCAUGCCCAGUUCUAACUGUUAAUAUAAGAAUUGUGUUAGUGAAUAAUUUAUAAAUACCAUAUAAGCGACCUAUAGUCACGGGUGGAGGUACAUAUUAGCCAAAAAAUAUUACAUUUUUAGGUAUAGUUCUUUUUUUUGAAUUUUUUUAUUUUAUUGAAUUAUUUUGUAAUUGUGCUUUCCACUGGUUAAAUGAUAAUUUUUUACCUUUAGUAUUGGAAUUUAUAAAAAUUUUGUAAUUAUAAAAAAAGCUAAUUUACUUAUGUUCUUAUAAAUAAUAAUUUUUUUUGUAGUUGUGCUUAAGUAAAAAAAAAUGUGACUUAAUGCAUUGCUUUAAUGAUAACUACAAGUCCAAUAUUUUAAGAAAUUAAGGCUUGUUUGUAAUUGCAGUGAGCUGGUGGCUUAUCAAAAAGCACCUCAAUUAGAACCCAUUUGGAGUUGCGGUAGCUUAUCAAAAAGUACUUUACAUAAUAGAGUUUUUAAUAAAAAUACUUAUUAAGUGCUUAAGUACUUUUAAAUAUAUUAUUUGGAUACAUAGUUCAACAAGUACUUAUUGUAUUAGAUAAUAUUUAAUUUUAAUUUUUUAAAAUAUAUUUAUCUCUUUAUUUAGUUUAUAAUAUAAAAUAAAAUACUUAUAUUUAAUUUUUUAUUUUUUAAAAUACAAAAGCAAUUCUAAAAGCACCAAAUUUGAAUGUUUACUAAAGUGCUUUUAAUACCAAAAACUUUACUCCUUAUUUUAUGAAAUGAUGGUCAUUAAAUGUUUCAAAAGUAUUUUUCGCAUCCAAAAGUGCUUUUUGACCAAAAGCACUGCAACCCCAAAACGAGCCCUUAGUAGAAUUUUUAGUCAAAAUACUUAUUAAAUGUCUAAUCAUACUGUCUGGGUGCAAACUUGCAUAAGAAUUUUUUAUUUGAUAAUAUGCAAUUUUAAAUUUUUAGAACAUAUUUAUCUCUUCAUUUAGUUUAAACUUUAAAAUAAAGUUGUUAAAUUAUUUUUUUUAAUACAAAAAUUAUUCUAAAAUCACCCAUUGUGAGCUUACUUUUAGAACUACUAAUGGUCAAAAAUUAUACUCCUAAAUUCAAGUAAUGACACUCACCAAACACAUUAAAAGUACUUUUUUUUUUCUUGUAAAACACCUUUUUAAUAUAUGUAAUGUAACCCCAAUUGGACCCUUAGUCCUAUAAAGAAUUUUUUUUAUAUACAUAAUUUCAUAUUUUAAGAAAUUGUAAAUAUUAAUGGAUUUUUUAAAGGAUUAAUUUUUUUCUACAAUGACAAUGAAUACACUAUCAGCAUUAGAUAAGUAACAACUAUACAAAAUUUGAAUUUAAAAUUCAAUUAUUACACAUAUACCAUAGAUCCAAUGAUAUUAGUAUAUACACUAUCAAUAUAUAUAAGAUUUCCUCUUACUUAAAUCCCAUUAUACCGUAUGUUAAAUACACAUUAGAGUUAGAACAAAUGACGGGCCUGUUUGGCACCCUAGUUUUUUACCAAGUUUUUUAGCUACUAGUUUUUUAACAACUUUUGCUACAGGAACCCCAAAAAACUUUUCUAGUUUUUUAACAACUUUUGCUACAGGAACCCCAAAAAACUUUUCAAAGUUUUUUAUCUACACAUUUCAAAAAUCUAUACACAAAAAAUUUCUCAAAAACUUUUCUUUCUCCCUCACCCAACCCACCACACCAGACACCGCCUCCACCACCUCUCCCGGCACUGAUCACCUAUUCCGGCGCCGCUGGUAACCUCAAAAAAUUUUUUUGAUUUUUUGAGUCCCUCACCCUCAAAAAUUUAUUAUAUAUGUUAUAUAUUUAUAAUAUUAUAUAUUUAUAUAUUAUUUAAACAUAUUAUAAAUAUUUUAUUUUAUUUAAAAUGUAUUUUUAUAUAUUUAUAUAAAUAUUAUAUACCAUAUAAAUUAAUAUUAAUAUAAAUAUGUAAUUAUACAUUUAUAUAAAUAUUAUAUAUUAUAUAUUUAAUAUAUAUAAUACAUUUUAUAUAUAUUACACAUUUAUGUAUAUAUAUUUAUGUAUAUUUAUAUACAAUUAUAUUAUGUAUUGUGUAUAACAUAAUACUUUUUUCUUUUUCUUUUUUUUUUUUGGACAUUAAGACACGAUGAUAAUUACUAAUAACUUCAAACGCAAUCAGCGUAAAGGUUCCGACUCAGUUUGCACCAUAUCUAAGUACAUCCAUCUCCUCAAAAUAUUCCCAUCACAGUUUGCAUCAUAUAUACAAGUACAUCCAUCUUCUCAAUAAUAUUCCCAUCAGUAGGCCAGCGAAGCAUUUCAACACCUAUUUUGUGCGUUUUUUAUUCUCCAGAGUAGCAAUACGGCCUCGCAAAUCUUGAGUUUAUGUUUAAAAUUUUGUUUAAUAUAUUUUAAAUGUUUAAUAUUUACUAAUACAUUAAUAUGUUUACUAUUUAAUAAAAUAUUUUAAACGCUGCUUGUUUGUUUUAGUUUUCUGAAUUGUAGCACUCAAGCAACAGUUGAAGAUUGGUGUUUUUCUGUUUUUACUUUCUACAAAUGCUUGUUUUUGGUGCUUGUAAGGCGCAUGAACGUGUCUUAGAUAUUAAAUAGCCAUCAACUACAAUUGUCAAUGGAUUGCGGUUUUGCUGUAACAGUGCAAGAAGCUAUCUACUUAGCUUUUGUGCGAUUUAUUUGGUGACCUGUUUUCUAAUAAAAGGAUGGUACUGCAGGGUUUGCUUAAACCUUUAAUGUGGGAUUUGAAUUUGAUAAUACCCAAUUAACCCAAAAAAAUCCCCACGUAAUUACAGACCAAUUUGAAAUUUUCAACCUAUUAACGAAUAUAAUUUGUUUAUCCAUUGAACUUAUACUGAAGAUUGAUAUCAAUACAGCGUGAUAAACAUGCCAUUCCCUAUAGAAACUUACCAGAACGGUAGAAAAGUACACAGUUCAUCUUUGUUUCAAGUUCUUGCACUUGCUAGUUAAUUUUCUUAAACUGAAGAGUUGUCAUAUGCCAAAACAAAAAGAAGUGAAAGGGUAUUAUUGCAACCAACUACUUUAGAAGUAAUUGGCCAUCAGGAGAGUUUUAGAGGUCUAUUUAUGUGUAAGACAAGGGAUCAAAUGCGUUGGCAUGCAUUAUAAAAUAUCCAAACUUUCUUCGAAAAUUCGCAUCCGUCUCGUCUAAUUGUAGUUCAGCCUCUUUCGAGUUCCCCUUUGACUCCUUUGAAUCCCUCCCUCCCCCUUGCAGAGAGUCCCUGGGAAUGGUAAUUAUUAUUAGACCCCCAAGGAUCAUAUGACCACUUGUUUGCUGUGUAAUUGUUGAAACCAAAAUAAGAGUCGGUCAUGCAUUCAAAUAAUUCUAAAUUAAUGAUUGCAAAACAUUUUACUCUCCCAAAAAAAUUAAUACUUAUUAAGUUAUUCUAUUUAGCGGUACAAAGCAAUUUCUGGCGGUACGUUUUAUUUUAUAAAAGAAAAUUUAUAGCUAAAAACUAUGCCAAUUUUACUUUUUCCGAUGCCAUUGGUUAGCUUCCGUUACCAUUUUGGACAAAAAAAAAAAAAAAACCGUAGGUUAGCGAAAAGACAAUCAAAAUAGGGAUAGAUUCUUUUAGUUUUACAAGUCAGACUUUUUGAAGUUACCAUACAUGUUACAACGAGAAGACAUGUGUCUCCUCAUCUGGGAAAGUCUUCUUUUUUUAUUUUUAUUUUUCUAUUUUUCUUCCCCAGUUUUCAGGCCAACGGGGAUAUGCUACUAGGGCCAAAGGUUUCACCCCCAUGCACUCCCGAUGAAGCGAAAUGUAAUAAUUUUUUCAUACCACGUUAAAAUUAGGAUAAUUUCUGCUAGGGUAACCCGUUUAGGACGAUACCAGGUCAUAAUUUUGUCAAGCGUUCAUCCACUACUUUUGGUAGCUAUCCAUUUCUCUUUCUUAGUCUUUGAUGAAAAGUGAAAACCAAACGCCAAAUAAGUAAACUAAACAUUCGUAAACCAAACACAGGGAUUAUGUUAAAAGGAACGGAAUUGUUUUCUUACAAUUUUUACUUGUCAGUGUUUGAGUCCUGUUAAGAAACAAAUACCUUGUUAGAUCUAAAUAAACCAGAAAAGGAGAGACUUAUUCCAAUCUCUCCCACCAUAGUCACUUGAUUAUCAAACGCUCCUCGAUCCUCAUGUGUAUGUAUCUAUCUCAAUGGUUGGUGAUUUUCCCUUAUUAUAAUCGUCAUUACACAUGUAAUUGGUACUACUAACAAAUAAAGUUGUAGAAGCCAAAACGAGAUACAAGUGUCCCAAAAUUGACUUUUAUAGUAGAAUUUUACAAAGAAUCAAGCCCAUUGAAACGAACCCGAACGAGGUACAAGUGUCCCAAAAUUAAUUUUUACCGUAAAAGUUUAUAAAGAAUUAAGCUUGUCGUUAAAAAUAACAGUAAAAGCAUUCAUUCUUGGCUUGCAUAAGAUCUUCAAUAAUUCAAGAAAUCAGUGAAUAACAUAAUCUCAUUGAAUUAUCAUAAUUGGUAGUACUAACAAAUAAAGUUCUUACAGAGAACAACUUUUACCGUAGCAACCAAAAACCAGAAACGACAUACAAGUGUCCCAAAAUUAACCUUUACCGUAGAGUUUUACAGAGAAUUAAGCCGGUCGUUAAAAAUAACCGCAAAAGCAUCCAUUCUUGGCUUGGAAAGGGCUAAACCAACCUCAAUAUCUCCAUCUGUUUCUCUACUCCCACUAAGAGAAAUGGCCCCUGAAGUAUCAAUCGAAAUGAACUCGAACUUUUUAGGCUUUCCCCAUCCAAAAUCCAGAUUGUAAUAGUUAUACCUUGGUGAGCCAGCCACGGAAACAAGCCUGUCCAAAUUUAUACCUGCAAUACCCGGCAACCACGUGUCGGCAUCGUCGAAGAGUGAAUCAUUGUUCUUCAAUCUCUGAUGAAUGCCCUCCCCGAUUGACUCAACUGCAAUUGGAAAUCCUUCUUCUCCAAUUAACUUUCCAUUUUUUUCAUUUUUCCUAAUAACUGUUUGGCAAUUGCCAAAAUAGUUGGAAGGUAAAGGUGGAUCCAUACGUCCUCUACAAUCAGCCGUGCAACAAAAGUAUUCCACCUCUUCAUCAUCUACAUGUUCUCCACUUGGACCGCGACAUUUUACCAAGCAAGUCCAAACAUGGGCACAAAUUACCGUAAAUGAUGAUAAAUGAACUAAUUGUGGCCGUUUUUGCAGGGCUAACCUCUUGAGUUUUUCAAUAUUGUUUCUGCUAAUAACAAAAGAUCUGCGAACUUUGUCUGUUUUGGUCAUAGGUUUUGCUGUAGUAUCAGUAGAACUCUCAUUUUGAAAAAGCUUUAUGAAGACGACCCCUUGGUCCCAAAAAAUUGAGCUAAGUCCCUUUGUGUCUUUGAUCAUAGUCCUAUCGUAACAUGGUGGAGAAUCACUUACUAGAGUUGCCGCAACAUCAUCUCUGUCGAUAUUGUCUUCAAGAAAUUUGGAGCAUAAAGCUGCCCACGUCUUCAUAAAUCCGAAAAUGCAGCCGGCAUCUCCGACAGUGUGGAGAUUUGAGAUUCCAAUAGACACUCCACAGUCUGGAAAUAAUGUAACCUGAAGAGCAAGAACUGGGGUAGUCCUGGCUGUGGAUCCGGAAUCAUCCUCAUUAGAUGGUUUCAAUUCAGGAAUCAAAGGAUGAAAAUCACAACAAUUCCGUGCAUGGUUUGCUGUAAGAUAAUUGAAAUCAAUCGUGGUACACUCAGCAAUGAUUAGUGCUAGUGAACUUCCAUUUUUGUAACGAAUUUCGGGCGUGCCAGAAUUUGAAUUGGAAGGCACUAUCAAAUUCCCGGCUAGGGGAAGAAAAUGUUGGAGUGUCAAGGAGAGUGAAUGUUCAAGCUUAGGAAUGAUGUGCUCGAUGAAAUGGGCUCUAGAGAGCUGAGGUACCUGAUAAAGUACGAGGCGUUGGAUGGGGGAAAUGUGCGACCAGCGCAUAUCAAGGAAUGUUAAAGGAAGAGACAUUUCAGUGGCCGCCGCAGACGACGGUGGUGACACUAAAGAAUGCUUAAGCACGGUGACUGCAUCGGGUGUAGCCAUUUUACCUUGGUUGGUGCUAUUUGCGUGUUUGAUGGAAAGGUGUUCUUCUAUUAAGAAAACAAGGAGAGAUGUUUUCUUUUUUGUUCUUUUGUUUUUUGGUCUGGUUGGCGAAUGGAUAUAUGAGCUCGUAUUUGUAGUGAAGAACGGAGGAGCACAGGCACGGGUGAAAAAAUAAUUGAGAAUGCUUCAGUUGAGUUUUGCCUAAUUUUGUGCGGUUUGUAAAUUUUUUUUGUGUAAUUUUAUGUGUAUAAUUCUAUACUUUUUAGUAAGUUUUAAUGUACGUGUGAAUUUCGCUCACGAGUCACGACAUCUAAUUUUAGCACAGACGUAACUAGACCAAAUUCCUAGAUGUCACUGUGCCUCCGCCAUUUUUUCUUGCUUCCUAACUACGGCUCUUUGCGGAAGUUAAAAUUACGCUAAGAGACGUAAGUUAUGGUUAUCAAAAUCGCGAUUCGGACGAUCCUACGAUCCAGAUCAGUAAAAUUGAUUCGAAUUGUGUAUAGAAUCGAAAAUUGCCUUAAUUUACAUAGGAUCGUUAGAAUUGUUAGUGGGAUCGUAAGAUUGUAUAUAGGAUUGUACGAUCCUACGAUCCAAUCGUGAUCCUAUGAAUUUUUGAGAAUUUUGUAAAUGUGGGGCUAAAUUUUAAGACUAAAUGGAAACAUUUUGAGCAUUUUUGUAAUUUAUCAAAGAAUUAGAUCCUUUAAUUAUAAUUUUGCAACAAUUUUGGUCUCAAAAACAAAAUGUACAAUAAAAUAGGAUUCGGGAACAAAUGAAUGAAAUAAGUAGAGUCAAAGUUACAAAGGAUGAAGAGAGAGAAAGCUUCUUUGGUUCUUCCCAAUCUCCAUUCCAUACUUUUUCCUUAUCAAGAUUCAAAUAAAAUUUCACAAAAUUUUGCCAAUCUCCCAUCUCUAAUUCUGUAUUGUCUUUGUACCCUUGUCCAAGUUCAAAGAAUUUUCGGCAAAAGAAGUCACCCAACGAAAACAACAGUGAGUACUUGUAACCCUUAAUUUGAUUGUUUCUUUUAAUUAUGUCUAUCAGCUAUAUAUAUGUACUAAAUGCUUUUACUAUCAAGAGUGAAGAUAGGUUGUUUCUUAUUUCUAAUUAGACAAGAUGCUCGGACCUUUUCUUUUAUUUUAGGGUUCCGUUGCUUUAUUUCUUGUCAAACUAUAGGUAAAAAAUGUUAUAUGUUUAUAAAUAAUUUACUUAUUUGAUAUUUUUUAAGUUGUACAAAACUGUAUAUGAACUUCAAAUUAAUUAAUUUAGUUAAUUUGGGAGUUUUUGGUGGGAUCUUACGAUUCUACGAUCCGAUCUUACGAUUCGAUCCUGUGAAACUAAAAUCAAUCUUACUUGGGAUUUCGAUUUUGCAAACCUUACUAGACCAAUUCCAAGAUGUCACUGUACAUCCGCCAUUUUUUCCCACAACCGGAUUAUGACUCUUCGCGGUUCCUACAGAGCAACGUCUGCAGGGCUACCCUGCUUCUAUUGUACCAUCUGUUGAAAUAGGGGAUAAUUUCCUCAGAAAAAUUACUACGUUUUCUGUGAACAUAUUUCGCUAUCAUCUUUUUACCUCACAUAUAUCAAAUUGUUACAAUAAUUUUUCUACAAAAAAUCCAGAAAAAUGCAAUCCAAACGGGGCCUUAUUGAAAAUACUUCCAUAAUAAAGCUUUUAAUAAAAGUAUUUAUUAACUGGUAAAUGCUUUUAAAUAUAUUAUUUAGAAACAUAAUUCAAUAAAUAUUUAUUAUAUUAGAUAAUGUGUAAUUUAAAAAUUUUUAUAAGUGUUUAUCUCUUUAUUUAGUUCAUAAUAUAGGAUAAAAUGAUUCAAUUUGAUGUUUUAUUUUUUAAUUCAUAAAAGUUACUCUAAAAAUAUCAAAUUUGAACUUUUGCUAAAAGUGCUUGUAACAUCAAAAACUUUACUCCUAGUUUUAUAGAAUGAUAUUCACCAAAUAUUUUGAAAGUAUUUUUAGCACAUAAAAGUACUUUUUUACCAAAAGCAUCGCAAUCCCAAAUGAGGCCUUAGUUAUUUUCCCUAGGUGUUAUUUGUGCAUAUGAUGAAAAGAUUCCUUUGUUUUGAUGGGAGCAUUUGUUGUUUUUCAAAUUAUCCAAAAUUUAAAAACACAUGUCAAGAAAAAAAAUUAAGGAAAAUUUCAAAAUUAAAAAAAUUUGUGCGUGUCAACUUCUACGAUACUCUUACUCCCAUUCUUACUUUUAACUUAUCUAAGUGAGGGUGCAACUGUACUAAGGAAGAUUAGAGGGAGUAAUCUACCUUGAUUUUAUUACAGUGCAUUUAGGUUUGUACCCUGUGUUUCACUAGAUGACCAAUUCAUCUAUGGUAAAAAUUGAAAGAAAGGACUUUUCCAGAGUUUGACUGGUCAACUGCUGACUGGGACUGGCAUUGUCAUAAAUGUCAUGUAAGUUGAAAAGACUCUUCUCUAGCUCAUCAAGUUUUUGAUCUUACAAAGCCACUACUUUUGACUACACGAUGGCAUUUCUCUUUUAGUCUUUGAUGAAAAUCAGAAGCCAAAUAAAUAAAAAAUUUCUUUUUGUUUGGAUAGUGAAUUAAUCCCAAAUAAUAUUUUAUUUAUAUUAUAAACAUAAUUUUUAAUUCAUGUUUUUAUAUUUUCAAUCACUUUUUUAUCUCACAUACAUCACAUCACAAAAAGUGCUACAGUAAUUAUUUCAAAUAAUACUCUAUUCAAUCAGCACAUUUUUUAAUUAUUUUUUAAUUUACAUAUAUUAUAUUCAAAAAGUAUUAUUGUAUUUUUUUCAAAAACUAUCUCAAAUAAUCUACUGUUCAAACACACUCACUAAACCAAACACCAAUAGUUAAGGGACAUUAACCACUUUUUCUUUUUAUUCCGGCAUCAAAGUAGUUUCCAUUUUCUAAUAGAUCAGAAGGACAUUAGAAAGAGAUAUCAAGAAAUUUCCCUAGACCACAUUUUCAUAAUUUGGGUAACUGGCCUGUGCUUAGACUUAAUGGGGAUCCUUGUUUGGAUUGUAUUUUCUUGGAUUUUUUUAUAGAAAAAUUACUGUAGCAUUUGAUGUAUGUGAGGAAAAAAAAUAAUAGGGAAAUGUGAUCACGAAAAACGACGCAAUUUUUCGACAAAAAAAGGCUGUCCAAACUGGGCCUAAAACUUCUCUGCAAAACAUGCCACAUUAGUUGGUCAAAGAAUUUGUUGUACACAAAUUUUGAAUAGAUUCGUUCUUCAAUCCUUCAUUUCUCGAAUGAGGAUGAACCUGCGUCAUGCUACGCCAUAUUACUUUGUCUGAAAUCGUGGUCAGUAUUGAGAAGUCAAUUGACAGAAAUUUAAAAGCUUUGAGUAAAUUUUUUCUUACCUUUUGCAAUAUUAAAACCGAUAUGAACUUCUCGGAUAUUUCCAAUCUUUAGAAAAUUCCUCGUUUAUUCUAUUUCAUUUCCAAGUUACAACAGUUCUAUAUAGUUUUAUUCAUGUCUUUCACAAAAAGAAUUAUUUUCAAAAGAACGGAAUUGAUUUCUUACAAUUUUUACUUGUCAGUGGAAACAAAUACCUCAUUAGAUCUGACUAAAUACUCAGAAUAUCGAUGAAAAAAAAAUUUCAGACAUGUAUAGAUCUGACAAAGGAUAGGUAUUAAAUUAUGGCUGCUGGGCUGACAAAAGAGAUUUUCUUUUUUAAAGUCUGACACUGUCAGUCCGGCAAUACAAAACAAAAAUUUUUAAAAAAAAAGAUUCUACCGACUCAGCCGGCAGAAUCUGCACAAACUUUAAAAAGCUCAGUCCGGCGGCCAGUCCAAUUUUUUAAAAAAAAAAGUUUCCAUGCUGGGCGGCGGAAGAAGGGGCAUGAAGAACUCAAUUGCGUUUCCACUUCUUUUUGUCUCUUGUCUUGAGUCUCUUUAUAGCCCCUUCUAUAGGCCAGCAACCCAAUCUUUGCCCGACAACUUUCAGUUUCCCAGUUAAAGCUGUAUGUGGAAUUGAAGGGAAUCCGAGAUGUUUUGAUGAAGCACUGAAACGGUUUCCAGCAAGUGCAAAGCCUUAAAAAUGUUCAUGCAGUGAUGCCAGACCUGCAAGUAGCCAAUGCCUGUGUUAUAUUGUUUACCAGUCCGCGAACAAAACGAUUGUUAAGUAAUUGCAGUUGAUUUUUCAAAACUUAUAUUUGAUAAAUUAAAAUAAUUAAUUAAAUAUUUUAUUAUAAUAUAAACAACUAUAUGUCAUUGAGUUGAUUGAAUAAUAUUUUCUUUUUCUUUUUUUGGCAUUUCAAGUAAUUGUCAAUUAAGUUUCAAUUGAAAUAAAGAUUUUAUAAUUAUUUAAAUUAUUCAAUAAAAUUAUCAAUUUAAGAUGAACAUAAAUAUAAAUACAUUAAAUUGUAUUAUUGAAAUAUUUAGUUUAAUAUGAAGGAAAGACAAGAAGAAAUGGCAAGAAAUUUUUAAAAAUUUAUGUGAGUCCUUUAUAUUGGUAAUCACAUUUAUUUGUUAUUAUAAUCAUAAUGGCUGAUCAUAACCGAUUGAAACUCAUAUCCACAAAUCGUAUAACGAUUUGUGUUAUAUUAUUUACAACUAAAAUUACUAUAUACUCAAAUUAAAAUUUCUUUUUUCCGCUAAAUUUUCUUUUAUAUAUGAUUUAUGUGUUAUCAUUUGUUGGUAAUUAAUUUAACGAAAAGAUGCUCUUUAGGCUAAUAUGUUUUGACAAUGUGGAUUACUUUUAAGGAUUUUAAUGAGAUUUAGAACACAUUUUUUAUGCAUUUAAUCUAAUUCACAUUUUAUUCCAUUUGAAACAUAAUUAUUUAAAACAUAAGGAACCAAAAAAAUAUGAAGUCAAACUUUUGACUAAUUCUAACGUGAUUUUGACCGUUAGAUAUUAUAGUUUUCUACUAGUUGUCCCAAAUUUGGCUAAAAUAAAAAAUUUGGGAUCAUAGUUAUUUUGGUCAAAUAUCAGAGAUUAGUUUAACUCAUAUACUAAACGUUGGGGGGACCAAAAUUGCACAAGUUCCUUUAUUUUAAUCAUGUUUGAUAUCCCAACCCUUUCUUUUAUAUUUACGCUUCAAUUAUUUCAAAUAUGAAACUCAAUUAAAAAAAAUUAAAUCUACCACAAUAUUUGUUUUGACAUGUACAAAAUUCACUAAAUAAUGUUGAAAAUUUCACCCAUUUUUCACUACAACAAUUUCACCCUUUUUUUUUAAUUAAAAACUUAUGCCACUUGACGUACUAAACCCGACAAUCUUUUUAGUUAAUUAAUUGACGUUUCAAAGUUGAAACGUAAGAAAAAGGUGAAAACACAUUUAUUAAAACAAUAAUUAUUUGAUUUAUAUUAUGUUAAAAAAAGGUUUUGUAAACAAGAAGUCUCAUUCAAUUUGCAAUCAGAAUCAGAUACAGUUCUCAAAUUGUCACAAAAUAAUCGUUAAAAUUACAAUGUAUAAGAUUUGAUAUUAAUUUUUUGUUAUAAAAUAUAUAGAAAAAUAAAAAAAAUGUACAAAUUUAUUUUGCAAUUUAAAAAUGAAAAAUGGAAAAAAGAAGAAAAAAUAUGGGAGGGCAUACAAAAGGUAUGCUACCUGACGUGCUAAACCCAACAUUCUUUUAAGUUAAUUAAAUUACGUUGAAUAAUUGGACCGUAAGAAAAAGAUGAAAACAGAUUUGUUAAAUCAAUAAUUACUCCUAUAGGAUGUUAAACUAAAAAAAGGCUUUUGAAAACAACAAAUAAAUAUUCAUUUUACAAUAAGAUAUAUGUAAUCAAAUUGUUGAAAAAUUAUUUGUUAAAAUUAUUAUGUAAUUUGUAAUGUACACUAUAAUUUUAUAAAUAUAAAUUAUUGUGCAAUAUAAAAACAAAAAGGCAAAAAAAUGAAAAAAAAAAUGCACAACGUGCCAUUAUGAAAUUUAAAAAUAGCAAUAAGCAUUAUAAUAAUUAAAUAAGCAUUAUAAAUAGCAAUAAUUAAUUGUGAAAUUGUUUGGACUUUGCACUGAAUUAGUUUUUCAAUUAAUCUGAACUAGUCAAUGCUCACUAGUAGUUGUGUCACCUUUUCAUAGUGCUAAGUGCUAAAACGGGCAUGAGAGAUAGUUGAACUAGAUUGGGUUGCCGGCCUAUAGAAGGGGCCAUAAAGAGACUCAAGACAAGAGACACAAAAAGAAGUGGAAACACGAUUGAGUUCUUCAUUGCUUCUUCUUCCGCCCAGCACGUUUGGAAACUUUUUUUUUUUUUUUUUUAAAUUGGACUUGCUGCCGGGCUGUCGCUCAGCCAUAGAUUGAGUUCUUCAUUGCUUCUUCUUCCGCUCAGCACGUUUGGAAACUUUUUUUUAAAGGGAUAAUUUCACAAACCUCCCCUGAGGUUUCUGACACUUGCACUGAGACCCCUCCAGGUUUUAAAAAUUUCAUCUGGCUCCCCUGGCAGAGUAUUGGAGUCCAUUGCUGACACGCAGAGCAUUGAAAUGACCAAUUUGUCCUUAGAGUUUGGUUUAGAGUUUGGCAGAAAUAUUAAUUAAGAGAAGCAUGCUUUGGGACUGCACAUGCUUUCUGUGUUUCCAUCUUCUGUUCCCCUUAAAGUUCGCCGGCAGUUUAGUGAGCUUUUCGAUACCAUAGAGGAAAAUUUUAGUGAGCCUCUCCAUCCUGAGCUCUUGGCAUGAAGGCUGGCAAUACAUGUCUGCACUUUCAAUUAUGAUAGAAUACUUAAUGUCGCUGAGAAACUUAGGCUCUCAUUUAGUGCUUACGAAAAAAUGGGAGAGAAAUUUUUUUUUUCUAAAAAAUAUAAGAACUGAAAACCUGAUUUAUAGCAGCCAAGAAACUCGAUUUCAAUAUCAUGAGCAUGAUACUUAUAUCUCACAAGGGACUAUACUCUGGACAAGUCUCUUUGAAAAGAUGAACCAUAGUGGAUUCUAAAUGUGGUGUAUAUAUCGGUGAUGUGGGAGUGAUGGAGUUUUACAAAAUAUAAAUUUCUGGUUUUUGUGAAUAUGGAGAAAAAUGGGUGCCAGAAUCUAUGAUGUUAUGAGCACCACAAUGGCCACUAAAGGCAAACAUCCAGGUUGAAACAAUUUUGACAAAUGAUGCUAUAAGUAUAUGGCAAAGUGGAUCAGCUUAUGGAGCUUCUAGCAUCUCAUUAAAAUAGGCAAGAUUAGUUUAUGCUGUAGCAGUGAGAUGUUGCCACGCCUCAUUGAUCUCCUUGUGGAUAUCUCAUGAAAGUUUUAUCAAUUCUCAACUAUCCGAAAAAUUUUGUGUACUAGAAUUGGAGUUAUAAAUUGGAUCAGGAAAAUUUAGACAAAACUUUAACAGCCAAUGCCCAUGAUUGAUGUUUGACAAGAAAAGAAUUAAUUCUUGCAAUUUAGAACCAACCAUCCAAAAAAAAAAACAAUUCCCAUUGCAGAGAGCAGGCUCUGAGAUUUGUACCUGUGGUUUAGCAAACCAAGUCAUGGACCUGAAAGUAGACAACCUCCUAAAUAGAUCAUCACGGUCCCAUGGUCUGCAAGAUGGAGCUUGUACUGAACCACUUGAACCUGAUGACACCUGCAUUUCCUCAGUUGAAUUUAACCUUGAUUUUGGACCAAGUAUGCCCAAUGCAGAGAAUGCAUUCGGCCGUUUCUUGCCUUUCAACCACCGAACUCCAUCAGCACUACUGUUUUAACCAAUAUUGUCAACAAAAAAAAAAAUCAUUGGCAACAAGUUUCACUCUCUCUGGUUGUAGCAUUCCAAAUCUUAUUGACAAACACAAGCACACAAAAGAAAUGCAAGAUCAGUUUCCUUGCUCGGAGCUAUCCAAUUCUUGUAGAUAUAGGCAGAUACACACCAAGGGUGAAGCAAAAAAAAAAAAUUUUUUUUUUGAAAUACAUGCAUAUAUGCACACAACAAACACACACAAAACACUCCCUUUAAAGGUACAUUUUGGUAUUUCAGGUAGAAACUUCUAUUUUAACCACUCAAACACAGUAUCAUACUCUACAAACAAGAAAAAAUUCAACCAAAGUUAUACAAUAUUAAUAAUUAAUAUUUCGGCUUUAUAGCUUAUGCAUCAACAUUUCAGUUAUCAGCCAAAAUCAUACAAUAUUAGUAACUAGUAUUUCAGCCUUAUAGCUUAUGCAUCAACAUUUCAGUUCACAAUAACUUCGAAAUCCAAACAAGAAAAAUUAAAUAACAGAGAAAACAACGAAGUGACAACUUCAGCAGCUAAAGUUCACUUUCAACCAAAAGAAAAAAAAAAGAGUACAUAAAAGAGCAAUGAGAAGCCGUUGAUAAAAAAUUGUGAAGGAGUUAUAUAAAGAGAAUUAACGAGGAAAGCUGAAGAAGAAGACCUGAUGGUGGUGGAAGCAGAGGAGCCGUUAUUAUAUAGAUGAUUAUUAUUGCUAUUAUUAGGCUUGGAUUUGGUGGUGGCGGUGGUCGGAGAUUCCGGAAACAGCCUCUCUAAUAUUGCUUCGAUUCUCUUUUGUGCCGCCAUCUCUCCUUAUUGCUAAAAUUUUUUGGCCUGAAAAAAAAAAGGCUCAAAAGAAUCUGGACAUAAUAGAAUUUACUUGGAUUUUGAAGAGCUAAAAAUGGUAGUAAAUUGCUCCGGCAGCAAGCGCCCCCAAUGUUCUGAGGCCACAUCUGACUGGAUGGCCAAGAAGUUGGUUUUUGUCAUGACUGGAUGGCCAAUGUGCUGAGAGCUCUAAUUGCAGCACAGCAAAUUCACUUUGUUAUCGCUCCAAAUCAGCAGCAAAGAAUGAUAAUAGCUUGAAUCAGAGGUAGUUGAGUUGCUUUGCUUUAUAUGCUAUUGCUACUGAAUGUGCAAAAAUCUGGCCGUUGCAAUUUGCAGCUAGCCGUUGCAAAAUCUGCCAAAAAACUGUUGCAUGGCACAUCUGGUGCUUACAAUUUUUUUAUUGCACUGACACCCCCUCAACUUUAGUAAUCAGUCCAAAUCAUUUAUUCUUCUUUCAAUCUUCUACUAAUACAAGGAGCAAAAAGGCAGCAAUGGAAUAAAAAUACCUUCUCACACAUGAAAAUAAUAUUGUAAUAUGAUUUGGACUGCUUUGUUACCAAAAACUCAAAAGUAAGGGAGGUCAGUAAAAUUUUGAAAACUUCAGGAAGCCUCAGUGUAAGUGUCAGAAACCUCAGGGAGGUUUCCCAAAUUAUCCCUUUUUUUAAAAUUGGACUGGUUGCCUCAGCCCGCAGCCAGCUUUUUAAAGUUUGUGCAGAUUCUACCGGCUGAGUCAACAGAAUCUUUUUAAAAAAAAAAAAUUUGUUUUGACACAGCCGGCAGCGGUGUCAGACUUUAAAAAAAUAAUAGAAAAACUCUUUUGCUCCGUCAACCCGACAACCAUAGUUUGAUACCUAUCCUUUGUUAGAUCCAUACAUGUCCGAAUUUUUUUCUUUUCAUCGAUAUUAUGAGUAAUUAGCCAUUAGAUCUAGGGAAACCUGCAAAUGAUAGACUUAUUCCAAUCUCCCCCUCCAUGGUCAAACGCUGCUCGAUCCUCAUGUUUAUGUAUCUAUUUCAAUGGUUGGUAACAAGAUGCUGUCGGGGUAUUAAAAGAAAAUUUCAAAUAUGCAUCGCAAAGAAUAGCUUAUGAGCAUAUGGACGAUUAACAAUAUUAGUAUCCAUGUUAUAUCCAUGUUAUAUUAGUAUCAAUAUUUGUUAUAUUAUUGUCUAUACAGUAUCCUAUUGUUGCCGCUACCGAUAGUAGAGGCUUCCGAUCCAUGUUUUUUCCUAUGUACCAUGGCUCACUGAAUAAUAAAAUUUUUCAUUGAAAAGUCUUAUUCUAGAUCAAUUACCCUUCCUAGCUAUACAUGACAUAUUUGCUCCUUGCAUUGCGCAAGAUCUUCAAUAAUUCAAGAAAUCAGUGAAUAAUCUCAUUGUAUUAUCACAAUUGGUAGUACCAACAAAUAAAGUUCUUACUAGUACGUAGCAACCAAAAACCAGAAACGACAUACAAGCGUCCCAAAAUUGACUUUUACAGUAGAAUUUUACAGAGAAUUAUGCUGGUCGUUAAAAAUAACCGUAAAAACAUCCAUUCUUGGCUUGGAAAGGGAUAAACCAACCUCAAUAUCUCCAUCUGAUUCUCUACUCCCACUAAGAGAAAUGGCCCCUGAAGUUUCAAUCGAUAUGAACUCAAACUUUUUAGGCUUUCCCCAUCCAAAAUCCAGAUUGUAAUAGUUAUACCUUGGUGAGCCAGCCACGGAAACAAGCCUGUCCAUAUUUAUACCCGCAGCAUCCGGCAACCACUUGUCAGCAUCAUCGAAGAGUGAAUCAUUGUUCUUCAAUCUCUGAUGAAUGCCCUCCCCGAUUAACUCAACUGCAAUUGGAAAUCCUUCUUCUCCAAUUAACUUUCCAUUUUUUUCAUUUGUCCUAACAAGUGUUUGGCAAUUGCCAAAAUAGUUGGAAGGCAAAGGUGGAUCCAUACGUCGUCGACAAUCAGCCGCGCAACAAAAGUAUUCCACCUCUUCAUCAUCCACAUAUUCUCCACUUGGACCACGACAUUUUACCAAGCAAGUCCAAACAUGGGCACAAAUUACCGUAAAUGAUGAUAAAUGAACUAAUUGUGGCCGUUUUUGCAGGGCUAAGCUCUUGAGUUUUUCAAUAUUGUUUCUGCUAAUAACAAAAGAUCUGCGAACUUUUUUGGUCAUAGGUUUUGCUGUAGUAUCAGUAGAACUCUCAUUUUGAAAAAGCUUUAUGAGGAGGACCCCUUGGUCCCAAAAAAUUGAGCCAAGUCCCUUUGUGUCUUUGAUCAUAGUCCUAUCGUAACAUGGUGGAGAAUAACUUACUAGAGUUGCCGCAGCAUCAUCUCUGUCGAUAUUAUCUUCAAAAAAUUUGGAGCUCAAAGCAGCCCACGUCUUCAUAAAUCCGAAAAUGCUGCCGGCAUCUCCGACAGUGUGGUGAUUUGAGAUUCCAAUAGACAUUCCACAGUCUGGAAAUAAUGUAACCUGAAGAGCAAGAACUGGGGUAGUCCUGGCUGUGGAUCCGGAAUCAUCCUCAGUAGAUGGUUUCAAUUCAGGAAUCAAAGGAUGAAAAUCACAACAAUUCCGUGAAUGGUUUGCUGUAAGAUAAUUGAAAUCAGUCGUGGUACACUCGGCAAUGAUUAGUGCUAGUGAACUUCCAUUUUUGUAACGAAUUUUGGGCGUGCCAGAAUUUGAAUUGGAAGGAACUAUCAAAUUCCCGGCUAGGGGAAGAAAAUGUUGGAGUGUCAAGGAGAGUGAAUGUUCAAGCUUAGGAAUGGUGUGCUCGAUGAAAUGGGCUCUAGAGAGCUGAGGUACCUCAUAAAGGACGAGGCGUUGGAUGGGGGAAAAGUGCAACCACGGCAUAUCAAGGAAUGUUAAAGGAAGAGACAUUUCAGUGGCCGCCGCAGACGACGGUGGCGACACUAAAGAAUGCUUAAGCACGGUGACUGCAUCGGGUGUAGCCAUUUUGCUUUGGCUGGUGCAGUUUGAGAAUUUGUGUGGUAUGUGAUGGAAAGAUGUUCUUUUAUAACCAAAAACAAAAAUAGAUGCUUUUUUGGCUUUUUGGUCAAGUUCAUAAAUGCAUAUAUGAGCUCAUAUUUGUUGUCGGUGCAAAAAUAAUUGGGAAUGGGAAGGUUCAGUUGUAUUUUAAUCAGUAAUUACAUAGAUUUUUCAAUUGGGGUGGUGACAAAUUGUUCCUAUAAAUCAUUUUGAGGCAUAUUCUAACUUGAGUUGGUGAUUAGAGCCGAAUCUAUUUGAAUAUUUUUUUAUUAAAAAAUCUAAUUAUUUGUAUUUAUAUUUAAACUUGUAUAGAAUAUUUUUUUGUCCAUAUGAUAGUUUUUAUUCUAUAUCUAUUUCAAUUUUAUACCACAGGGGAUGAAGCUCAAAGUGAGAUUGAACCACCACAUAAUCAAACGGAUACUUUGUAUUUGUUGGUGAAACUUUCAAAAAUUUCUUAAAAAAAAAAAAACAGAGAAAUUUAAUCUCUUGAUCUGCACUAAAAAAAAAGCAUUAAAACUCUAUCUGAUGGCUAACUACUUUAAAAUCAGUUAAUUUAUUCAGAACACACUAACCACGGACAUGGCUAGAUCGAAUCCCAAGUGCACAUCCCAAAUCCCUAAAUAAUUCAUAAAUAAUUCAGUGACUUAAAGGUACCUCUGAUGUUUAAGAUCCCAAGAUGUCACCACACAUCCUCCAUUUUUGGGCACGAACAUGGCUAGAUCGAAUCCCAAGUGCACAUCCCAAAUCCCUAAAUAAUUCAGUGACUUAAAGGUCCCUCUGAUGUUAAGAUCCCAAGAUGUCUAAUUGGGAGGGUUAAACGAAUUUUGGGCGCGGUUAAUAUUUAAUUUUCAUUUAAAUGAAUUAUACUUAAUCCGUUCAACUUUAGAUUAUGUUGAUUUUUGGUUGGAUCAUAUUGGGUUAUCUCAAACUCAUAACUCAAAUAUGACCCAACAUAUUAAUUAAUACAUUUUAAUAUAUAAACUUUUUCAUAUACAUUUUAACAUGCAAAAAUGAUUUUUUUCACACAUAUAAACAUAUUUUCACAUACAUAAAUGUAUUUUCACACACACUCACUUCUUAAGUUCCCUGAAAACACAUCAUAAAUAGAAUUAUAUUUUAUAUUGCUUGUAUUGUGAAUUUUAGAUAAUAAAUUGUACAUUUAAAUAGAUUAGCUAAAAAAAUUGUUUACUUUAUACUUUUUAAUACUACUAAUUGAUUAAAACUUAUUAAAUGACCGAAGACAUUACUACAUUCGGGUUUUUGGGCUCGGUAAUUAAGAGGAAAAAUUAAUUGUCUUGAUGAUUCCAAACUUCUCAUGAAGUUGAAGAUUGGAGGUAUUUGCUUUAGACGAAAUGAAAUCGUUGGACUAGCCAUACCCAAAUUGCCAUAAUUAAUCAAAACAAAAUAGAAUCAACAAAUCAACUAUAUUGAUUCGAAGUUAAUAUCAUGAUCUAUAUACAUAUAAUAUAUAUUAGAAGGUAUUUUUUUUAUUGAUUUGAUAUAGUUAGAUCAUUCAUCACCUGAUUAAUUAGAAUCAUCUAGGAUCAUACUUGAUGCUAUGGUCAUAUUAAUCUUUUAGAAUUACCACAACUAUGAUAUAAAGAAUAAAAUAUUAUAUGCUUGUAAAACUGGUAUUGGUCCCCAAAAAAUUGUUAAGGAAAAUCCCAAACUUUUUAAGAAAUAAAUGAGAGGAGAAUUCAUGAACUAUUCUGACAUUUUUAUCACAUCGAGAUCGCAUUAUUUUGAAUUAUUGAAAAAUUAGGCUGAUACAAAGUAAGCUUUUGUUUGUAAAUUUGAAGUAUCUGAAAUUAUAUAAUGCUAAAAGGUUAAAAAAAAAUUUGUACAAUAUUAUACGUACACGAAAUAUUAACAAACAAAAGCAAGUAGCUACUUGAAAACAACCAAAGAAAAAAAAGAGAAGGAAAACAACAUACUCUUAAAAGGCAUAAUAAAUUAUUAUAAAAGUUGAGCAAAUUUAACUACUGUUAUAAAAGUAAAAUAAGCAUGAGUUUUUAUUUCAAGUUUCUUUUUUUUAAAUAAAAAUUAAAAAAAUUGAUUAAAAUAUAUAUAUAUAUAUAUAUAUAUAUAUAUAUAUAUAUAUAUAUAUAUAUAUAUAUAUAUAUAUAUAUAUGAGAAUUUUGAAUACAAAUUAAUGAAUGAAUUAUUAACACAUGUCCAAAUACAAAUUGUUGGACAUAUGUGUAUUGAAUCUUGUAUUUAUUAUUUUGAAUUACUUUUAAACAAGUUGGGUAUUGGGUACCCAAAUAAAAAACCCAACCCGCCCAAGAAAUAAAUUGGGUUGUUUUUACCCAACCCAACAAAAUCCAUAACCCAAUUGACUCAACCCAUUCUUUAAAAUUAAUGGGCGGAUUGGAUGGGUUGUUGGGUUUUGGGCCAGCUCUAGUAUUUGGGGUCCAUGAAAAGCAACUUGCUCUGCCUUGUAUUUAUUCUAUAGGGCCACCAAGCUUCUAUCCUAUCUCACUGGUAGAGGAAAGUUUCAAAAUUCCAAUGCAAGAUUCUUGAAUUUUUUUUGGCAUGCUUUUCACCAUAAAUGUAUUUUUAAUCAUUGUUUUAAAAGGUAUUUUCUGGGUGCCUUAGCCCUUAGGGCGAGGUGAGCUCCAAAGGUCCCGGAGCGUUUGAAUAUGAGGCAAGUGUUAUUGGGCAUUCGCUUCACACUAUGAAACGAAUGUCCGAACGGCUGGGGCGAGGCGUUGGGCAUUGGUGUCAGGGCAUUUUUGUAUUUUUAUUCUCUUUUCAUUUUGAACUUUAAUUUUACUAUUUUAUCUUACUCAUGUUUAUUUCAUGUCCUUAUUACUCAUUCUGUCCUAUUUUGAUACUUUUAGUUUAUUUUUCACACAGUUUAAGAAAAAAUAGUUAACUUUAUUGGAAAAACAAGUUUAGGUUGCUAUUUUUUAAAAAUAUCGUUACAUUAAAUAGAGUACAACUUUAUAUUAAUUAUUUAUGAAAACUUGAAUUGAUGGUUUAUGGGAACUUGAAUUGAUGGUCAAGAAAUAAUCUACAUUAAAUAGGAUAGUUUAUACUAAUAACAACCUAUAUUGAAUAAAGAUAUUUUAGAAAAAUUAAAAGAUAACCAUAUUCUUCAAUUUGAAAGUGAACUACAAAUUGGGACAGACGAAAAAGGAAAACAGAACUAUCAAAAUGGGACGGAUGGAGUAUUAUUUAAUAAUUGAGUUAAUUAUAUUUACCUCCCUUGAGGUUUAAUCAAAUUAUCAAAGAGCCCCAAAGUUUGAAUAAAUAACAGUCUAAUCCUUUGAAUGAGCAAACAUUUAACCAACAACCCUUGCCUCACCGACAGCUAAAGAUUCUACUGAUUCAACAAAAAACUAAUCUGAUAAUCCAAAAAUUCUCUUUGUCAUCGCCCCUUUGUCACGAGACAUACAAGAUGCUAACAACAAGAAUCUCAAAAAGCUUAGGUAACAGCACUCACUUAAGUGAAAUGGGUUUUCGGGUUUUCGAUCUCCAUCUUUGGCUAUUGAUUCGUGAAAUCUUUUUUUUUAAAGUAAUUUGAUGGCUAUAUUUUUUGCCUCCCCUCACAUGGAUAAUUGUUCUAUAAAAUUUGUGGGUUUUGGCAGAUUGAAAAAUAAGUGGAGCCUUCAGUAGUUCUAGGCUCGUUUGACAACUUAGUGGCCACUUUUGGCCAAAUCUAAUGCGAGAAUCAGGAUCUAGGCAGAAAAUAGGGUCUGAAGGUGUAACUUCAGAGAAAUUUUGUUAUCAGGAAAUAGCUGUGACUAAUGGCAGUUAGAGGCAACUAGAAAAGACGGUAAGUGGCAGGGAUGACAUCGUUGCUGCAUAGCUGCUACUUGGAAAGUCUCAAGAAAAGUGAGAAAAAGACAACGAAAAUAAUAAUCUAUCAAUAUAGUAAAAGUACGAAUGGGUUUGUUAAGAUGGUGGUUGCUGUGCUGAUGUGGCUGUGUUUUAUUGGCUGGAGGAUGGUCGUCAUUCACAUGGGAGUCGCGUGUUUUCGGCAGCAGAAGAAGUGAAAUUCUUGUUGUUGUCCGAGAAUGAGGACCUUUCGUUCUCCAUGUGUGUAUGUGCCUUCUGAAUAUUUUUUUUGGCUUAUAGUGAAAGGACUGAUGGGAUCAUGACCACUUCAAUUUACGGGGCUCAAGGUAACCACUCCCAUCAAUCUAUUCCCACAUUUUCUUCUCUCGUUUUUUGACAAAUAAUUAUGCUGAGCAAACAAGUUUUCUCAAGGUAACUGAUGUGACUACCAAAAACGAGAUCCGAGCUGAGCUGCGGCGAGCUAUUCAGGAACGAGCUGAUAGGAGGAGAGCGAGCGAGCUGUCGUACAAAGAGGCAGCAGCGGGGCUAGUUCCCUAGAGUUGCUCCGACGGUCAAGUUAAUAAGAGCCUGAGAGUAGAGUAACAGCAUACAAUACUGUAGAUGGCGUACCUUGUGUUGCCUUAUGGUGCUAUAUUUAUAGGCUUGUGAGUAGUAGUUUCCUUAUAGGAUUAGGAGUCCAAUUGGAGAGGGAGUCCUUCUAGGGCUCCAUCGGCUAGUUCCGAAAGGUUCGAAGGCCGCGGCCCACCAGGCCCAUCCAGCGGGAAGACGGCGGCUAUGCGCGAGCUGGCAUCCCUCAUGUCCGAACUGACACGUGGCUCCGGUGGAUUUGCUCCUCUACAAUAGCCCUUCUUUGAAGACUAGAGUCAUCGCAUGGUUGCAUGAAUCUGAUCCUUGAGGUGGUGACUUGCAAAGAAUAUUGCUAUGUCCGCUCAACUGGAGACCGAACUGAAGAGUCAGCAGGUCAUUACUCAACUAGAGGCCGAAUAGAGGAGGUUGGCCGAACUGAACGGUCGGCAAGUCAUUACUCAACUAGAGGCCAAACAGAGGAAUUCUACUCUCUCUGUUUUGAGGCCGAACAGAAAAGUUCUAUCAUCUCUGUUUUGAGGCCGAACAGAGGAAGUUCUACCAUCUUUGUUGUGAGGCCGAACAGAGGAAUUCUACUCUCUUUGCUUGAAAACCGACAGAAGAAGUUCUAUCAUCUCUGUUUUGAGGCCGAACAGAGGAAGUUCUACCAUCUCUGUUGUGAAGCCGAACAGAGGAGUUCUAUCCUCUAUGCUUAGAGGCCGAACAGAGAAUUUCUAUCCUCUCCGCUCAGUUGGAGCUCGAAUAGAAGAAGUUCUAUUCUCUCUACUCAGUUGGAGGAGCUCGGAUAUAAGGAGUUCUAUCUUCUCAGAAGUUCUAUCUUCUCUGCUCAGUUGGAGGAGCUCAGAUAGAAGAAGUUCUAUUCUCUCUGCUCAGUUGGAGCUCAAAUAGAAAAAGUUCUAUCUUCUCGCUCAGUUGGGGGAGCUCGGAUAGAAGAAGUUCUAUUCUCUCUGCUCAGUUGGAGCUCGAAUAGAAGGAAUUCUAUCUUCUCUGCUCACGUAUCUCCUUAUUGGUUCCUCCUUAGCUUUGUAGUUUCUCUUACUCACUCUUUAGGCGGUUAGCUUCUACGGCAUUAGCCCUUUCGUGAGAUUGAUCUAGCAUUUUCCGAACUGAUUUGGGAGGUUUUUCAAUGAACUCGGUGUAUAAUUUUUGCACGCGUAAUCCAUUGAUGAAGGUGGCCAUGACAACCUUGUCAUCCCGAUUUCGGACGUGAAGGGACUCGUUGUUGAAUCGCAUUAUGUACUUGCGCAGCGACUCCUUGGGCUUUUGUUGAAUUGUCAUCAGGUGAGUAGUGCUUUUGGAGAAGGCUCGCGACGAAAUGAACUGAGCCUCAAAUAACCGCGCAAGCUGGCUGAAAGACCGAAUUGACCUAGGAGGCAGCCCCUGGAACCACUGACGCGCCUUCCUCUCCAAGAACAUUGGGAAGGUCUUGCAUCGAAUCGCAUCGGCGGCCGUUUGUAGGUGCAUCUGUGUCAAGAAUGCGAAUAGAUAGUUCUCCGGAUCCGUGGUAGCAUCGUAGGAUUUCAUGCUUGGUAUCUUAAAUUUUGCGAGCAGCAGGUAGUUUUCAAUGUCGGGCACAAAGGGGGAGGUGGUAUAUCUAUCCGCCUCAGGAUCUAAUAACAGAUCCAGCUCAUCUUGUAUUUGGUACUCUUCCUUCCUCAGCGUAAGCCCCCUCCUCGGGAACCCAUGGAAGGGCUUCGGGUGCUCAAUUCGGGAGUUCUUGUGAGAAGGCUCUACAAUCUCGAUCUGUCCACGUGUGAGCUCCUUAUGCGUCCACUUCGGUUGGGGGUUGGGGCUCCUCGUUCUAGACUCGGAUAGGCUAACUCCCUCCGUGCCUCGUGCCUUGGGCUCCUGGUCAUGAUGGCCUCUCGUCUGCUCUUUGAGGUAGUUCAUGAUUGCUUCAAAGGUAGGUAGGUUUUCCGCUACCGUCUGAACCAGUUGUUCAGGCGGGAUUCGUGAGAGUCUCGUCCCCUCGUCUCCUGGAGUUGGACCCCGAUGGGGAUUUUUGGGGCCGUUUCGCUCGUUCCCCUUGGAUCCGUUAGAGUUCCUCUGAGACCUAGUCCUUGGCACGAUUCGCGAGAGAAGAAUUACGUGUUUUCCACAGACGGCGCCAAUUGAUGCGACUGCCAAAAACGAGAUCCGAGCUGAGCUGCGGCGAGCUGAUGGGAGGAGAGCGAGCGAGCUGUCUUGCAAAGAGGCAACAACGGGGCUAGUUCCUGGAGUUGCUCCGACAGUCGAGUCAAUAAAAGUCUGAGAGUAGAGUAACAGUAUACAAUAUUAUAGAUGGCGUACCUUAUGUUGCCUUGUGAUGCUGUAUUUAUAGGCUUAUGGGUAGUAGUUUCCUUAUAGGAUUAGGAGUCCGACUGGAGAGGGAGUCCUUCUAGGGCUCCAUCGGCUAGCUCUGAAAGGUUCGGAGGCCGCGGCCCACCAGACCCAUCCAGCGGGGAGGCGGCGGCUAUGCAUGAGCUGGCAUCCCUCAUGUCUGAACUGGUCUGGCCGAACUAACAGGUCACCAUGUCCUAACUGACACGUGGCUCCGGUGGAUUUGCUCCUCUACAGUAAUCAUCCCUCUCUCCGGAACCGAUCAAUCACAAUUUAACACCCACUUCUUCCCAUUUUCGCAAUCUUUUCCGGAUAGUUUCCAGACCUGUUAGAUUCUCUUGUAAGUUCUUCUUCAUCAAUAAAUAUUAUUGGUGGAUUUUGCUUUCCAAUUUUUUUUCUUUUGCAAUUAACUCUUUCCUAAUGCUUUCACUUUGACUACCAAGAUCAACCCAAAAAAAAUUACGUCAAAUCAUUCUGGAGGGGAAACGAAAAGAAAUUAGGCAUUUGCAUGGUAAUCGAGUGACUUUUAAGGUUAGCUUCCUGUUAUUUUGUAGAUAUUUUUUGGCUGUGAAUUUUUCUUUUUCAUUUUUAAAAUUUUAUGACUAUUAGGUAUCAUUUGGUGAUUAUUUUGUUUUUUGGUUUUUUUUGUGUGCAGUAUGACUGGUAAAGAAAUAGAGGAGUUCAAAAAGAGAACUACACGCAGUUGGUUUCUUCAGGUUGUUUAUUGCUUGGUGUGGUUACACGGUAGUCUUUAAAAGAUUUUUUUUGAGGGUUUUCUUGUCUAACUUUAUAUUUGUUAUGAUAUUGCAGGUUCAGAUAUGGAAAAUCUUUUGCAAUAUGUCUUGCCAUAUAAAUACUCCUAGAAGAUUUAUUCUCAUUGCUUAAGGGGUUUGUUCUUACCUCUCCUGCCUAAACUACUCUAGCCAUUUUUCCCUUUUUGUUCUCCGGUUUAGUUGUCUAACAUUGUGGCUUGUUGUGGUUUUUUUCUUCCCUUUGUAGGAUAAUAGGGUUGUUCCAUAUCUUCUCUCUCUGCUUGAUCGUCUUUAGCUCCAGAAGCAAGGAAAUUUGUAGAAUCUAUCUCCAAACUAUCUGGUUCUUUGUUACCUCUUAAUCUUUAUUUCCUUUCUAUAUUUAUUGGUUUUAUUCCCCAAAAAAUUUCACCUGGUUAAUAUCUAAAUUUUGCCUAUAUUGUUCCUUAUUUCUUUAUCCAUGCUUUCUCACAAGAUAGAUGCAGCCAACAGAAGAUCAUCACCGAGAAAUAUUGCGGGCAAUUUUGCUUUCUUGGGUUUCGUCCUUCUUCAUCUCAGGUUUCCUCUCUUUUAUUUUUUCAUUUUUUUAACUUUUGUACUCUUUUUUAAGUAGUUUCUAUGUUACUUGUUUCUUUCUUUUGGGUCUCUAGAGCCCCAUGUACAAACUUGCAUGAUAUUUAUUAUAUAUGGAAAAAUUACUUGGUAGAGAAACUGAAGGAAAAAGUUGUCGAUAAACUCUGGAAAAUGGAGUUUUCAUGGCUCAUCUGAUGGGUUUUUUUUUGGGUAUGUUAUGUGUAGGGGUACGUUCAAUUAUUGACUCACAAAAGACGAUCCAUAUGGUAACCAACCCAAAGUCUCCAUUUGUGGAGAUCAAAUUUCAUGUCGAUGAUUGUUAAAAACUUUAGUUUUUUUUUUGUGUCUUUAUUUUUGAGAAACCCAUUUUUCUUAUUUUUUUUCCCUUGUGAAGUUUUGGUUCUCAUUUUUCGGACAAUGUAUAUGGAUUCUUUAAAACAAAAGAAAAAAAAUACUUUUGUGUUUUCUUAGUUUUUUUUUCAACAAACGUUGUGUUUUCUUAGUUGCUGAUAAAAGCACUGGAACUGAUCAAGGAGAUACUCGUUCUAAGAAGAAAUAAUAAAAUUACAUAGUCCUAAGCGAUUUUUUUUUAGAGAAAAAAUUGUGUUAGUUGCAUCUAUGGUUGUAGAAUUAGUUAUUAGAAUGAUUGAAAAAUUGGAUUUUGAUCAACUCGUUAUAGAUGAUAAGAGCUUGAAAGUAAAAUUGGAUUUCUACUAUUGCUUUAGGUAGAAUAAUUUCAAAUGUAUUAUACUUUGAAUAUGUCUAAAGAUCCAAGUUUUAUUUGAUUUAAUUGUUCCACUGAUGAUGCAUUAUCUUGCUGGGUUUAAUUAUUCUUGCUAGCUUUGGUUAAAUUGUCUUUGUUUCUUUUUCGGUUCUUGAGAUAUUCCUUUUCUUUUGUUUAGAACAUUAAAAGUAGGAGUGUGAAGAUGCUCAUGGGUUAUUUGCAUUAAUAUCAUCAAGAAAUUUUAUCAGAUCUCAUUGCUUUUGGUUUCUCCUGAGGUAUUGUCUUGUCCUUUUACUUAUUUAUUUGCUUAUUUUGACUUUCGGACAAUUAUUAUAGGUUGGUAUAAAUUGAUUUUUUUUUCCAAAAUUUGAUGUUUCUUAUCAGAAUUAAGUGUUCCAUAGAAAUUCAAAUUCCUAUGAUAUUUUCUUGAGGAUUUUUUUGUUCAAAUGUUUGGUAAUCUGGUUUAUGACAUUUGCUUCUUGUCUGUAGCUUUUAACUUGGAGUUUCGUCUAUAGAGAAGUUUUUCUAAACCCAUUGUUCACUGCUGAAUAGGUAUUUGCUUUCAGCCUUUCACGGGAACGAGAGGAGAGUUUGAAUGAAGCUGGAGCUCUCUGACGCUAUUAGUCAUUGAAAGUCCAUAAUCAUUUUGCUUGUGGCCAAUUAGAAAGACUUUUUUCUUUUCUUUGUCAAUUUGUUCAAUUGGCAUUGGUAUAUGGUUUAGUCUCACUAAGUAGAUUUUCUUUUUGUAUUGCAUGUAUAUGCAUUUUAUUAUUCGUUUGAAUAUAUUGUAAAAGAAACUUAUUGCUGUUAAAUAUCCUUUUCUAGGAACUGACAACUUGAUUUGUGGUUUUUAUCAACAAAAAACAAACUUAUAGCUAUUAAAUGUCUUUUUUAGGAACUAACAACUCACUUUGUCCAUUUCUUCAAGCUAUAUUUUUUCCCCUUCUCCUCUUUGCUUUCAUUAUAUGCAAAAGCAAGAAGCAUCUUAAUGCUCUUAGUAGUCUACUCAUUGUAUUGUCUUGCAUUUCCUUAACAGAUUAUUCAUAUUCAUUGCUUAAUAAAAUUACAAAAACCAAAUGACAAAGUUUUUGGUGCAUCUUUUUGUGACUUUUCAUACUUAAUAUUUGAAUUUGAAUCAUUAGGCAUUACUGGGCAACGUUGAAAAUCGCACGGUGUUAUUCUCUUAGUAGAUGUUAAUGUGUUGAAACUACAUCCAUUCAUUUGGGAAGAGGGGCAGGAAUGGAAGCAACCAUUCCUGGCAGUUGGUCAAGAUUUGGCCAAAAAAAUUGUACGGUCCAAAUUUCAUCUUGUAUCUUGAUUUAAUAACAUGUGUGGGAUUCACAAAAUUUUGUUCUAAAAUUAUACGUUGUUGAAAAUAAGUUACACCAUAUGCAAAUAAAGUUACGCCGUAUGCAAAAUGCACAUAACUGCGUAACCGUUCCUGCCCUGGUCCGUUCAUUCGAGGGUGUUUGGUCUUUUUCGUUGAUCUCGUCUGAGAUGUUUAACGGAAGUUACUCAAAAGGGCGAAUCUGUUAUUUGGCCAAACUUCGGGGUUUGAUUGGUAGUUUGUUUAAACCUCAGGCGAGAUAAAUGUAAUUAACGCUUAAUAAUUUGGCAGAAUGAUUCCAUUUAUUUUCUUUUUAGAAAUAGUUUGGAAAAAUUACAAAAUAAAAGCAUCUAUAACUUUGUUUCCUAUAUUUUUUCCUUCUCUGGUCUCAAAAUAUAAUUAUUUUUUAUUAACAUGAUUCUAGAUGGCUAAUGUCUGAUUUAAAGUUAUAUUGUGAUUUUACUUAUUAGACAACAAUAGUAGUUUUGCAAUUUACUUAAUUUAUCAAUUUUUUAUAUAUUUAAAAUAUCAAAAUUCGUGAAACUUACAGCUCAUGCCUUCAGGCUUUCACCUUACUGAAGCAAAUAUAAAAUGACUUGCUCACCGCCCUUGCCUUCUAAAACAUUGUUAUCCACCUCGUUUACACUCACAAAAAAAAAAAGGAUAGGAUUUGUUAAACAGGGACUUUAUUAGAUAGUUGAGAGUAUCUGUGCAUUGGUCCCAGAAAGAUUGUCCAUAUCCCCCUUGUGCCAUUGUCUGUUGAAGUCCUAUCAUAAAAUUCUACUCCCUCCGUCCCAUUUUGAUAGUCCUGAUUUUUUUUUCACAUAGUUUAAGAAAAGUAGUUAAUUUUGUUGGAACAAUCAAUUUAGGUAACUAUUUUCCUAAAAUACCCUCACAUUAAUUAGAGUACAACUUUAUAGGAACUUGAAUUGAUGGUAAAAAAAGAAUAAACUCUCAUUAAAUUGGGUAGGUUUAUAGUAACAACAACUUAUAUUGAAUAAGGAUAUUUUAGAAAAAUUAAAAUAUAAUUACAUUUUUCAAUUCGAAAGUGGAUUACAAUUUAGGACAGAUGAAAAAGGAAAACAAAACUAUCAAAGUGGGACAGAGGGUUCAACACUAUCAGAUUAUCAAUAUCAUUGUAGAAAAAUUAAACCAAACAUUUAUGCUUUAUUAACUUAGGGGCCAUGUGUCGUUAUUUGGUUAGUAGAGUUUGGUUGCAUGAUUGGUUUGUGGCAGUGGUUGCAUGGAAUUAAUACCAUGACUUUUAGUGAUUUGUCAGUAUUAGUAUCUUGUUUUACGUUUUGUGUAAGGGUGUGCUUAUAAGUCAGCCGCAAAGAUUUUAUAGAAGGGAAUAGCGUCGGGAGUCGUUUCUGUUUUAGAGUAGCCGCACCAGCCUUGUUUCAUCUACUGAGAAGAAAUUCCUUUUAUCUCUAUUUCUAUAAUCUAAUUUGUCUUAAUCUAGAGAGAUAAAAAAUUAAAGAGACUGUGUCCGAGGAAUUAGUAGAUAUAAAAAAUUGAUUACACUAAAGAGGUGAUCGGACACCUCUCCUUUGAAUUUUUUCUUGAUUGCUUUUGCGGGUAUACUUUUGUUUAUCAAUUUAGGUCCAUCAUGUUAUACCAUAUGAUCACAUGAGCACUGCACGAGCACGAAAUAGGACUCUUGAGGAGUACCGAAGUUCCUGCAAAACAACACAGGAGAGACGGGCUGGCCCUCGAUUCCACGCUGGUGCUUAAAUUAGUAAAGUUGGAGUUCAAUAAUAAAUAGGCGAGGGGAUUGGAUUAAUACCUUAAUGCAUCAACCAGAGGGGCGUCUAUAAUAGGACUAAUGGAGGGUUAUUGAACUUCGGAUCAUUUUAAUGAGAUAGAGUGCGGUUAUAGGUCGGCUAUAGAUCUGCAGUCUUGCUAGACAGGCCUGCAAAAAUCUGUCAAAGUGUUAGGGAGUUAAAUCAAUCACUUCAUGUUGCCCGCGUAUUGGGCUCAUGAGGCCUUUCGAGCUAUAUGGACGCGAUUCCGCUGGACAAGUAGACCUUGGAUAAGGGCCGAGGAGUAGAUCUUGGGUGCCUCAACCACCAUAGAGGGUUCCUGUUUCCAUAUCCAACAGCAUUGUGGUGGUUUGAUAUUCCUUGAGAUAUCAGUAAUAUGGAUAUCGAAUCAAUGUAACCUGAAGACUAUGAACUGGAUCGAGUAAUUAAUGCAGACCCAGCAAGGGAAUUAUCAAUAGGAGAUAGCAUCGAUUUAGGGACUAAGGUAUGAAAUUCGACAUUGUUUAGUGCGUCAUCCAUUACAAGAUACAAAUUGAAAUUAAUCGUGUACACUCUGACUUGUUCUUAGGAAUAACUGAUAAUCAAUAACAGGGUUUCGUUAAGGAGUUCUAGGCAUGUUUGUUUAGGGCUUAUUGCAGAAAAAACUUAUCAAAAGCAUGUUAAAGGAAGGGAGAUUUCAGUGGUCUAACAAGAAAAUGCUCAAAGCUCAAGCAGGUGACACAGUAAAUGUGAGCAUAGCAAAUUAUUCCCUAUCCCGGGCUAUUUUUUUUUUUUUUUUUUUUUGAGAAAUGAGCAAGAAUGAUUCUUGCACUGCAUAACACAGUUUACCUUACAAUUUAUCGAGAACUGUUCACACAGUUUCGUAACAGAGGUAUGAUAUUCAGUUAUCAUUCCUAAAAGUUAUAUGUAUUAAUUGCGGUUCUGUCACAAAAUUGUACAGUAAUUUAUAAUGACUAGUUCAGAUCGUGUUACAUUGUAAUGUAUGUAGUGAGAAUAAUUCUGGCUAAAUCCUCUGACCUAGCUAUUGUAUACAGGCGAAAAUAUAAUUAUGAGGUCACUUACUUACGUUGGCCAAAGCUCAAAUUUGUGGUGAAGAUUGGAGGAAUACUAGUCAUGGAUGAAGAUAAUUGAUGAAGUAGAGAUGAUUUUACAGAUUUGCAUGUGGAUAACUGCAUGUAUCAAAGAUGUCUUCCAUCUGCUUCCCCUUUGGACCAACUUGGUCGAUCGGCAACUUAUCUUUUGGCCUGCAGGACUAACAUGCUUCCUCUGUAUUAUAAUAGGUUGUGAUUGGCUAAGAAUCAACGGCCAUGCAAACUUUAAUGUGCACAAUCUCAUGUUCAGGAAACUAAAUGACAUUUUGCCUACUGUGCAUUAAAACUCUAAGGGACUAAUUAGUAGUUUUUGUUAAUUCUAGAAAGACCAGAUUCUUUAGAAACCAGUUGAUUUCAAUCCUGUCGAGUAGCCUGAAGUUGUAGUAAGGAAUAUCAUAAUUGAUGUCCAAUGGACAAUUUUCCGUUGGAAGAAGCUUAGGAAGAGUAAGGAGAAAUAACAGCUAAGGAAUUUGAUCAUGUUAGAGCUACAAAUGAAAAAAAAAAGGGUUCUCUAUUUUAAACUUCAGUUGGAUGCCACAAAUCAUACUUCAGAGAUGCAUCGCCAUCCCCAACUAUAUUACUUUCAAUCAAAUGCCUAGCCAUGUUGAAGCUUUGGCAUCUUCCUCCAACACCAAGAGUAAUCAACCGGGGGAAUUAGUUACAUAAAAAAUAUUAGGAUCCACAUUUGAUUUUUUUGUGAAAUGUGAAGGACAAUAUUGUGAUAUUACCCCAACGUUAGGGACUCAAACAAUAAUUAUUCCAAACAUUAUUCAAGGCAUGUGACUAGGUAUGCACGUUUUUGCUGCAACAAGGGAUAGAAUUACUUUUCAAGGUAUACAACAAUUUGUGCUGUCCGAAUCCAUAAAGUAUUGACAACAUUUAAGAUAUACGAAGUGUUAAUCACAUUUGAAAUGUGUAGUGGAAAAAAGUAAUUGCGCUUAUAUGUAUGUACAUGAACCACUCCACUAGAACUUUUAUGGCUUUUAAAGCUAUGAUUAUGGUAGGACCCUUUUUUUGUUGUAAGGGACCUUUUACAUUCAGACUCUAAGAAUUGUGUGGUGCAAUAAUCCAAUUUUGAGUCUGUGUAUUAUGUAGUUGUCUUUAUUACAAAAAUUACAAUCAAAAGAGUAUUUGUAGUUCAACCUUAACAUGCUGUUUACAUAAACAUUUCAUGCUUGUGGACAACUAAGAAAACGCGCAUGGCAUCGCCACGAGUUAUUGUUGGUGUCGAUGUCAAUACUUAAAUUCGAGCCAUAUACCAUGUUUACACAUGCUAUUAUGUUCUCACAACCAAUCUGUACAUAAUAAAAUUAUGGGCCCUUUGGUUUUAUCCUUUUUGGUAUUAGAUAGGGAAAAUGCCAGAAGCUAUGUUUUGAAACUCGGACCGGAUAGUAACUCAGUCGAGAUUAGGGGUCAAGGGUUAAUGAAUUCAACCAGAAUUGGACCCAUUUAAGAAUUGAAUGACAUCAUUAUGAUGUCAUAAAUAUAUUUAAUUUUAAAAAUUGAUAUAUUAUGUAAAAUUUCUAAAAGCAUAAUAAUCUCAAUGUAUGUUCAUGCACAUUUGAUAUUUCUAAAAUAUUUUGCAAGAAAAAUAUAAAUAAAGUAAUAUAAUUAAGUGGCAAUCUAUACAAUUUAAUACAUAUUCAACAAAAUAUAUUGGAGUUAAAAAAAAAAUACAUAUUCAACAAGUUUGGAGUUAAAUUGGAGUGCUAAUUUGAAAAAUAAUAGUAGAAUUUAGGACAGAAGUUAUAAAUUAUAAAAUAUUUUUAGGUGUAUUAAUAGUUUUCUAAAACUAGGGGUUAAAUCAUAAAAUCAAUAAAACUUUGAAACCCCAAAAUUGAUUUGAAUUCAAUGGUGUGGACAUGCAAGGCCCUUAGGUGAGGUCCAGCUAUUUGACUUGGCUCACCAAAACGUGGAGUACAUCUCAAUUAUUAUACGUACCGAGCCCCCCGGGGUCAGCUCAACCGGUGAGCCCAUGGGGAAAUCCUCGUGGUGGCACAUGUUCGAGUCUGGCCUCACAUAGCGUCUGGGUGCUCUUGGGAGGCGGGGUACUUCAGGCGCAAGGGAUUAGUCGGGUCCCGUAAGAAUUGACCCGGACAUCCCUAUGUUGAUAAAAAAAAAAAAAAAUUAUACAUACCGCAAUCUUGCUCUAGUGAACAGUGAUUGAAUUUUUAGUUUUUCUCCUCCAUUACCCAUCUUCUUCCUCUCUGCCCUAUCCUUUCUUCUCCAACCGCAGUUUUCUUCUUAUGUUUCUUUCUUUUUUUCCUUUUUUUACUUCUAAAUCUUUGCAUCUUUUUCUCUAUUCACUACAAGAAAUCAUCAACUUUUAUUCACGUUAUUUUCCCUUUACUUCUCUUUUUUUUAUAUCAAUUCUUUUAAUCUUAACUUUAGAUCAUUCAAUAUUGUGUUGGAAGAGACGUACGUGGCAGUAGUAGUGGAUUUGCAAUCAAGGAUUGAAGUCCAUGCUAAAAAUUUUGGGAGUAAAAAUGUUUGAAAUUAAAUUUUGGAAAAAAUCGGAUUUUUCCAGUUGUUCAGGGUUUCCGGUCAAACCCGAUUUUGACAGGGUCCUUGUCACUCGGGUUUUCGAACAAAUUCAGAUCGAACAUGUAUUAGGUUUUUGAUUCAACCGGUUGAACCGGCCGGUCCAGUUCAAAUUUAAAAACAUGGGUCAAAACCUCCCAUGGGGUUUCACUUAAUGUCAUCUAGCGCCCUUAAAAUUUUAAAAAUAUCACUUACCUCCCUUAUUUUUGUUAUUGAUGUAACAAAAGUUUGAAAAAUUCUAAACUACCUUUUGCUCUUUUUGCUAAAUAAAAGUACUUCUAAACCACUUUAUUUACUCCAAAAAAAUCACCACAUAAAAAAAAUCUCUAGUAAUGGCACCACAUCACAAAGUUAUAGUACCUAAAAAUAUAAAUUUAAAAAAAAAGAUAUUUGUAAAGUAAUACAAUAACACCAAUUUCACUCUAUAUGUUCAAAACCAAUUUCUUAUGAACCUUAUAUUUUUUUUCCAACUUUUCAACACGUGGCCCAAGCAUUUAAGUUCCACCAAUCAUUACAAAAAUUAACUCAAAAUAAAUAAAGAAAUUAUAUCCCACUCGAUCACAAUCACAAAAAGUAAGAGAUAAACAAAAUUUAAUUUACUAAAUUUAGCAUUGAAAAUUGCAUAGUCAUCUAAAAAAUGAGUAAGAGAAAUGUUAGAGAAAGGGAAAAGAAAAUCCAGUUACUUUUGUUUCUUGUUUUAAAAUUUUUUGAGCUCUAUUUAUUUGAUAUGUCAAUUAUGUAUCAAGUGAGAGUUAAUAUUGUCUUUUUGCAAUUAUUAGAGAACAUAAAUGAUAUUUUUAAAAUUUCAGAGUACUAAAUGAUAUUAGGAGAAACCUCAAGGGAGGUUUCUAAUAUUAUCCCACAGAUACAAGCACUGACAAUUGUGAUAUCCUUGGUCAUAAGACAUAUUUCAUAGGUAACCAGUCAAUUUAACACUUGCUAAGCCAACAGAAUUCGGUAUAUUUUUAUUGAAGAAAAGUCAAACAAAAGAAGUACUGCUUACAAGAAGAUAAAGUUUGAAAAAGGAACCCCAAAAAUAAUAAUAAUAAGUAAAAGAUUUCCUGGCUGAAGAUCGAAGAACAAAGAAGCAUAAAAGAAGAUAUAAAAUGGCACAGAAAAUGCCUACCACUUUCCAUCAAUUGUGGAUAUGAAGUCACACCAUGAAAUGAAGCACUAUCAAAACCAAAGAACGGGGGGUGGAAAAAAAAAAAAGAAAAAACAGAUUUGAAGCGGAAACCUUGAAAAAAAUGAGAAAUGGAGAUUUUUUUGUGUGGCAUCAAUACAAUAUAAUUUGUGGGACAUGAUGGCUACGACAGGUUUAUGCCAAUGGACUUUGUGAAUUGUGAAAAGGUGAAUGUGAAACCUUUGAAUUUCACCUGAAAUGUCGAUUAUGGAAAGAUUGCUUAAAUGCUUUUUUCGUAGGUCAACUACACCUGAAUCUUUUGUUACAAGGAAACGUCUCUUUAACGUCUUGAAUUUGUAAGGACCUGCUUUUGGUUAAUUCUCAUAGUAGUAGUUGUAGGACGCUUUGAGCCAUAAACAACUAGUGACCGGGGUACAUCCUGCGUGAACAUGCCUAAAAUUUAGAGAAGAAAAGUAGGUGAUUAACAUAAGUACAACCAGAAGUGUUUGUUUUUUAUCCUGAAAAGUAAACAAACAUGGUGUAAAGGGAAGUUGUUAAAAUCCGUGAACAAAACCAUCAUAGUACUAUUGAAAUUUUUGUAUAUGACGAGAUAUAAUUGAACUAAAGCUGUCAAUAUUAUUGAGAAGUAGCUUUUUUUGUUUGAAAAUUUUUGACAAAGAAGACCAGGAAAUUGUUUUUCUUGGUUCCUUGAAAAUGUAAUUUUAACAGAAACCAAUUUAAUUUCAGACAUCUUAAAUUCUUAAUUGUCAUUACACUCUUUAAUUUAAUAAGUCUCAAGAAUGAGUAAACCAUACAUAAAUAUAACUGUUAAGAAUAUCUAGCUAGACUGCGAGGGGUCACCCAUUAGAGGCAAGAUUGCUACAUUACUAUGGUUUGUUUGGAUUGAUUUGACUUCGGAUAAAAUAAUUUACUUCACAAAUUUCAAUCACCUUUUUUAUUUUUUCAAUCACCCUUUUAUUUCAUAUACAUCAUAUCACAUAUCACAAAAAGUGCUACAGUAAUUAUCUCAAAUAAAUCAUCCAAAUAAACUCCUAUCCAAACAGACGCACGCCAUCUCCACAAUCUAAAAAUGCCUUUAAAUGAGCACCAAAAUUGAUAACACAGCUUUUUCUCUGUCAACUCAUGUUAUUUAUCAUCUUUCUGUAGAGACUCUCAUUAACCCAUCGGAAUGACCCGAGGCUAGAUUCCAUUCUCUCCUUUAUUUCCUUUCCUUGUGCUGAACUUCCUAACAACUGGAUCAUAUUGUGUAAACACAGCACUCAUCUUGUAGAUAGGAUUGCCAAUGGUCGGGUCAGGUUGAAAAAAGUUUAUCGAACCUAAAUUUUAAUUGGGUUGGACAGAGUUUGGAUCUAAAUAUUAGGUUCGAACUAAAUAUGAAUGGAAUUUUGAUAGGGUACAAUUUGUUAGCAAUUUUAUUAUUAAUUUCCCCUUUUAUCCCUGACAAAUAUUGUGUUAAUUGCGGAUAUUUACUUACAUUUGGUAUUUGGAAUCAAUUUCAGGAGCAGAGCAGAAAAUUACCAUAAAGGAAGGGAACAAAAGACAAUUGGGCUGAGGGCCCACCUUGUGUACUUCAUUGGCUCAAGUCCUACGGGAGAAAGGAGGAGUAAUCUCCUUUGGCUUUCAAGAAGGACAUCAGCGGGGACCACGAGAAAAAAAAAAAGCCUUUUCUUCAAUUGGGCUCUUGAGAGAAACGGACGAGGAGAAGCUUUUUCCUUGCAAUCUUUUGCUUGCUCCCGAAUGGUGGUGGGACCGCGACCUAGGUAGCUGGGAGUCAACUUCCUUUAUGUUUCUCUAUAAGUAGGAAACGGACAGAAGCAGUCCGGGGCCAGCUUUUAGUUCUUUUACUUUAGUUCAGUUUUUAGUUUUCCUUUCUUUUCCUAGGACUGGCCUCUGACACACGCCAGGUGUUUGACAAUAUUCCCCAACGGGGAAAACAUCCUCCAUUCCUUACUUUUUAGUACAAAACAAUGCCUUCGCAAUUUAUUAACUCGUGUGAUGAUUUAAUUAUGCGGCGUGGCUAAGUCUUCCAUCUAGUCAAGGGUCAACUCGACGGCGCAGUCCCGAAAAUCUGUGAGAUCUAAUUAGUUUUCACGUGUUUCUUAAUUUAUUCAUAUUUGCACAUUGCCUGCUUGUAUUUUCAUGGGAUUAUUUUAUUAAUUGGAUGUCAAGGGCCCGAUGUUCAAUGUGAUUUAUUAAUCUCGUGCCAAUUUAGUCAAUUAAAUCCGUAAUUGUUUGAUUGAUUAAUAUUAGUGGCAACUGGUGUGUUUACACAUUAGGGGAACGUGCAAUCUAAUUUAAAUAACCCUCGUAGCGUGUUAUUGGUUAGGGCUAGGUUUUUCUAAUAUUAAUGCAAUUGGGAAAUUAAUUCCUAUGGUCGUACCUAGGAGUAUUUGCUGAUUAGGGGUAAUCAACGGUCGUACCUUGGUUAUCUAUAAUUUAAGGAAAAAUUGGUCAUCAGACUAUAACUAGCCUAUUAAUAAAUUAAGUGAACCUCUCCUGCAUCAAUGAUCGGAUAAAUGGACUGUGCCUGAGUAGUUGCAUCCUUGGCUAGAAUUUAUUUAUUCUUGAUUUAAUUCCUGUUUUACUUGUGCUGGUGAUUUAUUUAUUUUUAAUUAAAUUGUUUAAUUAUUUUUAGUUUCAUUCCGGUGAAAUCCCCCCUUAUCGAUUGGACUUUAAAAAGAGACAGAUAUCCCCAGUCCCUGAGGAGACGACCCUACUUGCCACUGUCUACUAUUUAGUAAUUUUUGUCAAUUAAUUAAUUCUGGUAUAUCGGGUUAAGCAAACUCUUCGGGAACAGGGUGAAUCAAGUAACCCAUUACACACCUAGAGUCCCUGCUCCAGUACCUAGGAUUAAUUAUUGACUGCUUAUAGUGGUAGUUAGGUUCUAUAUUUAUUACUAUUAUUGCACAGGCUGACGACCUGUCAAUUUUUGGCGCCGCUGCCGGGGACUGGCGUUAUUGUUUGUUUCUUUUUAAAUUCAUUUUGUGUCCUAAUUUUCUGGUUUUCUUCUAGUGUAUGCCUCGAUCUUCUCGCACAGGUGAUUUGAUUUUUGACCCUGAGGUAGAGAAGACCGCGCGUAGAACGAGAAAGGAGACCAGACAACUCAGAGAGGAGCACUACAGUGCUGCAUCUGAGAGUUCUGAACCAGGAGUUGACCCAACAGAUUCGUUUGGCGACACUUCAAGUGACUCUGACCAGGAGGAGUUCACCAUGGCUAAUGCACAAACAUUAAGGGAGUUGGCUGCUCCUGAUUUAACUCAGCAGCCUUUGUGCAUUACUUUCCCCGCUUUAAACGACAACAUUCCAUUUGAACUAAAAUCUGGUCUGAUUCAGCUUUUACCCUCUUUUCAUGGUUUACCAGGUGAAGAGCCGUAUAAGCAUCUGCAAGAGUUUGAUGUCGUGUGCAAUAAUAUGAAGCCCCCGGGAAUCACAGAAGAGCAGAUAAAAAUGAGGGCAUUCCCCUUCUCCUUGAAAGAUUCUGCGAAGGACUGGCUGUACUACCUGUCACCAGGUAGCAUCACCACGUGGGGCCAAUUGAUGAAAAAAUUUCUGGAUAAAUAUUUUCCGGCGUCCAGGGCUGCAAGCCUAAGGAAAGAAAUUUGUGGGAUCAAGCAGCAUCCCGGAGAGUCACUUUACGAGUAUUGGGAACGGUAUAAGAGCUUGUUGCGCAGGUGCCCCCAUCACCAAAUAAGUGAGCAGUUGAUCAUACAAUAUUUCUAUGAGGGGCUCAUUUUUAGAGACAGGAGCAUCAUAGAUGCUGCAAGUGGAGGGGCACUGGUGAACAAAACCCCUCAGGAAGCACGGGAGCUAAUAGAGGGGAUGGCAGAAAAUUCACAGCAAUUCAGUAUAAGAGAGGAUGUCCCAAUACGUAGGGUGAAUGAGAUAGAGACACCCUCUGUGCAGCAGCAGCUAAAUGAGUUGACUGCAUUCGUUAGGCAACAGGCUGUGAGAAAUGCAUCACAAGCCAGGGUAUGCGGGAUUUGCACUGGUAUAGGUCACUCUGCAGACAUAUGCCCAAUGAUUCAGGAAGAAACUGCAGAACAGGUGAACAUGGCUGACCACGCGCCCGCGCCAAGGAAGCAGUACGACCCUUACUCGAGCACCUACAACCCCGGGUGGAGAGAUCAUCCCAACCUCAGUUAUGGAGGGAAUAGGCAACCCAACUUUGCACAGAACAGGCAGUCUAACUUUGUGCCAAAUAAGCCACCAGGGUACCAGCAGCAAUACCAACCCGACCACCUCCGCCCCCUCAAUCUGGUUCAUCUAUGGAGGAGAUGAUGAAACAAAUGAUGACAACCAUGGCGCAAAAUCAGCAAAGGACGGAGGCAACUAUAUUGCAAAAUCAGCAAAGGACGGAGGCAACCGUUAUGCAAUAUCAGCAAAGGACAGACUCCGAAAUACAGGAUAUAAGGAAUCAGAUAAGUCAAAUGGCCACAACAAUCAACCGCUUGGAUGCCCAAAAUCAAGGUAAACUGCCAUCUCAACCGGAGUUGAAUCCGAAGAACGUGAGCGCAAUGACCCUAAGGAGUGGAAAAGAAAUUCAGGGGCCUGAACCUGUGAUUCCCAAGGACAAGGAUGAAGAGAAAAUCGAAAAUGAGCUUGGAAGGGAGGGCAGAAAUGGUGCAGAUCCAAAGGUACUCCCUGACCCAAUAAUUGCAGUUAAAACUAACCCACUUCCUUUCCCUAGCAGGUUGGAAAAAUCGAAGAAGCAGGAUAAGGAGAAGGAGAUCUUGGAGGUUUUUCGCAAGGUUGAGAUAAAUAUCCCCCUCUUGGACGCCAUCAAACAAGUACCAAAAUAUGCCAAGUUCCUAAGGGACUUGUGUGUAAACCGAAGGCGAUUGAAGGGAGAUGAACGGGUCAUAGUUGGGGAAAAUGUGUCUGCGGUCCUGCAGAGAAAGCUCCCACCCAAGUGCGGGGACCCAGGUAUGUUUACUAUUCCCUGUAAGAUAGGUAAUACUGUGAUCAGAAGGGCCAUGUUGGAUCUGGGAGCAUCAAUAAAUGUCAUGCCUAAGUCUAUCUAUACUUCUCUAAAAUUAGGUCCAUUAAAAGAAACUGGAAUAAUCAUUCAAUUAGCUGACCGAACUAAUGCAUAUCCUGAUGGGUUGGUUGAAGAUGUGUUGGUAAAAGUUAAUGAUUUGGUGUUUCCAGCUGAUUUUUAUGUACUUGAUAUGGAUGAUGAUCACUCCCCUGAUCCCUCACCUCUGUUAUUGGGUAGACCUUUUAUGAGCACAGCACAGACGAAAAUUGAUGUUAAUAAGGGUAUUCUGUCCAUGGAGUUUGAUGGGGAAAUUGUGCAUUUCAAUAUCUUUGAUACUAUGAAAUAUCCCUCAAACUCCAACUUUAGCUCAGUUUUCUCUGUGAGUGCUAUUGACCCUGUAGUGCAGGAAGUGUUUGAAACUGUUGGCAGGGAUGAGUUAGAGGUGGCUUUAACAAAGCACCUCGAGUUGGAGACAACUCCUGAGGUGGAGUGGAGCGAGGAUCUAAAAUGCACAAUAGGUGCAUUACACUCAUUGCCGACCACCACAAAAAGGUAUGAAGCAUCACCUAUUUUUAUUCCUGAACCUCACCAGAGGGUAUUGCCAUCUGUGGUGCAGGCACCGGAAUUGGAGUUGAAACCCCUACCAGAGCAUCUGAAAUAUGCAUAUUUGGGUGAUAAUGAGACACUCCCGGUGAUUAUCUCAUCGGCACUGUCAAAAAUCCAGGAAGAGAAAUUGAUCCGGGUUCUUCGGGAGCAUAAAGAGGCGAUAGGCUGGACAAUCGCAGACAUUAAGGGGAUCAGCCCUGCCAUCUGUAUGCACCGGAUUAGGCUAGAGGACGAUGCCAAACCUGUUAGGCAGGCUCAAAGAAGGCUCAAUCCCCUCAUGAUGGAAGUUGUGAAGAAAGAAAUUUUAAAAUUGUUGGAUGUGGGGAUUAUUUUUGCAAUCUCUGAUAGCCCUUGGGUGAGCCCGGUCCAGGUAGUCCCAAAGAAGGCAGGAGUGACGGUGGAGGCCAACCAAACGGGUGAGCUUGUUCCAGUGCGUAAGCCCACUGGAUGGAGGCAAUGCAUAGACUACCGUAGGCUAAACGCCGUCACCAAAAAGGAUCAUUUCCCUCUCCCUUUCAUUGAUCAGAUGGUUGAACGUUUAGCUGAUAGAGCUUAUUAUUGCUUUUUGGAUGGAUUUUCAGGAUACUUUCAGAUAGCAAUUGCCCCGGAGGAUCAAGAGAAGACAACCUUCACGUGCCCGUUCGGGACCUUCGCCUAUAGACGAAUGCCAUUUGGAUUGUGCAACGCACCCGCGACUUUCCAAAGAUGUAUGGUAAGCAUCUUUUCUGAGUAUGUUGAGAAAAUAAUAGAAGUUUUCAUGGAUGAUUUCAGUGUGUAUGGAGAUAGCUUUGAUACGUGUCUAGAUAACCUGAAAUUGAUCCUGAUAAGGUGUAUAGAGACUAAUCUUGUGCUUAAUUGGGAAAAAUGUCAUUUUAUGGUUGAGCACGGGAUAGUCCUGGGUCAUAUUGUGUCGUCUAAGGGCAUAGAAGUUGACAAGGCUAAAAUAGACAUUAUUUCUGCAUUACCUUACCCCGCGAGUGUGCGGGAGGUGCGCUCUUUUCUUGGACAUGCAGGUUUUUAUCGAAGGUUCAUCAAGGAUUUUUCAAAAAUUGGAGCCCCGUUGUUCCAACUCCUACAAAAAGAUGUAGCCUUCGAGUUUGAUGAUAUGUGUGAGAGAGCCUUUAACAAGCUGAAGGAAUUGUUGACUUCACCCCCAAUCAUCCAACCCCCCGAUUGGAAUUUGCCAUUUGAGAUCAUGUGCGAUGCCAGUGAUUAUGCUGUUGGGGCUGUACUGGGGCAAAGAGUAGGGAAGGCGGCUCAUGUCAUCUAUUACGCAUCCCGAGCCUUGAAUGGAGCCCAGUUGAAUUAUUCCACCACUGAGAAGGAGCUUCUUGCAGUUAUUUUUGCUUUGGAAAAAUUUAGGUCAUACUUGUUAGGUGCUAAAGUGAUUGUAUUUUCUGAUCAUGCAGCAUUGAGGUACCUGAUGACCAAGAAAGAUGCAAAACCGAGGCUCAUACGGUGGAUACUGCUCCUACAGGAAUUUGACUUGGAGAUAAGGGACAAAAAAGGCUCAGAAAAUCUAGUAGCGGACCAUUUGAGUCGCAUACUAGUUGAAGAGGAUAGCGAGCCAUUGAAGGAUGCAUUCCCCGAAGAACACCUAUUUUCCUUAAAUUCUCAGUUGCCUUGGUAUGCGGAUUUGGUCAAUUAUUUAGUAACUGGUAAUUUUCCUGCAGGUUGGCCGAAAUCGAAGAGGGAUAAGUUGAAGAGCGAUGUAAAAUAUUUUAUCUGGGACGACCCGUACCUAUGGAAGAGGUGUGCAGAUCAAGUCAUGAGGAGAUGUGUAAGUGAAAUGGAAUUUCAAUCAAUUCUAGCUUUUUGUCAUACUUUUGCCUGUGGAGGUCAUUUUGGGCCAAAGAGAACUGCUCAUAAGGUUUUAGAAAGUGGAUUUUAUUGGCCCUCAUUGUUUAAGGAUGCCUAUGUGUUUUGCAAGUCAUGUGAUCGCUGUCAAAGGGUAGGUAAUAUAGCCCGUAAAGAUCAUAUGCCCCAAGUCCCGAUGAUUUUUGUAGAAAUUUUUGAUGUCUGGGGUAUAGAUUUCAUGGGCCCUUUUCCUACUUCAUUUGGUUUUCUGUAUAUUUUGCUGGCAGUUGAUUAUGUGUCUAAAUGGGUGGAGGCUAAGGCCACUCGAACUAAUGACUCGAAAGUGGUUGCAGAUUUUAUCAGGUCUAAUAUCUUUGUGCGAUUUGGUAUGCCUAGAGCUAUUGUCAGUGAUAGGGGAACGCACUUCUGCAACAAAAUCGUAGCUGCCUUAUUUCGCAAGUAUGGUGUACUCCACAGGGUCUCAACGUCGUAUCACCCCCAGACCAAUGGUCAAGCGGAGGUGUCGAAUCGGGAGAUAAAGUCCAUCUUGGAGAAAAUGGUGCGCCCCGAUAGAAAAGAUUGGAGUCAACGGUUGGAAGAUGCACUAUGGGCCUAUCGGACGGCAUACAAGACACCUAUAGGGAUGUCUCCCUAUAGGUUGGUAUUUGGUAAGUCGUGUCAUCUUCCAGUAGAGUUCGAGCAUAAACCAUUUUGGGCGGUUAAGCAAUGCAAUAUGGAUAUUGAGGAGGGCGGAGUCCAAAGGAAGUUACAAUUACAGGAGUUGGAGGAGAUCCGCAAUGAAGCUUAUGAGAAUGCGGUAAUUUAUAAGGAGAAAAAUAAAAUUUUUCAUGACCAACAGAUCUCAAGGAAGACAUUCGAGUGUGGGCAAAAAGUUCUGCUGUACCACUCCAAAUUGCAGUUAUUUCCAGGUAAACUACGUUCUCGUUGGAUUGGCCCUUUUGUUGUGACUAAUGUCUUCCAUUAUGGUGCAGUCGAGAUCCAAAGUUUGAAAGCUGAGAAGAAAUUUGUAGUGAAUGGGCAUCGUUUCAAACCAUAUUAUGAAGGGGUUCCAACUGAACGGGUGGAGGUGAUGCACUUGGAGGAUCCUACUUGCUUAAUUUAAGCAAAUUAUUGGACAAUGGCUAGCCAAAGACAUUAAAGAAAGGCGCUCAUUGGGAGGCAACCCAAUUGUUUCUUUUAAUUGCUUGAUUGGUUUCGUGUAAUAGUUUAAAUCUGCUUUCCUUGAAUUUGAUUGAUUUUGGGUGUUAAUUUUCGUUUUUGCUGAUUUACAGGUGCCCUUCAGUCAUGACGUGCCCGCGUGGUGAUGUGCAGGAAGCUCACGAUCAGGAAAUUCUGAAACUUCUGGGAGCUCUCCUGCCCUCAUGACGUGCCCGCGUGGUGAUGUGCAGGACGCCCACGAUCAGGAAAUUCUGAAACUUUUGGGAGCUCUCUUGACCUCUUGACGUGCCCGCGUCACGUUCGCGGGAAAGGUAAGGGUUCAAAAAUAUUUAUAAAAAAAAAUAUAUAUAUAUAUAUAUAUAUAUAUAUAUAUAGGAAAAACUAUUAUUAUUAUUUCAGUUAUUCAAAUAAUAAUAAAAUAAAUAAAUAAAUAAAAUAAAAUAAAAAAUAAAUAAAAAAAAAAGUAAGAAGCUGAUUAUUGUUCCUCUUAACCGUAGCAUUUUUUUUCCUUUUAUAAAAAAAAAAAAAAAAAAAAAGGAACUUUCUUUUCUUUCUUCUUUCUUUCUUUCUUUUUCUUUCUUUCUCUUUUCUUUCUUCUCCUCUGCUUCUCCCCUGCGCACGCCGCCGCCCAGUACCAACUGCCAUCUCCAACUCCACCGCGCGCCACCUUCUUCCUCGACCAGACCGCGCGCCGCCAUUCGUCCUUGGCCGCGCCAAAGCCGCGGCCGCCGUUGACUGCCACCUGGGAUCCACAGCAGCCCGCCACCCUGCUCUCUGCGCACACCGACCGAGCAGCCGCGCCACCACCCACGGACGUCCUUCCCACCAUCUCCGCUCACACCGCGAGCUCUCUCCCUCUCUCUUCCACCCACGGCCAUCAGCCGUUACCCAGAUCUCCAUCGCCGCCGCCGCUGCCCAGUCAGCGUCCGCCAUCAAAAUCGCAGCCGCCGCUACCUCUCUGAAGCCGCACUACCCAAGCGCCACAACCCAGCUCCUGUACGCCGACCACCGGCAGCCGCGCGACCCAAGACCGCCGCCGCGAUCGCUGCCAGACAGCUCUCCUGCGCAAGGCGACCCAACCAGCGGCGAGCACUUCACUUGUGUGAAGCUUUGACCCUUCUGCCUUGUCCGCCGACUGCCAAGAUAUUUGCGGAGGUAUUUGGAGCUUGCUCCCCAAUUUCUCCUAAAUUGAUUACUGCUAUCUGGGUUCGUCAAGAGUUGGCAUUUUGGCCGUGUGCGAUGUCCACCAGUGGUACUGGUUGGAGUAUUUUCACUUGAAUUUAUUACUUCUUUUGGGUUAGCUGCCAUACUGCAUGUGUCUAUUGAUGUUUGGGUAAUUUGAUUAGUUGCUUUGGACACCCUGCAUGUGGAAUUUUGCUUAACUUUUUGGGGUCAAUUUGGUGCUUGGUUGACAUUGCUAUUCUGGAGACCAUUGUCUGUGGCUUCAGUGGUAGUGAUUGGCUUAGUUUCACUUGGAAUUAUUGCUUAUUUUGAGUUCAUUUUACUCUAUUGACUGUUGGGUUGGAAGCUAGAAGCCUAGGACUUAGUUGUUCUUGCCCGAUUGCUGCGCUAUUAUUGCCUCCAUUGUUUACUGCUUGCGUAUUCCUGGUUGGCUCUAGUAAGGUUUCAAUCGUUUUCUUAACAACAUCCUGGUUGCUGUGCCCCGUUUCUGAGUAGCGGGGUUCUAUUGGUAUUUUGGCUCUACUUAAUUGUGCCCGUUGCUGUCCAACUGCUUCACUGGUUGGCACUGUCAAUAACAUAAAGUACCAAUAAAUCUGUUUUCCUUGAAUUUUACUGAUUUUGGGUGUUAGUUUUCAUUUUUGCUGCUUUAUAGGUGCCAUUCAGUCAUGACGUGCCCGCGUGGUGACGAGCAGGAAGCUCACGAUCAGAAACUUCAAACUUCUGGGAGCUCUCUCGCCCUCAUGACGUGCCCGCGUGGUGAUAUGCAGGAAGCGCACGACCUGAACUUCUGGGAGCUCUCUUGCUCUCUUGACGUGCCCGCGUCACGUUCGCGGGAAGGGUAAGAUUAAAAAAAAAAAAAAAAGAACAAAACAAAGAGAAUUUUUCUUAUCACCGUAGCUUUAGUUUCCAAAUUUAAAAAAAAAAAGAAAAAAAAUUUUAAAAAAAAAAAUUUGAUUCCCGUAGAAAAAAAAACAAAAAAAAAAUAGAGAGGAAAAAAUAUUUCUCACCAUAGCUCCAAUGGAGCCUAAGGAAAAAAAAAAAUCUUUUUUUUCUUUUUCUUUUUCCUUCUUUUCUUUUCUUUCUUUUCUUUCUUUUCUUUCUUUUUCUUUCUUCUUUCUUUCUUCCUUCUCCCCUGCUCUCUCUCUGUUGUCCGAAUCCCUUUUGCCCGCCGCCCACUCACGCCGCCCACCUCACUCACGCCACCACAUCAAUUCGCCAGCCACACUUCAGCUCACCUCCGCAAGUUCUUCCCCAGCUUCGUCCGCCGCACGCCGCCUGUCUUCUCCCUCGCUAUCACAGCCCUGGCAGCUGACAGCUCGCGCGCAACCACCAGCAACCACUAGCUUCCCGCUGCUAUCCCUUUUCCCCCUUUUCCUUCUUUUCUUUCACGCCGUCCACGGUUCUUGUUGCCCCCUCCACUACUGUCCGCAACCAGCUCCACCACCACAGCAGCUCCACCCCGCGCGCGCAGCUCGCAGCCGGCAGCCUCCACUCUCCUCUUCCUAGCGCGACUGCCUCCACUCACCCUAAGCCGCCGCUCCAGCCAGCCGCCGAGCUCUGAGCUCCACCACCAGCCCAUCGCCGCCCACAGUCGACAGCGCGCGGCCCUCUCUCGCUCUGCUUCACCACACGCGCAACUCCAAGCGCGCCGCUGCCUAUUGGCCUCGUGACCGCCACUAGCCGUCGCUGCUCCGCUGCUCACGCCAUCCCACCUGUCCAAGUUGACAGGUGGAGGUAUUCCCUUUUCAACCUCGAUUCGUAUUUUUCUAGUUCUUCUAAUGCUGGAAUUUGCAUUUUUGGGUUUCUUGAUAGCUAAUAGCAGGGGGUGAUUGAGGCAUUUUCUGGGGUUCAUUUAGAACUGAAUUGAGUUUAAUUGCUGCUAGAUUGUUGGCCGUUUGAUUAAUUUUUCCCUGUGACUCACCAGUGGUACUGGUUGAUUAAUUUUAAAGUUUAAGUUCUUGCGGUUGAGUUGCUGCCAUUGAAUUUAAUUCUUUCCUGUCUGUGCACCAGUGGUACUGGUUGCAGUGUUGCUUUCCAUUUCUUAAUCCUCUGUGCUGGCCUGCCUAUUUGAUUCUUGAGUUUUGGUGCCUGAACUGUUCUCGAAUCCUAACCAUUGGUUGUUGCCAUUGCCUGCUGCUUGGCCCAAUUGCUAAGUUUUGAUCGUUUGAGUUGGGUACUUGACUGUCCAACUGGAGGCAGUUGUUGAGAUUUUGGGUGGAUUUGUGUCCAAUUACUGAAAUUUGUUGCUUUGUUUAGUCACUCACACUGCUCCUAGUUUGUUCGAAUGAAAUUGGUUGGACGUCCUUUGCCCGGGGAGUUUAACUGUUACAUUGUUUGGGGUGAUUUUCUGGUAUUCAUCGAAUUGUUGGGCAUUAUUUGGGAUUGUGGCUGCUGGAGACCCCUAUUGCACCCUUAGUUGAGUAAUUUUCUGGGUUGGUUUGUUGAAUUAGUAUUGCCAUUGGUUGACUCUAAGUACCUUGUUUGGGGAGUAUUCGGUUUUGUGAUUUCAAUUGCUAAGCUCAUUGGAGCACUUGCCGAGAUUUUGAGUUGCAUGAUUUCUGCAUUGACUAAUAUUCGGACCACCAUUGCUUAUUGUUUGUAAUAGCUGCUUUGUUGAGACUUUCGCCUAGUCCUUAGGUGCCUGAAGUUUCCGUUUUCUUGAUUGGGGCGGCCGUUUAUGUUGCUUCAUUAUCUGUGGGAUGCACCAGUGGUACUGGUUGGGGUAUUAUAACUACAUUUGUUGCCACUUGGUUCUAGUUGGUGGGCUACUUGAUCGAAAACUGCCAAACAUUUUGAUUUAGUUGUAGUCCAAAAUUUGAACUACUAUUGCUGGUUUUGACGGUUUCUUGGCUCAUUUGCUAAUUUCGGUUGGUUGAGUUGUGUAAUUUCUUAUCCAAUUGGAGCCAUUUGGACAGAUUUUGGGUGGGCAAGUUUUGUCACUCUCUGUUGAUCUUUGGGAGGCAUUUCUGACCGUAUUCUACGUAUUCAAAUUGGUUGAAUUCACUGCUUUGUUGAGGUUAUUUUUGGUAUUACUUGAGUUUUACUUUGCUAAUUUCUGUCUUGCGUCCCUUGAAAUGCCUUUGGUUGGGUAUUUUCUUCAUUUGUUUGUUGAAUUGGAAGGCUACUGUGCCACUUCCAUUGCUUAUUGCUGUUGGUGGCGUCUAAUUGACUUGUUGGGAGUAUUUUACCUAUUGAUUUCAAUUGCUAAAUCUUUAGAGCAUUUGUUGCGAUUUUGGACUACAUUGUUCCUGCAUUUGACCCAAUUGGGGCCACCAGUGAGUAUUGAUUGAAAUUGCUGUAUUGUUGGGAUAUUUGUAUAGUCUCUAGGUGCCUGGGUUGUGCAUUUUGUUGAUUGGGUUGUCUACGAAGGAGGCACCAGUGGCUAUUAUAUUGUUAUUGUUUUGAAUUCGCUAAGUGGCCUCUCCCACCGAUGGCCUCUGAUGCUCAGUGGAUGAACGAGUAAUGCAUAUCGCCAACCAGGUGGCUCCAAUCCCUAAGAACCUGGCCGGGUAUUUCCACCUGAACCGCCCCUAUUUUGAUGACUUCAGGGAAGUAGUGUUGCCCCUCUCCUUCCUUCUACUUUUACAUUAUCACAUUGAGGGCAAUGUGUCAUUUAGGUGUGGGGGGGAGAUCAGUUGGGGUGCUAGUAUUUUUGUUUUUAGUUUCUUGGGGCUUUUCCUUUAUUUUUAGUUAGUUUUUGCCUAUCUUUCAUUUAUUUUAUUUUCUUUUUCUUUCUAGUGGUCAGUCCUUAAAUGAAUACCAAGUUUUGAUGCUGGAUUGUUGCCUCUAAUUAUGCUAUUGCCAAGUUUUAUUAAUAAAAGGGUAUCAAGCUAAUGUGAUUGAGUUCAGGAAUAUCUCUUUGGUGAAUAUCAAUAAUUGCUUAACUUUUCCUAUUUUUGGUUAACUUUUCUAGGCAUGGGGAAUGAUUGUUGGCAUUUUUCAUGUGAAUUGGUCCAAUUAUUAAUUUUAGUUCUCCAUGUUUGGAAUUUGAGGCUGGCUGCUGUUAUUUUUAGUUAUUGUGCUUUAUGAGUGUAAAUAAGAGGUGACUGUACUCCACUAGUUGUUACUACUGAGUAACCGGGGAUUUUCACCUAAAGUGUCGAUUUUCGCGUCAAAAGGUAGUAGUUGCUAUGAGUGCAUGGUCUCGUAGCGAUUGGAGCUGAGUAACCGGGAUCCUACAUCUAUCAAAUGUUGGAGUUCGCGUCAAAAGUCUCUAAUAGCUAGAAACUAAGUCUUUUGUUAUUAUUGAAAAAGAAAAAAAAAUAAAAAUAAAAAAAAAGAGAAAAAUAGAAAAACGUGAUAAAAAAGGUGAAGGUUGUGUAAGUGUGUGUCUAAAGUCAGCUUACCGAUCUAUGGGUUAAUGUUGAGAUUUGGAUUAAUAGUUGGACCAUUUGCUGAUAAAUGUGAGCAACCAUUCCUUUUUCUUAGAUUAGUUUGCUUUAAAUUGGAGGAGUUGGUAGUUUAGAUGCUAACCGGGGUGAUUUUUCUUGGAUCUUGACCUGUGUCGCUUGAUAUAUGAUUUUCUUGGUGUCUUGGCAAUAUGGUAGUUGGAGUAACAGCCAUGGUCAAAUUUUGGUGUUCAAUUGUUGUUCCCAUGCUUGAGGGCAAGCAUGAUUUAGGUGUGGGGGGAAUUGAUAGGGUGUUAAUUGUUAGUUAUUUUAUUAUUAAUCUCCCUUUUUAUCCUUGCCAAAUAUUGCUUAAUUGUUAAUAUUUACUCAUAUUUGGUAUCUGGACUUAAUUUCAGGAAUGAAGUAGAAAACUACCAAAAAGGAGGGAUUUAAUGGAAAAUAUGGAAACUUCUAAGGGCUUCAAUUCUUGGGCCCUUGAAUUGGUGGGGACCACAAGCUAGUGAAAGGCAUUUAGUCAUUUGGGCUCUUCAAAAGAAGCUACGUAGAGAGACUUAGAGAAAGAAGUACUUUGGAGGCUUUGUCCACAUGUGUGGGGACCACCUAGAUAGCUUUUAGUCAUCUUUCUUUUGUUGCUUUAAAAGGGGACAACGUACAGAAGCAAAGGACAUCUAGGGCUUUAGUUUUAGUUUUUUAGUUUAGUUCUAUUUUCCUUUCUUUGGACUGGCCUCUGACACACGCCAGGUGUUCUACAAUAUUCCCCAACGGGGAGAUUUUCUCAUGAGGCGUGGUUAAGCUUUUCUAGUCAAGGGGACAACUGACGAUUUGGUUCGACAAUUACUGUGAGAUCGAAUCUGUUUUAAUUAUUUUCUUCAUUUAUUGGUAUUUAUAUGUUCCUUGAUUUUAAUUGCUAUGGCCUUGUGUAUGAUUGAUUAGUGCGCAAUAAUUAAUUAUUCAUAUAGGCUAUUUUUGUUAAAUAGGGGUAAUUGAAUCCGUAAUUGUUCAUUAUCUCUACCUCAGUAGCAACUGGCGUAAUUGGGUUUAUGUCAGGGGAGCAUAUGAUCUAAUUUAAACAAACCCUCGUAGCGUGUUUGUUGGUUAGGAUUGGGCCUUUCUAAUUAUUAAUGCAAUCUAGAAAUUAAAUCCUACGGUCGUACCUAGGGUUAUUUUUGGGUUAGAGAAAUAGCUAACGGUCGUACCUUAGCUAUCGAGAAAUUAAGGAAGGGUUGGUUGUUUAUCGCGUGUAUGACAACUAUAACUAAUCUAUUGCUAAAUGUUGGAAUUAUUUCUGCAUCAAUGAUCAGUGCAUAAACCAUUUCUGAUGUGUACCCUUGGCUAGAGUUUCCCCAAUCAUUUCUUUUAAUUAAUUAUUUUCUGCAGUUAAUUUAUUUAGUUAGCAUUUAAUCCAAAACCCCCCAUACUCUGGACUCUAGAAGGAACGAGUUAUCCCCAGUCCCUGUGGAUUCGACCCUACUCACCGCUAUAUACAAAAUCUGUAUUUUUCUCGAGUAGGUAUUUAUUAUUGUACAGGUUCGGCACCUGUCAAUUUUUGAUUAAAUCAUACUAGACUUAGACUUGAUUAUAACUCCACUCAUAUAUGAAUAUAAUUAUGUAUAUAUAAUAUCUAUAAUUUAUAAUUAUCUAUACUAUAUAUAAAUGGAGAGGAGGGGGUUUGGGGUAAAAAAAAAUUUGUCACUCUAUAUAUUUUCUAAACUACUCUUGAUGAUGAGGGAACUUUUGGUAUAAAUAAAAAUCUAUCUAUUUUUGAACCAAUAUGAUUUUUAUCAAGUAAUAUGUAUUUUUUUCAUAUUCUAUUUUUCAACUUAUUUAGUAAAUCUUAAUUUUAAUUAGCAACUACCAAUUAUGGUUAUGAAUAAUUACCAAAUAACUACUUUUUAUAAUUUUUAUUUUUGUGAAUUUUUACAUAUGUAUUUUCAAAAUAUAAAACCAAUUUUCUUGAAAAUAAUUUCAAUAAAUAUACUCAAAUAUUUCACAAAUAAUUUUCUAUUAGCUGCACACACAUUAGUGUGUGCCUUGAAUACUAAUACAUAUUAUGACAUAAAAUGUUAAUAAUUUAUAUGUAAAUUUGUAUUAAUUUAUAAUUAUAAAUAUAUAUAUUAUAUAUAAUUUAUAAUUAUAAAAUAUAUAUUAUAUAUAAUUAUGUAUUUAGUUAUGAGUUUGGGACAAGUCCAAUUUAAAGUCGAAACUCAUAUAAUAGUGUAAGUUGAGUUUGACCCUUUUUAAUAUGAACCUGAAGUUCAAAAGAUCAAAAUCCGAAAAUUCAUAUAAUUUGUGUGGCGAAUUUACGCUUGAUGAAAUCGGCUCAAAAAGCCCGAUUAACGCCCCUACUUGCAGAGCUAAUGUCGUAGUGGAACUUGUAAUCGUCGAUGAUCGAUCUUGUCUAGCACACCAUAUCCCUAGCGCCCACUAAGUUUUGAAAAGUGGAGGCCAACACGCAACUUUGGUUCAAUAACGAGUCAAUAAAUUCGUCUUCUUCAUCAAAAUGAUUGAAAUGAAUUAGCUGAUUCAGCAUAUUUUUUUCCCAACAGAAUACAUUUUCCUGCCCUCAAUGUGUUGUCUCAUAAAUUGAUGAUUACUACGAGACAAGCGCAUGCCAGGACAAAAUUUCACUUUUUUGAAUUUUCACAAGGCUUCUAAACAUUAUUGUUGUUUCUUGAUUGCAGCUUUACGUAGGCCAUGCCACGGGCAACCCUAACGACAACAAUAUGGAAACCACAAGUUUAGUAAAAUGGUCUCUUCCGUGUCUUGUUGGUUUUCUUGAAGUUGUAGAUGGAACGACAAAGAAAAUGGGAUGGUCCAUGGUGGAAUCCUAGUAUGAACAACUUAGGCAUCCUAGUAUGUACAAAUAUGUUCACAAUGUGAUCCAAAAAAGUACAUUAUGUAAUCUACAAGCAGUUGGUAAAUCAAUCUACUUAAAUAAUUUUCAUUUAGUUGCACUGCAGGUUGGCACUAUAAGCAAUUUAGACUCUUAUCCAACCCUUUAGUUUGUAUGGAUAUAGAUAUAUGGUGCUUGGAACUGCUAGGUUUUAGUAAUUUGAUAUUCCAGACUAUGAAAAGAAAAACAAUACAUUUUUACCUACAAAUUGGCUCGCAUUUUGAUCAUAUUUAAAAGUUUUCAAAAUUUUCAUUUUGAUGUGAUAGAUAUACAUUGUAUUACUUUGAAAUUCCAUCUUCACCGUCCAUUCUUUAACUGGUUUAGCGCACAUAUGUCUACUCUGUUGGAAUUAAGAUAUACAAAAAUUUAGGGAAAAAAAGUACAAAACCAUUUCAAGGUUGAAGAUGGCACUAAAAAUUACGUUUGGAAUCUAAAUAAAUAUUAUUCUGACAUACAAAAGCUACAAAAAGGUACGAGCUAAUGAAACACAACAGAAGUGUUACAAUACAAUAUGAGUGAAUGGACAAAACCCAAAAAACAUAGAAUACGCCCCAUUCGAAAACAAGCAAAAAAGAAGGAAAAGCACACACACUAAACAUAGUAAACUAACACAAAAUUAAUAUUUACAUGAAAUCAGCAAGGUCUAAACUGUCUGGAAUUCCAAACUUCAUCAAGUUACUGCAAUAGCUUUCUCUCUCGUCUUCAGUAUUGCAACUGUUAAUGAAAGCAGAUGAUGAAUUCAAGGGUGAACCUGAUAAAGGCGUGGAUAAAACCGACUCGAAACCAAAAUUCUGGCUGUUUUGAUUGCUGCUAUCAUUCAAUGACUGGAAAGCUGAACUUUCUGAAAGAUCUGCAGUAGUAGUUUCGGUCAUUCCAUAGCUAUAAAUUGGUGAAGGAAGAAGACUUGCGCUUGAAGCAAUCAAAUUUUCUUGACACAUUUGUCCAUUCAAAUUCGUCGAAACCAUGGAAAUAUCCCCCAUGUUGCCUUGCGCAGGAGUAGCUUGACUUUGAACUGGGAGUGGAACUUGUUGAGGCGUAUUUUGGAACUGAUUUUGGGUAGGUUGAAGAUUGAUAGGGGUCAUUUGGUUUUGCAUUUGAGCGUUGAGUGACUGAUUUUCUUGAAGUUUAUGCAAUAAAAUUUCAGGGUUUUCUUGAUUUGAUGAUGAUAUGAGAGUAGCAGCAAAUUUCAACAGCUCUGGAUUCAUCAGAGUUUGUAGCCCAAGUAGGCUUGAAAGAUUAAGCUGAGCUGAGUUGAGAAUUGAUGAUAAAUCUAAAAGAUCCACACGAGGACUAUGAGUCACUGGAUCAAUUCCCAUGCGAAGGAGUCUUUUUCUAAUAUGAGUAUUCCAAUAAUUCUUGAUUUCGUUGUCUGUCCUUCCAGGCAAGCGAGCUGCUAUAGCAGACCACCUAAAACCAGGAAAAAAAAACAGAAAUAAAUUCGGGUUUACAAUAUUAUAGAUACUACUUAAAAAAUGGAAAAAAAAAACACAAAAUGAAGAAAUCGUACAAUAGGACUUACUUGUUUCCAAGAACACUAUGCAGCUGAAUAAUGGUCUCUUCUUCUUCAAAAGAGAAUCUUCCUCUCUUGAUAUCUGGCCUUAGAUAGUUUGUCCAGCGAAGCCGGCAACUUUUUCCACAUCUUUGAAGCCCUGCAUAUGAGAUUCAAUGGAAAGAUAUUACAGAAUAAAAAGCCAAUCAUGUAUGGUGAUGAAAAAUUUGGAUCAUGAAUAAAGAGAGUUCAUGUGUUUCAAGAAUUUAUCAUGGAUUGAAACAAUUUCUUACCAGAAUUUUUUGGGAGGGUUCGCCAGUUGCCUGCUCCAUGGAUCUGGAUAUGUUGAAUGAGUUUGAGAUCUUCUUCUGGAGUCCAUGGACCUUUCUUGAGGCCAUUUUUAUCACAACACGGUGAUCUCCCCAUUAGUAUAUAUGGUCUUUCUCGUUGAAGAAAAGUGUUGGUUUGGGAAAUAUCAAGUGUCAAAGGAGAGAAAGAAACAGUAGAAAGUUGCAAGGCAAAAUGAACUUUUUGAAACAAAUUUAACUUGUAGGACCAAAUGCAGAAGAUGACCCCAUAUAUAUAGAUGACAAGGGACUGCUACAAAUAGACAGCAAGUCAAUAGGAUUUGGCGCCGCCCUCUUCCCAUGUCAAUGUUCUCUUUCUUUAUCUCUUCAUCUUCUAAUGUUGUCUGUCACUGGGGUAAAAAAAAAAGAAACUGUUGAGUUAAAAUUUAAAAAAGAUAAAGCCAUUUCUUUUUUGGAAGAGAUGAUGCUUUUUUCAUACGAAAGAAGAAGUAAAAAAACAGCUCAAGGUAAAUUUUAAUCUAUUGGGAAUUUGGGGAGCAUUUGACAAAUGGCGACUAACUAAUGUGUUUGACCUUGGGCAUGAAUGCUUGGGGAAGAGCUUGAUUGGUUGGUGCGGUUGUUAGAUCCCUUACCAAUUAUAUGGAAAGGUUUCGUUAUUUCACGGGCUUGCUUUCAUUUCUAUCCCAAGAAACUAAACAACUUUUUGAAAUUAUUUCUCUGGAUAUGGAUUACACAUCACAAAAUUUCUUGAAUUUGAGCCUUUGCUUUCAUCACCAUUGCUCAUAAAUUCAAUGUAUCACUUAUUAAUUAGUAUACAAGAAUAAAUUAAAGCUUCGAGUCAUUUCAGGAGACAAUGUUUGGUACAAUAAGUGUUACGAAACUACAAAGGGUCAUCGUGUUUUUUGACAUCUUGCUGCCUUUUUUUCAGAGCAGUCAUCGAAAUUAAGGAAAAAUGGACAAAAUGAAUGCCGAGUCUUUGUCAUUGAAAAUACAGUAAAAGCUACCCGAAGCAAUUGGUGUUUAAGGAUUGAUAUGACUAUUGCUUUUCUGUUGUUUUACUAGAUUUUCAUCCUAUAGGGAAAACAAGGAAUUUUGCUCGAACUUUUUCAUCCUGAGUUCGAAAGCGUAUUAUGUGUUACUUCUAAGCUUUUUGUCUUUUCUGUAGGAACUAAUUCUUGACCUUUAGCUACUUCUUGAUGGGUUUUUAAAGAGUACCAUAGAUAGAAUGAAUAAUAUGAUUUUAUUUUUGCACAAAAAUAUACUAAUACAUAUCCGUACCAUGUAAUAAAAAUAUGUCUACUUACCUUAAAAAAAAAAACCCCACCUGCGUUUUAAUAUUUUCUAUACUUACAGUGCAAGAAUUCAUAACAUGAACAAGUCUAAGUGUAUACGAUAUGUUCAAAAAAUAUAUACACAACUUGAAAUGUAAAUGGAGAUUAUGUGUCUUGGAUUUAAACUUACGGUAAAAAGAAAAUUAUACUAAUAAUGUAGGAAUCAUUGAUCCAUUCACUAUUCUGUAAAGUUUUACUGCUAGCGAAAACGUAGUCAAAUCAUUUGAGGCUUAAGCAAACUUUGUUUAGAUAAGUUGUCUCCUCAUGCUGUCAUAUAUUGGUGAAAAAUCAGAAAGAAAAUUUGAUCCCAUAAUGUUAUGAAGACAAGUGUAUCUGUGGUAGAAGCAAUAAUUUCCACAUUAGAGGCUCUGAGGUCAGCCCAUUUAUGACCAUCCACGUAUUCUUGAUCACAAUUUUAUUCUCCAUUGUUGAUAUGAAGUCAGCGUGGCCAUGGUCCCCUACCUCCCUGUACAUGGCUGAAGUUGCAGCUGCUUCCUAAGUUACUGUAACACAUGGCUUCUACAUGGAGAUUUAGUUAAUUAACAACCGGACUGAGAAAUUGGUUUUUUAAGGAGAGGCCAAAGAAAAAGUGCAAUGGAAAAUGAUUAAGUACACAAGUUCUUCACAGAUAAUAAUCUUAAGUGACUGUAAUUUCUUGGAGUAGUAUUUUUGAUUCAUGACACCUAUAGUUUCUGUGCCAUAACCUCCAAAAUUUGAUUUACACAAAAUUUCUUCAAAGGGAUUGAAUCUUGAUUCAGUAAUAAAGGUAAAGAGGCUAAAGACCAUAUGUUUAAAGCAAACAAAAAAAAAAAAGGGACCAUAAUUAAUGUAUGAUUGUCAAUGCUUUAUUGAAGUCCUCCUGACAAUUGUGCUUUUACUCUGAGAGUAUACGUGAAAAGAACUAUACAAAUGCUAUAAGCAAUAACCUAAUAUGUUGCUUCUUCAAUAGUGGCAAUCCAACAGGUGAAUGAUCCUUCUUUUGGGUUCAAUGUAAGAAAUGCAUGCAAUUUCAAAGUCGUUGAAAUUCAGGUAAUUGAUUCAUCCACCUUUGGCCAACAACAAAGAUUUGGUCAAAUACUUUAAUACUCUUUAUCCGUGUUCUGAUUAGCUCACAAGUCAAACAACCCUCUUCCUUUGCUUGAUCGUCUUAAAUUACAUGUUGCCUUGUGUCUGGAUUUGGUUCUAGAACAGCCUUAAUUUAGUUUAAAAUCUUGAAAUGCUACACAAUCAAUAUAAUAUGAACACAUUACAUAAAAUAUCAUACAAAGGAUGAAGGCUAAGAAUUAACAAACUUAUAUUUUUGCUGCCAUGUUCGGUGUCCACGAGACAGUGUAAUCUCCUUGGUGUUACACCUUUCCAGAUUUUCUCUAUUGCCGUGGCGAUUUCUCCAGGCACAUUCAAUACUUAAUCCCAGUAAAUAAACGUCAUCACCUUUAUUAAUUUACCCCAGCAUUACUUCUUACAGUAAUUACCUGUCACAAAUCCGGGUUAUCCUUGACAAGUUAUUGCCUUAAAUAGGCACCACGUAAUUGAGUUGACUCCUCCAUGUUCACAAAAUUAUUAACAAAUUAUUUGUAAUUUUGUACAAAAUGUCGUUAGAUUAUUGUUGUGAGGUGUUCAGUUGCCUCCAACAAACUUUGAAUAACAGUCCGUAUUUCUUCCACUCUUCUGUAUCUCCAAAAUCCCCAACACCAAUUAAACUAAUGUAGAUUUCAGUUCACAUCCUUCAAGAUUUCUAUCUCUUAAGGAGGUUCAAACGUGUGGCCGCUGUACAAUUUUUUGAGACCUGCUCAAUCUUAGCCAUGUUUUCUUAAUUACAACUCUAAUACGUACAAAGUACAUAAUUUUCAAAUAACAUAAUUGAACUGUAUCGAGAGUGCAUGAGCAUAAUAUUAGGGACAAAUAAUUCUUUAUAUCUAGCAGCUGGAUUCCGUGUAUAUCGUAUGAUGUAAGCCAUUAAGUACGUACGUAGCUUCAUGCAGAUAUGUGCGUGUGUAUACAUAAUGACAUAAUGCGUUGAGGAUGCAUGUCAAGGUAUGAAUUGGACGAAGGAAAAUCCCAGAUGUUUCUGGCACUUUGCACCACGUUUGAAGAUUACGUGGAAGUCUUUGGUUCAAAAAAAGACUUUCAGAAUUCACAAAACAAUUGAUAAAAAUUCAAUUAGAAAGGGUGCGAUUAGCGCUGUCAAACAAAACGAGUUGCUCAAAAACUCGAUUGAACUUGAUUCGAUAAGGCUUGAACUCGACUCGUCAAUUUUAGUAAAUGAGUCGAGUUCGAACUAGAAAUUUACUUAAUUAAUUAACGAACCGAGUAAGCUCGAAUCGUUUCUUAUUCGAUUCGAAUAGCUCGCUUGAGUUCGAUAAGAAAAGGCAUAUAUAUCAUUUUACAAGUCAAAAGAAUAGAAACUGAAAUGUACAGGUUUUUAUUGUGAUCAAUUCGCACUCAAACUCGACCUCGAGUCACAUGUCCUAUUAGGUGAGCCGAGUUCGAACACACUUCAAGGCUCAUCCGCUUAGUUGAGCGAGUUCAACCCUCACUCGAACUAAGCACGAGUCGAGUUCAACAGUCAAAUACUCUGCUCGAUUAACAGCACUACUGAUGAUAGAUUGAUAAUCGUUCAUUUUUUUUUAUGCAUUAUGCAUGUUUGUGCAUGCAUGGCUGCUGUUCGUGUCCUUCUUUGUCUUCUCCACCUUCUUGGUUUCAUCACAAAAAGAAUAUCUUUUUCUAUUGCAGAUUAAUUUUCAAAUCACAGCAGCCCUUCUCAAAUGUAAUUCAAAGUAUAUAUGUGAAGGAAAAUGAUUUAGGAAAAUGCUAAACGAGGUUAAUCGCACAUCAUGGUGUUCAAGGGGGGGAAAAAAAGAUAACGCAUUUAUCCUUAAUUAAACUCGUUAUAAAAAGUGAUAAAACUAAAUCACGAAUUGAACGCACGAUGCUUCACUUGUUAAGAGAGAUCUCAUCGAUAAACAUUCAACGAAAUUGAACUCAUGAGGUUGCAAUGUUGUAGAAAAGUUUAAUUUGUUGUACAAUUAACACACAAUAGCCUCCAAGCUGGUUAAUUAACAGGGUGACCUUAACGGAAAAAGAAAAAGAAAACAAAGCGAAAGUGGAUUGUUUCAACUUUGAACCUACAAUCUAUUACACUAAAGAUCAAUAAUUGGAAGAACGGUGGAAAAAUCAUAGAAAACAAGAACAAAAAUAAAAUUACAAAGAUUUCAAGCCUUCUCUAUAAGAGGAAGUCUCACUUAAAAAAAGUAUCCAUUGUAGCCUCAGGCAAAGCCAACCCAAGUACCCAACCCAACCUCAUUGCCAUCAACAGCAUCCCUUCUUUCAUAAAGUGAAAUUGCUUGUCCAAAUUGAUAUUGAUGCAACUUUCCUGGGCCUGCCCCAUCCAAAGUCCAAUUCGUCAGAGCCCAAUUUGAGUGAUCCGACAAUCAUCACAUGGGGCUCCGACCCAAAUAAAACUUUGCAAUCCGAAAUAACACUUGUCCGCUCUACACAACAGUUCUCCAUCCAACUCUUUAAUCCUCAAUAGCUUUUGCCACAUAUACAAUUCCAUUUUCCCCCACCAAUUACAGUUACCACUAAUUAUUGUUACCAAUGUACAAAAGAUAGGCAAGAGUAUCCUUCACCGAUUGAUUUCAAAGUAUAUCUACAGCCUCUAACCAAUGACAUUCAAUAGUUUGUAUCACGUAUCAUCCAUAAGGUUUACAAUUGAUGUGCCUUUCUUUCUUUCUUUUUUCCUAUUUGGUAAAAAAAGAAGAAGCAAAAAAAAAAAAAAAAGAAGAAGAAGAAGAAGAAGAAGAAAACAGAUGAUUUUAUGUUGAAUUUGCAAACUAAUACCUAGUUCUAGAUUUAUUUAUUUUUAAUAAGAAUACAAGAUUAUAGACCAAACCCACAAUAAUUGGUGGACUUGACAAAUUUGAAUUUGGAUAGGAAUUUCAUGGUGCCUGGAUCACCAAAGUUUAACUUCUAUAAACUGGAUUUUGGAUGGGCGAAUCCCAGAAGGUUUGUGUUCGUUUCAAUUUUGACAAAACAGGGGCAGUAUCUCUUUGGGGAGGCAGAGAUUGCAAUAGGGAUUUGGAGGUUGGUUUGUCACUUCCCAAGGCUAGAAUGGAUGCCUUUGCUGCUAUUUUCAGUGAGGGUCUUAAAGAAAUGCAGAAUUUUCUCUUCUGUUUUUGGGUUCUUGUAUAUGUCAAACUCAAAAUACAUAGUGUCAGAAGAAUUGGACUCUGCAAAUUCCAUGGUAAAAUACUAUAAAAAAUUAUCAUAUUCACUAUCUCCCUAUUCUGUUUCACUUUAUUGCCCAUGAAAAAGAGGACAAGCAAACCGCUCACUUUAAGGAAUAAUCUUCUUUUUUUUUUUGAAGCAAUACUAGUUUUUAGAACAAUAUUGCUAUAAUUAAUCUCAUACUAGGAGAAAGGAGAGAAAAAUGGACCUAUCUAAUCUAUUGAGAAGCUCGAAAGAAGUUAUAUAAUUUUCAACCAUACUCCAAAAAAUUCUGAAGAGAAAACACAGUCAGUAGAGUUCGACCCUCUAACUUGUGCCGAAGGAAGGAUUUAGUCCCUCCUUUGGUGGUCAACUGAGCUAACUCAGUUAGUUAAGGUAUAAUCUUAGGUUGCAUUAUUGCUAAAUUUGAAUUCUGAAGAGGAAUUUAGUGAAUGAGCUUGAAAUGAACAUUUGUUUUUAAAGGAAAAAUGAACAGAUUUGAAACGCACACUCAUUUCAAAUAUAUCGUUUGGUUAACAUUACCAAAGAUAGAAUUUAGUCCACAAUAGUUUGGGUAAAAAGUUAAAGAAUAAGAAAUUUAGGAGUGAGUAACUGUCAAAUUUUCUUUCUUUUUCUUACGUGGCUAACUCGUUGGUUCUAUACUAGUUUAGUUCUGACCAUUGCAACAAGCACAAUCAUUGUGAUGACUUCACUCUCUUACAAAGAGAAGCUCGCACAUAUACGGGUGUAUUCAAGUCAAUCUCGAGUAAUGCAUUACUUGAAUUCGAGCUCGAAUUCAUCGAGCAUUUAAAAUUCAAGUUCAAAAUCGAGCUCGACUUGAAUUUACUUUACUCAAGUUCAAACUACCCAUUGAUUUCCAUUAUAUAUCUACUUGUCUCUCUCUCUUUCUACGUGUCCUUUACCUCAUAAUCUAAAAGAUGCUAUUAGGGAAUGCAAAAAAAAAGGGGUUGAAUAUGAAUUCACAAAACCAGAAUUAUUAGGGAAUAAAAAUUUUAGAGGAAAGGUGGGAAAACAAUAGAUUACAAAAGUACAAUAAAGUCACAAAGUCUUCAAGCCUUCUCUAAAAAGGGAGUCAAAAGCAUCCAUUUUGGCCUUGGGCAAUGCCAAUCCAACCUCAAUCCCGUGAAAAACAUCUCUGCUUUCACAAAGUGAAAUUGCACGGGUUUUACUGAUGGAUGCCUCUUCCACUUUCGUGGGUCUGCCCCACCCGAAGUCCAAUUCAUAAGAGCCCACUUUCGGUGACCCGGUAAUCAUGACAUGGGGCUCCGACCCAAACAAGACUUCCCAAUCCGAAAUCCAUUUAUCUGCUUCGCCCAAAACUUCUCUAUCCAACUCCUUAAUUGUAUCCCCAAUCGCUUUUGCAGCAUAUAUGAGACCAUUUUCUCCCACUAAUUGAUCCCUCUUCACCAUGGAUCGACCAAAUGCAACGCAAUUACCAAUGUAAGAUUUAGGCACAGAGAAUCCUAACCGGGUGAUGCCACCCGCAAUAAACCCAAAGUAAUGUGGCUUUUCAGGAAAAUCUCCUCCAUGGAUUAAGUGGAUUUUCGUCCAACACACCCAAACAAAUGCACAAGUUACCACAUAGGGAGACAAAUAUAACCGGGUUGACCCGAAUAUAUUCAUGGACCGGGUCAUGAUCCACCCUUUUAUUUUCUCCAUCUCUAUUGGACCCACAACAAAUGUGGCUCUUACUAUUUCAUCAAAAUUUGAACCAUUAGCCACAUCUUUUUGCAGACCCUUGAGGUGCCACCAUUGUUUCAAGAAAAUUAGCUCCAGCCCACUUGGAUCAUGGAUCAAAGACCUUUCAUUACAUGGCAAAAAAUUGUCCACCAAAGCCAGUGGGGGACAUUUGUUGCCUGCUUCACCAAGAAUGGAUGCCCAAGUCUUCAAGAAAUUGUCAAAUGUUCUCCCAUCAGCAGCCACUUGUCUCAAUGCAAAUCCCAUGCAGACACCAAAUCUAGGAAAAAUAGUUAUUUGCACGGCUAGAAGUGGAAGUCUAGCACUAGCAGUUGUCUCAACUGGCAUGCUAAGUGUCAGCUGAGGUACAAGGUGGUAAAAAUCUUGUACAUUUAUUGGCUGAUAACUAGAAAGAAAAGCAAAAUCACAGCUAGACUCAGCAAUGAUCAAAGAAACUGAGUCCCCUUCAGCGUAACUGAGGUGGGGCUUGGAGGGUUGUGGAGGAAUAACCAAAUUUCCAGCAAGAGGAAAGAAAUAUUGGAGAGUUGAGGACAAAGAAUGCUUGAGGUUCGGAAGUAUGUUAUGUAUGAAGUCAUGAGUACUGAAGUGGGGAAAAUCAUAGAAGAAAAGGGGUUGGUUUGGGGUGAAAAGAAGCCAAGGGAUAUCAAAGAAAGUUAAUGGAAUAGUUGUUGAUGGCACUGAUCCUUGUGGUGGUGAGAUUUGGCAGCAUUGAAGCACCUUCACUGUGUGUGAAGAAGUCAUUUGUGUCAUGUGUGAAAACGUUGAGAAAGAUGGAUUGUAUAUAGGCUUACACUUGGGUAGAUCCCAUGUUAAAAAAUGUUGAAGCACCUUCAUUGUGCGUGAAGAAAUCAUCAUUUGUGUCAGGUGUGAAAAUGUUGUGAAAGUUGGGUAGAUCACAUCACUUGGUGAAGUUGUGUGGCAUAAUUUGGAUUGUUGACUUUUGAAAAUUGAGUCUACACAAAUUUUGACCUUGUAUAUAGAGCUGAUACGACCCAUUAAUCACUGUUCAUUAAUACAAAAUGAUAAGUGUCUUGGGAGCAAUAUCCUGCUGGGAUUUUUUUUUUUUUUUUGGGUAGUAAAAGACGUUAAUAGCAAAUAGCAUUCAGUUUACAGCAAUCCUGCAGGGAAUCUUGUUAUCAUUCAUAUUCCUUUUUUUUUUGAAACGAUAAGUUUUGCUCAUUCAUAUACAUUAUUGGUAAAGAUUUAGAAAAGUGCAACAUAUUGUGCAUCACUCGUUGAUGAUCUACCGACAAAAAAUAUCCUAUGAAAAUUACGCGGCAGGCUCCAUUUGAUGACACAGAUGAUUUGUUGUGGUAGGUGUCUCAAUGAAUUCUACAAUUAUAGUUUCGACAUUCAUGUGCCUUUGUCUUUUUUAUUCACAAAAAAAAAAAAAAAACACACACACACACACACACACACUCUCUCUCUCUCUCUUUCUGAGAGAUUUUUUUUUUUUAAAAGUGAUUGCAAAUUACCACCUAUCUUUAAACAAAAAAAAGGGGAAAAAAAAAGGAGCACUUUGCACAAUUGGCAAUAAAAUUUGUCUAAAGAAUACUCGUUGGACAAUCAUUAAACUGUAGAUCAAGUGUUAAAUUUUUUGAAAAGUAAAAUUAAUUUGAUAAAAAGUGUAUAAAUCUAAGGGAGACUAAUAAUAAUUAGCAUGUACAUUUACGUGAUAAGUCAAGUUAGAUGUGAUUUAGAUGUAUUAACAAAUGUUAGAUACCCAUUAAAAAAACCUUAUCCACAACCACAAUAGAAAGUUGGUUUAGACUACUUUUUGCGGAAAAUGAAUUUUUUUUCUCCCAAAUAACUCAUGGAUCCGACUCCAUUAAGAAACUGAAGUGAUUAAGCGGUGAUACCAAAUUCAUAUAUUCCGAUGUCUAAUAGUUUUACAUCUUUUAACCCAAAAGGAAAUCAAUUGACUAACCUCUCCACGAAAGCAGGAUUACUCCACCCACUCUCAAUUGCCUUAUUACUAUUUACUACUAGUACUUGCCUACUAGCCAACAGCCUAGAUUACUUACCACAAAAUCAGGGCCUCAAAAAUUAUUUUAACCCAAUUAAUUAACUUCUGACUUUUCGGAUCAAGAACAUCUGCAAUUACCAAUUCUACACUCCCAGACCUGCAUAAUCCACAUAACCAAAUAUGGCUCCUUCCGGGGAACCAACCACCGUGCUUGACCGUUGUCUAGCGACACCACCGCCGGGGCUGGUGUCCAGAAUGUCACUCCGCCUAAGUUUUUUUGACGUCCUAUGGUUACACGCCCCACCCGUCCAACGCCUUGUUUUCUACGAAAUCCCUGAGAUCACAAAAACCAAUUUUAUCGAAGAAAUCAUCCCAAAACUUAGAGAUUCCCUUAACUUAACCCUCAAAUAUUAUAUCCCAUUAGCGGGAAACUUGAUCAUCCCGCCAAAUUCUGGUCCGGACUCGCCCGAAAUCCUGUACAAACGUGGAAAUUCAGUACCCUUGAUCGUCGCGGAGUCGAAUGCGAUCGAUUUUGAAUGGUUAGUGGCAAAUCAUGCAAGAGACAGUUCUGAUUUUCAUUGUUUGGUUCCCAAAUUGGUACAAUCGACGGAUGAUUCCGGGUCGAUUCUAUCUUCGGUGCUGGCUCUCCAGGUUACACUGUUUCCCAACAUGGGAUUCUCCAUUGGGAUAACAAGCCAUCAAGCGGCCGGAGAUGCUUGCACCAUUUUUAGGUUCUCGAGGAUUUGGGCGUUUCAUGCCAAAGCUGGAGAAGCCGAAGCUGAGGAAAAGGUGAACGCACCAUGUGGAGGACCACUAGGGCCACCAUGUUAUUAUAGAACUAUCAUCAAAGACCCAAAGGGUCUCUCCUCAAUUUUCUGGAACCAAUGGAACAACAUCAGUAAACUUGAUCGUGGUUCAGGCAUUUCAUCGAACAGCUAUAAAGUUCGACAAACUUUUCUUAUUAGCCCAGAACAGGUUGAAAAUAUUAGGAAGUUAGUGCCAACUAUGCUCCGAGGGCAAGCUUAUAUGAAAUCUUUCAAAGUUGUUUGUGCAUAUGUUUGGAUAUGUUUAGUAAAAUCCCGCGGCGAGGAGGCAGUUGAUGAGGAAGAAGUAGAGAACUUUGUCUGCUUUGGGAAUUGCAGAAGGCGUUUGGAUCAUCUUGUGGCUGAAAACUAUUUUGGGAAUUGCAUUACACUGUGCAUAGCAAAGAUGAAAAAUGGUGAACUUGUGGGAGGAGGAGGAAUCCCUCGUGCAGUUGGGUUGAUUGGCGCAGCCAUGAAUGAGAAAUUGCAAAGCCAAGAGGCACUCUCUAAUGGUGCUGAAAAUUGGUUGGUGGAGUUGCAGAAUUUGAAUUUGGAUAGGACUUUUGUGGUGGCUGGAUCACCAAAGUUUAAUUUUUAUCAACUGGAUUUUGGAUGGGGGAGGCCCAGAAGGUUUGAGUUCGUUUCAAUUGAUAAAACAGGGGCAGUAUCUCUUUGUGGGGGCAGAGAUCGCAACAGGGAUAUAGAGGUUGGUUUGUCUCUUCCCAAGGCUAGAAUGGAUGCCUUCGCUGCAAUUUUCAACCAGGGCCUUAAAGAUUUGUAGGAUUUAUUUUUUGCUUCUUGAUCGAAAUGUCACCGUGUAAGUUUGGUAACUUUAGUUAGCCGAUGAAGUGGGAGAAUCCAAAGUCAUAUACAAUCAUAGAACCAAGUUCCAUACAAGUGCGUCACAACGCCAUAGCCGCACACAAAGUGACUUCAAGGUCCAAUUUGUGUUUAAUUAGAAAACUAACAAGAAAAGCACGAUUAUUUUGGCAAAACUUCAAGUAGAAUUUUAUAUAUAUUUUUUUAAAUUCUAUGUAUUUAGUUUUUUGGAACAUACGCUUGCCAAGGUUCAAAUCAUUGACUCGAUUUGUGAAAUAUGCAGACAGUGAAAUCAGAAAUAGGCAUCUCUACUUAAAGUUUCUUCUUAUUGAUCCUGCACACUUUGUCGUUGUGACCUUAUCGACAGUUGGUACAUAAUUGCACCAGCCCACCAAAACAUAUCAUAAUUGCUCCAGCUCCUGUUUUCUCUCUUGGUAUGCUUAUUACUACGGGCAGCAGCAAUGUUAAUAUUGAUACUAUAGGCCUAUAGUGACACUUGCUCCUCUCCGAUGGAUUUUCUUUCCAUCUUUCGUAGUGUAUAUCUACGACACGUGUUUUCAUUUAUUAACAAGGGUUAGAAUUAGUCAAAAUUUAAAAUAAUCAUGUUUCUCCUUAAUAAAUGAAAACACAUGUUACUACAAGAAAAUAGGCUUAUUGUGACACUAGAAUUGUGCGACAAAAAGUAAAAAAAGUGCCACAAAAACCUUUUAGAGACACAAAAGCGACAUAACUCAAUUGUGUCCCAAAAUUACGCAUUACAAAAGAAGACAACGCAAUUUGGAUAUGAGUCGCAUGUAUUUGCAUUACUUUUUGCGAUGCUUGAGUGUCGCCACUCUACUUGCGGCACAAAAAAUGCGCUGCAAAAAAUGUCCACAAUAUUGUGCGACAUAAACUUGUGUCGCAAAAAAAAUCACUAAUAUAAAGGUUAGAAAUCAAUUUUUUUUUAUGGUACAACAUUUAUCUUGCUCAAAUAUGCUAAAAGUGAAUAUCAUAACAAAAUUAAAAUUCCACAAUACACUAGAAUAAAGUAUCAUACAAUGUUUUAGUCAAAUUCUACAAACUUUAUCAUUUAAUAUAGUUCACUCCAAUGACAAGAUGUUUUAUAUAUCCCAAGAAGUGCUUGUCUUCAAAAGCACGAUUUCAUCAUACAUCUCUCAAAGAUAUUUUCAUAUCUCAAAAUCCUGAAAUAACACAAAAAAUAUGGUCAUAACCAUUCUUGAAUACCCAAUAGAACUACAUUCAAUAAAAUUUCAAUGGGGGAGGAGAAGAACUUAAGAAGAAUGAGCAGACUCUCAAGAUAAAAGGUGUGCUCCACUAUCUGCUAAAGAAAUGCAAUCUCAGGACCACACAACUUCCUUACAGACAGUACGCUUCACAAUAAAUCGCCUGGGUUCCAUAACAGCCAACCGACUAUAUCAAAAUCACAACAAAAUCUGCAAGGGGAUUAAUUCUCUAAAGUUUGCUCUCAAAAUUAAAUGCCAGAGCCAAUUUCUCUUCAACCUAUAGAAACUCUAAAUCGCAUAACUACUCACUCGUUUAUGGCCUGCUUCCCUUAUUCUUAUUUGACUUUUAAGGUUAUUCAGCAUUCAUUUUCCCCAUCCAUCAAAAUCAGUUGAUUGUCAUUGUGGAACUCAAUUUGUCUCUAUUUAGCUUUAAUGACUACAUCCUCAGGGCAACUUGAAUUUCAACAUAUGUGGCGUUGAAACUGACAGGCAUGAAAUAAACAAGGUUUGCAUUACGUAUCCAUGCUGGCUGUUCAUGCUCAAUAGCAGCAAAACUCAACAAUGAGAAUGCCAACUUCAAUUGGAUCUCAAUCCACACUCAAGCUGACAGUGCAAGGUGCAUAAAGAAGUGAAGAUUACCUUGACAGGGUCGGGAGCAAACUUAAGCUGAACCCCAUCCAAUCUGGCACACCGUCCUUACCACCUGUAUCUUCAUCUUUCAAUCCAUUGGAUAUGGAAGAAAAUGCUGCCUUGAAUUUUUCCAGUCUCUUCAGCACCUAAGAAGAAUCACAGAAAUAAAUGAAAUCAAGAGUGUUAACCAUCUAUAGGAAGGUUGAAUAUAGAUAAUAGCACGUCCAUAUCUUUUCUUUUCAUCCAUUUUCUCCAGCAAGUCAUUGCAAAAAUUUCCAGAUCCAAUACAGCUACAGCCCUCCUUCCAGAGAACACAACCACAUCAUUUGAAACAAAAAAGUUUUGUGCUCUGACCUCGGUCAAUGAAUUUAACAGAGGAUUAUACACCUUAGGAAAAUAUUAUGUCAAAAGCGUUGGACCUCUCCUCUUAUGUUUUUCUUUCUUGUUUUGUUUCCCUUUUCUAAUGCUGGGAUUAUACACAAUAAAAUGAUCAAUAUGAAUGUCAAAUGCAUACUUCAUCCUCGCGUCCUUGGCGUCUGCGCUUCUUUUGCUUCUGUAGUUGUCUUUCACGUUCAGCAUUGUUCAUCAACUGUAGGUCAGCAUCUGCAUUAGCCAUGAGUUCAGCUGAAGGUUUGGACUACCCACUCCGAGCAGAGGUACUAUUAUAAAAUAUGUUCAAAACAUCUCAUCCAGCAUGAGGUUUCAUUUGAAUCAUUUUUGUACAUCUUAUCCACCCUAUGGAUCUGGCUAACGGUUGAAGUGUCACAAUCAGUCUAGGAGUCAUAAAAAUACCGAAAAAAUUCUUGUUCUGUCGGACUGCUUUCACUGGGCAGUAGGAAGGAUAACUGCUUGAGCCACGAUCCAUAAUCAUGUAAAACAUACUGAAGAAUGUCAUAAAAAAGCAUACAAAAGCAGCUUAGUUGCAGGUGUAUAGUAAUUUCAUGAUGACAUCAAAGCAUUUCUGGAGAAUAAUAAUAAAACACUUUCUAUCAGGCCAAAAAAUAUUAUAUAUAUAUAGUUGUAAAUUGCCACUCUCUAAAAUUUGCAAAUCCAAUUAAGUCCAAAGUAUCAAAUACUAAGCAUUAUAACACUAAAUUUGGCUAGAACAGAUAGAAGUUGACUAUGUUAAUUGGCAUGAAUAAAAAAGAUUUGUAAGCUAUAGGUUCAUUUUAACUCUCUGCAGAAAAACAAGCUCCUUUCUUUUUUUGCAGUAUCCGCUGACGCAUCCUUGCAUCAAAGUUUGCCUCAUCUUCAUCCACUAAAAUCAGAAGCUUCAGGCAACUUGGCAUCUGAUUGUCCCUGUGAUUCUUCCCUUUUUGAACGCAGAUCCUCUCUGACUGUCAACUGCUUAUCCCUUGUAGCUUUAACUUCAGAUGCUAUCUGCAUUAGCAACUUCAUUUAAGUGUAUGUCCAAGCAAUUUAUUUAUUACUGAUCAGGAGAAAAUAAAUCAUAUUCGUUGUUCCCCUCAACAAGCGCAUGUGAUUCAACAUUCAUAAAGUUUGUCCCUCCAAAACUGACAGCAUGUAGGUGAAGAAAAACUCUUGCAAAAUCUGUAAAAAAAAAAAAUACUAGUUGGAUUCCUGGGAACACCAACAAUAAAAGCAUUGUGAAGACAAAAAGCAUAUUACUUUCCAUACUGUAUUAAACCCAUCGAAAUUUUAGGACAUCAAAAACUCUGAGUUAACAUUUUUCAUGUGAUUGGUCAAAAGAUGCACUUUAUCUUUAAAAACGUAGUCUCAGAGAAUAGACAACUUCUAAGAGUUAGCCUUUGCUUCUUUACGGUAGAGUUUUCUUCCCAAUAUUUCUCUAUAAGUGUCUGGAUCCUGUUUCCCUUUUCCCUGCAAUUCGUUUACCUAACAGAUAUGAAAGCUGGCCUAUGUGUUUGAAUGCCUAGCUUAUCAACAAUAUGUCGGGAGACAUAACUCGGUUCCUGCACUAUCAUUGACAACUGAAAAUUGCUUCCACUGCAGAAAUGUUCCGAAGCAAAGAUAUUGGAUGGCUGCCAAAAUCUCAUGAUGGAGGAAUUUAUAGCACCGUCAUGAAAUGAUGAUGCAGGAAAGUUUUACCAUCUAGAUCCUCUCCAGUUGCUCUCUAAACAUUAAAAAAAGGUACUUUAAGAAUCAGUACAGUAGUGCUGUUAUGAAACAGUUUCACCAUUUUGUACUGAAACAAGUAAGAAGACAUUAGUCUUUUGCAAGUCAAGUAGCUAAUCAGUAGAUGGUUAACAAGCUCCUAACAGAUCACGAGGUGAAGAACCACAGUUAUUAUUGAUUUCCUUGACAAAAAAGAAUAAAUGAUUACCACAUCAUCAGUAUGAUUCUCCUCUUUCAGAAGACAUGCAUCAUCUAAUACAUCAUGACUGCUCUUAAUCCGGGUCUUGACAUUAGCCAAUUCCUUCUCCUCCUCAUCUGCUUCUUCUCCAAAUGAAAGCCAGUUCAACUUUCUAUAGCAAGCACCCAAAAAACAUGGUCGGCAACAAACAGUUAAAUCAUAGAAUAUGCCUUGAAGACAGCAGUUAAUCAUACAAUAGGCAGGCAAGGAAACAUGCUUUGUAACUUUCUGCUUGGUGUCUUUCUUCUCAGUUUCAACUUUAGAAGACUGCAAGGACUUUGAAGAUGCUACCCUGGGAACGAUAUCCAUUAUUGAGUAUCUUUCCCUUCUUUUUACUCAAUUAUCACCUAUUCGGAUGGACAAAUUAAUACAGUACACACAAUCUUUCUAUAGAGACAUUUUACACAAAAGAGAAAUUCAAAGGAAAUUACAAUAGUCAACAAUUAGAUCCUACCAACAUUUUAAAGCAUAGAUAACCAGAUAAAAAUGCUAUACUUGUCAAAAUUACCAAUAGGAGGCAAAAAAUCCUACUUAGGCGCUAAUUUUCAUCUUGCAAAAGGAUCGGAUUUCCAUGAUGAUUGCCUUUCCUUUCUUCUUACACAUCAAGCAACCUAUUCAAAGUUGUUAUGAUAAACUAACCCAAAAUCUUUUAAUUUAAAAAAAGGACUACUAUGAUAAGAUUAGUACUGGUGUGUCUUUACCCAGAUUCAAAGGAUCAAUGACUCCUCUGAUGGCUCCAAUACCUCUGCUUUCCCAAGAUUGGUUGAGGCUUUCUUCUUAUAAGAAGAGAGCAUUAGGUUUCUCCCUUGGCCUGUUGUCAUCCAUGAAUCAUGAUCUGUCAUACAAUCUCUCUUGGCGUACCUUGAGUGACCCAGCACAUGUAUCUUCCAGGACUGUAAGGAGGCAUCUUAAAGUACUGGGCAUCACACAUAUUAAAAUAAUCCUUUCAAGUUAAUUUCAACCAUAGAAAUGGAAAAUGAAGAUGAAAGAAAAAGAACAUAAUCUUGCAGUUUAUUUUAAACCCAAAAUAAUUUUCUUGCUCCUAAUUAUACAGGAUCAAGGAGCUUGAUCGUUGACAACUUUUCUCAAAAGCCAAUAUUUCCUACUAUAAAAUUUCCAAUCUAACCUUAGUCGCUUGGGAGUUUUUCACCUCGUGCUCUCUAACUACCUUUGACUCACUAGCUGGUACGUUGUCAUAUGUCCUCUUUACAGUGGUGGUUUCAUGCAAAGCAAUAACAUAGUUUCUUGGGAUAAGAAGGGAGGCCUAAUCUACUCCAACAAUGCUCAAAGAAUAUUACAAUAGCUGCGCCUUUUUUGUUCUAGUGCUAGGGCAUGUGUCAAAAGAUUCAAAGCCAGUCAGGUCUUGAAUCUGUUUAAACUCAGUGAUUUCAGAAAUGAUUGCAGAUAAUCCUGACUAUACUUUUCUAUAGAAUGCUAGGAAGAAAAGAAACUUUAGUGUAGUCUAUUGGAAGAAAUAGCAGUCUAAUGUAAGAAGAAUAGCACAUCAAUGGUAGAAGAAGAUGAUUGAAGAGAGAAAUCCUCCAGUGAAUUGUACAGAUAUCAGUUAUAAGCAUGCUGCAACCAACAAUUCUGUGUACUUCAUUCAUGCAAGAACUUCAGGAAGAGAUGUAUAGACUAUAAUUAAGGAAGAGAUGAGGAGCUUGAACCUGCAGUAGAAGCUGAAGAGUUGUGAGUUCACGGUCUUUUUCUGUGACAAGAAUGUUGAAAAUUCGUCUCUCUCUGAACUUGUGCACCACCAUAACUCCAAUAAUGGCAGCUCCAAAUGCUAUCAGAAGCAUUAAGCCAUAAGGCUUCCCUCUAUUGCUACCACCAUGUCCAUGAUGAUUCGCCUUCAUCAGUCCCCCAUUCCCUUAAUCACUCUUCCUAGGACUGCAAUCUAACCUCAGAAGUGAAGCAUGAAAGUGAUAGAAUCAGAAGUCCUCUCUCUUUGGUAGUAAUCUCUUACGUGUUGUGCUUUUCUUUUCAAUCACAGCUUUCUUGUUGGUUUAGUCAUCUAAACUGGACCUUCAAACUGCUUUCUUCUCUCUCCAUACACAUUGUAGCGGAGUUAACAAGAAUGAAGAAGGUGCAUGGGAAUUGUGUCCAAAGGCUUAGAUGAUGGAGACUUUUAUGCAACUUUGGUUGUUGCUUUCGAGGAGUGUUUUGCAAAUGAGUCAAAGACUGCCCAUCGCAAAGAGUGAUCAAAAGAAAAAAAAAUCUUUUCUUUUCUUUUUUUGUUUUUUCAGUUCAGGGCUUAAACUUUGAUUAAAUUUAAACUAGCACUUUUCUAACUGUUAAUUAGGCAUGCACACGAACAUGUGAGUUCUACCUGUUAAGGUUACUUUUAGCCAAAAAUCACUUUUCCUAUUUAAGACUAGCACAAUCCUUAAUUCUUUUCUUAAUAAUAAUGAACAAAUCUUUCUAUACUAGUUCUACACUAGUAGCAAUUUAGGAGACAAGGCGCUAAAAAACACUUAAAUGGGUUGUUAAUUUCUACGUUUUUGCACUCGGAAAAUCUGCGUACGUUAUGACACAAAAAAUGAAAUUUAUCAUGAAAUGCAAGUUUUUGCUGGUGUAUCAUGAAAUUUUACCUAUUCAAAUGUGUUAGAGUUUGCAAGUAAUAUUUUGAGUACAUACUAAUAUAAUACUAAUGUGAGUGCCUGAUAGUAGAUUAUUUGAGUUAUUAUUUGGAUUAACUACUAUAAUACUUUUUGUGAUUUGAUAUAUAUGAAAUAAAAAAUUAAUUAAAAAAUAUUUUUGCGAUACAAGCAAAAUACUAUUGGGAAUGAUUUGACUAAUCCAAAUGGAGAAAUUAGAGGCGGUGAAGAUGCCCCCUGAGUUCACAUGUUUACCAAAAGAACAAAGGGUUCAUUCUCUUUACUUUUUCCAAUACAAUGAACUCUGAUUUUUUAUUUUUUAACAUCAGAUUGUCCAUAUACAACCUGCCUAGCAUCUUUUCAUUAUUCCACAAAACACUACUACCUAUUAAAGGAUUCUUUACUUGGAAAAGAGUUAAAUCAUUGUGGCCAACUAUACUUAAUGGCUUUUUGUUUUCCCUUUUUAACGCACAAGCAACUAUUCUAGCUUUUUUCCAUGCGUAGGGUUGUAGUUCUUUUGUGUUGAGUUCAAAAUGGAGGAUAUUGACAGCCCAAGAAACGAUAAUUCAAUUGACCAAAAAAAAAAUCAAGAAAAAGUAAUGGAAAUAAUUUUUGGUAGAUGCAAAAUGUGUAGAUGAAUACAAAUCACAGGAAAAAGAACAAUUAGCUUAAAGAACAAGCCCUCCUCUUUUUUUUUUUCUCUUUUUUUGUGGAGCAAAGAACAAAAGGGUUUUGACUUCAAUGAAUUCUAUAGUAUUUGGAUUAACAACUGGAAAAAGGCGUGAAAGCCUUGCUUCACUGCCAAGCCCAAGUUCUUAAAUCCUGUCCCAUGUGAGUUAUACUUAUGGGGAAGACCACAAUCAAGAAAACCAAAGUCUUGUAGCUGUGGUAGAAGCAUUACUGAAUCUCCUUUUAGUAUGACAGUUUUUAUCUCUGCAUUAAUCAAUCUCCACUCUUGUUAAUUAACCACAUUUUCUGCUCUAAAUUUGCAUGGCUAUACCAUGAAACAUACAAGAAUUUGUUUUUACGGUUUGUUUAAUUAGAAGCCUCAUAAGUCCAAAAUUUUGGCCAAAUCCACGAAAGGACAUAAACUAAAAGUAUGGAAUUUAGGAGGGUUGUAGCUGAAUUAUGUCAUAAUUAUGUGAUUGAGAAUAGUUGUAAAAAUUUGACGUCUGGUGUAGCAAAUUAACCUUUUUAAGUUUAGGGAACAGUAUAGAUAUGAUGAGCGUGAUUUCUGUAUAGAGAUAUGUGAAAAAGCGCGAUAUUGUGUGUCUUUUACUCUAAACCCUUAUGAGGCAUCAACAAGAAAACGUGAUCCAUGAUCGGUCGAUCGAUGUAAAUUAAGAUUUAAGAUUUAAGCCCUUCUGAUGGUGUUCAGGGUGUGACUUCUACACCUUCACACCUCCAAAUGCAUUUACAUCAUUUAAAGAACAUUUUCUUCUCUCUUUUGGCCGGCGAGCAAGUCGCAAAAAUGGUCAUAAAAUUAUUUAACAUUUCAUGCUUUGGUCUUGGACUUUUUAUUUUAGUUAAAAUGGUGAUUCAACUAAUUAAAAUGCACAUUUUACAGUCGAAAAGGUAUACGCUUUCAUUAGCAGAGUAAGAAAAAAUAUAUACAUUGGUAUUAGUUAACUAACAAAAAUAAUACUUUUUUCAGUCAUUGAGCGACCAUCUAGACUGAAUAAAAAGUUUAGUAACCAAAUCAUGAAGUUUGAAAUAGUUUGAUAAUUAUUUGUGCCGUUUGCUCCAUAGGUGGAGACAAUUGUUCCAAAGGAGAUAUCCACUAACAUAAAAAAUUUAGAUAUAAGAAAUUCCAAAUAAUGGAUUUGUCAAUUAACACAACAAACAAAUUUAUAAAUUUAGAUGGAUAAAAGAAACCGGACUUGAAUAGAAUAAAUGAAAGAAACUAAAUUUGAACACAAUUUUAAACUCAUUCUCGAAUAGUAGAUAAUUAAAUUUUUUUGUCCCAAUGGAAGAUUUCAAACCUCACAAGGGCAAAAAAAAAGAGAGGAGUUGAGAGUCAAAUCAAGGAUUUCAAAUCUCUUAACUAAUUACUCUAACCUAGGUCCUAGGGACUAGACAAUCGGAAUUCAAUUCUGAAUGGCCCACAGUCGGUUCAAUAUUCUGAUCCAGUCCAGAUAAUUGUUACUUAACUCCAUGCCAGUCUAGGCAGCCCAUUAGCAUCUUACGUUGUUCUUAAUUGGUUUCCUGGGGCCAGAUCUACUUUGAAAGUCUAUCCUCUUCACUCUUUUCACUCUUUUCACUUCAGAAGAAGAAAAUCCUCAUCGUAAUUGGUACAUGCCCAUAUUUAUACUGGCUCUAACAUUCCCUCUGCAAAAUUCUUCAAAUGAUGGACAUUUUUUUUUAAUGUGGGCUGAUGCUAAUUAAUAUUCAUUUCUCUUCCAGAUUUUUUAUUGAUUAAUAGUAUCAGCUAAUGCUUUUCUCCAAGAAUUCAAAUUGUUGUUUUAUUUUCAUUCUGUUUUCCUGUCUAAUUAGUCCUAACAUUGAAAUUGAAAUUCAUGCUACAGUAUCUGAAUCGGAAUUCUGCUUCUUGGAGUUAUAGGGUUGCAAGAAUAAUGUCCAAAAAUUUUUCCAGUGGUCUCAAAUUAUCUGCUAAAAGUAUUCAUUAUGCAGAUUAAGAGGGAUUUUCAGAACAAGAAAAGAUGUUAAAAUUGAUGUUAUCUUGCUGCAAAGUUUACAUAUCAGAAAGCAGGAACAAGGCUGCUCUUGAGGCAAUUGAGAGGGCUGCUAAGUUGUUCCAGAAGCUCCAAUUAUUAAUAAGUUUGAGGAUGAAAUUUACAAUAGAGUUGGUUACACUCUUGUUUCAAAGUUGGGUUCAAAACCAUCUUCUGAUCCUCUGAAAGGGGCUGUCUUUGCCAUGGUUGAAGCUGCUUUUCAAAGCAUUGAUCUUGGUGCUCAUUCUGGAAGUCAUCCUAGGCUUGGUGUUGUGGACCAUAUUUGUUUUCAUCCAUUGGAGAGUACUAGUUUGGAACAAGUGGCUGGGACUGCAAAUGCUUUGGCAGCUGAUGUUGGUUCAAAUCUUAAAGGUCCGAAUUCUCCUGUAGCUCUAGUUUUAUACUGCAAAUUUGCAUUUUAAGACCAAUGCUUGAUUUUAUUUGUUGUCAACCAGCGUUGUUAAUAAGAUCAUAUGGUAUUCAGGACAAGCUACUUCCUUCAGAAUUUUAGUGAAAGCACUUGCUCACUUGAGACUGCUCAUUGGGUUGUGAGUGCAGUUUUUGUGUUGUUGUGGUUCUUUCCUGUCAGUAUUAGUUUCUUUUAUAGGAUAUUCUGUUCAAGAUUGAGGGUAGCUAAGAGUCUUCCCUUGUCGCUCACUUGGGACGAAAGGGGUGUGUGUGUGUGUUAGUCUGUGUAAGACGCUCUUUGUGGUGUCUUGAUGUUUUUUUGACUUUGUGAAGAAAUUAGCUACUUUUGCUGAUUAAGGUUUUUCCCAACAAGUACAUUAAUCAGCUAGAGAAUGGGGUACUGACUACAUUAGCAUCUCCUAAAUAACUUUCAUUUGACAGUUGCUUGAUUAUCUAUGCUGACACCUAAUGCUCCAACGUUAUGCUGAUGCAUUAUUAGUCUUUGAUGAAAAUUUCCUGUUAGGAUUUUCAUUUUAUUAGUUUGUUGCAUCAGAUUUUGAGCCGAAAGAAAGGCAAACCUUGUGCUGCACAACUGAAUAUCCUACUAAACCUCCAAUUACAAGAAGUCAUUCAUACCUGUUAGGUGUCAGGUGGCCAUUCUUAAUCUUAAUUCUUAUCAGUAGGAUCAGUUGUUCCCAUUGAAUUGCCUGCAUAUAAGUUUCACAAGACAACACUUUGCCCAACUUUGUCUUCUCAUUCUUUAUUCAGGCAACUUUCUUUUCUCAAUUCCCUUUUGGUUCAAAAUCCUCAUGUUAUCCUGCCAUAAGUAGUUUAGACUGGUUUAUAAUUCAAGCUUUGGAACUUCAAUUACUGAAAACACGUCAUGCAAUAUAAUUGUGGAUGCCUGAUAGAUGAACCCUUUGAAGCGUUUAGAAUUCCUUGGGCACUUCUUAACAUGGCAUCCUUAAAAAGCAGAUGUCUACUCUGUAGAGCUCCAAUACUUGUUGUUUGGUUUUGAUUACAUAGAGCUUAUGUACUUCAAUCUUAGUGUCCUAACUAGAACCUUUUAUAAAACAACAUCAGUCUGUUGUUGGAACUUCUGCUCUUUCUUUGAACUAAGAUAUGCUUCCAGGGCCAUUUGUAGACUUAGCCUUGUGAACUAAGAUAUGCUUCCAGGGCCAUUUGGAACUUCUGCUCUUUCUUUGAACUAAGAUAUGCUUCCAGGGCCAUUUGUAAACUUAGCCUUGUGAAGUAUCUUGGUUGUGACAAUAAGAGAUAACAUAGCUCAUUGGUGGAAAUCCUUAUUCUAGUAUGCUAUCCUCUGAAAACCAUGUCUUCUCUCAUUUGUAAGGCCAGCAGACAUGUGUUAAGCAAUUAUGAGCACCAGGUUUUUUGAGCUCCAGUCCAGUCUAUAGGACCCUUAAUAUUUUUCGAAAUCCUUUUUGUCAUUCUUAGUCCGAAUGACUAGCAGUCUUGAGCCUAAAUUGCAUGAUGCAAAUGUUGAAGAAAUGAACAUUGGAAGUUUACCUGAUUCAGCCCCUAAAAUGCGAUGAAGCUGCUGGCACAUUGCUUACUUACCCAUGUUUAAUACUCGAACUCAAGGAUCUUUUUUUUGCUUAUAGCUUGAUUUGAAUAGAUUGUUGUUUGUUGCUCCUCCUCCUCCAUAUUGGUGAAUGACUUUCAAUUGUUCCUAUAUAAUUAGGUCCUUGCACCACAAUUAUAAUAAUUAACUGACAGAACCACAAAUAAGGCCAAGUUUCAUUGUCUUGAUUCAACGAACUAUUAAUCUUGAAGAUCAUUUUUAUGUCAAUGUCUGUUUUAUCCAAAAGCAUAUUUCCCAGGUUUUUCUGCAUUUUUUUUGGUACUUUCACUUAAUUCAUUCUUCUGUCUUUAUUCUUUUUAUCUUCAUAACCCCUUCCUUUUGUGGAGUACCUUGUAGUUGCAAGCACCUCUCUUGUGCAUCUUUCUGAGCAAAUCUGUUUCAUUAUCCGCAAACUUGACAUCAUAAUAGCCAAAAGGAUUGUUAGUAACAGUUCUCUAUAUUUUUUUAUCCUUUUUUUCUGCUUCUAACAUUUCCAGCUUUUCUAAGGAUCUACACAAUUACUUGCAGUUCCUACCUUUUUGUAUGGAGCAGCACAUAGGGAAGGAAGAUCUCUUGCUUCAAUCAGGAGGGAACUGGGAUAUUUCAAGCCUGAUUCUAGUGGAAACCAAUGGACAGGCGGGCCCAAAUCAGAGAUUUUACAGCUAAAGCCAGAUCAGGGUCCUGAUUUUGCAGUUGAAGCAAAAGGUAUCAUUGUAAUAGGAGCAACACGGUGGGUUGACAAUUACAACGUCCCAGUCUUUUCUAAUGACAUAGCUGCUGUUCGUAGAAUAGCCAAGAGGUUAAGUGGAAGAGGAGGCGGACUUCCUUCAGUGCAAUCUAUGGCACUAACCCAUGGUGAUGGUGUCAUUGAGGUAGCUUGCAACUUACUAGAACCAAGUAAAGUUGGUGGCGAUCAAGUUCAGCUUGAAGUUGAGAAGCUUGCUGCAGAAGAGAAAUUGAAUGUUGGCAAAGGGUAUUAUACAGACCAUUCACAGGAAAAAUAAUUGAAAGCUACAUGAAAGUGUGCAAAAGUUUAGACUAGACUACGCCUGCGAAGUUACAACUCCUAGGAAAUACAUCCAAGCUAUGCAUGGGGUCUCCAAAUAGGUCAAAUUUUCCUAACCUUGCAAACCUAUUACUCGAGGCUUCUAUUCUAUUGGCUGAUUCAGUCCAUUUGUAUCAUGUUCUGUAAAGUAUUAUAUUGCUACUUUCAGUUAUAUGCUGAUUCAUGAUUUCUAAAUACCUGUUAAGAAGUAAGAUUGAGUUCGAUACUAUGCCUUUCUUAACAGAAAUAUUCAUUAUUCUUCUCACAAGUUGAUUUUGCUGAUUUUGUAUCACAGUCUGUAAAGUAUUACAUGUGCAUAGCUUUUGAUUUAUACUUUCAGUUAUAUGCUGAUUCAUUGAUGUGUAAAUACAGGUUAGGUUAAUAUAAGAUUGAGUUUGGCAUUAUGCCAUUCUUAACAGAAAUACUCUGUAAUUCUUCUCACAAGUUUGAUUUUACUGAAUAGUCAUCUUGUUCUAGGGAGAUGCUGCUGCAACAAGCAAAGUUUAAGUGGAUGCAGGAUUAACCAUUUCUUCCCUUCUUUUCUUGGGUGCCAAAUCUAUAAACAGCUAUUCAUCUCAAAUUACAGCAUCAGUAUUUCACUUGUUGCAUGGCAUAUCACCUGUAACUACAGAUAGAAGUUACUAUCAAUAAUUUUAUGAGUUACGGUUGAACUUUAAUUUACGAGUUACUAUCAGGAUUUCACGUGAUGACUUUCUUUUCUAGAACUAGAUUUUUAUUACUUUUACGCUAUUAAUAACGUAAAAACUAACAUAAGAUAAAGCAUAAUUAAUUGAGUUAGGAGGAUGAGUGUCAUAGUAGCAUUAUCACUAUAAUGGCUGAGGUUAGUUGCACGCAAAAAUUAGGUUAGUUGUUGGAGAAUUUGUCAUCAACCAUUACUUUUGCUUUACUGGAAUUGAUUUGUUAAUUCCAUUUGAUUUCACUAUCAGCAUUUUAUUGUUUGGUACCUUCAAUUAUUGGUCACAAUUAUUUCGAAGGCAUCUAAACUUUAAUCCAUACAAAUAUCUUUUGCAUUUGUUCUCAGUUCAUGUUUCUUUGUCAUUUGUACUUGGAUUUUGUAAUAGGGUUUGCCUAACGGGUGCUUAAUAGAUACUCGUUAAAAUAUUUUUUAAGUGUUAAUUUUUUUAAAAAUAAAGUUAUAAGGUAAAGUGUAUAAAUAUAAGGAGGGUAAUAACUAUAAUUAGAAGAAAGGAUUGAUUUUUCUAAUGGGUACCCAGUAGGUACUUGUUAACACAUCUAUAUUCCAUCUAACCUACCAUAUAUAUACGCACAUUAACAAUUACUAUCCACCUUUGCAUUUACACACUUUCUCGAAUUGUUCUUAACUUUCUAAAAAUCUAUCACUUGAAAUACAUUUUAAUGAGUGCCUUUAAAAAAAAAGGUAUAUAAAUAUAAGAGAAGUUAAUAAUUAUUAGUAUGUAUAUUUACAUGAUAAGUUAGAUAUGAUUUAAGCGCGUUAACGAAGAUAUGGGCACCUGUUAGAAGUGCCUUUAAAAAAAAAGGUAUAUAAAUAUAAGAGAAGUUAAUAAUUAUUAGUAUGUAUAUUUACAUGAUAAGUUAGAUAUGAUUUAAGCGCGUUAACGAAGAUACGGGCACCUGUUAGAAAUCUCUUUAUAAUAAGAUGGAAACAAUUCAUGUAAUCCUUGAUUAGCUCCAUCAAGGCCUAAUCCUAGUCAUAAUGUGCUCUGCAAUAGAUGUUGAUGAUAAAUAGUCAUACUUACCGACAAUAUGUACGAAGAAAGAUUGUGUCCACUCAUUUAAUCAGAUAUUAAUUGAUUUGUUCUCAAAAGACUGAUUUCAUUUACACGCCUAGUCACCAUGAUGAUGAUAUUUAUUCCUAGGGUCUGUCUAACUGGGAUUAGACACCGUUAAAAUAUAUUUCAGGUGUCAUAUUUUUUUAAAAUGUAAGAUUAAUUAGAAAAAGUAAGUAAAUACAAAGGAGGAUAGGUAAUAUUAAAUAGAGAAUGUAUAUAAAUGUAAAGAAAGAUAAUAAUUAUUAGUUUGUAUAUAUAUAUAUGACAGAUUAGAUGAAUUUUAAGUGUGUUAACGAGUGUUCAAUAGACACCUGUUAGAAAAACCCUUAUUCGUAAUAGUAUUUUUCUUACCAGUGUCUAAUACCCCUAUAUUCUAUCCAACUUAUCAUAUAUAUACACACUAAUAAUUAUUACUUUCUCCUACAUAUAUACACUUUUUUUUAAUUAAUUCCCUUGCAUUUAUAUGUUUUCACUAAUUAAUUUUAUAUUUUUAAAAAUUUAACACUUGAAAUAUAUUUUAACGAGUGUCCAUAUGACACCGUCCGAAAGACCGUUGAUAAUAUUCACGUCGAACAAGUAUUUGAACUUUGAAUGAUGUUUACAAUCUCUUUGUCACCACGAAGCAAAAUGCAAAAUAGAUGUUCAACCACAUUUCACCAACUUACUUCGAUCUGAAAAUCAUUCAUUUACAGCUUUGAUGGACAUCUAUAAGACUAUAACACAUUUCACGUAUACUAGGGGAAGAUAAAACAAAAGUCCCAAAAAUCAUGCCCCAAAAAUAUGAGGAAAGUUGAUAGUAAUAAAUUUGGCAACUUGGACAAUAACAAAGAGAUCAUUGUCCCAAUUGUUCCAAGGCCUUGGGACUAAUUUCUUGUUUUUUAAGGGGCUGCUGCUCCAAGAUUUUAGAAAUCUUUUUAUGGCACUUUAAAACAAUCAAGCUUUUUACUUAUAUUGUAGUAGAAAUUAGAUUUUGCUCUCUCCCCCAAAAUGUUAUAAAUUUUUCAGCAUCACCUUAAAAGCUUUAAUUUUUUGUUCAUGUAAAAUAUUAGAGUCAUCCUACAUUCCAUCCGCAAACAAAAAAAUUUAAAAUAUAUAAGAGUGGUAUCUUUUUAGAAUUAACUUUUUAUGCACUGACAAUAAUGUAGUGAUUUUGUUUUUUACACUAACAGUUUUGAAUGUAUACCACAUAUAAAUAAUUUGAAUUUUAAAUUUAAAUUCACGUUCCGUGACAUGAUCUAAACUUGUUUGUAUAAAAUAUUUUUACAUUGACAAUGUAUAAAAAACUAUCUAUCUUUUUAAAUGCAAAUCAUUCCUUAGUCUCUGAUUCCACCAAUCAUUGGGAGUGAAUCAUUAUUGCUAAAAUAUACAUAAUGGGUUUUGUUUGGAUAAUAGAUUAUUUAUCAAAAUUUAUUUGCUUGUAUCAUCGAUAUAAUUUUCAACCAAUCAUUUUUUUAUUUUACAUAAAAGUGCUAUAAUAUUUAUUUGUUUGUAUCAUCGAUAUAUUUCAAUCAUCUAUUUAUUUUACAUAAAAGUGUUAUAACAUUUUUUCAAAUAGUCUGUUAUCCAAACACUAGGGCGUUAUUGUUCCAUCCAAAACCAUGCGUGGCAUGCGGUGGUUUUGUUUAUCCAAAACCAUGCGGUGGUUCUGGCAGAUGAGAUUGACACAUGAGGAUGGUAGGGACAUUUGGCUUAGUUGUAAAUGUCUUGUGAUGUUUUAGUGCUGAGUCAGGAGUAGGACACUUGAUCCAGAAAAAAGGCCAUGUCAUAUUCAUAUGUACUGUGCUAAAUAAAAGAAAUAUUUGUCCACGACUCCCAUCUCUUCUCCUAGUAGGAGUGCUAAUUUCAAGAAAGAGGCAGCAUGGAGCUCAUAGACAGUUUGCUUGGGAAAAAAGGGCAAGAAAUGGACUGCUAGGUGAGGGGCUCAUCUUUGGUGAAGUUUCAUCUUUUCCGUUUUCCUUUUAUUGUUUGUAUUCUUAAAAAAAAAAAAGGCUUGAAAGGACCAUAUUUUUGGUGAAGUUACAACUUUUUGGGAUCGAUCACAUUACUAAUAGUGCUCCACUGGCUACCAUGUGAUCAUUUCUGUCGUGUAAGAUUAUCUCAGGUUGCUUUCAAGAAAAGUUUAAUCAUGCAAUAUCUAAGAUAUCAUCAUUCAGCUUGAACGUAUAAAGCAGGAGAAAUUUUUGCCUGACCAAAUCACCACCUGGGUAAAAAGUAAAACCGAGAACUCAAAAGAUUAUGCCAAUACCAAACCAAACAAGUGUGAAACAAUGAAAAAAACCGAACCCCACCGACCGGUGGGUGGUUGGGUGGUUUAUGACAGAAAACUAUAUGAUGGUUGCUUCUUGCCCUUCCUCGAAUAUGAAGACAUUUUGGAUAAAAUACCCGCGUGCUUCAUGCCUGGUUCUAGCUAUAUAAUCCAGUUCCUGGCUCAAUCUGAGAUGAGGAUGAAACAUGGUAAUUGUGGGACAUUUGGCCUUCAACCCUGGUGGUAUUAAGUUUGACUGUUGAGUCAGGAUUAGGAAACUAGCUUAAGUAAAAUAUCUCUGCAUUUCUUUCUCCUAUCCAUUAAUUUGAAGACAAAGGCUGCAGAGAGCCAUAGACAGUGGACAGUCGGUUGGAUUGCAGAACCCAAGAGAUGGAUUCCAUUUCCAGCCAGAGUAGCAAGGUGAGGGAUUGAUCACUCUCUUUUUUAUUUUUCUAAGCUUAUAUAUCUUGUAAACAGGCAAAAAAAGGACCAUAUCCAUUUUUCUAAAAGGUUUAAAGACAUUGAAAUGAGCCUUAAAGCCAUUUUAUAGUUAGCUUUUCCUUGUAUUUUAGCGUGAUUUUCUUGGAGAAUUUCAUUUUUGGCGGAAAUGAAUGAUGUUAUUAGGGUGGAAGAGCAGUUUUCUCAGUCAGUUGAGGUUCCAUAGUUGAAAGCAUUUUAGCGAAUUGAAUUUGAUUACUUCAGCUGUCAUAUUUCACUAAUUUUUUGUGUUCUUUUCAACUUGAGUGUUCUUAAAACUCCACUCACAUACUAUGAAUUUGCCCUCAUAUAAAGAUCAUACAAUCAGAUUGCUGUACAAAUAUGAUGAUGAACUGGUGACACGCCAACCUUUUGCAACUAGAAAUUGAUCAAUUCCCUUUUGGCUUAGCACUUGAAUAGUAACAAAGAUGCGUAGUUUUCCUCGGGAGACUGACAAAUGUGCACUGAUGAAUAAAGGUGUUAAGCUGACUCGUGAUCUAACCAGGGAUCCGCUAUCAUAAUCUGAUACCAAUCAACGCAAAAACCAUUCAUACACAUUGUAACUGGUGAACUAUUCAGCUCUUUUAGACACAACAUCUAAUUCGAAGAGUUUGACAAAGCAGUCUGAAAGGAUUACCUGUAUGUCAUUUGCCUUCUAAACCUUGAAUGAUUAUUUUAAUUCUUGACAAUCUGUAAAAGGAUAAGAAGAAAACAGUGAUGCACUCCAUGCUGCUCUGCUGCAAACUUUAUAUAUCUGAAGCACGAAAUGCCGAAGCUCUUGAUUCCAUCGAACGUGCAGCUAAACGUGAUCCAGAAACCGUUAUCGUCAACAAAUUUGAGGAUCGUGAUUACAAUAGAGUCUGCUACACACUGGUCUCAUAUGUUGUCCAUGAUAGCACUGGCUGUCCAAUUUACAGCCCCUUGCAGCAGAGUGUAGUAGCCAUGGCUGAAGCUGCUUAUGAAGCCAUAAACCUUGAGCAGCACUUAGGGACACAUCCUCGUCUUGGCGUCAUGGAUGACAUUCUCUGCCACCCAUUAGCUCGAGCUUCACUGGAUGAGGCAGCUUGGCUGGCUCAAAAAGUUGCAGCUGAAAUUGGAAAUCGAUUUCAAGGUAACUACUAAUUCAUUACUAGUUCAAUGACGCUACAAAGUAAGGGCAAUCAAUCUACAGUCACAUGGAGAGUAUUAAAAUUUGCAUGAUCAUGUACUUGGUAUUUCUCUACUUGUUUGUCUAUUAGAGCUGAUCCAGUUAACACAAUUGCCUAAAUAUUUUGGAAGCGUGAUGCUUUCUAAUUUUGCUUCCAUAUAUUGAAGAUGCUGAAACAAUUUAUACUGUUCUGGGUCCGUUCCACCGACUUGACUUCUUGGUUCUAAGGUUAAUGGGAGAUGUUGUUCUGAUUUCUUAUGUUCCUUGGCUUCAGUACCGGUAUAUCUAUAUGGGGCAGCAAAUCCAACAGGAAAGGCUUUGGACACCAUAAGGCGAGAACUGGGCUACUUUCGUCCAAAUAACGGCCACCACUGGGUUGGCUGGACACAGCCACAAGUCCUUCCAGAAAAGCCGAAUGAAGGUCCAGAAGUGGUCACCAGUGCGAGGGGCAUUAGCAUGAUAGGUGCACGGCCAUGGAUUGCCAUGUACAACAUACCAGUCAUGUCCACAGAUGUAUCAGCAGCUCGACGGAUUGCACUGAUGGUAAGUGCUCGAGGAGGGGGGUUGCCUACUGUGCAAACUUUAGGCCUGGUUCAUGGCGAGGACUCAACUGAGAUAGCAUGCAUGCUACUGGAGCCAAACCAGAUUGGGGCAGACCGAGUCCAAAACCAUGUUGAGAAGCUAGCAGCACAAGAAGGCCUAGAUGUAGAGCAGGGAUACUUCACUGAUAUCCCUCCACAGAUGAUUACUGAGAGAUACAGAAAAUUGAUAAAUGCUUAUUCAGAUUGAUCACUUGAGGCUCCUUCUGGUGCAUGAUUGUUGAUGACCUUGAAACGUACAUUGAAGUUCUACAAAAUGUAGAUGAGUGAUCAAGAUGGUAAUUCUGUCCAAGCCAUGAUAAAAUAAGUAGUACAUGCUUCUCUGUUAGAGCUGAAUUCUUUAGUUCUUUCCACCAAUUUCUGCUUCCUUUUAUUUCAAUUAGAGGGUCAAGCAGGGGCUGCCUAUCUCCACUGAAAAUUUUUGGUUAUCAACGUUGGGUAUUUGGCUUAAUUAGAGAUGAUUAAUUGCAAAAGAAAAAUAAGCAAAGAUUGUUAGAGAUCAUAAUUUCUUCUUUAAUUAACUGAAUAAUUUCAAAAUCUUAAAGAUCAUCUUAUAUAACACCCAAAUCUGAUAAAGUUCCUGAUUGUAUAUAGCCAUAAUGCCUCUUUAGAAAUGGCACAUUAUUUUAGAUUUUUUUAAUUAAAUAGCAAAACUUUAAUCCAGAUUUUUCCCUCGGCAAUCCGCCCUUUCUCAAAUUUAAAGAAAAAAGGAAAAAAAAUUGCAAAAGGAGUGUUCGUUCAGUUAGAAACCAUCCAUCUGGUAAUACUGGGCUCAGAGAGCAGCAGCCCGUUAUCCUUCCACUGCAGAGAGCGGGUAGUUUUCACUGCUCUGUGAAGCCAGCCUGACGCAUUACCCACCUCUCUAAGAGACCACAUAACCCAGGCCUUCGUCCAAGUUACGUAGCCCAACUGUCCGCUUGGAAUGGGCGGGCCACCAAUCAGCCACCCCAAACCCUACCAGCUGAACGGAAUCCAUGUUCCAACACUCCAAAUGCCCCCACUUGGGUUACAGGCUUGCGUUACCCAGCCCGGCGAACGAGAGCGUCUUUUCUACAGCUUAUGAAAUGAUCUGCAACAUUUCAAAUUUCCAAUGUGGGAUUAAAGGGGACGCUUUCUGGACACCUUAGUGCUAAAUAAUCAAACAACUUUGUCAUGCUUGAAAAUAACUGAAAAAUUAGGGAAAUUUGGAUCCAUGAGAAAAGGUAGUGAUAGUUGUUGUUUAUAUUCAUGGAAAGACCAUUUUUUAUGGGAUUCUAGAAAUUAGAAAUGAUGGAUAUUCAUACCAAAUUUAGUGAUGGGAUUUGGUAGUAUACGAAUGAACGAAGGAAACUCUCAAGGCAUAUUUUAUGGCAAUUUGUGUGUCUAUAGCCCUAAUCUUCAUUUCAUUUUUCUGUUUUAAUAUAAAGCCUUGAUUUUAAUAAUUAGGACCACCUCAUGACAACUUUCCUUUCAUUAAUCAGCUGUCUAUUUGUGUUCAAGAAUUUCAGCAAAAUUUGCACCAAUCUACUGGAUCAAAUGAUACAGGCAACACAUAAUAAAACAAAACUACUAGUCUUAACUGAUGGAGCUGUAUUUCUUACGACUCAACAAAAAAACCAGUUAAAUUUCAAAAAAUAUGUGAUGGUACAAUUUACCCAUCUCAUUCCUGCAUUCCAAAUAUUUUGUCAACAUCCCAGGGGAAAUUUUAUGAACCAAAUAUGAUAUAAGCAGCUCUCAAAGUUUUAAGUAUCUUUAGUAUACAAAGGGAAUGAUGGAAAAGCACCAAGAAGUAGCUACAAUCUAUUGCAGUACCCAGGACUGAAAAAGAUUUCGGGGAUUCUUGAAUUGGACUAAUUAUGCGAAGAAACUUGGAAAUCUAUGUGCUGUUCUGUCAUUAUAAUCCAAUGAGAGUUUAUUUGCCAUGACCUGUUAUACUUAUGAGCAGAUAACAGGUUUAGAAUGUUUUUCCUUAUCCAGCUGAUAGUGAACAACAUGAAACUUACUACAUUCUGGUGUUCGAGCACAAAAUUGUAUAUCCAAAUUUGUCUUCUUCUGUUACAGAACUUUUAUUGAAAAAAUGAACAAAGGGAGGCAACAUUAACAACUGUAUGCAGGCUAACCGAAGACGAGACAACAAUAAGCUAGUAUCUUUAUUACUUCAAAGAACUCGAAGGGAUGGAUCAUGGAAGAUCAGAUGGUUAUAGAAGUAUGGGAUAUGAAUUGUAGAAUGCUAUCUUGGCCCAAAUGAUGAACUUGCAGAUUCGCCAAUAUUCCUGCCAUCGUCUUCUUCAAAGAUCUCGUUUGCUGCAGAAUUCUGAGGUUCAAAGAUGUCAUAUGCUGCAGAACUCUGAGUUACUUUGAAAAUUGAGUACAGGAGUCCAAUGCAAUCUGGAUGAGACUUCGUUAAAUCCUCACGCCAUCUUCUGCUUCCUUUUAUUUGCUUCAGAGACUGUAUCAGGGCUGCCUAAUUUCCACGAAGAAGGGAAGUGCAGUAAGUUCAGGACAUUUAUGAACUUCAAUGAUGGAUAAUGAAUCACAUAUCAUUACCCUAUUCCAGCAGAUGCUUGUCAGCCUUGGCAAAGAACUUAACUUUAAUUUCUGUAAUCGUGGAAAGUAUUAUUUCAGCAUUGUCCACUUGAGUCACGUCUUCUCCCCUCUUUCAUCACCAAUUAUCUCCUCAAUCCUUUCACAGUUUUCAAUAACAAUUUCUUCAAGGCUUUUUAGGUUCUGCACCAGCUCAAAUGACAAGACGGUCUUCAAAUCAUUACAUUGGUGACAUGCAACACCUUCAGAUUUGCAAGAGUUCCUUCCUGUGGAAUUCCCAUGCAAAAAGUAUGUAACUUGCCCAAACCCUCGAUCUCUAACGACUCUAGGGUAGGAAAGGUGCUCCAUCCUGAAGUUAUUAUCCAUUCCAUAUCAUCACAGUGUUGAAGUUUACAUAUUUGUAGCUGUGAAGAAGCAAAGCUGAUGGAUGUUGGCAAGUGAUUGAUGCCUGAACAAGCCAAGAGAACCAACUCAUGAAUCCUACCAGGCAACAAAGCAGUAUUUCUCUGUGAAACAUAUGGGCUCCAAUUAAUGCUACACUAUUUCUACCGAAACGCAUUGAGGAUUCCGGAUAGCCAAUACAAAAUUUGAAACUCUCAACUUGACUCCAGUGUCCUGACAUAGUAUAGUAAUUGAAGUCCUCAACAGUUCUGAAGUUAGCUUCAAACAGUGACAGGUUAAUGCAGCUUGUUAACUGAUCACAAAUACCUUACCAAGUUCAAGUGACUGCCACAAACCAAUUAGCAGUAGAUUCUCCAGCAUUCUGUAAUUUGACAGAAAACUACUUUGAAAGUCAUUGGCUCUACAGUGGGAGAGGUCAAGGCGUCUAAGGUUAGCUAACAUUUCCAUCCCGUGGGGCAUGUGCUCAAUGGAUGAAUAAGAAAGGUCCAAAACCCUCAACUCCUUAAGUUUUGAUAGCGUUGGUACAUAAUGCAAAUUCCAACAGCUACAGAGGAGUAGUGCACGAAGGUUUUCCAAAUUGAAAAUGAAUCUGGCAACCUAAGUAUGCCUGUAUAAGAUAAAUCUAGAACUUGCAGGUUCUGCAUAUGGUUAAAGAAAGAAGGAUUAAUGCCUUUGGAUAGUGAAUUAUACUGCAAGAGUAAUGUGCUCAACUUUGGACAUCUAGGUUCACAAUCCAAAGAGCUCAAAUCAUUUCUCAUCAGUGAGACUCUUUCGAGAUCUGGAUGCCAUUCUUCAUGAAGAGGGGCUGUACAUAUGCUAUGUCAGCUCGAACCAUAAGAUUUGGUUAGCACCUGUGAGAGCAAUUGCCAUAUCCCUAAUUAGGUCAUGCAUCUUCACAUGCUCGUCUAUACUACCAUGUUGGCAGAUACUUUCCAACAUGCAAGCAUUUUUCAGCUCAUCUACUAGGAUAUAUCCCUGUUGCAUCUUGGUUUCCAUGUCCCCUAAAUUACCCAGUAGACCUUCAUAUAUCCAAUACCUUAUGAGCUCUUCUACAUUGACAUGAUGAUCCUUUGGGUAUACAGCACAGAAAAAAAGCAGGAUCGGGUAGUAUCAUCCUUCAAUCUCUCAUAGCUAAAUCUCAAACGUGACAAUACCUGGUUCUCCAUUCCAUCUAUUCUUAUAGUGGAGUUUUGCAACUCUCUUAAAGCAAUUCGCCACUGUCUUACAUUAUAUUCUUUUCUCAAAGCACGUCCUACUGUAGCAAUUGCUAGUGGCAGACCGCCACAUUCUUUGGCAAUUUCCUUGGCAACAGCUUCAAUGCUCAAGGAUGAAACAACUUCUUCACCAACACUUGUGUUUUGAAUAAAUCCCAUGCUUCUUCACUAGAAAGCAAUUCAACUUCGACCUCUCUCAUUGUCUCCAUACCACGGCAAACACUCAAUGAUCGAGUGGUAAUCACCAACUUAAAAGAGUUUGAGAAUUCUUGACAAGGAAUUCCAACCUCUUGAUGUGAAAAUGCUUCCACAAAUCAUCUAUAAUAAGAAGAAACUUUUUCGGUCCCCUCAAGGCAUUCCAUAGUUUUGAUGCUCUGGUCAUCCAUCAUCGUCGCUAUCAAAGCAUAAACCAAUUGAUUUGGCAAUAUCAUUUUGUAGUUUUGGGAGAUUUGGCUCCCUUGAUGCUGUGACCCAAAUGACGGUAUCAAAUAUACAUCUUCUCUCACCAGUCGAUUAUUAAUUUCUAUCAUGAUUGUUGUUUUAUACGCCACCCAUCCCAAAUAUGCCAAUUGUUCGAAUACUCUCGUCCAUCAGGUAAUGCCAAAUCCUCCUUGAACUUCUUUUUGCAGUUUCUCCCAUAAGCAUAGUUGUAGGAAGUGUCUUCCCACGUUCAGGCAACAUACCAACCACUGCACCUUCUGAAAACUUUCCCUGCUCAAGAAGCUCAUUCACCUUAUGGAUCUGCUCCUCAACCAUAUUCCCCAGCUUCAUCCGAAAAUAAUAGUUUGGGAAACACCCAAUCAAACACCUUCUAUCAUCUGCACUAUCCUCCUUCACCUUAUUGACAGAGUCCUUGAUCUGAUCAACAUUUUCCAGCCAUAACUUAACUUCAGCUUUAGGCUCCAUGCCAUUCCGAACCCUUUCUAUAGUUACCAUUUGCCUUAUAUCUGUUUCUCGGGCAUUAAGAAUUCUCAUUUGUUUGCUCAUCCAACCUUCCUAGAAUUGCUUGUGGUUUAUCAAAGUAACUACAUUGCUUGGAAACCGACUUGCGUAAGCACUCUUGUCUACAAAAACACUGCACCAAGCUUGCAAGUGGACUGAUGUAUUCCAUGCCAAAUAAUGCUGAUUAAGAAAACAAAUCCGAGAAUGUCAAUCAUAUGGUAUUCAAGGUAUUUUACUACAGAACAGCAUUAUGGCCAAUGCGAAAACACACAGAGAUGCUGAUGAGCUUCCUAUUAUCUGACAGUGAUAAACUAUGUUCAGCAGUUUUAACAAAUUUAGUUAGAAGACAAUAAUAUAACAAGGUUUCCUAAAAGUUAGAGGAUGACAAAUUGGGUCCUCUCGAAUAAUAUACCAAUUGUAUCUCCUUUCUUACAUUUCUAUUAGACAGAUCAAUCAAUAAGCAGGAUCUGCAAGCCAAUACAAAACAUGGAUUAUCAAAAUUAGUUCUUUGUAACAAGAGUAAAAAAUCUAUUAAUUAAUAACCCUGAACCAUACAAAUUCUAUUAAUUGAAAGAGGUAUUAAUUAAUCAAUACAUUAAUAAAUUAUUGAUUUAUUGAGUGUACUUACAAUUCAAAGAAACACUAAUUUAAUCAACUAAAGUUUUAUUUAUUUUAUAAAAAUAUAAAUUAUUCUAUAAAUAAAAGGAGACUAAAAUUCUAUAGAAUAUAAAUCAAUCCAUAUCUACUUGAUUUACAAGUAUAAUUUAUGUCUAUUAAUGUACGUAACUGAUAUCAUUUUUAUAUUACCAAUAGGUCAAAAGGAUUUAAGAAUACUAAAUGAUAGAUGUGUGUUCCAUUUUAUUAAAUGCAUACAAUGAAUCAAAUUAAUAAUACUAUGUAUAUAAAUAAAAAUACAAAAUCUUCUUAUAUAUAUCAUUGUUAAACUAUGGCUUCCCAUUUGAAAAGAUGUUCAUAAAUAAUUGAUCAAAUGCAUAGAGUAUUAUGUGAGUACAAUAUAUGUAAUUUUAGUGAAUUAUUAAUUUACAAUAUAAAUGAGACAAAAGUGUUAGGUAAGGUUUUAAAAAAAAAUAAAACUAUUAUCUCAUUAUUUUAUUGAAAUUAUUAAUUUAGCUCAUUAGCCCAAGUCGAGACCAAAAUAAAUUAUUAAUUAAUACAGAUUAUUAAUUUAUUGAGUAUUAAUCUAUAGAAGUUUCACUGAACAUACAUUAUAAUGCAUCAAGACGAAAAUCUAGGUUUGAAUUAUUUAAAUUUCUUUUAGAAUGUAUCAAGACCAAAACCUAGGUUUGCAUUUUUUAAUUUAUUUUUUCUAGAAAAGGGGUAAGAGAAGUUUAAUCAUCAAUAUCUUGGAUUGCAGAAACCAAGAAAAAUUUUGCCAUAUAUUUGCAAGAUUUUAACAACAACAAAUAGUCAUCUUUCUUCUCCCAUAUUUUAUUUUAACUCAUAAUCAGUGAUUCAUCAUACAAACAUAUCAUAUAAGCAACACUUAAAAGUUGAACAUCCAACAACUAUGGCAGAAGGCAACGAUCAUAUCCAUCUCAUGUUUAUCAUCAUAAAGAUACUUGUAUACCUUUUUUUGGAAGUGAUUGAUUUUUUUUCCUUUAUCCUCAAGAAUUUACAUACCCAACUGCUCAAGGAUACCAAAAACUUACAUCGAAUGAUUCAAACAAAGGAAUCCAAAUAAUAGAGAAGCAAGAUAGUAGCAGUAGCAGAAAUUUAUGAACAAAAUAACAUAUAUAACUGAAUGGAAAAAAAAUUAUCAACAAAAUUAUGUACCAGAAGUAGUGGCAAAUUCUACAACGUUCAAAACAAGUUUGAGCUGGAGCUGAGACCAGUCAGUGUCAGAAUAAGAAGUUUUGAGCUGGAGCUGAAACCAAUCAAUGGCAGAGUAAGAAAGUAAGAAGUUUUGAGAUGGAGUUGAUGCCAAUCAGUGGCAGAGUAAGAAACUAAGAAUCUUAAAUUGCAAUGCAAUGAAAUAAUAUGUAUCAGGAGCAUCCAUAAUUGGUUGUGGCUAGACAAAUAGUGGAAUCUUCAUGGGUCGCUGACUCCGAAGUCCAAGUCUACCCAUCACAGCAUAACCAAGAAAUUCAUUACUCCAUACCCAAUUAGUGGCAGAGUAAAGACCCUUAAGUUGCAAUGUGUUGAAAUAUGUAUCAGAAGCAUCUAUAAUUGGUCAAGGCAAUUAUAUCGCACAAUGUGAAGGAGUCUUCACGCGGUGGCUGACUCCAGAGUCCAAGUCUACCCACCAAGCACAACCAACAAAUUCAUCACCCCACAGUUCACACUAUUAUAGAGUGGAAAAAUAGAUUUAACUCGUUGGAUUUUGGAUCACUCUGCAUUAAAAAUAUGAAGUAGAUUUAACUCAUUGGAUUUUGGAUCAGUCUACAUCAAAAUAUUUUUAAUCCGCAUUAUAAAAAGAAUUUGAUCUGUAUUCUAUACUACUAGAAUUCAACCAAAAAAAAAUUCAUGAUAGGCUAUUCGCAUUAUAAAAGCAAAUAUUCCUCCUUUAUUUUCUUCACUUUGUUUUAGAGGCCCUCUCGUUAAUAGGAUUGUAGUAGUGUACGUCCUACUUCCUAACUAAUUGUGUCUUUUAAGUUUUAUCCAAUUGAACGCAUUAGUACAUGGUGCAAUGAGCCAAUGAUAAUUGUCUAGCAUAAAUUUACUCCACAUGAAAAGCCUAAAAUGCAUCUGCUUGGAUCCUUGAGUUUUUCAAAAAUUAAUUUUUUAAAUACUAUAAAAAAUUUUAAAAAAAUACUCUAAAAAGUAGUUUUAAUUUUUUUAAUAUUUAAAAAAUAUCCCAAAAUAUAUUCUAAAAACUCUACUACUCUUAAAUAUUCCAAAAUAUACUGUAAAAACUCUGCUAUAGUAAAAUUUUUCAAAAAUAUCCCCAAAAAUAGCUAAUCCAAAUGGAAGAAAUUCAAUAGUAAAUUGAUAGUUCUGACCCUAAAAUUGAUUUACAAUUUUAUCUUUUGACACUAGCUCAUCAAAUGAUCAAAUACCUGGGAUCCGAUGCGUCGGUGACAUGUUCUAGUUUUGGAAUGGAAUGAAUCUCAUCUUUAAAAAAAAAAAAAAAAAAAAAGAGUUACAACAACAACUGUCUCAAUAUCCGUAUGGAUUAGGUGUUUUGGAGUUUUUUUCAAAAAUUUUAUUGUAACGAUAUAUGUGAAAUGCUUUAUGUUAUUGAUUGUCCGUUUGGAUUAAGUAUUUUUAGAAAUAUAUUCUGGAGUAUUUUAAAAUUUAAAAUUUUAUUGACUUAUUUUUUGAAAAAUUUUGUGAACUUAUUGUUUCGUGGGGAAAUGCAGAGCCAAAGUGCCUACAGAUCGAUGAUUGUAAAACUUUUUCACCACAGAUCUGUAAAACGUGUAACUAGUUUGUAAUUAGGAUCAAUUAAGGCCGAAAAUAAUUUAAUGGCCCAUUAGUACCUAAUGGGCUCAGAAAGUACCGGCUCAACUUUUAUAUUUCCAAAUUUACCCUUUUCUAGAAUUAAAACAGCCUUAUGUUUUCUUAUUUUAUGUGUAUGGCUUCCAAUUAAAUAUUAAAUACAUAUAAUAUGCUACUUAUUAAGUAGAUAAAUCAAAACAAGUGAUUCAUAUUUCAACAAUUAUAAUUACUAAAUAACAUUUUUUUAAAAAAAAAAAAGAGCAUUACAUUUUUAUAUGUUUAAUUGAUUAACCAUAAUAAGCAACGUUCAUGAAGAAAUUUUACAUUGUUUCAUCCCUUCAUUUAUUAUCACUCCAUGUGAUACAAAUGAUUCUCGAACUCUUUGAUUGCUCAUGCUUCCAUUUCUGGCACAAUUUUCAUAUUUUGAUUUUACCAAAUACUAUUCCAAAUUGUUAUUCUUCAAUUUUCACUUUAUCUCACAAGCCUUAAUGAAUUAAUUGUUACAAUACACAUUUUUACCAAACCAUAUUACACAGUGUUUAAAAGAAAAAGAAACAAACAAACAUGGGUGCCCCAUUCUAGCGCCCUGUGCGGGACUGUGUCCAAUACUCCACCAACAAAGACCAUCGUGCAUGAUGUCUUGAUGGUUGUCAAUACUCAUUUGGUCCCUUGAUCGCCAGCAAAACUUUAAUUUUUGAUUGUCGAUAGAAAAUCAAGAAUUCAAACCUUGUUUCCCACCCGGCCACGAUUUUUAUGAUUUGCCAUUUUCAUUAGCUUCCUUCUAAACUACACAGGACCUCAAAUAUUUUGUAAGCUUGACAUGAUGUAAACUACAGUGGUAAAUCUUUAGCCGGCCAUCCUUCCACCACAAUUGACUAUGAAACUCUUCAUUACUAAUUGUUUUUCAUUUUUUUAAAACAAAAUUUUACUACCAUUCGUCCCAAAAUUAGUGAUCAAGUUUAUUAUUCUAUUAUACUUCAGCCAAUUGAAGUUGAUACAGGCGGAUAUUGAUGAAACUUGUCCAUAGAACCUCCAACUUCUUAAUUUGAUUCUUUCUUCUGGCUAGAGAAAGGAGAUCCAGUUUCUUGAUUGAUGAGAAAAAAGCAUAUUUCCUUGCAGAACUGACUAUGCAUUAUGCAAGAGAGAGAGAGACCCAAAAUUUUUUACCUUGACAAUCUAAAGAUGUUCAUUGCGCAAUUUACACUUGGGUUACACUAACUCUCAUCUUUGAGAGAAUACCACUUGCUCCAAAAAUUGCAAACAGCUUCUCGCACAGCAGCCACUAUCUUCUGGCAGCUGGUUUCUGACCUAUUCAAUUAUCUUUGCGUCGAAUACAGAAACAGAUAACACCAUUUUGCACUCUCAGCUCUGAGAUUGACACUGUUUGCUUCGAAAAUCUUCGGAUGAGAUUUUCAUUAGUUCCUCCAACCUCUUGGCACCAGGUCCGGGCCUAAACACCGAAUUAUCACCCUGAAUGUGCAUGGAUCAGCCUCACCUUCUGAGCUUCCAAUGCACCAUGCGCCGGGUGAGAAACGAUUCUUACGGCCAAGCAGCUCUUUAUCAAUUUUGUCUAGAACAGGAUCGUCUUUGUGGAACUUUCUGGCGAAUGGUGCACUGCUGUUUACCAUUUGUCUGAAAUCCUUAAUGGUCAAUGAUUUAGGGUGCUGCUUGGGAGGGGUGUCCCAGGCAAUGUAAUGGAGAUCAUGGCCGAUUGCAGUGCUGCGAAACUCUUCAGUAUUGCAAAUAACUGUAUGGAAAUAGCCUUCUGGAGAUGAGACAAAAUUGGCGUAGUACAUGAGGAUGGUCCGGGGAAAAUUAUCCCAACCCCAGAUGCAGUAUUCUACAAAUGACCUGGUUAAUAUCACCCAUGCUGAACCUGUAUAAGAGCAAGACACGGUUGAAAAUUUGCUGGCCAACGUAGGAUUAACAAAUUCAUGGCUUGCUUUAGAGGUCAUUCAGUUUUUUUUUUAGGUGGUCAUUAGGUAUCCAGUAGUAAUCACAGAAUAGGGACCCGUAAAAUUGAGACAAAGAUGCCAGAUUCUAGAUGCAUUCUCAUCUUAUGUAAUGAAGGGUAUACACCAUAUUUUACCACAAUGCAGUACUCAUUCUGCAAUUUUUGAUACCUGACUCAAGUCACAAAACAUUCAACAUUUUCAUGUUCAUCAUAUUUAGGGUUAGGCUGCUCAACUUAAAAAACGAAUGGAAUGUCAAAAGAAAAAAUGGUGUAUUAAUGACAAAAAAGACAACACCAGGAACAGGAACUGAACGAUGCUUUGACUCACCAGUAAACAGCUUAAAAGAUGUUGGUAGUGAUCGACGUUGAGUUGUUGUAGCAAUGUCAGAUUUCUUUGAUAAGUAAAGACCUGGAUCAAUGAUGAUAGGUUUUGCUCUUUGGUUCCUGCAAAUAUCAGUUGCAAUCAACAUUAGGUGUAAAUGCUUUCAUACUUCAGUUGAAAGAAGGCCUUUGCUAGAAAUUAAGAAUAUUUGUUUACUCACAAUUUCCAGCCACGAAGCUGUGUAUGUUCAAUGAAAUUGAGAUUUCGGGACAAAUUAGAGAACACAUGAAGCAUAUCUGCAAAAUCAGAGCCUAAAUAAGUCAUCACAUGGCAAAAAGCUACAAAAAUUAUGCAAAGACCCAAUUACUCGCUUUCCUCAACCCCCCCCCCCCAAAAAAAAACCUCCUUAAAUAAAUCAAGAAUUUUUCGUUGAACCUCUUUUUUUUGCCCUAUCUUCCAACCGUAAAAACUGUUCAGAAAAACAUUUCACAGAAGAUGAUGAUGCUAGUAAAUAUUCACCUACUGGUGUAAAUACUCAUAAGAAGGCCAUCAAAAUAGAUGAGAAUAUAGCUUCUGAAUAGAUACAGCAUGCAGAUAGUUCUAGGGCACCAGCCUGAGGAUACAGAAACCUCAUACUGAGCAUGUCAGUGUCGAGCAAGACUUGGGCCUCUUUUCUAAAGAAGCACAUACAAAAGACAGCAUUGAGGCAGAAAAUUUAGCAAGAAUCACAAAGGACAACAUGACUAUGGAUUGCCCUAAUCUUCCUCCAAAGCAUUGAGGAGUUAGGGAGAAAAGAUACAAGACAUCACUGUAUAAUAAUUUCAGUCACUAAAAAUGGGUGAGCUGAAGCAUUGGCAUCAAAGAGAUACUCGUUUCCGGGCAAAGGGAGUUAAACUGAACUUAAUUAUGCUCUUUCCAGAUGACUUUUAAACAAGCAUCACCUUUGUUUCAAUACUAUGAAAUCAUAAUCUAAUGACAAAGAGAUCAAGUUAUUCAGUCUCUGCUCCUUACUAUUACAUUUUUCUUUCAAUGUCUCCUGCAGGAUGGAACUAUAAUCAGAAAGUCUGGUCGCAUUCAACAGCCUGGACUUUAAGGUUUAGAUUUCUACAUGUAUUCCUGUAACACAUGUAUCUUGUUGCAUCACCUCUAACACAUGUAACACGUACACCAGAAAUCUAUGCUUUAUGGCAGAAUGAGUCAGCAGUCAUGAUGAAGAUUGUCAAAACUACUAAAAUGAGAAACUGAGGUAUCACAGGUAGCACAUUGUACAUGCAUCAUGACAUUCAAGAAUAUAUCAAAGAGGUAGCAUCUCAAACCUGAAUACUAUGAGGACAAAAACAAUUAGAAGAUUGAGAACAGGGGAGUAGAUGUAUAUCUACAUCACUGCUUGUCUGCCACACCUUCUACUACUGUGAUGAAUGGUAAUGUAGCAUAAUUAACAGGGAUUGGAAGACAAAAUGAAGGCUAGACCUCACAUGAGUUUCUUCAGUAGAUAUAGCCAGAUUGUAACACCAAGCUGGUGUUCUUGGUCUUAGGAUCUAAUAAGUUUAACAAGUGAAAUGAUUACUGACUUUAGAAAGACUUUACGGCGCUGUGAUCAUUUCUUGACAACUUAAAACUGGAAAGCCUAUACAGUGCUCUAAAUUCUAUUAAAUACAAAGCCAAUGCCAACAAAAGAAGCUUCAUGGAAGAAUGCUAUCAUGCAUACAGAUAGAGCUUAGCGUACCUAUAUAAUUUACAAAUAAUGAACAUGUAUGUUAAUCCAACAACCAAGUGGACGAAGACAUGAUGCAGCAAGCCAAAGUGCUUUACCAACUGUAUGGUAGAAAAUCACUUCCGCAAACUUAACAGAUGAAAAGUAAAUAACUACUAACAUAUAUAGAUAGAACAUGUCGAGUAGAAUUGAUAGACGGAGAAAGUAUGUACUAACCAUCUUGAGUCACUAGAGGAUAAUCUGAAGCACUCAGAUUUAUAAACCAGUCCCAGUUCUUACUCUCCUUCAAUAAAAUUGCAAUAGCCUGAAGGGUAGAGGCAAUCAUUGUAGGUCCCUUAUAUGUCACCAAAUUCGAUUGUGCCAUAACACGGACAUUAUCAACUUCUUGGAAGGUAGGAUCAUUCUUCACUGAAAUCGUCAAAUCCAACCUCUCUCGAGGUGGAGCUUCAAGAUCCAUAUGCAGAAUAUACUGAUUUCUGGGAUGAUAGACAGCAUCCAAUGUCCUCAACAUCCUUUCACUAUCACCCUUUGUACCUGAUAUAAGAUAGGCAAAUCUUGGUGGCUCUAGGUUGUGAUCCCCAUUUGAUCCAAGUGACCUUCUUAAAUCAUAUUCUAUGAAAAAAUCACUGGAAUCCUCUUCUUUAGCAAAUGAGAUGAUAUCAACUUGCAACUGAUCCACAGCAUAAGAUGACGAAUAGAAGCCAAAUAUUGUCACCGUGAACAAGGUAACGGACACAAGCAAACUCACAAAGAAUGGAAUUUUCCACCUCCUGUCACUAAAAUCCUCCCUGAAUGUGAACUAGCAUUUUUUCUCAUAUUCGGGUAUUGCUCUUCUUUACAAAAAUUCAAAAACAAGUUUUAUAUAUAUAUAUAUAUAUAUAUAUAUAUAUAUAUAAUUAUCCUCCAACACAGAGGCCCAACUUUUCCAAUCUUAUCACAGCCAAGAAAUGUAAAGAAUCAAACCAUCGGCUUCAUCUCCUCAAAAUGAGCUUAGCAAUGAAACACAGCUUUCUCUUAUACUAAACUUAAAGCACAAAACACAGGCCUAAUGGUCAGCAUACAUAUUCACAAAAAUCAUGUCUCUCGAAUUGGGAUGUUCCAAAAGGGAGGCAAAAUGGAUUGAUCAACUAAAGUAUCCCAAAAUUAAAAAACGGAUAAAGAUAGACAACAAGAAGAAGAAGCUAUUAGUAGAUUGAUUAAUAUACAAGUAUAUAGAGUAGGUACCAAAUGAACAAUACAGAAAUGACCAAAUUUCAAACCUAUCAGCUCAAAUUUCCAAUAAGCAAUGAAUUAAAAACCCCCACCUCACAAUCUUCCUCCCGAUCAAAUCCACUUCAAAAUACACAAGAAAAAGAAAAAUAGCAGGUAUUUGGGAUGAUUAGAAUUGAAGGGGUUUAUAUUGCUUCAAGUGGAACAACUAAUACCUUCAGCUUUCUGGGUAGUACCCUGCUUGGAGAAAGACAGAGGGUGCAAAAAGAAAAGCUGAAUCCAGAAGGGAUUUAUCAAAGAUUCAAUUUUUAAGCAAAGAACAUGCCAGGAAAAAUCAAAAAGAAACAAAAUAUAGAGAAAUGCUAAAUCAGGAACCUUAAAGUAGGAACCUUUUUCAUUGGUACAGUGUGGAGCACACAAAAACCAUUUAACUUCUUAACAGAAUUGUACAAAAGUAAGCUGUGUUAAUAGAUUGGAGAAAAGGGUAGACAGCUUACAAUGGAAAAGAGCAGCAGAGGAAGAGAGCUAACAAGUUAAAAGUGAAGACUGUUGCUGCAAGAUUCAGGCAUGAAAGAGUGAGAAAAGGGGUUGAGAAGCUGAGAAGGAGAGAGCCAAAAAUAGAGAGAGGGGACCGUACAGGUUGCUUAAAUUGCGGGCAAUAACACCAAGUAAUGAGGCUUGAUUACAGUUUGUAUAAAUAAUGGGAUUCUAUAAGUUGAAUCUAAUGUGAUAAGAUAGUGGAAUUAUAGUGGAUUAAUAACGGGGUCUUUGGAUAAAAUAUUUGAAUGAGAAAAGAACUGAUUAAUUGAUUAUUGGGAAAACUUUGCUGACACGGAGAUGCAAAUGCCGGUUUUUGGAACUUUCUUUUUCUUCUCUGUUUUCUCGGCUGUUUGAUUUUUAAGUUUGAAUUCUGUUUCCAUUUUUUUUUUUUGGGUACAUUUUUGGACUUAAGGGAAUGAGUUUUAUUUAUCAAAUUAAAAGUUCAAUCAAAAGGAUGCUGCCAUGCUGAGCUUUGAAUUGUAAUAAAAUUUAAUAAGAUGUUUUGUUACGUGUCAUGACUUUGAGAUACAUUUACACAAAUGGCAAAUACUUGGGUAGAUUGUAAUUUGUAAAUCAUAUGGUUCAAAUUCUACUUAUGCGACAAAAUUUAGACGAUAUAAUCUCCAUAAAUAAAGUCUAUCCAAACUUUUGCCUAUACAAAUAUACCACUUUGAUCUAGACUCUAGGCAUCUCACUUAAGAAGUGCUGAAUUUGGAGGAGCACUACCUAUUAGGGGUUGGCGUAUUCAUCAUUUGGCUGACUCGACCCACACUUUGUGGGUCAAUUAUUUUCAGACCCUUAUCCGCUCCGCAUAUCUGCACGUACCCAAUUAUAGGGUAUCCGUGGAUAGGGAUGGCAAUGGGAGCGGGUGCCCGCGGGGGCUCAUGGGGCGGGGGUGGGGCCCCGGGGAGGGAAUUUUUUCCCCCGCUUAGAAACGGGGCGGUACUCCCCCCCCGCCACCCGCAAAAAUAUAUAUAUAUAUAUAUAUAUAUAUAUAUAAAUGACUAUAUAUUAUAUGUAAGUUAAUUAUUAUAAACUUAUGAUAAUGAUAUUAUUAGUUAGAUGUAUUAUAUAAUGUAUAUUAGUUUAUGUAAUAUAAUUGAUAUUAUCAAUUAUAUGAAUAAUUAUACAUGUCUACUAAUAGAAUUUAUUAAUUAGUUAUACUAAAUUUACUAAUACAUUUAUACUAAAUUUCUAAUUACACAUAAUAGAAUAACACUUUUUUCUAAAAAAAAAGCACAAACACAAUGAUGAAUUAGUGAUUGCAUUUGUACUAAAAGUGAAAAUUUGACUAUUUUAGUUAUAUUUAUUUCAUCAUAUUGGAUUGUAUUCAAAUAACUUCUGUUUGAUUGUUUUUAUGAGUUUCAAUUGUAAAAUUACAAUGAAUAAUAAUUUGGUGAUGUAUUGAUAUUUUAGUACUUGAUUAUUUAUUAAAAUUUAAUUAUAAUAAAAUUUUAUUAACCCCGCGGGGGAAGCGGGGCAAGGCGGGGCGGGGCGGGGGAGCGGGAGGCGGGGACGGGGGAACUAAUAGGCAACGGGGCGGGGGACGGGGGAGGGGUCCCCGCCCCCACCGCGCCCCGUUGCCAUCCCUAUCCGUGGAGAUAGGGUCGGGUUAGUUGGUACCCGCCGCGUCUCAUUUAUCAUUUAAUUUUUUAAAAAAAUAAUUUAUAUCAAUUUAAUUUUAUAUUUCACACAUUUAUGUAAAAUUUAAUAAAUUUUUUUUCCCUAAAAAAAAAGUUUCCCACCAAGAAACAAACAUGUGAAGAGAAUAUAAGAUAAAGGAAAAAAAUUAAAAGAAUUCAAAAUCAAGAAAAGUUUGAAAUAAGUAGCACAAUUUUUAAUAUAUAUGUUCCACAUUAAUUAAACUUUUUUCAAUAAAAUAUAAGAUCAUAGCCUCUACAAAUAAAUCUUGUAAAUAAACUAUAAUCUCUCAUAUUUGUAAUGCAAUUUGUUCAAUAAAAUUACUUAUUUACUUCUAACUUAUUAUUUUAUAGUGUGUAUAUAAAAAUAAAAAUAAAAAUAAAAAAUAUAUAUAUACGGGGUGGAUCGAGUACCCACGGAUUUUUAAUUAUGUGACCCUAACCCUCCCCGCAUCUUAGCCGGUACCCGACCCUCUUUUGACAUGAUCAAAUAAUAAAAAUCAAAUAUCUUAAUUUUCGGAUCGAAUAUGACGGAUUUUCGGGUUAGCGGAUAAUUUUGCCCACCCCUACUACCUAUUGUUGAUUAAGACUACCAGCAAAAUUUAAAUGACGUGCAUUGGUCAAUCAACAUUUAAGAUGCGAGCAUAGAUAGGUUCACUAGAGUGAAGAUAUUUCAUUGUUUAGGGCUAUAUCUAAGUUCAAAUCUUAUCACUUUUUCCCACAUGAAAAUAUAAGAGAAAUGACUAGAGUAGUGACAUCACAAACACGUAAUUUUAAAAAGAGUUUUUCUAACAAAUGUCUAUUAAUUCUAUUUGACUUAUCAUGCAUAUAUAUGUAUGUAUAUAUGUAUGCGUGUGUAUAUAUAUAUAUGCAUUAACAAAUAUUAUCCAUCUUUACAUUUAUACACUUUUUUUAAACUAAUUCUAUAUUUUUUCAAAAACCUAACACAUAAAGUAUAUUUUAACUAAUACUUAAUGGGCAAUCGUUACACAAACCUUUUUAAAAAUUACAUACAGAUCUAAAACUUUACGUACUCAUCUAUGAUUUUGAAAGAUUAGCGUUAGUGUCUUAAAGAAAUGUUCAAAAUUGGCGAGGAAGGAAUACUUUGACUUUUUAAAAGUUAGGGAUAAAGCAAUAGACUACUAGUCUACUAAUAGAUUGAGAAAAUUGGUGUUUACCAACAGUUGGUAAUCUUGAAAAUUACACUCUAUAAUCUUUCUAUUUUCCUUAUAGAAAAUAAGGUAGAAAAUGAGGUACAAGCUAAUUCUAGAUUGGCUUGAGAUUAUAUAUAUAGAGAGAGACGGCCCCUUGAACUUAUACCAAGAUGUUUAACCCAUCUGUCCUUUUUUUUUUUUUUUUCGAGACGACAGUUUCUUACACUAUUGGGAGGGGGAAGGUCUGAAAAGGUCAUGGGAUAAUUUGGAGGGGAUUGAACCAUCACCGGAUCAGACAUGUGCACUACGCACCCGUCUGAAUUUUUAAGCAAGAUCACAUUUAAUUGUGACAAAUUGGUGGGAAUCUACCAAGUUUUAAUGCAUUAGUGGUGGUCAUCAAUCCAAAGACUAGUGAUUGUUUUACCCAUCUGUCAUUUACAACUUUACAUAUACUGAACAACAUUUGCGGUAACUUCCAAAAUUUGGCAGCAGAGGACAAAUACAAGACAACCUGAUGAAGAAUUCUUAUCUAAGAAAAGGUUCAAAAAACAUGAUGCCCAAUUUUUAUCGGUAUUCAUUAUUUAGGAAUACAAGGGAUUUCAAUUUUCAACAGGUAAUAUGUCGACAUUCUUGCAAACGUGUUUACUUUUCUCUACUAAAACCGGCCCUCAGAAUCUUUUAUUUAAUACCUAAAAGUGGAAAUUUGUGCAGUAGUUUCUUCAUAUUUCCGAUACACUUGCUUGAGAGAGCUCGAAGAGUGAGAGUAAAACAAAGCCAAAAAACUAGCUUUGCAAGAAAAAGAUUUACUAAAAUGGAGCUCGAAGACUGUGUAUUGCAUGAGAAAGAUUAACCAUUACUGUAACUAGAUAACUCUUUUUUUUCCUAAGAAUUUACAUUUUAUUUACUUUUUCCGGCGAGAAAUACAUUCUUUUGUGUUAAUAAAAUUUUAAGAUGGCAUAACAUCAUUUUGACCCAAAAAAAUAGAGUACCAUUGUUUGUUUCUUAGUUCUUUGUUGGGCUUUUUACCUUUUCUUUUUAGUUUUUUUUAGUAGGAUUGUAAAUCCAAAAUUUUUUACUUACAAUCUCUUCCAGUUCACCACCCGACCCAAUCCCUCUCUCGCUUUCCUUUUAGGUUGUCAGUACCCAUUAGAUGUGUAUAUAUCUAUUGUAUGAGGCACGUAUAUGAAGAAUAUUUCCUCAUUUUAAAUUAAGAUAAUUUUGUAGCUUUUGUAGAUGUUUUAUUUGAACUCUAACAAGUUCAAACAAAACGCUAUCAUGGAACCAAAAAAAAAAACGGUGGUUAACUCAAGAUUCUUACAUCAUAUGCAGAAUGUUUUGGUUUAAUAAAUAAGAGAGUAUUUCCUAGUGAUUUAUUCUAUCCUAUGCAAACAGGAACCUGAAUGUUAUUAAGUACUUAUUUACCGUGGUAAUUCUCGUGUAAUUAUUACCAUCUGCAUAUUUGAAGUGUGAUGGCAACUCAAUCCCUCCUAGUCAUUUUGAAAAUUUUGGUAGGUGAGAUUAUGGUUUUACACACCUCAUUGUAGUGUCGAAUUCGGUAAUACAAAAAAUUAAUUACUAUUAGUUAAUAAAAUUGUGUCCAAUUGUUGUAGUUAUUACAGAAUUUGAUCUAUGGUCACAUGAAUUGUCGUUAUUUCCUUUUUUUCAAAAAAAAAAAAUCAGUGUAAAGAAACAAAAUUGGAAUGUUCAACAAGCUAAUAACCAAAUCAAGUAAGAAAUGUGAUAAAGGCACCUAAUUGCAAACAGAUGAUAGUGACUGCAGACACAACGUCUGAUUUUCUUCCAACAAUAAACAAUUAAAAUGAAUAAAGAAAUGGAUUUCUGUACCCAAAUGACAGUGAAAGAAUAAAAAAACUUAAAGAUUAUGUUGAAAGACAUACAAACCUUGACUCUUAAUCAACUUUGCAACCAUGGUUAACUCACAAACCUUGGUGUUAAAGUUCAAGUUUCUUGAAUUCAAACAUUGUACUAAUAUACUUAUUUUGUGGUGAUCUUGUUAGUGAUGGUAAUCCUUGAAAAUUUUUUUGUUUUUUGGCUCUAUUAAUGUUUUCUAAAACAUGGCUACUCUUAAUCAAUAAUGGUCCUCAUUUAGAAAUUUAUUUACCCCAUUUAUUAUUCAAAAAUAUGCUCUUAAUAUAUCCUAAAUUAGUAAAAUAAACCAAAACCUCCACUGUCCUUGAGAUAAAAUAAGUAAAAUAAAUUAUCAUGUUGGUAACUUGAAAUAAGAACAUAAAGAUGGCAUUAGGAACAAAUCUGUAUUCUGCAUUCUUUUUCCUUCUUUUGUAUCUUUAUGAUGCAAAGUGUUGAGUUUGCAACUCACAUUUGGCAAUGGAACGAAAACAAAAAAAGGGCUUCAUUGAUUAGCAAUGUACCAAGAGAAGACGAAAAAGAAUUGAAUUAUUAAAUAGGAAGCAAACAAAAUUGCAUUAGCCUUAGAAAUCAAAACUCUUGAGAUGUUCAUCCCGCAUUCAUUGACAUAUGUGACGUUGAUUUUUCUUUUGAAAUUGGUUUCUUUUGUUAUUCAACGUCUAUCUUUUGUAAUAUUUUAUGUUAUUUGCAAAAAUUAAAUAGUUGAUGCUAGUAAUUAAUCUUUUAUACAAGCACAUAGUCCUUAUUCAUACAUGAUAAGCACAUAAAUAAUAAAUAAGACUAAAUAAGGAAACAUUAAGUAGUUGUUUUUAGAUUUUGAUAAACCAUCUAGGGACAUAUAUAGAAGUGGAAUAGAUAAAUUGUUCAAUUUGUUUAAGGGAAAAGUUAAUCACACUUCACUUUUUGUUAACCGAUAUUCUCAUAAUUUGUUUUAUUAUAUGGUCUAAUAAAUAAAAAUUUUAUAAUAAAAAUGAUAGUGAAGUACGCUUUACAAAAAGUGGAGCGCGAUUAACAUUUUUCUUUGUUUGAAUAUACAUACUAAUGACAGAUAUCAUCAGCAAAAUAGCUUUACUCUUUUUUGAAGGAUAUUUUCUGUCUCAAAUUUUUGCAUUAGUUGGUACUUUUUUUUUUAUGGGUGCAUUAGUUGGUACUUGGUAAUCGCUUGUUAGCUUAAUUUUUAUUUAAUUUUUGGUAAACCGACAUUUUGUUUAUGAACCAUGAUUCAUCAUUCAUAAAUGAGGAGAAUAAAACGGGCAAGCACUUGAGCUAGCCCAACCUUUUGAAAUCUGUUUGGGUUGGGUUUGUUCUGCCAUUUAGGCCCAGGUGACAUGUUGGUUGGAAAGGAUUCCCAAUUAAAUCUGUCCAGAUCCGACACAGACUAUCAGUGUUGGUCUAUUAUUUAGGAGUGGCGUGGGUGAGGAGAGAUUAAAAGCCUUCAUUUAGUGGGCAAAUUAAUGACAUGACUAUGUCAAUGGGGUCGGAUUAGUCGGAACUUGACUUGUUCGACCCAAGAAAAAGUUCGAUAGGCCUAACUUUUAUUGAGUUGGGCUUAACUUGGACCUGAAUAUUAGACCCAAAUUAGAUAUGAGAUAAACUUGGGCCUUAUUGGGCUCAAAUUUGAUAUAGGUCCAGCCCUUUAAUUAGCAUAUAUAUAUAUAUAAUAUAUUCAUAUAUUGAUAUAUUUAUAUAUAAUAUUGAUAUUUUAUAUUUAUAAGUUAUGUGUCAAAAUAUAUUAAUAUAUAUAAGAAAUAUUAAAUAAACCAAACUAUGUCAAAAGAUUCUGAAGGACAAAUCUUAGUACAAGUAAAUUAAGAACAUUUGAACAUAUAUUGACUACUGAUUAUGUUUUAUUACUAUUUUCCAUGUACUUUGAACUAAUUGAAUGUAUUAUUUAUGGAAAUUUUUUGAUUUAUAUAUUUUUUAAUGAAUUAUUAUUGGUUCAUGUAUCGUUUUAAUGUUAUGGCUAUGUGGACGUUAAAUUAACUUUACAACUUAAUAAUUAUAGUAAUUAUAUUAAGAAAAUUAAGGAGCAAUAAGUGAACUUGAACUAAAUCCGAAUUAGACUCGCAACCUGAAUAUUUUGUGAGCCAAAUAUAAAUUUUAUAUUUAUUAACUCGAAAUUCAUAGUUCGAAACUCGAAAAUAGUAUUACCUACAUGAGUCGAGUCAAGUUGAGUUUGUUAAAACUCGACUUAGAUGGCUCAAUUGACAGGUUUACAUGACUGUAACAUUUGCGGUUCAUUUCUUUACGCUUAAGAGUGCCUCUCCGCUGUUUCCUUGUAAAGUUUGGAGUUUUUCUUGAACACCAAAAAAUAAAAUAAAAUAAAAUAAAACAAGAUCAAUAAAUGCAUUUUCUUAGUAAAGUUCUCAAAUUUUGCCCAAAAAAAGGUUCUCAAAUGUCAGCAAGUAUCAUCCUAAGAGGAGCUAUAGCCUCGGUAAAUUGUAUAAUCUUGUAAUUCAGGGGGAAAACGUGAAUGCAAAUGAAUUGAUUUACUUUUGUUUUUUUAUACAGGAGAAAUUUUUUUCACAAAUAUUAAGAUUUAUGUUUUUAACUCGAAUUGCAUUAUGAAUAGUUCAUGUCUUGCUGUAUUUAUGAAAAGCAAAAGAAAAUUGAAGUAGUGUACUUAUUGGUUAAUAUUGCUUACUGCCUAUAUGAUCAUAUGUCACUAAAUUUUAUGAAAAAACGUGUUUACAUCCGUGAUUGGUUUAGUUUGCAACACUAGAAUGUAAUACACUCAAACUGUCACGUUUACAGAGGAAUUGUAGUAAAAAUAGUUGUCAGUACAACCGUUUUCAAAUAAUUGUAAACAUUUUUCAUUUACAUAUUUUUCAAUCACCUUUUUACUUCGUAUAUAUCAAAUCGUUACAAAAUUUUUUUACAAAAAAUCUAAAAAAAUGUAAUCCAAACAAUUGUCACAAUAACUUGUGUAAUUUUAGAAUGCUAUUCAUUUUAAAAGGCAGUACAUGUAAGUUUUUUUUUAACCAUUAACAGUAAAAGCACACACACACCCUCUAAUUAGAACGAUGCAGAAGACAUCAAUAAAAUCGGCCCGAAAGCAAUUUAAGAGAAAUCCACAAAGAGAUCGGAUCCAGCCAAUUGGUGACAAAAUCAUUUUCUUGUGAAUCUUAAAUUCAGAGUAACUACCUACGAUCUUCAAAGAGCCCGAAAGCACAGUACAUGUAAGUGACCUCAAAAUUAUGGGGUAUGCUUUGCAGUUUUGCUUUGUUGACUAAAUCUUGAUUUUUAGUAGCUAAGCAGCUGUUAUUGUCGCUGGUCAAUAAUUGAGAGGGUGGAAUAAGGAACCGUAGAACAUGCCUUAAUAAUUCUUAUUGGGAUUAAACAAGUGAUUUGAAAAAUUCACUGACAUAAUUUGCAGAUAAUUACAGUUGACUUUUUAGUUGUAGGUUGGUAGCCGUUAGGCUUUAUAGGACGGGGAAAAACUGAAAAGCAUCGAAACGACGGCCAACAUGAUAGUCUACCUAAGGGCUAUGUUGAAUCUUGACCGUACAAAAGUGUGAUCAGAUUUCUGAUUGCUAGUUAGUUGCUGACAAGUGGAGGUAUCUUGUGAAUUGUGAAAACAAAAUUAAAGUGACACCUACUUUCUAGGCUCUUUGGACUGGGGGAGAUUCCAGGGCGAAAAAGGUGUGUUUGAACAGGAGUUUUGGGUGAAUAACCCCAGAAAGGACUAAAUCACUCUUUGACCUGCAAGUCAUGCUUCGAACUCCACCUCCAGUAGAAAAAAUUCAAGUGAUAUGCUAGAGCGCCAUUUUGAUCUAUCUAUGUAUCUGCUAGUACUUUACACAUGUUUUAUUUGAAAUAUUAUUCAAAUUAAUUAUUAUAAUGUUUUGUUAUAAUUUAAUAUAUAUGAGACAAAAUAUAAUUAAAAAAAAUGUGUAUUAAAAAUAUUUUUGUGAUGUAAGUAAAUAGUUUUUUUUUUAACAAAUCAUUCCUAUCCAAACACACCCAAACCUGUUAAGAGCGUCUCAUUUGGUUUAUUUUUGAGAAAAGUGUAAUUAAUUUAAAAAAGAGUGGGGGUGGGAAUUAGGGCUGCAAAUGAGUCAAGUCGAGUAGAGUUUUGUACUUAUCAAAUCGAGCUUGACUUAAUAACAGGUAGACUCGAGUUCGAGGAGCCAAGAAAAUUGAGUUCGAACUCGACUCGACCAAGAAAAAGCCAGCUAUGAGCUCGAGUUGACAAAGCUUGCGAGCUGUAGCUCGAUUUUUGGUUUGUCAGCUCGUAACAUAGUUUGAAUUUCUGACUUGUGAGUAGCUCAUUAACUCGAGUUUCUGAAAAUUAAUCUAAUAAAAACAACAAAUAAUUAUUUUUCUUAAUAAAUAAUAAAAUAUUAAGAAUAUUUAUAUGUAAUUUUACUAUUAAAAUAAAAAAUUAAUAUAUAUAUAUAUAUAUACUCGACCUUGCAAGUCGGUUCGCAAGCUAAUGAACUUAAUAUUUUGAGUUCGAGUUCGAUUUGGCCAACUCGAGCUCGAUUCGAGUUCAAUAUUGAUCGAACUCGAAUUGGUUCGUGAACGAUUCGGUUCAUUUGCAACUCUAAUAGGAACGAAUGAAUUGGAUGAUAAAGAAAAAGAGACUAUAAGUAAGAUAUUUCAAAUUCGAAACCUACUACUUAAAAGAAAAAAUUGACAAAGAAUGUGAAUACAGGAUACAAUAAUUAUAAUGGUGUGUAUUUACAUGAUAAAUUAAGCAUAAAUUAAAUGACACGUAACUACAAACCUUGUAGAAUAUGUAGGAAACCAGAAUACUAAUGAUUAGUCAUAUCAUGCUAGGAAAAAAGUACUAAAAGAUUAGACUGAUUAGAGCUAACUUGAGCCAAUUGAACGUAAAGCCAACUCCUGUGGGGUUUUCUAUCCCACAUCGGUAUUUGAGGGUUGGGGUUUAAGUUUAUAAGUCCCUCACAGGACUCCACAAGUUACCGGCUUUUGAAGUUAUUGUGGGGAGUUAGAUUUAUAUGCCAAAAAUUCUUACUUUCGUAAGAAAAUGUCAGAAAGAAAACUCAUUCUCAGGAGCUUGGGGGUCUUUACUUCUUAGCAGGGGGCACCCUGUGGGGUUUUCUAUCCCACAUCGGUAUUGAGGGGGUUGGGGUUUAGGUUUAUAAGUCUCUCACAGAACUCCACAAGUUAUCGGCUUUUGGAGUUACUGUGGAGAGUUAGAUUUAUUUGCCAAAAAAAGCCAACUAUUUAACAGGAGAACGUACUACUUUAUACCAAUGUUUAUCAUUCUUCAUUUACAGUUAUGUCAAUCUUUUCCCUUUUCUGAAAUCAAAGAAACUCCUGCGUUCUACUAGACUACUACUUGUGCUGUAACUGUAAAUUCUUAAAUAGGAAGCGUGGUCUUCACCAUAAGGUCCUGGGUAGGUCAGUAAAGAAACUUCAAGCCCUUUGCAUAGGUGACCGUUUUGGUCUUCAUGAAAAUACUACUGUUUUACAAAAAUUAUUCAAAACAUACUUUUAAAGGACAUGGUCAAAGAAAUAGAGCCAUCUGUAUCCCUGGUUAAAUAAUGUCGUACGUGGUAGGAAAAUGCCAAAUUGGACAAAGAUUUCCAGCCCAUUUCUUUUAGCCAUAAUCAACAUUUAGCUUUGUUUCUUCUGUUCAUAGUCAUGCAGCAGACCAAGUAGACCACUAGUUGUCUUAAUUUAUUCUUGAUGAAGUCCACACCUACUUCCUUUUUCCCAUGUUUAACGUCUACAAUCCUGAAAACAGUAGAAAAGAUGGUGAAAUACUGUAAAUUGUGAUCAAUGUUGUGCUAAAGGAGCUUGUUUGAGUUAAAAAUAAAAAAAUAAAAAAAAAAGACAGGUUGUUUGAGUUCACGGGCAUUAGGAUCUCAAUAUUGGCGGACUAGGGUCUUUGUGACAAAUACAGUUCGAAAGAAUUACUCUCUCCGUCCUAUUAUUAAUGUUAUGUUUUCACUUGAUGUUCCAAAUAAGAGUUACCAUUUUAAAAUUAACACAUUACUUUUCAAUCUUAUUAUUUAAAAAAGUAACUUUUUAAAAUUUCAAUUCACAUCUAACUAGAGAAUAUUUUGAAUUCAAAGGAUACAUAUGUAAAUUCACCACUACCAUCUCAUCUGGAUAUAAUGAUUGCUGUGUUUCUAUAAAAAGUUGAAUCUCCAAAAAAUGACUCUAAUAUUAGGACGGAGGAAAUAUACCUUAGUUUCCUCAAAAAUUUUGGGGUGGCUUGCUUCUAUGAGGAUAAGUUUACAAGUUGUCUAUGAAAAAAAAUUCUAAAAUCUCUCAGUGGUCAGGUAACUAACUGAUCACCAGUUGGGAUUGUAGAUUAUUGUCAGACCAAAGUAACCAAUGACCAGUGAACAGCUUUUAGAAUCUUCUCCACCGGGACGGGACGCUAUCAGGUUUAGAAUUCGAAUUUUAUGCCUGAUAAUUAGAGGUGGGAGACGUGAAAGGGUAAAAAAAAAAAAGUAAUCAAUGACCAUGAUCGCUAUGAACGGUUUAGAGGGCAAAAAAUCUGGCGAAAAUCUGAGAUUUUGGACAUAAUCAAUAGUCAUUCUCAAACCUCAAAGAAACUGGAUGCACAUACAUAUUUAAUUACUUCUUAAUUGUCCUAAGAAAUGACCAUUGAUGUAGCCACCAUUUCACUUUAAUAAUAUCUGCAUGGAUGAUUUUUCUCUAAACCUUCUAUUAAUUCCUCGACUAUAUAUUUUAAUCAAUUUACUAACUUCUUUUCUUACAAUUCACAUGUAUAUAAAAGUCCUGUAUUGACAAUUCACAAGUAAAUAUAUGAGUUAAGUCCUUGUUCUGCAUUGACAAUUCACAACUAAAUAUAAGUUCUUCUCAAAUUAACCAUCCAUCUGGGCUGAAGCAAACUUAUAGGAUUCCUCGUGGAAAUUUUUAACUGCCACUUGUCAGGUUAAUUUAUAUUAGUGAACAUUUUUAACUCCAUAACCAUACGUGGAUUAAUCAAAUCAACGUUGUAAUAUAAUAAUUUAGAAAGGAAAGAAGAAACGUCAUGCUAUAGGUAAUAUCAAUAGUCUUUUUUUUUGGGUGUCUUCUCCCAAAUGUUACCACGACAAAUCAGAGCUAAUCCAAAUUUGGAAAGCCAGAUACUUACUUAGCAAAUAUAUUAUAGGCAAUUAGGCAUUACUAAUAAUCUAUGAUAAAUGGCAAAUUUUCUAGACCAAAACUUGAGGUUUAUUCGGCUGUUUUAGGUGUGAGUUGGUAAGGAAAGUGAACUAGACAUUUGAGAUGUCAUGUUCUAACUUCAAAGCUCCAUCCCAUUCUAUCCAAGACAUAUAACGCUUGAAGCAUCUCGAGCACCGUCCUUGAUUUUUUCAACUACAUUAAUCUGCUGCCAGACACAAGAUUCGAAUCUUGAAUCUAAUAGCAAGAAAGAUUCUAAUAACCUUUCUCUGGCUAUUAGACUGAACAUUAAUCCAUUUAUUUAAAACAACUGAAAUUAGUUUUAUUUUUCAAGAUAAAUGUCAAAUUUUGUUUAAUUAUUAUCGUCGAAUGAAUUAGGCAUUAUAUUCAUCUUUUCUUAAUCCAUCACGAGUUUUAGAUUAGUCCUUAUCGAAAGAUGCAAAGAGAGAAAAAUGAUUUGUGAGAUUGGAAGGAAAUAUUGUAAUACUCUAACCCACUAUUUAUUACAUAAGCUUGAACAAGUUGAGUGACUAGAGUAGUAUUACAUCAAGUUUUUCUUUCUCCCUUCCAUGGUUGAAAAGAACCAAAUAAUAAUGAUGGAAGAGUUUUAACUUUAAAGGUUAAUCUGAGGCAAACGUUGCUUGAAGGCUGAAGCUGCUACUUUUGGCACUUCAAAAAAAAUAUCGAAUGACAGAAACCUGUUAAAAGAUAAAAAGCUGAACAAGGGGAACAUGCAAGCUGCCCUGCCGACAAAGUCGAGUAAGCAGCAGAACACGUACUUCGCUUUAUAUGUUCCUCCUACCUGUCUUGGUUCAAUCAUAUUCUUAAAUGAUAAAAAAGUAGAAGCAGCAGGUGUCUGUGAAGAGACACGCGUUUGAAUCCUGUGACAGUUUAAUCUUCUCCGCAUUCACUAUGAUUUUGUUGGAUUCACUUUCUCUCCUUAGUGUAGAGUAGGAGUAGACGUAGAAUACAAAUUAUUAUAUCCAAAAAACAAAAAUGUAGAAGUAGUAGGGAAUUUUUUUUUUAAAAUAAAUGCAAUCUCGAUUGAGUAAAGGUUCUUUAAGUGCUCAAGCGAUGGCUUGUACCGCGAACAAUAUGGUAUUACUACUCUAAUGAACAUAGUUUAAAAAUUUUGUAUUUUUUUUUGAAGGAACCAAAAUUAGUCUUCAAUUAUUUAAAGAAAAUUUCCAUUUUUUGUUACAAAUGGUAAAAACUAUAGCACCCUACUCUAAAGGGGUGGAAGAAAUCUAAAUGGAUUAUGUAAGAUAUUGAAGAAAAAGACCUAUCUAAAUUAGAAUAAUGCAGUGAUGCACCCUCCAGAUUAUUUUAGCGGUGGAGUGAGAAGUUUGAACUCCUAACAAACAUAAUUCAUUUAUGAUGUAAGUUGCUAAAAUUUUUUGAACUUUCAUUAAGGGCGUGGAUUCAUUCCACAAGCCCAACAAGUUUAUACUUGUUCAGCUUUGUUAGUUUUUUGAGAUAAUUUCAAAAACCUCUACUUAGAUUUUUGAUAGUAUCAUUUAACGCUCUCAAACUUUAAAAAAAAAUAUCGCUUGUCUCCUCUAGUUUAAACUUUUUAUAACAUUUGUAACUAUUUUGAAAUAUAAAAUUGAAAAAAAAACUCAUUAUGGGAAAGAAAAUAUAAUCUCACUCCAAAUUUGUCCUUUUCUUGUGGUCUCUUAAUUGUCAUAAUAUGUCACUUUCAUUUUCUUUGUAAGCUUGGUCGAUAUGAUUUUUUAAUGAAAAUUUAAAAGUUGAUAAUGGGGUUGAGAGGCACUUUUAAUAUAUUUUUUUUAUCAUUUGUUUGGAUAAGAAAUACUAAAAUUUUUGAAAUUAUAAAUACUUUACAUUGCUUAUAAAAAUAACUUGAAAUAUGUUACAAUAAUGAAAAUAAAUUUUGCACCAACUUGAAAAUAUCAUAAACAAAUUUGUAUAUGGUUUUCUGCAUUUUAUAUUUUUCUAGUUUUGAAGUCAUCGAUUUGGACAAAAAAAAAUUAAAAAAUAUAAAUGAUUUAUAAAAUCCCUUAAAUUAGCUCAAAACAUUUUAAAGUAAUGAAAAUAAUGCUUUUGUAAUUUGCAAAAACCUCAAUUAACCUUCAAGCAUAAACUAUUUUGUAUUUUAAAAAAUACUUGCUGCUAUAUUUUAUCCCUUCAGAUUUAAACCUCCAUGCUCUUUGUUUUUGGUUUCAAAUUAUUAUCAAUAUACUCAGGUUUUGUACCAAAAAGUAAGACAAUAAAAUGAUAAAAUUGGAAUGAGAUUAUAUUCUCUCUUCUAAAAUGAGUUUUUUAAUAUUAUAUUUUGAAAUGGGUUGAGAAUGUUACAAAAAGUUUAAAGUAGGGAUAGCGGGUCGUAUUUUUCAAAGUUUGGAAGUACCAAAUAAUACUAUAUUAGACAUCUUAAAGGAGGUUUUUGAAAUCAUCCCUAGUUUUUUUUCUUCUUCCCUUGAACUUUGAUACUUUAUAUUGGGGGUUAGCUUGAAAUUUUAGAUUAUAUUUUGCCUUGUUUGGGAUUCUAGCUAUAAUAUUUGCCUUCUUUGGUAUUCUGGCUAUCUUUUUCAGUACUUUCAUGUUUUGGGUGCUAAGUUCCUACUAAAUACGUUGAAAACCAGCAAGCUUUUGGAUUAGGUGAUCGUGAUAGAUGGAGAUUUUUUUUUUUCUCGUAGUUGCACUUUAUAGAUGAAGUCCAAGCAUUACUGCCUUGGAGUCGACAGCUGCCUAAAAAGAAAAGUAAAAACAUGCAUACAGAUGGAGAAAGCUCAACGAACAUUACAUACACUAAUAAUCAUUUUAGGGUGAAGACUAAGAAAUAUAUCUUCUUUUGCUCUCUUAUUCAACUCGAAUUAGGCAGUCAAACCCACGAAGCUUUCAUUGGUAAUUAGUGGUAUGAUAAGCUUUUAUGCAUCAACUUGGAGGGUGGUUUUAACGCAUUAUUUGUCGCCCUUCCAAUGUGCCAUUGACCAAUAUAAUUAUCUCGUAGAGACUCAAAAUUUAAUCCAUGAUUAAGAUUUAACUACCCUAACAAAAAAAAAAUUUAAUUACACUAUCACCAUCUCAUUUUUAACUAGUCGAAAUUCAAUUGCGAAACACGAAUUCUUUUUUUUUUUUUUUUUUUUUUAAGUAUGACUAGAAGCAACUCACACAAAUGAGUUCUCAGUACAGUACAAUUCAAUAACAUUACAAUCCAUAAUUCAUAAAUAAUGGGAUACAGUUAUUGAUAAACUCGCGUCGGUCAGCUGUGACGAAACAUAAAAUUCUAUGGGCAAAGACAAAGUUUUUCUAACCAAUAAAAAGAAUCAAGAGUGCAUUAUCAAACCAUGAACUCAUGAGUUCAAAAAUUACUUUCAAUCUAAUUCUCAAACCUUGAAAUCUAAUUUAAGGGUUCAAACUUCAAAAUGCAAUUUUCUUGUUCUCAUAGGUCCUAUAAUGUGCUAAAAGAAACAGUAUCAAUAUAUAGCUUGUUUUUUUUUGAUGUAGAAGCUUUGUUUGAGAUGCUCUUGUCAUUUAAAGGUUGUUAUAUUUAGCCUGAAAUAAAGGAGAAUAGAUAGACAUCAGCAUUACAAAGUCUAGCAGGAUGUUGGAUUCUAGUGUGAAGAGAGGAACUUUAGUCAUUGUAAGACAAAAUGAAUUAGGUGGAGAAAGUGGGGGAAUAGAUACUUUGUAAAGUUACUUGCAAGAACAUUAUAGCAUGAAAAAAAGCUAGGUCAAUAAUAAUGGUUAUCUAAUUCAAAAUGGUAGGCCAACUGUCGAGCUGAAAAAAUUGGUUGGUUUUCAAGAAGAAUCCAAUGUAUAAUUCCUGUGUCUGCAAGUAUUUUAAGACUGCUGCUUCACGCUUGGAGUUUGGAAAUUGAAAUAGCAGUCAACAAGAGAACAUCCUCGCGUGGAAUUAAAUGCCGAAAUUGCUAAGUCAACCCGGAUUUUCCAAUGUUUUUCCACAAUGCAGCCAAUAAUAUAUUUUCAUGCAUGACUAGAUUUAUUGUAAAUAUAGGAAUAUGUCCUUUUUUUAAAAAAAAAAUUGUAAAGAAUUGAAGGAUGGGAUAUACUUAGCCAAAAAUAGAUUUCGUGACAAGGAAUGAAUCGAAAAAUCAAGAACGUUUUCAAUAAAAAGAUCAACUCGCGCUCACUGAAACAAUUGACUUUUCGACGAUCCAAAGGAAAAUAAAUUCCGUGAUGUGAUUGAAUUCUUAUCACACAAUCAUUGUGACUACAUUCCCACAACAAAUAUCUCAAAGUUCUAGCUAUAUUAGCCUUUUAAUUAGUUACGUAUUGAAAACAUGAAUAUCUUGCUUAGCUUGUGAACGUAAUUUUCUCUCAAACUUUUAUUUUUUUUAAUUUUUCCAAAAGCAGUAGUAAUAUUUGCUAGGGCUUUAAAUAGUCUUGCAGGCAUGCAGUUGGACAUCUUAAGCCUGUCACUGUUACAAAACCAUCCAAAUUUAUGCUGGUUUUGAACUUUGAAGCCAUAGUAAAUCGAGAGACAUGCUGUUUAUAUUUCGUUAACUUUGAUAAUACUUCAACACUUUCAAUUCAGUAUCUUCUCUAUAAUUAAUGUUCCAGAUUCAGUAACCAGAAGAGAAAUAUGCUACUUUUGAGUAAUCUGUACAUGUCUGAACAUCAAUGACCAAAACCAUACUUCAUUCAUUAUUUGCAUCUGGCAGGGAUCAUAUACUGGUUUACAAAGCACAAAACUGAGAAUAUAGAUCUUGCCAUAUAGCAUAUCAAUUACAGUGUAACAUCUGUUCUGAGAAUCUCUCUCUCUCUCUCUCUCUAUAUAUAUAUAUCUAUAAAUAUAUGCGUGUUGCAAGUUGACCAGCAUGAUAAGAGAAAUGCCAUACAUGAUAGAGCCCACAACUCGAGCCAACUUAGAAAACAAAAAAAAUACUACCCUCCAGACAACUUGAACUCUGAAACCACCAGCCUAUUCUAUCACUAUCUGACCCUUGUCACAUUCACAAACACCACAAAGCCUGGAUUUUGCACAUAGCUGGACAGCAUUGAAGCCUUGAAACAUGUUUGCUCAGAACUCAAGAGCCAAGAGUAAAGAGUACUUUCAGCUUCAAGCAGCAAGCUUUUAGUUCACAAAUUCUUCUGGGAUAUUCUUUGAUUAUGGACUUUCAUGUUAAAGAUUACGUAUCUAGUUGGGAAGUAGCAUAGUUUGGUUCAUGGCCUUGCGUUAUGGCGGCGCACGCUACUGGGAAAAUGAUUAAAAGAUGCAAAGCGAAAGUAAAGCAACUUGACUCUGCCCCUGAGGAAGAGAACCACAUGAAAGAAAGAACAUUAGUUAAAAAAAACAAAAGGGAUGGUUGUCCUGAAUCCUGAGGUGUUCAUGGUUGGCGGGUGGGAGAAAAAUAUUGCAUACAUUACAUACAUGCCAAAGCCUUAAUCUGUACUAUUGAAUCAAGCAAAUGUGGUCUCACUUUUCUGCUCAAACAGGCUAAUACAAAUAAAAGUUAAGCGCCGCAGAAUAUUACCUAAGUUCUCUCUAGCAGGUGACUAGACAGUAGACAUUGAGCCUCAAAAGAGAUGAGGAGGCUAAGUGUAGAGCACAUGAGAUCACAAACAUGCAAGAAUCAAAAAUGUGGUAUGAUUUACACAAAAGAGGCCACCAUCAGAGUAAACAUAUAAAAACCAAAUCUACGUAUCAUAUACUAAAUUACACUUUCAUUGAGCUAUGGCAUUAUAGCCCCAUAUAUAUAUAUCAGCAGUUAUAAACUAUAGUCGGCUCAAUCUGCUGGAAAGACGAGACACCUUCACAUGGCAAUCAACACUUUGGUCUCUGUGAGAGCUACUGCAGCAUGUAUGUUUUGUUAUGCGCAAACUCAUCAUGCCUGAUACGUUGUAGUCUAAAUAAAAGUGUCAAAAUAAAAAUAUAGUAUUAACUCAGACUUUGCCUAUAGAAAUAUCGAGAUCAUGAACAAGUCAAAAACACCUUUGAAUAAUUGACUACCACAGUAGUUGAUAUGAUUUCCCUGAGUAGAACCAGCCUUGGAUUGGUAAGGAAAAUGUACAGUUACCAAACGGACAUGUUUGCCUUAUUAGUCCUGCAACUUUUUAGAAGGGUUAAUGGUUCUUGCAGAAAAGGAAAUUCUCCUUUCCACCCAUACUGAAAGUGGAGAAGUUUUUCUACUCGUUUGUUGAUUGUUCUCCUUUUGUGGAAACCAAAAGAAGCACUGAAAAAACAAUUCCACCAUAUCAUGUCAUGUCGCAAUGGAUGAUAUAUAGCUCAUGAAACGCUUAAUUAGGAGAAAUGCACUUUGCACUAUUGUAUUCCAAAGGACAGCAAAAAAUCACAAGCCAAAAAUAGAACGCAUUCAAGUAAAGAGGCAAGAGUGUAAGGGCAAAAAGUUGCUAUACUAUAAAGAAAAUGGUGUACUUAAUUGCCUCUGCGUUUGAAUGAAGCAUUUAUAGGCUGGAAAAAACACUUAAUAUAUAUUCUCUUCCUACAUAAUUCAUCCACAUCAGUUGAGGGCAAUCAUUUCUACCAUCAUUAUUGAGCUUAAAAAAUAUGAAAUAAUUGAUGAAACCCUCAACUAGAAGAAUCUUUUCAACUAAAAUAUGACAAAUUACAUCAAACAUAGAGCUACUAAGUUGUCCAUUACCAAUCACGCCAAAAAAAAAAAAAUAGCCUUCCAAGGCUAAGCAUGCAACAUAUAUCACCAUCACAUAGAAUAAAGCUCUGAAUACCAAAAUAAAAACAAAGUACCUAAAGCCAUAUCUACUCGUCUAGGCAAACACCAUUUUCAAGCAUCCUCCCUCAGGGCCAUGACUAAACUUUAUGCUACUUGCUUAUUUCCUAUAGUCCUUUUCCCCUCCCCAUUGUGAUUUGCGACCGUGCUACGGUGCGGAUCAACUAGCUGAUGAUUUUGGGAUUUCUGUCCCGUGGUUUUUUGAUUCUAUCAGUACCCAACUCUGUCCCUACACCACACAUAUUAUAGUACUAGUACAUAGACAACUAAAAUUUUUUACUGUACAACAGUAAAAGAAUCACAGAAAACCAUCAUGUAUACAGUGCCUUUUUUAACCGUUUAACUUCUCCUCCAAAGUACAGUAAAAAUACUACUACAAUACCACACUUCAAAAUUCAAAGACAAAAAGUGCAAUUCUCAAAAAAAACCUCGUCCUCCCCACCACACCCUGAAACUCACUGGAUUUUCCCCACUUCUGCAUACCUUCCAAGUUCCACCCACACAGGUCCCCAACCCCAUUUAAUCCCUGGUCGUCAUGCAAGACUGCAACUUUUACUAGUUCUCCAACCAAAUCUUUCCUUCUCUCCAAAGCCAAAACACUCUGCUCCGUCUAGAAAACAAGAAAACUGGCCUUUAAUGCAAACAUGAAACAGAAACACCCCUCUAUCCUGCCAUCCAAUCCCACAGAAGCCCACCCCCAAAAAAAAAUCCCCAUCCCCCAAAUCCCACAAAGUGUAUAAAGAAAACAGUAGUGUGAAAAAAAAAGGCCAAUUUGUACAAGCUAUAGACAACUCAUUCACUACUCAAUGUUCACUUCCCUUUUCUGUGGCUCUCACCAACCAAUCCACCGCAGAAGGAAAAUAUAUCCACAUCUAAUCAUAUAUCCUACGCUGCCUAAAGACGAAAAAAAUAAAGAAAUAAAACCCACUAUAAAAAAAGGGUAAGAAAAGAAAACAGAAAACCAAAUUCUCUCUCACACACUGAAAAUCACACACAUUAGCUAGUAUUACUACUACCAUCUGCCUAUAUAGCGGCACACACACAUCACACGCUCUUCCUUUUCAACGCUCUCUCCUCUUCACCAGAUCUCUCGGACUUAUUCUUCCUUGGAGAUGCGUGCUCUUUGAGCAGAUUUUCCCCAAAACCCCCCAAAACUCCCCAGCCCAUAACCGCUUCUGGCUCCUUCUCCUCCCCAUUGAAAUCCAUCCACAACCAAAAGCAUCCAUUUUUAUGUAAUAUACACUCAUGUAUGACGCAAGUGGUUGAGAACCCAUUUGUUUUUUUCCUUCUUUUUUUGUUGUUUUCUCACCGUUUCGCCCCGAUUUUCUGAUCCAAAGCCCUGUUUUUUCUUGUUUAUUUUUUGUGUAACAGAGCUUUGUGUUCUUGAUAAGAGUUCUUGGAAAUGGAGGAUACUGCUAAUGCUAAUACGAUGAAGAUGAGGUUGUUUAGUGAAGAAGAGGUGAGGGAUAUUAGCGGGUUGAAAAGGGGCUGCGGCGGUAGCCGUGGCGGUAGCGAUGGCGAUGAUUACGUAGAGGUGACGUGUGGCUGCACCAGCCACCGAUAUGGGGAUGCUGUAGGUCGACUUAGGGUUUUCUCUUCUGGUUUUCUUGAAAUCACCUGUGAAUGCACCCCUGGUUGUCAGGAAGGUCUCUCCCUUCAAUCCAUCCUCCCAUCCUUCCUUGGCUCUCUUGGACAUAUACUCUUAUGUACAGCAUAGGAGUUUAUAUCUUGACCUCAUAUGCGAUAUGGGAUUUUUUUGAAUGCAUGCAAUAUAGGUGUUUUUGUGCGUAAAUUGUAUAAAGGGAUCUGUUUUAUUCACUGUUUUACGCCAUACAAUGGAUGGUUGUACUGGGAUUUUGUAGAUGUUGUGUAUGUUGAUUUGUCUAGGAGAGGUUGAGUUUUGAUCAGUUAUCUUAGUUCAGUAUCAGACUCUUGAGUCCCUUCUUUGGUGGUGUUCGUCUGUUCAGGUUUGGACCGAAAGAUGGUAAAUUUUUGUUGUUUGUUAGGAUGAAUAUUACAGUGAGAACGAUGUUGACGGUAAGGAAACAACCUACAUUGUAUUUGUUUACGUGAUAAUGGUUGUAUUUGAGCUAUUUUUCAUGUGAAGUGUGGAUUUUUUUGAGGCAGAGUUCUGUUCUUGCUGUCUGAACAAUGCGGUGGUGGAAUGUUCAUGUAUACUUUUAGUGGGAGGGGUUUUACUUAAUUUUGGUUCAUGAUUGGCUCUUUUCACCUUCAUUGCUAUGCCACGGUUUGUUGUGUUCUUAUAAAGCUUUUGUUACUCAAGCUAUUUGGAAUGAAAAUGUUGUUAGGACUUAGUUUACUGUGUUGAGCACCAUCUAAUCUAUGCAUUUGUAUUACUAUAAAAAAUGAGCAUCUUCGCUAAUUGAAGUUUUGCGUGCUUGCCCUCCUGAGGUAUAACAUGUUGCUGCACAUUGCAUUUUGUACUUUUGCGUAUAGCUUAAUCAGGUUUUCUGACGGUACAUUCUUCAGUAUGUCAAGACUGUUGUUCUUGGAACUGUUGUCUUGGAAUGGCCAUCUUUUGAAGUUUACCGUUUCGUAAUUAGAUUGGAAGGGUUGGGUUAGACUUGCGUUUCAUUUAGCCAUCUCAAGUAAUUCUAUUUGGAUAAUUUUGACUACCAGCUUUUACUCAAAAUGAAAAAACUGGCAGGGAGAGCUGUAAUAGUUAAAAUGGCUGCCUCAGGUGUUUCAAGGUUAUACAGCUUAAAUUCAGUCAUUUAAUAAUGUUAAAUUUGCUGCCAUGUAUGAGAGCUCAAUGCAGUCAAGUCAUAUAUACUUCUCAAGCUUUGACUUUUCCAUCAGCAACUAUGUUGAUUCUAUAGUUUUUGGUAUGCAUUUGAAUAUGCUCCUUUGCCUGCUGAAAAUAUCUGCUUUAGGUAUGGUUUAUGUUCUCCAUUAUGUCAUUUUUGUUGUCUUCACUUUUGGUAGUGCUAUUUACUUUUGCUUUUUACUAAUAUAUGCAACUUGUUAUUAGACAAACUCACACCAGCUGCGUUUGAGAAACAUUCUGGAAGAGAAACAUCUAGGAAAUGGAAGAAUAAUAUCUGGGUUAUUGUUGAUGGGAGAAAGUGCCUUUGUACAAGACAGCACUGCUCAAAUAUUACAAUCAAGCAUCAAAAAAUGCUAAUGGUUCAAGCAGAUCACACAAUGGGAAAUUCCAUCGUGAUGAGUUUGUUAGAUGCACUGAAUGCAACAAAGAGCGCAGGUUCCGUCUCCGCAACAAAGAGGAAUGCCGCAGUUACCAUGAUGCUUUGGCAGAUUUAAAUUGGAAAUGCUCUGACAUGCCUUAUGAUGAGUAUGCUUGACAUGAUUAUAAUCUAUAGCUCUAAUACUUGCAUCAAUUUUUAGUUAAAGAGUACUUAUCAAACUUGGUUCUACUGCCCCCCUCAUCUUCCCCUCUAUCUGUCUAUCUAUUGUUGCCAUUGUUUAGUAGAAUAAAGCAUCGCUCAAUUCUUACAGCAUUUUUUAGAAGUAAAUAUUAUUCAGUGUUGAAAAAUCUUGUAGCUUGUUUUGUUUUAUAGUGCUAAAUAUAUUAAGCAAUGAAUAGCAUGUUUCUUCCAUUUCUGCCCAGUUAGUAAAGACCAAUGCACCUUUUCACAUCUAUCAUCAUCUAUAAAGUGAGACUAUGGGUGAUGCAUUAGUUCAUGACCAUAGACCUGUGUGUUUCUGUGUUGAACUCUUUUGGUCAAGCAGCCUAAGUUGUUCAUAGAGUGUUUUUUUUUUUGGCGAAUAUUGGGAAUCUCAUUUACAUGGUUUCUGUGAUAAGCUAAUAAAAGCAAAAACAUGACCAACCAGGAAGUGGUACUGGUUUUCUAAAAAGCGUCCAUUGUCAGCCUGACAUGAUGCACUUGUCUGAGAGUUGUUUGUGUGGUAGAAAUCUUUUAACUUCCAAUGCUAAAAAAAGGUUCAGUAAGUAGCUGAGUAUGCGAUCUUGUCCUCUUUUAGAUCAUUUAGCUUUCUUUGAUAUUUGAGGUCAUCUGCAGUUUGGGUAGGUGCCAAGUUUUGUUGGGGGGGGGGGCAAUGCAUAGACAGCGAAGAAACUAUUUUAUUGAAUAAUCCCAGACACAUGCUUCAAUGAAAGCUAGAUAAGACUGGAUCAUAUUGUAAUCCCCCUCCUGAAGAAAUUGUAUGAAAACUCAACUUGUAGAAAUACGAAUGAAAGAUAAAAGGGUAGAAACUCACUCAUUAUACUUUGUUAGACCUUCAUGUUAACUAAAUAGUUGUUUUUGUCAUUCUUGUUUCAUACAGCUAUAACUAAAGAUUUCGAAAACACUUAACAUGAACUAGAUCACUAAAUCAUCAUGUUAGGAAGACUGGGAUUUAUAUGGAAAUUUAAAGAUGUUAUAUGGACAAUCACAUGGUUGAGAUGGCCAUACAUAGAAACUAACAUUUCGCUUGUGAAUCGAGUAACUUUUAUCUCUUUUUAAAGAAAUAGAUAAAUCUUGGUGGAAAAGGGCAAGAACUGAUGCUGUUUUACUCCGGCCUUCCUUUUAAGAAAAAUAGGCAACUCCCUGAAAGGCAACCAGUUGGGUAUAAGCAUGGAGGUUCUCUUUGGGGCCAACUGAGAUUUUGUAUUUGAGGAUUAUAUCCAUAGAUUGGUCAAAUUGAAUGAGUUGUGAAAAAAUGUUAUAACAUGACAUAAUUAGAUGUGGUCAAGGAAAUGCAUACUGCCGGUUGGGGCAUAGACUUUUUGGAGGUUAACUUGAACCUUCGAAGCUUUUUUGCCAAGUUUGGAUGCUAAAUGUUUUUAUAUCUCACUAACAGCUAAAAAAUCAGUGUGAUUUGGAAAUGCUUCUAAACUAAAUUAAGUGGUAGAUUUUUUUUUUGACUAUGAAAUUUGUCUGCCUGUAGACGGCUUUCGCAUCUAAUUGUGAAUUAAUGGACUCUCCACUUUAAUGUUCUCUGUCGUUUUCUUGUGAAACAUUUCUUUGUGUUCUUUGGGUUGAUUGGGGAAACUCAGAGCCUGUUUUAUUCAGAGUCCUACCUGAUUGGCUUAAAUCAGUUCCCACCUUUUGGUUUUGUUUUCUGAUUUGUCUUGAUUGCACGUAUGGUAACUUUUUUACCAUGAUGUAUCCAAUAUAGGCAUGACGCUGGCCUAAUUUGAGCUAUAAUAGUCCUUCUUAGUUGACCUUCCAAGAAAAAGUAGGCAAAGAGAUUAUUGGCACAUAUUGGGGCUUCAUUAGAUGUAAGCCUUGGCUCUCUUUAACCAAUCAAGAUGGAGCAAUUAUGCUUGAGUAUACAUAUAGGACUUUGAUAGGAUAUAUACUGGUGAUGCAGAUAUGAAUGUGUAUAUUUCUUGAUGAUCAAAGUUUUGGUAAAAAAGAUCUUAGCAAAGUUCUCAUAAACAGAUUUUCAAGUAGUUAAAAUGGAAAACAUUUGAUGCUUCCUUGUCUACCUGAUGCAUAUUAAUGUUUACGUGCAUUUGCCCUUUUUCUUUUUCUUGGAAUGCUAAACCAUGUGCAUACUUGUGUUCAUAACCUAUAUUUCAGGGUUACAUGUGAAGAGGAUGAAGAAAGAGCAAGUCGCAGGGUCUACAGGGGCUGUUCCCGAUCUCCAACAUGCAAGGGUUGCACGUCUUGUGUCUGUUUUGGUUGUGAAAUCUGUAGGUUUUCAGACUGCAGCUGCCAGACUUGCUCUGAUUUCACUAGGAAUGCAAAAGCUUAAGUUAGCAAUCUCACCAAUACAUCCCUUCUCAAAUGCUUACAUUUCCAUUUUGUUUGGUAGAUGUUCUACCAAUCAUUUCUUAAUUAAACCUUAGCUGAUAUUCACAGAAAGCUCUCUGACAUUCUCUUAGAUCCAAUUUAAAUUUCAGUCUUCAGCACAGGUUGCUGUGUUUUUGUUGACUGAUCAAUAUUUUGAAGUAUUACAAUAUCACUCCGUUGCUCGCCAUAGCAUAAUUAAGAGGAAAAUUGAUUCUUUAUAUCUAGUCUUUCAUUUAUCGGGUUAAUUUAUGUUUAAAACUUCCAUCUUUCCAUCUGUGUAUGAUCACGGUAAAAGCUAGACUUGAAUCACUAGAGUGAUAAAUUGCUGAAGCAUGAUAUGUAAUGCUAGCUCAAGUAAGGCGCCAGGCAUGCCUAAUUGAAGGUUUAAUCUAUUGCUUCAUCUGCAAAAUUUUGCUGUUGUUAUUGGCCAAGGAAGAGCCUUGUCAGGCUGCUGGCUCUAAUCUACUUGUACUUCAAACUGACAGAGAAUCUAUCUUGUUCUUUCUUCAGUGAGUUCCGCUGCUUCUAUGGGGAACUUAAGAAUUUAAACAAUGUUCUACUCUUUCACCCGCAAAUAGUUCACUAAGUUUCUCCAUUUCUGCUUACUACAAUAAUAAAAAGUGUCCUCUUUCAUCUUGAUCUAACUUGAAGUAAGCUCGGUUUGGCUAUCUCCACGAUAGGCAGGCAUUUGGAGUACUGAAGGUUUCUGUUAUCUUCAAUCCUAGUGAAUGUCUCAAUUCCAGACAUGGAUUUGCAGUUAUGAAAGGCUUUUGUUUAACAUCCAAAGCUGUAUCAGAUACUGCAGAUGUUUUUAGCAUGUAGAACACAAAUCAAUUGCGAAUUAACUAGAAUUUCCAAUUCUGUUCCACAUUCAUUUGAGGUACUUUCUUGUUAAUGAUCUUUUUGCGGUUUGCAGGCAAUCAAAGUGAGCUUCCCAUUUACAUAUGAUAUAAGAAGACAUACUUGAAACAUUUCAUGUAAAAUAUUUUGAAAUCUAAGAAUUGUCAAACAAUUCCACGGUGUAAGAAUCUGUUACAAUGUACUAAGAGCUAGACCAUUACAUAGAAUCUCAUAGAUGAUGAAGAACUUGUCCAAUAUGACAUUUAGUAAUCACGCGAGCACUUCGCUUAAUGUUAGUCAACAGUGUGUUAACAAGCUACAAAUUCCUACUUCGGCCAAUGGCCAAGAAUGAGAUCCACGUUUUCUAUUUCAACACCCCUCCUCCCUAGUGAAGUUAUGCAAGUUGAACUGCUCGAUUGCUCGACUCGUUUAGGUUCAUUUGUGUUCGAUAACGACUUGUUCAAAAUUUUUUAUGAGUUGAAUUCGAACAAACAUUGACAUCAUUGGUGAAGCCUAAUUGUCAUUUCACAAAAUUUAGGGUUAUAUGGUUAAUUUAGUGUUGAAUCUAUUGAUUAUUUGAGAGAAAGAGCCUGAAUUCGAGCUUCUCAAGCCUGUUCAAAAUCGGUUCGUUUAUGCUAAAUGAGUCAAACUCGAACUAGGAUUUUAAUUAACAAACUGAACAUGAACAGAGAUUUCGAGUUCGAAAAUUAUCAAACAAACACGAGCCUUGUUCAAGUAACUUAAUGAAUAGAACUCAAACAUGAGAUACUCAAAAAGAGCUUUCGGUUCAAACUUAUAUAAUGCAAUUCAUUGGUGAAAAGAUAAUUCAAAGUCAAUCUGCUAUUACCUGCACACAUUCACAAGCGCAGCUAGAGAGAGUCAUUAAAGUACUAAUGGAUUCUAAGUUGCACAAAUUGUACAAACAACACAGAGGACGCCAUCAUACGGCCAUAGCAAGCAAGACUAUGUUCUCUAUGAACCCAAGCUGACACUUAAUAACCAAGUAGCAUCCACAGAAACAUGCAUAAUACAGAUUAAAUAACUAAGCCAAUGCACAAAGCCAUGAAACCAAUCAACGAACUGAACUUAGCCAUGUUGUUGCCUGCCCCUUCCACCUCCAAAUUGACCACCACCCCUACGAUUUGGUUUUCUACCUCCACGAUAAUGCUUACCAUGACUAAUGCUUCGGUAUGUGUCCCGUUUAUGAGUAAAAGAUGCAAGUUGCUGUGGUUCAUAAUUGUGCAUUGUCUCAGACAUGUUUACUGGAACUGCCUGUUCUCCUACAUUUAUGGGGAGGGAGGCCUGUUGACCUGGUGUAGUCACUCCAAAUGGUAAACGGUGAAAUGCAUUUUGACUCGAGCAUGAAGGUUCUGCACCAAAACCUGACUGCAUGCCUGAUAUAACCAGGUUAGAAGGCAAAUUUUGACUAGCAUUAAUUUGCUGUUGGAACGACAAUAUGUUCUGCGAAGGCAUUUGAUGAAGCUGAUUAAUUUGUUGCACCCAUGGGUUAACAUUUACGGGUAACUGAGGAAAGCCAAAACUUAGAGGCUGCUGAAAUGGGAUUGCAUUUGCCCCACCAGAAGUUGCGCUAAAACCAGAGCCCAAGGAAAGUUGGACAAAUGGAGAACCCAAACCAGGCUGAAAAGCCAAACCUUGUCCCAGACCAGAGAAUGACCCAUUGCCUUGAUCUGGUGGUGGAGCCAAAGGGGCACAUGAUGCUUGGUGUGAUCAAAUGGUAGUUUACCUCUCUCCAGAGAUCCCUGUGGGUUAGCUGCAGGAUCUUUCCUCGAAUUCCCGACCAAUUUCCCAAUUGCAAUCGAUCCUUUUUCUGGUUAUCGAAUUUGUCAUCAUUUCUACGCAUAUUCUCAUUUUUCAGCGUUUUACCAUACUCUGCCUCAUUUUCUGAGUUGCACCCUCCCACAUAAUAAGGAUUUCUCACUGUUGGCAUGCCAUUUGUUGGUAAUCCAGGAAAGCCAACAGUUUGAGGCUGCUGGAACGCAAUGCCAUUAGCCCCUCCAGACAACGCACUAAAACCAGUGGUUGAUGCCAGUUGUACAAAUGGAGGAGCCAGCCCAGGUUGACAAGUUGAACCUUGUCCUAGGCUCAAGGAGUGUAACCCAUUGCCUUGAUGCUGCGAUACAACAGCAGGGGGAACAUGAUGGCUACUGUGGUCAACUUGUCGCUUAGCUCCCUCCAUAGGUAAAUGUCUGUUGACUGUAGAGUCAUAUUUCGAGUUCCUAGACCAAUUUCCAAAUCUCUUUUCAUCCUUUUUCACGUUUCCAAUUUUAUUAUCAUUGGUGCCCCUUUUCUUGUUCCUCUGCAUUUUUCUGUGCUCAGCCUCCUUCUCAUCAUCUGAAAAUUCUUCUUCUUCUAAUAAUUCUUCAUCAUUUGCUCCUGAUGCAUCAUAUCCUUUUGAGUAAAGACUCUUAUCGUUGAGGACAUGAUUUGCAAAUUCUGGAACAAAAGAUAUUGAAAUGCCUGGUUGGAUUCCAGGAGGUACUUCACUUUCUGAAUUGUACCUAACAAUGUAGUAAGGAUUCCUCACUGGACCAAAAAUUUCAUCCACUAACCCCAGUGCGGACCUGCUUUCUGUAAUCCACAAUAUAGAGCCCUCAUUGAGAGGAUUAUGUUUUUCAACCCCUUCUACAAUGACUUGAGCCCCCAACACCUGUAUGAUAGGAGAGUUAGUUAUAAGCACCAUCUGCAUUUUAUGCUAGAUAAUUAUUGGAAAAAAACAAAGUGAUGCAGCAUUUCACAAUGUUUCCUUUACAACUAGCUUUUAGAUUGAAUUGCUACUUGCUUCUAUGACCUCACCGAUAAAACAACUCCAACUGGCUGGAUCUUAUGGUGUGGUAGUAGGGCCACAUUCACUGGAGGAACUGGAGGAAGAAGCUGCAGAAGAAAGAUUUACAAAGUGAACUAAUUGUUUAAAUGUGUCUGCAAUAAUCCAUGAACACAAAAUUUAGAGCAUAAUCAAUAAGAAGAAAGCAGAGUAAAAAUCAAGAAAUAUAGUCCACGUGUCAUACACUAGCCACUUUCUUCAAAGUUUAAACUCAAAUAGCUUUCUUCAAACCCCACAAUUCAAGUUGAGGAUUUUCGACACUCCAAGUACAAUUUACAGGAUUAAGAGGAGCCUUAAUAGUUAUAAGCAUCAUGUUGUUAAUGGCAAGGGCACUUCUGCGCUAGAUCGAAAAUGCUCAAGUUGGUACUAUAAAUAAAUAAAUAAAUAAAUACAUAAAUAAAUAAAUAAAUAAAUAAAUAAAUAUAUAUAUAUAUAUAUAUAUAUAUAUAUAUAUAUAUAAUGAAUAGAGAGAGAGAAUGAUUAUGCUACAGUUCUACUGGAGAAUCUCCAAUUUUUCCCUCCUUGGGAAUGUUCUUUUGAUCACCUGUCUUUUUUUUUUUGUGUUUUGUUGUUUUUCUUUGGAGAGAGGGGGGGGGGGGUGGUUAAUGCAAACAUACAUCGAAGCACAAAUGUGACCAAGCUGAUUGAGAAGAAUAAGAUUACCGUGAGUUCAUUUUUGGACUUAGGAGGCCCUAACGUGGAAACGCCACUGCCACCCUCAUCCUCGCCAUAUUCAUCGUCACCGCUCCAGGCCACCAUCUCUUCUGGGUCAGAAGCGACUAUCUCACCCUCUUCCAUCUCUAAAUCUUGUCCUUUUCUUUCUUUGCUACUUCCCCGCUUCUCCUUGCCAUCGACUUCAUCGUCAUCAUCAUCAUCACUACUGCCGGAUGAUGAGGAAGAGGAAGAGGAAGAUGAAGAUGAACUUUCAAUUUCACUGUCACUUUCACACUCGGAGUCACUAUUACUUUCACUCACAUCUCCCUCACUCACAUUCUUACCAAUCUUUUCUUCAGUAUUAUCUACAUUCAUCGUCUCACUUGUUUUACUGGUCUUCGCGCCAGAAUUUUCAACAACACCGAUCUCCUUACCAUCAGUACCACUAAUGUUUGCCUCAACACUUUUCACCACAUCACAACCACAAUCAUCCUCACUAUUUCCAUUGUCACAACCCUCUCCAACUUGCUUUACACCAGUCAAACCACCAAAAACAGAAUCUGGAUCGCUCCAACCUCCCUGCAAACUAACUUUCCCCAUCUCUUCCUCAAUAGAACAUCCCAGGCCUCCCGACUUGAUACCGUCAACCCCAUCUAUCCCCUCUUCAACCUUAAUUUUAUCACAAAACCUUUGACAACCCAUUUCACUACCCUUCUCACCUCCUACAAAUUCAACCUUUUCUUGACCCAAAGAUCCCAACUUUCUUCCACCCUCUUCACCAACUAACCCAGCUGAACCUAUUUCAAGACUUUUAUCAAACAUCUCAGAUGCAACUUUUUCUGAGCUAAAACCAACGGAGUUUUCUCCCAAAUCAUUAGCCAUACUCUUACUAUAUGGCUCUGGGUUCUCCUCAAUCCAAUCCUCGAUGUAAUCAAAAUCAAGAAAAGAGUCUAUACAUGAGAAAGAAAGAUCUUCAAGGCCUAAGACUGAGAAAGAAAGAUCGUUUGAGCAUUCUUUUUCUUCUUUUUUAGGGUUGGGACUUUGCAGAGAACCUACCAUGUUCAAGAAAUAAAUUUAGGGCCUUGAGAGUCAGCAUUAGGGAUAUUGAAAGCAGGAGUUUAAGUAUAUAUAUGCGUCUCUGGUGGCUCAGAUUUUGCUGUUUGAAAUUUGGGGUUUGCUUGGAGAAAAGGUCGGAUUCUAUUUGCUUAAACCCUAAUUGGCAAGGGUUUUAGAAUGUGGGAAUCUACUAUCUAGGAGAAUAUUGUGGUAGAGAAAAUGACGUGUAAACAAACAGAAAAUGGGCUAGGCCCGAUUUUAGAGCCUCGAACAAUUGUAAUUUGGGGCUAGCCCUGUGUGUCCGAAGGGCCUCGAAGAUCAUUUCGGAGAAGGUUAGCUCAUUCUGGGCUAUUGAAGUCUGGGCACUUUGGGUGAGACGUGUGGUGGUAGAAACUGAAACGGCAAAUGGGACUUUAUAGUUUAUACCUCCUUUUUUUAAAUCUUUUUUGUCGAAUAAAUGAAACUUUAUCUAGUCAUAAAUAAGGAUUAAUCUUUCCUAUAUUAUCAGUAUAUACAUUGACAAUAUUGAAUGUGUGCCACAUUAUUUGAAUUUAAAUUAAGUUUCAGUUCAGAAUUUAUAUAUGUGGCAUAUAUCUAAAUCUGCUAAUAUAUACACCAUCAGUGUAUACAAGAUUUACCCCCAUAAAUAAUGUGUCCAUAGAAUACAGUUGACACAAAAUUAUGAAAUUGAAAGGUUGGGGUUAGGAAUAUUUGGCAUUGCAUGAUAAAUAACUCUUUGGAUGGAAGAAAAUUAUGUGGUAAUGUUCUUUAAAAACUUUUUCACGAUUCAUCCUAUAUAAUAAAGAAAUAACUACGUGGCCUACCAAAAUUAAAUAAAAAAGAAAUAAUUAUGUGACAGAUUUGAAUUAUGACCUCCCAAGUCCCAAUCCAUCCAUCAAAGGAGGGAAAAAAAAAAAAGUGUCCCUCUGCUCAAUAGUGAGAAAUGGAAUUCAACAAUAUGGUCCUUGGAGAUAAUGCCAUGGCAAAUUCCAAUGUGAAAUGACAAAUUACACUCUCCAAUGGAAUGCAUAAUUCUCAUAUUAGAAGACACUUACUUAUUGUGGUAUUAACAUUUUUUUUUUGGUAAAAAAUUGUGGUAUUAACAUAAGUGCUGUGGCAAAACCAUUUGCCUAAUAUAAUUGAUGGCUAGUUUGACAAACCUAAUGGGACAACUUUAUCUUUCAUAAGGGGAAAAAAAAAACUUUAUCUUUGAUGGGCUCCAGUACCAGUUGGGCAUUGAGGGAUUUCAAUUUGCUUAUAAAGAUCAAGAAACAUGUUACCAUGGUCGGUUCUCUCUCCCAUGUUAUAUGUUUAUGCAAACCCUCUUUCAACUUCACUUAAACCUUACACAUUUGAUUGUAAAGUCUCAAUCCUAAUCAUUCCUGCCACUAGAAAGACUGGUUAUGUUUAACUUUGGUAGACAUAUUAAUUAGUUUAGUACCUAUAACCAGAGUGUCAAAGCACUGAUACCGUAUGGGCAGACCUGUCUGUCCCAUUAAGGUAUCUUCACCCUUCUCUUUAUUAACUUUGCCCAUGCAUCGUUCACAGCAUUUUCGUUUAUGGGCGAAAGGGAAGACUUUAAAGUCUGAAACGGUCUUGAAUUCGGCGCUUCAUUACAAGGAAGAUGAAGAGGGAAGAGAGAGGCAAAGACAAGUCAAAGCACUUUAAUUUGCUUCAAGAAAAGGUCCCUUGAUUGAGUUGGUCCAAAUGAUAGAGUUGAUAUCAUGCAUUUUUACUAAUUCGGGUUCGAACCUCUCCUAAGAUAUUCAUCCGUCGUACAGGGUUUGUCUAGUGCGUCUUAUCUCUCUGUGUGAUUGACGGGCUAUUAUACGAAAUAAGAUUUACCUAAUGCACACUGUCAGAUAACAGGUAUGGUUCUUUAUCAACAGAGAAAAGUCAACUACACUUUGACACCCUACUUGAAAUAUGGUAUAAAUUCCCAGCGUCAAUGAAUGCGUAAAAAAAUUUUUGUUGGCUGUUUUUUUCUUCGAUAAUAAAAUGUUACUUAUCUUUUAUGUAUUGCCAAUUGGCCAUAUUACUCAAGGGACUCAAGUAGGUCUGCCACAAUUUCCAAGAAAGGUAGGUCGAUCACUACUCUCUUAAACUGACAAGGUCCAAAAUCAUGCAACAGCAGCAUAAUAUUAGCGGUAGGUUAUCCACACAAGUCGUGGUAUGAGAAGGAUUUCUCAUGCAUAUAGCACCGGAGACUAGACAUUUUUUUCAAGAACUUGGCACCUAAAACAUGCUAUACCUAAGAUAUAUGCUACAUGGGAAUUUCCCAUUGUUGAAACCCUAACAGAAAAUGGGAAAAAAUUAGUAAAGAAACUAAUGCACUUUAGCCCUAAGGUUGCUUAAGCUUGAAUUGGAAAAUGUCCAGACUGAACUAUAUAUAUAUAUAUAUAUAUAUAUAUAUAUAUAUAUAUAGAGAGAGAGAGAGAGAGAGAGGGAGAGAGGUGAGGAGUUCAAUAAAACAUUUAUACCUCUUUACUGUAGAGAAGGAUAUUUCUAUAGAAAAUUGUUACAUUCUGAAGUCAAAAGCUUUCAUACAAGAAUUGGCAAUGGCAGAAGCAUGGCAGCCCAUAACUCUACUCUACGUGCCAGGGCAAACAGUUUGAGCAAUAAAUUUUUGUUACCAAGGAGAACAGUGAACGGUGAACAACCAACCAACCAACACAAAAUUUAUGAUGAAAGCUGUAAUCCUCGGGGCCCUGGCCAUCCCAUGAUGUUGGCACCAUCAUGCUUUAAUAUGGCGGCAGCACUUGCAAGAAAUUCUCAACAUGGAAGAUGAACUGUUUGAUGUUACUUAAAUUGAUUGAAUUCAAUGUGCAGCAAAAAAAUACAGCUGCAAUUUCUCAUUCGAAAGGGUAUAGCAUGUGAUCUAUCUGACCCUAACCUAAUUCUCCUCUGUUGCAACAUAGCCUAACAGGUCCACUAAAUCGGCCCCGCCAAGAGGGCUGGGGAUUAGGAGACUUGAGAGAAACAGCUAACAAUAAUUUUCUACAAUCAAAUGUCUCCUUUGGAUUGCUAAUUUCCAAAAUUUUUGUAGAAAAAUGUACAAUAUCGAUUUAAUAUACGUGAAUUUUUUUUUUUUUUUGGUUGGUUUCAAGGGAAGCAAUUUUGGCCAACAAGAUAGAGUGUAUUACUAACGGUAUAACAUACGAAUCAUUAUGUUCGUAAAGAUUCUAACUCAAUUUACACCAGCAAAAUUGAAAGUGUACAAAAGCAACAAUUACGGACAAAACUAGUUGCUUUCAUACGGCGAUGGAGCAUGUUGAAUUGAGUUUUUGUCUAGUUCGGAUCGUUUGAUAUAAUUUUUAUAAAUGUGGAUAAAAUAAAAUUUAGAAAGAUACUCGAAUUUUUGUCAAAAUUUAUAAGAAUUACAUCAUUGGAAUAGAUAUGAAUAAAAUUCAGCUAGACUUGCCCUGUAUCCAAUACAUACAAAAAUUUAUGGCGUAGGCACUUAAGAAUAUCAUGUCGGCCAAGUCGUUACUUUCAUAUUUGUGAUGUCUGUGUAUUGAAUGGUAUCAUCAGAGCAUUGAGGCAAUCUAUUUGAAGCGUCAUUCUGGGUAAACGGACCACCAAGUUGCCCCAAGAUUGUGCUUUAGCCAGAAAGUGAUGUGAGAAACCGAAUGUACAAUCUAGCCUAUGGAGGCCAGCCUUGCUUUGAUUGUUGUGAGAAAUGUAUGCCCUGUCCAUUGUUGUGUGGGAUCACUCGUUUGGAGAGGGAAACACAAGUUGGUUUUACUUGAGUAGAACAGAUUGCUUCCUCGUAAAAAUCAAAUUUUGUUGUCGCUUUGAAGAUUAUGUUGGUACACGAUCUAUAUCAAAGAACACAAACAUAAUAAAUAAAAAUAAUUUGUGGGAUUACUUACUCGUAAAAAGUUGAAUUUUGCUAUCACUUUGAAGAUUGUGUUGAUACAUGAUCCGUAUCAAAGAGCAUAAAUAUAAUAUAUAAAAAAAUACGUAGUGGUCGACAUUUUUUGACCCAUGAUGACGAUCGAGAUCGAACCCAUUUAAAUUUUUUUAUUAAAUAAAUUCGAUUUAGAGAGUUAAUGAUUCUGAGCUAGAUGUGGAGGUGUGUAAUUAAGAUGUAACUGUUUUUUCCCAUGGGGCCAUAUUUGCCCAUAUCUUUGAUUGAUGCCCACUUCCUGAGCUCAGACUUCUCAUGUCAUUAUUGUUUUUUUCCUAAUAUGCUGUAGAUUGACGUGAAAUAAGAACGACUAGUGCAGUAACACACUAUAUUGGCAAAAUUUUUGGUAGAUCAUCUACCAUACGAGAGCAAUGUACCAUUCAUUUUAAAUUUUCUACUGUGCAUUUAUAUUGCCUGGAUUCAUCUUUCAAUCCUGCAUCAGUCUUUCACCCUAAGGUUAGAUUUGUGAUUAGCCUUUCAUCCCUGAUAAUGAAAGAUUUGUACAUCAAGAUUGCUCCGGACCUCCAAAUGAGAUUUUUUCACUUCAUUCUGUAUUUUUAUUCAUUUUUUUGAUUCCCUCCCCCUCUAAAUAAUCUCACAGAAAAGGAAAAGGCUUGGUGGCUCUUUUUUUUUUUUUUGGUUUAAAAAACUCAAAUAAACAUAAAUAAGCCAAGAUUUUCCCUGUAGAUUACUGAUAACAUAGUUGAAUCAAUUAAGUUUGUCUACAAGUUAUCAUGGAUCACAAUUCCAGAUAUGUAUUAUUCUGGACAUAAAUUUGUUCAGAAAGUCUUAUGUAAGAUUGAUAUUUUCAGCUGCAGAAUGAGAAGAAGGAAGGUGAAGGCCUUCUUUCACACCACUCACGGGCAAGUGGCAACAGAUGAAAAUAUAAAUAUAGAAUCAACAUUAAAAAUCUCUGAUAAGGUCAGAAACAGAUUAUUUCCUAUUCUGUUUUCUAGAAACUAAAAAUAAGUUAGUACAUCUAAACCAAUAUCUAUAAUCAUGAUGAACAAUCCAUGAAAAAGAACCAGUCAAAUUCAGUACAAAACACUCAUAUUAAUUAGUGGAAGUAUCUCAAACUGCAGCAACGAUUCAACUGCUCUGUUUUCAGUGGUAAGACCUGAGAAUUGCUCCACAAAAUGUACAUAUUAUUGCCCUCCAAGUCUUCCAGUAAAAGGGUACAUGGCAGAAUCUUGUAGCAGUCUUCAUAUCAGCCACACUGGCUCCUCCCCCGCAUCUUGAGCAAAUUCCGGCCGCCGGUUUGCUCCUCCUCACCUUCCUUGUCUGAUCAACUAGAAAACAGAAGCAAACCAUGAUUUUUCUUGAUUUUCUUGGCUGAAGAGUGAUGGAGUUAUUGAGCGGUUGAGAGAGGUUAUUUGUUGUUUGCUAAAAGGUUUUGUUUUGUGAAGGCUUUUGAGCAGGUGUGAGUUGUGGGGUUGGAGUUUUGGGCUCUAUUUAUAGGCAAAAGAGUAGAGGAGUUAGAUGUUGGACAAAGUUCUGUUGGAUCUCUCUUGAUUGACUUUGCAUUUUGUAUAUUGCUAUAUUUUGCGUUAGCUAUUAGUACUAUUUAUUUGGCAACAACCACCACCCAGCCAUUAAGGCUUGGUGGGGUGGGAGGCAAGGAAUCAAACCACAUUUAAAGUGGCUUUCAAAAAAAUACAGGCCGAUGCAUUACGCACCCGUCUAGUCCGGUGGUGAUUCAGUUCUUUCCGGAUUAUCUCUGAACCUCCUUAAGUCCGCCCCCUCCUCCUAGUGUAGGAUAGAUUAGGUUAUACAACAAUUAUCGUCUCCGAAAAAAAAUUACUAUUUAUUUGGCACAUGAGUUGGUGGACAUUUUUGAUUUGGUUGCAUCCAGAAGAAUUCAUAAAAUCUAUUUAAAAAAAUUUGAAGGAUAGGGUGUAAUCAAGUUGACUUUGGUUGCAUCCAAAAGAAUUCAUAAAAUCUACAUAAAAAAAUUUGAAGGAUAGGGUGUAAUCAAGUUGACUGCUAGGUUAACUAAUUGAGGAGAGGAUCGGGUCAUAGGUUGAGUAGUAAGAUGAAAUGGAUUGUAAAUAGGGGGUUUUAGAUUCAAAACCUUCCAUUAAAAGAAAAAAGGUUGAGUCUACUUGAGAGAGGGGGAUUGGGUUGGAUGGUAAGAUGGAAGGAAUUAUAAGUAAGAGAUUUUGAAUUCAAAUCCCCUCACUUAAAAUUUUUUUUUUUGAGUCUACUUGAAUUAAAAUGUUUGAGAUCAAAUUUGUCGAAUCCUUAAAGGUCAAGUUUAACUUGAUAUUCUUUUACCUUACUCAAGUUCAACCGAACCAAAUCCAACUCAAUUGAGUUUCAGUGCCGUAGAUUAGUAUAUUUAUAUCAUUUUUAUACAAUUGAUAUGAUAGACAUUUCACACCAAUAAAUUUAAAAGAUACAAAAAUAUUUAUAUAAGUUUGAAAUUCAGCUGAGCUCAACAAGCGCUUAAGCCUUUCAUAUUAAGCUCAAACUCUAAUUCAUCAAGUUAUUUGAACUGCUCAAAUUCGAACUCAAACUCGAGUUUUGACAGAAAAAAUUAGCAAGUAGUUCAAUUGAGUUCAGCUCAUUUGCACCCGAAGAUAGAAUACAUUAAUUUCUUAAGAACUAAUUAUGAGUUGAGUGGUAACGAACAACUUUAAUGUGGUUCACUAAAAAACUGAAGAUAGGAAACAGGUAUCCUACUGUUUAGCUCUGUCACUAAUUUUGGAAAGCAAAUAUGGGGAAACAUUGAAAAGGAAAUCACAUGGGUUGCAUAAAAACUGGGAAACUUUGAGAUCUAAGAGAGCACAAAAAGGGGAACAAUAAAAAAAGUAAAGAAUUGUGGACAUGAUAUUAAAAAUCAUUCAUUCUUAAUUUGAAUUGUUUUCAAUAUCUUCUGCUCGGAAAGUGACUGUACAGAUGAAUGUUUGGGCGUUCAACUUUGUGAUGUUAAUAAAUUGCCUUGGAUUGUGUUUGCAUCUUGUUUGUUGACUCUAAAAUUGAUUAAACAAUUUAAUUUCUUUUCUCUUGCAAUCGAUCACAUUCUUGCCAGAAACUUUUCAAUAGCAAGUCAGUCAAAACUCGAAUCAAAUUCGUUCAAUAUCGAGUUUAAGUUAAGUUCGAAUCGACUAAGUCAAAUUCGAAUUCAAAAAAAUUUAAUUCAUUAGUUCAAAAGUUGCUCGAUUAUAUAUAUAUAUAUACACUAUUUUUUAUUUUAAUAGUGAAAUUCUUUCUGGUGAGACUUCCAAUUAGAGGUCUAGUAUUAAGAACCAAAAGCAGCGAAAUAGCAAAAGAUUUACAGGUACAAUAUCUCACUGUCCAAAUGACAAGAAAAUGCAAAGAAGUGCACAUUAAGCCCUGUUUGAUAGUCCAGUUUAACACUUAAAUUUAAUGGAUUCAAAUCUUAAUAUAUACAAAACGUUUGAUAAUAAAAAAUUAAAUAUUUGAAUUAAUUAAGUGGUACUGAAUUCUCUAGACAAAACUUACUAUUAAGUAAUAAACUAUUCACUUAUCACUAAUGUGAUAUGUGCUAAAAUAUAUUAUAUUUAAUAUUUAAUAAUUUAAUAAAUUUAAAUUUUAGAUUUCAAAUUUCAAAUUUUAAUUUUUAAACUUCAGUUUUAUCAAACGCAGCCUAAUUUAUCCAUAUCUGAAAGGCUCCAAAAUUUCUUCAAAGUGUCUUUAAACUUAAGUUUAGUCCAGAUUUGUUUCAGGUAGAAACAAAAUCAUUAUGGCCUUGGAUUAUUUCUUAUGACUCAGCCGUACGCGUGGAGCUGUUUAGACAGUUACAUGUUGCAUACAACCAUCUUGAAGUGAUGGCCAUGAAAUCUCUGCCUUACACGUGGGCCUCAAAUAGUCUGCUUUUUUUCCAUAGACAGAAAGAAACACGCACCAGUUAGAUAGUCUGUUGUAUUAUGUUUAUUUUUUUUUUCAAACUAGUCUGCUGUAUUAUGUAGGGAGGCCAAAAUUGUUGAACUGGAAUCCGGGUGGCACCAUUACAUCCUACUGCUGUUCUUCAAUGGCGUCUUCAGAGAGUUGUUAAAAUGCCAUAAAUUUCAUACCCUUUUUGGCAAUUACUUUUGAAGAACAUAAGGGCUCAUGCUUAGCCAUUACUCUGUCUUCACUUCAUAUAUACCAGGAAGAAUUAAAUGAGUUGAUGAAUUGUCACUUUCCAGAGUCUAAAAAAUUCAGUGUUGUUUGAUUCAGAUCGGAUCGGUUUUAGAUUGGACCGGUCCGAUCGUAAACCAAUCCGAUUGUAAAUCGACCUUUUUUUUUUUCAAAUUGAUUUGUAGUACAAAAUUAUUUUGAUAAAAAAUUGUAAAAAAAAAAAAGGCUAAACCAAUGAUUCCGUUUGGCUGGUUGAUCCGGUUCUCAAGCUACUCUUUUUUAUUUUUCCCAAACAUAAUUUGAAUUAGCUAAAUUUUAAUACUUUCAUUUAUUAAUAGAAAGAAGAAAACACCAUCUAUUUAGUAUAAAUACCAAAAUCACUCGUUUUUUAAAUGAUCUCUAAAUCAAGAUGUUUUCAUCUCUAUCAUCUUAUCAAUUUAGCAUCAGUGAUUCCAACUAGCAUUAAUUUGUUUUAAUUUAAUUUUUCAAGUAGUUUUGGAGAAUGAACAUAUUUUAGUCAUGAAUUUACAUUUUAUAUAUAAUUAUUUGAUUGGAAGUUUAAUAUUUUUGGAACAUUUUAUAUGAUUGCCCGAAUAUAACCAAGAACUCAAUUUCAAUAUUUUUGAAACUUAUAAAAAUAUAAAAACAAUUAUAACAUCGUGCUGAUAUAAAGCGAAUUUUUUAGAACGAUUUGACCAAUCUGACCAGUUUACCCCUGAUUUAACCGAGUCGCUAUCCGGUCAGAACAAUAUUAAAAAAAUUGGAGUUUCGGAACCAAAUAUUGAAAAAGAUAGGCACCUGACAAUGAACGGAUGAAAUGAAAAUUGUGAUGGCUAACAAUUUCUUUGUCGCCAAUCACACCAUGCAUUAAUGUUUUGUGGAUCAGAGGUGAUCACUCGAUAUUUUGUGGCAGUAAUGGCGUGCAUACCUGUCAAUGCAAUUUGUAAUGAGCAUGAUUAUGUGUUACAUUUCUUGUUCAAUGCAGAAACAGAAGUGGAUUUCAAUCAAUUUCUUCCUCCUUUCUUCUUCAUUCUUUUUCCUUUUCCUUUUGUUAGAUAACAACGAUGACCUCAUUGAUCUUAAAGAGAUCUGGACAUUUGGCAGCUAUUACAUGCAAAUAAAAUCACAAGAAAUGUUCAAAUAAAUUAAAGCCUACAUGGUUAAACUUUUUGGUCAUGGACAAACUGCUCUUCGAGUCUAAAUGCGGAGACAGCUUAAACGAAGUGGCCAUGGACAAUAAUAGAAGCUUCUUUUUUUUUUUUUCUUCUUUUUCUAAUCUUGGAGUUAUGCAAAAAUUGUCACAACUUUCACACUGAAACACUUUAAAUUCUACAAUCAUUAAUCGUUUAUCAUAACUGUUACUUUCCUGCAAUAAAUGAAUACAUGAUGAUGCUAAGUGAGUCUUUUCAUCAAAACAGUACUAGUACUUUGACACCUGCUCUGCACUCCCAGUUAAGCCUUCUAUACAGAUAUAUCCAGUAUCCACUUCUCGUUUGGCAAAUUUAGCAGAUUUUCAAGCCUUAGCAAUCCGAGCACAAUAGGAAAAAUCAAAAUGUACCCAGUUUGUCCUUUUACUCCUUUGUAAUAGCUUCAGUAUUUCAUUUUCUUUAUUGUUGGCCUUCUUCUUCAUUUCAUAUCCUUUUGAAGAAUAAAGUGUUUAGGUAAUUCACCUGUCACGAAUGGAAAAAACAAGGUUAGGUCGCUCGAUAUAAUUAUCAACCAAAAAAAAAAUCAUAUCCAUAAAGAAUUUGUAUGACAAGGUGGGAUUCUCUAUAUUUGUUCAUCUAACCUUUUUUUUUUUUGGGUAAUUUCAUAGACUAAAACUUAAUCCACUUUGUGCGAACAAUUCUAUCAGUCUUAUCAAUAUGUAAUUUCACUGAGGGAAGGGCUAAAUUCAUAUCCCUCCAUCCUAAAUCCAUAUCAUUUGAUAUGGUGAUGAUUUAUAUUGUUAGCAUUAAAACUUUACAAGAUGUGAAUUUAGCCUCUCCUCUUCGGUAAUAUCUAUUUGUUUUUGUUACAAAUUUAAGUUAGCAAAAUGGGCGGGAUGGGAUUGGGUAUGAGAUGGAAUUGAACAAUAUGAGUUUAAGUCCAACCCUACUUAUAAGUAUUUUGGGAUUAAUUUGGAUGAGAUUGUCAUGAAGUCAAACUGAAGGCGUGAAGACAGAGUAAGGGAAGGCGCGAAAUAGGUAGAAGGAGCAAAGGAAAGCGUGGUUUCAAGACCACGCCUUUAGAUGGAAGAUGAUUCUGCAACAGACGCACAUGAAGAAAUAACAAACUUUCAAAUCAGCUGCAACGGUCUCUCAGCCACUUGGUCACGCCAAUUGGAAGCUACGAAGUUAGUUAUCAGCUGAUUAUCUAUAAAUAGCAUAGAUGGAAUGUAUUAGGCAAGAAAAUCUUUCGUGUAAUAGCAACAGAGAUUGGGCUGAGCCUUUUCUGUUCCUUUUCCCCAAUUCCUGCAAUCUUGUUCAUCUUCUUAACUUUUCCCGCCCUUUCUGUAUCUCUUAAUCCUUACACCAAUUGCAGCUAUCUAAGUUAAUUCCACAUCUUAGCUUUUCAAUUGAUUGAUUAUUAUCCAGUCGAAUUGUUCAUUUCUGUUAUUGGAUUCAAGGUUUCCACAUAGCUCAGUCUGGUACCAUUACAGUGGUAUCAGAGCUAGCUACGAGCCAUUAGGGAUGACUAAGACACAGGAGGAGAUGAUGAGGAAGGACCUGACUGAGCUAGGGAGUGUCAUGAGGACGUUUGCCAAUAGGAACGAUGGAAUGGAGCAAGCCAUGAGAGCCAUGGAGCACAGGCAAGAGAGUACUGAAAAAACUAUAAAAAACUUGGAUCAGAAAUAUGAGAGUAUGAUGAAUAUGAUGGCGCAGAUGAUGGCCAAGCUAUCUGACAAGGAAAAGGGAGAAGAAGGAAGCAGUUCAGGAGGAUAUCAGAGAUUGGAUCUGGUCAGCAAAAAACCUGAGAAAAUAGAAGGAAGAGGAGGAAACAGGUUGCCAAAGCUUGACUUCCCUGUGUUUGAUGGAGAGAAUCCUAGGGAAUGGGUCAGGAGAGCCAACAAGUACUUCCAGAUCCAGGGAGUGGAAGAGGAGCUGAAAUCUGAUCUGGCUCAACUGCAUCUCAAAGGGAAGGCAGACAUCUGGUUCCUUGGAAUGUACCAUGGAAGAGCUGAAGUUUCUUGGGAGGAGCUAUCCAGGGCCAUUUGCGAGAGGUUUGGAGGAGGAACACCAGAAGAGACCAUAGAAGAAUUCAACAAGCUGGCUCAGACUGGUAGUGUGAUUGACUACCUGGAAAAAUUUGAACUACUCAAAUCCCUGGUAAUGCCUCUACUACCCAACCAACCUGACUCUUAUUAUAAAUCCUAUUUUCUGAGUGGCUUGAAGGGGGAAAUUGUAAACAUGGUGAGGAUGGCUAGACCCCGCGCUUUGGCAGAUACUAUAGAAGCUGCUAAGCUGCAAGAGAAGAAUUUAGAAGUUAUAAGGAAGGCACAGAGGGCACUACCCCACGGGGCCCCAUACCAUUCCAACUCCCUAGGAGGCAACAGGCCAAACCCUGUCCCACAAAUGAGGAACAAAUGGCACCAUGAAGGCUCUAGGGUACUCAGGGACAAUGACCACAGGGGGCCCAAGGCAGGGGGAAACACAACAGACAAUUUCAAGAAAAUCUCUCCCACAGAAUUCAACUACAGGAGGGAGAAGGGAUUAUGCUACAAGUGUGCAGAACCUUACACUCUAGGCCACAUCUGCAAGCAAGCUAAUUGAAGAUGAACCAACUGAGCUAAUUGAAGUAGCUGAAGGGGAAGUGGAUGAAGGAGAAGAGUUUUGUGACUGUAUUGAGGGAGGAAUCAGUAAUGAAAGGAUAGAGGUUUCAAUCCACACAUUGUCUGGAGGAAAUGGACACAGCACCUUUAAGCUAAAGGGGGUACUGGCAGGAAGGGAACUCUUAAUUCUGGUUGACAGUGGCAGCACCCAUUGUUUUUGGAUGAAAGGGUGGCUUCCCACCUACAACUGCAGGUCCCCUGGUAGUUAGAGUGGCUAAUGGGGAAAGGUUGGAGUCCAGACAGCUCAGCAGACCACUAAACUGGAAGGUACAGGGACAUGAGUUUCAGCACCACUUCAACACUUUGCAACUAGGGAGUUGUGAUAUGGUGCUGGGGUGGACUGGCUGGCCAGAUAUAGCCCCAUCGAAUUUAACUUCAACCAGUUGAGCAUGAAGUUCACAAGAGGGAAGGAGGAAGUGGAGCUGAAGGGUGAAUCUAAUAAGCUUAAGCUGACAGCCAUUAAAGGAAGCAAGUUGAUGAAGUGGAGGAGGAAGCAAGAGUAUGGAGUAACUGCACUUCUCACCAUACUGGAGGAAGGACAGGAAGAGGUGCCAACAGGAGUGAAACAGAUGCUAAACCAGUACCAGGAUAUAUUUGCUGAACCACAGGGCCUACCUCCUCCUAGGAGCCAUGACCAUGGGAUACCACUCAAAGAAGUGCCAGACCAUUCCAAAUCAGACCCCACAGAUGUCUUUAUGUGCAGAAGUCAGAAAUAGAAAGGCUGGUCAGGGAAAUGCUACAAAUGGGAAUUAUACAGCCUAGCAACAGCUCCUUUGCCUCUCCAGUCCUGUUAGUCAAAAAGAAGGAUGGGAGCUGGAGUUUUGUAUGGACUACAGGCAACUCAAUGAGCUCACAGUGAAGGAUAAAUUCCCAAUGCCUCUGAUUGAUGAGCUGAUUGAGGAAUUACAUGGAUCCAGGUACUUCACUAAAAUUGAUCUAAGGGCAGGUUACCAUCAGAUCAGGGUCAAGCUGGAGGACAGACAUAAGACUGCAUUCAGGACUCAUCAGGGACUAUACGAAUUCAAGGUGAUGCCAUUUGGCCUAACUAAUGCCCCUGCCUACUUUUCAGAGCUUAAUGAACCAGGUUUUCAAGGAGCAACUGAGGAAAUUUGUGAUAGUGUUCUUUGAUGACAUCUUGGUGUACAGCCCCACACUGGAAACUCAUCUCCAACACGUGACAGUAGUUUUGGACCUGUUAAGACAGCACCAACUGUUUGCAAAGCAGAGCAAAUACUGCUUUCCACAGACUCAAAUGGAGUACUUGGGCCAUAUAAUCACUGCUGAAGGAGUGCAGGCAGACCCUAAGAAAAUUGAAGGGAUGAUGAACUGGCCACGGCCUGGAAAUGUGAAACAACUAAAUGGAUUUCUAGGAUUGACAGGCUACUACAGGAAAUUUGUAAGGGGUUAUGGUUCCAUUGCCAAACCUCUAACAACACUGCUGAAAAAGGGGGAUUCCAAUGGAAUGAGGAGGCUGAGGAGGCAUUCCAGAGGCUUAAGAUGGCAAUGUGCAGCACACCUGUGCUAGCCUUGCCAGAUUUCAAUAAGACAUUCAUCAUAGAAACAGAUGCAUGCUAUGGAGGAAUUGGAGUAGUGCUCAUGCAAGACAGGAGGCCUAUUGCUUAUUUGAGUCAGAGCUUAGGAGCAAAGAACUUAGGACUAUCCAUUUAUGAGAAAGAGCUUUUGGCACUGGUUAUUGCAGUUACCAAGUGGAAACAUUACUUGGAAGGACGUCACUUCACCAUCAGGACAGAUCACCAGAGCCUCAAAUAUUUGCUUGAUCAAAGGGUCACUACUCCACUCCAACAGAAGUGGCUUACUAAGCUAUUGGGAUUACACUAUGACAUUCAAUACAAAAAGGGCAGGGAGAAUGUUGUUGCAGAUGCACUAUCCAGAAGAAGCAGCAAGGAGGAAGGGAGAUUGCAGAAACGACAUGUGUGUCAUUCCUGAGUGGGUCAAAGAGGUGGAGGAAAGCUAUCAAGGAGAUGCAGAAGUUCAGGAGAUGAUCAGGAGUCUGAUCCUCACACCAGGGUCUCUACAGGACUACUCCUGUCAAAAUGGGAUACUCAAAUACAAGGGAAGGGUGGUAGUAGGAAAUGGAGGUCAAAUCAGGAGGAAAAUCAUCACUGCCCUCCAUGAUUCACAGCUAGGAGGCCACUCUGGUGUACAAGCUAGCUAUCUGAGAGCCAAGCAGUUCUUCCACUGGCCAGGGAUGUAUAAGGAGGUCAAGGAUACAAUGUUGCAGUGUAACACCUGUAGGAGAUGCAAGGACGAACAUGUUGCCUAUCCUGAUCUCCUGCAACCACUACCCAUACCUCAGUACUCCUGGAGUCAUGUCACCAUGGAUUUUAUUGAGGGGUUGCCUACUUCAGAAAGGAAAGAUACAAUCCUGGUCACAGUGGAUAGGUUCACUAAGUAUGCUCACUUCACCAAUCUAACUUAUCCUUUUGAUGCCCCAACAGUGGCCAGAGUCUUCCUGGAUCAGGUCUGUAGGCUACAUGGCAUGCCACUAAGCAUGCUGUCAGACAGAGAUAAGAUAUUUACCAGUCAGUUCUGGACAGAAUUAUUCUCACUAAUGGGGACUGAACUAUGCUUAAGUACAGUUUAUCACCCUCAGACCGAUGGUCAGUCUGAGAGGGUGAAUCAGGUACUGGAAAUGUACCUACGAUGCAUGACACACUAGGAGCCCAAGAGGUGGAAUGCCUGGCUAUCAAUGGCAGAAUGGUGGCGUAUAACACCACUUAUUACACUGCCAUACAGAUGAGCCCCUUUGAAGCACUAUAUGGAAUGAAACCACCUCAACUAGCUUUGGGUGUAUACUCACAUUCUAAGGGUAGCCACAGUGGCAGAACACCUACAGGAAAGGGAGAGAAUUGAAGGAUUAAUUAAGAAGAACCUAGAGGAGGCCAAAAACAGAAUGAAGGUCUAUGCUGAUAGAAGGAGGACUGAAAGGGAAUUUGAGGUUGGAAAUUGGGUAUAUCUUAGGUUGCAACCCUACAGGCAAAAUUCUGUGGAGAUGAGAAGCAACACCAAACUAUCAGCAAGGUACUUUUGGCCUUAUCAAGUAAUCCAAAAGAUAGGAAAGGUAGCCUACAAACUUCAGCUCCCAGCUUCAUCACGAAUACACCCAGUUUUCAUGUUUCACUGCUAAAGAGGAAGAUAGGACAGAAGGUGGUUCCAGUACUACAAUUACCAGACACAAAUGAGAAGGGUCACUUCAGGAUAGAGCCAAUAGCUGUGCUAGAUCGAAGGAUUGUUAAGAAAAAGAAUGCAGCAGCAGUCCAAUGGUUGAUUCAGUGGUAGGGAACCUCUCCUGCAGAAGCAAAGUGGGAAGAUGCAGAAGAGAUAGAACGCAAAUUUCCAGAAUUCCAAUCUUGAGGUCAAGAUUGAAUUGCAGGGGAAGCUAUUGUCAUGAAGCCAAACUGAAGGCGUGAAGACAGAGUAAGGGAAGGCGCAAAAUAGGUAGAAGGAGCAAAGGAAAGCGUGGUUUCAAGACCACGCCUUUAGAUGGAAGAUGAUUCUGCAACAGACGCACAUGAAGAAAUAACAAACUUUCAAAUCAGCUGCAACGGUCUCUCAGCCACUUGGUCACGCCAAUUGGAAGCUACGAAGUUAGUUAUCAGCUGAUUAUCUAUAAAUAGGAUAGAUGGAAUGUAUUAGGCAAGAAAAUCUUUCGUGUAAUAGCAACAGAGAUUGGGCUGAGCCUUUUCUGUUCCUUUUCCCCAAUUCCUGCAAUCUUGUUCAUCUUCUUAACUUUUCCCGCCCUUUCUGUAUCUCUUAAUCCUUACACCAAUUGCAGCUAUCUGAGUUAAUUCCACAUCUUAGCUUUUCAAUUGAUUGAUUAUUAUCCAGUCGAAUUGUUCAUUUCUGUUAUUGGAUUCAAGGUUUCCACAUAGCUCAGUCUGGUACCAUUACAGAGAUCACUUUGGAAUGGAUUUAGAUUGAUCCCAUCCAAUACUCAAAUCUAUUUCAUGCAUUCUUUUUUAUUGAAUUCUUCUUUUAGGCUUUGAUUGAAUUAAGAAAUUUGAUGAAGGAUUUAAACUCCAUCCAAGUUGCUUUAGUUGCAUAGAUUAUUUAAGAGACAUUUGAGUUUAUAAUUAAUCAAUUAUUAAAAUAUAUUGUAAACACUAUAAUAAUUUACAAUUUACAAAAUUCAAAUAUCUCGUAAAUAAUCUAAAUAAUUAAAGGAAUUUGAGAGAGUUUCAAAUCAUUCGUCAAAUCUCUCAGUCCAAAUGCAACGUUAUUGUUUUUCAUAUAUAACUUAUAAUACAUAUAUAUUUUUUUAUUUUUGAUUUCCAAUGUUUCUAAAUUUUAGUUGAGAAAAAAAAUUCCUAUGAAACUGUAAAAAGACUUGUACUUAUGAUUAUUAUAGAUAUUAUCAGAUUUCUUAAUUUCUUAAAUAUUAUGAGACAAAAAUACUAGUACUUAUGAAAAUUGUAGCUGUGCAUUCUUCUUCUAUUAGGUCUCUAGAGGUGUAUUUUUGGUUUGCAAAUUGUUUAGAUAGGAGUUUUUUUGGACAAGAAUUAAAUUUCUCAUGAGAUGUUUGGAUCCCAAUGAGAACUCAAGUAUUUUUCCAAAAAUUUUCAUUAAUUGAUAGGUAUAGAUGGGAUUAGUCCCAUGUUAGGCCAAGUUUCAAAAUCACUAAACCCGUCCCACUCAAAGUUCAGGUGGACAUGGGUAGCCCAUUGAGACUUAGGACAAGUUACCAUCUCCACAACUGAUAUUUUAUUAACAUUAAUAAUUUAUAUAAUACUUCAAGAACUAGUUCACUAUGAUGUUUGGAUAGGAGAUCAUUUAGAAAAAUUAUUUGAAUGACACUUUAACAUUUUUUAUGAUAUGAUAUAUUUGAGAUAAAAAGGUGGCCGAUAAUAUAAGAAAUUGAUUGAAAAAUAUACUUAUAAUGCAAGCUAAAUAAUAUUUGGAAAUAAAAUCCAUAUCCAAACAGACCAUAAUGUUCUAUGUUAUUUUUGUGAUUCUCAGAGCCUUUGAUCUCAACCAGCCAAAGAGCCGCCAAAUUUUCAAAAAUUAGUUAGUAUCACACUAGCUUGCAAUUACCUUUCCUUCCUCCCAUGACUAUUGAUGAAGAAAUUCUUGCAACGACAUUACAGCUCCUUUCUUCUCCCCAAGUCCCCCAGACCUACCUCAAUCCCACCUCCUACAACCUCCCAAAUCAUCCAUCUCUGCAGGUCUGGUUAUCUUUCUGAUGCAAUUCACCUCCUAAACUGCACACAUUCAGACUUCUGCAAAGUCUCCUCACGACCCCCAAUACUCUACGCAACUUUAAUUCAAGCAUGCACCAAGUUAUCUUCCUUCGCACAGGGCCUUCAAUUCCAUGCCCAUGUCAUCAAAUCAGGCCUGGAAACAGACCGUUUCGUAGGAAACAGUCUGCUGGCUCUGUACUUCAAACUGUGUCCGAAUUUCCGGGACACCCGGAAGGUGUUUGAUGGAUUGUUUUACAAGGAUGUUGUGUCUUGGAGUUCAAUAAUAUCAGGGUAUAUUCGCAUGGGAAAGCCCGGGUUUUCGAUUGAUUUGUAUAUGGAAAUGGUGGGUUGUGGAGUUGAGCCAAACGGGUUUACGUUGUCUGCUGUUAUUAAAGCGUGUGCAGAACUUGGAGAGUUGAGAUUGGGGAAAUGCUUUCAUGGGGUUGUGAUAAAGUGUGGGUUUCAGUUUAAUCAUGUCAUUGCUAGUGCUUUGAUUGAUAUGUAUGGGAGAAAUUAUGAGUCAGGUGAUUCGCGGAAAUUGUUUGAUGAGUUGAUUGAACCGGAUGCAAUCUGUUGGACUUCGGUGAUUUCUGCUUAUACAAGGAAUGACUUGUAUGAGAAAGCUCUUGGAUUUUUUUACAGGAUGCAUAGGAAGGGUGGGUUAUUUCCCGAUGGCUUUACGUUUGGGAGCCUUUUGACUGCUUUGGGAAAUUUAGGAUGGUUGAAGCAUAGUAGACAAGUUCAUGCUAAGGCAAUUGCAGCUGGAUUCUCUGGAAAUGUGUUCAUUGAGAGUAGUUUGGUGGAUACGUAUGCGAAGUGUGGAUUGGUUAAUGAAUCUCAGCUUGUUUUUGAUAGAAUGAUAGAGAAGAAUGCAGUUUCAUGGUGUGCAUUGCUUGGAGGUUAUUGCCAAAAGGGUGAUUUUGAAAAGGUUGUCGAGCUUUUUAGGCACAUGGAAGAGGUUGACCUUUAUAGUUUUGGAACAGUUCUCCGUGCCUGUGCAGGUUUGGCUGCUGUCCGCCCAGGGAAGGAAGUCCAUUGCCAGUAUCUAAGAAGGGGUGGCUGGAGAGAUGUUAUUGUAGAAUCAGCCUUGGUUGAUUUGUAUGCAAAAUGUGGCUGUGUUGAUUUUGCUUUCAGAAUUUUUUCACAGAUGCCAGUCAGGAAUUUGAUAACGUGGAACUCAAUGAUCUCUGGAUUUGCUCAGAAUGGAAGGGGAGGAGAAGCUAUUAAAAUGUUUAAUGAGAUGAUUAAACUGGGGGUCAAGCCUGAUCGUAUUAGUUUUGUAAGUGUUCUUUUUGCUUGUAGUCAUAGUGGGUUGUUAGAUCAAGGUCGUCAAUACUUUGUAUCGAUGAAAGAUAAUUACGGAAUCAAAGCUGAAAUUUCACACUAUAGUUGCAUGGUAGACCUUUUAGGUAGGGCAGGCAAGAUAGAAGAUGCUGAAGAUUUGAUAAAUAGUUCAGAAUUUAGAAAUGAUUCAUCUUUGUGGGCAGCUCUUCUUGGUUCUUGUACUACAGGUACAGAUCCUACUGUUGCAGAACGUAUUGCUAAGAAAAUGAUGGAACUGAAACCUGAUUAUCAUUUAAGUUAUGUUCUUUUGGCCAACGUCUAUAGAGAAAUUGGCCGGUGGAACGAUGCUCUUGAGCUCAGGAGGCAAAUGCAGGAUAAAAAGGUUAACAAGAUGCCUGGGAUGAGUUGGGUUGAAACUAACUCCGGCAUCAGUUUUUUGUCUUAUGAGAAUCCUUUGGAAAUGCCUGCAAGAGAUCUUGUUGAAGAGGAAAGGGGUUCAAUUUUGUCGGUGGAAUCAUAGAAUUAGUCAUGAAAUAUUAUUUUAUCUCUUUCAACCUUCAUGAAGCCAAGAUAUAGUGAUUCAAGAUAUAUGGUGAUAUCAAUCAUCGCAGUCUUGACUUUCUUGUAUUUGUAUGACAUUACGAUCAAGGUGAUAGUCUUGCUCCUCAAGGUGAUUUAGAGCAACUGCCUGAAUAGCUACUUUAAGCAUCCUCCGCACCCAGAUUGAGCAGCAAGGUGGGAAUGUUCUCCCAUGCUGUGAAGUUUGCCGAGAUUGUUUACUCAUAACUGAACAAAUGUUAAGCUAAUCUAAUCUGAUGCUGUUUUAACAUAGCAACCUUUGUUAGAAUUACACUAAUGUAAUAUGGCAACCGGCUUCCUUUUUUUUUUUUUUUUUUGGCAAUUUGUAUUCUUAAUACACGUGCUGAUUCCGCUGCUACAUAUGAUGAUAAUAAAAUAUACAAAGUUUAUGCUGGCUCUUCCAGGUCUCAAAUAUGCAGAAAUGCACCUCUUGUAUGCAUGUUGAUGCAAAUCUGCUUACCACGCUUGCCCUGAUUUAACUAAGAAUGCAAAAGCCAAGUCGCCAAAUCAUUCAAAUAUCUUUCUUCUUUUAGUUUUUCCGGUCUAAUUAUGGAAAUUCGUUUUAGAAUUGUGUAGAUACUCUACAUCAAAACUCGGCCUUCUUUCAAUUCAUGCUGUUGCUGGCACCGUAUAUAAAGAUUACACAACCAUUUCGGGGCCCUAAAUAACUGGUUUUUGUUUUCCUAUUGCCUCGUGCAUACAUAUUUUCAUUUCAUUAAGAUCUUCGUCACAAUUCUUGAUAUUAGAAGUCCAUUUUUUUAUCCAUUUCUCAAGGAGAAAUACAACUACACAACAUGGAUUUUUCUUUCCGGUGCAAUCAAGCCAAGUACCUGAUUAGGAACUGAACUAAUCUUCUGAUUGAGAACCUUGGAAGUGUCAUUUCGCCAUCCCAUUCUUGAAUUAUCAAGUCAGAACACAUAUAUUUCAAAUUACAAAGCCUGAAAUAUCGGUGAGCUGUGAGUGAUCCACCAGCCGGUGAGAGAAAAUCAUAGUCUAUGUCACGCAGCUUCGAAGAGCAACCUCAGAAAUAGCAGUUUACUUGGCCAUGAUUUCCAAAUGCUGCCAGCAUGAAGCACAGUCCAUCUCACAGUCUCUGUCUCCAUCUUUGUUGCCUGCCAAGGUAAAGCAUCAAAGACUGUUCAGACGAGACCUAUAUACAAUGAGAAGCUGUAGGACAGUAGAAAGGAGUGCACAAGCACAACCAACCCGAAUAAUCCAUAAGAAUUAAAACUGUAUCAAGCACAUUCAAGCUUCUCUUGAAAUGACUGUACAUUUAUCGUUCUGAAGUGAACUAUCAGACAACAAACAAGCAAAUCAUGAAUCAGGCAUAUCCAUUCUCCGUUUAUCAUUCUGAUCAUUUUGCUUUCUAUCUGCUUGACACGAACAAGAAUUCAUACCGUCAGAUUUCACAUGCUAGUUCAAAUCGAUGGAUGAUGUUAUUAAACUUCUUUGAACGAAUAAUGGAGAGUUCUAUCUCUUGCUCUCAUAUCCCCAUGAAAGCAGUAGCAAUAUAAUCUAACAUUCUUACCCUCAGUAAAGAAUUAAGACAUAGAAGAUCAAUAGUAAGGCGAAAUUUUUCUGUACCAUAAACAUGAGGCCACACAUGCCCUUUAGUAGAAAGCAAGCUUACAAGGCAAAUCAUCAGGCAUGUGCAUCAUUUAUCUAACUGGUUUGUGGCAUCAUGCUUAGAAACGUUUUCAUUCAAAGUUCAAAGUUCUCUGAAAAUGGAAAAUGGUAUCCCAUCAUUAAAGAAACUAUACUCGUGAGCUAUCUUUUCUGGAAGCACAUGCACAAACAAAUAUAUUGGGCUAUUAUAUUGCUAUUUUUGUUCUGAAUUAUAUAAAGAUCUAUAGUAUUAUCCAUGGAUUACUCAAAAACUAACUUCGAAUUCCAACAUAUCUCACUUUAAAGUCAAGAAAUCAAAAUCACAUAUGAGAUCAAACACACAUUGCAUUCAUGUUGGAAACCAGAAAUCCACCAUAUGUGAUCCCAAAGAGUAAUUAUUGACCAAUGUUUUCCAGCAAAAUUCCAACACAAACAGUUCAGAAAACUUCAGACAUUUCAUUAGAAUUGGUUGUUGUGAAGAAUAUGAGGUAAGAAGUGUAUGUUUAUUUCAUGCAGGCGCACUUGAAUUACUGUAGGUGUCAUUGCCAUGCACAGGUUGGUCCAAAACCAUGAAUUCGGAUUAAAAAAGGUUUGCAGGUGGAAAAGGCUUUGGGUUUCGCACCCCAAAAGUGCAUUUGGUUUGACUGUCAGUUGUUUAUUAUGUAAAAGGUUAAACUGACAAUGGAGAUGCAUCAUUGAAUCUUCAUAUGCAUUUGAAAUAUAGUGUCUGACGAUGCUGAUGAUGUCUUGAUGCGUCUGAGAGUGUAUUGGUGUGACUUGGAAAAAGAAGAGGAACAAAAGUAACGAGAUAAUCAGAGAAAGAGAAGUCCAUUUCUUGAAAUCUCUACAUUUACAGAAACCUAAUAAAAGCAUCAGUAUUUUUAAUUUUAAUUUCAAAUUCAGAGUAAAUAUAGCAAUGUUAUUGAAACUAACCCCACAUAACUUUACCACUUAAGUUACCUGCCAUAUAUUUCUUUGGUUCUUUUAUUCUUUCUGCUUCAUAGUUACCUCACUGAAUGGAAACAUAUUCUACAAGGAAGAUAGCAAGAUCCAGAAGAUAGCUUGCUGUCAAAUUCAAUUAGGAUUAGAUUGUACGGAAGCUGUACUAACACUGAUAUCUUGUCUGACUCAGGUCUAUGAAUUUUUUGCUAAAGAGGUAAGUACAACUGUUCUGUCCAGUCAUCCAAGCAUGUUUGCAUCCUCUCUAGGUUUAAAACAGCUUCAUAUCCCAAUGUCAGACAGUUACAGCAAUGAAUCCUCAAAAAGCUUUUUCGGCCUCAGCUUUAACUUACAACAUGGUGAACUUAAAUUGUUGUUGCCACAACAGCUCCUUCAAAAAUAUUUGGAAGAGAAGGGCAUAUAGUACAGCAAUUCAUGCAUCAAACAACUUGAAACCUAUGUAAUUUUUUCCUUUUGCUUUUCCUUGUAGCCUUCUCUUUCAGCUCUUACACCACCACAUAAUGCAGCAAUUGAUGCCGUUCCAGGUUAAUUAAAGACGGUCAAACCAAUCCUCUUAUAUUCAAACUCUCCAAACAAAAAGCCCCAUGACUCAUAAUCACACUGGUCAUAUGUGAAGUAUACUAACAUUAAUAGUAGCAAAAAUGCUUUACUAAUUGUAUAGCUUUAAGAGCCAGCAUAUGAAGUAUUCACUUUCUGUAUCCAUAACAGAUUAUGCGUGCCAAAAUUACUAUAUGCAUCUCUGGCUUCCUCUUCUGACGCUUGUGGACUGAAAGAACUUUCUUCAGAGACAUCCUCAGUGUCAAAUCAAAGCAUGGUUUUACAUCAAAAGCAAAUUUAAUCUCUUGAUUCACCAGCUCAGCAAGGUCAUUCCUGUUGGUGUUUCUGUAUGCACUUAUAAUAGCCUCAUAUAGUGAUUCACUGGGCUCAAUGUCUCCAUAUUUCAAUUGGCUGUGAAUUCGUUUUAUGCCUUCAACCAUGCCAGUCUUCCCAUAACAACUUACAAGAUGAAUGAGGGUGACAACGUCAGGUUCUACUCCCUUAUCUUGCAUUCUCAUGAACACAUUCAAUGCCUCAUCAGUGUUCCCUGAAGCCCCAUAAGCAUAUAUUGCUGCAUUAUAAGCAAAGAACCAAGGGCUAUCUCUGCUUUCACAAGGAUUUGACAGGAUUCAAGUGCAAAAGCAUGCAAACCAACUACAGAAAAAACGCAGGUUAUCACAGCUUGCCUUGCAAAAGGUUUUCCUUCCUGAUAAGAUGACUCAAGUUGUCUAACCGCUUCAGUUGGAAGACCUCCCUUCUUCAUUACUGUAAAUAAUACUUUGAAGGUCCCUGUGUCUGGCAAAAGCUUUUGCUCACCCAUUUCAUGCAACAACUGGCCGCAGGCAACUAGCUGGCCAUUUGUAGCAUAACAUGCCAUCACCUUAUUAAAUGCAGCACAAUCCCUCAACAAACCAGAAGCUUUCAUCUCCUCAGCAACAGCAAUAGCUUCAUCAAGCAUGCCCAUGUUCUUAUAAACAUACAUCAUGGUAGCAAAUGUGACUCCAUCUGCCCAACCUUUUUCUUUCAAAUGAUCAAACAUCAGUUUUGCUUCAGAGACCAUUCCUAAUUCGGCAUAAAGAUUAAGCAUACUGUUGGAUGCCACUAUAUCAGGACCACCUUCCAUGUUCUUCAUCUUCUCAUACAGUCGUUUUGCUCCUUCAGCACAUCCAACUUUACUAAAUGCCUUAAUCAUGGAGGUUAAAAUUAUUUGGUUUGCUGGAAACCCAGAUGCUUCCAUAUGUGGAAAUGGUAAACUGCUUCUUCAAAUUUUCCAGCUUCUGCAAACCCAUUUAUCAAAGAUCCAUAAACAACUUCAUUUGGUCUUACACCUGCUUUUGACAUCUCUUGGAAGACACUAAUUGCAUCAGAAAAUCUCCCAAUUCGGGCAUAAUUUGCAAUCACUGAUGAGAAAGUCAGACAGGAUGGUUUAAAUCCUGCUUCUCUCAUCUCAGCCAGUAAGUCCCUUGCUUGGUCCACUAGAUCACUCCCAGCAAACAUUUGGAUAAGAGAAUUAAAAGUACAUUCAUCUGGCCAUGUCCCAUGAUUUUUCAUUCCUUGAAAAGUGAAAAAGCUUUGUCAUACAGCCUUGCCUUACCAUAAGCCUUGAUCAUGACAUUGUACUCUAGAACUUCCUUCUUUUGUCCAGAUAUGUCCCUCUUACUGAAGAACACAGCCUCAGCUUCAGCCAAAGUCCCUUUUCAGCAUAAACAUCCAUAAUUGCAGCAUAUGACCUUGAUGUCAGUCUACCAGUCAAUUGUCCCUUCUCAAACAGUGCAUUUGCCAUUUCAUUCAAUCCUUCAUCGACAUACAUCUUCAUAACAACAGGAAGAGAGUGUUCAUCAAUAUGCUUGCCUGAUUUCUCCAUUUCUUCAAUGACAGCCUCUACCUCUUGAACCAUAUUCCUCUUGCAUAGUAGCUGAAGAACUGCCCUAAAGGUUACUUCAUCGGGAAAAAGACCAACUCCCUUAUCUUGCGAUAAUACUGAAGAGCAGUAUCUACAUUUCCCUGAUCUGCAUACAAAGAUAAGAAAAUAUUGUAGGUCUUUGUAUCAGGAUUUAUUCCCUUCUUUUCCAUCUCAUCAAGCAAAGCCUCUGCCUCUGACAAAUGACCAUGACUUCCACAAAUGAAAAUCAUGGUGUUAAAAGUAAUUGUAUCCAUAGCCACCCCAGAACUUAACAUGCUGCAAACACAUCUCCAGCAUCUUUCAACCGCCCUGCCUUCCUACAAAUCAAUCAAAGUAUUAUAAGUAGCUGUAAGCCUUGGUUUUUGAACAGACAUUUCUCCAUCAGUUGAACCCCAAUCACUAGAAAGACUGUUUCUACUGCCUGUCCUGAAAAGUUCAGUUAAUAGAAAAUGCUUCAAACUAACAGGUCCCAACCCAUCCUUGGAUUGCACAUCAUCCAUCGAAUCAAGAUCAUCCAGUUCAAUUUUCCCAGCACACCAAUCCUUAUAAAACCUAUCCCCUCUAUCAUAUUCCCCUGCAUCCUUCAAUACCCUCACCACGGUAUUCAUUGUCACCUCAUCUGGGAAUAGCCCCCUCAACUUCAUAUGCCUAAUCCACAGCAGUGCCUCUUUCACGAGACCUGCUUUCCCAUACACAUCAACCAGCAUCCCAUACGUAUUAUUUGUUGGCAAAACACCUUUUUUUGCCAUUUCAAUCCAACAAAGCCUCAAUUGAUCCCAUUUUUUCGCCCUCCCCAACGACCUAAGCACAACAUUAUAAUGAAUCACAUUAGGGACAUACUCUUUCUGUGACUUCAUCCACUCAAACACCCUCAAAACCUUCUCCCACCUACCUUGCUCUUUGAGAAUAACAGUCAACUCCUUAGCAUUAAGCUUCCCAUAAUGCAGCUCAAGAACCUUUUCAACAUCAUUUUCGCUUUCUAGAGACCGUAAAAUUGAAGGCAAAAUGCCCCCGUACCUUCUUUUCUUAGUACUACCUACACUUCUUGUUGGUAAAGUUGCAGCCUUUGAACAGCACUGCAGCUUAAACCCUACUAAAACCCCAUUUUCUUUAAAGUUUUGCUUCUGGGCUUGUGGGAUUUUCACUGUUCUGUAAAGGGUCUGAUUAGUUCGCGAAUUUGAGCUUAGUUCCCAUCUUUGCUUUUUGGAUGAAAAGUUUUUUGUUGGAAGCUAAACCCAUAAAAACCUGAAACUGAAAGGAGAAUUGAAGUUUUGAAGCUUACUUGGUGGGGAAAAGAUGUGGCUUUGGAUUGAGUUUUGGAGAUUUUCUUGAUUUCCCACUGGUGAAAGCUCUAUGCAUCUGCAAGUAUUCGUCAGGAGCAUCAUAAUUUUCUUACUUUUCUUGCAUAAAUUGUUCUCUGUUCUUGAAACUGGAAGUUGUUUUCAGUUUUUGGCAAUAGGAGGCAUAAAAGCAUUUUAUACAUACAAGUGAAGGCAAAAUGGGGAAACCGGGAGGGGGGGGGGAAACAAGAAGAAAAAUGCCGUGUCCUAAAUAAUUUCAAUUGCACACUAUUGCUGUAUGUCCAUCUUUUAAAUAAAAAAUUUUAGUUAUAUCGUUUUUCAAAAAUUGAAAAAUAUAAAAAAAGUAUAAAGCUCUAUAUAAUAAAUCAUUAAUUGCCAAAAAGGAUUAUUAAUUGGUUGUUGGUUUAUAACCUUUUUGUGUUUUUGCUUAUCAAGCAAGUUUCUUAAACAGUAAUUGCUCUAAUUCUAUAAUUUUCCUAUUGGCAUAUGUUUUAGUACCAUACUAGAAACAAGAAAGAAACCAGACUGAAUCUGUUACUCCUACUGGCAUAUAAUGAAUCGACUGGAAAAUAUCUAAUUGGAAAAGUUGUAAUUGGAAUAUCUAAUUGCAAUCCACAUUCAAGUCAUUCGGCUCCCCCACUUUCCAUUUCCUUGACGAUUUAACACAGUUUAAACAAGAUAUAUUUCACGAUAAAUUGCAUGUACAAUUUUAGAAAAGAUAUUAUAUUUUGUUACUUUUUAUAUGAGUUCGUCUAUAAUAGUUGUGUCACAAUUACAUAACAUUCUCUAUAUCUUAUAUUUUAAAACUAUGCUUUAUUGACAUAUUUUGGACCGUGUUAACGGUUAAGAACAGUUUUCUUACCCAAAAUUGAAAGGAAAAAUGUUACUACUUGUACAAUUUGAUAAGAAAUAUUUUAUAUUUUGUUAUUGUUGUAUGAAAAUUGUGUAACAUUCUCUAAAUUGUACAUUUUAAAAUUAUUCUUUGUUAGCAUAUUUUGGGCCAUAAACAGUAAAAGCGGUUUUCCUUACCAAAAAUCAGAAGGGGGAAACAAAAAAAAACUGCCUUUGUCUUCUCUAUCCUUACCCUUUGUGUAAUGUCAAAACAGUUUUAAAAAGUUUCCUGUAUAGAGACUCUCCAAAAUAUAUCAUUAAACAGGAGGAUAUGUAGUAGAACUGAACCAAGUUACAGAAACACAGAAAAACAGAAGUUACUGCAUCAGUAAUACAGGUACUAAGAAAUGUUUGUUCCUCACCUACUCUAAAUUUGAGCAUCAACUACUAUGUGUCAAUAUAUCUAAGAAAUUACAUUUGAAUCGGUAAAACAAGCCAUCCAAUCGAUGAUGAUGCGAACAAAUAUCGAUCAAAAAAUUUUCAGAACUCUGUCAAAAAUUCUGGAAUGGCAAAACAUGAAACACAGGGACCUCCCUAGACAUGAGGAGUAUCAUAAUGCUGCCAUCACGGUUGACCUUGCAGCUUCCUUCCUCAUCUCCGCAGCUUUGCCACUUCCUCGGAAAUACUCGUACACUUGCUGUAUUUCAUAUUAAAGCAACAAAACAAUUCCUCAGAUGAUACCAACCUACACAGAGAAGCUGCAAACAGGAGCAAUCAACUAACCUGAAUGACCCAUAUGCUGAUCAGUGAUUCAAUUGCGAAAAAGGCAAAUCCAAUAAAGUAAAAUAUCUGCACGGAAAUCUCAGAAGGCGUCAAAUAAUCUCUCUAGAUGGUCAGCUCUUUCUACUUCAUCAAAGCUCAGCAUCUAACAACAGCAAACUCAAUUUGAUGAAUGCAUGGAACAAAAAUCUAUCAACUAAUAAUGAUUUUUAUUGUUCUUUCCUUCAGAUAUGAUGACCAUUUUCUGCACUCAAGACAAAUGAAAUCAGAAUACAUACCCCCACCAACACAUUCGAACUUAAAACUUCAAUAGCAGGCAAGAUUCCACUGUAUACACAAAGCAAACAGGAGACAAGAGCAUUAGUAGCGGAAUAGAAACUGUUAACCAACAUGUAUAAACAAAGAAAAUAGCUAGAAAAGAAUUUAUGCAGUUUCUGCCCAUUGGUCAAAUCACGUACACAGAUAUCUUAAUCCGACUCCCCCAUCAGCCAAAUAAUGUGUUUGCUAAUGAAAUAUAAUGAUGAUAAAAAUGUAAUUCAAACCAAAUAAGAUGAGAAACUUACGUCAGAGAUUUCCCCUUAAAAAAAAGUGGAGGCGCAACAGCAGCAACAAUGCAGAAGCCAAUGUGGAACUGAUUUAAAGAAAACAAAGCUUAAAAUGAGAAUAUAUGAGAUAAAGCCAAAGUAGAAUACAUAAGAUGAAGUCAAAUUGAGGAUAUCAUACGCGUAACACAAGAAAAACCAUCCAAACUUCAGUGCACUAUCUGUCUGCGCAAGACAAACAAAUGAAAUUCGUAGAGCAUGUCACAUGGAAAAAACAUAAAAAGACAGCAGAAAAAAAUUGAUCACAGAAGAACAUAAACCGUGCACAUGCAUUUUCUAAAUACAAAACCAAACAAAAUAUGCAUAUCUGUUUAAAUCAGCUCCUCUACAAGAGCUUAGACAAAAUAAUGGACCAUAUUUAGGACACAUGUUACUAUAACCACAUAAUCAAUAUUAUUAUAUUUUUAUUUUGACAAAUCCAUGCACCACUUUGCUCAAGGAGGACAAGAUAGAACCAUAAAAAAAAAUUGAAAAAAAAUCAAUACUUAAUCAGUAAUCUUCAAAUGAAAAUGCUUGUUUGUGGUGCUAAGAUUAUAUUGUCUAACUAAGCAAGCAGUUGUACCAGAUUCUGUCAUUGAGUAAAAACCACUGGGCAGUGCAGAUUAGAGAAAAAAGAGUGCAGAGUACCUCAUUGCACGAUAGAGAGGACGAUACCACAACACAUAGGCUCCUGGAACGCCGGAGAUAAAAUAUAUAAUAGCAAGAAACCAGAUUGUCGGACCUAAUACAGAAAGAGGAUAAAAAGUAAGAAAGGUGAUAUAGUAUUGAAAAGAUUUACUAAGGUAUGAGGCUGCAAAAUUUUUUUUAAGCACCAACCUUCGCCUUUGAUCCAAGCUAAGGUAACUGCCAUGAUGUUCCAUAGAAGACAGCCAACCAAACCUGCAAAUGAUAAAUUCCAACAAUUUUAUCCAUCAAAAACUAUUACAAAUACGUCCACAUCAUGCUAUUCAAUUGGCAUAAGACAAAGAAAAAUUUCUUUAAACAAUCUUUAUACAAAUAAUCUAGAAAAUGUAUUCUUUAUUCAAAUUAAAAAGUGAUCAUCAAUACCCUGUAAUAACUUUGUAGUGUGCAAAAAAUAAAAUCCUGACCAACUUUCAAUUUCGUACUCUUUCUUGAGCAAAAACUAUCAUGACAACUGCAGUAACCUUUACUCCAAGAGGAAAAUGGGGGAUGAUUGAUGCAAAAAGGGGAAAAAAAAGUUUCUGUAAGUGUUGGCGCGUUAAUCACAAUACUCCUCUAACUGGUAACACAAAGCUAUGAAGUUUCACAUGCAAAAGCGAACUUUAUUUCUAAAGAUGAAUAUCCAAGCAAAUUUAAAGAGGCUAUUCACUAAGGUAAAAUAUCAUCUGAGAGACAUCUACAGUUGGUAUUCCCUUUGAAGUAUAUCCUACUAAUGACUUAUAUAAAACCUUAACAUUCUAGCUGGAUAAUUAUUAUACUGCCCAAUAAGCAAUGGCUUGAGGACAAACUAAUUUCCAAGUAAACAGAACCACAACAAUUUUACAGUUCAGUUAUUUGCAUAGAUGGGGAUAGAAGAUUUACUUUUGGGGGCCAUAAUAUUUUUGUCUAGCAUGCUACAAAAUUUUUAAUGAAUAUUUGAGGGGCGGGGCACCUUUAUAUUCUCAAUGACUUCUUUAAGAAUUUUCAACAAUUAAGCGAGAAAGUAUAAUUUUCUGCAUCUUGGGGAGCCUGGGUGGAGAGGUCUGUAUGUCAGUUUUCCAGCAUCCAAACGGAUCUUGAGCAUCGAAGUCUUUAAUUCUGAUGUUGGUGACCAACAAAAUGCACAGAAAUUUACUCAAUAUUCAGAGAACCCUGCUGAGCUUUCUAAGAACACCACUACAAAAUUACAAUAUGAGCAUACCUAUAUGGUCUAAAACUGCAGAUAUAAUAGUGAAAUAAUCUAUCAAAAGCAGAGCUAUAAGUGCGACAAGUAUAGAAUACAACAUUUGGAAAUAAAAACAUAAAAUCCUAAUAUAGGAGGAGCAAUCCCAGAGGUUUGAAUCAGAAGAAGGCAUGAGUGAAAAGCCAAAAAUUUGGACCCUGUGGACAUACCCAGGAAUGUUGUAAAUGCAACAUAUUGCAAUUUCUGAAGAUGGAUAGGAAUUUCAUUUGCAAUGUCAUGAUGAAUAAUAGGAAAAAAUGGUGGCCAGUUCUUUUCUUCUAUAACCACUCCGGCUGCCAAAAGCAAAUUUAGACAUUGUCAAAUGCUUGCUGUCUGGUACAGAAUAAAUCAAUCAUUCUGCUGCUAAAGAAGAAAAAUAUGAAUGAUGAGAAGUACCUCGAGCUACAGCAUCUUCCCUCCUUUUCAAUUCCUACAAAUGAUAAAAAAUACUAAAUUUUAAUGUAUUAAAAUGAUGAAAUGCCAGAAAGCAUGCAGAGUUAACCACAUUUCCGAAACAGAGUUGGACGGGAAUAUGGAAUUAAUCAAUGCUACUAAUAAUGUCUAAAAUCCACCAAAUAGAGUUGGGGAAUGUUUAGAUCUUCCACAUAAGUUACAAGUAGGUGCUGCAAUGCUAUAGUACAAAAUAGAGAUGUUCCAAUUUCUCUUCAGCACAUGCAAAUAUUAUCACAUACAAGAAGCUAGUGUUGAAUAUAGGGCCAGGAGUUUGCUUCAAUCCAAUUGAAAGCAAUCGGGCUCAACGAACCAUCAGGAACGCCAAGAGAGCUGACCAAGAAAAGUGCACGUGGUCUCAGUUGCCCUCAAAGCUUGCAACUUCUUUUCCCACAGCUGCAGCAUUUUCUAUUGAAAGGUAGCCGUAUUGGAGGAAAUCUGAGUCUUCUUCCAAAUUCCAAGGUAGACCUAAUGUGCUCUGCAAGAAGAUUCAUAACCAACUAGUCAUGCGCUGUAAGUUGACAUUUAACCGACUGUGGAAAUUGUUCAUUUUAUUUGUCAACAAUCAAUUAUCAAGAUAUGAACACUCUCUGCUCCUCAUGUUUUUCAUAUACAAAGGGUCACCCUGGAAAUUUAUCAGCAAUGGGUAUCAUUAGUUGCUUCUAACUUCUGGUCCUGCAAGAUCUACACCAAAGAGUCAGAUAACAGCGAAGUCUGUAGCCCACGAUGAAAGCCAACAUCACAACUAAGUUACUUUAUUUUUGUGACUCUUCUAUGCCUAGAUUUCUCAAGAAUGCAUCACCAUGCAUCAAACAUCCCGCUUCAACACCUUCUACACAUUUCCCUCGGCCUCUGUAUCCUCCAAACUCAUUUAGUACAAAGCAUUCAAGAGGAUACUUCAUCAACCUCAAGUAGUGCAUGAAGAGCCAAUACUUGGGUAUUUCUUUGUUAGAUAUGAAGUACCCCGAGAAAAAAGAAGAACGCACCCAUGAUGCCUGCAAUCAAAGACAUUCCUGAUAUGAAUGCAGCUGCAAAAGAAUUUCCCUUUGAGAGAACCAUCCAAGCCACCAGACAGAAAUAAAGGAAUCCAUCGAUUUUGCGUCUCAGUCCAACUAGCCAGUGAAGUGGAGUAGUAAAGAGGAGAUAGUUGCCAAAGGAAUGCAACAAAAUUAUAAGAGAUCUUUACAAUCCAAUAAUACAAUCCAACUCAGCUCAGUGAAUGUGAUCUUUACACGGAAAACCUUAGUUGAGAGAAAUGUCUUGUACCUAGGGGUAGUCAGCUACAGCCAAUACAGCAACGGGACAACCAAGAAAAAGAAAGAAGAAAAGGGAGAGAAAGGAGAACCUUUACAGUGACUGCCACAAAGUGAAGAAUACAGAGGUACCAGUGACCUCAUAGGAAUUUUAUUGUACGAGGCCAAAAAGCUCACUAAAUACAUUCAAGUGCUUAGCAAUUCACACUGAACAAAUCAUCUACAUCAAGCCUGCAAAAUCACCCAAAAACCAAACCUUGCUAGCUAGGUACAGCAGGGGGGAACUCUUAGAAUGCCAAUUGAACCAUAGGCACUUAUCCUUCACUGCUUCAGCUUCACUGAUGUACUCUUUGAAUCCAUUGGGAGAUAUUCCCCUUUGCUAUAACAUAUGAAGAUAUUCUGUAGGAUCUGCUUGAGGUCUCUCUCAUCAAAAUUAUCCUCUCUUGCAAGAAUAUUGGGAGAGCACCUGUAGUAAAUGGCAACAAGAAGGUCAGGAUAAACGCGGAAUUGGAGUAAGAGAGGUGCUUUUCUUGAAUAUUGGUCAAAAUGGAAGUUCUGAUAACAUGCAGAGCUGAAGUGUCAAGCACUGAAUCUGAGGUUGCUAACGUUGUAUUGGUUACAGGCAUCAUUAUUGUAUCAUCUCUUGUUGCAUCUCCAUGAUCAUGUUCACAUUCAAGCAUUUUUCUGGCUUUUCUAUUGGUUCCAUUGGCCUCAACUCCCAUAGUAAUGCUCUAAGAAGGCACAAAUACUGCAAGAAAUACAUAUUAUCGUCAGCAGAAGUAGUAUUGCUAGCAAGUAACUAAUGUGCCUAGGAAGAGGUAGUAGAAAUUAUAUGUUACUUCCCACUUCAGAUUGAAUAUAUAUGUGUUGCUUUGAAUGUAAUUUAUGCAUCAAGAAAAAUGGAUUUUCAAAAGUAUAUAACGUUCUGGCUUUGAAUGAGUUUGUGUAUGCAGCAAAAUGGAAUUAAAAGUUUAAUAAUGUUGAAAAUUCUGUGGAUUUAUAUCAUGGUUAGUUGGGAUUCAAAGACAUUAAUUCAUACCAAUUGUUUAUUGGGAUAUAAAAAUGGUACAUGGCACGGCACGUUAUCGUACUUUUAUAUUAUGGCUGCCUGUACUUAAUUUUAAAUAAUCGAAAUUAGUAUUCUAUAUGAAUAUAAUACAUGAUAUAUGGUCGUCGUAACUCACAAGUUUUAAUUAAAGCUUGAACAAAACCUUGGUUUGUGGAAACAAAUCAUAAUUUUAAGUCCAGGCAACUUGUCCGACCCUAUUCUUUCAUGGUGGAUUUAAUUUGAAAGGAUCUAGUUAAAUAUUUUUUGACUCUCUUGUGGUUUCGCACAUUACCGCAUUACCUUUAUAGUUUUUUUGAAUCAAUUGCUAUAACUGAAGGUACUCUUUAUCCACUUUUCACUCUACACAAAUUUAUAGAGUGAUUAUAAAGAUAUUUUAAAACAUUAAGGGAUCAUGUGACAAUACACAAAUUUUUUAGAAGAUUAUUAGUAACUUACCCAAUUAAAAGUCCAGAAGUAACUAUUUGGUUGGUUUCUAGAAUGGGCGCAAAACAAACUAUUUGGUUGGUAAGAGUGCUAUAAUGGAUACAAACUAGGCGCCAUGCUUCUAACCAAAAUCUGCAAUUUCAACAUCUGUAAUUUAUCUAGAGAAAUGAUGGGAAUAGUCCCUCACUUAUUGCAUUUGUAUUUAUUUAAUUUCUCACUUCCAAAUUUAUGUAAAUUUGUCAAUCAUAUAUACAAAUCGCACUAUUUUAAUUUUAAAAACUAUUUUGGGAGAUUUUUAAUCUUAAAACAUCACCUGACCACCACAUGAUUCCGAUUUUAGGAGCCCAAAAAGUAUCACAUACUUUUAAUUUGUUAUUAUUCUUUUAUUUGCUUUUUCACCUUUGUUUCUCCUUUGGCCUAGUCUAAUUGGUACUCUUGGUAUUCUUUAUCGUUGUUAUUGGUUUUUAGUUUAAAUAUGUUUGGAACAAUUUGCGAAUCUCCUUGCUAGAUUAUUUUUUAAAUUAAUUUUUUCUUCAUUGACAGUGUCGGAUUAAUGACAAUUAUGCAAAAUUUGAAUUUGAAAUUCAACUUUUGUACACAUGUCACGAAGCGGUAGCAUUUUGAUUACUUGCAGUGGUAUGAGAGCAUUGGAGAAGGGCAGAGGUAAGUUUACUGAAGAGAGGUCCAUUCUAUUCUACUUUAAUUUUGGGUCUAAACUACAGCACGGUCUGGUCCAUUCUGCGUUACCUCGAUCAUCAGUGAAAGGAUGUCUGUUGGAUGGGAGUGGAAUCCCCAGCAAUCAUCAGAAAAAUUGCAGGAGAAGGGCACAUCAGGGAGAUGCUGCUACAAAUAAUGAGAAUUUUCUGUGGCUUAUAUUACAUAGUGGAAAAUACCCCACAAAAGUUGAAGGACUCGUGGAUGAACAAUACUCAUUUGUAGACGCGGGUGCUGUAUCAAUCAGUUUACAUGCUAUGCUGUAUUUGGAUUUUGGACCAAUCAGUGUGUGUGAAGAUAUGAGCCUAUGACUACAGUUUUUGCUCCUAUAAUAGCAAUUCAGUUGAGUUCUCCUUGAACGAGCAAUGGUGAUCUGCACUUGGCAAUCCUAAUUGCAUCAUCCACAUAUCUUCUUCAGGACUUACUUACGAGACUGAUGAAUAACUAAGCAAACAGACUAAUUUGCCAGCCCAGUCUCAAAGAAACUAGUGUUUUGUAUCUAAAUAUUUCCAAGACAGCUAACUCAUGACUCAAAUAGGUCGGAGAUUCCACAAUAUCUAAAUAUAGCUCUUCUAGCAAAGGGCAACCUCGAAUAAGCAUAUCAAGAGAAUCUUUGCCUACCAUUGACAAACAUUCCAGGCGCAGCACCUUCAAAUCUGGUAAAGCAACCGAAUUGGGUAUAUCCAAAUCAACUUGUCUAUCCAUUUUCAGAACAACUAGUGUUUUGCAUGUAAAUAUUCCCAAUAGAUUUGAUCGCUCAGCAUCAUUUUCAAACAGAAAAAUCUCAAGUUCUUGAACAUUGCACAACGGUAAAGCAGAUAUCAAGGAGUCCAUUUGCAACUGAAACCGUUCACAUAGCCACGGUGGGAAGAUUGUGAGCCCAAAUUUUCUUAUGGGAGCUGUGUUACGUUGCCGUAUCAAGUUAAUACAAAAAUCAAUAUAUCUAGAGAACUUCAGAUGAGAAUUUUCACGUUGAAUAGGAUCUAAUUCGUCUGAAGUGUCAUUAAAUACGAGAUUAAUAACUGGAAUAGAAGUGAGAAGGUAUCGCCAUCCAGGAGAUAAAAUUGAGGUGGCUGCGGCUUCUUUCAUGGGGAGAAAUGACAAAAUUUGGCAAAGGAGAAGGGCACUAAUUCUAUCAAUCCUAUUUGAAGAAUUGGCGAUGGGAUCUUGAUCCAAUGAUAUCUUCCCAGCCAAAAAAAGGGUGUUUCCACUGAUCAACAAGAAGGGCAAGAAAUGGGAAAACAGGAUGCUAAGUUGCAUAAAAGAAAUAACCAUAAACAUAAAAGAAAUGGGGAACCUCAUCGGUGUAUUAAGAAUUUCCUUGACUGCACUGGAAUAUAUUUCAUCUGUAGUCGAUCGGUAUCUAAAAUUUCAACACAAUGGCUGAGGCAUAUGAUAUAAUUAUUUGCUCAGAAUUUGAUUAUCUAUGGCUGAUGCAUAUGAUAUAAUUGCGCACUCCUUACUCAAGGUGUCCAUUUUGGCACUAAUUCCCUGAUUACCUAACGAGAAAAUACGUACUCUGUGUGACCUUUGCCUACGAGUACAAUCAGCUCCCUCCCCACAAAACAAAACAAAUAAUAAUAAUAAUAAAAGGCAUCUUUUUAAAAAGAAAAAUUAAAAAAAUGCUUUGAGAUUAUCAAUUAAUGCUGCUAGCUCCGCUCCAAUCAGCUCAAAACUCAACUAAUUGAUCCUUUAUAAACUUGUAAUUUGAGCACUUAAUUUAGUGGCUUGCUGCUUUAAUUAUUUUACCUGCGGCAGGUAUCACUUAAAGGAUGCGGUUCUUGACGGAGGAAUCCCUUUCAACAAGGCCUACGGAAUGACUGCAUUCGAAUAUCACGGAACCGAUCCCAGAUUCAACAAGGUGUUUAACCAGGGAAUGUCUAAUCACUCCACCAUUACCAUGAAGAAGAUUUUGGAAGUUGACAGAGGGUUUGAGGGACUGAAGACCGUCGUCGACGUGGGGGGUGGAACUGGGGCUACGCUCAAUAUCAUCAUCAGCAAAUAAUUCUAGCAGACAAAACAAGAAAAGCUUUCAAUCUUAUUAUCAGAAAACCAUCAAACUUUUCGAUUCUUCAUCAAAGCAUAUAACAAGUUUUGACAAGACAACAAGAGCAUGCAUUACAAAAAAAAAACACUGAAUGCACACACACACUUUCGAACAUUUGAGACAUUUAAAAAAUACUCCUCUAAAAUUGUUAAAAGACGAAGGAGAAGAAGAAUGGGAAUUUACCGCAAAAGGGUUCACUUCUUCUUCAGCAAACGGAUUGGAAUCGUAACGGCCAGCCAUUAUCAGAAGAACCCUUAAUGAAAAUGUACAGUGCAAAAAAGAAAGUAUGAUAUUAUCGUUUAAAAAUGUUCAAGAAAAUUACACAAAAAUUCGGAUCUGGGGAGAAUAUAAAACGGGUUUGAAGAUUUUGUAUGAUAUUGUUGCCAAAAUGGGAACGUAUGGAAUCAAGAAUCGGACGUGGUUUUUCUUUUGUUAAUAUUUUUUUAAAUGACUCAGUUUUAAUAUGUUUAUCGAUAUGGGGUUGUACUUAUACAUCGUUUGGGGUUCCGCGAAAAUUGAGGGGCAAAAUCAGGGAAACUACCAAAGUUGGCGCUGGUGGCUUUGGUGCUGAAAAUAGGCGGGGUAUGGGGUUUAUAUAGGUUGGGGAAACAUUGGUGCCUUGGACCCGCCAUUUGGUUGACUGACUCGGUAACUCAGUUGCCUUUUGCAUAUUGGUCUUUUAGUAAUGUGCUGCAUUAGCCACAUUUGCAAUUCAUUAUUAUGAACCAUAGAUUUUUGCCGUACCAAUUUUGCACCUUUUAAGUAAUUCUUGGUACUAUAACACAACAAUUGCAGCAAUGUCCAAAACGACCGUUUCCUCUUUUUUUUUUUUUUUUUUUUUCCAUCCAGAGGGUAUCUUGAAAUCACCCAGAUUAAUUCCCCUUGAGCUAUGCAGAGCUCACCCCAGGUUGGGUAUCCAAAACACCAUUUCAACUACUUAAUUCAUAGUUGUAUAAAAAAUGGGAUGACCAGAGACCUAAUAAAUUAAGUUUUGUCCAAUUCAAACUGGUUCGUGUAAUUCUUAUUAUAUUUGGCGUAGUUUGUAUAGUUUGAUAUAAUCAUUAACUUUUUGUAUGAAUUGUCAAAUUCGGAUUUACAUUCAACCUGUAAUUGUAUGAAUUUACAACAAAAGUUACAAAAAUUAAAAGAAUCGAUUUGAAUUAAAAGUAACGCCCUAGGCUCAAGAGCUAACCUGAGGAACUGUUGAGUUGAAACCGCAAAUUUAAAAUGAUUAAUCUAAAUUCUGGUCAAAAACUUUUGAGUUAAAACUAUAGAUUCAAAAUGAUUACUCAAGUUAUUAAGUAGUCCAUGGACCUAGAAAUAACAUAUUGGCCAAGACUCAACCCACGCAAAAACUAUGCAAAAUCUGUUUUGAUGCCAUUUGUAUUGGAUCAGGAGCAUUUAAAUUGAAAUCACGGGUUCAAAACAAUUAAACCAAAUUGCUAAAUAACCAAUGGGUAUGGAGUCAUGUAUCAAUCCAGUCAGCUAGUUUGGCUGGCAUUCAUAUUUAUUUGAUAAGCUAAUUUCUUUCAAGAAAUAUGUCGGACCGCUUUCCUACUUUUCUUCCCUAGUGUUUAAUUAGAGUUUGCUGCAUCAGUUUCAAGAAGAAACAAGUUAUAUUUGCAGCCCGUAAAUGGCAAAUCUGUCUUCAUACUUUUCAUCCAUACGGGCCGGUAUUUGUCUAAAAGAAAAAAAAUAAAACUAAUUUGGCAAAGUAUUUUUGUUGGUUAUAAAAGCAUGAUAAGCCCACAUCAAACCUUGGCUCAACCAACUUUAAUUGCCUCUAUGGCUAACUUUUUUUUUUUUUGUUGGAAAGAUAUGGGCUAAUUUGUAUGAAAGAAAAAUAUAUACGAAUAUUUUUGGUUGAUCAUAAGGUACAAUAUGCCCACAUCACCUUAACCUUAAGUUUCACAUUACAAUAGUUGGACAUUGAGAAACAGCAAUAAAGAAAUACACUAUGAGGUACAACGUUUUCUCGUUAACAAACAAUCCCUUUAUAUGCUCUUCAACAUUAUAAGGGGUGUUUGGACAGUCAUUUUUCAUUGAAAAAAUUACAACGUUUUCUCGUGAACACAUUUUCCUGUUAUUUUUUUACUUCACAUACAUCAAAUCGCUAUAGUAAUUUUUCUACAAAAAAAUUCAAAAAAAUGUAAUCCAAACACAAUAGUUAGUUAGAACAGGAUUCAUCAAAAUCCCCCAAACAUUUGAACGUGUCUCAGCUCCUGGAAAUAGUUUGGUCGUUCAUGUUGUUGUCCCUGCAGCAUAACAGACACGAGCUCAAGAAAUAGAUAGGCAGUCAUUUGCUGAAUCAGGAAAAAGGAAAAUAGUAGAACGUGCAAGAAUUAGCUUAGCAAGCCAUUAUUAAAUGCCACAACCAAAAUCAAGCUAUUAAAAGUGACCGCAGCUAAAUUAUAUGAGUCGUUCAUAAAGGUGCAGGUCAGAGCCGUUAGAUUUUAUUAACAUAUGUUGUUUCUUUGCAGACAUGCAGAAUUGAUCUGGAAAGCUGCACCUGUCAGGUGGGAUGGAUUGUUGGACUUCAGACACAACUUUUGGCUUUGGUGGAAUAGUCUUAUGGAAGCCAAAGAGAGACUUGAGGGGAGGGAUCACAUAGUUCUUACUAUAAAUAUUCUUUGGCAGGUGUGGAAGUCCAGGAAUAGUAUCCAGUUUAACAGAGAGGGAAGGUGUCCUGGAGAGACUGUAAAUAAGGCAUUGCUGGAAUGGUUAGAGUAUAAGAACGUAGGGAGUGAAGAGAAUUCUAACAGAAAAGUAGGGGGGCACAAAGCUAUGAAGGGUGGUAGCUGGUCAUUACCACCUAAAGGCUAUAUAAUCAUGAAUACUGAUGCCAGUCUGAACAUACAAAAACAGAGAGUGGGGAGGGGGAUUGUGGCCAGAAAGGAUGAUGGAGGUUUGAUUGGGGCAUGGGCAGAUAGUGAUGACAAACUGGGGGAACCGGCUGUGGAGGAAGCUCUGGCUAUCAGGCAGGCUUUGAACAUUGCAAAGCAAAAGGGUUGGAGAAAGGUCCUGAUACAAUCUGACUGCAAAGGUAUAAUUGACAAAAUUAAUGCGCGAAAGGCAGAGAAUCCAAAUAUUGGAAUCAUUCUUUUUGAUAUCUUGAAGCUCAACAAAGUUUUCACAGAAUGUUCCUUCUCCUUUAUCAAAAGAGAAGGUAACUUUGUAGCUCACCACUUGGCAAAAUUUGCCAUUAACCUGAUUAACGACUUUGAGUGGCAGCAAUCUUUUCCUGAAUGGCUGACUAGUUUAGCUAGAAAUGAUGUAGGAGCAAGUGCUCCAGCUUUGUAAUCUUUGUUUCAUGAUUAAUGAAUCUGUGAUCGUUUGGAAAAAAAACAAAUUGACGAGAGAAAUAACGAGUGACAAAAUUGUGCGGUCAAUGUAUUGGCAAACAACGCAUGAUUGAGAGCACAGACAACUUCAUUGGUAGUUGUAUUAUUAGUUGUUUAGCCCGAUAAUUGAGGAUAUUCACUUGGCUUUAUUAAAUCCGAAUGUUCUCAAUGUAUUUUUGGUUUCAAGAGAGACUAAUAAGAUUGUGUAUUGUUUAACUCAUCAUGCAAAAACUGUCAAUCUUUUUGAAACUUUGUGCAAUUCACCUCCAAGUUUUGGCAAUCAAAUCGUGUUGGACGAUAUCUCAACUCAUUAAUAAAGUUUCUUUGUUUUAUAAAAAAUAAAUAAAUAAACAUGACCUCGUUUUUAAACUGAUUUUCAAAACUUAAUUUUGGAUUUUAAUUUUAAAAAAAAGUUAUUUUAUUGUGUUCUCAAUUGUUGUUUAUAUUUUGAUUUUGAGUUUUUUUAUCUUUAAAAAAUUAAAAAUUAGAAGCAUUUAUUUUGAUAUUUUUAUUUUAAUUUUCCAAAAUUAGUUCUUAUGCAAUCAAAAACAGUUGAGAACAAGGCCAAUAACUAGUUUGUCUAUUUUUAUUCAAUAGGAAGGACUUAGGUGUAUCUCAUUGUUAAUUACUUGAGUAUUAACAAUGAUUGCACUCAAGAUUAAAUCUCUUAUACAUGAAAGUCCGUGGUGGGUAAUUCUCAUAGGAUUAACCCAUUGUAGCCAUACACUUGUUCUUCUAUUUUUAAGUGUUCUUUCUCAAACUUUGGAAUUUUCGCGUCGGUACUUAAAUGAUUUUUAUACAUGCGCUACUUUGUACGAUGACCAUAACUUACAAGUUCACCUUAAAUGUUUCGAUCCUAAUAUUUAGAAUUAGAAUUCUCGUCAUUCUAGAGAAAAUAAAAGUAUACAUCAAAUAUGUAUAUUGCUAACCAAAUAUGAAUAAAGUAAAUAAAACUAAGGGUUAUUAUCACUUUAUCCCCUUAAACUAUAUCAUUAUUAUCAGUUUACCCCCUAACGUUAUCUUUUAGUCACUUUACCCUCAUAAGUAAUUGAACUCAACAUGUUAAGAAAUUUUUGAUAAAAAUACCCUUUUAUUUUAUAACAUUACUACAUUGUUAUUAUCACUUUAUUCGUUUAGAUUAUAGUGAUACAAUCACUUUAGUCCUAAUAUUAUUUUCUAGACAUUUUACCUCAUCAUUAAUCUAACUAGUAUGGUCAAAAAAUUUUAAAUAUAUUUAUCCCUUUUUAUAUAUAAUUAAACAUGAAAAAGUUGGAAUGGUUAUUCUUCCUUUUUUUCACUUUAAGAGAUCGAAAAACAUAAAAAUAAAAGGAUUUUCUCAAAUUUCUUUUUUUCACACUUAGUAAUACUCGGAAAAGAAAAAGAGAUAGAAUAGAAGGAGAUAGAAAAUUAGAUUUUGCAAAGAAAAGUCUAACAUUAUCGUAUUACUUUAAGGUUGUCGAGAUUAGGAUUGGAAUUUGGUAGUAAAUAGAAAAGUGAAAUAAUUUUAAAAUAAUGAAAGUAUUCAAUUCUUUCUAAUUUGUAAUUUUUAAAAAAGGAAUUGAGCUCUCUCUCUCCCUCUCUCCAUCUUUCUAUUUUUUUUCCACAUUAAUAAGAUUGCGUGGAAGAAAAAAAUUAAUUCUUUGACUUUUUUUCUUGAUACUAAAAAGGAGAAGAGUCACUCUACAUUUUUUAUUAUUUUUAUUAUGCAAAGAGGAGGGAAUUUGCUUCUAAAGUUUUUUAACUUGCUAAGUUGGUUUAAUGGUAGGAUAAAUUGCCUAAAAAAUAACUUUAUGGGGUAAAUUGACAAUGAGACUAUAGUUUAUGGGGAUAAAGUGAUAAUAAUUUUAAGGGUUAAACAUAUCUUUUCACUUUAAUUAACAAACUCCGUUAAGUUUGACCGUUAGUUUUGGAAAUAAAGUAACUAAAAGAUAACGUUAAGGGGGAAAUUGAUAGUAGCACCAAACGUCAAGAGGGUAAAGUAAUAAUAACCCUAAAAGGCUAAAACUAAAGUUGUACUAAAAUGGAAAUAAGAUUACACAUAACACAAUAUGCAAAUUUUUCCUUUUUGAAUGUCUUAGAAUUUUCUUUCGAAUUUUGUCAAGAAAAUAGUGGUGAACAAUUUCCAACAAUCUCAUUAAUAAAACUCUUUUGUUAUAUUAAAAAAAAUUUAUUAAAAUGGAAUUAGUCUUUUGUAUAUUUGUCUAGGGGUGUCAAUUGGAAUUUCUAAAUCAGAUUUUAACAAAUCCAAAUUCAACUCACAAAUUAUAUGGGCUUUUUGAUAUUUAGGCAUUCGGGUUUUAUGUACAAAUUUAAAUGUUCAAUCUCAAUUCUCAUUGUUAUGUGAAUUUCAAGUUCAAACCGAACUUGACUCAAACUCAUAAUUAAAUAUACAAUUAUAUAUAAUAUAUUUUAUAAUUAUGAACACUAUAAAUUAAUAUUUAAAUUAUUAUGUCAUAGAUAUUUAUAAUUACACACAGACUCACAUAUAAGCCGGGCCUUAAUUACAAUGAAGUAUUGUGCGUCCUUUCUCUAAAAAAUUCAGAGCACAGUAAUGCAUUUAUCUGAUUUGGAGAUUCGCUCUCCAACUCUUAUAAAAAACCAGUUUGGCUCAUCCUCUCUUUUGGUGUAGCAGCAAUGUAGAUUUUUGACUGUAGCCAAAAAAAAAAAAAUGGUUAGAUGUGUUUCAACUUAAUAAAAUUUUCUAGUUUCCAAAAAAAAAGUAUCAUAACAUACUUAAAGGUCACCGAGGAAUAUCUCUUAUACAUGAAAAUCUAUGGUGGCCACUUCUCAUAAAAUUAACCCACUGUAACCAUGCACUUGUUCCUUUUAAGUGUUCUUUCACAAUUUUAGAAUUUUCCCUUCUAUAUUUAAAUGAUUUUUCAGCCCUCACAGUAAUUUUUGGAUCCUAGGCUCUGCAAGUAACUAAUUGCACUAUAUAAUUUGGACACCGUCACAAUAAAAAAGAUAAACACUGACAAAAUAAAUAUAGAUACUAAAAUACUAAGGUGUAAAAUUAGAACAAAUUUUUGUCAAUCAUUAAAAUGUGUAUCCAAAAUUAAUCUCUUUUAUUCAAAUUCAAAUUAACCUGAUAUGCUCCAUCAAUUGCUUGCUAGGUGCUAUUGAUCUGACAAUUGCAGGAAACAAAGUCCCCUAUUUGUUUGCAAAAUCUAAUUUUCUAUCUCCUUCUAUUCUAUCUCUUUUUCUUUUCCGAGUAUUACUAAGUGUGAAAAAAAGAAAUUUGAGAAAAUUCUUUUAUUUUUAUGUUUUUCGAUCUCUUAAAGUGAAAAAAAGGAAGAAUAACCAUUCCAACUUUUUUAUUUUUAAUUAUAUAUAAAAAGGGAUAAAUAUAUUUAAAAUUUUUUGACCAUACUAGUUAGAUUAAUGAUGAGGUAAAAUGUCUAGAAAAUAAUAUUAGGACUAAAGUGAUUAUAUCACUAUAAUCUAAACGAAUAAAGUGAUAAUAACAAUGUAGCAAUGUUAUAAAAUAAAAGGGUAUUUUUAUCAAAAAUUUCUUAACAUGUUGAGUUCAAUUACUUAUGGGGGUAAAGUGACUAAAAGAUAACGUUAGGGGGUAAACUGAUAAUAAUGAUAUAGUUUAAGGGGAUAAAGUGAUAAUAACCCUUAGUUUUAUUUACUUUAUUCAUAAUUGGUUAGCAAUAUACAUAUUUGAUGUAUACUUUUAUUUUCUCUAGAAUGACGAGAAUUCUAAUUCUAAAUAUUAGGAUCGAAAGAUUUAAGGUGAACUUGUAAGUUAUGGUCAUCGUACAAAGUAGCGCGUGUAUAAAAAUCAUUUAAGUACCGACGCGAAAAUUCCAAAGUUUGAGAAAGAACACUUAAAAAUAGAAGAACAAGUGCAUGGCUACAAUGGGUUAAUCCUAUGAGAAUUACCCACCACGGACUUUCAUGUAUAAGAGAUUUAAUCUUGAGUGCAAUCAUUGUUAAUACUCAAGUAAUUAACAAUGAGAUACACCUAAGUCCUUCCUAUUGAAUAAAAAUAGACAAACUAGUUAUUGGCCUUGUUCUCAACUGUUUUUGAUUGCAUAAGAACUAAUUUUGGAAAAUUAAAAUAAAAAUAUCAAAAUAAAUGCUUCUAAUUUUUAAUUUUUUAAAGAUAAAAAAACUCAAAAUCAAAAUAUAAACAACAAUUGAGAACACAAUAAAAUACUUUUUUUAAAUUAAAAUCCAAAAUUAAGUUUUGAAAAUCAGUUUAAAAACGAGGUCAUGUUUAUUUAUUUUUUUUUUAUAAAACAAAGAAACUUUAUUAAUGAGAUUGCUGGAUAUCAUCCAACACGAUUUGAUUGCCAAAACUUGGAGAUGAAUUCCAUCGAUUUGCAAAAUGAUCGGUGGUUUUAGCAUGUUGAGUUAAACAAUACGUAAUUUUAUUAGCUCUUUGGAAACCUAAAGUACAUUGAGAAAAUGCGGAUCCAAUAAAGCCAAGUGAAUAUCCUCCGGCCUAAACUACUAAUAAUACUACUAAUGAAGCUGUCUGUGUUGUACCCAAAUCAUUCGUUGUUUGCCAAUACAUUGACCACACAAUUUUGUCACUCGUUAGUCCCCAGUCAAUUGUCCACGUGAAUGGGUUGGUGGUUGACGCCUCUUCCUCGGACCGUUAGGUCCUGGGAUCGAACUUUCGCAGCAAUAUCGAUUUCUCCGUGCAUCUAACAUGCUAGGUCUGGUUGGGAUACUGAAUCUGGUCGAAGUGUGAUUAGUCGGGCCGCCUUUACGGACUUGACCCGGACACCCACUCGAUCGACAAAAAAAAAAAAAAAAAAAAAAAUCCCCAGUCAAUUAAGGCGGCUUGGACUUACCGACCCCUGCCUCUCCGUUUCGAUAUGGACAGCACCUAGAUUUUAAUCUAAUCAAUUGAAAACAAGAUUGCAAUAUGUCACCCAUUCUUUUUUCCGGGCAAAUUGAUUGCCGACUAUUUCUUUGUAGCCUUAUUUUUUUUUAGGGAAAUAUUUCUUUGUAGCUCAAGUAUAUUACAAUCAUUUCACAUCGAGCUUUUCAAUAAUGUAAUAGCCUUUUAUUAAUUAAAUUAAAGAAAAACUGAUAACCAUAAUAGUUUUUAGCAAAACCAGUGGAAAAAAAAGAGUACCUCAAAACUCAAUUCAACUAGUAGGACAUUAACUAGGAAACUCAACCCCUUGGCUCUAUCACUCCUCGAGAUGCUAAUGCAGUUGACCCCAUUAAGAAAUGAUAACUGAAAUUGCACAUUAAAGAACACAUAAAUUUUCUAUUCCAAUUCAUUGCGCAAAAAAUGCCAUAAACUUAAAAAUUUACAAUUUUGUAGGUACAAAAUCACCAAAAUUUCCUGUUUUACAUCACCCCAUAAAUGUAAAAAUCACAAACUAGUAGUACUAAUGGGGGGCUCAAUCAAUUUGGUCCCCAGCAGCUCAAGUACAUGACUUUCCUUAAUGAUUCUUCAGACUUCUUUAGUUUUUCUUGAUCUUUAGCUUUACUGCUUGAUGAAGCCAAUGCAGAAGAAGAAAGCUGCCUGGUCUGAGACAGGGACCUGAGGUUGUUCUUGGCAAGCUGGUGUACUGACCUCAUGGUGUGGUUCCACCUAUUCAAUCCCUGAUCUUUCAUUGCCUCCACUGCGCCUACACUCAGUGCUGCUAUCCAUGCCCUGCUUGUUGAACUCAUUUUCAGCAAGAAUAAAUGUAAAACUGUAAAGAUUCCUUGUUGAUGAUGGAGUCUUUCUGGAACUCUUGAAGCUUGGUUGAGUACUAGAGAUGUUUUUCUGAAUUCUGAGAAGAUGUUCUUUGGUGCUGAUGGUGCUGGGGAGUUCAGCCAUAUUUAUAUUCUGUCAUCUCAAAAGUUUGUGUAAAUAAGUUGUUACAGAAACCAGGGGCUGGGUGCUUUUCCAGUGGUCUUGGAGAUUACGGUUUUCUAAAUUUCUAGUGGGCUAAUGGGCUGUGGUAUUUAUCCACUGACUUUGGGGAGUGUGGUCUUCUAAAGGUCGAGUGGGGUAUUUUUCAUUUGCUUUUUUAAUCCAUUUUACCGAACAAAGCAAAGAAUAGAAGAAACCAUUACAAUGUUUGGAUACACAUAUUAUCUCAAACUAGCGAUAAGGGCACAUCCGAUGUAUGUGGAAUUUAGGAACAAUCCUUUAUAUGGAAGAAUUUAGUAUAAACACGAAAAAGUAAAUUUUGAUCUUUUAAUAGUUUUUGAGUAUUUGUCAAAAAUUAGUUUUUUGAAUAAAAUUUUAAUUAACUUGUUAGUUACAAUAUUUGUAGUUAGUUAUGUAGGCUAUAUAUAUUUGGAUAAUUGGGGUGAAAGUUAAUUUGUGGUUAGCUUAGAAAUACGGAGGUAUAAUUAACUGAUUGAGAGGGUAAAGCUGAAAAUCUAAAAGAUGACCAAAAAAAAAAAAGGUUUACACCAAAUUUAAGGCUCUCUCUUUAUAUAUAGUAUAGAUAUUAUUUUAUUUGCAUUACAAAUACAUUUUUUAACUAUAAUUUUUAAUAUUCUCAACUAUUUUUAUCUCGCAUAUACAUCAUAAAAAAUAUUAUAAUAAUUAUUUUAAAUAAUAUUUCUAAUAAUACUCUAUCUAAACUAUUUCUUCUUGACUUAUCAUAGAGAGGGUAAUCAACUAUUAGGAGUUAUUGAUAUACAAAAGGCUAAUUCCAUUCAAAUACGACUUUACUUUUAUUUGUUUUGAUCGUAAUCAAUAAGCGAACAUAUCCAAUGUAUAUUUUUUAUUUUCUCUUGGAUGACUACAAUCCGGUCUAUAAUUAGGAUGGAAAAGUUUACGAUUGACGUCUCUAUCACACUCUCAUUGUACAAAGGGAUAAUUGCAGAAACCUCCCCUGACUUUUAUAGUAAUAGCAUUGACCUCCCUUAUCAAUUUUGAAAUAGCACUGAUCUCCCCUAUCAAAAGUUGGAGGCAAUUUAAUAGGCAAAAGUGGAUCAAUUUAAUAUUUAGGCAUUCGGGUUUUAUGAACAAAUUAAAAUGUUCAAUCUCAAUUCUCAUUGUUAUAUGAAUUUCAAGUUCAAAUCGAACUCGACUCAAACUCAUAAUUAAAUAUACUAUUAUAUAUAAUAUAUUUUAUAAUUAUGAACACUAUAAAUUUAUAUUUAAAUUAUUAUGUCAUAGAUAUUUAUAAUUACACACAGACUCACAUAUAAGCCGGGUCUUAAUUACAAUGAAGUAUUGUGCUUCCUUUCUCUAAAAAAUUCAGAGCACAGUAAUGCAUUUGUCUGAUUUGGAGAUUCGCUCUCCAACUCUUAUAAAAAACCAGUUAGGCUCAUCCUCACUUUUAGUGUAGCAGCAAUUUAGAUUGUUGACCGUAGCCAAAAAAAAAAAAGUUAGAUGUGUUUCAACUCAAUAAAAUUUUCUAGUUUCCAAAAAAAAAAAAAGUAUCAUAACAUACUUAAAGGUGCACUGAGGAAUAUCUCUUUGUACAUGAAAAUCUAUGGUGGCCACUUCUCAUAAAAUUCACCCACUAUAGCUAGGCUUGUCAACGGUCUGGGUCUAGACCCAGAUUCGACCCGGAUCCGUCAAUUUUUUACAGGUUCGGGUAGGGAUAUAAUUCCGUUACCCGGCCCGAAUUCGGAUCCAUUUUAUCAAACAAAAAAUCGGGUCGGAAAUGGAAUACAUCAUUUCGGCCCGUAUUUGACCCGUAUCCGAAUAUAAAAUAGAUAUAUAUAUACCAAUAGAGCAAAUUGCGCGAAAUGUCACUAAACUAUUUCAAAGUGCCGGUUCUGGUCACUAAACUUUUUUAUUAGCGUGAAAUGUCACUGAACUAGUAAAUCUAUACCGUUUUGGUCACUCCGUGUAUUUGUGCCGUUAGGAGAGACGGAAAUCAACUUUUUGAGGGGCAAAUUUGUCUGCACAGCCUUUUCCUUGAAGCUUUUACAUAAUCCAUGGUUCCGUAUCCGGCAAAGACAUAAAGGAGAUGGCUGAUCUGAAUGGCGGCAGCAUCAAACUUCAACCAAAAAAUGCAGGCACUAUUUUUCAAUUGGAAAUUGGUCUCUGACUCUCUGCCUCUUUUAGUUACCCACUACCCAGUCUUGAUUUCUGUAUUCUUUCACCAUUUGUAACAAAACCACAGAGCACCAGCUCCAAAUGGUAAAAAUUGGAAAUUGGGAAUGAGAAAAUCUCCUUUUUUUCCUCAAGAUUUCAAAGAUUAGGCAAUGAGAAAAUCUCCCAUCUCAGAGAAGUUUCAUCCACAAUCCAAGUGUAUACUCUCAGCUUUGGAUUAUUGGAAUCCAAGUGUAUACUCUCAGCUUUGGACCGUCCACGUGUCACGAAAUUAACCCAAGGGCUUGUCCUGAUUCAAUUGCCCUCGGGGCUGAUACUUAAUCCUGAAACCAUGCGCUCUCGGCCACAAUUUAGAUUUGCAACUCUUGCGUUGCCUCACUGAGCUGAUGCUAAUUUGGCACUAAUUUGGGGAGUGGGAGCGUGGGAGGAAAUUUUAUUUGAAAAUGGUGGCAGGCAUCAAUUUGAGCUCGCCGAAGUCCACUUUAUUGCCAAAUCAUUCAUCUUCAGGAGAAUCAAACACUACUGCUUUCCUUGGUGGGUCACCUUUAAAUGGCUUAUCUUUUCAAUUAAAACCCAAAGUAAUCAAGAAUGUCAAUUUGGUAGUUGCUUCCAGAAAAGCCAUCAGCAGCACGAGUGGUAGCAGUGGCGGAAGGUUCUACUUCAAUAUCACUGGGUUUCCUUUCCCUCUUGGUCCUUUCCUGAAUAGGCGGACAAUCAGAACUGAGGUUAGUAAUUUGCGCCCUCGUUUUUUCAGUCCUGGCUCUUGACCUUUCUGCCUCAGAGCAAUAAUCCUGUCUAGUUGAAUUUCUGCUUUGCUGCCGUUUUUCUUGUGGGUUAGUUUCGUGAGUCCUGUGCAUAUACUGUCCAUCGAUCAUCCAAUGAAAGGUUAGUUUCGUGCUCUUGACCGAUAAAGGGUAAGUAAUGAUAAAUAAUGUAAGGAAAGGUAAGUAAUGAUAAAGGGUGUUCUUUGUUACAAAUGGUGAAAGAGGGAGGAGGAGGAAGAAGAAAGAAAAAGGGAAAGGAAGGAGAGUGGAGGUGGAGGUGAUGGCGGUGGGUGGCAAUGUAGGUGAUGGAUGGUUGUGGGUGAAGAAGAAUGAGGGCAUAAAUUUUUUAACUAUUGUGUAGACGAAAUUACCCCUUAAAAAGUGAUUUUCCGUCUCUCCUAACGGCACAAAUACACGGAGUGACCAAAACGGUAUAGAUUUAUUAGUUCAGUGACAUUUCGCGCUAAUAAAAAAGUUUAGUGACCAGAACCGGCACUUUGAAAUAGUUUAGUGAUAUUUCGCGCAAUUCGCUCUAUACCAAUAAUAUAUCCCAAAUUUAUACCCCAAAUUUACUUCUAUACCCCAAAGGCCCAAACAACUAAAUAUUAUCCAUGGACAUGCAGAGCCUUUGGCAUAUACAACACCUGUUACAAAAGCAUGAAUUUGAAUCUUACAAAAAGCAUUUAUCAAUGCUAAACAUUAUUAUAUCUAGAAUAUGUUAAUUAACACAUGCAAUAUAGCCCAGCUAAGACUUUGACCAAGUGACAACAUUGAAAUAAUACUUGUUGGACAAAAUUAAAUUGACCUUUCUUAAUAAAAAAAAAAGUAGUACUUUUUCUAAUUUUGUUGUAAAACAGGUUUCAGCUAUUUUUUCGAGUAUACCCGAACCUGGAUCCGGAUUCGGGUAGAUCCAUCGGAUCCGGGUCCGAAACAUAGAGUAGAAGACUCGUCGGGUAAAUGGGUCGGAUACGGAACCGGUAUAGUAGUCACGGGUCCGGAUCCGGGUCCGGGUCUGGAAUAAUGAAUUCCGGCCUGGAUUCGACCCGUUGGUAGGUCUAACUAUAGCCAUGCACUUGAUCCUUUAAGUGUUCUUUCACAAUUUUAGAAUUUUCCCUUCUUUAUUUAAAUGAUUUUUCAGCCCUCACAAUAAUUUUUGGAUCCGAGGCUCUGCCAGGUAACUAAUUGCACUAUAUAAUUUGGACACCGUCACAAUAAAAAUAAGCACCGACAAAAUAAAUAUAGAUACUAAAAUACUAAGUGUAAAAUUAAAACAAAUUUUUGUCAUUCAUUAAAAUUUAUAUCCAAAAUUAAUCCCUUUUAUUCAAAUUCAAAUUAAACCGAUAUGCUCCAUCGAUUGCUUGCUAGGUGCUAUUGAUCUGACAAUUGCAGGAAACAAGCCUCUAUUUUGUACAAUGAAAGUGUGGUGGAGACGUCAAUCGUAAACUUUUGGGUAAAAAAUAAAAGUACCUUGUGAUAAAUCUAAUACACAGAAAAGUUCCCAAUGAUUUUAAAAUAUACAACACGAUCCCUCAUGCUAUGAACUAAAUUGUAAAGGUGACGGAAUCCGUUAAAUUUAACAGAAAUGGACGAAAUGACCAAAAUGCCCUGAUAUAAUUAAGCAAAAGACAGUUCAAAAAAAUCAUUUGUUUUAUUCUCUAAAUAGAGAGAAUUGAGGGUUAAGGGGUAGAAUAGGUAUAUUUGAUAAAAAUUAGGUAUAAAUUUUUUUUUUAGGUUCCAAUAAAUCAUUUAUGUUAAGUUUAACGAAUUCCGUUACCUUUACAAUUUAGUUCAAAGCAUGAGGUAUCGUAUUAUAUAUUUUGAAACUAUAGGGGACUUUUCUGUGUAUUAGACUUACCACAUGGGGCUUUUUUGUUUUUUACCCUAAACUUUUACGUCAUAAUUAUGGACAGGAUUGUAGUCAUCCAAGAGAAAAUAAAAAAUAACUCCUAAUAGUUGAUUACCUUCUCUAUGCUAAGUCAAGAAGAGGACAGUUUAGAUAGAGUAUUAUCAGAAAUAUUAUUUGGAAUAAUUAUUAUAAUAUUUUUUUAUAAUGUAUAUGCAAGAUAAAAAUAAUUGAGAAUAUUAAAAAUUAUACUUAAAAAACGUAUUUAUGAUGUAAAUAAAAUAACAUCUAUACUAUAUAUAAAGAGAGAGCCUUAAAUUUGGUGUAAACUUUUUUUUUUUUGGUCAUCUUUUAGAUUUCCAGCUUUACCCUCUCAAUCAUUUAAUUAUACAUCCAUAUUUCUAAGCUAACCAACUUAACCACAAAUUAACUUUCACCCCAAUUAUCCAAAUAUAUAUAGCCUACAUAACUACCUACAAAUAUUGUAACUAACAAGUUAAUUAAAAUUUUAUUCAAAAAACUAUUUUUUGACAAAUACUCAAAAACUAUUAAAAGAUCAAAAUUUACUUUUUCUUGUUUAUACUAAAUUCUUUCGUAUAAAGGAUCGUUCCUAAAUUCCACAUACAUCGAGUGUGCCUUUAUCGCUAAUUUGAGAUAAUAUGUGUAUCCAAACAUAGUAAUAAUUUCUUCUAUUCUUUGCUUUGUUCGGUAAAAUGGAUUAAAAAAACAAAUGAAAAAUACCCCACUCGACCUUUACAAAACCACCCUCCGCAAAGUCAGUGGAUAAAUACCACAGCCCAUGAGCCCACUAGAAAUUUAGAAAACCAUAAUCUCCAAGACCACUGGAAAAGCACCCAGCCCCUGGUUUCUGCAACAACUUAUUUACACAAACUUCUGAGAUGACAGAAUAUAAAUAUGGCUGAACUCCCCAGCACCAAAGAACAUCUUCUCAGAAUUCAGAAAAACAUCUCUAGUACUCAACCAAGCUUCAAGAGUUCCAGAAAGACUCCAUCAUCAACAAGGAAUCUUUACAGUUUUAAAAUUUAUUCUUGCUGAAAAUGAGUUCAACAAGCAGGGCAUGGAUAGCAGCACUGAGUGUAGGCGCAGUGGAGGCAAUGAAAGAUCAGGGAUUGAAUAGGUGGAACCACACCAUGAGGUCAGUACACCAGCUUGCCAAGAACAACCUCAGGUCCCUGUCUCAGACCAACCAGCUUUCUUCUUCUGCAUUGGCUUCAUCAAGCAGUAAAGCUAAAUAUCAAGAAAAACUAAAGAAGUCUGAAGAAUCAUUAAGGAAAGUCAUGUACUUGAGCUGCUGGGGACCAAAUUGAUUGAGCCCCCCAUUAGUACUACUAGUUUGUGAUUUUUUACAUUUAUUGGGGCGAUGUAAAACUGGAAAUUUUGGUGAUAUUGUACCGACAAAAUUGUAAAUUUUUAAGUUUAUGGCAUUUUUUGCCCAGUGAAUUGGAAUAGAAAAUUUAUGUGUUCUUUAAUGUGCAAUUUCAGUUAUCAUUUCUUAAUGGGGUUAACUGCAUUAGCAUCUCGAGGAGGAGUGAUAGAACUAAGGGGUUGAGUUACCUAGUUAAUGUCCUGCAUUAGCAAUCUUGUUUUCAAUUGAUUAGAUUAACAUGUAGGUGCUGUCCAAAUCGAAACGGAACUGCUGGGGUAGGUAAUUAGGUUAAUCCAAGCCGCCUUAAUUGACAAGAGAAAUAAAGAGUGACAAAAUUGUCAUUGGCAAACAACGCAUGAUUGAGUACAACACAGACAAAUUCAUUGGUAGUUGUAUUAUUAGUUGUUUAGGCCCGAUAAUUGAGGAUAUUCACUUGGCUUUAUUAAAUCCGCAUGUUCUCAAUGUAUUUUUGGUUUCAAAAGAGACUAAUAAGAUUGUGUAUUGUUUAACUCAUCAUGCAAAAACUGUCAAUCUUUCUGAAACUUUGUGGAAUUCACCUCCAAGUUUUGUCAAUCAAAUCGUGUUGGACGAUAUCUCUGCUCAUUAAUAAAGUUUCUUUGUUUUAUAUUAAAAAAAAAAAAAAAAAAGUAAACAUGACCUCGUUUUUAACUGAUUUUCAAAACUUAAUUUUGGAUUUUAAUUUAAAAAAAGUUAUUUUAUUGUGUUCUCAAUUGUUGUUUAUAUUUUGAUUUUGAGAUUUUUUAUCUUUAAAAAAUUAAAAAUUAGUAGCAUUUAUUUUGAUAUUUUUAUUUUAAUUUUCCAAAAUUAGUUCUUAUACAAUCAAAAACAGUUGAGAACAUGGCCAAUAACCAGUUUGUCUAUUUUUAUUCAAUAGGAAGGACUUAGGUGUAUCUCAUUGUUAAUUACUUAAGUAUUAACAAUGAUUGCACUCAAGAUUAAAUCUCUUAUACAUGAAAGUCCGUGGUGGGUAAUUCUCAUAGGAUUAACCCAUUGUAGCCAUGCACUUGUUCUUCUAUUUUUAAGUGUUCUUUCUCAAACUUUGGAAUUUUCGCGUCGGUACUUAAAUGAUUUUUAUACACGCGCUACAUUGUACAAUGACCAUAACUUACAAGUUCACCUUAAAUGUUUCGAUCCUAAUAUUUAGAAUUAGAAUUCUCGUCAUUCUAGAGAAAAUAAAAGUAUACAUCAAAUAUGUAUAUUGCUAACCAAUUAUGAAUAGGGUUAAUCACAUUUUAUCCCCUUAAAGAAUACCCCAUUUCUCAGUUUAUCCCCUAAUCUUUAAUUUUGCUCACUUAACCCCCUUUAGGACAAAAUUGCCCUUGCAUUAUUUUGGCUUUUCAUUUACCUUAUUUUCCUUUCUUUUUCUUUUUCUUCUUUAUUUAAUUCUUCCUCUUUCCCACAAAAAUCUUCACCUUAAUGAUUGAAAUUAAAAAAGAGGAAUUGCAGAGAUCUAUCUUCUCCUUAAAUGAUUAAAAAAAAUAUUCAAAUCGCUUUUUCUAAAAUACAAUUUUUUUAGCCUAUCAAUUCUUUUAAUUUUGGAUUUUCCUCUUUCCUUUCUUGUUUCUCAUUUUAUUUUUAAGAAAAUAUCAUAAGAUGAAAUUGUUUUCUUUUCUUUUAUUUCUUUUUCUCUUUCUUCUCUCUUUCAUCCUUCCCAAUAGAAAUUCCAUUUCAACGAAAAUUUUUGUUUUGAAUUUGUAAUUGCAUAUUUCUGGGUGAAGGUUUAAAAAGCACCAAAAACUAAUUUUGAUUUUUUGUUUGAUGUCACGUGUUACAAAUUUCAAUUGAUGACUAUUAAUCAGGUCUCAAUUUCAUCUUAAGAUAUUUUUUUGGGAAUAAAAUGAGAAACUAAAAAGGAAAGAAGAAAACUCAAAAUUAAAAGAAUUAAAAGGCUAAAAAAAUUGUAUUUUAGAAAAGUGAUUUGAAUAUUUUUUUAAUCAUUUAAGGAGAAGAUAGAUCUCUGCAAUAUUUUUUUUUUAAUUUCAAUCAUUAAGGUGAAGAUUUUUGUGGAAAAGAAGAAGAAUUAAAUAAAGAAGAAAGAGAAAAAGAAAUAAAAGAAAGGAAAACAAGUAAAUGAAAGGUCAAAAUAAUGCAAGGGUAAUUUUGUCCUAAAGGGGGUUAAGUGAGCAAAAUUAAAGGUUAGGGGGUAAACUGAGAAAUGGGAUAUUCUUUAAGGGGAUAAAAUGUGAUUAACCCUUAUGAAUAAAGUAACUAAAACUAAAGAUUAUUAUCACUCUACCUCCUUAAACUAUAUCACUAUUAUCAGUUUACCCCCUAAUAUUAUCUUUUUGUCACUUUACCCUCAUAAGUAAUUGAACUCAACAUGUUAAGAAAUUUUUGAUAAAAAUACCCUUUUAUUUUAUAGCAUUACUACAUUGUUAUUAUCACUUUAUUCAUUAGAUCAUAGUGAUACAAUCACUUUAUUCCUAAUAUUAUUUUCUAGACAUUUUACCUCAUCGUUAAUCUAACUAACAUGGUCAAAAAAUUUUAAAUAUAUUUAUCCCUUUUAUAUAUAAUUAAAAAUAAAAAGUUGGAAUGGUUUUUCUUCCUUUUUUCACUUUAAGAGAUCGAAAAACAUAAAAAUAAAAGGAUUUUCUCAAAUUUCUUUUUUUUCACACUUAUUAAUACUCGGAAAAGAAAAAGAGAUAGGAUAGAAGGAGACAGAAAAUUAGAUUUUGUAAAGAAAAGUCUAACAUUAUCAUAUUACUUUAAGGUUGUCGAGAUUAGGAAUGGAAUUUGGUAGUAAAUAGAAAAGUGAAAUAAUUUUAAAAUAAUGAAAUUAUUCAAUUCUUUCUUAUUUGUAAUUUUUAAAAAAGGAAUUGAGCUCUCUCUCUCCCUCUCUCCAUCUUUCUAUUUUUUUUCCCAUAUUAAUAAGAUUGCCUGGAAGAAAAAAAUUAAUUCUUUGACUUUUUUUCUUGAUACUAAAAAGGAGAAGAGUCACUCUAAAUUUUUUAUUAUUUUUAUUAUGCAAAGAGGAGGGUAUUUGCUUCUAAAGUUUUUUAACUUGCUAAAUUGGUUUAAUGGUAGGAUAAAUUGCCAAAAAAUAACUUUAUGGGGUAAAUUGAUAAUGAAACUAUAGUUUAUGGGGAUAAAGUAAUAAUAAUUUUAAGGGUUAAACAUAUCUUUUCACUUUAAUUAACAAACUCCGUUAAGUUUAACUGUUAGUCUUGCAAAUAAAGUAACUAAAAGAUAACGUUAAGAGGGAAAUUGAUAGUGGCACAAAACGUUAAGUGGGUAAAGUAAUAAUAACCCUAAAACUAAAGUUGCACUAAAAUGGAAAUAAGAUUACACAUAACGCGAUAUGCAAAUUUUGCCUUUUUGAAUGUCUUAGAAUUUUCUUUCGAAUUUUGUCAAAAAAACAGUGGUGAACAAUUUCCAACAAUCUCAUUAAUAAAACUCUUUUGUUAUAUUAAAAAAAAUAUAUUAAAAUGGAAUUAGUCUUUUGUAUAUUUGACUAGGGAUGUUAAUUGGAAUUUCUAAAUCAGGUUUUAACAAAUCCAAAUUCAACUCACAAAUUAUAUGGGCUUUUUAAUAUUUAGGCAUUCGGGUUUUAUGUACAAAUUAAAAUGUUCAAUUUCAAUUCUCAUUGUUAUAUGAAUUUCAAGUUCAAAUCGAACUCGACUAAAACUCAUAAUUAAAUAUACUAUUAUAUAUAAUAUAUUUUAUAAUUAUGAACACUAUAAAUUUAUAUUUAAAUUAUUAUGUCAUAGAUAUUUAUAAUUACACACAGACUCACAUAUAAGCCGGGUCUUAAUUACAAUGAAGUAUUGUGCUUCCUUUCUCUAAAAAAUUCAGAGCACAGUAAUGCAUUUGUCUGAUUUGGAGAUUCGCUCUCCAACUCUUAUAAAAAACCAGUUAGGCUCAUCCUCACUUUUAGUGUAGCAGCAAUUUAGAUUGUUGACCGUAGCCAAAAAAAAAAAAGUUAGAUGUGUUUCAACUCAAUAAAAUUUUCUAGUUUCCAAAAAAAAAAAAAGUAUCAUAACAUACUUAAAGGUGCACUGAGGAAUAUCUCUUUGUACAUGAAAAUCUAUGGUGGCCACUUCUCAUAAAAUUCACCCACUAUAGCUAGGCCUGUCAACGGUCCGGGUCUAGACCCAGAUUCAAUUCGGAUCCGUCAAUUUUUUACGGGUUCGGGUAGGGAUAUAAUUCUGUUAUCCGGCCCGAAUUCGGAUCCAUUUUGUCAAACAAAAAAUCGGAUCGGAUAUGGAAUACAUCAUUUUCGGCCCGUAUUUGACCCGUAUCCGGAUAUAAAAUAGAUAUAUAUAUACCAAUAAUAUAUCCCAAAUUUACUUCUAUAUCCCAAAGGCCCAAACAACUAAAUAUUAUCCUUGAACAUGCAGAGCCUUUGGCAUAUACAACACCUAUUACAAAAGCAUGAAUUUGAAUCUUACAAAAAGUAUUUAUCAAUGCUAAACAUUAUUAUAUCUAGAAGAUGUUAAUUAACACAUGCAAUAUAGCCCAGCUAAGACUUUGACCACGUGACAACAUUGAAAUAAUACUUGUUGGACAAAAUUAAAUUGACCUUUCUUAAUAAAAAAAAAAGUAGUACUUUUUCUAAUUUUGUUGUAAAACAGGUUUCAGCUAUUUUUUCGAGUAGAUCCGAACCCGGAUCCGGAUUCGAAUAGACUCAUCGGAUCCAGGUCCGAAACAUAGAGUAGAAGACCCGUCGGAUAAAUGGGCCGGAUACAGAACCGGUAUGGUAGUCACGGGUCCGGGUCCGGAAUAAUGAAUUCCGGCCCGGAUUCGACCUGGUGACAGGUCUAACUAUAGGCAUGCACUUGAUCCUUUAAGUGUUCUUUCACAAUUUUAGAAUUUUCCCUUCUUUAUUUAAAUGAUUUUUCAGCCCUCACAAUAAUUUUUGGAUCCGAGGCUCUGCCAGGUAACUAAUUGCACUAUAUAAUUUGGACACCGUCACAAUGAAAAUAAGCACCGACAAAAUAAAUAUAGAUACUAAAAUACUAAGGUUGUAUUUGGAUUACAUUUUCCGUCAUUUUUCAUGGAAAAAUUAUUGUAGCGAUUUGAUAUAUGUGAGGGAAAAAAGUGAUAGGAAAAUGUGAUCACGGAAAACGACAAUAUUUUCCGACGGAAACAAGCAAUCCAAGCAUGGCCUAAGUGUAAAAUUAAAAAAAAAUUUUGUCAUUCAUUAAAAUUUAUAUCCAAAAUUAAUCCCUUUUAUUCAAAUUCAAAUUAAACCGAUAUGCUCCAUCGAUUGCUUGCUAGGUGCUAUUGAUCUGACAAUUGCGGGAAACAAGCCCCCAUUUUUUUGUACAAUGAAGGUUCCGUUUGGAUUAGCUGUUUUUGGGGUUGUUUUUCAAAAACAGCACUGUAGCAUUUCGUUUUUCAAAUACAAGUCCGUUUGGAUUAGUUGUUUUUGGGGUUGUUUUUCAAAAAUUAUAUAAAAAACUUUUACUGUAGAUGUUUUAUACAUUAUUUUUAGAUGUAUUUUUAAAACAUAUUUUCGAGUAUUUUUAUAAUUUAUAAUUUUUAUAUUUUUAUAACAAUAUAUAAUUAUACAUUUAUAAAUAUUUAUAAAUAAAUAAAUUUAUAUAAAAAUAUAUAAAUGUAUUAUAUUAUAUAUAAUACAUAAUAUAAAUAUAUUUAUAAAUGUAUAAAUUAUAAAUCAAUAUUAUAUAAAUGUAUAAAUGUAUAAAUUAUAAAUUAUAAUUUUUAUAUUUUUAUAUUUAUAUACAUUUAUGCAUUUAUAAUACAUUUAUUAAUAUUUAUAAAUAAAUAUAUUUAAAUAUUUAUAAAUAAAUAUAUUUGUACUUUUAUAAAUAAAUAUAUUCAUAUAUUUAUAUAUAAAUGUAUUAUAUUAUAUAUAAUACAUAAUAUAAAUAUAUUUAUAAAUGUUUAAAUGUAUAUUACUAUAAAUAUAUAAAUUAUAAAUGAAUAUUAUAUAAAUGUAUAUUAUAAUUUAUAAUUUAUAAUUUUUAUGUUUUUAUAUUUAUAUACAUUUAUGCAUUUAUAAUACAAUUAUAAAUAUUUAUAAAUAAAUAUAUUUAUAUAUUAUUCUAAAUAAGUAAGUGUAUUAUAUUUAUAAAUAAAUUUAUAUAUUAUAUAUAAAUAAAUAAGUGUAUUAUAUUUAUUUAUUAUAUAUUAUAUUUAUAAAUAAAUAUAUAAAUGUAUUAUAAGUGUAUUAUAUUAUAUAUAAUACAUAAUAUAAAUAUAUUUGUAAAUGUAUAAAUGUAUAUUAUUAUAAAUGUGUAUAAAUUAUAAAUGAAUAUUAUAUAAAUGUAUAAAUUAAUAUAUUAUAAAUAUAUAUUAAUACUAUGUAUAAAUGUAUUAAUGUAAUAAAUAUAAAUGUAUACAUUUAUUAAUAUUAUGUAUAAAUGUGUAAUUAAUAUUAUGUAUAUUAAUAUAAAUGUAUAAAUGUAUUAUAUUAUAUAUAAUACAUAAUAUAAAUGUAUAUUAUAAAUAUACAUAAAUAUAUAUAUUAUGUUUAAAUGUACAUUUAUAUAAAUGUUCAAUAUAUAUAAUAUAUAUUAUGUAUAUAUUAAAUAUAUAUAAUAUAUAACAUUUAUAUAAAUGUAUAAUAACAUAUUUAUAAUAUAUAUAAUUUAUAUAAUAUAUAAUAUUUAUAUAAAUAUAUAAAAAUAUAUUUUAUAUAAAGUAAAAUAUUUAUAAUAUGUAUAAAUAAAUAUAUUUAAAUUAAUAUAAUAUAUAUAUCCUAUACAUAAUUGAAAUAUAUAAGUUGAAAUAAACAUAUUAAAUAUGUAUUUGGAGUUGUUUUUGAUAUAUUGUUUGGAUAUUGGUGUUUUUGGAGUUGUUUUUGAAAUACACAUUUACUGUAGCAUUUGGAUUGUGAAAAACAGUUUUUCAAAAACAGGCCCAAAAACAAGAAUCCAAACGGACCCGAAAGUGUGGUAGAGACGUCAAUCGUAAACUUUUCCGUCAUAAUUAUGGACAGGAUUGUAGUCAUCCAAGAGAAAAUAAAAAAUAACUCCUAAUAGUUGAUUACCCUCUCUAUGCUAAGUCAAGAAUAAGACAGCUAAGAUAGAGUAUUAUUAAAAAUAUUAUUUGAAAUAAUUACUAUAAUAUUUUUUAUAAUGUAUAUGCAAGAUAAAAAUAGUUGAGAAUAUUAAAAAUUAUACUUAAAAAACGUAUUUAUGAUGUAAAUAAAAUAACAUCUAUACUAUAUAUAAAGAGAGAGCCUUAAAUUUGGUGUAAACUUUUUUUUUUUUGGUCAUCUUUUAGAUUUCCAGCUUUACCCUCUCAAUCAUUUAAUUAUACAUCCAUAUUUCUGAGCUAACCAACUUAACCACAAAUUAACUUUCACCCCAAUUAUCCAAAUAUAUAUAUUGGCUACAUAACUACCUACAAAUAUUGUAACUAACAAGUUAAUUAAAAUUUUAUUCAAAAAACUAUUUUUUGACAAAUACUCAAAAACUAUUAAAAGAUCAAAAUUUACUUUUUCGUGUUUAUACUAAAUUCUUUCGUAUAAAGGAUCGUUCCUAAAUUCCACAUACAUCGAGUGUGCCUUUAUCCUAAUUUGAGAUAAUAUGUGUAUCCAAACAUAGUAAUAAUUUCUUCUAUUCUUUGCUUUGUUCGGUAAAAUGGAUUAAAAAAACAAAUGAAAAAUACCCCACUCGACCUUUACAAAACCACCCUCCGCAAAGUCAGUGGAUAAAUACCACAGCCCAUGAGCCCACUAGAAAUUUAGAAAACCAUAAUCUCCAAGACCACUGGAAAAGCACCCAGCCCCUGGUUUCUGCAACAACUUAUUUACACAAACUUCUGAGAUGACAGAAUAUAAAUAUGGCUGAACUCCCCAGCACCAAAGAACAUCUUCUCAGAAUUCAGAAAAACAUCUCUAGUACUCAACCAAGCUUCAAGAGUUCCAGAAAGACUCCAUCAUCAACAAGGAAUCCUUACAGUUUUAAAAUUUAUUCUUGCUGAAAAUGGGUUCAACAAGCAGGGCAUGGAUAGCAGCACUGAGUGUAGGCGCAGUGGAGGCAAUGAAAGAUCAGGGAUUGAAUAGGUGGAACCACACCAUGAGGUCAGUACACCAGCUUGCCAAGAACAACCUCAGGUCCCUGUCUCAGACCAAGCAGCUUUCUUCUUGUGCAUUGGCUUCAUCAAGCAGUAAAUCUAAAGACCAAGAAAAACUAAAGAAGUCUGAAGAAUCAUUAAGGAAAGUCAUGUACUUGAGCUGCUGGGGACCAAAUUGAUUGAGCCCCCCAUUAGUACCACUAGUUUGUGAUUUUCACAUAUAUGGGGCGAUGUAAAACAGGAAAUUUUGGUGAUUUUGUACCUACAAAAUUGUAAAUUUUUAAGUUUACGGCAUUUUUUGCGCAAUGAAUUGGAAUCGAAAAUUGAUGUGUUCUUUAAUGUGCAAUUUCAGUUAUCAUUUCUUGAUGGGGUUAACUGCAUUAGCAUCUCGAGAAGGAGUGAUAGAGCCAAGGGGUUGAGUUACCUAGUUAAUGUCCUGCAUUAGCAAUCUUGUUUUCAAUUGAUUAGAUUAAAAUGUCGGUGCUGUCCCCGGAACUGCUGGGGUAGGUUAAUCCAAGCCGCCUUAAUUGACGAGAGAAAUAAAGAGUGGCAAAAUUGUGGGGUCAAUGUGUUGGCAAACAACGCAUGAAUGAGUAUAAGUCGGUAUAACACGGCUAAUUUCUCAGAUUAUUUGUAUUUAAAAAAAACAUCCGCCAAAUACACCUCUGACAUGGGUUUUUCUAAUUGUAUAGCGGCCGUGCUGACGACAUAGGUUUUUCUAAUUGUAUAGUCAGCACGGCCGCAUAACUAAAAAUUCCACCCAAAUCUUCUCUGCAAAAAAUUCAAUGAUGCACAGUCGGUGUCAGAGGGAACGUGCUGACUGGGCACGUCCCCGACUGACAGAAAACUGACUCGUCUGUGUAUGAGUCAGAGGGGACGUGCUGACUGGGCACGUCCCCGCCUGAAAGAAAUCCGACAGAGUCUGCUCAUGUGUCAGAGGGGACGUGCUGAUUGGGCACGUCCCCCAAUUUAUUUUUCCAUUUCGAGUGGUAUACUGCCUGGUGGGCAAUACUAAAAGCGCAUCAAAAUUGCAAACCUUUCAUUCACGCCAAAUUUUCCUACCAGCCCACACUAAGGGAUACUUAAUUGAUUACGAUUGAUUCAGCCCAAUUAUGAAAAAGAAUAUGGAUAAUUUCACGAACUUCUUUCAAGAUCUAUGACAAUUGCAGAAAGUUCCUCUCCAAUUUCAAGUUACACCCUCUCUUUACCUGUUUCUAGUAGCAUAAAAAUCCAAUUUGAUAUUGUAAGCCAAAUAUGCCAUCUAUUAAACUUUGUAAACAAACCAAAAAAAAAAGAAAAAAUUCCUUCUAAAAUGGCAUGAGAAAGAAACGCUGCACAAUCUUCUAUCUUUAGAGAAGAACUGUAAUAAACUUCUCCAAAAUAUCUAGCAUAUUCAACAUAAUAACAUUUUCAAGCAAUUAGUUACCCUUUAUAAUUAAAUAAACAAAUGCACAACCAUAUAAAAUAAAAGUCAUCAUAUUUAUUACAAAAGUAAAGACUAAAUUUUCUAAGAUACAUGUGCAUUUUUGUAUCAAAAUUUCAACUUUGAAAGCCUAUCUUGCUUUUUAAUUUUGAUAAUUGAAACUGGGCUAAUUGCUCUGAUUAUUGCCCAAAAAAAAAAGGUCGGAACAAUGUUGUUCUGACAAUUUGGCAGUAGAAAACUAUGCCUACCGGGCUGAGUCAGUCCGGUAGACAAGAGAAUUCUUUUUUUUUUUUUUUAAGGUUUGAGCCCUGCAGCCUGUAGCUUACUUUAAAAAAAAAAUAAAAACUUAUGCUAUCGGUAGCCUUUGUGGUUAAUUUUUUGUUAAGCUCAAACGUAUGAAAAAGGUCAAGAUAAAUUUGCUAAAUUAAUUAUUUUUAUCCCUAAAAAAAGUUUUUAGAUAAAAAAAUGUCAUUCAAUUUACAAGAAUAUGCAUUUUCCAAAUGUUUGAAAAAUAAUCGUUGAAAUUAUUAUGUAUAAAAUUUGGUUUUAUAUUUUUUUAUAAAAUAUAUAGAAAAUUGAUAUAUAUCUAAAUAAAAUAUACAAAUAAAUUAUUAUUUGGUAGUGGGUUGUUAAAAGAAUAAAGGUAAAAAUAAAUAUAAUAGUACUUAAAAGUACUUAACAAUGUUUAGUCGGCUGACAACCUGCAACUUAACUUUAAAAAAAAAAAAAAGAAAAAAACUUGCAAGCCGGCAGCCAGCUUAAAUUUCUUUUUUUAAUUAAAAACUUUUGCUGGCUGUAGUUGGGGUUCGCCUGCACCAUUAGCACAAAAAAGCUGCAGGGGAAUCUCUUUUCGAUCAAUGGAGCUCACUUGCUCCUUUCCUUAUCUUUUCCUUUUUUUUUCCCGGAUGGAAUAAUGCAAGUUUUGCUUUUUUCCCUCUGACUCAUACGCAGACGGAGUCAGUUUUCUGUCAGCCGGGGACGUGCCCAGUCAGCCCGUCCCCUCUGACACCGACUGUGCAUCAUUGAAUUUUUUUGCAGAGAAGAUCUGGGUGGAAUUUUUAGUUAUGCGGCCGUGCUGACGCUAUACAAUUAGAAAAACCCAUGUCAGAGGUGCAUUUGGCGGAUGUUUUUUUUAAAUACAAAUAAUCUGAGAAAUUAGCCGUAUAACACAGACAACUUCAUUAGCAGUAUUGUUAGUAGUUUAGGCCCGAGAUAUUCACCUUUUUUGUUUUGUCAAAGCCCGAGGACAUUCACUUGGCUUUAUUGGAUCCGUAUUUUCUCAAUGUACUUUAGGCUUCCAAAGAGGCUAAUAAGACUGAGUAUUGUUUAACUCAUCAUGCAAAAACUGCCAAUCUUCUUAAAAAUCUAUGGAAUUCAUCACCAAGUUUUGUCAAGUAAGUCGUGUUGAACGAUAUCUAGCAAUCUCAUUAAUAAAGUUUCCUGUUUUAUCAAAAAAAAAAAAAAAAAGUAUUACCAUCAACUACAUGGCCUCAUGUUUAGACUGAUUUUCAAAACUUGAUUUUAGAUUUUACUUUUUUAAAAAAAAUUGUUUUAUUGUGUUCUCAAUUGCUGUUCAUAUUUUGAUUUUGAGUUUUUUGAGCUUUAAAAAAUUAAAAAUUAGAAGCAUCUAUUUUGAUAUUUUUUAUUUUAAUUUUCCAUAAUUAGUUCAGUUGGGAACAAGGCCAAUAACCAGUUUGUCUAUUUUUAUUCAAUAGGAAGGACUUAGGUUCUCAUUGUUAAUUACUUCAAGAAUUAACAAUGCUUGCACUCAAGAUACGGACACGGACUUGACCCGGACACCCCACUCCGUCGACCAAAAAAAAAAAAAAAAAAAAAAAAGAUACGGACACGGACUUAAUAGAAGUAAAUCCUAAGAUGAUAACAUACAAAAUCAUCUAACAAAUUUUGUAAUUUAAUGGAAUUUGUGUCCCAAAGUUAAUUUUAUACAUCCAAAUUCGCAUUAUAUCAACGCUGGCCAUGAAUCAUAUGGUGCUGUUGACCUCACAAUCAAACCAAAAGCAGUUCCAUGUUUUUUUGUACAAUUGAGUGUAGCAAAGAGGUCCACCUUAGAUUUUUGGGAUAAUUUCAAAAGCCCCACUGAGGUUUCUAACAAUUUCAUUGAGCUCCCUGAGGUUUGGAAACUUACACAUACCUUCCUUGAUUUGAUAGUUUUAGUAACAAAAUCUUAAAAUAUCAUUGACUUGAUCAAAUUUUUAAAUGAAUACCCAAAAAUGCCCCUGUGUAAUGAGUUUUAAUUUAUUUAUCCAUACAAUUAUAAGAUUAUCUAAUAUAAUUAUAAGAAAAUGUGCCAAAAUUUUUAUGUUCAUACCUACUAUUUGAUAAACAACUAUAAUAAUAAUUUUAUCAUUAUGAUAGAAUACUUUUGAUGGUAUUUUAUUAUGGAUUUAAAUAAUUCAUUUAAAGUUUAUGAAUUUUUCGAGUAGUGGGAUUAUCAUAAUUUAGUAGUGGUUUUGGGCCAUUUUCUUUUGAUUUAUUGUUAAUUUUAAUACCAAAAAAUAGAAAACAAUGAUUAGCAAAAACAUUGGAUUGCAUAAAAAGUUAAUUCAUCAAAAAAAUCACUAGUUCGACAUUUGGUUACAAUAGAAUUAGAGAUAAUAGUAGUAGUUCUACAAUUUUAUUGGCAAAAAAUUAAAAAAAAAAGGAAUAAGAAGGAAAAAGAAUAUAAAAAUAAUUUAAAAAGUCAUUCUAAGUAUAAACAUACCAAACAAGGAAAUUUCAUUAAAAUAUUUAAGGGUAGUAUUGUCAUUUUAAAUAAAAAGGAGGUAUGUGUAAUUUUUAAAAUCUUAAGGAGCUAAAUGAAAUUGUUAAAAACCUCAAGGGAGGAUUCUGAAAUUAUCCCUAGAUUUAUCCCUCCUAAUCAUAAAUAGAAUUCUCGUCCAAGUGAAAAUAAAAAAAUAUACAUUGGAUAUGUACUUUGCUAACCAACCAUCAAUAAAAUCUAUAAAACUAAAGUUGUAUUAAAAUGGAAUAAGUCUUUUGAUAUGUGACACAGGUACGAGUAAUCAAUAACUUCUCAUAAUUUAUUACCGUCUAAAUGUUAAGUAAAGAAGAAGAAAGUAAUUAAAUUUCUCCUUUUCAUUGCUUUGUUCGGUAAAAUGGACAAAACAAAUCGACUUUAGUGUUUUGAAAAUCGGAUCGAAUUGAUCAGUUCGAUCGAUUAAACAGUGAAUCAGUCAUACCUCCAUUCUGAUUCAAUGAAUAAUAAAAAAAAUCAAUUAAAUCGGUCAAGAAUGAACAAAAAUCGGAAAGUUUAACUGGUUUUUAUUAAAAUUUUUAUUUUUUUAAAAAAUAAAUAGUUUAAUUUUUUAAAAAUUAAUGCUAAAAUAAAUGAAUAAAUAAAAUUUUAAAUCGAGAUUGUACCGAUUGAAUCAAUUGAACAAUUGAACAUUUUUCCAAUUCACUCUUCAGUUCAAAUUUAAUAACAUUGGCCCACUUGACCUCAACAAACCAGCGGAAAAUGACACAGCCCACAAGAACCUACUAGAACAUUGAAAAAAACCAUACUCUCCAAGACCACAGGAAAAUCACACAGCCCCUGGUAUUUGCAUCAAUCCAUUUACACAAACACACAGAAACUUUAGAGAUGACAGAAUAUAUAAAUAUGACCGAACUUCCCAACAACUUGAGCACCAAAAAACACCAUCUUCUCCUCAGAAUUCUAAAAACAUCUCUAGCAUUCAACUAAGUGCCAGAAUAUCCUAAAGACUUCAUCAUCAACAAGGUUGUAUUAGUCUUUCAGUUUAAUUACAUUCUUGCUGAAAAUGCAUUCAAUGCACCAGCUUGCCAAGCAAAACCUCAGGCCCCUGUCUCAGACCAAGCAGCUUUCUCCUUCUGCAUUGGCUUCAUCAAGCAGUAAAGCUAAAGCUCAGGAAAAACUAAAGGGGGCUGAAGAAUCAUUAAGGAAAGUCAUGUACUUGAGCUGCUGGGGUCUCAAUUGAUCGAGCCCCCCAUAUGGCUGCUCUGUAGUUUUAUACGGUAUAUAGGAUGACGGAUAUGGAAAUUUUGUAUCUUUUUGGAUAAACAGAACUGUAGAUUCUAAAAUUUGAGGCCAGUUGUAAUAAAUAGAGCCAUCAAUUCAAAAAAAAAAUUGAGAUCUGCAAUUGUCAUUUUUUUUUUCAUAUAUCCUUUUUGUGUAUCGGUAUCUGGCCAUUUCGGAAACUUGUCUUGAAAGAUGGAAGGAAUAAAAAUCCCAAAAAUGUUAACUGAUGGUAAGUUAAUUAUGUCAUUCUGUUCAACUUAUUCCUGAUAAUAAAAGAAAAAAGUUAAAACUAAUUUGGCUUAAGUAUUUUUUUUUGGUUAUAGAAGUGUGAUAAGCCCACAUCAAACCUUGGCUCAACCAACUUUAUUUGCCUCUACGGGCUAAUCUGUUUUUUUUUUUUUCUCUUGAAAGAUAUGGGCUAAUUUUUAUGACGUCUGAAAGAAAAAUAUAUAUUUUUUGGUUGAUCAUAAAAGUACAAUAUGCCGACAUCACCUUAACCAUAGCACCUUAUAAGUUGGGCUAAAAGACAGUGGCAAGGUGUGAUUACCUGAUUGUGUAUCCUUUGAGCGGUGAAUUGGAAAUUUAAAGGCUAAAUAUGGACACUCAAGAUAACUUUUGGGAUAAUUUCAGAAUCUUCACCUGAGAUUUUUGACAAUUUCACUGAGCUCUCCUAAAGUAAAGUUUGAAAAAUUACACUUAUCUCCCUUGUGAAUUGGAAAUUUAAAGGCUAAAUAUGGACACUCAAGAUAACUUUUGGGAUAAUUUCAGAAUCUUCACCUGAGAUUUUUGACAAUUUCACUGAGCUCUCCUAAAGUAAAGUUUGAAAAAUUACACUUAUCUCCCUUGAUUUCCCUUGAUUUGAUAGUUUUAGUAACAAAAUCUUAAAAUAAUAUUUUGAACAAUUUUUUAAUUGAAUAGCCAAACAUGCCCUUAUGGAAUGAGUUUUAAUUUAUUUUUCUAUACAAUUAUAAGAUUAUUUAGUAUAAUUAUAAGGAAAAGAUGUCAAAUUUUUCAUGUUCAUAUCUACUAUUUGAUAAACAACUAGAAUAAUAAUUUUAUUUCUAUGAUAUGAUAUUUUUGAUGAUAUUUUAUUAUGAAUUUAGAUUUAUAAGAUAGAAAAGAAAAUAUUAAAAUAAUUCAUUUAGAGUUUAUAAAUUUUUGGAGUAGUGGGAUUAUCAUAAUUUAGUAAUGCUUUUAGGUCAUUUUUUUAUUUAUUAUUAAUUUUAAUACCAAAAAAUAGAAAAUAAAGAUCAGCAAAAAUAUUGGACUACAUAUAAAAUUAACUCGUAAAAAAAAAAUCGCUAGUUCGACAUUUGGUUAUAAUAGAAACCUAGAGACAAUAAUAGUAGUUCUACAGUUUUAUUGAUGAAAAAUUUUAAAAAAGGAAUAAGAAGGAAAAAGAAUGAAAAAAUAUUUUUAAAACUCAUUCUAAGUAUAAGCAUAUCAAAUAAAAGAAUUUUAUUAAAAUAUUUAAGGGUAAAAUUGUUAUUUUAAAUGAUAAGGGAGAUAUGUGUAAAUUUUCAACCUCAAGGGAGCUCAGUGAAAUUAUCAGAAACCUCAGGGGAGGUUUUUGAAAUUAUCCCAUAACUUUUUUACCAAAUAUUAUCACACCACUACAGGAACUUUAGAUAGAAUAUAGGAGUAGCUAUUAGCCAAAUACUAAGGAAUAAGUUUAACAAUAGAUUCCCUAGGAAAUCAUCGUGAUUUACCCAUUGUCAAAGCGGGAAAGGGGCAGAAAUGAUUUUCAACACAAUUAUUCUUAAACGGUGUAACAUCUUAUAAAUAAGUUAUAAUUCAUUAUUAACUAUUUAUGCAACAUCGUGACAGAUACGCAAUUAUUAUGUAUGAGCGUCAUAUGAGCUGUAAUUAAAUGUCGCACCAUUAUUAUAAAAUUAUAAAAAAAUUUUUGAAUAAGUUAUAAUUUGUUCAAACUGUAUUUCACCAUCCAAAAACAGUUAUACCUGCUCCUUUUUCCUUCCCCUCAUAGAAGCAUGGUAAUUAGUUUUUUUUUUUUUAUCUUCAAUGUAUUUUCCUGUCAAGUCCAAUAAUAGUGAUUCAUGUAACUCUGGCAUCCUAUAAUGCCCAUGCCAGGUAAAGUUGUUUCUCCCACACAGAGGUGUUAUGAUUAGUGAUGGCCGCAUGCUCUUCCCCAAUAAUUUUUCCCUACAUCAUUGCCCUCAAUUUAGCAAUUGAAAUGAAAGUUGCUCGAGCCAACGAGAGUAGAAAGUAACUUCAGUAAAAGAUUGAAUAGUUUCAAGAUAAUGCCUUUCAAAUUUACUAAAGAAAAGUUUGAUGCUUUUAACAAAAAUGGACCACAUCCAUAUGGUAGCACUUAUUAGCUUUGUUAUUCCUUUAAUGACAUCUUAGUUGAGAAGAUGUGCCACAUCUAGAGCUUUUAUAUAGGGAUUAAAUUUACAAAUUCGUCACCACUAAGGCAUAAGAUGAUAUGGGAAAGCAAUAAUAAAUAUGCAUAUAGAAAACCAGUAGUCACAAGUCAAUCUUACAGAUCAUGAUAUGACAUCUAUAUAUAAUUGUUGAUUUGUUGUCAAUUUGUCACUCCCUUUUGGUAGGUAUUUCGAGUUGUGAGUCUUAAUAUUAACUCUUGAGAUUCCUCCUACGAUGACUGGUUUUAAAAUGCAGGGUGUGAAAAAAAGCUAUUAAUUUUGAUCAAAGCAUUCAUCUUCUAGUAAAAAAAAGUUAACAAAUUUUGAUAACUGAAGUUUAGACCAAAAUGAAAAUGUUGAGAAUAUAAAUUAAGUAUCAGGUUCAAAUGUAUCACCUGUCACGCCAGCGUGCACCUACCUACAAAGACAGUUAUGACAGCCAGACCAUUCUCAUUCCCAUGAUUCCAUUUCAUGCCUAGUAUUCAUAUUCUUCUUCUUCUGGUGCGACUGAAUCAAAAUUCACGAAGAGAUUAAGGUGAGGGAGACCAGAGAAUUGAUCAGAACAACGAUGGCAGUUGCUAAUGAGAAACCACCAAUGUCUGAAGUUAAGGUUUGGAGUUUCUGUAGAUUGCCUUUCUGGCAAUCCACCAAUAAUGCAGCUGCCGGUGGUGGUGGUGGUGGCAGUGGUUCUUCAUCCUUGCAGCAAAACCAUCUUGCUGCUGCUGAUCAUCAACCUUCCAUCAAGGUCGCUUCUGUGGCCAAGUCCUUUCUUCCUACUCGCCGUAGACUCGGUCUUGAUCCCCCCAACAAGCUCUAUUUUCCCUGUAUGUGGGCUAAUCUUUUUUCAUUGAUGCACACUUCAUUCUCUCUGAUGCUCUACAUAUAUGUGCGUGAAGCUGAGGUAGUACAUUUUGUGUGUGUCUUCAUUGCGAAUGAAUCCUGCGUUUUCAACCACUUUGGUGUUCUCUUUUUCUGUCAGUGAAUUGCUUUCUUUUCCUGCUAUUUGUCAGUUUUAUGGGUUUACCAAAUUUACCAAAAGAUGUAUGUUUGGUUAUUGGAAAACUUUAGAAGUCUCUGCUAGUGUACAGGGGUCUUUGCUUUCUUGUUUUCCUCACUGAUUUUCGUGUUGGAACUGUUCUUGGUUGAUACAAGAUGAACCUGGUAAACAAGUCAAAAGUGCAAUUCGGAUUAGAAACAUCAGCAAGACUCAUGUUGCCUUCAAGGUAUUAUAUGCAGCUUUAUUUUGUUUUGUAUUGAUUUUGUUGUCACAAGAACAAAAUUUGUGAUGCAUCAAUUUUUUGAGUUUCUAUGCAGUCAUCAAACUCUGUAAUAAUAAAAGAUUUCAUGAAUGUAUUAUUUGGAAAUGCUAUCAUCAGAUCACCAGCUUGAGGCUAAUUAUAUUCUUGAUUGGAUUACUUGUUGCAGAAUCCGGAGAUGAAAGUUUGAAUUUAGGCGUUGUUAUUCAAUGAUUAAAGAAAAAUGGCCACUAAAUUUCAAAGUAAUGAUGACCAUGUGGGAUUAAGUAUAGGAAAUCUUCAAUUCAGAAAUGUUUGCAUCAAUGAGUCUGCAUUUGGUACUCAUCGAAUUAGACAUAAUAGAUUUUGCAGAUUCAAUUUUUCUUUUCCUUUUGGUGAUGUUAAAGGAAAAGGUUUUGCUCCAUUCAUCCACUGAAUGCUAAGCUAAUUUUAGCGCAAGAAAGUUAUCAGUUGCCCUUGAGGGUUAUAUAGUUCGAAUGCAAGAGUUCAGUUUGGAGGGCAUAAUCCAUUCCCUAUAGUAAAAAACAACAGAUAUGUUGUGUAUUUCAUUGCACAGUAAUCUAACUGCAAUCUUGCUGUUGCUUUAAUUAGUUCCAAACAACUGCACCAAAGAGUUGUUACAUGCGUCCUCCGGGAGGCAUACUUGCUCCUGAUGAGAGUCUAAUUGCCACAGGUAAUUUCACCCUUGAUCAGUAUCAUUCUUCAUUUACAUUGUGCUACACAUGGAUUCACCAGCAUUUGGACAAUAAGGGUGUACAGAUCUUCUCUUCAUGCAAAAUUCUGAGGUGCUUUUAAUCUCUGAUUGAACAGUUUUCAAGUUUGUGGAGCCUCCAGAGUCCAAUGACAAACUGGAUGGUCUAAAGAGCAGGGUCAAGUUCAAGAUCAUGAGCUUGAAAGUAAAGGGAGACAUGGAUUAUGUACCUGAGCUGGUAAUUUGUUUAACCUUCCUUCAUCUGUUAUCAAGUUGGUGUUUUUCAUAGUUCCACUUGAUCAUGAUAAUAACUUAAUUGCUAAGAGUUGUCAGAUAUGAAUUAUUAGCUUCAAGAAAAUUGUUGAUUGGCAAUAAUAUGAUUGCAUACCUGUUUUCUGUACUAAUCUGCAACAUGCUAACUCAAUUGUAUUGUCUCCCCUCUCCUUUUAAUGUUUUUCUCCCCCCUUUGUUUUUCUAAAUUAUGGUAUAAUAAAUGGAACAAGAGCCAUGAGAGCGUCAUUUAAGGUACAUUAUUGUUACCAAUCACCAAAUGUGUACAGAUUCUUUUUCCCUGUUGCCAAUGGUAACCUUUGCCAGUAAUUGGGAGGAUUUUUAUUAACCAUGAAAAAAUUCCACUUGUGAUUGAUAACUAAGGAUAGGCAAAACUGGAAGAGACUUGAACAGGGAAGAACUUUCUGAAGACCUUUAGUUCUAGUUGAGUUGCAAAAGAAAUCAAAAGUAUUCCUUUCUUUUUAAACUAAUAUGGGAAGGUAGGUAAGGCAAAACAUUCCCUUUCAUGAUUCAUUACAAUAUUCAAGAACCUGAACAUGAUGGUUGGGAAUUUGUUUCAUUGCCCAGAACCUGCAGAAUUUUAAGGAAGAAUUUAUUACAUUGUCACAUUCAUGGAUGAAUGCUUAUUAAAUUGUUUAUUUGUACCAUAUCUGGAUGCUUAGUGGUGAUGAACUGUCAGUGCUAAUGAUUACAUUCCAAAAGAUCCCAAUCAUCUUAGCAUCAUUUGUUUGCCAUUUUCUUCCAUUUUUUGUGUCUAUCUUUAAUUAUUUAACUCUUUACAAUCUUUUGGCAUGUAUAUACAUUAGAAGUUGACGUUGUAGUUAGUUUUAAGCAGGAAGAGAAAAGAAUAUCCACUUUGAUUAAUUCUUCUUAAUUACCUCCUUCAGUGAUAAUUGAAGUCAUUUGCAAAGUUACAUGCCUCAUUUUCCCCACUUUUCAAAAGUUAUCACCCAUUGGUCUAUGCUUCCAAGCUCAGAUUCCAGUAACAAUGCAAAAAACUGGACGAUUCAACCAAAGGAUAAUUUAUUUGCUUAAUGCCCAUAUUAUUACAAUCAAAAAGUGCCAAUCAACUCGAUGCAGUUCGAUGAAUGGCUAUGUAAUUUUGUUGUCCACCAAGUAUAUAAUCCAGUUCUUGAUAAUGAUAUGUACACAACAGUAAUUUCCCGAACGAGUUAAUCAUAUUGGUUCUUAUGUUUAUGAUCUUUUUCCCUCUAUUCUCCAUUUUUGCAAAUCCAUUAACUUGCCGUUACUGAUAACAAAUGCAGUUUGAUGAGCAAAGGGAUCAAGUUGCAGUUGAACAGAUUCUGCGGGUUGUUUUCCUGGAGCCUGAUCAUCCUACCCCAGUAAGUACAUUUUUAAUUCAUCAGAUCAAAUUAGCUGUAUCCUCAAUCAAUGAACUCAGAUCAUGUUAGUCAUUUCGAAUCCGUAUAAUCACAUUCUGAUUCAUUGAGAGGUUAAAUUUUUCUCUCAAGGCACUCGAAAAACUGAAUCGUCAACUAGCUGAGGCUGAGGCUGAGCUUGAGAUACGCAAAAGGCCUCCUCCAGAGGACAAAGGUCCAAGAGUUCUUGGGGAAGGUCUUGUCAUUGAUGAAUGGGUAAGUUGUUUCAACAGAUUGAUGUUUUGCUACAUUUGUGGCCUUAUUGCUUUAUCUGAUUCCCUUAUUUGUGUGUUCUGUGCUGGUUUUUGUAGAAGGAAAGGAGGGAAAGAUAUCUUGCAAGACAACUGGUCGAAGGAGUUGAUUCAGUAUAAGCUGCUAUACUUUCUUUCCACUGAUGCAGAACAGAAAACUGGAGUGAAAGUGAAAUCACAGGCAACAGAAUCCGGAAUUUAUGAGUUCAACAUGCAAUUUCAGGGAUUCAAUGAAGCAUAAUAGAGAGAACUAUUUUGCUUCCCUUUUGAUAUCAGAAUAACUAUAUGAUUCAAGGAUUGUCUCCUGGCUGAGACUUUUGUUACAUGUAUAUAAAGAGGAUUAGCAAGUAGGAUUGUUCUUCAUCUAUGAACGUUGGUUUUCUCCUCCAAAUUUUUGCUUCCUCCAAUUUGAAAAUCUUAUGUGCCUAUUUUUCUAUGUUCCUGUGGUUUUGGGGCCAUGCAACAGGUUAUUGUCAUGUGUGGAAAAUGCACCAAAAAGACCUAAACAAUUCAGGCAAAAAGAAAUCAUUAACAAUAAUAUUGCAAAUGGUAUCCUGUGCUAAGCUAUGGCCUGACAACUUGAAAGCAUGAACAGUUGCUGGAGAUUUGAUCUACCAAAAAUCUUUCAUCUUUUUCACUUUUGUUGUCACUAGUUGAUUCGUAUCAAAUACCACUGGUAUGUUAUACUUUUGAACUCAUGCUACAAUAUGCAAGUCUCUGUCUAAUCAUUAUGUUUUGCAAUUGGGGAUAAUUUCAAAACCUCCCUUGAGGUUUUUGAUAAUUGCAUGUGGCUCCCUCAAUGUUUCAAAAAUUACACCUACCUCCUUGCCUAUUUAAAAUGACAAUACUAACCUUAAUAUUUUAAUAAAACUCUCUUGUUGCCAUGUUUAUACAAAGGGAUGGAUUUUAUAAUUUUUUUUUCGUUUUUCAUUCUUAUUCAUUUCUCUUAUAUUUCAUUAGAAGUACAGAAUAACUAUUAAUGUUAUCACUAAUAUCUAUCCAAGUCAAACAUUAAACUAGUAAUUUUUUUGAUGACUUUUAAUAUCAUCCAAUUUUUUUGUAACUCUUUUUAUUUGUAUUAAAAUCAAGAAUAAAUCAACAAUAAUUAAAAACAAAUUGCCCAAAAUCACUACCAAACUAUGGUAGUUCCAUCACUAAACUAGUCCAUAAACUUUUAUUAAAAAAAUAGUCCAUAAAUUUAAAAAACACAAGAUAAUACUUUUUUCUCUACCUUAAAAAAAAAUCUAUAUUUCCAAUAAAGCACUAUGAAAGAUAGCUUAUCAUAACAACAGAUUUAUUGCUAUAGUUGAUUAUUAAAUAACAAAUAUUGGCAUAAAAAACUCGAUACUCCUUUUUUCAAAAUAAUUAUGUCAAAUUACUUUACAAUUGUUUUGGAAAAAUGAAUUAAACUUUAUAAGAUAAAGGCAUUUUAGGAUAUUCAUUAAAUUUUUGACCUUAUUUUAAGGUUUAGUUACUAAAAUAUCAAAUCAAAUGAGGUAAGUGUAAUUUUUAAAACUUCAAGAAAAUUAAGUGAAUAGUCAGAAACCUCAGGGAGGAUUCUGAAAUUAUCCCUUGCAAUUGUGCGGUUAGUGCUUCAUUUAUAUAAUAGUACUACUUUGUGGAACUGAUUAACCAUGUCCCAUUGAACUCCACUGGAUUUGUUGAAAAAGUUCCACCACCCUUUUUCUACAGACUAAUGAGAGAAAAAGGCAGGCUGCCUUACUUGUGCCAACAUUAUGCUUGUUUUUAUAGCACUUUAAUUGGAGAUCUUUAUCACAAUAAGAUAAAAUUGAGUUUGGAAGCUUUUUUCAUGGGUAGGCACAAUAAAAUUGUAAGAUUGUCACCUGCCCGAGUUGAUGAUAUUAUAGCGUCAAGCAUACUUUCUAUAGACAAAGUUAAAUCCAAACUCACAUCUUAUCAUUCGUCAUAAAGAGCAUAGAAUAAGAAUCCUAUUUUGGAUUAUAAUUAGUUCCAUUCUUGACAAACACAUGUUGUGCUUAGAUCACACCACAAAAUAUCUUGAGAGGUAACUGCUAAUUUUGUUCCAUUCUUUUCUAGGGAUUCUUUGUGAGAGUUUUUGAUAAUUUUUUUUUAUUUUUUUUAUUAGAUCUGAGUUUUUUUAAAUUUUGAUUAUCAAAUAUGAAAUUUCCUGAAUCUAUUCGACAGAUCUCACCAUAAUAUCUAAACUUGAAACAGCUAAUCAGCAGAUCUGACGAUUGGAAGCAUGCACAGAUGUUCGUAGGUUACAACUAUUUUAUCUUAUUUUUUAAAUUUGGAAUUUAACAAUGUAAUUUUUAUUGUUCUUCAAAUCAGAAUAUCCUUUUUUUCAGAUUUAUUUUUUGACAUCUAUGUAUGUCUGACGAUGUAAUUUCUAUCAUUAGUGCAGAUUUUAAUGAAAUUAUUAUAUUUUAUAUUUAAAAAAAUUUUGUUCGAGCUUAGGCUUACGUGCUUAUGUGACAGAUUAAAUUAAAGUUGAGUUAAAUUGCUAAAAAGGAGAAGAUACAAGUCGUCCUUAUCAUUUUCUAAGGACAAAAGUUGUCAUUGUCAUCACAUCACUCCAUUUCUUAAUUACUAUUUAUUGAGUAUCUUGGAGACUUUUGAGCGAGUGGAUGGAGUUGCAUACCUAAUUUGCAUUAAAUAUUACAAAAAAAAUCAAAUCGUAUCCUUCCCACAAGUAUAGAAUAAGCCCAAUAAGCAUCAGGUCAUUGUCACUUUUGUUGGAUCGGAUGUCAUUUGUUUUUUAUUUUUCAUUUUUAACUCUUCCAGGCCCACUUCGCCACGAAACUGCUUGAAGGUGGCAGCCUCUUCUUUGUUCUCGUGGGUCCUUAAGUUGAAUUGAAUGUAUUAUUGGAAAGUUGAACACAUUUAUCCUCUAACAAUCUAAGCUUAAUCCAUACAACAUGAUUAUAUAAUAUAUACUAGGGGAAAAAGUCCGCGCCAUGUGCAGGAAUUUAGUACCUAUAAGUAAAAAUAGUUAAUAAUUAUUAUUUAGUAUUUUAUAAUAUAAGAAUUGAAGUAUGGCAAUUUUAUUAUGUGAUAUUAAACAGAAAAAUCAUAAAUUACAUAUUGAGUCAAAAAAUAUAAUAUGCAAUAAAAUAUAAUUAUAAAAUACGAUUAAUCACUUUGCGUCUAAUCUAAUAGAAUAAAAAAUCUACUUAUAUCUGCUUAUACAUUUUAGGGAUGUUAAAUUUUGUCGUUUAGUUUGAAUUUGAUCUUGAUAUGAGGGUAAUCUACUUCAUUAUCUUGCCAUAUAAGUGAGAUUUGAAAAAUUAACAUACUUGAAGAAAUUAUUGCUAGUGAAAUUUCGGUUCUUGCAAGCCAAAUUCUUAGAUUUAUAUUGAUUCCAAAGACAUAUCAUCAUGAAAGCUCCACAUUGACAAAUCAAUCAAUUAUGAUUUAUUGUAUGAUUUAGAACAUAUAGCAAAGCAUCUCCUUCUCGAUAGGGGUUACAAUCACAAAACAUCAGUUUUUGACCUAGUUGCAAAGUAUACAAUAACUAACACGCUCAUCUAGAUUAAUAAUUACCUAAAAAAAAGUACUAAAAUAUCUUAAUCUACUCAAUUUAAGAAAACAAUUAAAAGUAAUGAAGUACAUACUUUAGAUUUGCAGUCAAAUAGUUUUAAGUAGAUAGUUAAACACUAGGGGGAGUGCUCGCGCAUCGCACGGGUGUUUGGUGCCUAUGGGGAAGGAAAUUUUUUUGUUGAACAACAAUAGUACAUUGUGAGAAGAAAUAAAACUUAGUAUGAAAAAAUAAAAGAUAUAAUCAAUCAAUUCACACAGCGUUACAAUAAAACUAUGUCAAAUUGAAGAUCGUUGAUAAUGCAAAAAGGCAGAGUAACACAGAAAACUAACUUUAUUCCAGAAUCCCCACCGAGAGCUCUUUGUUGCUGUUGCUCCAAACCUAUAAGAUUAUAACAAAUCCAAACUAAUUGGGAUUAGGCAACGCAAAAAAUGCUAUCUUGCAGUUAGGCAACGCGAUAAGAGUCGCUAAUUAUAGGUACUAAAAAUACACCGACAAAAUUAAAGGAGGAACUGAACAAUUGGAGGGUGAAAUCUAACCUCACGCUGAACCAUCAGGAGUAGCUGGGACUGAAGAGCAUUCUGAGCUGAUUAGUAUAAAGCCAGGUAGAAUUAUCCAAAUCAUAGAAUGUUAAUAGGGAGAAACUGAUAAUCAACCGUUUAGGCAUUAAGAUACUAACGGUUUGGCAAUUGAAUUGGGUGUAAUUAAUGACGAAACAAUAGGUAAUUUCAAAGUUAAACUCGGAUGGAAGAGAAAACGAUGAGGGAAAUCGUUGUAGACAAAGGUAAAAAGGGAAAACUUAACUCCUGAAACUGAAAGCGGAUAAAUGACCAAUGUUUGUGGCUCAAAAAUGUAGAUUAUAAAUGAAAGAGAAAUGGCUUCCUACCAUUGAUAGAGAAUUUCGUUGGCUCAUUUCCUAAAUCCGAUUGUCAUUCAAAUGUUUCAGACAAAGUAACAUCUCAAAAGGUUAUCUGCGGCUACAAAGGAAAAUUAUUGGUAAUUAAGGGAUAUUUUGGUAAUUACACCAACAUACAAGCAUAUUUGGGUUGUACAAAAUGCAAAAACAGUUGCACACUAAUUACACAUUCCAUCAAUACCUAGAUGGCUCAUCAAUGACAACUUUAAAUGUAUUAAAAUGGGGUCAUUUCAGUAAACAUACCCAAAUACAUGCUUUCUUAACUUGUACCUAAAGCUUUUAAACUAAUAUACAACAUUUCACAUUUCUAGAAAACCGCCACCUAUGCGGUUGAAAUUCAACCUAUUCUUUGAUCAAAACUCAAUCUUAUAUAGUAUAAGGAUGUGUAUAUAUAUAUGUGUGUAUAUAUAUAUGUAAAUACGUACUUAUUUUUAUUUUUUGGAAUUAAAUUACCUACUAAAAUGAAUGUUUAUGAUGAACAAAUUGUUGAAUUAUAUAUGUUUUGUGUAUGUAAAUGUAGACACAUAAAGGCACUUAAACAGAAACGACGACACAUUCAAAAAUUUAAUUAUCAACCAAUGUAUAUAAUUGUUUAGCUUAUAAUCAAUCGGGAUAACUUAAUUAACUAUGGCUAAAACUUCCACAAUGUACUCUUGAUCUCAUCCUAUAGUUUCUCAUGAAACAAAAUACAGGCAACACUGUUCUAUGAACCUCUCACGAGACAUCUGUCCAUCGUAUAGGUUUGCUUAGUACGUUUUAUCUUUCUGUGUGAUUAACGAACUAUUAUACAGAGUGGAGUUUACCUAAUGUAUGCUCUCGAAUAGCAGAUUGCUGAUUCUCUUAUCAAUAUAUAUAUAUAUAGGCAACACUGCAUUGUGGGAUUGUAAUGAGUGGCAAUAAUUACAGACAAUUAAUUGUAGCUUGAAAAGGACAAUAGUCUAUAGCCUAUUUGUUUUUUCUUUUUGCUUUUGGAGAAGUUUGGUCUUUUCUACAUAUAAAGUAUAAGCUUGUUGAUCAGUUACCAAGUGUUUCAUUUGAUAAUCUUUCGAGCACAAAUCCAAUAAUUCAAUCACUUGAAAAAGAAUGAUUUGUCACUUUCAUUUAUGAGCAUCAUUAUUUUUUCAACCAAAAAAUAAAAGAUUCCAAUGUCAAUUCAAUUGAGGUUAUCGCCAUGGAAUCUUUGGUCCCCUAUGAUACGAUGGAUUGAUGGGCAACGAAGACUUCCACUCCAACAAGGAAAGAUAAGAUACAAAUCAAUAAUUGAAGGUGUGUAUGUAACGGGUAUCAACAGGACUUAACGGGUAUCAAUGGGACUUAUAGAAUAAGUUAGAAAAAGUGGCAGAAAAGGAAAAUAUUUACCAUGGAUUUGGCUAUAAUAAAACAGAAAUGGAUCAUUCUAAUACAGGUGUCCUUAGACCAGAAACAAAACCCUUAGAUGUAUGCUCUUCCCUCGUGCCAUUCUUCACCCUCACCCCCUACCCCAGUGGACCAGGCCAGAGACAGCCACUGGCUAAGGGCUUCCCCUCCCCACGUGACGGUCUAGUCCUUUGUGUCCCACACCCACAACUCUUCCUUCAAAAAACAACAAAAUGAAAAAUUCAAGAAAUAAAAAAAAAUACAGAAAUUAGAAAAAUUAAAGAAGAGUGGGCCAUGAUGAAGGUGAAAGAUUGGAAAAAUGCGAAACCCCCUGUUGGCUGGUUAGUGGGUGGAUUUUGAUGAGUCAACAGAUACUCACUUCGAUCUGGUUGCCACCUGCCCUACUACUAUAAAGAGUGAUGAUUCCUGGCAGACACGUUCUUUCAUCUCGCGGUAUAUCUCGUUAUUAUCGUGGGCUUGGAUUUUGUGUUGCUAUUAUUGGGAGAAACGUCAUCCAAUUGUUUGUCCUUUUGCAAGCUAGUCGCUGUGGUUCGGCCAAAUAAAAGUUAGUUACCAAUUUUUUUCUUUUAUUUUUUUUUUUUGUGUAAGCAAGUGAUUAUGGAUACAAGUUUAUCAACCAAAUUAUUGUGGUUUGAGAAAAUUAUACUUAUUUUUUAAUGUAAAUUCUUGAGUUCAUGAUAAGAAUAGCUCUCGCAAGAGAGUUUUUUUUAGUCAUUAUAUUUUCAGUUUUAAUAAAUAUAUAAGUUUCACUAAAUAAACUUUUUUGUUUAUUUUGUGCAUGAACUUGAUCAAAAUAUACUUGCAAACAAAUUUAUGUUUACAUACUUGUCAAAUAUGUGUAUUUAGAAUUAAUUGACAUGAAAUUCAUUUUAUGUUAGAGAUAAGUUACUUUUAAAUUUCAUUGUGAAUUCUUAACUUUAAAAAUAGAAACAAAUUCCUCAAAAGAAUUUGAUUUAAGUCAACAUACAGGUAACUUACUUUAUGAAUUACCGUAAAAUGUCUUUUAAAUCUAAACUCAAUGUUUGAGUCAAACAAGGUUAAAAGAAAUUUUUUUUUUUUCAUCAAAUCAAUAUUUAAAAAAGGUGACAGAAAGGCAAACAUUCUUAUUCUCACUCUUUUUGCAAGACAAAAAAAUCAAAGAAAAGAUGAAAGAAACUAACAAAUUUUUUUUUUAAAAAAAAAAGAAACUAAGGGGGUGCUUGGUUCAUGCUCCGGAAUUGGAAUUGGAUAUGGAAUGAAUUAUAAAAAAUCAGUAUAGGUAUAAGCUCGUGGUAUCGUUGAAAUCACUACUGCUUGGUACAAUUUUUAGUGGAAUGGGUAUCAAAAUUAUUAUUGCAUUUUUGCCCUAUCUUUUUCUUUUGUUGGGUCCAUUCACACGGGCCUUUAGCAGCAACCGCCAGUUAUCAGCCGCCUUGCUUUCAGCCUAUCUGCAGCUAUUCCGAAGCCAACCCAUCCUCCCACCGGAGCUCUCCUUCAACUUCCAGCAACCGAAGAUCCCGUCCCACAAGACCUUCAUGAUAAAGAAGAAGCUGGUGAAGAAGCAGAGACAGAACAGGCCCAUCCCUUAUUGGAUCCGCAUGCGCACUGACAACACCAUCCGCUACAACGCCAAGCGCCGCCACUGGCGCCGCACCAAGCUCGGCUUCUAAAUCUUCUGCGUCCGCCGUCACCAUCAUGUUACUUGUAUUUGUCUCGAGCUUUUUUACUUCUGCCGCCACUUUUUUGUUGUAGGUCUCGAUCGAAUUUCAUUUGAUUCGAAGUCACAAAAUUGAAACUUUAAUUUGAUUGAAGAAAAAAAAAGAGGGCGAGGAAGGAGUGAUACUAGUGAGAAGGAAGGUGAAAGUUUUUGAGAUGUUAAGUGAUGGCAACAAGAAAAAUUUUUAGAUGCCAUGGAUGAGGAGACAAGUGGUGGGAGGUGAUGGGGAAGACAAGAGGGAGGAUGACGGGAUGAGGGUGAAGGGGCGAGUGGAUAAAAAAAAUGUUUUAUAAAAAUUAUCUUGGAAUCAAAUAUAGGAAUUAACAAAACCCACCAAAUCACUCAGGAAUGGAGAGUUCCCAACUUUUUAGAAUUCAUUCCAAAAUCUUCAAUCCCAUACCUAUUAUCCAAGCACUUAAAAUGGAUAUCAUUCCAAAUCUUGAAUCCCAUACCCUCAAACCAAGCACCCCCUAACAUCCUACACCAAGCACUUUCCCUUUUCCUUCUUUAAAUCAACAAAAUCAUUCCAAUAAUGCAUUAAUCUUUCUCCCUAUUGCCAAUCUGUACAUGUUUUAAAUUUUGAAACCUCCAGUUUACCCCAUGACGAUAAUUUCAAAAAUUAUUAAAAGAAUAAAGUCCAAAAAAAUUGAUUAUUAUUAUUAUUAUAAUCUUUGAAACCUUUUAGUCUACACUCUGACGAUCAUUUGAAAAAAUUGUUGCAAGAAAAUACCCUAGAAAAGAUUGCAGUUGGUUUCCAAAUCCACUGGCCAUGUAACUUCUUUCUCCAAGAAAGCAGCUUGUAUGAGCAUUUUGUCAAUUUACCUGCCUAAGCUUGUAAUACUAAAUCCAAAAUUGUUAGUAAAACUUUAAAAUUGUACAAUAUCUAAUAAAAUGCCAUCAGAAAAAGCUUGGUUCUCUUCUCUUUUCAAAAUCUCACGAGAAAAUCUAUUUUGGACGCAAUCAAUGUGUCCAAACUCUCCUUGAUAAUAACCCCAAUUCAGCCCGCCACUUACAUUCCAUAACCACCCGGUUUUUUGGCCCCCGGUUCAACCAAAGCGCCACUCUCAACUUCCUAUAAAAAGCCCCUUCCCAUCUACCCUUUAUCCUCGGCUCUCCACUUAUUAUUCGAGCCUAUCAAAAACCGCUUUUCAUAAGCCGCUCUGUGAAAAACGCGAUAUCGGAAAAAAUGAGUUACUUCAGCCAAGUUUGGAGGGCCGCCAGUGUUGUCGUGGUAACUGGCCACUCCGAUCAGGGGCAUAAGUGGAAAUCCGGGAUUAAGACUCUCCACCAGGGGAAGAAAAGGUUCUUUAGUUCCUCCGGUGACGGAGCCGAUUUCCGGCCGGUGUCCGUUGUUUUUGCCUCCGACAUGGAAGGAGCUUUUACGAGCGGAAAAGGAGAGGAGCGGAAGAAGCAGACAGAUGACUCUCUCCGGCAAGUUAUGUACCUGAACUGCUGGGGACAAGGCUGAGGAGUGAGGUUGAGUUCUCCGGCGAAGAGGUGCUGGAGGCGUUUGUUUUUAUCUCCGGUGAAGCGAUCGGGUAUUUUGAUGCUCUGCUUUAGACGGGAUUGACUUGCUGGAGAGUUGCCGCUGAGUACGGCCAGUCGAAUGCGCCGAGUUGACUAGGUGGUGAAGGAGAAGGAGGAGACCGAGUUGACUCGGAGUUGUAGAAAGAGGAAGAGACCGAGUUCAGAAGGCUAAUUAAGUUCUGGCCUUGACUGAAAUUAGUACAAAAUGAUGUGGAUGCAAAUGUAAAUAUAUUGUAAAGUUUGUAGCCGAGAUAGAGGAAUAAUAGAAGAAAAAAAGAAAAGAAGGAAGCUUUUGUGGCAGUUGGAUAUAUCUUUUGUCCUUACUUGAAUGAAUUUUUUUGGUUCUUGUUAUGUUUUUUUUUAUUCUACUUCAGACAAUAAUUCUCGAUUUAUCUCAAUAAUCCCAGAAUAUGCCUGCAACAUUAGGGUAAUCCUUGGUUAAUUUUGAUGAUUAAUCAACUUUUCUUUUCUUGAUGAUUAAUUUUGAUGACUAAUCCUUGGCUAAUAUUGAUGAUUCAACUAAGCAAUCCAUGGCGCGUGUAUAACAUUUCAUUUCUUCAAAAAAAAAAAAAAAAAAAGAGUGUACAAUAAUAUUUUACUCUCUUAAGAUGUUCAAUGAUUUGUACCCUGCUGAACUUAUCCUCGAGUCUUGUUGACAUUUUGCCCUUACCCGCUCUACUUUUCUUUAUUGAAGAGUUGGUACUAGUUCUGACAGAGCAUUUGCUGGUGUUUAAGGAUAUUUGCUGAUUAAUGUAACUCGAGGUAACAAGCCCAUUGGUUUCUUCUCACCCAACAAAAAAAAAAAAAAAAAAAAAACUCUGCAAGGAUUGGUAAUAUUUGCUUUUUACCUUUCAGGCAGACCCUAAGAAAGAUUGUAAGGAGUUUGCUUCAGACAAGGAGAAGAUGUUAGUUAAUUUUUCUUAGACCAUGCCGGUAAUUAUUUCUUAACUCGGCUAAUUCUCCAAAGAUUAAGAUUGUUGAAUAGAGAAAAAAGUUUAAGUUCAAGAAUAAUUUGCUAGUGAGAAUAGUGGAUGGCUAGCUGCUAAUAAUAGUGAUGUUUAGCUCUUCCAUGUUCCUUAAAUUAAGCAGCUGAGUGAAAAAUGUGUGUUUGUGGUUUGCCCUCGCCUUGGAAUAGGGUAAUAUUUUCCUUCUAAACUUUUGUUUUUUCAACCAAAUGAAAAUAAGUAAUUGAGAUUACUUAGCUACUGCAUCUUAUUUACUUUUUAUUUAUUUAUUACCAUUAUUAAAGAAAGGUGAUGGGCAAGAUGAUCAAGUCUUUGACAGUUUGAUUGAAUUUCUGAUGGGCUUCUUUGUUCAUCUUGCAGGCUUGAUGGGCUGCUCCCUAGGGAUAGGUCUCAUUUAGGCGAGCCGAGAUUUUCUUUCCAGUAUUGAACCUGUCCUUGACUCUAGAAGAGAACUUGAAUUCAGCCUAAAGCAUUUUAUGUCUCGCCCGGUGUUGUUCUUGUUCAAAUGCUGCUCUUGAGCAUUUUGAUUCAGAGAUAAUUUUAGAAACCUCCCUUGAGGUUUCUGAUAAUUUCACUAGCCUCUCAUAAAAUUUAUAAAAUUACACAAAUCUCUCUUAAGGUUAAGGUUUUGAUAACAAAAUUAGUCCAAUUAGAAAAAAUAACAUUAAAAAAGUAUUUAAGGAGAGAGAUGAAACUUUUAUUUCAUAAAUAUCCCUUAUGCAUGUAUAUACGUUGUAUUAGUAAAAGAAUGAAAAUAAUUAAAAAUUAGAAACAAUUAAUGCACAUAUUUAACAAAUUAGACAAUACAAAUAAGUAACAAAACUAUACUAAUGAUCAUAGGAUUCAGCAAAACAAACUAAUCAUCUCUUUGUUUGCUACAAUUCUUAUAAUUUUGAAAAGAAAAAUUUUUAAAUUUUGUCUUUCUUUUCCCUCCUUUCUCCUUUUAUUAAUAACUAAUGAUUAAGUAAUUAGAACACUAAUUAACUAUUAGUAACUAAUUAACUGAAAUAACUAUUAAAAAUUUCUUUAAUGAUGAACAAUGACUUGUAAUUACAAAUUACAUCAAUUGAUAAAUCUAAUGACGCUAUUUUGUGAUUGAUAGAAUUUGACAAUGACCAUAAAUCAGUUGUACACAAUGUGAGAAGAAGGAUUCUGGUAGAAGAAAAAAUAUAGGCCAAAAGAAGGUUGUUCAUGAGGAUAUUUUCUUUGAAACUCUUAAAAUUAUGAUAGUUGUAAAGUAAUCUCGUGGAAGUAAAAGAGAAAGGACGAAAAAGUAAGGCAAAAUUCAAAAUUUUUUUUUUUGUUUAAAAUCACGAGAAUCAUAGAAAAUAUCAUAUUAAAAAAGAUGAUUAAUCUGUUUUGCUGGAUCUUAUGACCAUUAGUGUAGUUUUGUUGCUUAUCUGUAUUAUUUAAUUUAUUAAAUUUGAACUUAUUGAGUGAUGAAAUGUAUAUAUUAAUUAUUUUUAACUUUUAAUUAUUUUUAUUCUUUUACUAAUAUAACUUAUAUACAUAUAUAAGGGGUAUUUAUGGAAUAAAAGUUUUAUUUCUAUCUUUAAAGUACUUUUUCAAUGUUACUUUUUCUAAUUGAACUAAUUUUGUUAUCAAAACCUUAAUCUUAGGAGAGGUUUGUGUAAUUUUACAAACUUCAGGAGAAACUAGCAAAAUUAUCAAAAAUCUCAGGGGAGGUUUUUGAAAUUAUCCCUUUGAUUUAUCAGGUAGUUAAACCUUAAAAAAAAAAUAAGAAUCCAUUAGAUCCGGUUCUAGAAAAACACAAAAAAAUACACUUCCUAUACAUUUCAAUCAUUAAGCAAAAGUUGGCUACAUGGCUGCAUAGCAAACUACACCAAUUCUGCUGAGAGGAAGAAAAUGUAAAUUAUUCAAACUGAAGGACUUGUGUUGGCUACCAUGAGAUACAAAUUUGACCUAAGUCAAAUGAUUUUUACACAUCCUAAAUUUAAUGGCUAGUGCCUAAGAUGCUUGAAGUUUAAGAACACGUAACCAAAAAACCAAUGUAGAAAAACCAAGUUUUCUUAAUUUUUCUUCCCUCAUUCUUCUUUUGUAGAUGGAUUGUCCCAUCCCUUCUAUCUUGUUCUGACAAGCGAACGCCAAUGAUCAAUAGCAACAUGCAAUUUUUUAAAGACCUCCUAGUCCUAAACCUGCUCACUUUCGCCCAUUUUUGCAGUUGCACAUAAACUAUUAUAAUAGCAAUUUUAAUCCCAUCUAUUUCAGAACCAAAAUCAAAAGGGUUGUUGGUGGUCAUUUUUAAAACUAUUUAUGUUGGUAUUAUCCUUACCAAUUACUUUCUGAUUAUUUUGGCUUGGUUAACAAGGUGCAUAGUUUAUUUGGAUCUAUAUGACCAAAAUUUUGUUGAAAACUUGUUCAAUUUGCAAUAUCAGAUAAAAGACAACGAAGAUCAGAUUAUGUAGUGUCUCAAACAAAGAAAAACAUGUAUCUGUAUUUUUGGGUUAGAAGUAUCGUUGCUUGUAAACUCUGUUAAGCAUAUAUUUCGAUUUUGUGUAUGUUUCUCAAUAUUCCAUGGAUCGACUCAGAGAAUAUGGUAUGUAACGAGGCUAGCUGGCCACCUUGUGAGACUCAGAUAAGCUCUGUUUGGAUUCUUCAUUUUUUGUCAAAAAAAUUUUUCAAAUAAAAUGCUACACUAAUAUACAAAUAAAAACAAUUCCAAAAACAUCAUAUCACAAUAUACAAAAAAAAUUAAAAAAAUAAAAUUUUACACCAUCUUCUUAUUCUACCGACCACCACCACCCCUACCCACCACUGCCACCACCUUCGCCCUCCUCCUCUCUCCUUCACUUCUCUCUUUCUCUUUCCUCUCUUUUUUCCUCCUCCUCUCCUUCCCGUUUCCCACCACAUCCCCCAGCCAGAUCGAAGGGUAUGGUGGAGAAUCGGAAGGGGAGGAAUAGGAAGAAAGAGAGAGAGGAUGAAGUGGGAGGCAAAGGAGAGAGAAUGAGGGAGGGGUUGGCGGUGGCGGUGUGUGGUAGUGUUAAUUUUUAAAAAAUACCUUACAAAUUUAUAUACUUUUAAAAUAUCCCAAAAUAUAUCCCAAAACACCUCCAAAAACACCAUCAAACCAAAAACAUGUAUGGUGAAAGUUUUUUAUAUAUAUUGUUACAAUAAAAUAUUUCAUUUUUUUUGCUUCAUCUGUUGGUAUAUUGGUGACAUUUUCUUUAUAAAUCCAGACUCUCAUUUCAGUAAAGUCAAAUAGAAGUUGUUAGAUAGAUAGUGAUGCUUCUUGACAAUUUACUUUUUUCUGAAUACAUAUGGUGCUUGAGGAUGCUCACCUCGGCCACCCCGCGUGCCCGAGGUGAACCCACCUCGUCCGUCAUCAGAGCUCACCCGUGUCUUGAGCAUAACCCCUGAGUUCGGCCGGAUCCCUAGUCUACCGUGUAGGUGACCUCGGCACCUCCACCUCAGCUGCACGCUGAUGAUGUCAAGCCACCUGACAUCACCCGGGACCAGUGCUUUAUCUGAAAAGCACUGGAGGCACUUAAUGGCACCUGCACAAUACUCGCCGUCAUCAUACCCAGAAGGCUACAGUGUCAGGGUCAGGUUUCCUGACAGGAGACAGAGCCGUAAUGCCAGAGAGUGGGUCCCACUAGCAUGAGCCUUCCGUCCUGUCCUCUACUCUCCUAUAAAUACCCCACACACACUCCCAACAAGUAAGCACACUGUUCAUUUGCUUAUACUCUACUAUAUUUCUCGUUCUUAUACUAACUUGAUCGUCGGAGUGAUCCCAGGGGAGAAGCCCCGCCACUCACUUCAGCCAAGUAGGUUCACUUCGGACCUACCGCACCUCAUCACAGAGAGGACUGAUUCAGGUCGGUUCAGCUACCAACCAAAAAUCACCUCUUCAAUUGGCGCCGUCUGUGGGAAACGAGAUUACUACUAAAAUGAGAUCCACGCGCUCCAGAAGCGGAAGAGUUCCCUCAAACGGGGCUGGGCAGACCUCGGGAGCCCAGCAAGAUCGCAUCUCUGAAGAACAAGGGUCCCAAAGGAUCCAGCCCAAUAACGAAGACGCCAUCGCCAAGAUGGCCGAGUUCGUCACGGACAACCCCAACAUCUUCGAGGAGCUAGGAAGGUACCUCAAGAGGCAGGGGAAAGAAAAGGCCGAAUCUUCCAAGAGGAGGCCGACGAAGUCUCCUGGAAUGCCCUCAGGUGAGGACUCUGAUGAGGGGCGUCUCUCUCGGAGUACCUCCAGGCGCGCCUCCUCCAAGGCGACCUCUAAACUUGCCUCAUCUCCCGGGCGUUUUCCCGGGGACUGCUAGGGAAACGAGCCGAGGACCCACCUCGGGGCCCCGGGAGUCUAGCUUCUGACUACAUGAGGGCUCCGCCCUUCACUGAUGACAUCAAUGGGGAAAUGGUGCCCCCGAACUUUAAACUUCCAAACUUGCACACCUAUGACGGCCGAGAUGACCCCGAAGAUCACCUCCGCGCCUUCAUCUCCGCAUUCCGACUCUACUGCGUCCCCGACGUCGUGAUCUGUCGGGCUUUCCCCAUCUUCCUACAUGGGACUGCCCGGAAGUGGUUCUGGAGUUUGGAACCGGGGAGCAUUUCCUCCCUGGAUGAGUUGAUAGACCGGUUCAUCCACCGCUUUGUGUCGUCCCGACCCAUUACCAAGAUUUCAGCUUACCGCUUGAACCUGCAACAGGGUCAGGGCGAAUCACUUCGCUCGUAUGCUCAAAGGUUCAACGAUGAGAAUGUACCGAUACCUGAUCAGAACGAGCAGGUAACCAUCGCUGCCUUCACCAACGGGUUAGUGGCAGGGAUCUUCAACAUCGAAAUCCAUCGGGAUUACCCCCGUACAAUUCGGGAACUCUGGGAAAGAGUGGACCAGGGAAUCCGAAGUGAAGAUGUAAAUCGCAUGAAGCGAGAAACCCAAGCAUCUCGUACGGGGCAAGAUCCCCGGAGGAGGAGAGACCGGCCGCGGUGAACCAGGCCCAAGUGGCACUUCAAACCAACUUCGAGACCGCCGGAGUGUCUUCGACCGGAUAGUGAAAGGCAGAUCGUCCACCUCGGACGCCGAGCUGACCCAACUCAAUUCUAGCCGGUCUCACAUUUUGGCGGUGAUGAGGCAGAAUCACCUCGGCCGAACACCUCCUGAGAUACCUGGGAGGAGAGAGAAGAGGAACUCUAGCCUCUACUGUGCCUACCACCGAGACGUUGGGCACGAGACCGAAGAUUGCAACGAUCUUAAGCGCGAAAUCGAAAACCUGAUCCGACAAAGAUACCUGAAGCAAUUCGUCCGCAAAGAUGGAGGCUUCAGCCGAAGCGCCUCCCACCGGGAGAGCCGCGGUCCUCGCCGAGAGGACAGACGGGAUACGAAGCUUCAUUGUCGAGGUCUUGAGGAACCUAAGGGGGAUCAGAGGCCUCCGCGCGACAGAUCACCAGGCUACGGCCCAAACAUUGCCGGGGUGAUCAACACCAUCUCAGGUGGCCCAACAGGAGGAGACAGCCAGAACUCCCGGAAGCGGACCUACCGCCAAGCCGAUAUGGAUGUGGCCGAGCCGAGCUCGAGACUAUCCGAGGUGAUAACCUAUGCUCCCCGUGACCCUGUCCCCGCCGCCUCCAGCAAUCACGAGACCCUCGUGAUUGAGGUCCUCACUAACAAUUACGUAGUCAAGAAGGUCUAUGUUGACCCGGGAAGCUCGGUAGACGUCAUGUACUACCGAACUUUUGAAAGUCUGAAACUGACCAGGGAGCAGCUCACUCCGGUCAGAACUCCCCUCGUCGGCUUCGGGGGACACGUCGUCCACCCGGAGGGUAUGGUGACCUUGAUGGUGACUAUCGGGCGCAAUCCCCGUUGCCGAACUGUGCCUGUCAGUUUUGCGGUGGUCAAAGCAGACUCUCCCUACAACAUGCUGAUAGGCCGACCCAUGCUCAACGCCUUGAGAGCCGUAUACUCCACCUACCACCUGAGCUUUAAAUUCCCGACACCUGCGGGGGUGGCCAAGGUGAGCAGCAACGUGGGCGCCGCCCGGGAAUGCUACCUCGCCACUAUUCAAGCAGCAGUCACACCCCGGCCCUCGCCGAGGUCAAAGAGGCCAGCAGUCCUCUCCAUAAACCGCCUCGAACCUCGGAAGGCAGGAGAACCCAACAGGCUUGAGCCCGGGGAUGAGGUGGAACAAGUGGUUUUGGAUGAAGCGAAACCUGACCAAGUAGUCCAAGUAGGGGCCAGACUCCCCUCACCCCUGAAAGAAGAAAUGAUCUCCCUGAUCAAGAAAUGAUCUUCGCGUGGUCCGCAGAUAAAGUGGUCGGAGUGCCACCCGAGCUCAUAAUUCACCAGCUCAACGUUAACCCACAGGCCCGACCUGUGCGGCAGAAACGAAGGUAUUUCGGCCCCGAACGUAGCAAGGCCAUAUCGGAUGAGGUCGACAAGCUCUUGCCGGCCAAGAUGAUCCAUGAGGUCCAAUAUCCCACCUGACUGUCCAACCCAGUCAUGGUCAAAAAGGACACCGGUGGAUGGAGAAUGUGUGUGGACUUCACCGAUCUCAACAAGGCCUGUCCCAAAGACUGCUACCCUCUCCCAAGGAUAGACACCCUCGUCGACUCGGCGAUGGGUUACGAGAUCCUUUGCUUUCUAGAUGCCUUUAAGGGAUAUCAUCAAAUAGGAAUGAGUGAAGAGAAUCAAGAGAAAACGGCAUUCUACACCGACCAGGAUGUUUAUUGUUAUACUACCAUGCCGAUCGGCCUAAAGAACGCCGGAGCAACCUACCAAAGGUUGAUCAACCGACUCUUCAAAAAUCAGAUCGGCCGCAAUGUGGAGGCCUAUGUGACGACAUUCUCGUCAAAAGCCUCGCCACCUCAGCCUUUCUGUCGGAUGUAAGGGAGGUCUUCGGUAUCCUACGCGACUCGAGGAUGAAACUGAAUCCCAAGAAGUGCGUCUUCGGCGUCAUCUCGAGAAAAUCUUGGGGUAUCUGGUUUCCCGCCGGGGAAUCGAGGCCAACCCCGACAAGGUCAAGGCCAUUCAGGACAUGUCCCCACCUCGGAACCUCCGAGAAGUCCAAAGACUAAAUGGACGCCUGGCCGCGCUGAACCGCUUCCUGUUCCAAUCUGCUCAGAAAGCUUUGCCCUUCUUUAAGGUGCUGAAAAAGACUGACCAGUUCGCCUGGACUGAGGAGUGUCAGUCUGCCUUCGACCAGCUGAAGUAGUACCUCCAUCACCUCCCAACUCUCGCUUCACUUCGGCCCGAGGAUAGCUCUACCUCUACCUCUCUGCAGCCGACGAGACUGUCAGCGCUGUUCUUAUCCGGGAUGAGGUCACUCAAGUGCAAGUCUACUACGUCAGCCGAUCUCUCCGCGGGCCGGAGACUCGAUACACCCAGGUGGAGAAACUGGUGCUGGGACUAGUCCACGCAGCUCGGCGAUUGAAGCCCUACUUUCUCGCCCAUCCCAUCUUCGUCCGGACCGACCAGCCCAUUCGACAAAUAUUGGUGCGCCCCGAGGCUUCCUGUCGCCUCACCAAAUGGGCUGUCGAACUGGGAGAGUAUGACUUGUCAUACGAGCUCCUCACUGCCAUAAAGGCACAAGCCUUAGCCGACUUCCUCGCCGAACUGACCUUCACGGAAGGUCCGGAGUCCACCUCCGCCUAUGCCGAGGUGUCCACCCCAUCCCUGUGGACAUUGUAUGUCGAUGGAUCCUCUAAUGGAGACGGCUACGGAGCCGGACUGCUCCUGGAAGGACCUCAAGGAGAGGUGUGCUCGUACGCCCUCCGCUUUGGCUUCCCAGCCACCAAUAAUGAAGCCGAGUACGAGGCUCUGAUCGCUGGACUCCAGUUAGCCCGUAGACUCGGCGCCCAACAAAUCCACGUCCGCAGUGACUCCCAACUCGUUGUACGCCAAGUUCUUGGUGAAUACGAGGCCAAGGAUGAGACCAUGCAACGGUACCUCUCCAAAGUUCACCAACUCACCUCGUACUUCGAGUCUUUCGAAAUCCAAAGAAUACCCCGGUCCCAGAAUAAGCGAGCCGACGCCUUAUCCCGACUGGCUUCCACAUCAUUCUCUGACCUCAACAAAACAGUUUUGGUGAAAGUCCUGAGUGAACCAGGAUACGUGGAAGAGGUGGCCUGCCCCGUACACUCUGAAGAUACCUGGAUGACCCCGUUCAUCCUUUACUUGGGUCAGGGAGCCCUUCCCGAAGACCGAGCCGAGGCGAUGAAGAUACAAUGCAAGGCUGCUCGGUAUGCUCUCCGCGACGGAGAACUAUCUAAGCGCUCCUACCUCGGCCCGUGGCUGAGGUGUGUCACCCCCGAGACAGGACGCCACGUCCUCCACGAGAUCCACGAAAGCCUGUGUGGAGCUCACAUCGGCCACAGGAUGUUAGCCAAGAAGGUUUUGCUUCUCGGGUAUUUCUGGCCUUCAGUUCGCCAAGACGCUCAGGAUCUCGUUCUCGGCUGCCCUUCCUGCCAAGUCCACGCAUCCGAACACCACCAGCCCUCAAACUUCAUGGUUCCCAUCACUUCACCCUGGCCGUUCGAGCAAUGGGGGACAGACAUCAUAGGUCCUUUCCCCAGAGCCGUCGGGGGUUAUACCUUCCUGGUAACCGCUGUGGAUUACUUCACUAAGUGGGUUGAGGCCGAGCCUUUGAGAACCAUCACCGGGCUGGCAAUUCAAAAAUUCUUUUGGAAAUGCAUCAUCUGCCGCUUCGGCAUACCUCAGGUCAUCAUCUCGGAAAUGGAAGGCAAUUUGCCGAAAACCCUUUUAAAACUUGGUGCACAAACCUUGGCAUCAAACAACAUUUCACUUCGGUGGGCCACCCCCAGGCCAACGGCCAAGCAAAAAACUUCAACCGGACUCUCUUGCAUGGAUUCAAGACCCGACUACACCGAGUUGGAUCGUCUUGGGUGGAAGAGCUUCCAAGUGUCCUGUGGUCUUACCGGACGACACCGAGAUCCGCCACGCAAGAGACCUCUUUCUCCUUGACCUACGGCGCCGAGGCCGUCAUCUCUGCCGAAAUCCUUACCCCCAGUCCUCGGCUGGCAGCCUAUGCAGCCGAGGUGAACGACGAAGAGAGACAGCUGGAUCUCGACCUCGUCGAAGAACGAAGGGACCUCGCCUCAGCCCGGAUAGCUUCCUACAAGAACACACUGGCACACUAUUACAAUGCCCACGUCAAACACCGUAGAUUCCACCCUGGAGACUUGGUUCUUAGAAAAAACUCAGUCAGCCGAGCUGAACCGCAAGGGAAACUAUGCCCGAAAUGGGAAGGCCCUUACCGAGUUAUGGAAUCUGACCUUAAGGGAUAUUGUAAACUGAGUUACCGAGAUGGCUCAUUAGUGCCGAGGUCUUGGCACGCCGAGAAUCUCAAAUUGUAUUAUGCUUGAAUUCUUAAUCAAGUUAUGACUUCGGAUGUUAUGUUAUUUUUCAACAUCGACAUUACGCUAUUAAAAAAUAAGGGGGACAAGCAAGGGAAGAAAUCAAGAUAAGAGAUUAAAGUGCUGAGAUGAGAAGAAAUAAACUUUCAUUCAACAGAAAAAAGGUGCUACAAAAAGUAUAAGGCCAAGGUCGGAAUGCUACUAAACACUCUCCACCUCGGCCAACCCCUUUGAGGCCCACGAGCCUAGACCCCCGUCUCGACUCCAUCCCCGGUCUUGGCUCCCUCUUGGGCAGCUUUCUCACUGGUCUCUUCCCCCCCGGGGUGAAACUCAUCUCCUCCAGGCACUUCGCCCACUAUCGCGCCGAGGUCUCCCUCAGUGUCCUCCUCCUCGUCCUCCUCGAACACUGCUGCAAAAAAUCGACGCAAGUCGUCACCAAACCUAUCUGCAGUGUGGUAGAUGAAAGGCUUUGGGGUUUUAUUUGAAGUACACAAUUGCUAUGCAAUGUGUAACACUAAAUUUACAUAGUUAAUCAUCAAAUCUACCUACCGUGUGUGGUUGAUGAAAGUUGAGUUUUUUUAUUACACAAUUAGUUUUUCCUUUUUGUUGUAGAAAGGCCGAAUUUUUGUUCAUUUAGUUUAUGGGAUAGGGACACUGAUGAAGAACCACCAAAGGCUCAAGUCUUCACUUCAAGAAGCGCAAAUGAGGAUGCUCUACGUGCACUAGGGUGUCAACAAAUUGAGCUCGAUCAAAUGAUCGGUUUGAGUUCGGUUAAAUCGAGCUUGAGUCGAUCUCGAACUAUUUGAAUAUUUCAAUGAAUUAAAUUUGAGGCUAGAAAUGUUAUGCUCGAUAAACUUGCAAGCUUUUCGAGUUUAGGUAUAUUUAAAUAUAUAUAAUUUUAUACUUAUAAAAUUACUUAGGGCCUGUUUGGAACCUUAAGUUUUUUGUAAAUUUGUAUGCUACUAGUUUUUUAACAACUUUUGCUACAGAAACUUUUCAAAAUUUUUCAAAAUUUUUUACCUACACAUUUCAAAAUACUCAAAACACAUAAAAUUUUUUUUUUCUUCUUCCUCCCUUACCCCAACCCACUAUCACCUCCAGCGCCUGAGAACCCUAGCCGAGGUGGUAGAAGAGGUGAGAACCCCUCGAGAAGUAACGUGUCGAGGUGGAUCUUCAGGAGAUACCACUGGAUAAGGCCUCGGAUUGUCCGGGCCGAAAUGACCAUCCUCACUAAGCCCCCCAAGUUUCGGGGAGGUGAUCUUGGUUUCCCGAGGUCGGUACUUCCCCGAAGCUGAUAUGCGCGUAAAACACGAGGUACAGUAAUCAUGACCAUGUGGAUGAGACUACUGAAGAAUUGACGUGAUGGCUAUCAGUCUGAACGGGCGCGAGUUUGGCGGGCAAGCGAACAGCCUUUUCAUUAAUGAGGAGAGAGAGAACGCAUCUCUUCACCUUCUCCCUGGAUGCCUAUAAAUAGAGGUCCAUUUUCACCGUUUCAUUCUUUAUCAAAAAUUGAAAAUCACCCCAGAGCUCUGUUUCUUUCUCUUUUCACUUCGGCAAUCUUUCUGAACCACAUCUUCGGCAAUUCCUUUGAAUCACCUAUUCUAAGUAAGUUCACUUCUUUUCCUUUUCUUCUGAUAUUAUGGCUAGAACAGCUCGUACGCACAAAGAGACGGUUAGGCCAGAUUUCACCUAGGCGGAGAGGUCUGACCCCUCCGAGGAAGAAACCGCGUCCGAAGCUGGAGGUGGAGGAGCUGAAGCGUCUCACCGAGCUGGGGGCGAGGCCGAGGCGUCCCAGCGGGUCGGGGACGAGGCCGAGGAGAUAGAGGUUGAAGGCGAGGUCGUUUACGACGAUGACCUCGGGAACGAAGUCCCCCGGGAUGAGGGUGCCCAGGAGCCGUCCUUUCCUCCGAACCUGUCUACACUGAACUAUGGUCAGAUGCCCAACUUCAGUAGAGCAUGAAACAAGCUUCAGUAACCGAAGUGAUUCGCAGAUAUCCCUAGAGGAGGGAUUACAGUAUCUACGUGCCCCAACCGCACCAAUCAGCCGCACAGCCGCCAAGGGGAAGGGUGGCCAUUUAUGUGGAGCAGGUGGAGGCCGGGUUCAGGGUACCCACGACGAGGUUCCUGCGGGAUUGCCUGAGGUACUGGGGGGUGAGGAUUACUCAGCUCACCCCUAAUGCUAUUCGUGUCCUUGUCGGAUUCCAACUGCUGUGCCGACAUCAGGAAAUAGAGCCCAACGUGAACCUCUUCCGCCGCUGCUACUCACUCAAGAACAGCGGGAGUGAGAAGGGUUGGUUCUACUUCGGGAAUAAAGUUUCGAAAUUGGUAGUAGACGCUCCGAGCUCGAUAAAGGAGUGGAAGAGGAACUUCGUCUUCAUCCCGGCUGAGGACUUCCCUCGAGGGUUCUGGUGGAGGCCUCCCACCUCGGUGAAAGAGGUGUCCCCGGGCAAACUGGAAGAACGCAACUUCAGAAAGUUGACGGGGUCAGGCCUCAGAAUUAAUUGUUGGGACUUUCCCGAAGUGGUGCUCGUGAAGGGCGGGCUCAGCCGAGCCCUGAUCAGCCCGGGCCACCCCGUCAUUUUGUCUUCUAGGCUCCAUAGACCUUGUACUUGUCCAUUUCCCCUUUUUUGUUUACCCUUCUUAAAUUCUAACUAACUCUUCCUUGUGCUUUGCAGUGACGAAGAUUUCCGACCUCAUAACCUCGGGAGAUGUCGAGGUGGUGAAGAGGGCACCCAAGAAACGCAAGGAUGGUGAUGGGCCCUCCACCAGGCCGGUCAAGAAAACCACCACGGCAACGGGCGACCGCGAGCCAACCGUGGUGAUCAUAGGGGAAGGCUCAGGCACCACGGCCACGCCGGGGAGGUCCAAAGCCUCAACCAUUCCAGUGGGGGUUCCUUCCCGGGGUGUCACAAUUGCUUCCUCACCUUGGGGCAGGACGGCGUCUGCUUCCACGGGUAACCCCGUCUCGGGGUCUUCAUUGUUCAACCUCCACCACGUUUCUUCGAAGGAGGCUGAGGAGGAUAAAAGGCACCCCGGAUGGCAUUGGUGUCCGGAGUGGGGGGUCGGUGUUAAUGACCGCUGCAAGGAUCCCGAAGUCGCGCAUGAGCUGCUGGCGAACUCGGUCCUGCUGCGGGACAACACUUACACUAGAAAGCUCACUCCCGCCGAGCUGAUGCAGAGCGCCUUGGUCUCAUGGGCGGCCAGCACGGCGUUCUUUGCCGAGAUGUACCAACGCUUCGGGGAUUUCAUACAAACCUAUGAAUCUCCUGAAGAGCUCAAAAAGAAGAUCGCCGACCUGGAAGGAAAGCUAAAGGCCGCUGAGUUGGGACGAGACAAGGCCGAGGCGGCAAAGAAGAAGACCGAGGUUGCCAACAACUCCCUUGUGACAGCCCUUGAGGAGGAGAAGGAGAGAAGAGCCCAAGAAGAGCAGUCGGCCAAGGAGGCCAUAGACAAGGCCGGGGCCACUGCCGUGGAGGCCUUCCGGACGUCGGAGGCCUUCAAUCGCGACCUCGGCGAGCUCUCCCGCCCAAGCUUUAUGUUGGGCUAUAUCUCGGCUGUCAAUGAUGCCACGCCCUUCCUCUCUUCUGAACAGCUGGAGUCCCUCCAAAAUGCUCCGCACUAUAACGAGGACGCCAAAGAACUGUGCGACCGCAUGGGUGAGGGCAUCCGAGCUGGAAGGGACUUAGCCGAGGUGCGGGCUGAGUUCAACAAAUGGCUCCAAGAGUUUGAGCUGAAUGGCGACGAGCUGGAGGGGAAUCAGACCGGCGGAGGAGCUGAGGGAGAGCAGGACGCUGAGGCGGGGGGCGCCGAGGCUGGUAGCGAGACCAUGGGGGAGCAGGACCCCGGGGCAGGAAGUGCCUAGAAGCACUCUUUUUGUAAUUGAUGGCCGAGGCUAUGACCUCGGCCUUUCACUUUUGUACUUGGCUUUUUUAUCAAUACAAUGAUUUUUGAGUUCUUUUUCAUUGAGCUCGGUCUUCUUUAUUACUGUUUUGUCCCUUUAUUUUUCACUUGUGAUGAAAUGUGAAUAAGUGGAAAAUAACUUGAAGAUUUAGAAUUAAAACACGUACCCUUUAAGGGUGAUACAACUUAAGAUUUUCGGCAUGCCAGCUCCGAGGUACUCGAGAUCCAUCUCGGUAUACCAGUUUACAAUAUCCAUUUUGGCUGGACUCAACAACACGGUAGGGUCCCUCCCAUUUGGGACUUAAUUUACCCUGCGGUUCAGUUCGGCUGACCGAGUUCUUCCGGAGCACGAGACCUCCCGGAUUGAAUCGUAAAUGUUUGACCCGAGCAUUGUAGUAACCAGUUAGGAUAUUCUUGUAGAUAGCAACUUUGGCAGCGGCCAUAUCACGUUUCUCUUCGACAAGGUCGAGGUCAACUCGCCGCUCCUCCUCGUUGACUUCGGCUGCGUACGCUGCCAUUCGUGGACUUGGAGUGAUGAAUUCGACGGGAACGACGGCUUCGGACACAUAAGUCAAGGAAAAGGGGGUCUUCUGAGUUGCUGACCUCGGGGUGGUUCGAUAGGAUCACAGAACACUAGGCAGUUCUUCCAUCCAUGAUGACCCAGCUCGGUGCAGCCUGGUUUUGAGGCCAUGGAGUAGGGUGCAGUCGAAGUUUUCAGCCUGUCCAUUUGCCCGAGGGUGUCCAACCGAAGUGAAAUACUGCUUGAUCCCCAACUUUUCGCACCACACCUUAAAGGGAUUGUCGGCGAACUGUCGGCCGUUAUCCGAGAUGACCACACGGGGUAGGCCGAAGCGACAAACCACGUUCUUCCAGAAGAAUUUCUGGACUGCCGAACCGGUUAUGGUCCUCAGGGGCUCGGUUUCGACCCAUUUGGUGAAAUAGUCCACUGCUACCACCACGUAGGCAUGAUUGCCUGGGGUCCUAGGAAAUGGACCAAUGAUGUCAGUUCCCCAUUGUUCGAAUGGCCAUGGCGAGGUGAUAGGGAUCAUGAGGUUGGUCGGCUGGUGGUGCUCAGGGGCAUGAUGCUGGCAAGAGGGGCAACUAAGGACCAUGACCUGAGCAUCCACCCUCAUGGUGGGCCAGAAAUACCCGAGCAAUAAAGCUUUCUUAACGAGCAUUCUAUAGCCGACGUGAGCACCACAGAGUCCCUCAUGUAUGUCUUGAAGGAUCCUCUCCCCCUCUUCCGGCGUGAUACACCGCAGCCAUGGGCCGAGGUAAGAUCUUUUGUAUGGGAGAUUUUGCCGGAUAGCGUACCGAGCUGCCUUACGUUGUAGCUUUCUCGACUCAACUCGGUCCUCGGGGAGCUCUCCCCGGCUGAGGAAUCGGAUCAGAGGUCCCAUCCAGGUGUCUCCAGGGUAGACGAGAUACACGACCUCUUCUUCGUACCCUGACUCGGCUAAUACUUCUACAAGGACCGUUUUGUUCAGGUCAGAAAAGGAAGUGGAAGCGAGCCGGGAGAGGGCAUCAGCCCUCCUGUUUUGGGACCGCGGUAUCCUUUGGAUUUUGAAGGACUCGAAGUGUGCCACCAGCUGGAGGACUUUAGAGAGGUAACGAUGCAUCACCUCUUCCCUGGCCUCGUAUUCUCCCAGUACUUGGCACACGACGAGCUGGGAGUCACUGUAGACCAAGAUGUGAGCAACUCCAAGCUUACGGGCUAGUUGCAGGCCGGCAAUGACUGCUUCAUAUUCGGCCUCAUUGUUAGAAGCAGCGAAAUUAAAUCUCAGUGCGUAUGAGCACGCCUCUCCUUGGGGGUCUUCGAGGAGCAAUCCUGCUCCACUACCCUGGCUGUUAGAUGAGUCAUCCACAUGCAGAAUCCACCGCUGAGGGUCAGCGGUGACCGGGGUGGUAGCUGGGGUGGGCUCCUUCACCUCAUCAAAUGUGAGCUCGGCUAAGAAAUUCGCAAGGGCCUGGGCCUUGAUGGCUGUGCGGGGCUCAUAUGAUAGGUCGUACUCUCCUAACUCGAUAGCCCAUUUCGUGAGGCGUCCCGAAGCCUCUGGCCGGGUCAAGAUUUGCCGGAGUGGCUGAUUAGUCCUCAGGCAAAUGUGAUGAGCCAAGAAAUAAGGUUUGAGCCUGCGGGCUGCAUGAAUCAAGGCCAGCACAAGCUUCUCGACUAGGGUGUACUUGGUCUCGGGACCUCGGAGGACCCGGCUUACAUAGUAGACGAGCAUUUGUACCCCUUCCUCCCUUAUGAGCACGGCGCUCACGGCCUCGACCGCGGCAGAGAGGUACAAUACCAACUUGUCCCCGGGCCGAGGCGAGGUGAGCGUUGGGAGGUGGUGAAGGUAGUUCUUGAGCUGCUCAAAUGCCUGCUGACACUCUUCGGUCCAGGAAAAAUUGUCAGCUUUCUUCAGAAUCUUGAAAAAGGGCAGUGCCUUGGCUGCCGACUGCGACAAGAAUCGGUUCAGAGCUGCCAGUCGUCCCGUGAGCCUUUGUACAUCACGGAUACACCGAGGUGGGGACAUCUCCUGAAUGGCCUGCACCUUAUCAGGAUUUGCCUCUAUACCCCGUCUUGAGACGAGGUACCCCAAAAAUUUUUCCGAAGUGACCCCAAAAAUGCACUUCUUGGGGUUUAGCAUCAUUCGGGUUUUUCGGAGGACGUCAAGGACCUCUUUCAGGUCGGCCAGGAAAGUUGAGGUCUUCUGGCUUUUGAGAAGGAUAUCGUCCACAUAGGCUUCGACAUUCCGUCCGAUCUGGGACUUGAACGCUUGGUCAAAUACGUGGCUCCGGCAUUUUUCAGUCCGAACGGCAUGGUGGUAUAGCAAUAAAUACCUCGGUCUGUGUAAAAGGCCGUUUUCUCUUGGUCCUCUUCACUCAUUCCGAUCUGAUGGUACCCCUUGAACGCGUCGAGAAAACAAAGGACCUCAUAGCCCAUUGCUGAGUCCACCAGGGUGUCGAUCUUAGGCAAGGGGUAGCAAUCUUUGGGACAGGCUUUGUUGAGGUCGGUAAAGUCGACGCACAUUCUCCAAGCUCUGGUGUCCUUUUUUACCAUGACCGGGUUGGACAACCAGGUCGGAUACUGGACUUCCCGGAUUAUCUGGGCAGGCAGAAGCUUGUCCACUUCUUCUCCAACAGCUCGGCUACGCCCGGGGCCGAGGUGCCUCCUUUUUUGCUUGACCGGGCGUGCUUGGGGGUCAACGUUCAGUUCGUGUAGCAUGAGGUGGUGCGGGCCUUGGACCUCCUCCGCGGCCCAAGCGAAAACGUCCCGGUAUUCUAUGAGGAGGGUAAGCAUGCCUCCUUUAAUCGGGCCGGGCAGUCGGGUGCCGACACGGACUGUCCGGUCUGGCUUCGUGGGGUCUAGAGAAAUCUCCUCGACUUCAUUCCCAGUCUCUAGCCUCGGAAUCUUCUCAGUUGGCUGAGGAUCAAGACAAUCUAUUGAGAGGAUGUUUGAUCUCUUCUCGGUCCUCACAUCGGAAGUCGAUGUGGAAGCUGCUUGUAAGAUGGCAAGGUAGCACUCCCGAGCUGCGCAGACAUCACUGCUGACCUCGGCUAUUCCCGCGGGGGUGAAAAAUUUGAAGUUGAGGUGGUAUGUGGAGUACACGGCCCGCAAUGCAUUGAGCGUAGGCCGCCCCAAGAGUAGGUUGUAUGGGGAGUCGGCCUUGACCACCACGAAAUUAACUGGGAUAGUUCGACAGCGAGGGUGACGCCCCACAGUGACUGUCAGAGUCACCAUCCUUUCGGGAUGCACGAUGUGUCCCCCGAACCCUACGAGAGGGGUCCUUACCGGGGUCAGAUGCUCCCUAGCCAACUGGAGGCUCUCAAAUGUGCGGAGGUACAUGACGUCCACUAAGCUCCCUGGGUCAAUGUAGACCUUCUUCACAAUGUAAUUGUUAGUGAGCACUUCAAUCACCAAGGCCUCAUGGCUACUCGAGGCGGCUGGAACAGGAUCAGUGGGGCCAUAAGAAAUGACCUCGGAUAGGCGAGAGCUCGACUCAGCCUGAUCCGGAUUAACUUGCCUAUAGGUCCUCUUCCGGGAGUUCUGACUAUCUCCUCCCGUCGGACCUCCGGCAAUAGUGUUGAUGACUCCGGCAAUAUUGGGCCCAUAACCUAACCCCUGUUCUGAAGAUCCGUCUCCGGGAGGCCUUUUUGUCUCCCUAGGAUCCUCGGGGUCUACAACUGCUUCUUGACAUUCGCCUCUCGUCUCGGCGUGGGUCAUCUCGCUUGUCACGUCGAUUCUCAUCACGGUUGUGACCUCCACUUCGGCGGAUGAACUGCUUGAGGUGCCCUUGCUUGAUGAGGUUCUCGAUCUCCCUUUUGAGAUCAUAGCAGUCUUCAGUCUCGUGCCCGAUGUCACGGUGAUAUAAGCAGUAGAGGUUCGAGUUCCUCUUGUCUCUGCUUCCGUACAUCCUAGGUGGGGCUUUUCCGAGAUUGUUUUGUUCCAUUACGGACAACACUUGAGAUCGGGUAGCGUUCAAAGGAGUCAACUCGAACUCGGGAAUGGGUGACUUCCCCUUGGAUAUCCUGUCAAAUACGCUUCGGCGAUUUCGGCCAGGACUUUGGAAGCCACUCCCUGUCCCCGCCUCAGUUCGGCCGGCAUCUUUUCCCUUUCGGGGGUCGACCUUUGGGCGGUUGGCUUGGACCUCUUUCUUCAUGCGGUUGAGGUCUUCGACCUGUAUACCCUUCUCGACCUUCAACAACAACUCAUGCAGUGUGCGGGGAUACUUCUUGUGGAUCCCCGUAUUGAACACCCCGGCAACGAUUCCAUGGGUGAAGGCGGCGAUGGUUAUCUGCUCGUUUGGGUCAGGUAUCUGAACGCUUUCUUCAUGGAACCUCUGGACAUACGAUCGAAGUGACUCCCCCGGGUUCUGCUGCACGGUUAGUAGGUAAGUCGAGGUCCUGGUCGUAGGUCGGGAGGAGACAAACCGGUGGAGAAAUUUCUCCACUAAUUCACCCAGGGUCGAGAUGCUCUUAGGUUCUAAGGCCCAGAACCAUUUUCGAGCUGUCCCCCGGAGGAAUACUGGAAAGGCCCGGCAUAUGAUAGGGUCAGGGAUGCAAUGUAGGCGGAAGGCCGAUAUGAAGGCAUGGAUGUGAUCCUCAGGAUCACCUCGGCCAUCGUAAGGUGGUACUGCGGGGAGCUUAAAAUUGGGAGGAAGCCUUUCCUCGUUGAUAUCAUCCGUAAACGGUGGAGCACUCAUGCAGUCCACCCCGGGUAUUCCCAAGGGCCGAGGUUCUUCCUCAGGUCGCCGCCCCAAGAGCCCUCGGGAAAACGCCUUGGUCACGGAAGCCACAUUAGAAGUGGCCUUAGAGAACGCCCGUUUAGAAGCACUCCGGCUUAGGCGCCUCCCAUCAGAUUCUUCCUCAGAGGAUUCCUCAGGAGAUCCAUCUGACUUUCUCUUGGAGGAUUCGGCUUUCUGCUUGCCUUGCCUCUUAAGGUACUUCCCCAACUCUUCAAAAAUGUUGGGGGUUCUCUGUCACGAACUCGGCUAUACGGGAUAUGGCUUCUUCGUUCGCGGGCUGGGUCCUUGGGGACCCUUGCCCUUCAGAAAUGUCUUCCUGCUGAGCUGCAUUGCUCUGCUCUGCCCCAAUAGUGAGAGCUUUCCUGCUCUUAGAACGCGUAGGCUUCAUGUUCUGAUGACUGCACGUUCCCACAGACGGCGCCAAUUGAAGAGGAGUGUUCUGACCGGCUGAAGUGAAUUCACCGGACUGAAGAUUCCUCCUUUCCUUAGUGUGUCACUUGCGGCGAGGUCACCUGCCUAAGUCACAAGAGGGGCUUGAUCCCCCGGUGUAACUCCGAAACUUAAGUCAGUUCGGGAAUAAGAGGAUAGUUUUAUGAAAUGAGUAUAGGCAGUGUUACCAGAAAAUUGGUCAUCCUCCUCCUCAGUAGAGGUGUUGAGUAUUUAUGAAAGUUCUGAGAUUGUCAGUGCAUCCGGUGGACGUGACCGGUCUUUAUGAAAGGAUCUGAUGGGACAUCUGGCCAGAUUCAGGCGACGUGUCAGAGCAGGCGUCCGUCAGAUGUCAGAUGUGUCAAGUGUCAUUUCCGACCUCUCACAGUUGUGUUGGUUAGGGGUCACCUCGGCCAACGGCCUGAGAAAUCUAGCCGAGGUGGUAGAAGAGGUGAGAACCCCUCGAGAAGUAACGUGCCGAGGUGGAUCUUCAGGAGAUACCACUGAAUAAGGCCUCGGAUUGUCCGAGCCGAAAUGACCAUCCUCAAGGGGCGUCUCUUUCGGAGUACCUCCAGGCGCGCCUCCUUCAAGGCGACAUCUAAACUUGCCUCCAUCUCCCGAGCAUUUUCCCGGGGACUGCUAGGAAAAUGGGCCGAGGUCCCACCUCGGCGCCCCGGGGGCCUAGCUUCUGACUACAUGAGAGCUCCGCCCUUCACUGAUGACAUCAAUGGGGAAAUGAUGCCCCCGAACUUUAAGCUUCCAAACUUGCACACCUAUGACGGCCGAGGUGACCCCGAGGAUCACCUCCGCGCCUUUAUCUCCACAUUCCGACUCUACUGCGUCCCCGACGCCGUGAUCUGUCGGGCUUUCCCCAUCUUCCUACAUGGGACUGCCCGGAAGUGGUUCUGGAGUUUGGAACCGGGGAGCAUUUCCUCCCUGGAUGAGCUGAUAGACCGGUUCAUCCACCGCUUUGUGUCGUCCCGACCCAUUACCAAGAUUUCAGCUUACCUCUUGAACCUGCUACAGGGUCAGGGCGAGUCACUUCGCUCGUAUGCUCAAAGGUUCAACGAGGAGAAUGUGCAGAUACCUGAUCAGAAUGAGCAGGUAACCAUCGCUGCCUUCACCAACGGGUUAGUGGCAGGGAUUUUCAACACCGAAAUCCAUCGGGAUUACCCCCGUACACUUCGGGAACUCUGGGAAAGAGUGGACCAGGGAAUCCGAAGUGAAGAUGUAAAUCGCAUGAAGCGAGAAGCCCAAGCAUCUCGUACGGGGCAAGAUCGACACCGGCCGAAAUGAAUCAGGCCCAAGUGGCACUUCAAACGAACUCCGAGACCGCCGGAGUGUCUUCAAACUCUCAAUUCCAGCCGGUUUUAGGUCUUGGCGGUGAUGAGGCAAAAUCACCUCGGCCGAACUCCUGAGAUCCCGGGGAGGAGGGAUAGGAGGAACUCCAACCUCUAUUGUGCCUACCACCGAGAUGUUGGGCACGAGACCGAAGAUUGCAACGAUCUGAAGCGAGAGAUUGAGAACCUGAUCCGCCAGGGAUAUUUGAAGCAGUUUGUCCGCAAGGAUGGAACCAUCAACCGAAGCGCCUCCCACCGGGAGAGCCGCGGUCCUCGCCGAGAGGACAGACGGGAUACGAAACUUCAUUGCCGAGAUCCUGAGGAACCUAAGGGGGAUCAGAGGUCUCCACGGGACAGAUCACCAGGCUGCGGCCCAAACAUCGCCGGGGUGAUCAAUACCAUCGCCGGUGGCCCGACGGGAGGAGAUAGUCAGAACUCCAGAAAACGGACAUACCGCCAGGCCGGCAUGGAAGCGGCCGAGCCGAGCUCCCGGUUGUCCGAAGUGAUCACCUACGGUCCCCGUGACCCUGUUCCCGCCGCCUUCAGCAAUCACAAGGCCCUCGUGAUUGAGGUACUCACCAACAAUUACAUAGUCAAAAAGGUCUAUAUGGACCCCGGAAGCUCGGUAGACGUCCUGUACUACCGAACCUUCGAGAGCUUGAAACUUACCCGGGAGCAACUCACUCCGGUCAGAACUCAACUUGUCGGUUUCGGGGGACACGUCGUCCACCCGGAGGGCAUGGUGACCCUGAUGGUAACUAUCGGGCGUCAUCCACGCUGCCGAACUGUGCCUGUCAGUUUUUGCGGUGGUUAAAGCAGACUCUCCCUACAACAUGCUGAUAGGCCGGCCCACGCUCAACGCCUUGAGAGCCGUAUACUCCACCUACCACCUGAGUUUUAAAUUUCCGACACCCGCGGGGGUGGCCGAGGUGAGCAGCGACGUGGGCGCCGUCCGAGAAUGCUACCUCGCCACCAUCCAAGCAGCAGUCAAACCCCGGCUCUCGCCCUCCAUAGACUGCCUCGACCCUCAGAAGGCAGGAGAGCCCAGCAGGCUUGAGCCCGGGGAUGAGGUGGAACAAGUGGUCUUGGAUGAAGCGAAACCUGACCAAGUGGUCCAAGUAGGGGCCGGACUCCCCUCCCCUCUGAAAGAAGAAAUGAUCUCCCUGAUCAAGAACCACCGAGACGUCUUCGCGUGGUCCGCAGACGAAGUGGUCGGAGUACCACCCGAACUCAUGAUUCACCAACUCAACGUUAACCCACAGGCCCGAGGUGAGCAGCGACGUGGGCGCCGUCCGAGAAUGCUACCUCGCCACCAUCCAAGCAGCAGUCAAACCCCGGCUCUCGCCCUCCAUAGACUGCCUCGACCCUCAGAAGGCAGGAGAGCCCGAGGUGAGCAACGUUAACUCAACCGCGGGGGUGGCCGAGGUGAGCAGCGACGUGGGCGCCGUCCGAGAAUGCUACCUCGCCACCAUCCAAGCAGCAGUCAAACCCCGGCUCUCGCCCUCCAUAGACUGCCUCGACCCUCAGAAGGCAGGAGAGCCCAGCAGGCUUGAGCCCGGGGAUGAGGUGGAACAAGUGGUCUUGGAUGAAGCGAAACCUGACCAAGUGGUCCAAGUAGGGGCCGGACUCCCCUCCCCUCUGAAAGAAGAAAUGAUCUCCCUGAUCAAGAACCACCGAGACGUCUUCGCGUGGUCCGCAGACGAAGUGGUCGGAGUACCACCCGAACUCAUGAUUCACCAACUCAACGUUAACCCACAGGCCCGACCUGCUCAAUCCCCAGCGUAGUUUGAGUCUACAAAACCAACCAAAGUGUUAUUAUUUCCUCCAAACUCUAAGCAUACAUUUGAAGUACUCGCAAGUAUCUGAGAAUCCACUUGACAGCCUGCCAAUGUGCUUUACCAGGGCAAGACAUAUAUCUGCUAACAACACUAACUGCUUGUGCAAUAUCUGGAUGAGUACAAACCAUUGCAUACAUAAUACUGCCGACUGCACUGGAAUAAGGAACCCGUGCCAUAUAAUAUUUCUCUUCAUCUGAUUUUGGUGAUUGAGCAGCAGAUAGCCGAAAAUGGCUAGCAAGAGGAGUAGAUACUGGUUUAGCAUCUUUCAUGCCAAAACGCUCCAAGACUUUCUCAAGGUAAUUUUUCUGGGUCAAGAACAACUUCCCUACUCCUUGAUCUCGAUUGAUAUCCAUGCCAAGAAUUUUCUUAACUGCUCCCAAAUUUUUCAUUUCAAAUUCACUAUUUAACUGCAGUUUCAAAGUAUGAAUUUCUGAUAAAUUCUUGGCAGCAAUGAGCAUGUCAUCAACAUAUAACAAUAAAUAAAUGAAAGAACCAUCAUUUAACUUCCGGAAGUAAACACAACUAUCAUACAUGCUCCUCAAAUAACCAUGACCCAACAUAAAGGAAUCAAACCUCUUAUACCACUGUCUUGGAGACUGCUUCAAUCCAUAUAAGAAUUUCUUUAACAAGCAAACAUGGUCUUCUUUACCUUCAAUUUCAAAACCCUGGGGUUAUCUCAUAUAAAUUUGUUCUUCAAGUUCGCCAUGUAAGAAAGCUGUCUUAACGUCGAGUUGUUCUAACUCUAAAUUAUACAUGGCAACUAAAGCAAAUAAAACACGAAUAGAGCUAUGUUUAACAACAGGCGAGAAUAUAUCAUUAAAAUCAACACCUUGUACCUGACUAUAGCCUUUUUCAACCAAUCGUGCUUUAUAUCUUGCAUCUUCAACCCCUGGAAUACCUUCCUUUUUCUUGAAAACCCACUUGCAACCAACAAUUUUCUUAGCUGACGGCGGCUUUACAAGAACCCAAGUUUCAUUCUGAUGAAGAGAUUCAAUUUCUUCAUUCAUCGCAAUCAACCACUUUGCAGAAUCAUCACAAGAAACUGCUUCUGAAUAGGUGGAAGGCUCACCAACUGCAUCAGUUUCUUCUGUACCAGACAAAGCAUAUGCAACUAAAUUUGCAUAUCUUUGUGGUGGUCGAAUGUCUCUCCUUGCUCUAUCUUUGGCUAUGGAAUACUCCUCUUCUUCUGAACUAUCUUCAACAGUAGAUUCAGGUGCAUCUACUGGCACUUGCUGAAUAGAAGAUUUGGAUUGAGAAGGACCAGAACUGCCAAUAUUAAGCUCCACCUGCUUCUGUGUACUAUCAGUAGUACAAGGACUAGAAGACUCCUUCUUGGAAGAUAACAUAGACAAUUCAUCAAAAGUAACAUCUCUACUGAUUACAAAUUUUGGGGAUUUGGGAUCAGGACACCAUAAUCUGUAUCCUUUCACCCCAGAAGCAUAUCCAAGAAAAAUGCACUUUUUAGCCCUGGGCUCCAAUUUUCCAUCAUUCACGUGCAUGUAUGCUGGACACCCAAAAGCUUUUAAAUUGGAGUAAUCAGCAGGAGUACCUGACCAAACUUUCUCAGGAGUUUUGAAAUCAAGAGAUGUAGAAGGAGAACGGUUGACAAUAUAACAGGCCAUAUUGAUCGCCUCUGCCCAAAAGUCGUUUGUCAACCCUGCAUUGGAGAUCAUACAUCUUGCUCUCUUCAAAAGUGUUCUGUUCAUACGUUCGGCCACACCAUUUUGUUGAGGUGUCAUUCUGACGGUGUGAUGCCGAACAAUUCCUUCAUUCUUACAAAAUUCAUUAAAUUCACCUUCACAAAAUUCCAUGCCAUUAUCUGUUCUCAACCGCUUAACAUGUUUUCCUGUUUGUUUCUCAAUCAAAACUUUCCAUUGCUUGAAAAUUAAGAAAACAUCAUUUUUAUGUUUAAGAAAAUAGACCCAUACUUUCUUUGAAUAAUCAUCAAUGAAAGUCAACAUGUACCUGGCACCACCUUUAGAAGGAGCACGAGAAGGACCCCAUAGAUUUGAAUGAAUGUAAUCAAGAGUACCUUUUAUCUUGUGAAUUGCUGGUGAACUAAAGCUGACUCUUUUCUGCUUCCCAAAAAUACAAUGUUCACAGAAUUCCAAUGGCCCGGUACUUUGUCCACAAAGAAGUCCUCUUUUACUCAAUAUGCCCAAGCCUUUUUCGCUCAUGUGCCCCAAGGCCCAAACGCAUAUGCCAUAAUUUGGUGAUGUCUGUAUCUGAUAAAGAUGAUGUUGAAACAGCAGCAGCACCUGUAACAGUAGAUCCCUGCAAAAUAUAUAAAGUACCAGAUCUGUGUGCCUUCAUAACAACAAGAGCACCUCGAGUAAUUUUGAGAAUUCCAUCUCCACCUGAAUACCUGCACCCAAUAGAUUCAAGAGUGCCCAAAGAGAUGAGAUUUUUCUUCAAAUCUGGAACAUGUCUAACAUUUGUGAGCGUCCUCACAAUACCAUCGUACAUUUUAAUCCGGAUUGUACCUUUACAAACAACUUUACAAAUGGCGUUGUUACCCAUUAAGACAACUCCACCUUCAGUUGAUUCAUAUGUUGAAAACCAGUCCCUAUUGGGACACAUAUGAUACGAACAACCCGAAUCUAAAAUCCACUCAUUGUUAGACCUAAAAAUAUUUUUCGUUGCACAGAAUAUGGUUCCAUCAUUCUCAUCAGCUGCUAUACUAGCUUCAGCGGAUUCAGUAUUUUUCUCAACAAAUUUUCCUUUUUGCUUUUCUUUAUUUUUCAAUUUAAAGCAAUCAGAGAUAACAUGACCGUUCUUUUUACAAUAGUUGCACACCACAUUUUUAUGUCUAGACUUGGAUCUACUUCUAUUUUGUGUGUUUCUCUUUUCAGAUCUACCCCGAAUAAACAAGCCAUCGGCUUGACUCCCACUAGUUUUCCCAGUAAUAUCCCUAUCUAUCUGCUCUUUAGAUUUUAGUGCAGAUUUAAUUUCCCGAUAUGAAAUUGUUUCCUUUCCAUAAAUCAUAGUAUCACGGAAAUACUUAAAGGAUUGGGGAAGGGAACACAAAAGUAAUAGAGCCUGAUCUUCAUCAUCAAUUUUCGAAUCUAUAUUCUCCAAAUCCAUAAUAAUGGAAUUAAAUUUAUCAAGAUGGGAGAGUAUAGAUUUACCUUCAGACAUCCGAAGCAUAUACAAACUCUGCUUCAAAUAUAGCCGAUUCUCGACUGUCUUCUUCAUAUACAAGACUUUCAAUUUAUCCCACAUAGCCUUGGCUGAAGUCUCCGUUGCUACCUCACGCAAUACCUCAUCGGAGAGAUUCAAAAUUGUGCUGGAUCUAGUCUUCUUAUCCAUAUCAGCGAAAUCCGCAUCCUUUACAUCUUCUGGUUUGUUCUCGAUUCCAUGAAUCGCUAGAUCAACUCCAUCUUGAACAAGAAUGGCCUCCAUCUUGAGCUGCCACAUGCCGAAGUUGACAUUUCUGUCGAAUUUCUCGACAACCGUCUUUGUUAUCGUCAUUGUUGCCACAAAAUCUGUAAUUUGAAGUUUGUCUAAAAAAAAAAACUGGCGAAACAAAUAUGCAAGUCUUGUGAGUGGACCCCACAGGGUGAGCGGACCCCACGAGAUAAGCGGGCCCCAUGGGAUGAAUGGACCCCAUAAAGUGAACGGGCCCCACGAAUAAAUGGAUCCCACAGGAUGAGUGGGCCCCACAGGAUGGACGGACCCCACCAGAUGAACGGGCCCCACGAGAUGAACCUGUCUUGCAAAAUAUAUCAACCAACUCUGAUACCAGUUUGUUUGGACUGGCUUAUGAAAUAGACAAACUCAAGUUAGAACAAAGUAGGCGGUAUAACCGACCAUAUAAUAGAUAGGCGGUAGAUACCGACCAUAUAAUAAUUAGGCGGUAAAAUCGACCAUAUAAAGACGGAUAACAAAGCAAAUAAAAGACACAGAAGAUUUACGUGGUUCGGUCAAAUUGACCUACGUCCACGGACGAGGGAGGAGCAAUAUUUCUACUAUGAAAAAGAAAUAUAAAAGCCGUAGGAAAGUGAUUCCUAGGCCAAAAGGCACUUAUAAAAGGUUUAGGAAAUAUUCCUAAACACAAUACAAGAGAGCCUAAAAUAUUUGACUAAAUGGGCUAGAUGACUCAAGAAGCUAAUAGCCCAUAUAACUCUCUUGAGUGGUGCAAGUUAAAACCUUUAGAGGCCUCUUCUAUUUAUAUGCUCUCUAUCGGAGCCUUUCCUGCUAUCUACUGCGAUGUGGGAUGAAAGGAAGAAUAACUUCCUUACGCAGCAUCUGACGUGAGACAAAAAAUUCUGCCACAAGUCAAGCCGCAAUGCUUGACAAUUCAACAGUAAUUUAUUUCACGCAGCCACAUCAAUGCUUUCUGCUCCAAGGCAGGACAUUGAUCAUUCAGUUUUCUGUGCUAACAUGAAUAGAAGAUCAUAACACAAAGUACGAAAUUAGGCAUCAACUAUUACCAGAAAUUACCUUAGAUCUGUACUCAUUCAUAAUGUCGAUACAAAAUUUUAGUGUUUCAGAUGCCUCAAGUCUCAUUGGCAUGGGAACCAGCCAUGUAUUAUAACAAGAACAACUUUAUGUCAUUCGUACUCAUCCCAGAAGUGUAAUGAGCAACUUUUGAAAGAAACUGCUGAGAACCAGCCAUGUAUUACAACAAGAAAGAAAGGAAGAUAUCGUCCAUCAAAAUUAGUUUACUAUUGUAAAAUCAAGUUAAAAAUAAAUCAAGAGACUUGAAUGAUGCCAAUAAUGCAGGACAAAUUCAACAAACAUCUGCACUUUUGGUUACUAAUAGUCUUAUGCAAAAUUUGUUAUCCCUUCUAUUUUUCAACCCAUUUCAUGAACAAUAAACUUUUUUUCUUUUUUUUCAGGUACAGUAGUUGUCAAAGUCCAUAAAUGAAAAGAUUCUUAUAGAUAAGCUAAAGUGUCUUGCUUGGUAACUCGAGUUCUCACCAAAAUGAAAGUAUUAGAUGUACCAAAUACCUGGAGAUGGUAUGCAAGUAAACUUUUCUACAACUUGAUCGUGAAGCUGUGCAAUUUACACAAAAUGCCAAUGGAAGAUAAGGUGAAAAGGGAAAUAAGAUGAUCACGCAAUCAAAUAGGCCCGGAUGAUCCUAAAACAUAAAAAUGAUGCAGAAACUUCUCCUGAGAGAUCCUAAAACAUAAAAAUGAUUCAGAAACUUCUCCAGAGAGGAUGUCUUGAUAUUCUAAUGACAUACUCCAACCCAAAAGCCAAAAUACAUGCAACUCUAAAUAAGGUCAUGUAAUUCGGCUUUUAUUCCCAAUAAAGUUCAUAUUACUCCAGCAUCAAGAAUUUAUAAAAUUUUCAGGUGUAAAGAAAAACAGUGAAGGCAAUAUUCACAAGUGUAAAGAAAAACAGAAAGGCAAUAUUCAUCUAAAUAUUGGUCUUCAAUUAUAUUUCAGGGUUGCUCCUAUUUAAUAUUCACAAUGUUUACAUGGAUCGUUGAGUCUUUUGCAACAACUUGUUUAAUCAAACUUUUGAUAUAUGUUCUAUUCUCGUAGAAAGAAAACACAAGUACAUGUGACCAUUAAAAAACCCUGAAAUGGAACACAAAACUCUAAAUAUAUAGGGAAAGCAAAUAAUAAAUAAGUUUCUAUGAGUUGCUGUCCAAAUUUUCUUUUUUUUUUUUUUGUAAAAUCUCAAAAUUAGGACAAUGUUGGUCAUAAAGUUUUGCUAAUCUCAAUAUUAUUAAGAACAUAGGUUUCAAAGCAGAUUCAUCAAGUUCACUCUUCCCUGAUUGGCACAGUCAGCAUUAGUUUGUUAAUCAUGGUUAAUUGGGUGGACUUCACACACUUCACAUGGUUUGAAAUCAACUAUUUCAACUAUUAACAGCCAGAGGUUUUAAGCCAAGCAUUGAAUGAGUUCUGUAGAUAGCAUGCUUAGCAAAGCAAGCAUGACAUUCUAGGCUGUAAUCAAACAAUGUUGAUCCAAAUCCAAAAAAAAAAAGAAAAUUACUUAUGAAAUACCCAUGAAAUGGGGGUAAAGGUAGUAGAAAAUUACAGUUGAAAAUUUAAUCAAGAGGAAAAAGUAUACAUAAAACAGGAAUGGAGAAGCCAACGGUUUUUAGAGAGAAAGAAAGAAAGAUAAGAACAGAAGGAUUUUUUUGAGACAGAAGCCUCGAGUAGGAGAGGAUUGAGAUAGGAAAAAUUUUUAAAUGGGAAUUGAUUAGUUUUUUCUGCAUUGAGCCCAACUUUUUUGUUGCAGAUACAGGAAUUUGCACCCACCAACAAAGAGGGAAAAAUUGUCUUUUAAAAGUGGGUUGGAAAUUCCAUUAGAGGAUCUUUGUAUUCAGCAAAUAUGAACUACGUGAGUUCGCAUUUGCUGAAUGCGAGGUCACUUUAAAUUUCCAACCCACAAAAUCGCAAAAAAAAAGACAAAAGAAAGACGGGCCUCGCAUUUAUCAAAUGCAAGCUCUGGCACCUUGCAUUUGAUAUAGACAAUACAGAAGAUAUAAACAAUUGAUACAAACAAUCGAUGCUUCAUCUUUUUUUUUUUUAUUAGUUUAUUAAAAUUUAAAUUUACCAAACUAAGGAAAAACAGAAAGCAUUUGCAUGUAACAGCUAGUAUUAAGCAAAUUGAGAAAAAAAAUAAAUGGAUUGUACUCAAAAUUUAUAACCGUUACCCAAUUUUGGAGUUCGAUGACGAUUUCGUCUAAUGAUCAAUCUGAGUUCGUCUAACCACAUCAUAGUUUUCAUCCAACGCAUCCAACCUCUUUUCUGCUUGGUAUUGUUUUGAUAACCAGGAAUGACUCAACUAUUCUUGUCAAUCCACCUGUUAUUCUUGGCAAUAGUGUCCCAGCAGUUGCAAUACCAGGUUUGUAUACAUUGAACAAAGCUUUUAAAGCUAUGAAUUCUUAAUUUAUUACAUUCAUUGAUGUUUCGCAAUCAUCUGUUGUUCAGAAAAGCCAAGUUUAUUCAUCAAAGGUACGAAUUCGCCUUGAUACAAGAUUCGAACAAUCUGAAGAUGCUGAAUGAAAAUCCAUCAGAACGUGGCGAGGCUAAUAUCAGCAAAAAAGCAAAGAAAAUUUGAUGAUGAUUUUUCGUUCCUCUGUUCUACAACUAUGAGUCCAGGUGCGUGUGUUUUCUGCUAACGCUCAUAGCGUUGAUUAUGCUGCAAAAUUUCGGUGAACUUACAGCUUUUGAAAUUGUAUCUGUAAGCUAUUGACUUGUUCAAAUUACUUAGAACAUUGGUUCCCUUCCUUUUCUUUAAUUACUGAUUUUCUGUAAUGAAGCUCGCAUUCUAAGAAUGUAAGCUCACCUUUUCUUUUCUUUUCUUUUUUUUCAUCCAGCGGAACCAAAAAAAAAAAAAAACGGACUUUGCAUUUAGUGAAUGCGAAUUCGAAGAAUUCGCAUUUCUUGAAUGCAAUUCGAAUUCGCAUUUCUUGAAUGCAAAGACCAUUCUACAAAAGAAUAACUAAUUCAAAACACCCCAUUUACAAAAUUACUUUUUUUUUCAUAAUAAUUUUAGAAUUUACUCAUGUAACCUACGUGAAAGAAUGUUUAUGCAGUACUCUCUAGCCCAAGGAUACAGAAGAACUGUGUUUUUGGACCAAAAAAAAAACCAAUUCGAGAUAUAAAAGAAUGAAAUUCAAGGGAAAAUAAACAAAAUUGACUGAAGUUUGACUGGAAUGUCUUUUAGUCUUUUGGUGGUGGGGACAAUAUCAUCAUAAAUCGGCUGUAAUAUGGUUUUUUGUAGCUUUUAGGUCUUACCAGCGUUCUUUAACUGAACAUUAAUAUAGAAGCAUAGUAUCAUAUAUAUAUAUAUAUAUAUAUAUAUAUAUAUAUAUAUAUAUAUAUAUAUAUAUAUAUUUUGCAAUAGUUAGAAUUUUCUGUUGAACAUGAAAAGUAAUGAUUGUUCGAGGAUAUGAUAAUCAUAAAUUGUUAUCUAAAUCUUAAAAAAAAAAAAAAAGAAAUGGAAGACUAUCUAGUUGAAAGUUUCUUUUUACUUUUCUACUAGUAGAAUUUAAGAGACAGAAUUGAAGAAGCAUUUUGUAUGGCAUAGAGUUAAAUUUGGUGGAAGUAGGACAUUUCAACAUUGCACAUUAAAAAGAAUUAAUGAUAUUGGUAUUUAUAUCUCAACACAUCUUCAAGAUUUAGGUUACGGUGCUCGAGAUAAAUAAUUUAAUGUUUCUGAAGACAUAUUAGGAAAAUUUAUUCCAACUAGACUAAAAACCUUGAGAAAAUUGCUACAGUCACGUAUUACUUGUAUAGUAACCUUAAUGCAGACUAUUUAUUUGAAUAAAGAAAUACAAAUUAGGAGGUUUACUUUGAGUUUGAGGGAGAUAGUUUAUAGAGUUAAAUGGAACAGUACAAUAGUGGGAAAAGAAAAGUCAUUUAGUCAAAGAAGCAGCUUCUUAUGGAGUUGCAAUUCAAUGAAGCACCGCAUUCUUCAAAAACUGGGGAAAAAGAAGGGCAAAUAUUUUUUAGAUUUUUGACAAAGUUUUGUUAUCAAAAUGACAAUUAUUCUAGAAUCUAGAUUUGGAAAACCCCACUUGGUUCGCGCGUUCAGGCCUAGUCUUACUAUCCGGACAUAAAAGAUCAAGGCCGACACUCCAUCGGUCUUGGAAAUGGGCUUUGGGACCAAUGCAGCUAAAGCAAAAUAUUUAAAUUCUAUGACCAAAUGGCUUGAAGGAGGAGUCAAAUUCUCUUUUAGUGAAGGCAUUAAUCUUUUGCAUCUCGCAUCAGCUACAUGGUAUAAUAAUACGAGGGGAGUCGAUAAUGAGGUAAAAUCCCACAAUUUGGUAUGGAGUUAUAAAUCUUUCAAAAGCCUUAAUUUCUUCCUCUUUCAAAUUUCUACCUUGCAAUUGCCAGAAUCCCGAGUGCUUGCUUGCUCGCUCUGUCAUCAUACAUAUUCACGCAACCUGCUACCUGCAAAAUUCAAACUUGAUUUCAUAGGCAGCAUAGUUUCAUUGUGAUAAAUAUUUUACGGAGUACCUUGAUAGAUGAGUGUUGAGAAGCUAAUAGAGUACUAUAAUAUAUGGUGAUGGUGAACGUUGACAAGCUUGAAUGGUUGUGUUUUGGGUGUUUGUAAUUUUACCAUAACUUAUUGUCAAAUUUAUAAAAACAAAAAAAAUUUUGUGCAUUUGAAAGUUUAGAAAAAUUUAAAAAAAAUUAUUUUCACGUUCUUUUUCUUUCUUUUUUUUUUUUCUCCUUUCUUUCCCCUAUUCUUCUUCCUCCCCAUGCCAAAUUUGCAUUUCCUCUUCCCUUCCUCCCCAUUGCCACCUACUCCGAUUGCUAUCUUUGUCAUCAGCCGAUGACGCCACUUAUCUUUCAUUUUCCUCUCUACUUCCUUCCUCCUCAUUUUCUCUCCCCCUUCCAGUAUCUUAGCGUCUUAGUUCCUCCUAAUUCCAAAAAAUCCUUUUUACACAUUUUGGUAUUUUUUGCCUUAUCAAGAAAAAAAUAUAUAUAUAUAUAUAUAUGUAUGCUCAAGGAAUUGAAUUAAAAUACAGUUUCUAACAAACAUAGAAUGCUUUAAAAUAUUGGAUUCUAGUAGCACGAUAGACAUUGUAAAUUUAAUAGUUAAAGACAUAUUACAACUCCUCAUUUCUUAAUUUUGUUGCACUAGACAUGUUUGGAAAGAAUCUACAAAUCAUGAGUGUGCGAUUAAAACAUAGGAAUGCUUAAUAAAACAUCAAUGGACAUGGGAAAAAAAGAAGAAGAUAAGAGUUGUCCCAACUUUGAAAGUUACAGCAUUUAUGACAAUCCCAUUUUUCUAGUCUAUCCUAAUUUUCGUAAGAAAAAAAAAAGACAACUAUUGAUGAUCUAAAUUAUUACAAGGGAUGGGUCCAUCAACAUGUCAAAUUACUGCAGCAACAAAAUCUCAGACUCUAUGAUAGUUUCUUCCAAAGAAACUAAACAUAAUUUUCAUUUUAAUACACAUCUCAAGUGUGCAUUAGAAGAAGACAAAAAUUUCUAUUGUGUUCAACUUCAAAAAAAGCUUUGAGUUUCUUCAAUUAUUUUAAAAGUUUUUUUUGAAGAUGUUCAACUUUAUUUCUAAUUUUAUGUUAUCGCCAUUCAAUUGAAGCUAUAGCUAGAGGUGUGCAAAAUCGAAAACUUCCGAUUUACUGACCGAAUUCGAAUUGAAUUCGAAAUUUUCAAAAUCGAUAAUUCGGAAUUUGGCAUGAGCACCCGCACCUUUCCGGUGCUGUUGAUCGGAAUCUGGGGAGUAUACUUGAUUUCGCAGUGGUCGAUUAGCAUUGAGAGCCUACGCACCCUUUGUAUAAUUGUGGACGAGAACGCAGGGAAGGAGAUCCUUAUGGUCUGAGCAUCUGAUGAUGCUCGUGCUUCCAUGACAUCUGAUUUGUAGUAACCAGCAAUGGACUGAUCUGUUGGUAUUUCCAUUGAAAUGUUCACGUGUUGCUGUAGUUGACGGAGGAUAGAUGAUGAGGAAGGAAGUGUUUGUGUUGUGUUGGUGAAACGAUGUCGUUUAUAUAGAAGGAUGUGGUGUUGGAACUGUUGAGGACCUCUACCCAGACGAUGAAAUCACCAUAUUUGGAUAUGUAAUCCCUAACUGCUGAUGAAUUCCUGGCACCUUGGACAUUCGGGUGGAACAUCGAAUUUGAAAUGGGAGAUUGGAUAUCGAAGAAUCUCGCAGAUGCAGUCCGAAAUUUACCUUCGAAUUGGAUCAGACAAUGUAGAUGAGGAGAACCAUCUUCGUGUGUUUCUUGAGCAACCCGUAUGUAAAUGGGGGAAAUAGGGAACUGGAGGUUCCUAAUUGCAUCUAAUGCUUGUUGUUUUGGAAGAACACACCUGGGAUAGUCACUUAGUUGCUUUAAUUGUUUUUGAGAAUGAUUAAUGAUUUGUAUGGCAUAUUUAAGGUUUAAAAUAAUUUGGAUUCGAGCAUGUUGAGCAUGUUCGCGAACGGCUCAUUUAUGUUAAGCGAGCCGAACUCGAAUUCGAACACAAACUUUGCUUAACGAGCCGAACACGAACACAGGUUUGGAGUUCGAAAAUUAGCGAACGAACACGAACGUUGUUUGAAUCGCUUAACGAACAAAGCUCAAACAUAAGAUAUUCGGUUCGAUUCGGUUCGUUUACAGCUCUAGAAAUGGGGCAGGGACGGUCAUCACGGUUAAUGGCCAUGAUUUGGCCUCAAAAAUUUGAUGGAAUAAUUGCAGAAACCUCUCCUGAAAUUUCUGAUAUUUGCACUGACCUCCCCUCUAGGUUUAGAAAUUGCAUUCACCUCCCCUGAACAGUAAUGAUUCGUUGCAGAAACCUCCCUGACAGCUUUUGUAGAAGUGAAAUAAGAAAUUUCUUCCAAUUUUGCCCUCUUCUUGCUUGACAAUUAUUAUUUGCUUGACAAUUGCUUAACUAAUUAUCUAAUUAGUUAAUAGUUAAACUAAUUAACUAUUAACUAAUUAUCUGAUUAACUAUUAACUAAUUAACUAAUUAUCUAAUUAAUUAACUAAUUAACUAAUUUCUAUUUAUCUAAUUAACUAAUUAAUUAAAGUUGUUGUCUGUCCGAAACUAACAAACUAUUUGCAUGUUAAACUAAUUAACUAAUUAACUGCUUAACUAAUUAACUAAUUAACUAACUAACUAAUUAAUAGACUAUUUGCAUGUUAAACUAUAUGCAGUUCGCAUUACCUAUUUAAAGUAUCGGCUCUUUAUGGGUAUUUUACUUUCAAAUAUUUAAUUUAUGAUAGAAACAUCAAUGUUUGUAAGUAAAAUUCAAAAAGUGUUACAAAAAAUAUCAAUAUUCUUACUUUCAAACAUUUAAUUUAUGACCCUAUGCCCCUCCCUUUUUGUAAGAAUAUUUGUAACACUUUUUGAAUAUUCUUGCUGGCACAAAAGAACCUUGCUGGCACAAAAGAACUAACAGUUCUGAUUUUGUUUGAGAUUCUAAAACGGUUUGGCUAAUAGAUGCCUAUUCUUUAAGAGGGUUUUCAAAUUACAUAGUUUGAUAAAGAACUUGGAUUUCCCUCUUAAAAUCAAUUGGCAAUGAGUGGAGUGAUCCAGGUAUGAUUGGAAAUUAUUGGAAUAUUAAUAUGGGAUAUUCACUAAUAUAGCUAAUUUGGUAAAGUAUCUAAGUGUAGGGAUACAAUAAUCGUGAUUGUAUAUAUUCACAUGGUAAUGUAGGUGCUAUUUAGCACCAAUCAGAAAAUUCCAUUUCAAAAUUAUGUGGUGGGCUAUAUAACAAAUAUGUCCCAUGUUAUACCAAAAUACUUCAUCAGUUUGGCCACCAGGUGCCCAUAACCAUAAUAGAGGUUUCAAGUGUUAUUUUUUCAAAUGUAAUUAAUUUGAAAAAAGUAUCUAAAUGCAGCAGGGCAAUGACUGUGAUUAAAUUCAAAUGGGGAAUAAAUGGUAAUUUAUGUGUACCACUCCUUAGAAAAAAUCCAUACUUUAUUAAUCAUUUUUCAAACAUUAUAACAGCUAUUUACAUCAGAAAAAAUGGGUGGACUUAUAUUAUAUAUCUCUAGGAGCAUACACUUGGUGUCAAGCCUUUAGUUGAUAUCUCAAACCUAAAAUUUUUGCGGGAUGGCUUAAUUAAGCCACGAACUUGUUUGCUCGGAUCCUGAGGGUAUAUACCAAAUUAAAUACAAACAAAUUGAGAGUAAAGAUGAGUCUUUUUUUUUUCUUUAGUUUGAGGGAGAUUCAAAACUUUACAAGGAAAAGAAGAAAAGAGAAGAGCUUGAGAAAUGAAUCAGGUCUUCGAUCCUUACAAAUAUUCUUACAAAAAGGGAGGGGCAUAGGGCCAUAAAUUAAAUGUUUGAAAGUAAGAAUAUUGAUAUUUUUUGUAACACUUUUUGAAUUUUACUUACAAACAUUGAUGUUUUUAUCAUAAAUUAAAUGUUUGAAAGUAAAAUACCCAUAAAGAGUCAAUACUUUAAAUAGGUAAUGCGUACUGCAUAUAGUUUAACAUGCAAAUAGUUUGUUAGUUUCGGACAGACAAUAGCUUUAGUUAAUUAGUUAAUUAGAUAAAUAGAAAUUAGUUAAUUAAUUAAUUAGAUAAUUAGUUAGUUAAUUAGUUAAGUAGUUAAUUAGUUAAUUAGCUUAACAUGCAAAUAGUUUGUUAGUUUCAGACAGACAACAGCUUUAGUUAAUUAGUUAAUUAGUUAAGCAGUUAAUUAGUUAAGCAGUUAAUUAGUUAAUUAGUUUAACAUGUAAAUAGUUUGUUAGUUUCGGAUAGACAACAACUUUAGUUAAUUAGAUAAUUAGUUAAUUAGAUAAACAAAAAUUAGUUAAUUAAUUAAUUAGAUAAUUAGUUAGUUAAUUAGUUAAGCAGUUAAUUAGUUAAUUAGUUUAACAUGCAAAUAAUUUGUUAGUUUCGGACAGACAACAGCUUUAGUUAAUUAGUUAAUUAGAUAAAUAGAAAUUAGUUAAUUAAUUAAUUAGAUAAUUAGUUAAUUAGUUAAUAGUUAAUUAGAUAAUUAGUUAAUAGUUAAUUAGUUUAACUAUGCAGAAAUAGUUUGAUUAGUUAAUAACUAUUAAUAAUUAGAUAAUUAGUUAAUUAGAUAAUUAGUUGUUAAUUAAUUAUAUUAUUAGUUAUUUAGUUAAUUAGUUAAACUAUGCAGAAAUAGUUAAUUUAGUGUAAUUUUUAUUAACAAACGUUUUGUUGGGUUUGAUGAAUGUACUCAUCACAUUCAUCUGGUAAAAUUAAAUCAUGUCAGGGGUACUUUAGUAAAUUGACCCACUUUUACCUAUUAAAUUGCCUCCAACUUUUGAUAGGGAAGGUCAAUGCUAUUUCAAAAUUGAUAGGGGAGGUCAAAGCUAUUACUAUAAAAGUCAAGGGAAGUUUCUGUAAUUAUCCCAAAUUUGAUUCUCUGACCCAAAGCCGUUCAAGGAAGAUCCCAAAUCAGUGCUACUGUGCUAGUAUCUAUCACCCACACUUUGAAAGCACCUUGGCAGUUUACUGAUGCAGGAUUGGCAAAGGGACCGGGUUGAAGGGUUAAGCAAUGCCAAUGUUUAUUUAUUGCCUAGGGAUGGCAAUUGGGGGGGGGGGGGAAUUUUUCCUUCCCAAUAAGAAACGCGGCGGGGGAGGGGAGGUGGGGGUAUAUAUAUAUAAUAUUUAAUUUAUUUAUGUACAAAUUUAUAAUAACGAUACUAUUAGUUAUAAGUAUUAUAUAAUGUAUAUUAGUGUAUGUAAUAUAAUUGAUAUUAUCAAUUAUAUUAAUAAUUAUACAUGUCUACUAAUAGAAAUUAUUAAUUAGUUACACUAAAUUUGCUAAUAUAUUUAUACUAAAUUCCAAAUUACACUUAACACAAUAACAUUUUUCUAAAAAAAAUACAAUAAUGAUUUAGUGAUUGUAUCAUUUCAAAAGUGAAAAUUUAACUACUUUAAUUGCAUUUGUUUCAUCAUCUUGGAUUGUAUCAAAUAGUUUUUGUUUGAUUAUUUUUAUCGAUUUCAAUUGUGAAAUUACAAUGGAUAAUGAUUUAGUGAUAUGUUGAUAUUUUAAUAUUUAAUUAUUUACUAAAAUUUGACUCCAAUAAAUUUAUAUUACAAAUUUUUAUUAAUCCCGUCGAAAAAAUCGGAAGGAGAAACGGGAAGUCGUGGGCGGCAGGGUAGGGGAUGGGGAAAGGCCCCAAACCUGCCCUAUUGCCAUUCCUACUAUUGCCUGUACAUGUCUGUUAAAAGAGAGAGAGGGGGAGAGGCAGAGAGACAAAUAUGACCCUUGGGUACCAGUAGAAUUACACUUAAAGAAAUGAGCCCUACUAUAUGGCUAUCAAUUAAUUGAACGUCUUCUCAAGAAUAACAUAUAGAAUAAGUUAACUUUAACAUGUCGAAAAAUUUACACAUGGAAAUAAUUUCCAGCUAUAUACAAGCCGUAGUUCAAUAAAGAUGAUGCUCAAUGAAAAACUUGAGAUGAUGCAUAGUACUCGCCUUCACUGAACACGGGUCUCAAAUCUUCUUUGGACAUGAAAUCCAAACGGAAUGAAACAAGUUGCGCCCCGAUAGAUUCUAACCUAUCUCCCAGGGAUCAGUGCAUUUAAUAUCCCCAUCUUGAUAAGACUUGAACUUAUUUGGAGCUAUUCCUAAAUCAAUGGUUGUCUGGCCAAGUUUUUCUUUCCGGUAGACCAUGCAUUGACGGAGAGAAGCGCUCCAAGCCAUUACACAGUAUACAACCAACAACAAAAAGAAAAACAAAUCUUUGAAAGAAGGAACGAACGUGGAAUGGAUCAGAUCACUGGGUAUACAAGAAGAAAAAACAUCUUGGUAGAUCAUGGUAUUUGUCUAUCAAAUUCACAUUGCACGGAGAAGUUAGUAGGAGGUGUUAAACUAACUAUGUACAUGUGAAUGUAUUACGCAGCGAAAAUUUAAAUAUAUUUACCUCUAACCAUUGUUGUCAAACACAAGUUGAUCUCUUCUUGUAUCUUUGACUCCUUCUUGUCUAUUCUAACGAUACAAAAUAUGUAGAAGAAUGAAAAGUAGAAAGAGAAUUUAGAGUAAGGAUCUUCUAUUCUAUGCCUAAUCCAAAAGUGUACAAUUGAUGGAAUACCACAAGUUAUUUAUAAGUUAGGUUAGGGACCCUUACUGGCAAAUACAAAAAUCCCCAAGAUUUCCUUCCAUCAAGGAAAUCUUACCAAAAUUCAUAACUGAAAUUAAUAAUUUUUAACUAAUUGAUUGAUUUAAUUGAUUAACUGAUUGAACAAGAUAUCAAUUAAUAAUAGAUACCAAUCAAUCACUAACAAAUGGAAUAUACUGAUUAAUUAUUGACAAAAUGUCAAUCAAUUAAUCAGGAUACCAAUUACCAAUCAUUGCCUAAAUGGGAGAUACUAAUUAAUUGUCAAUCAAUUAAUUAGAAUAUCAAUCAAUCAUAUGGGUCAUAAUUUGCCUCUAAAGGAGAUAAGUCUUACAUUCUCCCACUUAGCCCACAUGCCAUAGUCAGAUAACCUCGAGUGACUAGAUACUUAAGUGGCCAAAAGUCUUUAUUGUCACUCAAUAGACUCGACAGUUUUGGAACAGUUGCUUAAUUAGAAAAUAAUAAUGCAUGAAUCAUGGCGGUUAUGCUCUCGUGGCAAACAUUUCCUUCCAUGUAUUACAAUGUAUUAUACUUCCUAAUCAAGUGCUUUAAAAGAGCUUUAUGAAUAACUUCAUAUAAGUUAUUCAGGGUCCAACUUUAUGGAUCACAUGAUCCUUACUUUAUACAUGAACAACAAUGUGCACAAAAUCAUGUAACUAUAAAUAUCUUGAGUAUCUAGACAAUAACAAUAGUUUGAGAAUAAUAGCAAAGUACGAAAUGAACUAUUGAGUUCCAUGUGAGUUAUUUGAUCAUUAACAACUCAGCCGGCAACCUUUAGUUGUUUGAUCAACAAUAGUAACUCUUUCAUGUAUACUCAAUAGCCACAUUUUGCUUUUCAAAUAACUAUUGAAUACCUUAUGUCGACUUACCUAUUUUGACUCCCACUCUUUCAUGUAUGCAUAAUGAAAGGGUAUAGUCAAAUUAAAUAUCUAUAAUGGUUAUAAUACAAUAUCGACAAAUUUUAUGCCAAAUAGUAGAUGCCUAUGGUAUAAUUUCAUAGCAUCCUUGGUGAAUUCAUAUUCAUUCCAAUGCAUGAUGUGAACAUUAUGCAAUUGUUCAUUAUUAUUACUUAAAAGUAAUCAAAGAACUCUUGCAUGAAGGACUUUAUAUUCUAUUUUGUGAAUAUCAAUCAUAGAAGGAUUUCACAAAUAUCAUGAUUGAGAAAAACUCUUAUAGUAUUACUCCCACUAAUCUUAAUGCAUAUUAAUUUACUAGAAAAAAUUCUUCUAAGAUCAAAUGAAGAAUAAAUUAAUAUACUAUUGGGAAGAAACAAUUUAAAUUGCAUUCUCUAUAAAUGUAUGGGAAAAUCGUCCAAAACAUCCCUCACAUUUUGUAAAAUAACUUUUUUCGUCCCUCACUUUUAAAAGUGUAAUUUUAUAUCCCUUACAUAUUCAUAUCGGACAAAUUUAGUUCCUAACUAGGUUUCCGAUCAUUUUUGGCCGGAAUCCAUCACGUGCAAGGCACGUGAUCAUUUUUUAAGGGUAAAUUUGUCAAAUUAUAUUUUACAUAAUCUGAUCUAUAGUCCUCCACAUUUUAUAAAAUAAAUUUUUUCAUCUCUCAAAUUUUAUAAAAUGAUUUUUUUCAUCCCUCACAUUUCACAAAAUGAAUUUCUCCAUUCCUCACAUUUCAAAAAAUGAAUUUUUCAUUUCUCACUAAUUAUGUGUGUGAAUACAUUUUUAAACACAUGUAUAUGUCUAUUUGAUUUUGCUUAAUAAUAAUAGUAUAAACACAUGUAUGUAAUUGGGCCCAACUUGUGGGUUAUCUUCUAUUUUUGUAUGAUUAUGACUAAUAUUUACCAAGAGAACCUUAAUUUGCAUAUUCUUAUUGUAUUUUGACCGAAAAUAGCUUUAUUGGCCAACUUGACAAUGAAUGCAAGAUUAUUUACUAGCUAAUACCAGAUGAAAUCAAAUGAUCAUGUAUAAUAUAUGGUAUUCGUAUUGUUAAGUGAAAUCAAAUAGACAUAUACAUAAAUUUAUGCUAUUCGUAUUAUUAAACAAAAUCAAAUAGACAUAUACAUGUGUUUAAACAAAAUGUAUUUACACACUUUUUUUUUAGGGUUUCCCUCACAUACAUAAUUCGUGAGGGAUAAAAAUAUUCAUUUUUUGAAAUGUGAGGGAUGGAGAAAUUUAUUUUGUGAAAUGUGAGGGAUGAAAAAAUCAUUUUAUAAAAUGUGAGGGACGAAAAAAUUUAUUUUAUAAAAUGUGGAGGACUAUAGAUCAGAUUAUGUAAAAUAUAAUUUGAUAAAUUUACCCUUCAAAAAUGAUCACUUGCCUUGCACGUGAUGGAUUCCGGCCAAAAAAUGAUCGGAAACCUAAUUAGGGACUAAAUUUGACCGAUGUGAAUAUGUAAGGGACAUAAAAUUACACUUUUAAAAGUGAGGGACGAAAAAAAUCAUUUUACAAAAUAUGAGGGAUGUUUUGAACGAUUUUCCCUAAAUGUAUUAUAGUAACACAUGUGUACACCUAAUUAUCAAGAGUCACAUUAAAGAUAUUUGUUUUCAUAUUUAAUGUAACUCUAAUAGUGAGUUACUAGUGUCAUAAUUACCCUAAAUAAGAUCUCUCAAAUUUGGUAGAGAUUUUGUGAUAAUUUGUGACAUUAUUCUUGAAUAUGGAGAUUUCUCCAUUUGUACCUUAUGAAAACAUUACCCAAUUCAUCCUUAAACUCUUGUAGAUAUACAAUAUAUUAACCAGAGAACUUCAAUUCUCUAUAGAGAACAUUUUUCCUCCCACUGUUUCAAGGAUAACUCAACGAGUAGAUUCAAAGUGGAUUUAUCUUUAUGCAUUUAUUUGACAAGGAGUUUUUUAAUUGAUUGCUUAUCUAAAAUAAUUAAAUAAUUAUUUUGAGAAAACCUAUCAAUUUUCCAUAUGCAAAGGAGUCAAAUAUGAAUCCUUACUAUUUCAAAACUCCAUUCUAGAGUCAAAACACACCCACUUACUUCAUGUUCUUAAGAAAUUUAAAUCUCCAAAUCUAAUAAUUCUUGAAAUGUAAAGGAAUCUAAAUUUCUUGAAGUAAAAUAGCCUUGUUUCCUUUGUACAGCUUCUUUAUGUGCUGGUUGAUUACCCUCACAAAACUGAACAUAAUAUUUUAAACUUGAUUUCCAUCCAUACCAUAAUCAAAGAGGUGUUUAAAUAACAUUGGAGGAAAUUGUUUAAGUGUAUACUUCAAUUUCAAGGUAUUACUCACAAGAUAUAAAGAUUGUCAAAAUGCUAUGUCCACAACUAUCUCAUUAUUUUCUUAAGGUACAUCAUUUGGAUGUAACUAAUCAAGCAUUGCUUUUACUCAUUAAUAAUGCUUCAUAAUUAAGGAAUUUAUAAAAUGAGCACAUAUAGGAUAGUCCCCUAAUUUUGUGUGCCUUAAUUUUAUUUUCUAUCUCUCAAAUUUCAAAUUUCCUUUUUCGUUUGAACAUUUACAAAGUUAUCAAAUAUUGAUCCUUUAUCAAAUAAGAAAGGAACUUUAUAUUUGACGAAUGGUAAUCUAAUAAUGAGAUAAAUAUCUCUCACCAAUAAAAAGGAUAGAAAAUAAUUCACAAAAAUUUUUAGUGUUAUAACGAAACUCUUAUGGCAUCCAUAAUGGUUAAACAGUCUGCUUUACUUAUGCAGUCUACCUGAAAUAUUAUAGUCAAUAAAUCUAAAAUCUUUAAAGAUUUAUGAUUUAUCAACCUUUUUAUUUCCUUAUAGAUAUAUCUCAAUCUCUUAUGCCAAAAUUUAAGGAGUUUCCUCAGUGAUAACCAUACUUGCUGCCAAUAUAAUUAUUAUGAUCAAGUGCAGUAUAUUGCUCAAUUCAAAGGAUGGUACUAGAAACUUUAGAAUUAUUAACUUCACUAUUUUCAAAAUCUACUAUGGAUAAUGAGAUUCAUAAUUAUAUCCAAUAGUAAUUAAUUUAAAAAUAGAAAUUCUAAAUUAAUAAGAAAAUAAUGUUUUAAAAAAAUUUUCUUGAAAUGAGUAAUAAUACAUCGCUUAUCUUUAUAUGAAUUUUUUUUUUGUUUCUAUAAAGAAACUUUUGUUCACCUUUUAUGUAAUCAGAAACUUAUUAUACUGGCAGCGCAAAUUGACAGAUUUAGCCAAUUCACCAAAUAUAUCAAAAUUUAUAACACUCAACAAUUGAGAUUUUCUUUUGAGUUACUUUCUUUCAAGGUAGAGUAUCAAAUAUCAUUCUCUUACAAACAACGUUGGUCUUUAUUGCUGUUUGACUUAAUGAGAACAAAAUUACCUUUCUUUCCAAUUCUUCUUUCAUGAAGGUUAAGUUUCUCUUAUUUCUUAACCGUUUUAUCCUUUCUUAAUACACAUGGUUAAAACAAGUAAUUAACUAUUUAUCUUUAUAUGUAUUAUAAAGGUUUGAAUGGUUAAGAAAUUCUGCAUGAAAGAAUGAAAUGCUGUAGAAAUAACUCAAUCUCAAUUUGAUAGGACUUUAAUUGAUGAUACAGCAAAAUUCUCAACUCUAAGAAAUGAGCUAAAAUACACUUCAAUAUUUAAGUGUCACAAAAGAAAGCCUUCUAAUGGUGCUAGUUAAAACUUGCAACAAUUUCUUUAUGGCUUUCAUGCAAGAUUUAAAUAUAAAUAAUUAGGGUUUGAACCCUAAUUUAUGUGAAUAUGAGACAAAUGACCAAACUAUUAAAUUGCUCCCAAUUCUCAUAUUCAAUCUCUAUAUUAGCAAAUAUAUCUACAUUAUGAGAAUGGUUUGUUCAAUCUCAUAAAAAUGCUAAUUUAAAACUUGCACUAAAAAGAAAAGAGAAUGAAUCUAAAAAUCACCAUAAAAUCAUUGGAAUGAAACAUUGAAUUAACAAUCAAGAACUAUAUCAUAAAAAAGCUAUGAAAUUUGUAUCUUGAUUUUGAAUUAACCUUAUGUCAAUUCAAAUAGUAAAUUCAAACCUUUCUAUGGAAAAAGGUUGUAAACAUGCAUAGAAUUUACUUUACUUAAUCAUAAGACUAGUAAUCUAGAACAAUGAAUUAAAGAAAUAAUUUGUACCUAUGGUCAUAGAAAUAUCUCUUAAUUCACUAUCUAAUUUACCAUCUUAUGUCAAUUAAUCUCACCAAAAUAAUUACCUCCCUGUGGGAUCGGAUAACUAUCUCAGUGAAUUAAUUGCAACUUGAUAUAGAUGCCAUUGUUUUUUAAUUUCUUUAAUCACUCAGCAAUAUGUGAAAAAGAAAUACAAAAUUUUUCCAAACACCUAUAUACUUAAGCUGCUGUGGCUACUCCUAAGUAUACGGCAUUAUAAGAAAAAUUGUCAACUAGUCAAUAUGUUGACUAAAAAUUCAUAAUUUCAAUUACCAAACUAUAUGUGAUGAAAAACUUUUCUCAUCAAAUAUUUGGAAUGCUGUGGCUACUCCCAAAUAAUAAUGUAAAAGUGAUUCUUAGCAUGGCAUCUUGUUUUUUGUCAAUAGUCAAAAAAUUUUAUAUUGACUGAAUUUCAUUGAAUUUUUCUUUCCUUUUAUAAUCACUUAAUCUUAUGUGAUUACAGUUAUUUACACUGUAUAUUUGAGAUGUUAUAGCUACUCCCAAAUAUACGAUGUAAGAAAAUUUUUAAUGAAAAUUCAUAGAAAAGUAGUCAAUUUGUUGACUAAAAAUCCUUGAUUUUGAUCACUAAACUAUAUAUGAUCAAAAUUGUAGUACACCAAUGUUUGAGAUGCUAUGGCUACUCUCAUUAUAAGGAUAUCAAAAUAGUCAAAAAUCUAUAUUUUGACAAAAGAAUUUCAUAAUUUCCUUUUUUUAUAUUCAUUUUUUUAACCACGAGUCUUUAUGUGAUUAAAAUAUUUCAUGCAUCAAAUAAUUGAGAUGCUAAACAUACUUUAUAAAGGAAAUUCUCUGAAAUUUAAAUAUAAUCAACCAUACUAAUGUUGACAUUAUAAUAUGAGAUAAAUGAAUGAACAUAAGCGUAGUGCACAAAAUACUACAAAAUUUCAAUUAACAACAGGAACGUGGAGGCAAAUUCAUAUUGAAAUCAUGCCUUUAGAUAUUAUCUCAUAAUAAGGUAGCAGAGAUUCAAUAAACUUGCAGAUCCAUUCAUAUAAAGUCAACCAACUAUCUUGCAUAGAUUAAUAUGAUAUUAAUCUUUUGAUUGUUGAAUAUAACAAUUCUUUAUAUGUUUCUCGAAUUGUUAUAUUGUAUUGAUAAUAACAAUCAAUAUAUAUAACCCUUGCAAUCAUAAAUAUGUAAGUCCAAGAAACAUUCAAAUUACUCGCAAUCAUACAAAAUUAUUAGAGAAAAUCUGGAUGAAUUGCAUAACCAAAUAAGGUAUCAUAUGAAUGAUACAUAUACAUAGGAUUAGUCAAUAAAUCUCAAUUAUUAAGAAAAAUAGACCAUAGAUCCCAUGGCAAAUUAAAUUCGAUUCGUUUAAAUUUGAUACGAAUCUCUAAAACUUUUAUCAGAUUACCAAUAAACCAUGAAAUUAUAAGUUGAACAACAUGGUUGGAGUCUGGCUCUGAUACCACAUGUUAAACUAACUAUGUACAUGUGAAUGUAUUACGCAGCGAAAAUUUAAAUAUAUUUACCUCUAACCAUUAUUGUCAAACACAAGUUGAUCUCUUCUUGUAUCUUUGACUCCUUCUUGUCUAUUCUAACGAUACAAAAUAUGUAGAAGAAGGAAAAGUAGAAAGAGAAUUUAGAGUAAGGAUCUUCUAGUCUAUGUCUAACCCAAAAGUGUACAAUUGAUGGAAUACCACAGGUUAUUUAUGAACUAGGCUAGAGACCCUUACUGACAAAUACAAAAAUCUCUAGAGUUUCCUUCCAUCAAGAAAAUCUUGCCAAAAUUCAUAACUGAAAUUAAUAAUUUCUGACUAAUUAAUUGAUUUGAUUGAUUAAUUGAUUGAAUAAGAUAUCAAUUAACAAUAGAUGUCAAUCAAUCACUAACAAAUGGAAUAUACUGAUUAAUUAUUGACAAAAUGUCAAUCAAUUAAUCAGGAUACCAAUUACCAAUCAUUGCCUAAAUGGGAGAAACUAAUUAAUUGUCAAUCAAUUAAUUAGAAUAUCAAUCAAUGAUAUGGGUCAUAAUUUGCCUCUAAAGGAGGCAAGUCUUAUAGGAGGUAAAUAAAAGGCAGUGUUACAAACCCAAACUCAUAGUACAUAUUGUGAAUUCUAUUUUUUACAUUCGAGAAGAUUAUAAACUUUUUGGCUUAAGUAACUAAAAUGACUCUUCCGCAUCAAACCAAAUUCUGGAGUUUAACUCCCAUCUUUAUUAUUGCAUAUAGAAAAUUAUACACAGAGAAUCAAGAUAGAAGUAAUGGGCAACAACCAUAUCCUGACAAAGACGGGCAAAUAUUUAAUUGAUAACGUACUUGAAAAUGGCAUUUUACCUUGGCAGUUGCCAUCCAUGUUUCCGUAUGUGUAGAAUCAAUCAUCGGGUCUCUUAUUUGAUGGACCUAAAAGAGGAUAACCAAUUAUCAGCCAAAUCUCACAUCUCAGAAAAAGAUGAAAGACAGACGCAGAGGCCAGAGGUUAGAAAUCUUUCAUCUAUUACUUCUACCUUGUCUUUUUCUACUAGCUUUUCUGUGAAUGACACAUAAAUCGGCUAUGCAUAACCCUACUAGAAAGAAUGGGGAAAGAAAAAAGAAAAAAGGGAGUUCCAUAGAAGAAAUGAUUUCAAGAGAUAUGACUAUCACUCAGUAUCAAAAGGAUGAUGGAAACUGACCUCUCCAGCUCUAAGACCAAGACCAUAGAGAAAGCCGCAAGCUCGAUGCAAACUUCCCAGCCUUUCACGGCUUGCCUCCCAUUGAUGAAUCAACCAAUUCUUUGUCCUCAACUAGUACGCCAAUCCUUUCACCAAAAAAAAAAAAAAAACUAGUACACCAAUCUGAAAGACCCGGAAUUGGUCAAGGAACUGCCUCGGCUGGUCAGCAGCCAAGGGCAUAAUUUAAACAUGUGAACCAGAACCAAAUUCUUAGUGAUAAGCAAUCCCAAAUUAUGUGAUGAAGUUGAAGUAAGAUUCAACAAAUUUUUUGAGGUUCAGAGUACUGCAAUAUGACGUACAAGUCAACACACCCAUACCAAGAUGUAUUUAGAGGUGCAUUUUAUCAACUAGGCGACAAAGCUUGCAUAGCUUACCAAACAAACCUCUAUGCAUAAAGAAGAAAAAGAAUGGGCUGAAUGACGUGAAAAAAUGGGACACUAAGAAAUGACUAAGAAGCUCAGGAACUUAUGCUUGCUAGAGGAAAUCCAAGAUAAAUUUGACUCAAAGAGGAAGUAUUCUUCCUUUUCUAACAAAGCUAAAGGAAAGUAUGUGCUUUCUAUUAUUCUUUGAAUAAAAUAGAUGAAGCAGCUGACAUCAAUCACUCUGCUUAAAUGAUUAUACAAUGAUGCCUGGUGACCAGAAUAAGCAAGGUACAAUCCUUUACAGAGAUAUAAAGAAGCAAUUUACCACCCGUAAUCUACAAGGAACAAACUCAUGUAAGAACCAAUGAAUAAAGACUGAAGAGAAUGGAUAUAGAAUAAGAGAGUAAUGUAAACCACCAUGAACAUUCAACUAAAUCUGUAUAAAAAAUCCACAGAUGAAGAAAAGGAAUAAAAUAUGUACCCCAGAGUCCCUUGGGCCAAGAAAACUUCUAUCGUGGAUAUUAGCAGAUCCAACUAGAGUUAUACAAUCAUCAACUAUCAUGAUCUUGCUAUGUACAUAUAACUGGAGAAAUGAAACAAUCACCAAUAGCAUCAUCAAUGUUAUGUCAUAGAAGCAGAAAACAGGAUUCUGUAAUGCAACUGUUAUGAACAGAAAUAGUGAAUUCUUAUCCCCUUGAUUUGCUUUUGCAAGUCAAGUGUAGUAGAAAUGAAAUGCAAUUAUUCAAACUUUCAACAAAUUUAUUUUAAAGUGCUGUAACCAUCAGACUAUUACAUUCCAUGAAUUUCAUCUUCUUGCAUAGUAAGCAGUUUCAUGGCAUGAGCGGUAACUGUUGGGAGAUACCGGGUUUCUAAUAACCACAACACGCAGUGAUAAACCUCCCCAAUUUGUUAGAACAUAUUAGGAGCAUUAAGCAAGACAAAGAUCAGCAACUAACAGAAAAUAAAUUAACCCACAAACACAAAAAGAAAUAAUUACACGAAGACACAAGAAUUUUUAUGUGGAAAAUCUCUCCAAUGUGAAGAGGAAAAACCACGAGACUCUUGAGCCCACCACAAAUUACUCUAUAAUCACUAAUUAAAAGUAGAGUACAACUCUCAGUAAGUACACAAUUGAGAUAUGGCUUUAAACAAUCAAUAAAGUCACCAAAUCCCAAAAUAAAGAGCAAAAACUGUGAAAAACUUUACCAAAAAUCGCAGCAGUUCAAAAUUUUUAAUUAAAUAUUGAACUGUUGAAAUCCAAUCUCCACCGUCCAAAACAUAUACUGGAUGUACUCUACCUUUAGUUAAAAUUUCAGGCCGAUCAUACAUCGUUUGCUAUCAAUCGGGGUGAUUUACCGCAACUGCUCAAACCAGAAACUUGCUGAAAUUUUUCUCCAGAAUUUUUCUGUGUUUUUCGCACUUUUCUCCUUUUACAAUAAACCUAAUUUGACUUAUAAAUAGGUAGGACAACUCCUUAAUGGGCUUAAACAAUUACCCAUUAAUAUUUGGACUUUUCCAUAUAAGUUGGAAGCCCAAAAAUCCAACAAAUCUCCCCCCUCCCGACUAUGUGGAGGAACUUGCCAUCACUUCCAUCGUGGCAAUGAUUUGGUCAACAUAACAGCACUGUUGUCAUCCGUAUGUAAUUUUUCAAGUUCAAUCAACUUCUGCUCCAACACAUCACGUAACCAAUGAUAUCUCACAUCAAUAUGUUUAGAUUUGGAAUGAAAAGUUGGAUGCUUUCGAAGAUGAAUUGCACUUUAACUAUUACAAAAUAAUUUAUACCUCUCUUGAGAGCAACCAAGUUCCCUUAGAAACUUUUUCGACCAUAGCAACUCCUUGCAUGCUUCAGUAGCUGCAAUAAAUUCAGUUUCAGUGGUUGACAAUGCAACACAUUUUUACAACCUCAAUUGCCAAGAAACUGCUCCCCCGACAAAAGUAAUCAAGUAACCUAAAGUAGAUUUCCUUGUAUCAACAUCUCCAGCCAUAUCAGCUUCAGUAUAACUAGUGAGGACUGACUUCCCACUUCCAAAAGAAAGUUUCAAAUCUAAAGUACCACGGAGAUAUCUCAAAAUCCACUUCACGACAUUCAAUAUUCUCUCCCAGAUUUUGAAAGAAAUCAGCUUAUAGUAUUAACUGCAUGAGCUAUAUCAGGCUUCGUACACACCAUUGCAUACAUGAGACUACCAACCGCAGAUGAAUAAGGAACUUUCCUCAUAUAUUCCUUAUCUUUUUCAGUAGAGGAACAUUAUGAGAUGCUCAACUUCAUAUGCAUUGCAUGAGGAGUGCUAACAGGUUUAGCUUUCUCCAUUCGAAAUCUUUGAAAUAAAUUUUCAAUGUACUUUUCUUGUGAUAGCCAGAGUUUCCUUAUCUUUUUGUCUCACAAAAUUUUCACACCAAGAAUUUGCUUUGUUAGUCCUAAGCCUUUCAUAGCAAAAGACUUGCUCAACUCCUGCUUCAAUUUAACAGUUCUAGAAGCACUUUUACCAACAAUGAGCAUAUCAUCAACAUAAAACAACAAAAUAAUAAAAUCAUCAUGUGAGAAUCUUUGUACAAGUACACAAUGAUCAUAAGCGACUUUUUUGUAGCCUUGGUGUCGCACAACAGACUCAAACAUUUUGCACCACUAUUUCGAAACUUGUUUCAAGCCAUACAAGUUCUUUUUUAACUUGCACAUAUAAUCCUCUUUACCUUUCACCCGAAAUCCCUCUGGUUGCUCCAUAUAAAUUUCGUCAUUCAAAUCAUCAUAAAGAAAAGAUGUCUUCACAUCUAUUUGCUCAAUCUCUAAGUCAAGACUUACAGCUACCCUUAACACAGUUCGGAUUGAAGACAUUUUAACCACGGACGAAAAAAUUUCUUCAAAAUCAACUCCCUUCUUUCGACUGAAACUUUUAACAACUAAUCUGACUUUAUAUUUUGGUGUUGAAGAACCCUCUUCCUGUUUUAGUUUGUAAGUCCAUCUAUUUUUCAAAACCCUUUUACCUUUUGGUAAUUUAACCAACUCAAAUGUUUGGUUAUCAUACAAGAAUUUCAUCUCAUCCUCUAUAGCAUGCAACCACUGCUGCUUGUCUGCAUUCUCCAUAACUUCUUCAAAGCAUUCAAGCUCUCUAAUUCUUGUAGAUUGCAACCAUCAAUUAGGAGCACAUAGUCAUUUAGAGAAUAUCUAGUAGACUGCUGUCUAAUUCUUGUAGACCUUCUGAGUGGAGCUUCUUGUGGAUCUACCAUAGAAUGAGUGAGUUGAUCCUCAUCAACAUCUCUAGAUGUAUGUGUAUCACCAUCAUGCUGGUCAUCAGCGACAUCAUCAUGCUGCAUAUCAACUCCUCUAUCAGCACUCGUAGGUAACUAUGAUAUAGGAACUGACUCAAAAUCUGUGAAGUCAUCAUGGAUAUGAGAGUCUUUCUUCUCCAUAUCAUCAAGGGUUUGGUUUUCAAGAAACACAACAUCACAACUUCUCACAAGUUUCUUUGCAACUGGAUCAUAUAGUCUGUAAUCAAACUCAUCUUGACAAUAACCAACAAAGAUGCAUGAUCUACUUUUUAUAUCUAACUUUGACCUCUCAUCUUUUGGAAUAUGAACAUAAACUUUGCAACCAAAAACUCUCAAAUGAUCAUAUGAGAUGUUUUUACAAGUCCAAAUAUUUUUUGGAAUAUCACUUUGCAAAGAAACAGUAGGAAUCAGAUUAAUAACAUAAGCAACAGUAUGCAAAGCCUUACCCCAAAAAGACUUUGACAGUUUCGCUCUGGAAGUGGGCAUCUAACUCUCUCCAUCAAUGUUCUGUUUGUUUUCUCAGCCAAAUCAUUCAAUUGAGGCAUUUUUGGAGGCGUCUUCUACUGUCUAAUUCCCAGUUGCUUACAAUAAUCUUCAAAUAGUUCUCAAUACUCACCCUCAUUAUCUGUUCGGAUGCAUUUCAACUUCUUCCAGUUUGCCUUUCGACCAAAGUUUGAAACUCUUUAAACUUAUCAAAUAUUUGAUCUUUUAUUUUCAAGGUAUAAACCCAUAGUUUCCUGGAAUGAUCAUCAAUAAAAAUAACAAAGUAGGAUGCACCCCCAAAAAUUUGUACUUUCAAAUGACCAAAAACAUCUGAAUGCACCAAAUCUAGUAAAUUGUGCAUUCGAUGAGGAGGGUUAGUCUUGAAUAAUACUCGAUGUUUUCCUUCAAGACAAUGAGAACACUUCUGCAAAUUUGCAUUCGUCACACAUGUAAGAGCAUUCUUUUUCACCAAAGUCUCAAGUCCCUUUGCACUAAUGUGACUCAACCUAUUGUGCCACAAUUUAGGUGAGUUUUGCUUCUCCACCAAAUUCACAGCAUCACGAGAAAUUGAAACUUGCAACAAAUACAAAUUUGUCUCCAAUUUCAUACCUCGAGCUAUAACCAGGGACCUUUUACUGAGCUUCCAUUUAUCAUUACCAAAAUUAUUGUCAAAAUCAUCAUCAUCAAGUUUUCCUAUAGAAAUCAGGUUCAAGCGAAUAUCUGGAACAUGCCUGACAUCCUUGAGUAGUAGUCUUGAGCCAUUACUCAUUUUCAAACAAAUAUCACCCAUGCCAACUACCUUAGAUACAUCAUUAAUACUCAUUCUCAGUGAACCAAAUUCACCUGCAGUAUAGGUAGCAAAAAGAUCUCUCCUGAAAGUGACAUGGACUACAGCACCAGUGUCAGCCACCCAACUAGUAUCAGAAGAAACCAGAUUAAUGACACUGUCAUAAAAAACAAUAACAAGAUCUCCAUCUGUGGCGAUGGCAACACGAUCAGCACUACUAUUUUUAAACUUUCCUGCCUUAUUGCUCUUAUUCUCAUUCUUUCCCUUAAAACAAUUCUUCUAGAUGUGGCCUUUCUUGUGACAAUAAUGACAUUCAGUAUUCUUGUACCAUAAUUUGGAUUUGCUUCUACUCCUGCCUUUGUCAUUACCUCUAUUCUUCCAUCUCCCCCAUUGUUGGGUAACCAAAAUCUCAGUCUGUGAAGAUAAGUCUUGAGUUUUUCUUUUCACCUCUUCAUUCAAAAUUUCACUUUUAGUAUAGUCCAUGGUCAUCAUAUCAUUAGGGGUAGAAUUGGUAUAUGAGACCCGAAAUGUCUCCCACGAGUCAAGCAAAGUAUUCAGCAAGCACAGUUCAAGAAUCUCAUCAUCAAAUUUUACUCCAACAUUAGACAGCUGAUCCAACAAACCUUGAAACUCAUUCACAUGAUCAGAGAUAAUAGUACCUUUCUUAUAUCUCAACUGCAUCAACUGCUUGAGUAGAAACAAUUCAUUUUUACCAGUCUUAGAAGCAUAGAGUUGCUCAAGUUUAUUCCACAUUGUUUUGGCAUUUGUCUCAUUGAUAAUAUGAUUGAGAAUAUUAUCUUCCACCCAUUGUGUGGUAUAACCACAAACCUGUUGAUACUCAAAAUUCCAUUCUUCGUCAGAUUUGGAUUCCGACUUUUCCGUAGCAAACACAGGCAAGUGCAUACUUUUCACAAAUAAAAGAUUUUUCUUCUUACCUUUUCAUUUGCGAUAAUUCAACCCAUUCAAUGAUAUCAUCUUACUCGUAUUAACUUCCAUAAUUCUAACAAAUCAGAGCAAGCUCUGAUACCACUAUGUUAGGAGGUACCGGGUUUCUAAUAAUCAUAACACACAACGAAAAAUCUCUCCAAUUUGUUAGAAUAAGUUAGGAGUGUUAAGCAAGACAAAGAUCACCAACUAACAAAAAAUAAAUUAACCCGUAAACACAAAAAGAAAUAAAUACACGAAAACACAAGAAUUUUUACGUGAAAAACCUCUCCAAUGUGAAGAGGAAAAAUCACGAGACUUUUAAGCCCACCACAAAUAACUCCACUAUCACCAAUUAAAAGUAGAAUACAACUCACAGUAAGUACACAAUUGAGAUAUGGCCUUAAACAAUCAACAAAGUCACCAAAUCCCAAAUAAAGAGUAAAAGCCACGAAAAAUUUCAUUAGAAACAGUAGCAAUCCAAAAUUUAUAACUAAAGAUUGAACCGUUGAAAUUCGAUCUCCACAGCCCAGAACGUAGAACUGGAUGUACUCUAUCUUCAGUUGAAAUUUUAGGCUGAUCAUACAUCGUUGGCUAUGUCAUUUAGGUGAUUUACCACAACCGCUCAAACCAGAAACUUGCUGAAAUUUUUCUCCAGAAUUUUUCUGCGUUUUUCCCACUUUUCUCCUUUUACAAUAAAUCUAAUUUGGCUUAUAAAUAGGUAGGACAACUCCUUAAUGGACUUAGACAAUUACCCAUUAAUUUUAGAACUUUUCCACAUAAGUUGGAAGCCCAAAAAUCUAACAGUAACUACUACAUGUAGUAUCAAUCAAACAAACAAUUCAUUUGAGUGUGGGCUGCUGUUUUCUAUCAUGCAUAUUUUCCCUUUUCCUUGGUAUGAAUGGAAAUUUUGACUUGAUUCUUAUAUCUAUAAUGAUCAGGAAAAAAAGAAAUGUGUCUAGCCGUAGAAGGCUAAGUGUGAUUAGACUAUUUCCUUUUUCUUUCCUUUAUCUUGCCUUUUGUUGAUUUUUUUGCUCAUGCCCACUUCUCUCCACUCACACUGCUCUUCCCUAUCUUCCCGCCCCUCUAUCAUAACUAUCUGAGCCCCUAUAAGUCAGCAGCAAAUCUUCUUUCCCACUGUAUCCCAAAAUAAAUUAGAAGCUAGAAAUGAUUAAUUAGUUUGCUGCUAAAAAUUUGAAAAAGAAGUAGAAGGCACUAUGGCCCCUUAGGGUUGGCUCGAAUGGUCUCGUGAUAGUCUAGUUAAUUUUCGAGAUUAUGUGUUUGAGUCACCUAUCUACCACUUAUGUAUCCUUAGGAGGUAGGGUGCACAGAUAUAGGGAGAUUAGUUUGACAAAGUUAGAAUACUCCCUGUGUUAAAAAAAGUAGAAGGCACUAGCGUAUAUAUAGUUUAGUGGCAUUUUUUCAAUUUGGACCUAUUUUUUCUUAAUUUUUGAUUCUUUUCCGGGUAAAAUACAUAAAACCCCCCUGUGAUUAAGGAAAUUGACACGAAACUUCUUCAUUGUUUAGAAACACCCACUUAACUCCCCUGUGCUUUGGAUUUCUUAGGACUUUACCUGCUAACCUGUUGAGAAGCCGGUAAUAAUAUAAAAUACCAAAAAUACCUUGAUAUAUAAUAUGUGAAAAGCCGGUACCAUUAUCUCAAAUGUCUGUCGAAGCUAAAUCUGUAGUAGGCAUCUGAUGCAAAUGACAUGUCCCCUUAACAGGGGAAACAAAAAUGGCGAAAGAAAUGGAAAUGUUGUUGAAGAAGAUGGAGGCAAAUCAAAGUUUCUAUUAGAUAUUCCGUUAGCUUAAGAAUUAAAGACGAAUACAUCUCUAAAGCAAAAAUUCCCGCCAUUACUUGCUUCAAGAAGCAGUCAUGUAUUAAAAAAAAGGAAACGCAGUUUAAUUAAUAACAAAACCACUUUUCUUCUUCAACUCAACUAGAAUCAUCAUAACCAGAAAUCUAAAAAAAAAUUAAGUAAUCAGGAAGUACAGUAAUAUCCUUGUCUUUACGUUAAAGAAAUGUAAUCCAGGUGGAGUAGACUUGCCUGGAUAUCUCCCGCACGUGCAUAUGGAUUUAACAACAUUCUUGAAACUGCCCAUGAUUGUUUUGUUUUCCUAGAGUCGGCUACUCCAAGAAGAGGACAUGUAUAAUAUAUUCAUUCAAAUACCAUCAAAUCAUAUGUGUCAUCACGCGCCACCAACCCCACCACCGCCACUAACUACUUUGACUUUGACAGGUAUUCCCUCGCUUCAUAAAUCACAACUACCUCCACCACCACCUACCACCGGCGCCUGCCACCAAUUUUGUUAGCAAAAUUCUAAGCUUUCUGAACUCUAAUAAAAUCCUUUGGUCUAAAUUUCAUAAAGAUGCUUGUCUAAUCUUUGUCAAGACCAAAUGACACUUUCUCUGGGCAGUAGGUACCCUUUUUUAAGGUCUCUAUACUUUUCAACAUCCCCCACCACCCGCAGCUCAACCCAAUCAUUGACGAUGGCGUCCCUCAGCAAAUCGGCAGCAUCGGUCUGGAGCAAGUUAUUUGCAGAGAUGUCUUUUUCGGCAGGACCUACUAGACACGGAAGUUCGGGAAGUAGCGGGAAAUUCAUUAAGAGAAAGAGUAAUUGAGUCAACAGCAAGAGAUGCAACAGGUAGGAGAUUCAUCGAUAGAAGAUUUUUCAACAGCAUAAGAUUAGGCGCCAUCCUAAGCUCCAGAGACCGAUCUUUAUGUAUUGUCUCUAUGGGGCUUGCACCAAUGCUCUCGGACAAGUUGACCCGGUCCACCGCAAUGGUGGUCUGAACUUGGCGGACGCUAUGGGCGGGCUAGUAGAACCCAGGAAUAGUUCCCCAUCCCAAAAGGAUCUCCCGAUACAUCAUCGUGAAUUUGGAAUCGCUUUACUUGAUCCCGACCUUAUUAUUGUUAGUGACAGUGAAGAGCAUCCUAAUGGCUAGAGAGACAGAGGCAGAGGAGGAGGAAAUGGGGGUUGGGGCAAAAUUGAAAUGAAAACGAGUUAUUUCUAGUCACAAGUGACCAUUAGGUCGCAUCAAUAUCACACGCUAGCUUCCCAACCGGUUAGCAGUUAAAAUCUUAAGAAGUCCAAAGCACAGGAGGGUUAAGUAGGUGUUUCUAAAUAAUGAGGAAGUUUUCUGUCAAUUUCCUUAAUCACAGGGGGGCUUUAUGUAUUUUACCCUUCUUUUCCUUUUCUUUUUAUUGUUGUUGUUGGUAUGGGUGAAGCCAAGAGGAAAAGAAGAAGACAACAAGUGGCUCUGCAUCGAGAUGGAAUGAAGAUAGGAUAGUGGUAACUCCAGCAAGAUGGACAGGAGCCAGGGUGUAGAGGAGAAAGGAGAUGAAAAUGUACAAGGUUUAAAAAAAGAGUUAAAAAAAGAAAAUAAAAGGACAAACAGCAAUAAAUAAAUAAAUAGAUGAGUGGUCUUUGUGGCCGCAAGAGCACAGUAAAAACAAUGCAAAGUUGCCAAAAUUAAAUAAUAUUUAAGCGUAAAAAUCUUAAAUAAAAAUAACAAACGACUACCUUAGCAUUUCUUUUAACUUUUAUACACAUGUCAUGAAUCAAACGGUAAUAUUGCAUAUACUGUCAGUGUAUAUAAGAUUUACUUUUUCAAACAUGCAACUUGCAAACUUCUAUACUUAGAUAUAAUGUAUACCAAACAAUGAACUAAUAUAUCCUUAUUAAAGACUCAAUUAAAGAUAGAUCUUGCCUGUCUAAUAAUUAACAAAUGGACAGUUCACUCACCUGAAUGGUAAAGUGCAUAAACGAGUCAAAUUUAUACAUAAAUACCAUCAACAACUAAACAAUUAGAAUGAGUAGCUUCUGAUUGUGCCUCCCAUCAACAUGCCACUGUAUGUGGCUUCUUCUAAAAAUUUAUACGGAUAUGUCGUGCACUCGUCUGAUCUGAUGAUGGUUCAGUAUCCGUGAUUCUCUAGGCUCAGUUAGAUCGUCCUUCUUAAAAAAUACUAGAGUAGAAGUAAGAAUAAAAAUAUGUUAGGUUAGAUUUGCAGUUAAAAAAAACAAUCAGAAGGUCAUAGAGUUAGCAAUCAAAUGCUUGCAAGAGACUUGUUAAUAAACAAAGCUUGAAAAAAGAAAUUUCACAGUCACCUGACUGGAGGCCACAGGCCCACCUUCAAAAAGUCGACCGUGAGCUCUAAGACCGCAAAGAAAGAUGUAUAAUAGUCUACCUAAUUGAUGCACUUGAGGUCUAAUGUGAUCAUAAAGAUUGUCCAAUGCCGAAUUUCGUCCUCUGCAUAUUGUUCAAUACUGCCAAUGCAUAAUUUCUCUCACAGAUGCUGCUGCACCACCCUGCCAAAGUUUACAGAGUGAAAAAAAACAGAGGGAACAUAACUAAGCAUAGUACCUGGAAGAAGUGGUAUGACAAUUAUAACUCUGAAACACUUCUUUUCCUUGUAUGCUAGCAUAAUGCAUUGGUGUAAUGCUUCCAAUACGCGAUUCUGUAUGAUCUCGUCUCCAGAACGACCUGAGAUGAAGAAUUUAUUUUGGAACAAGUUUCCAGAAAUUUGUGUUAGACAAGAAACUAAAAGCCGCCUAGAAAAUGCCAAGCCUCCUUAAAUGAAAAACUACUCAAGAAAAGACUAAUCAAAUAUUCUUUUUUUUUUUUGCCAAAAAGUCAUCAUUUGAUAUAUAUGAGAAAGGUUACAAUAUUCCUAGCAUAUACAAUCUACUGGAACAAGGCCAGGAAAUCUUUGUAGGCUUCAUUUCUCAGCCACACAGGAAGUCUAGUUCCUACCUUCUUUCAUCUAUUAAGUUAAUGGCAAAUUUUGUCAAAUCAUGACUAGUGUAAUUAUAUUCCAUCCAAAUAAAUGUAAAGGAGUAUCACCAAAUGGAUUGACUAUUAUGUACAAUAUCAUCUACCAAAACAUCUAACUAAGAUAAACCAAUACAUCUGUGAUUAAUUCUAUUUACUAAAACUUUGUAAUCUGAAUGAAUGAGCAGAGAUGUCCACCCUUCUUCAAGAGCUUUAAGCAUGGCUGUUCUAAUUGCUUUAGCUUCUAGUAUAGAAGCAUCAUUCUUCAUUCGAGUAGGAAAUGCCCAGGUUUUGACAAGUUUUCCAUUAUAGUCCUUAGUUGCAAUGCCAAAUCCCCCUCUGCUUCUUUUUUUUGUCCAUUGCUGCAUCAGUGAACAUUAUGGUGGUAUGUUGUUCUUGAAGCUCUUUUGUUAUGGCCUUCCUUUGUACUUCUGAAUCAUCAUUUCCAUUUUUUCCAUUUUCUCCAUGUUCCCGAACUGUUUGUACUCAAGCCAUUCCUCUAGAGCUCUAUUUCAAAUCAGGUUACCAUUUGUGCUUUUCUUGCUAAAGUUUCAGGCAAUCCUGGCUUUCCACAUUUGCCACAUAAAGUUUAUUGUGGCUUCUAUAUGCCUGAUACCAUUAGUUAUGCAUCUAGCUCCCUGUUGUGCUUCCCACCAUUUCCAAAAAUUCCAUGACCUCUCUUAAAUACCCGUCCAACUUGAUAGGGAAUGUCUUUCAAACCUCCUCUCUAGCUUUACAGAAAAAUAAUAGGUGCUCCAGAGUUUCUACCUCUUCACCACAGCAUUUGUACCAUUUAUUCCCUUUCCCAGUUCUUCUGUAUACUUCUUUAUUGGUGGACAAGAUGUUAUGAAUGUAUUUUCACAAAAAAUGCUUCAGUUUAUGUUUUAUGUUUAGAUCCCAGACUUGAUGCCAUAGUGUAGGGUCAUCCUUUCUUGCAUUGAGUCCAUCAUUUGGUUGUACCUUGUUGGACUUCUUGCUCAUUUUUAAUCUGGCUUGAACAAAUUAUCUAUGAAUUGAAGAGUCUGCAAGGAAAGUUGGAUUACAUCCGGAGAUUUAUCUCUAAACUGGUCUGAUGAUGCCAACCCUUUAAUCGAUUGAUGAAAAAAAGGGUACCUUUUGAAUGGGAUGAAGUAUGUAGAAAUGCUUUCGCAAGUAUUAAAACUUAUCUCAUGAAUCCUCUAGUACUAGCUGCGCCAAUUCCAGUAAAACCGUUGAUCCUCUACUUUUUUGCUCAAGAACGGUUAGUUGGAGUCUUACUUGUUCAAGAAAAUGACGAAGGUAAGGAGAAUGUGUUGUAUUACUUGAGUCGGAUAAUAACACCUAAUGAGUUGAAUUAUUCAACUAUCGAGAAAUUGUGUCUGGCACUUAUAUUUGUCAUUCAGAAGUUGAAAUACUAUUUUCAAGCAUACACUGUUCGACUUAUAUCCAAAUCUAAUCCCAUUAAAUAUGUCAGGACAAAGUCUGUACUGUUUGACCGACUUGCGAGAUGGUACCUUCAAUUUCAACAAUUUGAGAUUAUUUACGAUCCUGUAAAAGCUGCCAAAGGACAAGUAUUAGCAGACUUUUUAGCUGAUCAUCCCAUGCCUAUCGAAUGGGAGUUGACUGAUGAACUCCCCGAUGAAGAAGUAUUUAUGUUCGAAUCUCUGUGAUCGAUGUAUUUCGAUGGAACUGCUCACUAUGAUGGAUCUGGUGUGGGAGUUAUCUUUUAUACUUCUCAGACAGACAUAUUGUAGUACUCUUUUAUUUUAACACGUCGAUACUUAAACAAUGUCAUCGAAUAUCAAGCGUUAAUUCUUGAUCUUGAGAUAGCCGUAGAAAUGAAACAAUUACAUCUCAGGGUCUAUGGUGAUUCAAAAUUGGUGAUAAAUCAAUUUCUUGAUUCAACCAUGAAGUAUUUAGGUAAUGUCAUCAUAGAACAUAUCCCUAGAAGAUUCAACCAACAACCUGACUCUUUGGCAAGGUUGGCGUCGAUUCUCAUUCUGUCCCCUCAUCAAAAUCAAAUCUCAAUCUAUCAAAAUUUGACCAUAUCUCCAAUGUUCGAUGAAGAAGAUAAUAGUGGGGAAGAAAAUGCUUAUCAUAUUUUCGUCCAUAAGAUUGAAAUGGAGGAUUGGCGUCAUCUCAUCAUUGAUUACCUUAAUCAUGAAAAAUUACCUGAAGAUCCCAAGAAAAGAAUCUACAUACGUCGCCGAGCACCACGUUUUAUUUACUACAAAGGGACAUUUUAUCGAAAAUCAUUUGAUGGAGUGUUUUUACGACAAGCAAUAGAGGAGGCUCGCUCUGAGAUAUGCGGUGCUCAUCAAUUUGGUCCGAUAUUACACUUUCACAUUAAGAGAAUGGGAUACUAUUGGCCAAUGAUGGUGAAGGACUGCAACAAUUUUGCUAGAGGAUGCCAAGCUUGUCAAUUUCAUGACAAUUUCAUCCAUCAAUCUCCUGAACCAUUGCACCCAACUGUGGCUUCUUGGCCAUUCGAUAUUUGGAGUUUGGAUAUAGUUGGACAGCUUUCAAAAUCUUCUGAUGGACAUAUUUUUAUUUUGACGGUGACAGAUUACUUCUCAAAAUGGGCUGAAGCAAUUCCUCUAAGAGAGGUAAAAAAAAGAGAAUGUAGUAAAUUUCAUUCAUUUGCACACCAUUUAUCGGUAUGAAAUUCCAUAUUAUAUCAUCACCGAUAAUAGUACGUCUUUUUGUAAUACUGCAAUAAAUAAGCUUUGCGAAAAGUUUUAUUUCAAACAAUACAAUUCUUCCAUGUACUGCGAUGCUGCAAAUGGAAAUGCUACUGCAUUCAACAAGACUUUAUGUAAUAUGUUGAAGAAAAUCGUGGAUAAAUCCAAAAGAAAUUGGCAACUUCGAAUUGGAAAAACUCUUUGGGCAUAUAAACUACUUUUCAAACUCCCACACAAAUAAUCUCAUACGCGCUUGUUUACGAUGUUGAAACUGUUCUUUCACUUGAAUGUCAAAAGCCUCCAUAAAGAAUUGUGAUUUAAAAAGGGUUCAAUAAAGAAGAUAAUGUUCGUUUUCGCCUUGAGGAGUUAGAAGUACUCUACGAAAAGAGAUUGAAAAAUAAACAAUGGAUUGAAUGCUAUCAAACUCGUCUUUCAAAAGCAUUCAAUAAACACGUCCGACCACGAUUUUUUCAAAUUGGAGAAUUAGUACUUGCUGUUCGGAGACCGAUCAUUCUUACUUAUGGUGGAUAAAAAAAGUUUACUUCUAAAUGGGAUGGUCCAUAUAUUGUCCGAGAAGUGUGUACAAAUGGCUCAUAUAAAUUGGUUGCUAAGGAUGGGUUAAGAAUUGGUCCCAUCAAUAGCAAGUACCUAAAAAAGUACUAUGCAUAAUUUGAAAACUCCCACCACCAAUAGUGUAAUAUGUGGUUAAACUGCUGAAACAAUCUAUCAAAUCUAAGGUGGUAAACAAAUAGAUAAUCCUGAUCCGCAUAAGUUUAAAAUAUGAACAGCAGGAACUACGUGUGACUUGAUUCCCUCUGGAGAUACGUAGGUAGUUUAGAUGGUAAUUUCUAAAUUCAGUUACACCACUCCAAACCAAAUCUUUUUUUCUUGGAAAAAAAUCUUCUCUUUCUUUAAAGAUAAAAUAAAAUGCUACAUUUGAAUUCUUUUAUCUUAAAAAAAUUGAAAAUAAGAAACGAAAAAUAUUUCACCAUUUAUAGGAGAUUUCAUUAAAUGAAGAAAAAAAUUAAAAAAAAUUCGGGAAAAAGGAAGGACAUGGUGAAAAGUCUAAAUGUCAAAUUUGUAAUCCACUACAACUAUUUUACAUGAUUCGAGUGUGGAUUUCAUGUUUUCAACUUCCUUCGUUGCAUCAUCAGUUAAGAUGCUGGCAUUUUUAAUAGAAGAGAACUCAUCAUGUGCUUGGGUUAUCUUAGUUUGGAUUUUUUUGAAAAUUUCAUGCUUUUGAUUAAUAGUUGAGCUGAUUUUCAUGUUUUGUUUCUCCAAAUCGAUAAGUUCUUGUUGCAGAGCAUUCUUCCUAUUUUCGAUGGAUUGUAGCUUUUUUUUUUUUUAAGAUUUUGCAGAUGACAAGUUAGUUCUCCUUCCUUUGCCUUAACUCUCUUGAGUUGGGUGAUCGCUUUGGAAUGGAGUUCUGCAUAUAUUUCUUUACCAUCUUUUUUCAUGAUGAAAAUGCCAAAAUAUCAUAUAUCUCUGCUUUGACAAACAAGUCUAUCAAAUAGUUUUUUAAAAGAAGACCAUUGGUAGGAUCCGUCCUUGUGAUUUCUGCAAUAAUUUUUUCUGCACGCCUUUUUAAAGAAGAGAUCUGCUCAAUAGGAGUGUCAAGAAUCUGCCCGUGAAAAUUCAUCCACAAACUUUGCAAGUAUUUUCUUCGAUGCAUUUAGAUCAAUUUUAGCCCAUGAAAUUAUGAAACCAAUGCUACCUUAGGCCUUUUUCGAAUCUCGUGCAAAUUAGUCAAUUCCUUCUUAUGCAUUGAUGAGAUACCUUCACUAGGGACAAAUUAUUUUGGAAUGCUAAAACCGAUUUCAUUACUUUUUUUGUUUGAAAUUAUAUCAUCAGUUUCAAGUUCAAUUGCGGAAUUGUUACCAACAUCUUCUUGAUGAAAUUCAAGAAAUAGGGGUUGGGAAAAAAAAGAGGAAAAAAAAAGAAAAAAAUGGUUACAAAAAAAAUUAAGUGGUGACAUUCCAACCGGCGGUGGUGUAAAAGAAACCUCCUCUAAAUUAGAAGAUGUUCUCUUCUUUGAUCGGUUCCAAUGACGAUCUUGACUGGUACUGCUGCUUGCCAAUGAAUGGAUUUCUCCUUGGAUAGAUCCGGUACCCUGGGUUUGAGCUCCUUCCUUUUCAACAGCCAUGAUAGAAUCGUAAUUAUCCAACAUUUCAAUUUCGACGUCUUCUCCCAUAAAAGUCAUAAUUAAAGAUUUUGGAAUGGUAGAUGGCACCUUCUUUACUGGAGUUACUAGAUUUGUAUUAUUGAGAGACUAGUAAGAAUUCUUUGAAACCUUAUUUUUUGUGACAACACUUUUCAGGUAAGUGCCUGUCAUUUUGCCUUCCGGCAAGGUAGAUGCAGUAAAACCUGUUCCAAUCUUUAUAGCUCAAUUGUGAUGUAUCAGCUCAUUGAUAGAUGUAAUCUUACCCUUUUUCGAUGAUUGCUGAGGAAUCUUAACCGUAAAUUUAAAGAAAGUUGAAGAGACGCUAUUUGACAGUAUUAACCACCAGGCAUCAUAGUUUUUGUGAUCAAUGGAUGCUUCCUAUACGUAGGUAUAGUCAUCUGAGAUUGCGUCUCAUAAUUGAAUAGCCUCACCCAAAGUAUAAGUGUGAGUGAUUUCUUUCAAGUUAUUUGGAAUAUCCUGACAGAAGCCGAAUUGUCUGCUAAACCUACAAGGAUUAUUUUUUUAAUAAUGAAAAUAUUGUCCUUAUGUAGAGUUAAGUGGUAAGAACGUUGCCUAAUAAAGUAGCUCGUGAGCCUUGAUGAUAAGGAUCCGUCAUCGAUCAACACUUUUUCUUUAUUCUCAAUCCAGUACAGUUUGGAAAGUAUCAAAGGAUUCACUUCUUUGAAGAUUUUAUCGACUUCUGAUUUACCAUAAAAUAUUAUUAUUUUCUCACCGCUAAAUCUCGUCAUGCGCAUGUAGUGGCUACUCACUUGAUUAUUCUUAUAAUAUACGUCAAAAUAUUGAUCAAUCCAAGUAUAGACGUAAUAGAUUGAAAAAGUUACCCCACAUUCUCCAAGGUUAGGGGCGUAGACUAUCUCCCUCAACCUAUGAUAUAUACUCGCAAGCACGGGAAUUACAAGGCAAAAUAUUUUUCUUUAAUCAUGAAGCAUGCAACAUUGAAGACACUUCGAUAGAUGCGAUUGAUCUUUUUGCUUGGCAAAAAAAACUUGCAAAUCCAAUACGCUAUGAAUGCCGCAAUAUAGGUUUUCUUUCUCAGGAAACCUGGGAUAUCCAACAUAUCAAAGGAGAUGUUGAAAUCCUUUGUAUCAGCAGGUCAUGAGGCUCUAUGCUUUCAGAAGAAUUAUAGGUCAUUUUUUAUUUAGAUGUGGUCUUUCUUCUAUUCGCCCUGAUCGGAGGAGCCCUAUACCUAGGCUCUCUUUUGAACCAUAAGUGGAUCCAAUCUUUCAUCCACACCCCUUAGUCAUUCGUCGAAAAUUGGUAGUAAGCCAAAAAGAGAUGCAUGCAACUCUCAAGGAGAAGUGGCUUCCCUUCUUUAUCACGAAUGAGAAGUUCUUGCACUGAAGGAACAAUUUUAUCAAAGAACGAGCAGUCGAUCGAAAGGCCACCAAGUCGAUAAAGGUCCCAAAGUAUGUUGGAUAACUCCCCAACGGGCGUAUGAAGUGUGUUUGUCGAGAGAUACUAAUAUUUGAAGAAAACUCAUAAGAUAUUUUCACAGCGGUCGUAAGAGAAUCGCGACGCGUAGACGGCUUCAAAUAUGUUGACACGUGUGAACACUUCUUUAUAUCUUCCAAAAAUGUCUUCAACUCACUCCCAAUAAUAAGAAGUAAAGCAUACCUUGCCAAAGAAGGACGAAGGAAUCUUCCAUGAAGUUUUAUCAAUAUUGAAUCCCACAAAUGGAAGCGUGAAUUUGGCUAUUUCUGGAUCUCCAUUAUAAAGUGACCAGUUUAAUAUGACAACUUCUUCUUCCUUCAACGUAGUGGAGAAAUCGACGGUGCUACGACUUCUUUGGUCCACUUAUUGGUCCAAUUUUCAAGAUGAAAGCAUUAUUCAAGAGGUAUAAAAGAUUCAGCGAACAUGCCAAUUGCUAACGUAUGAACAUAUAGUGACAAGUUCUUUGAUUGAGAUCCACCCCGUUUGUCCGUCAAUAAAAUAUGUGAUAAUGGCGUUGCAUAAUUUUUAAUUUGCAUGGCUGGUAAGAUUUUGUGAAGAUUUUUCAAAGUCAAUCAAAAAGAAAUUUUUCCUUCCUUAUAAGUUUUGAUAGCCAAAUUGCCUCACUGGUCGUUCCUUAUCAAGUUCCCUUGAGGUUAAUCUUCCCCUUGGAGAUUUUUUUUGUUGAAAACUGGUUCCGAAAAUAAACAUGACAAAAAGGACUAUUAGUAAGCAAUUUAACGAAUGUACGGGUAUUCGAAGAACAAUCAUAGAGGAAGAAUCGCUACGAAUAAUGCAUGCAAAUAUAAAAGUACCAAUCAUAGUGAUAUUGGCAAAAAGUAUUAUCACAUUAGACACGCAACAAAACAACAUGCGAAUUUCAAGUGCCAAUCACAUUCGAGACAUCAAGGAUGCAUCAAAAUAAACUCGCAAAGUCUGUUGCUGAAGUUCCUUUUAGCAAUUAAGUACUGGAAAGUAAAAUCUUAGGUGCCGAAUAAACAAAAAAAAAUGGUAUCAAUAGGAUGCGAAUAUCGGGUGGCACCAAUUUGGUAGGAGCAGUCGUCAAAUAUUCCUACUUUAAGGCAUGAUUGUUCAUAGUACAUCGUCAAAUAUUCACAUUAAAACAUGAUUGGCAGCCAUAAUAUACUAAUCAAUUCUUGCAGUGGGAAGCUUCGUAAAACAAGGAUACAUAUGAUGCUUAGUAUCUUGCCAAAAAAAAAACAAAGGAAGAAAAGUUUAUGAAGCAUAGUAUAUGUACCUCCGAGUCAACUAGUUCACGAGUGUCUCGGCAAAAGUGGUUAUUACCUUCAAGAGGACAACAAAGUGAGACAAACUAGUAGACAAUGAGUAACGGUAGCAGCAAAUAAAGAUGUACCAGCGGCAACUCUUAACAGCAAUCUUCGUGAAUCACAACAAAAGGAAAGGAAAUUUUUCUCUGAGCAAGUUCACGGCUUUAGACUUGAGAAUUUAUAGAACAAAUCUCUACUACAAAUUCGGGAGAAAGGUGAGUUCAAGUAUAACUCGCUUCCUAGUCCACUUCAAUUGUUUAAGGGAUAUCUUCGCUCUAGGGGUUCCUAACAAUUAAGUCGGCUGUCAUACUAGGAAGUGAAUUCUAAGCUGGUUUCGGAAGCUUGCUUCUAGAAAAGAUCAGUUUAUUAUUUCCUACAAUAAAGCUUCAAUUCAUGUUAGCCUUGGAAGGAAUUAUUUUCGCAACCAACUUCUAUAAGCUGAUUAAUUCAUGCUGGCCUUGAAACUUGUGAAGCGGUGGAGUUCAUGAUUGAUCAAGGAACAAGAUACUUGGUUCACAAUUGAAGUUGGAAACUUUCAAGGCCAAUCGAAAAGUGAUUUGCAUGCAAUGUGCACAUAAAACAAAAGCUUCAUUAAUCACCUACGAGAUGGAAUUCCAUGUGAAUCACCUAUAUGAUUCCUAUUCGGAUAUUGAAGCCUUUUUGUGGUCAUCUUCUUACUUAAAUGAUUUACUUCACAAGACUUAUCUCCUCAGAGCUUCGGAUUCCAAUUAUACAAGAAGGAGCUUAAGAGAAUUAAAGAAAACUUGUCUGUUCAAGUUGUACUCUUCACAAACACAUUUCGAGGGAGCAUCUAUAGACAAUGAAAUUUUAAUUAAUCCAAAAAUUAUCAUUGGUCUAUAAAUUAUUUUUGUGGCUCAUUUCUAUCCAAUUGGAUAUUGCCACAUGUCGUGUACACUUGAAAAAAUUGGUUAUUAGAUGGACAAUUAUAUUUUACCAUGUGUCAAGUUGAGGUGUUCCAAUUAAUUGAAAUUACUAGGAUGUCUCCACCAACCAAAUCAUAUCAUGUUACAUGUCUAUAUGACUGGACAAAAUUUUGGAUAGAUAUCUAAAUAUUUAUUUCUUAUUAAAGAGAUAAUAUUUAGAGUUGUUUAAUUUGUAUGUAUUUCUUAUAUACUACAAUAGCUUGUCCAACCAAAUGGCGCCAGAUCACGUGUCCCUACAAGUUUGGCUAAUCAAAGAAUUACUUAUUAGUAUUAUAAGUAAGUAAAUAUAAAAUGAGGAGAUAAUAUUUAAGUUAGCACAGUCCUAAUAUGACUGCGUGUCUUACAAGACAAGUAGAGUGGUAUACAUGUUUUCAAUCUCUAGCUCUUACUACGGGUAUAAAUAGGGGUCUCUCUACCAAGUCAAGAACAAAAAAUGCAUCUCAUACACUCAAGUAUUGAAACUCCAAGCUACAAAGGUCUGAAUCUUCAAGCUCUCCAAGUCUCUCAUAUAUCAAGAUUUGAGUUUUCAAAUAUCUUCUAAACAUCGGUGGUGGAUCCAAGAACAAACUACGAAGUCCUUGGAUUGGUGUUCGAGAAGAAGAAUAGAAGAAAACUCUCUGCAAGUUUGAGAAGUAUCCAGAGAUUGUACUCACACAUAUUUCUUUAAAUUUAUAUAUUAUAUAUUUGUCGUGUAUUUUUCUUGUCAUUUUGCAGACUUGAAAUUUUAUCGCGUACAAUAUCCUGACUUGGUGGUGUAAUCUCCACUAGUGUUGUGCCUCCAAACGAACUUAUCCCGUCUUUCCUGAAUACUGAGAGGGAUCAUAAUUAUUUGUUCAGCCUCUUCCCGAGAGAAUAUGGACUGAAUAAGAUUGAUAUUCCACCUCUUGUUAAUGAUCAAAUCACAAACUAUUUCUAUGUUGUUGUUCUGAGGUCUAGCUGAUUUAAUCAAACUAGAUAUGCCAUUCGAAAGCCAUGUAUCCUUCCAAAUUGUUGUUGAUCUACCAUUCCCUAUUUGUCUCUUAAGGCCUUCUUCUAGCAAAGGGAUUGCACUAUGAUUGCUCUACCAGAUCCAAGAGGAGCCUGAAUUUACUUUGUCCUACAAGAUAGAGGAGUUUGGAAAAUGUUUUCCUUUCAUUACCUUACUGACCAGCAAGUCAAGUUUUGUUAGUAGUCUCCACACUUGUUUGGCAAGCAAGGCUUCAUUGAAGCACUUUAUAUCUCGAAAACCAAGUCCUCUUUUAUCUUUGAUAUCUGUCAGGUCCCACCAUUUUUUUUCAAUGCAUUUUCUUCUCAUUUUGAUCAUUUCUCCACCAAAACUUGGCCAUCACGCUACUUAGUUCUUUACAUAACCCAUCUGAAAGCUUGAAAACCGACAUAGUGUAUGAUGGUAGAACUAAUGCCACAGACUUGAGAAGGACUUCUUUGCCCGCAUUACUUAACAUCUUGCCUUUCUGUCCUUGCAAUUUAGCUAUCAUCUUGUCUUUAAGGAAUUUGAAUGUGCUGUUUUUGGAUCUUCUUAUAACCAUAGGGAGACCAAGAUACUUUGCCUGAGUAACAUGCUAAAUUUUGCCCAGUAUUUGGAGGACACUUUGUUUGUUUGCUUGGAAGGUGUUUCUAUUGAAGAGAACAACUGACUUCUCAAUGUUGACCUUUUGCCUUGACGCUUGUUCAUAGAUUUGGAGAAUUCUGGUGAUCUCACUUGCCUUCUUACCACUAUCUUUGCAAAAAAUUAGCGAGUCAUCAGUUAAAAACAAGUAAGAGAUAACAGCUGGGGAUUUUAAUUCCUGUUAACAGAUUAUUUCUGCAAGCAGAUGUCAACAGAUUUGCUAGAUCUUGAGCACAAAAAAGAAACAGAUCAGGGGACAUUGGGUCACCCUGUCUAAUUCCUCUAGAGGGACAGACAUAGCCUGAUUUAUUCCCAUUGAUAUUAAAAGAGUAGGAACAGGAAGAUAAGCACCCUUUAAUCCACAGAGGGCAGAAUCCCAUUUUACUAAGGACACAUAGCAAAAACUUCCAUUCUAUUCUAUCACAGGCUUUAGACAUGUCAAAUUUAAGAGCUAUAGAUCCCUCUAUUACCUCUCUUAUAAUUAAUCUAGUGGAUAUAUUCAUGACCCAUCAUAACAUUGUCCAAAAUUUGUCUUCCUAGCACAAAAGCUGCUUGACCACUACUUAUGCAAUCAUUCAAAAUAGGCUUCAUUCUAUUAACAAGUACUUUGGAAAUAAUUUUAUAAACAACAUUGCAUAAACUGAUUGGCCUGAAAUGAGAAAGAUUCAAUGGUGUAUCAAUCUUAGGAAUCAGUAUGACUAAUGUUUCAUUAAAAGUUUUUCACAUAUAACCCAGAUGAAAAAAACUCUUAAUAGUCUCCAGUAGGUCCUUUUUAAUGAUACCCUGAAAUCUUUGAAAAAAUAAGGGAGACAUACCAUAUGGUCCUGGAGCUUUAUUGGGGUGCAUGGAAAAUAAAGCCUGCUUAAUUUUCUUUUCUGUUACAGGUCUAGUAAGCUGAAGGUUCAUCUGUUCUGUAAUUGUUCUGGGAAUGCCCUGAAAGAUCUCUUCAAAAGCUAUAGGCCAUGAACUAUUAAACAAAUUCUGAUAGUACUUAGCCACUUCUUCACCUAUCUCCUCAUCUGUUUCACACCAGCCACCUUGUUCCUUUUCCAAUCUAGAUAACCUAUUUCUUCUCCUUCUACUUGCAACUCUCAUAUGAAAAUAAGCAGUGUUUUUGUCCUCUUCUUUCAACCACUUGCAUUUGGAUUUUUUUGCCCAAAAUGCUUCUUCCUUUGCAUAUUCAACAGUAAGUUUUCUUUUGAGGUCCAUGAUCAAAGACUGCUUAUUUUGUACAUUACUAUCCUGUGUCUUUUCAAUUUGGUCUUCGAUGGCCUGAAUAUUGGUUUUACUAUUAGACUGAAGUCCUUUGUUUCAUACCUUGAGAGCUAAUCUACAUUCUUUAAUUUUCCUAGUCAUUUUGUAUCCUUUGGAUCCCAUUUGUUGUUUUUUCCAUGUAGAAUCAUCUUUUCCAUCUUUUCCUUUCCGGUCUGGUAUCCAUUAUUAGCAUAGCAUGGUAAGAAGCUACAAUAUGUAUGUGCAUCAACUUUGCUCUACCGGUGUCUCUCUUCCAUUCCAGACUUGUUAAAGCUCUAUCUAAUCUUUCCUUAAUCUUUUCACCAAUGCUCUAUUAUUACUCCAAGUCCAAGGCAAUCCUUCAAAACCAAGGUCAAUGAGCUUAUUUCUGGUAAUGAAAUUUUUGAACUUUCUAAAAGACUAGUCUUCUCUUGCUUUUCCACCCCACUUUUCAUCCUUGGAAAUUAUGUCAUUAAAGUCACCAAUGAACACAAUUUUGUUGUUCCACAAUCUUCUUCUCUCAGUUAGGAUUUCUCACUAUUUUUGUCUAAUUGAUGCCUCUGAGUUUGCAUAUAUAUAGAUACACCACCAGCUAUCUGAUUCUUGGUUAGCAGUAAUCUUAAUCUCAAUGGUGAAGUCCAUAAACAAAAUUUUAUCAAUCUUUAGUUCCUUGUUCCAAAAGAUUGCUAAACCACCCGUCUUACCAAUCGAGUUAACCACAAAAAUAUUAUCAUAGUCGACUCUUUUUCUAAUUUUUCCAUAAUUUUUUUAUUUUUAGUUUCAUUAAGAAACACCAGAUUUGGGGAGUGAAGGUUACAAACCUCCUUAAGACUGGGAACUAUCAAGGAGCUCCUGACACCUUGGUAGUUCCAUGCCAAAACCUUCAUAUUGAGUUAGGAGACGACUUCAGGCUAGUCUUCGUCACCUUCAGCUCAUUAUUCAUUUUCCCUUCAUGUUUCUUUUUGUUUCUCUUUGGGUUCAUUUCCUCAUCUUGCAUCAUAUCAACUUUCUUUGGCUGGGACAUCUUUAAUUUUCCACCCAAUUCUUCUAUUACCAUACACCCAUUCUAGCUGAUCUCCAUCAGUGGUUUCCUGUUCAUCAGAUUGUUGCCGUUCUUCCUUUUGAUUUUCAUCUCUCUUGUCUUGCUCAACUUCUUAUUUCCUCCAUUUUCACUCUCUUAUGGAAGGCUCUUGUCUGGAGUUUCCAUUUCCAGUUCCAUUGAGCUUCUUGUGGUUUUGGCUGAAUGCAAGAUCUCUUCUUUUCCUUCAUCAAUGGUCAUUGUCAUCAUUUCAGCCUUGUGUUCAGAAGAAGCCAACUUGAGCCCCUCCACUUUUUUUAUGAUUUAGGGGGCGUUUGGUAAAAGGGUAUCGGAAUUAAGUAAUGGAAUAAACUCCAUAAUUGGUGUUUGGGUCACUGGUAUGGGAAUUGAAAUUUUGGAAUGAUUUUUAAAAAUUUGGCAUCCCUCCAUUCCUUAGUAAAAGGGUGGGUUUUGUCCAAAACCCAAGUGUGAUUCCAAAAUCUUAUAAUUACAUAAUAUUUAGUAUAAUUAAUAUAUAUAUGUAUAUUAUAUAUAUUAUAUAUUUAUGUUUAUGUUUAUAUUUAUAUUAUAAUAUAUACAUAUAUAUAAUAUAUUAUAAUUAUAAUAUUUUAUUAUAAUAUUAGUAUAUUAUGUAAAUAUAUAUUAUAAUUAUUUAGUUAAAUAUAAUUAUAUUUAUAUAAUAUAUAUUAUAAAUUUAUUAAUAUUAUAUAACAAUAUAUUUAUAAUAUAUAUGUAUAUUUAUAAAUGUAUAUUAUAUGUGCAUAUAAUUAUAAUAUAUACAUGUAUAUAAUAUUAAUAAAUUAUAUAAUUAUAUUUAUAUUUAUUAUUUUAAAUAUAAUAAUAUAUAAUAAUAACUAUAUCUAAUAUUAAUAUGCAUUAUAUUUAUAUAAAAUAUUAGUAUCAUUAAUAUUUAUAUAUUAUAUAAUUAUAAUUAUAUAUUUAUAUUAUAACAUUUGUAUAAUUAUAAUUAAUUAUAUAUAAUAUUUAAUUUAAUUAGUUACAAACUUAUAAUAACGAUAUUAUUAUAUUAUAUAAUUAUAUAUUAUAAUUAUUUAGUUAAAUAUAAUUAUACUUAUAUAAUAUAUAUUAUAAAUUUAUUAAUAUUAUAUAAUAAUAUAUUUAUAAUAUAUAUUUAUAAAUGUAUAUUAUAUGUGCAUAUAAUUAUAAUAUAUACAUGUAUGUAAUAUUAAUAAGUUAUAUAAUUAUAAUAAUUAUUAUUAUUUUAAAUAUAAUAAUAUAUAAUAAUAAAUGUAUUUAAUAUGUAAUAUAUAUUAUAUUUAUAUAAAAUAUUUGUAUAUAUUAUAUACUUAUAUUUAUAUUUUAACAUUUGUAUAUUUAUAUUUAAUUAUAUAUAUAAUCUUUAAUUUAAUUAGUUACAAGCUUAUAAUAAUAUUAUUAUUAGUUAUAUGUAUUAUAUAAUGUAUAUUAAUUUAUGUAAUAUAAUUAAUAUUAUCAAUUAUACUAAUAAUUAUACAUGUUUACUAAUAGAAAUUAUUAAUUAGUUAGACUAAAUUUACUAAUACAUUUAUACUAAUAUAUUUAAUUAGUGAAUAUUUUAUAUAUCUCAUUUACAAAGAGCCAAUAACUAUCAUUUACAAUGUGAUUUAUAAUAUAUUUAUUAUAUUCCAUUCCGAAAGAGUCGACGAACCAAACAUCAACUACAGUAAUGAUACACAUUUCAGGUACUUGAACCAAACAAAUGUAUUAGAAUGAAUGAUCUCACUCCAAACCCAAGAUAUCCGAUUUUGAAUCCGAAUUCGAUUCUGACCGUGCGAACCAAACGCCACUUUAAUCUUCAGUCUUUUUCUGGUCUCCCACUUUUUUCCGAGUUAUUUCCUUUUGUGGUUUAACACUCUGACCCAAACUUUUGUUGUGGUCCAUGUUCAAGGGUGGCCCACUGUCUUUAGAUGCUUUUGAAUUUUGACUUUGAGUUUUCAUGGGACUAGGCCCACCAAUUCUUUCACCUGGUCACUCCUCUGACAGUUCCUGCUGGUGAUUCCUUUCUUCCUGUAUUUCCCGUAUCUUGUGAGGAUUGAUUAUGUAUUCACCUUCACAGAGCAGCCUAUAAGCAAUUGAAUUCUAAGGGAUUUUACCCUUAGCCUCAAAGGUUGGUUUGGGAUCCACCUUUUUCUUUGGUGAUUGAUGCGACUGCCAAAAACCAGAUCCGAGCUGAGCUGUAGCGAGCCGAGCUGGUCAGGCGCAACCGACCUGCGAGAGGAAGCCGAGCUAACGUACCUACAAAGAAAGGUCAAGAGCGGGACUGAUGUCCCCGGAAUAUCUCCGACGGUCAAGUCAGUAAGCUUGUUCACGGAGCAAUAGUAUAGAAUACUUGUGUAUGCGUACCUUGUAUCGCCCCUAGGCGUGGUAUAUAUAGGGCAGAAUAGGUUUGUAGUUUCCUUGUGGGAGUCAGAGUCCCUGUAGGGUUUGGAGUCUUCUUAGGGUUUCGUGCGGCGGCUCCUACAAGUUCUGGAACAAUGGCCCAUAAGGCCCAUCGCAGGGAGCAGCUGAUACGGCCGAGCCGGCAUCCUCAUGCCGAGCUGUCGCCCACGAACGGUGGGGUCUAUAUGAUCGACCUGAUGCUCGCAGUAUGCCGAGCUGACACGUGUCACGCGCGGAUUCGCCCCACUACACUAGCCCCCCUUGAGUCUAGAGUCACUGAGGAGAUGCGUGAGUCUGGACCAAAGUUCGAAGCGUCAGGUCGGCCUCGUGUGGGACCCACGAUCCCACGACCACAUGCCUGAUUCAGAUAACUGCCACGUCUACCGCCAUAACCGUCACCUCAAGAGUCACGUCCUUCAUGAUGGCAGUCAUCAGUUCAAGCGUUUUCCAAGGUAACCGUCCUUUUGCAAUAAAUUCAAAUUUCUUCCUCGGGACUCUUCGCAUUCCCGCCCAGGGGGCCUAUAAAUAGGUCCUACAAAACGUCGCUUUCAAGCCUCCAUUCUCAUUUUCUCUUCUUCCCAGUCUUCUUCAGCUCGCUCCGCAUCCUAUGAGGUCGUCCGAGAGUAGGAUUUCCUUCUAAGCACCUCAGUUCUUCCCCUUCAUCUAUCAGUAAGUCCUCUUUUCCUUUUAUGUCGUCUUCUUCCACACACUCAGACCUCACCAGCUCAGCACCUAGGCGCAGAAUUGCCCGACCUGCACUCAUAGAAAUACUCUCAUCCAGCCCUUCUUCUUCCAGCUCGUCUGAGUCUGAAUACCUUCCUCCCCCAGCCCCACCUCUUGCUAUGGCCUUGGACCAACCUGGCCCCUCUGCUCAGCCCGAAGCUGGAGCUGCUGUCCCAGGGAUUCCCCUGGAGGCAGGUCCAGCUCGCGCUAGGGUAGAACUUGCUAGGGGGUGAGACAUCGACUUUGGGGAAGUCGAGGUUAUCACCUCCCUCCUCAACCAGGGGGAUGUGGACGAACUAGUGGGGAGGUACGACAUUCUCCCCCAGUUCGAGGCUAGGGCAGCCCGGCCAGGGGAGUACGCUUGCCGACCUCCCCCUGGGUUCGUGGCUAUCUAUAGGGAUCAGCUCGUGGCUGGUCUCCGCCUUCCCAUUCCCCAAUUUCUCUAUGACAUCCUAACCUUCUGGGGUAUCCGAAUUACCCAGCUAUCUCCCAAUGCCAACCGAUCAAUCCUUGGUUUCUUCAUCUUGUGCCGAGCUCUUGAAAUCCCCUACACCUUGGACCUGUUCAGGUCAUUUUUUCAAAUGAAGGUGAGCGGCCCAGCUCACGGAUGGUUCUACUUCGCUCGUAGGAGCGGGGGGGAGCUCCCUACCCGCGAGCUGUUCUCGCAUAUGCCUUCCUCUAUCAAGGGCUGGAAGGCAUACUUCUUUUUUGUGAAAAACACUGGGUUUCCUCCCCUGACCUGGAGGGAGGAAACCCAAGUAUCCGAUCCCCUUCCCUCGCCUCUGCCCGAGGCCGAGCUAGACAGCCUGGUCAGUUCGGAGGACCGGCUGAAGGUCAAAGAAUUUAACAAUGCACAGCUCUGGUCGGCGGGGCUGAUUCGAGCAGAGGUGAAUGACCCUGUCCCCGAUCUCCGACCACUUCUUCCAGAGGAGCUGACAGCUCGUAACUUUCCGGCCUCAUCCCUUCUCCUUUCCCUAUGAGUUUAGUCGCACCAUCCAAGCUGACCUACCUUUUUUCUCUGCAGUGAAGAGGUUCUCCCAACUGUUGAAUAUUGGAGGGUCUGGCGGCACGAGCACGCCCACUCCUGCGCCUUCUACUGCGCCGAGCGGCACAGUGCCUCUCCCCCCACCAGUGUCUACUCCCCCACUUGCAGCUCAAUCCUCACUGGGGGAAGGACCAAAGAAGAAAAGGAAGAAAUCCACGGCCAAGAAGGCCAGGACCGAGGCGACUUCCCCUCAAUCCCAGGAGGAGCCCUCCACUGCUGUUGCCUCUCACUAUGGGGUGAACUCCGCCGAGCAGCAGGCCUCGUCACAGUCUCCUCCAGCGAUGUGGCGCAUGAGGAAUGUAAUUCCCAUGAAUCCCCCUGCCGAACUGGGCUCACACCCUCACCCCUUUCACUUCUGCCCGAAGUGGGGGUUAUCGGUGAAUGAUCGAGCUCAGUUCCCUGAAGCUGCCAGGGAGCUCGUCAAGGGCGCGGUACUCCCCCGCGACCAUCACUUCAUCCAACUUGCCUCCAACGCCGAACUGCUGGAGCACUUUUACCUUAGUACCGCCCAGGUGAUUUCUUGCUUAGCAUUUUGUUGACAUGCCUUUGGCUUUAAUGAUUUCUUACCCUGUAUUUGAUUGGCAGCUCAACGUCGCUGGAGCCGAGCUGGCACAGCGGUACGAAAACAUGGGAGUCAACCUGUCGCAAGCCGAUGCUGCCAAGGACAGGCUAACGAGCCAGCUCGAAGCAGCCGAGGCCGAGCUGGAGUCCUUGAAGAAACAGCUUGCUGAUGCCAACUCCGCCUGCGAGCUGGAAAAGAAGAAGGCGGCCGAACUGGCCGCGACUCUGGAGGCCGAGCAGAAAAAAUUUACCGAGCUGGUGGAAACGGCAAGGGAAGAGGGGCGCCAGCUAGGCGUCAAGGAGUUUAAGAAGUCUGAAGGCUUCAUGAACGACAUGGCCCUUCUGAAUAGCCCUGUCCUGCAGCUCGGCUACACGAAAGCCUUGGUGGAUGUGGAGUCCCUGAAUUUGCCGGGCUUUGACCUGAGCAAAUGGCCUGAUUUCAACCCCCAAGCCACCAACCAAAUUGACAGGCUUGUCACGGGCUACUCCCAUGGGCGCGACCUGGCUGCCUUGAUUGCCGACCCUACUCUCCCCGCCUUCUCCCCAGAGCCAGAGCAAGAACAGCAAGGGGAGAGCUAAGCAGAUAGUGCAUAGCCUAGACCUGUAGGAUUUAGGCUAGAGUAGGGACCGAGCUGGCCAGCUCGCUUUUGUAUGGCCCCCCACCUGUACAUGUUUUUUGAUAUUGAAUAUAUGCAGCCUUUUUCUUCCCCAACACUUGUGAAAAAUUUUCAUUUAUUCCAAAGUUUUGACUACAUUUAUGAUUCCAAAAACCAAGCUAACAAAACAAAAAACAGACCUGUCCGGCUGACCGUUUUCAGCUCGGUCAGGACACUAGAUAAAAAGCCUUAAAUUUGAGUUGUGCCACGUGCGUGGGACUUCGCCUCCAUCCAGACGAGCUAACUUACAAUAACCUGCUCGGUCAGCUUCCUUUACCACGUAGGGGCCUUCCCAAUUUGGGUCUAACUUGCCUGUGCCCACAGCUCGGCUUACGAAAUUUUUGCGCAGCACCAGGUCCCCCGUCUUGAAGGAAAGUUGCCUCACCCUGGCAUUGUAGUAACGUGCGACCUGGCUCUUAUACUUAGCCAUUCUUAUGGCUGCUUCUUCCCUUCUAUGCUCGAGCAGAUCUAAGUCGAGUCGCAUUCCUUCCUCAUUGCUCUGGGCCACAAAGUGUUACACCCUGGCUGAGGGCAUCCCCACCUCUGCAGGGAUUACUGCUUCCACGCCGUACGUCAGAGCAAAUGGAGUUUCUUGUGUAGCCGUCCGAGGCGUUGUCCGGUAAGCCCAUAGUAUAGUGGGCAGCUCGUCAAACCAACCCGUCCGAGCAGAUUCUAUCCUUGUCUUCAAGCCGUGCAGGAUGGUCCUGUUUACAUUUUCGACCUGCCCAUUGGCCUGGGGGUGCCCUACUGAGCUGAAGUGCUGUUGGAUGCCGAGCUCAGUGCACCAUUCCUGAAGCGAAUGAUCUGCGAACUGCCUGCCAUUAUCCGAAACGAGAACCCUGGGUAUGCCAAAUCGGCAGACUACGUUCCUCCAAAGGAAUUUAUGUAUCGACCUGCUGUUGAUCGUACUGAGCGGCUCAACUUCUACCCACUUGGUGAAAUAAUCAAUCGCCACUACCAAGUACUCAUAACCACCGGGAGCUCGGGGAAAAGGCCCUAGCAAGUCGAUUCCCCACUGGAAGAACGGCCAGGGGCUAUGAAGAGGGAUCAUCUCCUGAGUCGGGGCGUGAUGAACUGGGGCGUGCAACUGGCAUGAUUUACACCUGGCCACCAGCUCGGCAGAGUCUCUAAAGAUGGUCGGCCAAUAAUAUCCAGCCAGAAUUCCCUUUUUAGCCAAUACUCGGGGGCCGACAUGGUUGCCGCAAAUGCCUUCGAGUAGCUCGCGGAGGACAUAGUUCCCUUUCUCCGGCGUUACACACUUCAACCAGGGUUGUAAGUAAGAUUUCCUGUAAAGGACUCCGUGUGUGAGCGCGUAUUUCUGUGACUUUAGGAGGAUCCUGCGAGCCUCUGUUCUGUUCAGCGGGAGCUCACCCUGAGCCAGAUAUCGAACAAUAGGGUCCAUCCAAGAGCUCACCACCUGAAUAAUCACAGCCCUGACCUGGUCAUACGCCCGACUUCUGACGAUCUCCACCACUAUCUCACGACCCAAGAUGCCAGCCGAGGUGGAGGCCAGUUUGGACAGGGCAUCAGCUCUCUUGUUCUGACUUCGCGGGAUCUGCUCCAGCGCGAACUGCUCGAACAGGCCCUUCAGCUCAUGCGUCUUGGCUACGUAUCUUUUCAGCGUCCCCUCUUUGACCUCGUAACUUCCCCAUACCUGGUUCACUAUCAGCUGCGAGUCGCUAAAGACUUUUAACGACCUGGCCCCUAGCUUCCGAGCUAUCUCCAUUUCUGCAAUUAGAGUCUCGUACUCAGAUUUAUUAUUAGAGACUCUGAAAUCAAACCUUAGUGCGUAGGGCAGCUCCUCCCCCGUGGGGCUGAUCAGAAGAAGCCCUGCUCCACAUCCUUCUUUGCUUGACGCGCCGUCCACAUACAGCGUCCACGUGGGAUCCGUUCGCUCCUCUACUUCCCGAGCCUCCCCGUUCUGGGCUCCUGCUCCGGCCAGCUCGGCCACGGCAGGCUUUUCAGGAUGUGCGACCUCAGCUGUGUCUUCGACCGGUUGGGCCUCAGCUGCGUCCGUGGCCUGCUCGGCCUCCGCAGCCUCUCGGACCUGCUCAGCCUCUCCAGCCUCUCUGGUCGAUCCGCCCUCUGCUACCUGACUGGCCUGGGCGACCUCAGCAGUGUCUCCGGUCCGUAGGACCUCGGCUGCCUCUCGGAUCUGUAUGGCCUUGAUAGUCUCCGAGAUCUGUGUGGCUCUGGCUGCUCGUUCGGCAUGUGCGUCCUUAACCUCUUCAUCUGAUCUGGCUGGUUCUGCCUCUACUCCAGUCGAUCCAAAAGAGACGCCCUCCGCUAUGAAGUCGGCCAAGGCUUGGGCUUUAAUGGCCGUCCUUGGCUGGUAUCCGAGGUCGUACUCUGACAACUCGACAGCCCAUUUCACCAUUCGUCCUGAGACGUCGGGCUUGGAAAGGAUCUGCUUCAGAGGCUGAUUGGUCACCACCAUUAUGGGGUGAGUUUGGAAGUACGACCUGAGCUUCCGAGUUGCAUGCACCAAUGCCAAUACGUACCGCUCUAUCGCCGAGUACCCGGCCUCGGCUCCCUGCAGGGCGCGGCUGACAUAAUACACGGGUUUCUGCACUUUGUUUUCCUCCCGCACCAGCACUGCGCUAAUGGCCUCCUCUCCCGCAGCUAAGUAGAUGAACAGGGUCUCCCCCAACUCGGGAGAGGUCAGGGCUGGCAAUCGAGCGAGGUGCUCCUUCAGAUCGUCAAACACCUUCUGGCACUCUGGGCUCCAUUCAAACUGCCGACCUCCUUUCAGGGCCCUGAAGAAAGGCGACCCCCGAACUGCCGAUUUGGACAAGAACCUGUUCAAGGCUGCCAUCCUCCCUGUCAGGCGUUGCACUUCCUUAAUAUUCCGGAGUGGAGCCAUGUCCGUGAUGGCCUUAAUUUUGUCCGGGUUAACUCUCAACCCCUCCUUAGAAAUCAUGUAGUCUAGAAAUUUUCCCGACCUAACCCCAAAAGUACACUUUUUUGGGUUUAGCCGCAUUCGUGAGCUCCGAAGAACCUCGAAAAUUUCUCUCAGGUCGGAGAUAAACUGCUCCUGAGUUCGGCUUUUUACUAGCAUAUCAUCCACAUAGACCUCCAAAUUUCGGCCGAUCUGAUUUUUGAACAACUUGUUUACCAACCUCUGAUAGGUCGCACCCGCAUUCUUUAGCCCGAAGGGCAUGGUGACAUAACAAUAUGUGCCGUCCUCGGUGAUGAACGAGGUCUUCUCCUGAUCUUUCUCGUCCAAGACUAUCUGGUGGUACCCCUUGAAGGCGUCCAAGAAACAGAAGAUCUCAUAACCAGCUGUUGAAUCCACGAGCUGGUCAAUCCGUGGAAGUGGGUAGCAAUCCUUCGGGCAAGCCUUGUUCAAAUCAGUGAAAUCCACACACAUUCUCCAAACCUUCUCCUCCUUCUUGACCAGCACCGGAUUGGCCAGCCAGGUCGGGUAGUAGACUUCCUUAACGAUCUUAACCUCCAACAAUUUACCCACCUCGCUUUUAACAACCUCCUUCCUUUCAGGAGCAAAGUUCCUCUUCUUCUGCUUCACAGGUCGGGCAUUCGGGUCCACAUGCAGCCUAUGGACAGCCAGCUCGGUGGGGAUUCCUGGCAUGUCAUCCGCACUCCAAGCAAAGAUCUCCGCAUACUCCUCCAAGAGAGAUUCUAAGGAACUUCUGGUCAACUCACCUAGGCCGGUGCCGACCUUCACUGUGAGCUCUGAUCGGUCGGGCCGGACGGGCACCUCGGCCAACCCCUCGUCUGUCUCCAAUCUUUCUCCUUUCUCCAGGGGCUCCCAGGGCUCUAAACAAACUGUCUGAGCUACCAAUUUCUCUUUGCCCUUGAGAGUAGCGAUAUAACACGCUCUCGCCACCUCCGGAUCUCCCAACACCUCCGCCACCCCAGCCGGAGUAGGAAACUUCAUACUGAGGUGGAAGGUGGAACAAAUAGCUCGGAGGGCGUUCAGUGUAGGCCGCCCCAGGAUCAUAUUGUACGACGACGGCUCCUUAACCACAGCGAAGUUUACCGGGACCGUUCGGCACUUCGGGGACACCCCCACCGUAACCAUAAGAGUGAUCAUCCCUUCCGGCCUCACAGGAGGACCUGCGAAGCUAAUUAACGGAGUUCGAACUGGUACGAGCUGUCUAUCCUCCAGUUGGAGCUCCUUGAAGGUCUUGUAAUAUAGCACGUCUAUGGCACUUCCGUUGUCUAUGUAUACCUUCUUCACCUUGUAAUUACAGGUGAUAACUUCUAUCACAAUGGCCUCAUGGUUAUUGGAGGCCAGAGGGACUGCAUCUUCAGGUCCAUAGAUAAUUUCCUCAUACAUCUUCAGGCGUUUGCUCGAGCUCUCCCCCAUAGGAGGAGGACGAUUGUGCCGCCGAGCUGUGUGACUAUCCCCUCCUGCAGGUCCUCCAGCAAUAGUAUUAAUCACCCCAACCAAAUUUUGAGCUUCCUGCUCGGGAGUUCGGCCGCGGGGCCCCUGAGGUCGAUCCCGGGUGUAUCCCUGAUGCUCCGACCUGGGCCUCCCCCGCUACUGGUCAGGUCGUCCAUCUCUUAUGAACUGACCGAGGUGCCCCCGUUUUAUUAGCUUCUCGAUGUCUUUUUUCAGGUGACGGCAGUCCUCCGUGUCAUGUCCUACAUCUCGGUGAUAUGCACAGUACAGGCCCUGGUCUCGCCUGCUCUUGUCCCCGCCCAGGGGUCGAUGAGGUCGGGACAUCCCCUCCUGCUCCAUCACCGCGAGGACCCGAGCUCGGGACGCAGUGAGGGUAGUCCAGGGCUUGUCUCCGCCCAUGGGGCGGCUCCUGGGGGGACGGUCAUAGGCGCUCUUCCUUCCCAGGCCAGGCCGUGCCUCCACCUAGUCGGCGCCCCUUCUGCGCUUGUCAUCUCUGAGUCUUUCCUGCGCACUUUUCAGGCGGUUAGCCUCCUCUGCGUUGGCCUUCUCGUGCGCACGAUCCAGCAUCUCCCGGACUGACUUGGGUGGUCUCUCCACCAGUUCGGUGUAAAGUUUCUGUUUGCGCAGCCCGUUGAUAAAUGCAGCCAUGACCACAUUGUCAUCACGAUCUCGAACCUGCAGGGACUCGUUGUUGAAGCGCACCAUGUAUUCGAGCAGGGACUCCUCUGGCUUCUGUUGGAUGGUCAUAAGAUUAGCAGUGCUUUUGGAGAAGGCGCGCGACGAGACGAACUGGGCUGCGAACAGCCGCGCGAGCUGGGCAAAGGACCGGAUGGACCUGGGGGGAAGCCCCUGGAACCACUAACGUGCCUUGCCCUCCAGAAACAUUGGAAAGGUCUUACACCUGACCGCAUCUGCGGCCGUUUGGAGACGCAUUUGGGUCAAGAAGGCAAACAAAUGAUCCUCCGGAUCCGUGGUCGCAUCGUAGGACUUUAUACUAGGUAUCUUGAACUUCGCAGGCAACGGAUAAUCCUCAAUAUCAGGUACGAAAGGGGAAGCGAUGUACCUAUCCGCUUCUGAAUCCAAGAGCAGGUCCAGCUCGUCCUGUACCUGGAGCCGCUCCUUCCGAGGUGAGAGCUCAUCCUUAGAACACCUCCGGACAGGCUCCGGGUGCUCAGUUCCGGAGUGCUUGCGAGAGGGCUCCCCGAUGUCAAUGUGCUCGGGCGUGGGCUCCCGACGUACUCGCUUGAGUUGGGGGUUAGGGCUCCCCGUCCUGGACUCGGUUGGACCCUCCCCCGAAUUCUUUAGCCCCUGGCCCAGAUGUCCUCCCGUCUGCCCCCUGAGGUAAUUCACAAUGGCCUCAAAGGUGGGCAGGUUCCCUGCUACCGCCUGAACCAACUGCUCAGGAGGAAUCCGUGAGAGUCCCGCACCCUCGCCUCCAGGGGUGGGACUCCGGGCAGACUGUUGGGGGCCACUUCCUCCAUCCCCCUUGGAUCCAUCGGCAUUCCUCUGGGACCUCGUUCUUGGCAUGAUUCGCAAGAGAAGUUACGUGUUUCCCACAGACGGCGCCAAUUGAUGCGACUGCCAAAAACCAGAUCCGAGCUGAGCUGUAGCGAGCCGAGCUGGUCAGGCGCAACCGACCUGCGAGAGGAAGCCGAGCAACCGACGGUCAAGUCAGUAAGCUUGUUCACGGAGCAAUAGUAUAGAAUACGUGUGUAUGCGUACCUUGUAUCGCCCCUAGGCGUGGUAUAUAUAGGGCAGAAUAGGUUUGUAGUUUCCUUGUGGGAGUCAGAGUCCCUGUAGGGUUUGGAGUCUUCUUAGGGUUUCGUGCGGCGGCUCCUACAAGUUCGGGAACAAUGGCCCAUAAGGCCCAUCGCAGGGAGCAGCUGAUACGGCCGAGCCGGCAUCCUCAUGCCGAGCUGUCGCCCACGAACGGUGGGGUCUAUAUGAUCGACCUGAUGCUCGCAGUAUGCCGAGCUGACACGUGUCACGCGCGGAUUCGCCCCACUACAGUAAUGAUUUCAUGACUUGAGUUCUCAUCCAAGAUGCAAAUUGUUGCUUUCCUGUAUCAGCAUGGUUUUCCUUUCUGAUCUUGCAUGAUUUGUCACUAUGUCCAAUGAUCCCGCGAGAGUAACAAAAGUCCGGGCAUUUUCAUACCUGAACUCAACCCAUCUUGACACACCAUUCAUUUUUUAUGUUGUCCCUCUUAAUAGUGGAGCUCUGAUAUCUACCUCAGCCUUGAUUCUGAGAUGCCUCCCAUCUUUGCUUCCUCCCACUAGGAUAAUCAUGUCUUCUACCUUGUUAAAGACCCUUCCAAUUUCUUUGGUUAACCAAUGAAUCGACAUAUUCCAAAUUUGCACCCACAAAUGUGAAACAUUGAAAGCCUCAGGGUUGUAAUCAAUAUCUUCUUCCCACUGCUUUCUAUUGAGUAGCUGAUUGGCGAUUACAUAUGGUCUUCUCGCUAGGAUUCUGUCUAUAUCUUUCUGGCCUGAGAAGGUGAAUUGAUAUAGAUUAACCCCUACCUCCGUUGCAACCAUUUUCCUGGGAAAGCCCCACAUGUUAUUCACAAAGUUUUUGAUCCCUGUAAAGUUGGUUGUUCUUUCUCCCAUAACUUUCCCAAUUAGGCAUUUUAUGCACUCUGCCCUUCCAUCCUCUACAUCUUUACUAUCCAGUUCUACUUCCUCCACAUUCCUUGUUUGAUAGCUCAAAUUUUUCCAGCACAAAAGCAAGUUCUUCCGCCAUGGCCGAGAUCACUUGAAAGGCAUUCCAGAACAACACACAGAUGACUCCAGUAUCCUAUUUCUGAAAAAGAAAUUAAGAGUUAGAAAACAACAUCUAAGAAGCAGAUGGACUCUAGAAAAACCGAUUAAGAAACAUCACUUUUUUAUUAUUUAUUUUUUAAAAACUAUGAAAGAUUAAAGAAUCAAGCUCCGAACAUUCUACUUUAAAAAGUUGAGAAACAAAUAGGAUGAGAAAGACAGUGAAUAGAGGGGAUAAAGAUUAGGAUUAUGGCUCUAACUAGUGUCCAGCUCUCCUACUAGAAGAGGAGCAAGGACUUUCAAAGAAAGAGAAAGGACUCUAAAAUUUUACAGACAAAAGCUCUCAAGAAGAGAGACUAAUCAAAUACUCACACUGACUGCAAUUGCAUCACACAAUUGAAUGCAAAUAUGAUAAUACAAAAUCAAAAAAGCAACAAAAUUAUUCAGUAAAAAAUAAGCAUGUUCAACAAAUGACCUGUCACAGGCUUGGUACUUGUUUUCAAAAGAUAUCCUUUUGUAGAAAAGGGAAACCAACUUCCUGAAAACCAGACCAUGAAACUUACAGAAGAAAAAAAGAAAGACAAAUGCAACCAUCACUAACAUUAGCUUGUGGUUUAGAGAUCAAUUGCCUUGUCCAUCACAGGAACGAAAGGGACUUUGAAUAAUUGAAACCUAAGAAGCUUCAGGAAAUGCUAAAUGAAUGACUAUCGAGACAUAACAUGUAGAUCCCAUUGAAUGCUUUAGAAAGUCAAGCAUAGACAGUUUCUUAGCAGUCACCAAGGAUACUGUAGUGUUCCAGUUAUAAACAGGACACUAGUGGCACAUAGGGUUCUUUCCAAUUUUAUUUUCCAAGUUAUAUUCUCCUCUAGCUGUGCCUUUAAUCCCAUCCAUACUACCUUCCCAUAUUUCACAAUUUUCCAAGACUUGCUCAAAUAUACUAAACACUCAGCACGAAAAGUCACAUUCAAAAUAUUUACCUUCCUUCUGAAACUAUUUGCCCAAAUUUACUCCAAAUUAGUUACCUAGAUUAACACAAUUAAUUCAUUGAUUAUAAAUAAAAAAAAAAGAGUUAAUCACAUUUUAUCCCCUUAAAGAAUACCACAUUUUUCAGUUUACCCCCUAACCUUUAAUUUUGCUCACUUAACCCCCUUUAGAACAAAAUUGCCCUUGUAUUAUUUUGACUUUUUAUUUACCUUGUUUUUCUUUCUUUUAUUUCUUUUUCUCUUUCUUCUUUAUUUAAUUUUUCCUCUUUCCCACAAAAAUCUUCACCUUAGUGAUUGAAAUUAAAAAAGAGGAAUUGCAAAUAUCUAUCUUCUCCUUAAAUGAUUAAAAAAAUAUUUAAAUCACUUUCUUAAAAUAUAAUUUUUUAGCCUUUCAAUUCUUUUAAUUUUAGGUUUUUCUCUUUCCUUUCUAGUUUCUCAUUUUAUUCUCAAGAAAAUAUCAUAAGAUAAAAUUGUUUUCCUUUCUUUUCUUUCUUUUUUUCUUUCUUCUCUCUUUCAUCUUUCCCAAUAGAAAUUCCAUUUCAACGAAAAUUUUUAUUUUGAGUUUGAUAUUUUUGGGUGAAGGUUUAAAAGGCAUCAAAAACUAAUUUUGAUUUUUUGUAUGAUGUCACGUGUCAUAAAUUUCAAUUGAUGAUUAUUAAUCAGGUCACAAUUUCAUCUUAAGAUAUUUUUUGGGAAUAAAAUGAGAAACUAGAAAGGAAAGAGGAAAAUCCAAAAUUAAAAAAAUUGAAAGGUUAAAAAAAUUGUAUUUUAGGAAAGUGAUUUGAAUAUUUUUUUUAAUCAUUUAAGGAGAAAAUAGAUCUUUACAAUUCCUCUUUUUUAAUUUCAAUCAUUAAGGUGAAGAUUUUUGUGGGAAAGAGGAAGAAUUAAAUAAAGAAGAAAGAGAAAAAGAAAUAAAAAAAAGGAAAACAAGGUAAAUGAAAAGUCAAAAUAAUGCAAGGGUAAUUUUGUCCUAAAGGGGGUUAAAUGAGCAAAAUUAAAGGUUAGGGGGUAAACUGAGAAAUGAGGUAUUCUUUAAGGGAAUAAAAUGUGAUUAACCCUAAAAAAAAUGUUACCACAACUAAAAAUAUUAAAGGACAGGAAUAGAGCAUGAACCUCUAUAUCUAUGAAGCGUUCUACCUUCUCAAUAAGAAAACAGUAAGAAUUGUGAAUGCUUUCCUCUGUUUGGCUAGUUCCAGCAGACCAUUGACUGACACUCCUUAUAACCUAAACUUGGAAGCAUCAACGAAUGGUAGUUAUUCAAAUAACCAACAUAAAAAAGAAAAAAACUUUUAAAAGAGUAUAAUCCUCAGAUAUAUUGACAGGGCGUCAACCUGUGCAAUAAUAAUAAUAAUAAUAUAGAACCUAGCUACCACUAAGAGCAGUCAAUAAUUAAUCCUAGGUACUGGAGCAGAGACUCUAGGUGUGCAAUGGGUUACUUGAUUCACCCUGUUCCCGAAGAGUUUGCUUAAUCCGAUAUACCAGAAUUAAUUAAUUGACAAAAAUUACUAAAUAGUAGACAGUGGCAAGUAGGGUCGUCUCCUCAGGGACUGGAGAUAUCUGUCUCUUUUUAAAGUCCAAUUGACAAGGGGGGAUUUCACCGGAAUGAAACUAAAAAUAAUUAGACAAUUUAAUUAAAAAUGAAUAAAUCACUAGCACAAAUAUAGCAGGAAUUUAAUCAGAAAUAAAUAAAUUCUAACCAAGGAUGCAACUACUCAGGCACAGUCCAUUUAUCCGAUCAUUGAUGCAGGAGAGGUUCACUUAAUUUAUUAAUAGAUUAGUUAUAGCCAUCGAUGAACUCUGAUGACCAAUUUUUCCUUAAUUAAUAGAUGACCAAGGUACAACCAUUAAUCACCUCUAACCAGAAAAGUACUCCUAAGUACGACAGUAGGAAUUAAUUUCCCAAUUACAUUAAUAACUAGAAAAACCUAGUCCUAACAAAUAACACGCUACGAGGGUUAUUUAAAUUAGAUUGCACGUUCCCCUAAUGUGUAAACACACCAGUUGCCACUAAUAUUAAUCAAUCAAACAAUUACGGAUUUAAUUGACUAAACUGGCACGAGAUUAAUAUAUCACAUUGAACAUCGGGCCCUUGACAUCCAAUUAAUAAAAUAAUCCCAUGAAAAUUAAAUCAGACAACAUGCAAAUAUUAAUAGAUAAAGGAACACGUGAAAACUAAUUAGAUCUCACAGAUUUUCGGGACUGCGCCGUCGAGUUGACCCUUGACUAGAUGGAAGAGUUAACCACGCCGCAUAAUUAAAUCACCACACGAAUUAAUAGAUUGCAAAGGCAUUGCGUUUUCUAUUAAGAAGCAAGGAAUAAAAGGUGAUUUUCCCGUUGGGGAAUAUUGUCGAACACCUGGCGUGUGUCAGAGGCCAGUUAGGAGGAAAAAAGAACUAAAACUAAACUAAAAGACUAAAACUAGAGAUGUCUCUGCUACUCUACGUUAUCCCUCUUUAAGCAACAAAAGAAAGAUGACUAAAGGCUAUCUAGGUGGUCCCCACACAUGUGGACAAAGCCUUCAAAGUACUUCUUGCUCCAAGUCUCUUUCCGUAGCUUUCUUUUAAGAGCCCAAAUGACUAGAUGCCUUCCACUAGCUUGUGGUCCCCCACCAAUUCAAGGGCCCAAGAAUUGAAACCCUUAGAAGUCUCCCUAUUUUCCAUAAAGUUCUUCCUUUUUGGUGGUUUUCUGUUUCAUUCCUGAAAUUAAGUCCAAAUACCAAAUAUGAGUAAAUAUCAGCAAUUAGCACACUAUUUAUCAGGGAUAAAAGGGAAAAUUAAUAAUAAAAUUACUAACAAAUUAUACCCUAUCAAUUCCCCCCACACCUGAAUCAUGCUUGCCCUCAAGCAUGGGGAAAAUUCAACUCAACAAUGGCUAACUUUCACAUUAUCCUAGCCAGCUGUGCUUAUACCCAAAAUCAAGAUCUAGUGACUAAGUGUCAAGACAUGCCUCUCCCGGUUAGCUCCUAAGUUCAUAGACCCGUCCAAUUCAUGACUAAUUCGCUUAGGAAAUCCAAAUACUAACUAGCAACAGUCAAUAACUAAGUCAACUGGCAACCAAAAUCUCAACAAUACGAACCAAGGAUCGGCAGGCUAACAUGAUCAUAAACUCACAUAUUCUCCACAUCUUUUUUUUUUUCUUCUUUCUGUUUGGUUUCCCUUUUUUUUUUCUUUUCUCUCUUUUUUUUUGUUUUUUUUUUUGGAUUGCUUAGUCCCUAGCUAUUUAAGUCUUUUGACGUGAACUCUGACAUUUUUAGAUGAAAGAGCCCAAUUACUCAACUUUUCACAGCUCCAGGACCACUUACUCAUAGAUAUCGCCACUUGUUGACGCGAGAGCCGACACUUGUGGUGAAAGCUCCCGGUUACUUGGUGGCGACACUAGCGGAGUAUAGUCAUACGUUAUUCACCAUAAAACACCAAGAUACCAAAUAAUUACAGAUCAUAGCCUGCGUCAUGUCCUAAAUAUGGAGAACUAAGGCAAACAGGAGACCAAACUACACAACAGUGCCAGCAAAAUAUUUAUAUCGCCUAAACAAGUUAGCCAUAAAUUGCACCACGUCGUUAAACUUAAAGUAUUCACCAAGAAAGCAUGCUUUUACUUGCCACUGUAACUCAACUCAUAGUACAAACCACAACUAACAAGAAAAAGUGAGCUGCCAAAAAUAUCCACCAAGAUAGAAGCAAGGGAAAGACACUCAAAAGGGGUAAAGGAGCAAUACCUAAACAGAAAACAAGAGAAAAAAUAAUAAAGAAACGAGAACUAGCACCCAAACUGACCCCCCCACACCUAAAAUGACGCAUUUCCCUCAAUGCGAAAAGAUAAUAGCAGAAAAAGGGAAGGGGCAACUGUACUUCCCUGAAGUCGUCAAGACAAGGGAGGGUUAGGCGGAAACGGCGGAGGGAAUUCGGCUUGCUGCAUAAAUGCCGCUAUAUUCUGUGCCAUGCCGGCGAUAUUGGUGUCAACAUUGACCAUCCGAGCCUCCAAAGCCUGCGUUUCUGAAGCCUUUAUUGGGACACAGAAAACGCGAUUGAAAACACGCCUUCAAUCCGCGUUUUCUGAGUCGCGUUUCCUUCACAAAUCUCGCAGGAAUUAAAACGCGCCUUUAACUCGCGUUUUCUGAGUCGCGUUUCCUGCACAAAACUUGCAGAAAUGAAAACGCGACGGAAAACGCGCCUCCCACUCGCGUUUUCUGAGUCGCGUUUCCUGCACAAAACUUGCAGAAAUGGAAACGCGAUUGAAAACGCGCCCCCAACUCGCGUUUUCUAAGUCGCGUUUCCUGCUCAAAACUUGCAGAAAUGAAAACGCGACUGUGCAGGUAAACGCGACUUCGAAUUGCGUUUUUGGAUAUUGACCCCUUCCUGCACUUCAUCACGCGGGCGCGUCAAGAGGAAAUGCCACCUACAUAUCAGCAAAAACGAAAACUGAAACCCAAAAUCAGUCGAAUUCAAGGGAAAUGUAUUUAAACUGUCACACGAAAUCAAACAAACAAUUAAAAGAAACAAUUGGAUUGCCUCCCAAUGAGCGCUUUUCUUUAACGUCUUUGGCUAGACGUCGUCCAAAACUUUGCUUAAACUAAGCAAAUCGAGUCUUCCAAGUGCACCAUCUCCACCCGUUCAAUUGGAACCCCUUCAUAAUACAGCUUGAGACGAUGACCAUUCACUACAAAUUUCUUCUCAGUUUUCAAACUUUGGAUCUCUACUGCACCAUAAUGAAAGACAUUAGUCACAACAAAAGGACCAAUCCACCGAGAACGUAACUUACCUGGAAAUAACUUCAAUUUGGAAUGGUACAGUAGAACUUUUUGCCCACACUCGAAUGUCUUCCUUGAGAUCUGUUGGUCAUGAAAAAUCUUAUUUUUCUCCUUAUAAAUUACCGCAUUCUCGUAGGCUUCAUUGCGAAUCUCCUCCAACUCCUGUAACUGUAACUUCCUUUGAAUUCCGCUCUCUUCAAUAUCCAUAUUGCAUUGUUUUACCGCCCAAAAUGCUCUAUGCUCGAACUCCACUGGAAGAUGGCAAGACUUACCAAAUACCAACCUAUAGGGAGACAUCCCUAUAGGCGUCUUGUAGGCAGUCCUGUAUGCCCACAAAGCAUCUUCCAACCUAGAACUCCAGUCCUUCCUAUCAGGGCGGACCAUCUUUUCCAAAAUAGACUUUAUUUCCCUAUUCGAGACUUCAGCCUGGCCAUUGGUCUGUGGAUGGUAAGAAGUGGAAACCUUAUGAAGUACACCAUAUCUCCUAAACAGAGCAGCAAUUGUCUUGUUGCAAAAAUGCGUCCCCCUAUCACUCACAACUGCCCGUGGCAUUCCAAAUCGCACAAAAAUGUUAGACUUUAUGAAAUCUGCAACCACCUUAGAAUCAUUAGUGCGGGUGGCUUUUGCUUCCACCCACUUCGAGACAUAAUCCACUGCUAGUAAAAUGUAUAAAAAUCCACAAGAGUUUGGAAAGGGACCCAUGAAAUCUAUACCCCAAGUAUCAAAAAUUUCAAUGAAAAGUAUAGGCACCUGUGGCAGUUGAUCCCUUCGGGAUAAAUUGCCUACCCUCUGACAUUUAUCACAUGUCUUACAAAACAAGUAAGCAUCCUUAAAUAAGGUAGGCCAAUAAAAUCCACUUUCCAACACUUUUCUAGCAGUCCGUUUAGGACCAAAAUGACCCCCACAUGCAAAAGAGUGACAGAAAGUCAAUAUAGAUUGGAAUUCACUUUCACUUACACAUCGCCUCAUUAUUUGGUCAGUACCUUGUUUCCACAGAUAGGGAUCAUCCCAGACAUAGUACUUUGCAUCGCUUUUUAGUUUGUCCCUUUUUGCCUUGGGCCAACCUGCGGGCAAUUUGUCAGUAACCAAAUAAUUCACAAUAUCUGCAAACCAAGGAGGGGAUGAAUUAAUAGAAAGUAAAUGCUCUUCAGGAAAAGACUCCCUUAAUGGUAAUUCUUCCUCCGCUACCAGUAUUCGGCUUAGGUGGUCAGCUACUAGAUUCUUCGCUCCUUUUUUAUCUCUAAUUUCCAAGUCAAAUUCCUGCAGGAGCAAUAUCCAUCUUAUCAAGCGGGGUUUAGCAUCCUUUUUGGUCAGCAGGUACCUCAAAGCUGCAUGGUCAGAAUACACAAUUACUUUAGCACCUAACAAAUAAGGUCUAAACUUUUCUAAAGCAAAAAUAACAGCUAAUAGUUCUUUUUCCGUAGUAGAGUAAUUGAGUUGGGCGCCAUUUAAAGCUCUAGAGGCAUAAUAUAUUGCGUGAGCCGCUUUUUCCACCCUUUGCCCCAAAACUGCACCCGCGGAGUGGUCGCUGGCAUCACACAUAAUUUCAAACGGAAGAUUCCAGUCAGGGGGUUGGAUGACAGAUGGAGAAGUGAGCAAAUUUUUUAACUUCUCAAACGCUUCUUUGCACUUUUCAUUGAAUUCAAAACUGACAUCCUUUUGCAAAAGCCUGAAAAGUGGUGCCCCGAUCUUUGAGAAAUCCUUGAUAAAUCUGCGAUAGAAACCUGCAUGUCCUAGAAAAGAACGAACUUCCCGUACAGUUACGGGGUAAGGUAAAACAGAUAUCACAUCUAUUUUAGCUUUAUCAACUUCAAUUCCUCUAGAUAAUACUACAUGUCCUAGAACUAUCCCGUGCUCAACCAUGAAGUGACAUUUUUCCCAAUUGAGAACUAGGUUAGUCUCAAUGCAUCUUUUUAAAAUCAAUGUCAGGUUAUCUAAGCAAUCGUCAAAACUAUCACCAUAGACACUGAAGUCAUCCAUGAAUACCUCAAUUAUUCUCUCCACAUACUCAGAAAAAAUGCUAAUCAUGCACCUCUGGAAUGUUGCAGGGGCAUUGCACAAUCCAAAGGGCAUCUUUCGAUAGGCAAAAGUGCCAAAGGGGCAAGUGAAAGUGGUUUUCUCUUGAUCCUCUGGCGCAAUUGCUAUCUGAAAAUAACCAGAGAAACCAUCUAAAAUGCAAUAAUAGGCACGACAAGCUAACCUUUCAACCAUUUGAUCGAUGAAUGGAAGAGAAAAAUGAUCCUUCUUGGUCACCGCGUUCAAUUUAAGGUAAUCGAUACAUUGGCGCCAACCCGUAGGCUUUCGGAUUGGGACGAUGUCCCCUUCAUGAUUUUCUUCUGCAGUUACCCCUGCUUUCUUUGGCACCACUUGGACCGGACUCACCCAUGGGCUAUCUGAGAUAGAGAAAAUAAUUCCUACGUCCAGAAGCUUGAUUACCUCUUUCUUGACCACUUCCAUCAUGAUGGGGUUCAAUCUCCUUUGUGGUUGCCUUAUCGGCCUAGCAUCCUCUUCCAGGCGAAUUCGAUGCAUGCACACAGACGGGCUUAUACCUUUGAUAUCUACAAUUGUCCACCCUAUAGCUUCCUUAUGCUCCCUUAAAACCCGUAGUAGCUUAUCCUCCUCCGUGGGUGAUAAUUUGGAUGAUAUUAUCACUGGUAACGUCUCUUUUUCACCUAGAUAAGCAUACUUUAAAUGCUCGGGCAGGGGUUUCAACUCCACUUCAGGUGCCUGCAUGAUAGAAGGUAAUAGCUUUAGGUGUAGUUCAGACACAAAUAUAGGAGCGACAUCAUACCUUGGAGGACUUUGGCCUAGUGAAUGCAAGGCUCCAACCAUUCUUUGCAAACUGAUGCCUAACUCCAUUUCACAGGUUGCUUCCAGAUCCAAAUGUUUGGUGAUUGCUAUCUCUAAUUCAUCCCUGCCAUUAAUCUCAAAUAUUUCUUGCACCAAAGGGUCAAUUACACUCACAGCAAAAACAGCAAUAGAAUGACACGGAUAUUUCAUGGCCUCAAAUAUACCGAAAUGAACUAUUUCUCCAUCAAAUUUCAUCGUUAGGGUGCCCUCACUAACAUCAAUUUUUGUACGAGCUGUGCUCAAGAAGAGCCUCCCCAACAAAAUUGGUGAUGGAUUUGGAGAACGUUCAUCACCCAUAUCAAGAAUAUAAAAAUCAGCAGGGAACACUAAAUUGUUCACUUGCACUAACACAUCUUCUAUCACCCCAUCGGGAUAAGCAUUAGUUCUAUCAGCCAAUUGAAUUAUAAUGCCAGUUUCCUUUAAGGGGCCCAAAUUCAGAGAAACAUAUAUAGCCUUGGGCAUCACAUUUAUAGAGGCUCCUAAAUCUAACAUGGCAUUCCUAAUGCUAGUGUUCCCUAUUUUACAAGGAAUAGUGAACAUACCUGGGUCUCCGCACUUGGGUGGAAGUUUUCUUUGAAGCACUGCAGAUACGUUCUCUCCCACAAUUAUCCUUUCAUCUCCCCUCAAUUUCUUCCUAUUGAUGCAUAGGUCCUUCAAAAAUUUGGCAUACCGGGGUACUUGCUUAAUUGCGUCAAGUAAGGGGAUAUUUAUCUCUACCUUCCUAAACAUCUCCAAAAUUUCCUUUUCCUUGUCUUGCUUUUUCGGCCUUUCCAACCUGCUAGGAAAAGGUGGUGGGUUAGGCUUAAUUGGAACCACUGGGUUACGUAUUACCUCUUUAUUUGUGCCGGGAGUUCCUUCUUCCUCAAGCUCCUUCUCAAUGCAGUCCUCAUUCUUGUCCUUUGGGGCCACUGGCGCUGGUCCUUCAACCUCUUUCCCACUCCUGAGGGUCAUUGCACUUACAUUCUUGGGAUUCACCUCAGGUUGGGAUGGAAGUUUUCCCUUUCCCUGGGAGUCUAGUCGGUUGACAAUUGAGGCUAAUUGACUCAUCUGAUUCUCCAAGUUUUGCAUACGUGCUUUCAUCUCUUGAUUGCUGGCCUCAGUGUCCUGUUGAAAUUUCAUAGUAUUAGAGGCUAUGGUUUUAACCAUGUCUUCUAGGGACAUACUUGAGGCAGAGGAGGGUUGAUUCCUUGUUUGAUAUUGUUGCUGGAAACCCUGUUGUCUAUUGGGGAUGAAACUUUGUUGCUUAUUUCCCCCAUAGCUCAGAUUUGGAUGAUCCCUCCAACCCGGAUUGUAUGAGUUGGAAUAGGGGUCAUACUGUCUACGUGGCAUGGGCAUGUUACCAGCCAUGUUUGCUUGCUCAAUUCCCUCCUCUUGUAACUGUGGGCACGAGUCAGUGGUAUGACCAAUAUUCGUACAAAUCCCACACACUUUGGCCUGCUGUGCAUUUCCUACAGCUAUCUGUCGAACAAAUGAGGUUAAUUCAGAUAACUGCUGUUCAAUGGAAGAUGAACUUACCUCGCUGACCUUUCUCGUAGGAACAUCUGCUCUCGUACCAAACUGCUGGCAAUUCUCUGCCAUUCGCUCAAUUAAGUCCCAUGCCUCCUGGGUAGUCUUAUUCACCAGUGCACCACCACUUGCUGCAUCAAUGAUAUUUCUAUCGUUCAUUAGUAGUCCCUCGUAGAAAUAUUGAAUCAGCAGUUGAUCACUUAUUUGGUGAUGCGGGCAUCGGGUACGUAGCCUGGUGAACCUCUCCCAAUAUUCAUACAAGGAUUCCCCGUGAAAUUGUUUGAUGCCACAUAUUUCCUUUCGCAAACUAGCAGCUCUGGAUGCAGAGAAAUAUUUUUCAAAAAAUUUUUUCUGCAUCUCUGGCCACGUGGUGAUAAUGCCUGCAGGUAGACAGUAUAACCAGUCCUUUGCCGAAUCCUUGAGAGAGAAAGGGAAGGCCCUUAAUUUAAUUUGUUCAUCAGUUACUCCCGAAGGUUUCAUACUCGAACACACCAUAUCAAAUUCCUGCAUGUGUUUGUGGGGUUCCUCUCCUGGCAGACCAUGAAAAACAGGCAACAAAUGUAUUAAACCAGGUUUUAAUUCAAAAGCUGCAUUCUCACUAAGGCGAGGAAAAGUUAUGCAAAGAGGUUGUUGGGUCAAGUUUGGAGCAGCCAACUCCCUUAAUGUUUGUGUGUUUGCCAUGGUGACGUUCUCUUGGUGCGAAUCACUUGAAGUGUCACCAAACGAAUCUGAUGGUUCAACUUCGGGCUCAGAUCUCUGAGAUGCAGCACUGGAGUGCUCCUCUCUGAGCUGUCUGGUUUCCUUUCUAGUUCUACGCGCGGUCUUCUCUAUUUCAGGGUCAAAAGUCAAUUCACCUGUACGAAAAGAUCUAGGCAUACACUAGAGGAAUACCAGAAAAUUAGAGCAAAAAUGAACUUAAUAAAGAAACAAAUAAUAACGCCAGUCCCCGGCAACGGCGCCAAAAAUUGACAGGGCGUCAACCUGUGCAAUAAUAAUAAUAAUAAUAUAGAACCUAGCUACCACUAAGAGCAGUCAAUAAUUAAUCCUAGGUACUGGAGCAGGGACUCUAGGUGUGCAAUGGGUUACUUGAUUCACCCUGUUCCCGAAGAGUUUGCUUAAUCCGAUAUACCAGAAUUAAUUAAUUGACAAAAAUUACUAAAUAGUAGACAGUGGCAAGUAGGGUCGUCUCCUCAGGGACUGGAGAUAUCUGUCUCUUUUUAAAGUCCAAUUGACAAGGGGGGGAUUUCACCGGAAUGAAACUAAAAAUAAUUAGACAAUUUAAUUAAAAAUGAAUAAAUCACUAGCACAAAUAUAGCAGGAAUUUAAUCAGGAAUAAAUAAAUUCUAGCCAAGGAUGCAACUACUCAGGCACAGUCCAUUUAUCCGAUCAUUGAUGCAGGAGAGGUUCACUUAAUUUAUUAAUAGGUUAGUUAUAGCCAUCGAUGAACUCUGAUGACCAAUUUUUCCUUAAUUAAUAGAUGACCAAGGUACGACCAUUAAUCACCUCUAACCAGAAAAGUACUCUUAGGUACGAUCGUAGGAAUUAAUUUCCCAAUUGCAUUAAUAACUAGAAAAACCUAGUCCUAACCAAUAACACGCUACGAGGGUUAUUUAAAUUAGAUUGCACGUUCCCCUAAUGUGUAAACACACCAGUUGCCACUAAUAUUAAUCAAUCAAACAAUUACGGAUUUAAUUGACUAAACUGGCACGAGAUUAAUAUAUCACAUUGAACAUCGGGCCCUUGACAUCCAAUUAAUAAAAUAAUCCCAUGAAAAUUAAAUCAGACAACAUGCAAAUAUUAAUAGAUAAAGGAACACGUGAAAACUAAUUAGAUCUCACAGAUUUUCGGGACUGCGCCGUCGAGUUGACCCUUGACUAGAUGGAAGAGUUAACCACGCCGCAUAAUUAAAUCACCACACGAAUUAAUAGAUUGCAAAGGCAUUGCGUUUUCUAUUAAGAAGCAAGGAAUAAAAGGUGGUUUUCCCGUUGGGGAAUAUUGUCGAACACCUGGCGUGUGUCAGAGGCCAGUCAGGAGGAAAAAAGAACUAAAACUAAACUAAAAGACUAAAACUAGAGAUGUCUUUGCUACUCUACGUUAUCCCUCUUUAAGCAACAAAAGAAAGAUGACUAAAGGCUAUCUAGGUGGUCCCCACACAUGUGGACAAAGCCUUCAAAGUACUUCUUGCUCCAAGUCUCUUUCCGUAGCUUUCUUUUAAGAGCCCAAAUGACUAGAUGCCUUCCACUAGCUUGUGGUCUCCCACCAAUUCAAGGGCCCAAGAAUUGAAGCCCUUAGAAGUCUCCCUAUUUUCCAUAAAGUCCUUCUUUUUGGUGGUUUUCUGCUUCAUUCCUGAAAUUAAGUCCAAAUACCAAAUAUGAGUAAAUAUCAGCAAUUAGCACACUAUUUAUCAGGGAUAAAAGGGGAAAUUAAUAAUAAAAUUACUAACAAAUUAUACCCUAUCAUAUAUUACAUAGAAUCUUCCAAAACAAGCUCAUGUUUGAGAUGCCGUAGGCUCAAAAACAGUCGCAGGUCAUUUUUCACAAUAUACCCAUAAAACACAUUCCACCACCUCCGCAAUGACAAGCCAUCGUAACAUGAUGUGAAAGUAAGCGAUUAAAACAAUCUUAAUGGAAUUCAUAUGAUAUCGCAAUACAUUCUCCGACUAAGAAAAGGUCUCAAGCUAAAUAUUGUGAACUAUACUCAUACCAGAACCAGUUCUUCUUCCUCAGCCCAUGUAGCAUAUAUAAGGGAUAAUUGCAGAAACCUCCCCUGACUUUUAUAGUAAUAGCAUUGACCUCUCCUAUCAAUUUUGAAAUAGCAUUGACCUCCCCUAUCAAAAGUUGGAGGCAAUUUAACAGGCAAAAGUGGGUCAAUUUACUAAAGUACCCCUGACAUGAUUUAAUUUUACCAGAUGAAUGUGAUGAGUACUUUUAUCAAACCCAACAAAACGUUUGUUAAUAAUAAAUACACUAAAUUAACUAUUUCUGCAAAGUUUAACUAAUUAAUUAAAUAACUAGUAAUCUAAUUAAUUAAUAACUAAUUAUCUAAUUAUUAAUAGUUAUUAACUAAUCAAACUAUUUAUGCAUAGUUAAACUAAUUAACUAUUAACUAAUUAUCUAAUUGCCCUCAGGGGCUUGGCCUGGUGGUUGAAGUUGCUGAAGAUGGUGCCUCAAGUCCCUGGUUCGAAUCUUGCUGCUAGCAAGUUGCUGAGGGUGGUGAAUAGUCUGCGAGAUCCACUCCCUGCGGGACACACCUAAAAAAAAAGAAAAAAACUAAUUAUCUAAUUAACUAAUUAAUUAACUAAUUAUCUAAUUAACUAAAGCUAUUGUCUGUCCGAAACUAACAAACUAUUUGCAUGUUAAACUAAUUAACUAAUUAACUACUUAACUAAUUAUCUAAUUAAUUAAUUAACUAAUUAACUAAUUUCUAUUUAUCUAAUUAACUAAAGCUAUUGUCUGUCCGAAACUAACAAACUAUUUGCAUGUUAAACUAAUUAACUAAUUAAUUAACUAACUAAUUAACAGACUAUUUGCAUGUUAAACUAUAUGUAGUACGCAUUACCUAUUUAAAGUAUUGACUCUUUAUGGGUAUUUUACUUUCAAACAUUUAAUUUAUGAUAAAAAUAUCAAUGUUUGUAAGUAAAAUUCAAAAAGUGUUACAAAAAAUAUCAAUAUUCUUACUUUCAAACAUUUAAUUUAUGGCCCUAUGCCCCUCCCUUUUUGUAAGAAUAUUACUGUAACACUUUUUGAAUUUUACUUACAAACAUUGAUGUUUUUAUCAUAAAUUAAAUAUUUGAAAGUAAAAUACCCAUAAAGAGCCGAUACUUUAAAUAGGUAAUGCGAAAUACAUAUAAUUUAACAUGCAAAUAGUCUGUUAAUUAGUUAGUUAGCUACUUAGUUAAUUAGUUAACCAAUUAAUUAGUUUAACAUGCAAAUAGUUUGUUAGUUUCGGAUAGACAACAAUUUUAAUUAAUUAGUUAAUUAGAUAAAUAGAAAUUAGUUAAUUAGUUAAUUAAUUAAUUAGAUAAUUAGUUAAUAAGUUAAUAGUUAAUCAGAUAAUUAGUUAAUAGUUAAUUAGUUUAACUAUUAACUAAUUAUUAGUUAAGCAAUUGUCAAGCAAAUAAUAAUUGUCAAGCAAGAAGAGGGCAAAAUUGGAAGAAAUUUCUUAUUUCACUUCUACAAAAGCUGUCAGGGAGGUUUCUGCAACGAAUUGUUACUGUUUAGGGGAGGUGAAUACAAUUUCUAAACCUAGAGGGGAGGUCAGUGCAAAUAUCAGAAAUCUCAGGGGAGGUUUCUGCAAUUAUCCCUAUAUAUAAAUAUAUAACCGCUAUUUCCAUACAAGUAAAGGUAUGUAGGUCAAAGCACCCGAAAAAGGGCUUGUUAAGUAGGACAAGCAAAGAUUCCAGCAUAGCCUAAAUAGUCUUCAACAAGUUGUACUUUGUGCUCAUUAGCCAGUAACAGACACAAAACUCCACUACAAAGAAUAACAGAAACAACUUGGAGAUUAUAGCACACCGCCCAGUUUUUGUAACUCCCACACGGUAGGAUACGAUGAGAACAUUAGCAUAUGAAUCAUGCCCAUCUAUUAGGACAGAUACAUGAUACAAAAACAAAAACAUGAUUUUAAUAUGUAAUAUAUCCUUCCUAGCAAGUGGGAAAAGUUACUAAUCAUGCCCAUCUAUUAGGGCAGGAACCUAAUCUACUUAAUAAUCACCAACACUUUCGAUAUCAUACAUUGAUGGGAUACGAUAUGGAUGCACGCAUAUUUCUCAGUAUAGAGAUCCUCAACCUUCUAAAGAAAUUAUAUCUAACCCCAGAUAAAGCAACAAAAUCCUGAGCCAGAAUUAAAGGGUCGAGUUUAAGACUUUUCUCUUUAAUUUUUUUGCAGAGAAAUUUCAAGAUUUUCCAAAGAAACCUCCAAGCUGGUCCUUUCUUGUUUUUUCACUGGAUAUAGGACCUGGUCUUCAUGCAAUUUCUGUCUCUGCAUCUUUUAGGACAAGUCAACAUUUCUAAAGAAGUAUAUGUUUAAGAGUACGAGUACAGAAAUGAUUGUCCACACAGCUGAAGGUACUUUGCCAUUGCAACUUCUCAGGGAUAAAUUUUUCCCCAUCAGAUUUUUAUCUCUGACCUUUUCUUUCUUCUGUCUUCUUUUCUGGUCUCCACUACAGGAAGAAGCAGGUGUUUGCUCGCCUUUUAUUGUUGUUUGCUCACCUUUUAUUGUCGUUUUUUACCUUUAAGCAAAAUAUAUGUGAAGAUGCCUUUUAUUGUUUGCUUACCUUUUAUUUCUUGUUUUAAAACAAGACAGCCUUUAAGUAAUAUUUUGUGCACGUCCGUAUUUGGAACUUCAUAGCAUGUCAACUUCCUUAUUUGGCUCUCUAGAUGGACUAUUUUGUAGUGUGAAAUGUCAUCUUCUCUUCAACGAACUUUAUGUUACCCAAUUAUUUGCUUAUGAUGAUGCCUUUUUUAAACUGAAAAUUCUAGGAGUAAAAAGGAAAUUACAACCUCAUAUCUUGUCAAGUCUCAUGUUGUACCAUGUGUUUCUUUUAUUUCAUUUUUUGGUUAUUGCUUUCUGGUGCUAGAUGAUUUAAACUUUACAGCACGAAUUUCAUUCAAUUUUGAUUAUUAGCUUAAGUAGGUCAUUGCAUUCAUAAUAGCCACAUAUGUUUCGGAUGAAAGGUCUCUUUAUAGGAGUUUUUUCAUGUUUAUAAACACAAAACCAACUUCCUUAGUACUGUAUCAUACCUCACGAAUUGGUUUCUAGAACUCAUAAAAUAUGAGACUGACAUCUGUUGCCUUUCAAUCUCCCAAAAAAAAAAGAAAAAAAUUAUUGAGUAACCUAAACUAAUCAGAAAUAUUUUUUGCUGUUAGCUUCUGCUAUUCAUUGUUAUUACCUUGACCAAUGAAGAGCAAUAGGGGUGGGGAACCACGGAGAGGAGGAUCCAAAACAACAGCGAAAGAACUCAGUUCUGCGUGCAAGUUGAUUAGUCUCCUGUGUAUAUUUGCUUUUUGACAUAUAUUUUGCAACAUUAAGGUUCGCUCAUUUAGACAAACUUGAUCUACAAUAUCACCUAAGGUAUUCUCUUUGGAAGUGUAAUUAUUUACAUCUUAAUUCCAUCUGUUGUGAUGUAUCUAAAUCUUUGAGGUAAUGCUGUUCUAUUCUUUUAAGUGGUGGCAUUAUCUCUAUGCAUGUAAUUUAUAUAUCUCAAUAUUUAGUACCCUGCACUUUGUUUGUGAGUUCCAACUAAAUUUACCAUAUUUUGGCUGCCUUAUAGUGUGUUUAUUUGACCAUAAUAGAUAUUAGUACUGAUACUAACUUCUUUGUUUUUUGUUUUUUGUUUUUGGGAGAUUAUUAUUGAUAGUAUUUUCAACGCCAGUCAGUCAAGAUUGCAGAUUUGUGGGCACGAAAAAGUGCAGAAGAACAGUGGUCUCUUGCUAAGGGUGAUUUGGAUUUUAAACAAAAGAUCAAGUAUACAUGAGCUGCUGGAAAGUAUAAAAUCUAUGCUUCUCAUUGCAAAAAUGCCAAGAAAAUAUAGUCAAUUGGAUUAGGGAUAAUUGCAGAAACCUCCCUUGAGAUUUCUGAUAUUUGCACUGACCUCCCCUCUAGGUUUAGAAAUUGCAUUCACCUCCCCUGAACAGUAACAAUUCGUUGCAGAAACCUCCCUGACAGCUUUUGUAGAAGUGAGAUAAGAAAUUUCUUCCAAUUUUGCCCUCUUCUUGCUUGACAAUUAUUAUUUGCUUGACAAUUGCUUAACUAAUAAUUAGUUAAUAGUUAAACUAAUUAACUAUUAACUAAUUAUCUGAUUAACUAUUAACUAAUUAAUUAAUUAACUAAUUAUCUAAUUAAUUAAUUAACUAAUUAACUAAUUUCUAUUUAUCUAAUUAACUAAUUAAUUAAAGUUGUUGUCUGUCCGAAACUAACAAACUAUUUACAUGUUAAACUAAUUAACUGCUUAACUAAUUAACUAAUUAACUAACUAACUAAUUAACAGACUAUUUGCAUGUUAAACUAUAUGCAGUUCGCAUUACCUAUUUAAAGUAUCGGCUCUUUAUGGUUAUUUUACUUUCAAAUAUUUAAUUUAUGAUAAAAACAUCAAUGUUUGUAAGUAAAAUUCAAAAAGUGUUACAGUAAUAUUCUUACAAAAAGGGAGGGGCAUAGGGCCAUAAAUUAAAUGUUUGAAAGUAAGAAUAUUGAUAUUUUUUGUAACACUUUUUGAAUUUUACUUACAAACAUUGAUAUUUUUAUCAUAAAUUAAAUGUUUGAAAUUAAAAUACCCAUAAAGAGUCAAUACUUUAAAUAGGUAAUGCGUACUACAUAUAGUUUAACAUGCAAAUAGUCUGUUAAUUAGUUAGUUAAUUAAUUAGUUAAUUAGUUUAACAUGCAAAUAGUUUGUUAGUUUCGGACAGACAAUAGCUUUAGUUAAUUAGUUUAACAUGCAAAUAGUUUGUUAGUUUCAGACAGACAACAGCUUUAGUUAAUUAGUUAAUUAGUUAAGCAGUUAAUUAGUUAAUUAGUUUAACAUGCAAAUAGUUUGUUAGUUUCGGAUAGACAACAAAUUUAGUUAAUUAGUUAAUAAGAUAAACAAAAAUUAGUUAAUUAAUUAAUUAGAUAAUUAGUUAGUUAAUUAGUUAAUUAGUUUAACAUGCAAAUAAUUUGUUAAUUUCGGACAGACAAUAGCUUUAGUUAAUUAGUUAAUUAGUUAAUUAGUUAAUUAGAUAAUUAGUUUUUUUCUUUUUUUUUUAGGUGUGUCCUGCAGGGAGUGGACCCCGCAGACUAUUCACCACCCUCAGCAACUUGCUGGCAGCAUGGGUCGAACCAGGGACCUGAGGCUCCAUCUUCAGCAACCUCAACCACCAGACCAAGCCCUUGAGGGCAAUUAGAUAAUUAGUUAAUAGUUAAUUAGUUUAACUAUGCAGAAAUAGUUUGAUUAGUUAAUAACUAUUAAUAAUUAGAUAAUUAGUUAUUAAUUAAUUAGAUUACUAGUUAUUUAGUUAAUUAGUUAAACUUUGCAGAAAUAGUUAAUUUAGUGUAUUUUUUAUUAACAAACGUUUUGUUGGGUUUGAUGAAAGUACUCAUCACAUUCAUCUGGUAAAAUUAAAUCAUGUCAGGGGUACUUUAGUAAAUUGACCCACUUUUGCCUAUUAAAUUGCCUCCAACUUUUGAUAGGGGAGGUCAAUGCUAUUUCAAAAUUGAUAGGGGAGGUCAAUGCUAUUACUAUAAAAGUCAGGGGAGGUUUCUGCUAUUAGUCUCUUUUCAUUGAUUAUUUUUAUUGAUUGAUUACACUUGUUGUUAGAGUAAGUUUUACUUGGUAAUAAAUUUGUAUAUUUCAUCUUUAACCUUUUGGGUUCAUUUCUUGAAUUUCAAUAUUUAUAGGUAUAAACUUAUUGGAAAAAGGAUGAAAGGCAUUGGCAGUAUGAAGAGGGAUGUAAAAGAAAAGGAGAAAGUAGUGUGAAGAAGUGCAAGUUGAAAUAAUGAUACUGAAAUUAUGACCAUUAUGGUCAUUCCUAUAAUGAUCAAAAUGUUAAGAAAAAGCUAGAGAUUGAGUUUCAAGAAAAGACCCUUGGAUUACUUGGCGCUAAGAUAGGCAUUGGUCGUUUUAAGUUUCCUAUUCUUUGGGGAAUUCACUAUUAUUUGACCAUUUCAAUAUUCUUUUUUGGCACCUUUUACCAUACUAGAACUACCCGUUUGGAUUAGUUGUUUUUGGGGGUGUUUUUAAAAAAUUUUACUGUAGCAGAAUUUUUAUAGUAUAUUUUGAAAUAUUUUUUAAAUAUUAAAAAAAAAUUAGAUUACUUUUUGAAGUACAUUUUAGAAUACUUUUAGAGUAUUUGAAAAACUCAGCAAUCCAUUUAAUGUAACUUAUCUUUACGCCUCACAACUAAAAUGGAUUGAUGGGGUUUUCCUGAUCUAUGACUUUUGAGUUCAACAUUUUGCCGACUUGCUAAAUUUGUUAAGACUUAAGAGAAUUGUCUUCACUUUGCUUGAAAUAUGUUGCUGUUGUUAUAUGUGUAGGUUAUUAGUCAAGAUAUGGAGACUAAAGGACCUCAUUUAUAAAAUCUAACACUUCUUUAGGCUUUGUUGUUCUAGGCCCAAUCAGAUAUCAUUAUACUUACUGUUAUUUGAUUGUGUGGCCUGAGUUCAACUUAAGUAAAUUAUUUGAGAGAAUGUUUAAUGAUUUGUUUGGCUUGUUUUGCCUAGCAAUGAGUCAAAGCCCGAAGAGUGAAAGAAGAUCGGAGUUAUCUCUCUGUCUGUCCUACGGACCUGCGAUGAUUAUUUAUUAGCUUCAUUUUUGGAUACAUAUAAUUGGAGACAUUAUGCGCGCCCCUUGCAUUUUAAAUAAGAGGUUUUGUUUGUAAAGACAGUGAACAAUUUCUAUUUCAAUGCUUCAUAUUAUGUAUAUUGGACCUAUUAUGUGCUUCCUAAUUUUGUCCAGCUAUGGUGAGUUGUAUUCUUGAUGACACUGAAUUGCAAUUUUCACUGACCUCUUUAAUUCAAUAAUUCUUUUUUACUAAUUACAUGCCUCCUAAUUGUAUGGCCCCAAAUAAUUCAACAUCCAUCAUCACAACAAUUUGUCUGUUAAAUGGACCGGAUUGGACAAUUUGCAUGCUUUCACUGUGCAUUGCACAGAGUUCCCCUCCCAGUCCAUAAGAAGGAGACGAUGAAGCCCUCAUUAAACAUAUAGAUAAAGAGGGGAAGCUCCCUGCCACCUAGGAUGGUCGUCCGCCCAUGUGUGGCGUGGGGAUUGGUCAGUGGUGAUGAUGUGGAGCUGAUGCUGGACCGGUUUGUCUCCUUUUUUUUUUUGCCCUUUGAUCAACCAAACGGCGUCGUAUGUGGAUGAAUCUUCAACCACUUUUUUCUCCGCUUUCUUUCUCUCUCUUUUAUUCAAGCACAGAAGCAUUUGUCUAUGUCAACAACUCUAAAAGACCGGUUCUUAUUGCUAUUAUCCUCUGGACAAAAUUCCCUCUUCUUUCUUUCUGUCUUUUAUUCAAAACAUAGCAGCAUCAAUCAAUGUCAAGAGCUCUUGAAGACCGGUUCCUAGACAAAACUCCAUUUUUUCCAUGAGACCCAGAGGUCUCCCCUCAAUUUCUGGCAUUUGAUUGUACUUGGCAGAGAUUGCAAUCUCAAUUGGAAGGUCUAGAUUUUUUUCUUCUUCUGAGGAGUGGGUGCUUAGGAUUUGAUGGACGAUGGGCUCGAGACAGAAAAUGGCUGGUAAUCUUCUUCCCCUUCUAUUCCCGGUUCUCCCUCUUGUUCUUCUUCAUCUUCCUCCCUCCCUCGAGUAGUUAGGGCUAAUUUUUUCUAUUUUUCUGAAAAUUUUCCUAAUAUUUCUAUUUUCUUGGCUAAAAGCAGCAAAUCUUUUUUUUCCCAUCUCCUUCGUGUCCUUUUGUGAAACAAUGAAGAAGGGGAAGGUCAAUAUUUCAUCUCUGCUAUCUGGUGCAAAUUUCUUGAAUGCAGAUAUGGUACUUUUUUUCCCCUUUCUUUCCAUGAUUAAUGUCUCCAUUUCAUUUCUGUUUUAUCAUUGAUUUUUUAUUUUUAAUUAGAAGAAAAACUUUUGAUAUGGUCUGUGAUGAUGAAUAAUUGAUGAUUAGCUGGCUUUUAGAUAUUUAUUUACUUGGUGUUUUGUUGUUCCCUUUUUCGUUCUUGCCUUUCUUGGAUUUUUCUGGAGCUGGGAGAAAAAAUGGCCACCCGUGAAAAACAACUGGUAAAGAAAAACAUAAGUUUUGUUGUAUCAUUCUAAUUUAAUUUUUUCCCUUCCACUCCCAAUUUAGGAUUUGAUGGACGAUUUUUUUUCCUUUUUUUUUUUUGUUCUUUUGGUGUUACUUUUCUGAGUAUAUUAUUAGUUGUUGUUACAGGAAGGAAUAUGAAGACUUGAAGUUGACAUCUCUAAGAAGUAGUUAAAGCUGGUAAUAUUUAUUUGUGUUCUACUAUUUAUGCUAUAAACCAUAGUCUUUUUCUAUAAACAGUUUCUCUCACCUAAUUUAGCCUAUUUUUGUUUAUUGAGGUUUUUGUCAGCGAAAGGAUAAAGGUGAAAGUGAUUGGAAGAAUGAGCAAAUUUCUUCCAGUGUUUUGUGUUUUGGGUUUUAUUGUCUUUGUCAGAGUAAAUUAGAUAUGAGUAUCUUUUUCUUCUCUAUCUUCUUUUUUUUCCUUGGCUGGUGAACAUGACGAAUCUGUUAUUUAAACUACCUGGUAUUCUUGGUAAUGCCAAGAUUUGGGAAGUUGUAUGAUGAAACCUUUAUUUCAUAGUCGAUUUUUCUGGUUUUGUGGUUUUAAUGUGCAAAGUGAAAUCAUUAUUAUGACUAAAUUCCUUGAAGAUGUUUUCACCAGUUCAUGAUUCAUGAGAUACAUAGUUAUAUGAAUUAGAUAAAUGAAGUUUCAAAAGCAAAAUCCAUGUAAUCUACUAUGAAGAUACCGUCUUUGCUCUUUUAAAUUAUUGAAGAAACUUGGCUUGAUCUUUGGCUGGAAAAAAUAUGUUCAGAAAAUAGUAUCCCUAUGCUUCAUAGUAUUGACCUUUGAUGUUGGACCCAAUUUUGCAUUUUUAGAAAAAAGAAAAAUUGGAAAAUAAUGCAUAGAAACUUCUCUAGAAUUUACUUCCACAUAUAUAUACAGUAUUUUGUUCCCUUUGGGGAAAUUUCAUCAGUGACAUUAUUUUUAUUGUUUGAUUUUUGUUGGUAAGACUUGCUUUUAUACUCUCUCAGUAGAUUUCUUCUCUUGUUUCUGUUAUUGCUAAUUUUUUUUUUAUGAAUUCUUCUUUCUUCUAAGCAACUUUAAAGGUUCUUUUCUCUAUAUGAAUAUGUUAUUAUUGGGGUACAUCUAAUCCUGAUCCUAUUUCUGUAGCAGGAAAUGACCAUACUUCGGGUUUUGUGACCGGUGGAUCUGCUCAAUUGCAUGGUGCUGCCUAGACAAGUGCCUCACCCUGCUCUUCAGUAUCAAUUAAUGAUAUUUCCGCCAGCCCUAGGCGUGCCUUCAAAUGCUGAAUGGAAUGGGCAUCAGGUAGUUUGUUUCUGACAUCACUUCUCUAUUUUACACUGCAUUUGUCUGCUUGAUGGCAUUUAUUGUAAGAUUCAUGUGUUUAAUGUCCAUCUGAUGUUCAAAUUGUGGUGGUAUCUGACAGAUAGUGUUAUCUUUGCUUGCUGAACAGCGUAUAUGAAUUUCAUCUGAUACAUUAGAUGUCACAGAUGCAUUUAAAAAUCUGUCACUGUUUCCAAUUUGUGCUUGUCAAUGUGUAAGGUUUAACAUAUGGGGUAAUAGUAUAGUGAACAAGUGCAUUCUUAGUUAUAAUUGAGGUGAAGAAACUAAUUCUUAUCUUUUUGUGCCGCGGUAAACUAUCUUUUUACUCACCUUUACUGUGAUGAAGAUCUUCAGAUGCUGUGUUUUUUUUUUUCAGGACUUUGAAGUUAACAGUGAUUGUUGUUCUCUGUAUCUCUUUUGAAAAUUGAUAGGAGGCUCUCGUUCCCAUACUGCAUACAAAGUCAUCUUUAACUGCUUUGUUGUUCCUUUUUUUUUAUGGUAUAUAUGCAUAAGCAAGAAAUAGUGCUUUUAAAGUGGAUUUAUUCCGGAUGUAUUUGAUCUCCUUUAAAAAAUGUUCCCAUGGCAUGAAAACAGAAAUCCAUCAUUAAAUAAAAGGGGUUUGCCGACGGUUAGCUCUGCAUGCGCUCCGGAGGCCAGGUCUUGUCCCCUAUUUGUAACUUGUGAUUUGUGCUAAUAAUAUUGAAGUAUUGUUUUAAAAAAAAUGGGGGGUUUGUAGAAACAUUUCAAACAAUUAGAGAUUAAUAUGGAGAUAGGUAAGAGAAAAUUAUUGUGCUCAAUUUGCAAAGAGGAAAUAAAUCUCGAUUUUUGUUUGAAACACUAUGAACCUCAGAUUAUGUACAUGCAACUAACCAAAAAUAAAUAAAUACAUAAAACAGAGACAGAAAACAGUGAAUAGAUUCAUAACUUUCAUCAUGCAUGUGAAAUUAGUUGGUAAAUUGAAGGUGUUAAUUAUUGCACGAAGUAUUUCCAUUGUAAAUAUAAGCUGCUAGAUGCUUGUUACUGCCUAUGAAGCUCAAGUUUUUAUAUUUAGUUUUAGCUCUCUGGUACCAGUUUUUAUUGCUUACUUCAUGUAAUAAUGUCCGCACUUGAUUUUUUUUAAGACUGAUGUUCCUCCAACAUUAUCUGGAGGGUUGUUUUAACUUCCUUGCAAGGAUGUCUCUUGAAAUGGAUUAUGUUUGGAAUAGAUGUGUUUCCAUCUGUUUAUAUGAAUAUGUUAUUAUUAAGGUACAUCCUAUAGUGAUUUUUUUCUCACAAAAAAAGCAUGUUAUGUCUUUGUGUUUGUUUUCCUAAAAAUUUUUCUAAACUUCUCAAUCACUAUACGGAAUGCAAGUCAUGGUUUUCUUUUCUUUUUUUAUCUCUCUCUUAUAAAGAUUUAGCUGACCUUUUCAACAUAUUUUUUUAGUAGAUUAUGUUGGACUUGGAGAGAUGGCUGUGUUUUUCAUUUUCUUUCUUCAAGUGGAAGAAGAUGUAGAAGAGUGAAGACGAAAUGAUUGUGAUUUUAAUGGAUGUUCCAACAUUAUUUUAUUCACGAAGUGAUUAUUAACUUAAUAAUUUUUUUUAUAGUUUCCUUUUUUUCCCUCUUCUAAAACUCGCUUCUUGUUUUAAUGGCAGUUAUGUGAUAGAAGAAGAAUGAACAGCAACUAUUGGUAGGUUUUUCCUUUUAGUUAUUUCAUGUCUUUUCUUCCAUGCAAAAUGUUUGUUAAACUCCUAACUCACAAAGGGCAUUCCUUAUCCCUGGGUUUUUAAGAACUAGAGAAGUAAGCAUUUUUCAUGUUUGUUUUUUUCUUUUGUCUCUUUUAUCUUGUGCUUCAAUUAUUUUUUUUCCUAAACAUCUGGUCAAGUAGAAAAAAUGGAACAAGGCUUCCUUUUAUGUGUAUGUGCGGUUAAAAAGUAAAUGAUUAUUUUGAGCAAGAUAAUGAACAAAUGAUAAAUUGUGAGAUUGGCAUUUAAUGGAUGGGAAGAUGUCUUGUUGGAUUUAUCUCAUGUUAGAGUGUUCCAAUCCUUUCUAUCAAAAAAAAAAAAAACUAUUCCCUCUUCUUUCUAUGCAGCAAACAAUUUUUCCCUCUUUGCUGGUGGAUGAAAUAUAAAUUCCUAUAUCUGCAACAAAAAUAUUGGGCUCAAUGUUGAGAAAACUAAUUGAUUCCCAUUUAAAAAUUUUUCCUAAUCCUCUCCUACUCGAGGCUUCUGUCUCAAAAAAUCCUUCUGUUCUUAUCUUUCUUUCUUUCUCUCUAAAAACCACUGGAUUCUCCAUUCCUGUUUUAUGUAUACUUUUUUCUCUUGAUUAAAUUUUCAACUGUAAUUUUCUACUACCUUUACCCCCAUUCCAUAGGUAUUUCAUAGGUAAUUUUCUUUUAUUUUUUUUGGAUUUGGAUCAACAUUGUUUGAUUAAAGCCUGGAAUGUCAUGCUUGCUUUGCUAAGCAUGCUAUCUACAGAACUUAUUCAAUGCUUGGCUUAAAACCUUAGGCUGUUAACAGUUGAAGUAGUUAAUUUCAAACCAUGUGAAGUGUGUGAAGUAUAUCCCAAUUAACCAUGAUUAACAAACUAAUACUGACUGUGACAAUCAGGGAAUAGUGUACUUGAUGAAUCUGCUUUGAAACCGGUGUUCUUAAUAAUAUUGAGAUUAGCAAAACCUUAUAACCAACAUUGGACUAAUUUUGAGAUUUUACAAAAAAAGAUAAAAUGGACAGCAACUCAUAGAAACUUAUUUAUUAUUUGCCUUCCCUAUAUAUUUAGAGUUUUGCAUUCCAUUUCAGGGGUUUUUAAUGGACACAUGUACUUGUGUUUUCUUUCUAUGGGAAUAGAACAUAUAUCAAAAGUUUGAUUAAACAAGUUGUUGCAAAAGCCUCAACAAUCCAUGUAAACCCUGUGAAUAUUGAAUAGGAGCAAUGUUGAAAUUAAUUGAAGACCAAUUUUUUAGAUGAAUAUUGCCUUUACUGUUUUUCUUUACACUUGUGAAUAUUGCCUUCACUAUUUUUCUUUACACCUGAAAAUUUUAUAGAUUCUUGAUGCUGGAGUAAUAUGAACUUUAUUGGAAAUAAAAGCUGAAUUACAUGACCUUAUUUAGAGUUGCAUGUAUUUUGGCUUUUGGGUUGGAGUAUGUCAUUAGAAUAUAAAGACAUCCUCUCUGGUGAAGUUUCUGCUUCUUUUUUACGUUUUAGGAUCUUCCUAGCCUAUUUGAUUGCAUGAUCAUUUUAUUUCCUUUUUCACCUUAUCUUCCAUUGGCAUUUUGUGUAAAUUGCGCAGUUUCAUGAUCAAGUUGUAGAAAAGUUUACUUACAUAUCAUCUCCAGGGAUCUAGCACAUCUAAUACUUUCACUUUGGUAAGAACUCAGGUUACCCAGCAAGACACUUUAGCUUACCUGUAAGAAUCUUUUCAUUUCUGGACUUUGACAACUACUGUACCCAAAACAAGGUACCCAAAAAAAAAAAAAAAGUUUCUUGCUUGUGAAAUGGGUUGAUAAAUAGAAGGGGUAACGAAUUUUGUAUGAGACUAUUAGUAACCAAAAGUGCAGAUGUUUGUUGAAUUUGUCCUGUGAUUAUUGGCAUCAUUCAAGGCUCUUGAUUUACUUUGAACUUGGUUUUAUAGCAGUAAACUAAUUUUGAUGGAUUAUAUCUUACUUUCUUUCUUGUUAUAAUACAUGGCAGGUUCUCAGUAGUUUCUUUCAAAAGUUGCUCAUUCAAUUCUGGGACGAGUACAAAUGACAGAAAGUUGUUAUUUUUGGUUAACUUAAAAUAUGUAUUUAUCGGAAUCAUGGAAGUUCAAGUUCAUGUUUCGAGAUUCUACAAUACUAAUUUUAGUGUUUUAUUUAUUUAUUAUGAAUUCCUUGACUGUGAACAAGUGUCAAAGUUUACACAGUUAGACAAAUUGUAAAUGCAACUUUUUAUAGUUUAAAAUCAUUUACAAUUGCAAUAAUAUUUUUUUCCAUAGAAAAUUUAUCUUUAGAGGGCAAUAAUUAGGUAAGAUUAAAAUUUCACACCGUUCAUUUUUUUGAUCCUUGAUUGCAUUACAGACAUUUUGUAAAAAGGGCAUAAUUGGGCAUGUAAAUUUUAGAACUGUCCACCGCGCAUUUGCGCGGUGAUCCCCUCCUAGUUUAUAUAUGAACAAGGGAUUAAUUAGGACAGGGUGGUUUUUGUCCAAAAACUCUCACUGGUAGAAAGUGGGACACUUUAGAGUUUAAUAAUUUGUAACGGUCAUGCAUUGCUUUUAAGUGACAAAAGAAGGCAAAGUGGUUUUGACACCCAACAUUAGGGGCAAACUGAUUUUGAGAGGGCUUUAAAGGAGUUUACUACCACUUAAGCUAUAUGACAUAGCUAAACUCUACUGAGAUUAUACCUUCUAGUAAAACUCAUGGUUCGUGUUCGUAGAGCGUCCUAUGCAUAAAUUUUUGUACCUAAUGAUCCGCGUCUCUUCCUGUCCACGAACUUCCUUGGACACUAACUCCAGCUGGAGGUACAGAGACAAGAUCUGCAUAUCUAAAAGCUACUGUCACCUUACAGCUAUCAUAAUCGUCAAGCAAACUUAAAAACAUAUCUAAGUGUGCCUUAGUUCAGUAGCAAACCCAACUGAGUCACAAUUACUCGUAGUUUUUCACUCCACCCUAUCUUUUCAGGACGUAUGAGGUUACAACCAAUUCUAUCCAAGUGUGGAAUCUGUAGGUCACUACAAAGUUCAAAAUUACCACCCAGACCACGCAAGGUAACUUUUCCAAAGAUACCAAUCAUCUACUCUAGUCAAACAAAAUUUUCAACCUAAAACAGGGUUCAAUUUAUAAGCUACACACCAUCAUCCACUCCCAGGACUCUGUCCAACCAAUCCCUAGCCCCAUCAAUGUCGGACAACUAAGAGGCUGAUGAGGGAUUACAAGAGGUUGCCGUUGGACCCACUUCCGCUAUCAGCAUUAAGGAGGUUUCACCUAGUAGCGAGUCUCGAGUUCCCAGAUAGUAAGCUUCCAUACCUUCUUUAAUUACACAAUUAACAAUCUCAUUUAAUACAAAUAAAACUCAGCAACCACAUGGUAGACGACCAUCCCAACAAACUCAAACGCAGACAUAAAACAAAAAGACCAAAUCAUCAACAAAGUGUUUUGAGUCAACGACCACACCAACAAAAACCAAAUCAGCAGCCAGCAACAAAGUAAUUUCAGCAUCUAAGACAAUAUUCCCAAGUGAUUUCAGCAAAGAUUCAAAUCUCCACACACAGUGGCAUCCACUCAAUUCCCAAGUCAAUCAUGAAAUUCCUCCUCCUUCAAAUGCAUUUGCCAUCACCCUCGCAUGGUUCCUACACCAAAAAAAUUGGAACAAAUAAGGCACUAGAAAACAUUGAAAAAUCCCCACAAAAAUGAAGAUAAACAACCACCACUAGUUUUACCUUUAACUGAAAUAACAAUGGUUAAAUCAUACUAAACUAGAAAUAUCUCAUCUAGGGUGGGGGGGGAGAAUGAUCAUCUCAUUUUUGCAGCAGACAUGGAAUGAGCCUAUACGGCCACCGAUAUCUGUAAGAAUCAUGUGCAACAACUAUUUCAAGGGCUUUCUAGUUGAAUAACCACACCAUAACAACAUGUUCUGCUCAACCAAACAAUCAGUAAAUCAGCUAUCAUGAGCCAACCAUCUGUUAAUUUACACCGUAUCAGAAUGAGAACCAGAAUCAGAAUAUGAUUCAUUUACCAUGUUGUGAUCAGGCCGAUUAAAACAUGUCAAUCUAAUUGGUUUACAACUUAAAACCUUAAGACCAAUUGAGACGGUCCAAACUCCAAUCCUUAGGCAGCGUGCCCACAUUAUACCAAGUAUUCGAUUAGUUAUUGCCCUGACAAUUUAAUUUAGCAGUCUCCACUCCCUGACAGAGGCCAGUUAUUAAACUUGAUAAACAACAAGGGCUCGUAUCUUUUGCACAUCUUAUUUCUUUUUCCCCCACUUUUUACGAGGGAAACCCAAGUGCAGUUAAUAGACAACAGCAGAAACCAAAAAAGGGCCAAAAAAAAGUGAAAUUAGCAAUAUGCAGAGGAAAAAAAACUACCAAAAUCGUGUCAGUCUGCAAUGGGUGGUGGUGGCGGCGGCGGCGGCGGCGGCGGCGGCGGCUCCAGGCUGGUUGAAGGAAGAAAUUAGGAGCAUAGCGUUAAUAAUAAGAAUUGGUUGCAACUAGCAGGUAGAAGUCUAGGUGGUAUUGGUAGGUGGCAAUGAAGGGUUAGUGAGUGAUGGACUCGUGGGUAUAAGAGUAUCGAGAAUGGAGACGAAAGAGAACGAGAAAACAGCGGAUUAAGUUAAGGUGAAAGGUGGAAAGAGUGAAAUUAGUGGAGUGGUGUAACUACAAACCCUAUUACGGUAAAAAGACUUGUGUACCACGGUUUCCAAUCAUGAGAAAAUCUCAGCUCAGCUCCUUUAAAAUUCAAGCCCCAUUUGGUGAGCUGAGGAUGAGCUUACCAAAAAUUGAAACCAGCCUUUGCUAUGGGAUCUUUGCAGCCCUAAAAGUCAGUGAAUCUUUCAAGCUUUUGUUGUUAUAUCCAAUUAUGACACUACCGUUUAAUCUAAAGCUUAUUUCUUUUUUUUUUUAACAGAUUAUGACACUACUGUUUAAUCCAAAACUAUACAUAAUAUUUUCAUCAGUCCAUAUGAGACAAAUCCUGUGUUUAUAGGCCAACCAUGCAUCUUCAGUAAUGAAACCAAAUCUGAAUUCAACAACUAAAAGAUUCUGCUUAGGACUCCACACUCCACCCAGUACAUGCUUAGGACUCCAAACUUACUUGCUGCAACCAAAUGCCAGAAGCAUUGUCAAUAUUGACAACUCCAAAAUCCAGGGCAAGUUGCAGAUUUAUGUCACAAUCUCUACUACGGUACAACUCAUUUUUUGCCAAUAUAUCUGGUGAAAACCAAAAAGUUUUCUUUUUACUAUAAGAAACAUAAUUAACACCUAGGCCAACUACUUACUGUUUUCCAUCCAGCAGGCAAUGCACAGCCAUUAGUGGCAACCAAGGCAAGAAAGUAACAAAAUGGACAAACAACACAUCCACACCAUAGAAGCCGAAAAAGAUCAAUAUAAAGCUACGAUGGUACCUUAGGAAUUUUAAGCCUGCAAAGGUUGACUCUCCUAUCACCCCCAGCAGCAGAUUCAUACACACACGCUUGGAAUUCCCGCACAUCACCAGUAUUGAAAUCCUUGGCCACAAAGGUCAAAUAAAGCUUAGCACCCCCAGCUGCAUUGAGAACGCAAUUCAAAAUCUUGCCUGCUCUAAAGCCAGUUUGCUGCCAAUUUAAUAAUUUUUUUCAAAAAAUCAUAGUUAAAAAAACAGCGGAGGAAGAAGAAGAAGAUUAACAUAACCAAAACGAAUAAACAGACAAAAAAAAGGCAAAAAGCGUACAUACAUUUUUCUUGUUAUAGUGAAUAACAGCAGUAUUCACCCUGUUCUUAACAGAUCUGUAGAAAACGCCACCAGUCUUCAAGUCUUCAAGACAGUUAAAAAAACGGCCUCUUGUUUUCUCCAAAUUAAAUACCUGUGCAAUUGUAAAUGUGCAAUUGUGUGUAUGUAUAUAGGCAUUUAUAAGCUCUGGAUUCAACAGAUUGUAUGGAUGUGUCAUAAAGAAAAAAGGUACGAAAUUGUAUACCACAUCAUAAUAUUUCUCCAAUUCUUCCUCAUUUUUUAUAGACCAUUCAUCCAAAAAAGGGUCGAACAGGAAAGCGUGGUGUUCGGACCAGUCGGACUCGGACUCGGACUCGGACCCUGACCCCGACCCCUCGGGCUCGGAUUCGGACCUGUCAGAAUCGGCCUCGUCGGACUCGGUGCUGCGCACGUACUCGUAAUCCUCUUCGGACUCGUAAUUGGCGUCGAGGUCGUCAAACUGAAGUCCAUCCCGGUUUAGGGAUGACAUUUCGCUGGAAGAGGAUGACUUUCCUUGGUCGGCGUCUUUGUCCGCUACUUCUUCUCCGUCGAUUCCUCGAUCCUCCGCCGCUGGUUGAUAAACUCCAAGUUCUUCGUCGCAGGAAAGAAACUUUCCCGAAGCCAACUGAAGAGCAAACAAACCCUAAUUCUUUGGAUUUGCUUUAAGAGCGAUUUCGAGGGGCUGCGAAUCCGCGAUGUAUAUAUAAACGAACUUCCUUGGUUCCUAAUAUUUUGUAUUCUUUUAGCCCCUGACUCAUAAGAUGGAUUCUUCUUGGGCCCCGGGGUAUAAUCUAAAAUACUACAAUUUGGUGCUACACCUAUCUUGGAUUGCUUUUAUGGCGCAAAGCUGAGUCAUCUCUGCACAGUGGCUAGAAGUAAUAGGAAUAGGACAACACAGCUAGGUGGGCCGGAUAAUAGACAAAAAUGAAAAUUGUAACUGAAGGCAGGCUAGAACGGAUAAUGAACAAGAGGCCCACAGUUUAAUUUUAGAACUUCCCUAAAAUAAAGCCCGUCUUGACGGAGGAACAAAGAUGCCACUUUCCUUCUGAUUUAAUGCUUUUUUAAGUAUCCAAUAAUUUAUUGUCACGUAAACUUUUUCAAAUAUUCUAUUAUAAUAACAAUACACCUACAUUCACUAAGUAUUAUUUAUUAGUUAAUAGCAAUGGAUUUUAUUUUUUUUGUUGAAUCCCAUAGAGUGUUUUAUAACUAAAAAUAUAGAUAUAGGUUUACAUUUUUUUUCUUUUUCCUAUUCUUUUUUUUCUAAAUUUUCUUUACUCUCUUAAUUUCUUCUAGUAUUUGUUAAAUUUUUAUUGUUAAUUAAAAACAUCAAUUACAUUGGUGAAUAAAUAUUGAUUCCCCAUUAAAAUAAUAGUCAAUCAAACAAUGAGCUUACGAUAUUCAUUAGCUCAUUCCAAUUAGCCUUAAUCAAAUGAUAAGUAUCACUAUGAAUAGUUUUGAAACUCAUUCCUUAAGGAACCAGAUUACCUAAUGCCUUCUAAGUACACGAAAUAAAUUGACUUGUGCUAAACUUGAUUGAUGGUAUAUAAAUUUUUCGUGAAGAUUCAUGAAAUAUGCGAUGCCAUUCUCAAACUGAGUUUUGUUUUUAACUUAAUGUUUUGAGAGUAUGCAAAAUGAAUCAAUGACCAAUUGUUAGUAAAGAAAAAGAAAAAUCAAUGAACGAUUGGUACUUAAUAUUAUAUUAGUGCAUAAGAUACAUUCUAGGUCUGUGAAAUUAAUCAAAAUUAUGGUCUUUUGUAAAAAUAUUAUUCAUGAAAAUUAAGUUUUGUAAAGAAUAUUUAUGAUGUGGCGAUUAGUUAUUUGGUAAUUAAUUUCAAUUGGCCAAUUACUGACAUAAUUUUAGUUCAUAUUUUAAAACAGGAGGGUGUGCAAUUAAUUAAUUGACACAACUAUCCUUGAAAAUAUAGUUUUUACUCUGGGGAAAAAUUAUAUGCUCUUAAUAAUAAGGGUAUAAAUGAAAGUUUAGAAAAUACUAAACAUGUGUAAACACUAAAUGAUAAUGCUCAUAAUCUUUAACUUUAUAUAUUGUAUAGAUAGUAUAAAAAGGUUUAAUAUUUUUUUAUUGAAAGUAGUUCUACUAGUCUGAAUGCAUGUCACGUGUAUUUUUUUUAAAGUUAAAUUCAAUUUUGGAUUAUUUUAAAAGUUUGUUUUUUAGAUGUUUUGCUUUCUUUCUAAUGUUUAACUCAUUGAAUUUUUUUAACACUUCGUUCAGUUGAACUCCCAGAUUUGCAAGGUCAGCUGAUGGCGUCAUUGCAAAUCUAUCGGACGAUUCAGGAUGUGGACUUAUGUUUACACUAUUUUUCAAAACUUGACUACGUGGUCGUGUAAUGAUGGAGCUUCUUCGUUUAACUAUGUUUACAAUUACCUGAAAAUUUAAAAAAUCCUUUUUAAACUUCCCUCUUGAUUAACUGUUGACAAAAAGAAAAAAAAAAAGAAAAGGAUGUGAGUUAGUAAAAAUUAAAGUAAUUCGAAUAUAUGUCCUAUUGGGGGAGCCCUUUUUGUGCCAAGGGUUGGCCUAGAAUGAGAAUGCAUCCUCUAGAGUAGCACUAUACAAUACCUGACGAACUUGAUCAACUUAUUGAUAUUCGAAUGAAAAGUAAUUUAAAAAAUUUGAUCAAUUGUAGUGACAAGUCCAUUUAAAACAUGGUUUAUUAAUCUCAUGAAAGUACUUGGAGCAUUUGUUAAACUAAAAGGCAUCAUAAGUCACUCAUAAAGACCAUACUUUGUUUUGAAAGCAGUUUUUCAUUCAUCUCCUUCCUUUAUCCUUAUUUGAUGAUAACCAGAUUUUAAAUCAAUUUUAGUGAAAAUGAUUGCUCCACACAAUUCUUCUAACAUAUCAUCUAACCUAGGAAUAGGAUGACGAUACUUAACAGUAAGUUUAUUAAUUGCAUGACAAUCUGUACACAUUCUCCAAGUCCCUUCUUUCUUAGGCACUAAAAUGACUAAAACUGCACAAGGACUAAGAGAUUCACGAACCUGUUCCUUUUCAAGGAUGGAAUCGACUUGCCUUAGGAUUUCCUUUAUUUUCUCCGGAUUUGCUCUAUAAGUUGGUCGAUUUGGUUGAAUUGCUCUAGGAACAAAGUCGAUUUGAUGUUCAAUACCUCGAAUUGGAGGUAAUCCUUUCGAUAGUUCCUCCCGAAACAUAUCCUUGAAUUCCUGCAAAAGAUGAUAGAUUGCACUAGGAAGAGAAUCGGUUAUGCCUAGUGUGUAAAAAGAAAAAUAAUCAGUUUCCCUGUACAUAAGUACUAUGAGAAGACUUUGUACAUUCAAAACCCUAUCUAUCUCACGCAUACUUGCAUAAAAGUUCUUUUUUUUUCACUUUCAAACUCUCGGCCUUACUGAAUCUUUUUCCACUCGAAUUUUCUUUUUCACUCAACUCGGCCUCUACUUUCUUUUUCCCCUUAUUCUCUCUCGCAUUCGGUUUUUUCUUUGCCUCUCUCGACUGCAUUUUCUCUCUCUCUUUUCUUAGAUGUAAUUGUUUUUCAUACACUUGUGUAGGUGUCAAGGGUGAAAGAGCGAUUUUGAGAUUGUCCAUAAUGAACUUAUACUUAUUAGUGAAUCCAAUAUGAUCAACCUGUUUAUUAUACUCCUAGGGACGCCCCAAUAAGACAUGACUAGCAUGCAUAGGAAUUACAUCGCAUAAAAUUCGGUCCUUGGAUGGACCAAUAGAAAAAACAAUUAAAACUUAUUUGAUCACCUUGACUUCCCCCCCCCAUCAUUUAACCAAAACAAACUAUAGGGUUUAGGGUGGUAAGUCCAUAGAAUGCGCUUUUGCUCAACAAAAUCGGCAGCUACACAAUUAGUAUAAUAGUCACUAUCAAUGAUCAUAAGACAUAUCUCAUCUCCAAUUUUGCAUCUCGUAUGAAAGAUGUUGGUCUGUUGGAGAUCAUCUUCUUAAGCUUGUGUAUAAGCACUCUCAUAGUCACUAUAGCUCGAGCUAUGGGGUCCUUUUCUAUUUCAACCAUGUCAUCAUCCUUUUCUUCUUUUUCAAACGAUGGCAUAUCAGCGUACUUCUCAUCUUCUUCGCUUUGUCACACUCCAUCUUUAUUCAUGUACAUGAUGUUUUGGUUAGGGUAUUAAGCCAUGAGGUGGCCAAUUCCCUUGCAUUUGAAACAUGCUUUUGGCUGGUUGGUAGAUGCAUUUGCCUCUAGAAGAGUCGGCCGUGGGGCUGGUUUAAAAGAAGUUACACUUGGAUUGGAAAUUUGUUCAAUCCACUUGUUUUUCCUUUCUCUAUUAUCUUGUCUUGGCCAAAUAUUGGAUGUUGGCAAUUGAUUUCUUCUCCAAGGAGUGAAAGAGAAUGUAGUGGUUUGGCAACUAGGUGUUUUUAUAGGCAAGGUUUGCUUUUCCACCUUCUCUGCAUAAGAAACCAUUUGUUAAAGUGCAAAGUGAUCUUGAAGCUCAACUUUCUUCCUGAUUUCAGAAUUUAAUCCAUUAAGGAAUCUCGCCAUGGUUGCUUCUGGAUGCUCUUGUACAUUGGCCCUUAUCAUCGCUACUUCCAUUUGCUUGUAGUACUCAUCAAUCGAAUUAGACCCUUGAGUGAGUCGUUGGAGCUGAUUGUACAAGUCCGUAGUAUAAUGGAAGGGUAUAAAUCGUUUCCUCCUCACUUGCUUCAUUUCAGUCCAAGUGUCAAUCGAUUGUUCCCUAUUUCUUCUCCUUGUGGCACACACUUGCUCCCACCAAAUAGAUGCAUAAUCUUGAAAUUCAACAACUGCAAGUUUCACCUUUUUCUCUUAAGAGUAAUUGUGAAUUUCAAACACUUGCUCGACUCGUCUAACCCAAUCCAAGUAAGUUUCAAGAUUAUUUUUCCCAUGAAAGGUAGGCAUCUUGGUAUUGAUGGAACCAAGAUUGUCAUCGGUUCUCCUAGGUCAGUCUCAACCUUCCCUUGCUCCCCUUUGGUUUUUUCUUGAUCGAAAUGAGGUGUUAAAUUGAUAUCCCUCAUCAUCUGCAUAAUGAUCAUCAUUCUGAACACUCGAAACUCUAUUGUGUGUAUCUCCGGUACCUCGCAUCUCAAUGGUAGCUAACCUGUCGGAUAAUUGUAUCAUCACAAAUUCAUGUCUCUUCGCUCGUUUUCGAAGAGUUUGGAGCACCAGUUUGUUUGACACGUCUGCCUCAAGUGGCUCAGGUAUAUUCCACUCUUGAGACAUAUUGUCAAACCUGCAAAACAAGUAUAUCCUAAUCUACCUUGCAAAGCACUCUUGAAUCACUCAAGGAAAACACACUCACUCCCAAUUUUCCUUCUCAAAAUUCUUAAAGAAAACUCAAACUCUCAAAAAUUUCAGAAUUAAGAAUUCAAACCAAACAACUCAAGACUUAACAAAAAAUUGAAUGAGUAAAAAAAUGUGACACUAAUAACUCCUAGAAAACUGGAAAUUCGACUCAAAUAGUGAAGACGCAAUUUUAAGUACUGGAGUAGUGACUCUGGAUGUACAAUAGGUUAGUUAAUUCACCUUGAUUCCAAAGAGUUGGAGUAAUCCGAUAUACCAGAAUUUCAAGAAAUUAUUAAUUGCCCUAUAAGCAAGUAAUAAGACACAAAGCAAAAUUUUGCAAAUCCUAAAAAUCCUAGAAUUCGUACCUUGUCUUGCUUAAAAAUUUAGUUUGCUGUUAGGUAGGUGUUUAGGGGUAAUGUCACGUGUGGUAGGUGGUUUUUCGGUGGUAAAAAGUGGAUUGAAGGGGUGAAAAAUGAAAAGUUUAGGUUGUUUAAGGUGUGCAUACACAAGGGUAAGGAUUGGUAGGUAUGAACAGAUGCGUUCACACUCGGUCCAUCCUUUCCAAAUAUAGAAAUUUAAUCUUAUCAGAUUUUGGAAGUCCUUUUCAAUUAAGAUUUGGAAUCUUUCUUUGGAUAUGAUUGAGACUUUCCAAUUAACAACUUUCAACCUUAAUCCAACAAGAAUUUGGAAACCAACAACAAUUCGAAUUUGGAAACGAUUUUUUUUCUUUUUGUUUUGUACAAGAACUCCAAGAUUCACGAUAUCUUGGUUCAACAAUCUCAAGUUAUAGUUCACACAAUCAAGAUAUUCAAGAAUGUCAAGAACUUCAAGAUUGAUUUCAAGAAUUUCAAGAACUGAUAGCGGAUAUUGCAAACAAAAUUCUCAGCAAUUAACAAUCAAGAAUUGAAAGAUACGUGACACAUAAACUAGAAACCCUAAGUUGGACAGCAAGAAAUAGAAACAAACAAGAAUGUUUUUUUUUUACUCGGAUGAACAGUAACGAUUAACAAUAACAUGAACAGUAUGCUACAGUAUGAUGAACAGUAUGUGCUACAGUAUUUUUUUUUUUUUUUUUUAAACAAAAGACACAAACUAACAAGAUAUGAACAACUUCAAUUGAAAGAAAAUUAACCUGAUGCUCUGAUACCAACUGAUGAACAACCCUAGGGGAAAACUAUCCUAGAACCUCCCAACUCGGUAAUAUUAGAGUUGGACCUUUUCUCCCAACAGAAAUUGAACUCAAUUGUUCUCAUGAACUCAAGAUCUCUAACACACGAAGGUAAUCAGUAACCUUAAGCAAAUGAUGAUGGAUGAAGAGACACCACAACUAGAGAACAAACUAAUCGAUAAAGUUUGAUUUGAAUCCUAAUCUAUGAACUCAAGAAUUCAAGAGUAAGUUCGAUCAAGAACUUGAAGGAAAAAUACUCACGAUUUCUGGUUGUAAUUUUUCAUCCCUAAUUUCCGAAAGACAAAAGCCUUAUAUAGGCGUGUAAAAGACCUAAACUAAGCUGCCAACAAAACCUAAUCCGACUUGGAAUUUCCCUUGCUAAACUCGGCCCAAGUCCAAGUGCAACUUAGGAAAACCCUAAUCAACUUAACACAAAUAAUAACAUUGGUGCUUGACUAAAGCAAGCUUAUGACCAACUAGAUACUUAAGGACUAAAACUAGAGGACAACAUGUCCUUUGUGCGAUUAACAAGCUACUAAACUAGGCAGUUUUAAAAUAACUACUAACUAAGCUAACAAGUAUGAGAUCAUUCUUUCACUUCAAAUGUACAAGUGAACAAGGUGAUUUCAUGGUCCACCAAAUAUUUUAACUUAGCUUGCUCCUUGCUUGUAUGGUGAAUGAUCAAGACUCGUAAAGCUUCCUUCACCCUCUUAGAUUUUGAUCUUGUCAUCGGACCACCAAUGUUGACCAAAGAGUUGAACCCCGUAUCUGCAUCACUCUAUAAACACCCCAGGAUCAAACUCUUGAACCUAGGGCUCUGAUACCACUUUAUUCUGAUACCACUUUGUUAGCACAAAAAAUCACGGAGUAGAAGUGAUAUUAAAUUCUUACAAACAGUGAAUAGUAAGAAAGGCAUAGGAGGAAACAAAAUUUAGGAUUUCAAGUCCUUAAAUAAGAAAACAAAUAAUAAAAACUAUUGUAAUUCUAAUUCCUCAACAAUAAAACAACCAUAACUUAACUCCACUAUAAUUGCUAAAAUCCUAAUUUGACUAAAAGGCUGCUAAAUUAUUAUAUGGAAAUUUCUAUUUUUUAGGCUUGAUUUAAUAUGCCAAUAUUAUCUAAUCAGAUUUACAGAUUUUAUUAUUAUUUCUGUUAUGUGAUUUUUUGUGCUAACAAGCAAGAUUUUAAGGCGAUGAAAAGAAUAAAAUUUCGUUCAGUGCAACUCAAUAAAGAAAUUAAUUGUGCGCGUCAAAAUUUAGGAGUUUCUUAGGGUGGAGAAUAUGUUUGACAUAUGAAACUCGUAGUGCAAUUCUGAAAGGAAAAAGGAAAUGCAUUAAUUAGCAAAAUGAGUUAAUUUGUAACUGGAAAAUGGUUGUAUCUUAUGAACAAGCUACUUAUUAUUGUUUCUAUUUUCCUUGAAUGCCUAAAAUUUUUGUUACCUUUGGUAAAUAGCAGCCAUUCAUGUUGUAUGCUGAUAACUUAGAACAUGAAACAUGCAGUCUUGUGAUCAUGAGCAAAGUUUUGUGUAUUGAAAAGCCACUAUAUAUACGCACACACACACACACUCCUCUACCACUACUAGACUGCAUACAUUAUAUUCUAUCUAACUUAGAUUACUUUAAUUUCGUCAAGGAAAAAAGACUGUGAGUGGUUCGGGGAUUUUUGCCAACUUGAACUCGAAAUCGGUGUUUCCAGGCGCUCCUUCAUCUUUCCAUAUCUUUAACCCUGUCAAAGAUGGAAAUGGCUAUCAAAUGGCAAUCAAACGGUGAUUUCCCUGUAGAUAACUGACCUUUUGCAAGAGUUUAACAGCAUUCAAUGGAUUCUAAUAACUGCUAAAAACGAUGAUUCUAUCUGUAAAUCAAACGUUAAUCCUGGAAGGAGAAGCGCAUAGCUCGAUAACGGAGAUUGAACACGAACUUUCCUCAAAUAAGGACGCGUGGAAAUACGAUAAAAGCAAAUAUUGACAUCAUGGCACUUACCAAAAGUAAAAAAGUAUGUACAUCAUAGAACGCGCAUAGAGAAUUAGAAAGUCAAGAAUUAUUUGCAAAAAAACAAAGGAAUUAAGCCAUUUUUUUGAGAUUAAAAUUACUCGUAAAUAUUAUAAAAAUCUAAUUUGACAAAUAUGCGGCGAUGAAUCAAUUCUAGGGAUAGUGACAGCAAUCAGUAAGAUCAAAGGAUUGAUCUUGCUUUCUGUAAAGUUAGACUAGAAGUUCGAUUACAUGCCUUAAAUUUGCUAAAAGAGGGAGCAAACAAUAAUAUCAUCUAAUCAAAGACUUCUUACCUUAGUUUCUUGAAGUAAAAAGGCUGGCCUGUCCGGUCAUCUUCACCAGCUUGAACUUGAAAACCCUUUUCCCAAGCAGACCUUUGUCUUCCCACAUCUUCUCCACUGUGUACAAUCCAUCGUAGAAGUAGGUGGUGGAGGCCCUUGGUAACUUACAACCGCGGAUAACCCUAACAGGGUUCUUUGCCCUUAUGCUAUUCAGCAAUGCCAAGUUUCCACCUUUCAGCUGCUGAUCUUCAUGCAUUAUUUCCUUCCUGACCACAGUAUACAAGCGUAUCUUGAUCUGCCUUGUAGUUAUCGUAAAGCCCAGAAUCUAUGAUACUGGUCGCAAUAAUUCUUCCUCCAUCCUGCACAUACUCAAUCCCUCCCUGAGACGGACGAUGCAGCCCUAAAAUGUACAGCUCCAUUCUGUAGUGGAAUUCAUCUCCAAUUUCCACUCCAGGGACUGGGCCAAGGAGGGGCUUAUCUGGGUAGUAAUAGAAUUUCUUUUUAAUCAUCUUUGCUGCCAUGAAAUCAACCCUCUUCCUCUUGUAAUUAUCCUCUUUAUCCAUCCUCAUGAUUUGGUCACAAAAAGCUCGGAAUUCUCUUACAAUUUCCAUCACUCUCUGCCUGGCCCUCUCAACAUUUUUUGGGAGCUUUUUUCCCUGAGUAGAAGCAGUACUAGCAGCGGGUAACUGGGAAUGAUCCUUUAAGAUGAACUCAUUUUGCAUUCUUUGGUGGUGAUCCCCAUCCUCUUUGUGUCUAAUACUGCCAGAGACAUUUUCUUCCGCCAUUGAUGUAGUUCCAAUAUCUUUUGGAGAGUUAAUAUGAUCAAUCUGGAUUUCUGACCCAUCAGCCUUGCCAGCAUCAGCCGGUCUUCUGAAAACUCCAUGUGGGACUUGAACUACCGGGAAAACCUUUCGACCCUUGUGAAAUCUGGUGUUAGAAAAAUGGCAAUGGCAAUGGCAAUGAUCUGUGCUUGUAUUGCCAACCUCCUCCAUUUUUCUCUUGUUCUGCCUUCUUCCUAGUGAUGAAGGCUCCAUGGUAGAAGUCUUGGAUUAUGGGCUUCUGUCACCAAACUCAAGCUGAUCCCAAUGGCUCCUUGGCCGAAGUAUUGGAAUUCAGCUUGAGCAACAGAAUAGGGAUGAGAUGAAGGUGGAAAGAGAGAAAUGUAAAGAGGGUACUGAAGGAAGAAGUUAAGGGAACUUGCAGAGAGGGAGGAAUUAUUCCAUUCACUCCAAGGAUUCUCUUACAAAUCAGUAAAAGUCUGCCAUUGCCAUUCCCGGGUGCAGAGCCGCACUACUAAUACUAGUGCCUGAGGCUGCAUGUAACGAACUGCUGACAUGGAUCAAUUCUGAAAGAUUCUUUCUAACGACCUCACAACACGACAAUUACGAAGAAAACGACACAGUUUACAAUUAAAUGUAAACUAGUAAAAUCAUAUUACAAUUAUAGAAUAAUCUCGAUCGAAUUACCAAUACUUUGGUGUCACCUUCAAGGGUAAAUGUCAAAAAGAAUGAGCACUGUUAUUCUUUAUGCACUCAUACAUAAAUGUGGCUUAAAUAUUUAUGCUAACGCCAAAAAGAAGUUCCUUAAAGUUGAAUUGUUAACAUGCCUAUGGGUUAAUAAGAUUACAGCUAUAAAAAUAUCAGCAGGAUGUCAGUCACACUAUUUGAGUAUAUAUAUAUAAUCAUAUUGUCUUGCUAUCAAUUUGCUCUUUUUCGGAUAGGCAAAUUGAUUCCAAGAACUUUGUUUUUACGUCCCAAUUCAGUACCAAUAUAGAUUUAUGUAUCAAAUUGCAAAUUUCUCAAGGCAUGACCAUUUUCAUAAAUUAGCAGCUAAUUAUAUGUGGUCCCCUAUUUUCAUUUUUCACAGGCUAUCAGUUUGGGCAGUAAAUUAUUUACUUCUGCAUUGUAUUGUAUAACCCUCCAAGAAAGUGCUAAGAAAAAAUCAGAAUCCGAAGAUCCAUUCAAGAAUAACUAGUUCUUUAUCAGAAUAUUUUACCACAAGCUCACGUUCACUUUUAUGUGUUCCUUUGCUAAAGAAGAAAAAUUCCAUGAUGAUGGAGUCCACCAUUGGCCAACAAAUUGGUCCACAUGAAAGAGUUAAAGAGCACAACUUUUGUUUUCUAAUCACCUUUCAUCUAUAAACCUCGGAUUGCAUUCAAGUAUGUCCAGUAAGAAAAGGCUAAAAGAGAGCUGGGGUGAAGCUUUUUCCUUUUAAGUAGGAGUGGGCGGCAUUUUUGUCAAACUUUUCUCUUCUUUAUCUGCAUCAACUCUUCAUUUGAAUCCCAUAAUGAAGGGGCUCAUUAGUUUAAGCUCCACAUUUUUUAAGCUCGUUUUUUGAACGCUCAAAGUACAUGAUUAAUUAUUAGGCUGAUUGUGGUGCUUAUACAUAUAUACUUAAAGCAUGAAUUACCAAAGAUUUUAACACGUUUAGCAACGCUAUAAAGAGAGAGCAUGUGAAGGGAUUCCAUUUAUCAAUAGAGAUUAGAUACGCGAAGUAAUUCUUUAACUAAUUCGUCUACUUAUAUUGUAUUGAAUGCAUCUUUCUGCAUCUUCAACAUAAGGAGAUUUCUAUGAAGAGCUAUUUUCAUUUAAGUGCAGAUUUGGUGAAUCUCCUUGGAAUUGGAGGAGGUUGGAGGUAAGUUGUUGUCUCGCUUUUCUCCUUGGAAUUGCAAUGUUUUUCAGGAAAUGUAUUGUUUUUGCGUUAAAAGAGAAUUAAACUGAUCAUAUUCUUACCAAUCAUCGUGAUAUGUAAGUAAAUGAUUGUAAUGAUAUUGUGUGAAUAUGGAGUUUGAACUACGAAUUUUAAUUUUUUUUGAUUAAUAAACUUUCAUUGAUCUUAAAAGAAGUCGGCACUAGUAACAGCGAUUACAUACAUCAUAUAUGAAAUGAAAGAAAUCUUCUUCGCAGACCAUAAAAUCAGCAAAACAAAUAACUCAUUUAUAAACUAUGCAAUUUUAACAAUCCAUGCUACGGAUGGUAACUGAGACAUGUCCAUGUGUAAGAGGAGGAAGGGGGUUGGAGCGAAGGAGGGGUGGGUUAGGGGAAGGGGAAUUUUUGCCUUAAAUAGAGCGGGAGUGUCUCCCCAUCAAUUGCAUAAAUAUAAAAAUUUAUACAUAUAACAUAAAUUCCUGAUUAUUCGUGAGUAUAUAAUCUAUAAAUCUGAUGUUGGUGGUCUCUUGAAUAUUUGCUUGUUCUUAAUCCUUGAAUAUACAUACAUUAGAGGGUUCUAAUUGGAUUUUUGCUUGUCCUUUAAUUCUUGAGUUCAUAUACCAUUAAAGGGUUCUUAUUUAUGGGUGCUUAAGUUUCUGGUUCAUAGACCAGAUGGUUUGGCUCCAGUAAAUCUGAUAGACCCUAACGUUGUUGAUGCAGUGACGUGGUAGCAGAAGCGACUUAAUAGUAUUCGUUCAAAAAAUUAAGGUCCGAUUUGAUAACCCAAUUCGGUAUUUAAAUUUAAUGGAUUUAUAUUUUAGACUGUUUGAGAACCAAAAAUUGAACAUCUGAAUUAAUUAAGUGGUACUGAAUUUUCUAGGCAAAACUUGCUCCCAAAAUUAAGUGAUAAGUUAUUCACUUAUCACUAAAUGUGAUAUGCACUCAAAUGUAUUAUAUUUAAUAUUUAACAAUUCAAUAAAUUAAUGGAUUCAGUUUUCAGAUUUCAGACUUCAAUUUUUAUCAAAUACACCCUAAAUCCAUAAGAAAGAAUCAAGGGUCGAUCAAACCUUCCAAAGAUAACAAGAUUCAACAAGAACCUAAACAACUCAGUUAAGCCACUCCAAGGGACAUGGUAAAGCCAACAACUCAGUUAAUUUGAUUCAUUUGUAGGUUAAUACAAUAGCUUUAACUAAGCCCACCACUACUACCAGAUAUGUAUAAGGAAUAAGAAACUAUGAGAUAAGGAAAAUACUUAAUAAGAAACUCCUAAAUACAUCUAAUUAGAAUAGGAAACAAAAUGAUUAAAAACUGAUAUAAACUUCAAUUAUCCACUAGGUAAGGAUCCGCUCGUGGAUCCGUUUGGCGAGUCACAGAUCCCCGAAGUAGAUCCAAAUAGCACCUUCUAAAAUCUUAUCUAGGAAGGGGAUCCGUUGCAAACUUCUAUGAACUAGUUUAAAAACCAGUGCUAUGCACAGCUAUAAAGAAUGUUAUCAAAAAUAAAUAAAUAGUUAUGGGAAUAUAUAACACAUAACAAUUUAAUAAACAAUAGUUUAACCUAUGAAAUGUUAAACAUUUUUUAGCUACCCCUUACUGCUUCUGCCUUUAUAAAUCCAAUCCUUUUCCUUGCUGAAAUUUUUUUUUUAUAAAAAAAAAAAAAAACAGUUUUUAGCUACCGUCAACCUAGAACAAACAUGCAUUACCAAAAAAAAAAUGGUAUAACACUUGAAACAUGCCAUAUCAAAUUGUAAUAGAUCCAAAACCAAAUUAUGUUUGCUAAAUGCCAAUUCAUUUCUCAUCCAUCAUGUCCAACAUUCAGAAAAUUCAAAAAGUAUUUUGCCAAAAUUUUAAUUUCAUUUCUUAAUGAUCAUAUCUAUUACCUUUGGCAUAAAAUUCAUACAGUAGUGGAUUUCUUUCAAGAAGUUAACAUUUUAAAUUUCAAAAUUUUUGUUUGUUUAUUUGGCCUAAAAAUAUUCAAUAGUCCAUGAUUUUACAAUUCCUCAUAUUUGUAAACCAUUAAUGUAAUGCUUUAAAUAUAUGCAAUUUAAGUAAUAGAACAUUGGUGAAUAAAGGUGAGCAAACUUCUUAAUCAAGAUAUAGAGUAUGACAAAUAGAAGCAUGCACAGAAAAUAGAAAAAUUGAUAAAAUUAUUUUUACUGUUUAAUUUUCAAAAAAAAUGUGUCAUCAAUGCAAUAUAAUGUAUAAUUAUCACAACUUUUUUUUUUGCUCUCCCACCCCUUCCCACACCCUUCCCAUCCCCUAAAUUUAUCAAGACUAAUUACAUAUAUAAACUUCAAGAUUGCCACAAAUUUCUUAAGGAAAAACAAUAUAUAAUCUUGUAUUGGUAUUUCACUUGACAUAAGAAUAAGAAUUAAGUUCUUCUUUUAGUGAAAAACUCUUUUUUUUUUUUGUUUACUAUUCCAUAUCACAAAUAACCUUCUUACAUAAAAAUGGUUAAAGGCUCUAUCUUUUUUUUUUUUUUUGCAACCAAAAUUAGACCAUUGGUUGACUGCAUUUUAUAUUUUUAUUUUGAAUGGGAAUUGAAUUUCCUUCCCAUAGCAAAAUCAAAAAAUUGUACAUUUGUUGUUUCAUUUACUAAAUUUAUUAGUCAUUUUUAGCCUAAUAAUUGGAUAAGUUGCUUUCCAUCAUAAUAGUUUAAAAUGUUGUUUCAUUUUAAUUUUUAUUAUUUCACGUACUUUUCUUUUAGUGUAAGUGAAAGAUUUCAAAUUCAAGAUCUCUAUUGAUCUAAAAUGUACAGAUAUAGAAAUGUAAUAUGUAAAAUCUAGCAUUUGUCUAAAUAAUCUCAUGAUCAGAAAACACGAAUAAUAAAUAUAGAAACCAAAGUAGAUCUUGGAGAUAAAGAAAAAAAGACUCACAAUAGUAAUUUAGAUUAGUAUAAUACAUAACCAAAAAUAUAUGUGGAUCAAAAAACUCCUUUUUUUCUAUCAAAUGUUAAAGUCAUGUGCAUCAUCAAGGUGUUAAGAUUUGAAAUAAUUUAAAUUUAGAAAUGAUGAGAAUAUAGUCUAUAAUCAAGAUUUUGAAAUCAACUCAUUACAUUUUAGGAAUUAAAAUAAAUAAAAAAAAUCUACAAAAAAGGAAUUGAGAGCUUGGGAAGAAUUUGAAUUUUGAAAUAAUGAGAAUAUAGUCUACAAUCACGAUUUUGAAAUCAAUUCAUUACAUUUUAGGAAUUAAAAUAAAUAGACAAUCUACAAAAAAGGAAUUGAGAGUUUGAAAACAAUUUAAGUUUUGAAAUGAUGAGAACAUAGACUACAAUCAAGAUUUUGAAAUUAACUCAUUAAUUUUUUGGAAUUAAAAUAAAAAGAAAAUCUACAAAAAAAAUGGAAUUGAGAGUUUAGAAAUAAUUGAAAUUUUGAAAUGAUGAGAAUAUAGUCUACAAUCAAGAUUUUGAAAUCAAUUUAUUACAUUUUAGGAAUCAAAAUGAAUAGAAAAUCUAUAAAAAAGGAAUUGAGAGUUUGGAAAUAAUUUAAAUAUUGAAAUGAUGAGAACAUAGCCUACAAUCAAAAUUUUGAAUCAACUCAUUACAUUUUAGGAAUUAAGAUAAAUAGAAAAUCUACAAAAAAAGGAAUUGAGAGUUUAAAGGCUUAGGGUGGCUUUUAACCAAAAAUCCCUUUUGUGAUUUAUAUAGAUAUGGAUCUACGCACGGCUCCUUUUUUUUUUUAACAAAAAUUUGUAUAAACUAGACUCCAGUCACUACCAUGAGUCAGGGUAUAAGCCGCUCACAGAGAUGCUUGUAUUCGCCCACCAACAAAACUCUCAUGUCGGUAGCGAAAUUCGAACACACCACCUUUUAUAAGAAAAUUACCCGUCCUUACCAACACAGCCCUCAUAUUAGCACGGAUCCUUUGUGAAAACAGGAUUUCGUGGCUUUUUUCUUCCUCUUUCCUCGCACUUCCUAAAACUUCCAAACGAUGCUCCAUAGACUCUCAUGUCGCCAAAGGACGUUUCGCAUCAGUUAAAGGACGUUUCGCAUCAGUUAUAGCUAGAGAUGGCAAAAUGUGCAGUAGCCAUGCACAACAAAAAGGCCAGUUCUAUUAGUACUAGACUAGUAGAAAUUGUAGUAGUAACAUGAAUAGCUCCAUAUCCAUAAGAAAAGUGUAGAUCUAACAUAUAUAACCAAAAUCAGAGAAUUCUAUGUGAGAGCUGACAGGAAAACAAGAGAGAAUAAGAACAAAAAAAGAGGGAUAAACUCUCGUUCAAAAAUUUUUUAAGCGAGAGAAAAGUUUCACUAGUUGUGAAUUGAUCAUUGAUUGUAAAUGGAUAGGUGCUAAGGUUUUUUUUUUCGCCUAUUUCGGGAAAAAGUAGCAUUGGUAAAAUCGGGACGGAUGUAAUUGGACUUUGUCCACCGGGUAUAAACACGUUUUCUUUCUUUCUUUUUUAAUUGAUAUGUGUGGAAAGCAGGAUUAAACUGAGACAUAAUUAUUCGAGAUUUUUCUUGUCAUGGUUAAUGUGAGAAAUUACAAACUGUAAAAUUUGAUUUUUUUUUCUAAAAUCGACAGUGAUUUUCAAAAAUAAAAAUAUUAGACAGUUCCGUAAUAUUAUUGUUCAUGGAGGUUUGUUGGUUAUCCAUGGAUCCUAAUUGAGUUUUAAUCGUAGCGAUCCCAAAGACAGGUUUUCCAAAAUUAUAUGCUUCUUGUAAGUACUAAUAGAGAGAGGCAUUUCGGCUGCUUGCUUUGUGAAGGCGCUCAAUCUAUCUAUUUCUUUAAGUAUCCAACUAAAACUCAUUAAGGACACCUAUCUAUGGACAGGGCUACAAUCAAAUUGAAUUGAGUUUGAGUAGCGCAUGGUGACUUUAAAGAAAAGGUUCUUCAAGAAUUAUUUAAUUGAGUUUGAGUAGAAAGGCAUUUUGGCUUCUUUAUUAGUGGUGGCGCUCACUCCAUUUAUCUCUCCAAGGACCAAACUGAGACUCAUUUAAGGGAAGCAUAUCUAUGAAAUAGCGCUACAAUUGACUCAAGUCAGCUAAUAAAGGGAAGCUUACCUAUGAAAUAGCUAUGUUUUCAGAACCGGACCGGGUAUCGACUCGAUCGAAUUCAGAGAUUAGGGGUCAAUGGGUUCAACCGAGUUCGAUUGGAGUUGAACUGGAUGACGUCAUAAAUAAAAAUUAUUUAAAAAUUAAAAUAUUAUAUGUAAAAUACUUAAUAACAUGUUAAUAGUAAUAAAGGUAUAUUCAUAUAUAUAUUUGAUGUUUCAAAUAUAUUUAACAAGAAAAUACAAAAAAAUUAGAAUGAUCAAUUAGCAAUUUAUAUUAUUCAAUGAACAUUAACAAGUUUAGAAUUAAAAUUAUGGAUUUGAUUGAAAAAUAACACCAAACUUUAAGACAAUAUUUAUAAAGUAUGAAAUAUUUGAGGUAUAUUAAUAAUUUUUAACAACCUAGGGAGUAAAACAUAAUAUUAAAAAUGUUUUGACCUUUCAAAAAAAUAUUGAGCUGCAGGACUGAGGCUGAGGUCUCUGCUGCCAUGUCAGGUAUGUGCUUCAAUUAAGAAGGCUGCCGGUAUAUCUUUCCAUCGGGCCCACCAGGAUUCCCGCCGUUGGUACUUGCAAGCCGGCCUUGUUCAAAAUGCAAAUUUUCCUCUCAGUGGACUGUAGAGGUGGCAAAAUAGGCGGGAUGGGCGGGAUUUGCUUGGGUUUAAGAUAGAACCGAAUCAUAUGGGUUUGGGCCCAACCUUAUCCAUAUAUGUUUUGGGACUAACUUGGGCGGGAUCACUUUGGGAUGGGUUUAGAUUGAUCCCGCCCAAUACCCAAAUCUAUUUUCUACAUAUUUUUUUUCUUUAAUUUAUUUUUUAUUUUUUUAUAUAAUUUUAAUAUUUUUUAUUUAUUAAAUUUCUUUUAGUUUUAUUAAAUAAACAUGCAAGUGCUUUAUACUCAGGAUUAUCACCAAAAAUUGGAUUAACAAAUAAAGGAAAAGAUAAAUAUACAAUCAUGACUAUAAAAAUUGUUAAAAAUAAUUUUUGAAUCUAAGACUCCGUUUGGAUUGGCUAUUUUUUCAAAAAAUAAGUUUUUCAAAUACAAUAUUACAGUAAUAUACAAUAACUCAAAAAACAUCUCAUCCAUAUUAGUAUAUCAAAUAUUUCAAAAAAAAUUUAUAGUAAAAAUUUUUCAUAUACACUACUACAAUAAAAUAUUUCAAAAACACCCCCAAAAAUAGUUAAUCCAAACGGAGCCCUUGCUAUUUGAGCCCAAUGGGUACCCAAGCAUUUUUCAAAAUUUCCCAUCAAUUAAUGGGUACAAUUGGAAUUUGUCCCAUUUUAAACCCAAUAUCAAAUUCCAAUACCCAUCCCGCCCAAAAUCUCAAUGGGCAUGGGUAACCCAUUGGGAUUUGGGACAAAUUGCCACCUCUAGUUGAAAACCUACGAGUUAAAAAAGGAUUGAUCAGAAAUCUUGACAAAGCCUCCAAGGUUUGGCAGUGAGUUGUGAGUUUAUUGUUUAUGAAUCUUGAGCUAACAAUAGUGUAGAGUAUUUUAUUGUCAGUUUAUUUGUCUAGAGUCAAGUUUUAGUAUCUUUGGCUGUGAUUUUGUUGUGCCUACAUCUUUGGCAUACUACAACAACUGCCUUUUCCUUCCCAUGUUAAGAGAAAAUUCUGAAGAAGCUAAAGUACAUAUGCUUAAAGUAGUAAAAAAAAAGUUAAACAAUCACACUUAGAACAAAAUGGCACAUUGCUAUUAAUUUUCACCGCCCUUUGCCUCCUAAAUUUUGCAAAAGUAAUCAUUGAUUAGAUUUGUGCAAAGUGCCAAAAAUUAAGAGUUUAAAGUGCAAAGUGUUCAAAAUUGAAAUUUAUGGUAUAAAGUGAAAAUGAUAUAAGUUUAGGGUGCAAAGUGAAAUUAAUCCUAUUCUUUUAUUCUCAACCCUUAAGUUCUUUUUUGUAAUUGUUGCUAAAUAUCAAAUUUAAGAGCACCAAAACAAAUUUUGGUCCUUUUUAUAUGCUAAAGUACAUAUGGUUUAAGAAUUUCACCAUUUAUUUUUCUUCUUCCUAGUCGUGUCAUCUCCAUAUCUUUUUGAAUUUUCUACUGAUUAUUAAGAAGCACUAAUUAGUAUAUACUCCCUCCGUCCCAUUGUUAUUGUCAUAGUUCACCUUUUUUCAUGUCCCAAAAUUUGAGUCACACUACAAUUUUUUUCUCUAACAUUCCAUUUGUACCCUCAAAAGAGACAUUGAUAAAACAAAAAACAAGUAUGAUGGAACCCACAAAAGCAAUAAAUAGACAUCCAAAAAAAAGGUGCGUGGACAGCACCAAAAAUUUUGAUGGCCACAAACAGGCGCGUGCUUGGCAACAGCAUGAAAAAGAGCUUACAUUUUAUAUGGACCCACAGAUUCUUUUCACAUCACCAUAGACAGCAAUUAAGAUUUGAUAUCGGUCAAAGGGGCACGAUUGGAAAAAAAUGUCUCACAUUCAAAUUGAUUGAACUGUGCAUAAUAAGUUAGAAUCCCCAAAAACGUCCCUUAUUUUGGGACGGAGGGAGUACAAUUCAAGGAAUUGGACAUAGUAACAUUUAUGGUUCCCUGGAUUUUAUACUUUUCCCUGAUAUAAAUUACCAUUAAAAAAAAUAACAUAAUCCUUAAACAAUCCUUUUCUUAGAAUUUUCUUUAAUGCUACCAUUCAAUGAUUCAAAAGAGAUUUAAACGGAAAUUUUUAAAAUUGCACGCAUCUCCCUUGCCUUUGUCCACAUGAUGCCCAAUGAAAUGUUUUCCUGAAGGGGAAUUCUAAUGAAAGUAUUUGAGCAAUAGUCUCUACUCACUUUUUAGUUUAAUUUGAUGCUGCAAAUAAGCAUCCAAUAUAUCAAUUACAACAUUAUAAAAUGCAAAUUUGUUAAACAAGUCAUUCACUAGUUAGGUUCUAAUGAAAAGAUUUUAGUACCUUAAAGGUACUUUGGAUUGGCUAUUAUUUGCAAAAAAAAAAAAAUUAUUUAUUUGAAUCACAAACAUAUUUUUUUAAUCAUCUUCUUAUCUAGUUAAUCAUUAUCACACAUACAUCACAUUACAAAAAAAAUGGUAGAGCAAUUAUUCCCAAAAAAAAUUAUAAAUAAUCUUAUAUCCAAACACACACUUUGUUUGGCAAAAUACCUCAUUUAGUGGUGGUACUAAACCUUGUUUGGAUUGUGAUUUUCACAGAAAAAUUUGUACAUUUUCCGUGAACAUAUUUUCCAAUUAUCUUUUUACCUCACAUAUAUCAAAUUGCUACAAUAUAUUCUUUCUACAAAAACUCUGAAAAAUAGCAAUCCAACUGGUUCAAAGAAACGAGUCUAUGUGCAACCUAGAAAAGAAUAGAAGUAUCAAUGAGUCUAAUCAAAUCGAGGAUUCUAGUGUUAAAACUUGUUUAUUAUUUUCACAAAUUUAAAAUUAUGUUUAACCUUGCAUUGUUAUAUUUGUCAAGUCCAAAUCAAAAACUUUUACCUAGUCAAAAUGAAAUAAACUUUUACCAAGUCGAGUUCACAUAAUUUGAAUUUUUUACAUAUAAAAUUAAAUCUCAAGUAAAUCAAGUCCGGUUUAAAUCAAGUUUGAAACUUUAACACCAAAAAACUGUUCAUGUUUGGCAUGAUUCAUUAAUAAAUCAAGCUCAAACAAAUUUUUUUCUAACCGAGCUCAGCCCGAGUGUUGGUUUGUUUUUCACCAUUAAGAAAGAAAGACGAAAUCGUUUGUUGAAAAAAAAAAAAAAAAAAGAAAGACAGGCGAAAUGCUAAUGCCUAGAAGUUAAUUGGGGCAAAAUAAAUUUAUCUCAAAAGAAAAAAAAAACCCCACUAAAAGGAAUUUUUUAAUUAUCUCCUCUCAAAAAAGACCCCGCCGCAAUUGGAUUUCAAAAUCAUUCAAACCACCCUGGACGGCUGGACCAGAUGGUCCCCACUCAAUCCAGCCCUGCUCCAACUACAAGUUAUAUGUGAGAAGGAGCUGAGUUGCUAGUAGCUGCUGCACAAAUCAACUGGUGAGAACUUGAAACCAGAGAAUACAGAUGUUCAGAACUUUUGGCACAAAACUGAAACCAGUUCUCAACUUGAGUACCAGAGUAGUCAGUACUCAGUAGGACGAAGGUGCUGCCAGCAAAGAACAUUAAACAGUUUUGAAAAAAAUAAAAAAAAAUAGGAGUAGGUGUCUCAGUUUUUUUUUUCUUACAAAAAAAAGAGAGAGAUCGAUGAACAUUAAAGUUUUUGCAUUUAAAUUGGAAUGAUCAACAAAGUUUUGCAACUGAACAUGAAAUUCAGUUACCUAAAAUCAUUCAAUCUUUUCAUCAGAUAAGAUGUAAUCUACAAUCUCUUAUCUUGUCCACAACACUGAAUCUAUUUCAUUUCUAGCAGCCUUGUACAACUCCAACUUCCUAGAGCACUGCUGCCUCCUUUCCAUUAACACUGGAUCUUCAUCCAAUAACUGAGCAAGCUGACGACAAGAUAAAAACAAUUAAACUCAAAGCUUUGUACAAAAUCCUCAUUCUAUGACCUAUCAUUAGCAACUUUGUGUGUAAAAUUGGCUUUGAUGCAAAUUUUUUUAACAUGUAGUAACAAAAUUUGACUGAGAUUACGCCCAAUGAGUGAAAAUAUGGAAUUCCAACUCAUGAAAAGCUUUUGAGAAAACUCGUUUUGGUCCACUGCGUAGUUCAAACUGUCAAAAGUGUUUUGACAGCAGUGAUUCAAAGACCAACCAUUUCCUCCAAGUGGUUUCAGACUAGAUUUAGUUCCGAUUACUGUUGCUUCAGCAAAAACAAAUUAGAGUCCAGUGGAAAUCGUCCUGAUAUCUCCCCCUCCCCCUCCCCCACCCCAAAAAAAAGAUAAACCAAAGAAAAAGAGAAAAGCAGAAGAAAACAAUCAAUUGACCUCCUGUAACUAAGAUGUCAGAGAAGGAUAUAUACCUCCUUUUUGCCAACUUGUGUAUAGAAGUGAUCUAGUAAAGUUCGCUUCGCCUCUUGAACUUGACAAUAUACUACAGCUUGGGAAUCGUGUUCUUGAGAGUCUCAGACACCAUGCCUACAUAGGAGGAAUCAUUUGAACCUAUAAAGUGCCCCUCACUGUAACGGUCAGCAGCAGAGACAUUUGGAUUUCCACCUUUUCGGCUUCUUGCGGGAGUUUUCUAAAGAAAUCCAGUGAGGUAUGAGGCCUCCAUGUCUACCAUUCGCAACACAGUCUUCUUGCUGUCAUCACGAAACCUUUCCAAUGCCUCAUUUGCUGCAGCUACUAUUUCUGCCUGGAGAGUUGGAAAACGUCUAAGCGCCUGCAUUUUAGAGUUCCAUCAUCAACUCUCUUUUGACGAAUAAAUGUUCACAAAUGUCACCGGGAUGGACUUGUGACUUUCUACCUGUGUUUCUCGAAUUGACUUGCGGACAAGCUCCUUCAAGAUGAAGUGUAUCUAAGAAAAACAAGCAAUUACUUUUGCAAAACUAUAGAUACAGACACCAUCUCUUUGCAUAUAAGAAAAUUUGUUUUGCCAGCAGUAUUUUCAUUUAUUCCAGUUGUACACUUGAAAUAAAUCCAUUGAUCCAGUCUUCAAACUUUGACCUCAACCCAAGUAUAAUGCUAAUGUGUUAGUCUUCUUAUCAUAUGCCCAUUUACUGCCAAUGGACUGCUAAUUCUUCCUUACCAGAAAUGGUCAUUAAUCCAACCAAAAUAGGCAUGCUUAAGCAGUUAAUGAGAAUCCAUUAUCCAAGUGAUACAUGUAGACUGAAGCACUUACUGCAUCAACUGAAGCUUCAGCCGGACCUCUGAAAUAACUGAGAGAACUCUCAAUCAGGCGUCUGUAACCUUGUUCUGGUGCUAUAAGAUGAGGUUGGUAUCCAUCUGCUUGACAGACACUUUCUUUACAUUUUGUAGUGAGAGAUGCCAAUCAAAAGGGAGCUUCCUCAAAGCAAUAGGGAGUUGGUGGUCAAAAACUACAUAAAUCCGAUCUCCCCCUGGCCGCAUAUCAAGAGAAGUAAUAGAUGCUUAACAUAACCAAUAUGGGAGUACAGAUGCUUAUUACCGUGAAAAAUGCAAAAGUAAAAGCGGUACGCCUAUUUGUGGAGAUUUAAAAAUCUCAUGGUCAAACUUUUAGUGGAAGUUAGUAUAGUGAGAUCACAAAUUCUUGUAAUCCUCAUAAGGGUUUCAAAAAAUUCAAUGUAGUCAACAGAUGUUGAAAAUCAUUCAAUUUACUCCAUCUACUUCACAGUUUUUAAGGAUAAGGUCCUAAAAUCAAUUUUAGAUUGCAAUUUUCCUAAAACAAUUUAUACCUCCAUCUUAUUCGACUGCAUGACAUGGUUUCUUUGCACGAAAAGGACCUUAAGUUGCAAUUGAAAACUCUGGUGCAGCAAAUAUUAGUGAUAGCGAAAGGACUGGUAUGAUCACUUUAAAUUUGACUGCAUUAGCAUUUCUGAAAACUUCACAGUCUAGCAGGCAUAAACAAAUUUUCCUAUAACAGCUGAGUUGCUAUUUCAAACAUCAUGUCGCCAUCAAUUGUAUAAUCUAAGAUGUUUAAUGCCCAAACUUAAGAAACAUCCAGCCAGCAGGACGUGCAAUGACUCAACCAAAUGGCUGGUGUUACAUGGUCUUCAGUCGUAAGUGGCUGCAACUACAAACUGCAUGCUUGCACAUUCUUUUCUUGGCAAGUGAUAGUGUUAUUGCCAAUUAAUUAUGGAACCAAAUGGUUUCUAAGAAAAUCAAAUAUUCAAGUUGAUUUAAUUCUCUAUUUGAUGCAUUAGACUACUUUUUAAGUGAAGAUAAAUUUUCUUUAUACAUUUGUGUACUUCUCACCCCCCCCCCCCAAAAAAAACCCUUUUUUUUGUUUUCUGUUUUGUAGGCCAUGGGGGUGGGUGGGGGGAGUGAGUAGCAAACAGUUGCACGAGGUGAGGCUGGAAGAAAUACGUACCCUCCUUCAAGGUGUUCCUUGAAUACUCGAUCAAAUGCCCGACAGAGCUCCAAGAUUGUGUAUAACUGGGCCUACAAUAUUGAACAAAUUACUCAACACAGAAAUUGGCAAAAUGUUUAGACAAAUUUACCAAAGUAGGUAUAUGUCCUCACCCCUUCAUCUAUUGAAACAGGUCUGCCAAAAUGGGUAAGAUCUGAUUUAAGUUCAUCGGUAGUUUUGUUGAUCAAAGACACAAGACUAGGUAUGCGGGCCUUUAUCACUGAUUCUAGGUGCUGACACCACAGAUAUUUUCAAAAUAACUAUUAGUGAACUCUAAAUUAUUCUAAACAAUGGAAAAAUAUUGCGGCAUUUGUAAGCAAAACAUAAGUGCAAACAUGUACCUUGGAAAGAAGUUUUGCGAGAUACUCUGAACCCAUUCUGCUGGCCAAGUGCCCAUAUUCAGGGCUAGUUGCAAAGAAUUCCCGCUCCCUAUGCCUGGUGGCAAUCAUGUCAAGAUUUCUGUUUAUGUCAGCUUGUUAACGGUUAAUGACCCCAACCCAGGGAUGUUGCAAUCGGUAUGAUCUUCCUUCAAGUACCUUGAUGGAAGAAAGGUGAACCUUGAGUGAGUAAUCUAGAGGCAGGGUGGGGAGGAAUUCUAAAUCCUGAAAUGGCAUCUAAAUAAAGACAUUGCUAGUCGCUCAAAUAGAACAGAAUAAAAACUGGAAAUUUUUUUUUUAAAAACUGUAAGUUAAUAAUGUUUGCAUACUCAGAAAUCUUACUGUAGGAUAUAGGAAAAAAGAAAAACAAAAAAAUAGAGUGGCCAUACUACUACAUUCCCUGAGAACUACAGGCGAAAUUUGCAGAGAUAAACAAUAUGGUAUAGCUUUAAUAACCAACUGGCAUCUGCAGUGGUGACACUUAGGUGUGGGUAAUGAAAACAAGUAACCAAUCGACAUUCUUCACAGGCUCGAAUGGAACUGCAUCCUAAUGAAAUAUAUCUAUAAUACCCUUGAUAAUUAUAACUUCCAAAAGUAUAAAGGACUCAAGUGUCAGUUUUUGUCUUCGAAAGGAAACUACAUAUAAUCAUCCAACUCAUGCCUGCUCUAACUUCAGCUAAUUCAAGAGCAAUUCCCUGAAAAACUAAAUAACCUGCAACAACUCCAUCUAGUUUGGAGAUUCAUCAUGUUAACACAACAAUCAUGAAGAUCCAAAGAAUUUAAACGGUUGCUUCUAAAAUCCCUUGUCAAUCUUGAGCAUAUCUAAUUAGAAAUGACCUAAAAAAAAACAUAGAGCUUGACUCUAAAAAUGCUGAUGUUAAACUCCAGAUAUUGAGAAAGAUGACAACAAAAAGAAAGUUGAGUAAGAACCAACCAGAAAACUGGCUAAAACCAAGUUUAUGGAACAAUGUUAGGCACAAUACCUAAUAUAUUGGUAGAAGCUAUCUUGCCAAACAAUAGAUUGAUAUAAGCAGUCACUUUCAACCAGUCUAAGACAAACUUCUUGGAGAAAGUAAAGACACUUACAUCCAGAGCAUUUGUUCCUUUAUCCAUCAAAUCAAGCUUUGUCAACACGCCAAAGGUCCGUUCUCCGGUAUAUAGGAUGCAUCAAUAGUGAAAAGAACCAAAAAUUAUUUCCAAGAAUACAGCCAAUAGGUUAAGACGAGAGAGUGACGAAGCAAGUUUGUUAAAACUCUACCACAGAAAUUACCUGCUGGAUCAACUUCUCGUGCAAUCUUGAUAGCAUCAGAUGUUGCAAGAUCUUGAUUGGCAGGAGUUAUGGCCAAGAUGAUUGUAUUUGGCUACAACCAGAAACAAUAUGAUCAGCAAUCAAAUGCAAAUACAAACUGCAAUUUUGUCCAAAAUCGACAAAUUCUGUUCUUCAAUUCCAGUUCAAGGGUGUGCUAAAGGUUAAGAAAAUUCCAGUGAAGAAGAAUCUUCUGUCAUUAUAUAAAAUGACACUUCAUGCUUACAAGAAGCUGCUUAUCAUGUCUCCAAACUCAGAAGUUACCUUCAUAUGCUUCCAAAUCUUAUAAGGAGAGUCAUUUACCGAAUCAAACUAGAUAAAAAAUGAUAAUGAGUGGCACACCCAAAUCAAAGUGCUUCAGUUUUAGUAUAAGCAUCAAUCAAUAGGAUCAGAAGAGUUCUCUGAGAUUUAGCUAUUCAAUGAGAGUAUUUUCCACAAAAUAUGACAGCAUCGUUCUACCUUCUCUACAUAUGAGCGAACCAUAUUUUCAAUUUCUUGGACUAUGCUUUCAUGCUGUCCCUCUGCAAACGCAAACUUGUAAGUAAGACAUAAUGAUUGUGCAACAAAGAAUAACAGAAAAUUAGCAAAAAAAGAAUGACAUACCCACAGCAGCUUUGGUUAAACCAGGUAAAUCUACCAAAGUUAAAUUUACAACUGCAAGUAAAGAAAUUAAGCGAAAGGAAAAGAUAUUGUUAGUGAAGGAAUGAGAUAAUAAUAUGAAGAAAACCAGAACUGCAAAAUUAAGGAUCACCAAAGUAAGAAAUCAAUAUCUUAAACCAUAAUCGCCAAAAGUUAAGAAAUCAUGAAAGAUUUCUCAAAUUAAAACGCACCAUUAGGGGAGUAGAUACUGAGAUUAAUGGGCAGCGCAGAGAUCUGCUUAGCUUUCCCAGUCACCCUGUCAGUUUCUUCCUGAAUCUCUUUCCCAACGAUGGCUUCACAAGAAAAGCAUAAUGAAUCAAAAUGAACAUGCUACUAGUGUACGGGUGUGCAAAAAUGUCUUUUAUGAAGGUUUUUCACUCCACUUAAAGAAAUGGAAAAACCACUAGGAAAAAAAUCUAAGAUGAUAAAAUGUCUACCAGUGGUAAGGCACUGUUACUUUCAAAUGACGCAGAUAUGGCUAUGUUGCCACGUCACCAAGGCAAAAGCUGACAGCUAAUCAGAAAAUAAACAGAUCAUCCUAUUCUGCAGUUUAAUGAAUAAAAAGAGGCAAUUCAUGCAGCCUUACACCUGCAAGUUAAGCAGCUUCGUUGCAUUCAACUAGUGAUUUUCAUUUCACUCUCAAAACUAUCCAAUGCAUUUACAAUAUUCACAACAUUACCAUUUAAAACAGCAGAAGAAAAUAACUUACAAAAGUCUAUGAAUUUUUUCUCUCCAGUAUGAAGAAACUGUGCAUAAUCCUCUUUUCCAGGAUCUAUCUUGUAGAGUUGCAGUAUCAGAGGCCUUCUCGUUACAAUCCCUACAAGCAUUAUAAAUUAAAAACCCAUAAGCAUAAUUAGUCGCUCCGAAGAACACUAAAAUCAGGAAAAUUGAAGCAAGGGGAAUAAAUGAUAGACAUUUGCUCUGUUUAAGAGCUGUGAUGCAUUCAAACUUCAUUCUUAAUUUCCUCAAACUCCCUCAGCAAGAAUGACGCUGGUAGUUAAUGAUGUGAAAUCCAUUAACAACACGCGAUGGCCUCUCGCAUUUAGUAUUCACCACGAAAGCAUUUCUACUCCAACAUCAAACUUGUAACAUUCGAUCAUCAUAAUGCAACUAACUUCUCUUAAUUAGCAUCAAUUAAAUCACAAAAUUAUACACACAAUGACAAAAGGCAACGAGAAAGUAAAGAUAAAGAGAAUAAACAAGAAAAAAUAGAGAAAAAAAACCUGAUCCUCUAGGCAGAAAAUCACGCCCAACGAAGCUCUCCAACACCGAUGACUUCCCCGAACUCUACACGUCAUGAGCAAACCAAAUGGCAAAAAGAAAAUUCAUAUUCUUUUCCAAAAAAUAUUAACUAGUCAUCUACUUGCAUUCCUAAUAAACUCUGCCAAAGAAAUCAAUAUACAUUAAAAUUGAAGUGCAUAGAAACGCACAAAUGUUAUGCAUGUUCGCUGUACGAAUUUAUAUAAUCACAAUUUUACUGCUACUCACUCUAAAAAAAACCUUAAAAAACAUUAAAAACAGAAAACACUUCAAAAUCUUCCACCGGCAACUUCUGAAGCCUCGACUCCUCCUCGGGUGCACACACAGCAAGACACAGCAGUAUGUGAUGCUGUAAAAAGUAUAUAUACAGAGAGAAAGAAGAAAACCUGGCCGCCGAGGACGACGAUGGUGGGGAGAGAGUCCCAAAGAGUUGGCAAAGAGCCAUCAUCGCCAUAAUCACCGAGAAGAGUACAAGCUUUCUGGAGUGUAUUCACAAGUCCGAUCACACUUUCCAUCUCGCUACAUGUACCCAAGCUAGCGGGUGCCUGAGGAGUUCCGGCGUUCAAAAAUUUUCCGACGCCGGUGAAGAAGAGAAGCAGUAGGAGGAGCUGGAGAAGAGGUAGGGGUGAAGUAGAGGGGAGGUAGAGAAGGAAAAUGAGACAAGUAACGGAAGCUAUUUUAAAAUUAUUAUAUUUUGACCUGUCAGGAAAUUUUUUGUUUAGUUUUAGAGCGAGAAAGUAGAGAGUGGGCCUUUUUGUGCGGCAGUUGUUGGAGCGAAGGGAUUGUGGGAUAAGAUGCAACUCAUCCGCAUAUGUAACUGAGAAUUUGCAGCUAUGGUGGUGCCUCUCUCCAUUUCGCCUCCUCUUUGUACAGAUCUGAGCCUGAUUGAUCAUUGCGUAUCUCUUCUUUAUAUCUUUUAAUUACUCGAUUAUUUUUGUUCCAGUCUUGUGGCACGUUGAUUUAUUGGUGGAUGAAUUCCAUUGGAAACAAUACAUUGAUAGGCCUAGAAACAUCAGAAGGAACCCGGAAAUUUUAUGCAGCAAUUAUAUGUUACGAAACAUUAAUUUUGACUUUUACUGCAUUGUCAUGUUACUGCAUCGUCAAUAAGUACAGUCUGCAGUGAAUCAGCAUUUGUUUGAUAUAAUGUAAUUUCUGUUUCAAUUUUGGUUUUAGGAAAUUGAUAUUGGUCAUGCACUGAUUAAUUUCUGGCAUUGAUAAGCACUUCUAAGUUCCAUAACUUGGUUCUUGAAUUAUUCACUGGACAAAUCCUUACUGGGGAGACGAAGACUUUAACACAUUUCACUCUUCAUUCAUUUUGCAAAUUAUAUUAGUUUCUCUGAUUUUGCACAUGCACUUGGACUUUACCUUAAUUACCCUGCUGCUAUAAUGCUUUGCUUUAAUGGAUAUAGCAUCAACAUCUCUAAGGGCACUUUGAGCUUUGACACUGCAACUUAUGAUUAACUUCAAGUACCAGGUGUGCUAUGUUUCUCCUCUUCCCCCUCUCCCGAGAGCUAUGUUGCAGGAUUUUGAUAGCAUUUUACUCAGCGCAACAAAUAUCAGUUCCAAAGAAUUGUAGGAUCUUCAGCAUUCACAUUUGGAUAAUCUCCACUAUGGUAUAUCAAAAGAGAGCCGAUGUCAACAUGUAGUAAAAAAUUAGCAAAAUCCUUAGUUAUGUUGAUUUACAUUUUUUAAAGAAGACGGAGCCCAAUUGUUCAUUAUUGCUAUCCUUUGCUGUUUAGGUUUCGUUUUAAGCACAUAUUGCUAUCCUUUGCUGUUUAAGUUUCUUUGACUCUAUGGAGCAUGUAUCAUGAUAUAUUGAUUUAUGCCUUUUAAUGUGCUUUGCUGUUUAAGUUUCUUUGACUCUAUGGAGCAUGAUGUAUCAUGAUAUAUUGAUUUAUGCCUUUUAAUGUGCCUUUGCAUUGCAAAGCUAUCAAUCAUCAUACUCUUUUGAACUAAAAUAUUCUCGACUAAUAUUCCAAAACAUAUAUAAAAAAUAUCACAAAAACAAAUACGACUUUACUAACAGGUCUAAAGUUCCAUCACAUGGUAAUACAAAUAAAACUCAGCAACCACAUGGUAAACGACCAUAACAAUAAACUCAGACGCAGGCAUAAAACAAAAGGACCAAAUCAUCAACAAAGUAUUACGAGUCAACGACCACACCAACAAAAACAAAAUCAGCAACCAGCAACAAAAUAAUUUCAGCAUCUAAGUGGACAAUAUUCCCAAGUGAUUUCAGCAAAGAUUCAAAUCUCCACACACAAUAGCAUCCACUCAAUUCCCAAGUCGAUCAUGAAAUUCAACCUCCUUCAAACGCAUUUGCCACCACCCUCGCAUGGCUCCUAGACCCAAAAAUUGGAACAAUUAAAGCACUGGAAAACAUUGAAAAAUCCCCACAAAAAUGAAGAUAAACCACCACCACUAGUUUACCUUUAACUGAAAUAACAAUGGUUAAAUCAUACUAAACUAGAAACGUCUCAUCUAGAGGGGGGGGGGGAAGAAUGAUCAUCUCAUUUUUGCAGCAGACAUGGAAUGAGCCUAAAUGGCCGCCGAUACUUGAUAUCUGUAAUAAUCACAUGGAACAACUAUUUUCAAGGGCCUUCUAGUUGAAUAACCACACCAUAACAAAAUGUUUUGCACAACCAAACAAUCAGUAAAUCAACUAUCAUGAGCCAACCAUCUGUUAAAUUACAUCAUAUCAGAAUGAGAACCAGAAUCAGAAUAUGAUUCAUUUACCAUGUGAUCAGGCUGCUGAAAACAUGUCAAUCUAAUUGGUUUACAACUUAAAAACUAAUGACCAAUUGAGAUGGUCCUAACUCCAAUCCUUAGGCAACGUGCCCACGUUAUACCCGAGUAUUCGAUUAGUUAUUGCCCUGACAAUUUAAUUUAGCAGUCACAACUCCCUUACAGAGGCCAGGUAUUAAACUUGAUAAACAACAACGGCUCGUAUCUGUUGCACAUCUUCUUUAUUUUUCCCCCACUUUUUACGAGGGAAACCCAAGUGCAGUUAACAGACACAGCAGAAACCCAAAAAGGGCCAAAAAAGUAAAAAGUGAAAUUAGCACCAUGCAGGGAAGAAAAAACUACCAAAAUCGUGUCAGUCUGCAAUGGGUGGUGGUGGCGGCGGCAGCGGCUCCAGGCUGGUUGAAGGAAGAAAUUAGGAGCAUAGCGUUAAUAAUAGGAAUUGGUUGCAACUAGCAGGUAGAAGUCUCGGUGGUAUUGGUAGGUGGCAAUGAAGGGUUAGUGAGUGAUGGACCGGUGGGUAUAAGAGUAUCGAGAAUGGAGACGAGAGAGAACAAGAAAACAGCGGAUUAAGUUAAGGUGAAAGGUGGAAAGAGUGAAAUUAGUGGAGUGGUGUAACUACGAACCCUAUUACGGUAAAAAGACUUGUGUACCACGGUUUCCAAUCAUGAGAAAAUCUCAGCUCAGCUCCUUUAAAAUUCAAACCCUAUUUCGUAAGCUGAGCAUGAGCUUAUCCAAAAAUUGAACCCAGCCUUUGCUACGGGAUCUUUGCAGCCCUAAAAGUCAGAGAAUCUUUCGAGCUUUUGUUAUUAUAUCCAAUUAUGACACUACUGUUUAAUCUAAAGCUUUUUUCUUUUUUUUUCUUUCUUUUUUAACAGAUUAUGACACUACUGUUUAAUCAAAACUAUACAUAAUAUUUUCAUCAGUCCAUAUGAGACAAAUCCUGUGUUUAUAGGCCAACCAUGCAUCUUCAGUAAUGAAACCAAAUCUGAAUUCAACAACUAAAAGAUUCUGCUUAGGACUCCACACUCCACCCAGUACAUGCUUAGGACUCCAAACUUACUUGCUGCAACCAAAUGCCAGAAGCAUUGUCAAUAUUGACAACUCCAAAAUCCAGGGCAAGUUGCAGAUUUAUGUCACAAUCUCUACUACGGUACAACUCAUUUUUGGCCAAUAUAUCUGGUGAAAACCAAAAAGUUUUCUUUUUACUAUAAGAAACAUAAUUAACACCUAGGCCAACUACUUACUGUUUGCCAUCCAGCAGGCAAUGCACAGCCAUUAGUGGCAACCAAAGCAGGAAAGUAACAAAAUGGACAAACAACACAUCCACACUACAGAAGCCGAAAGAGAUCAAUAUAAAGCUACGAUGGUACCUUAGGAAUUUUAAGCCUGCAAAGGUAGACUUUCCUAUCACCCCCAGCAGCAGAUUCAUGCACACACGCUUGGAAUUCCCCCACAUCACCAGUAUUGAAAUCCUUGGCCACAAAGGUCAAAUAGAACUUGGCGCCCCCAGCUGUAGUGAGAACGCAAUUCAAAAUCUUGCCUGCUCUAAAGCCAGUUUGCUGCCAAUUUAAUAAUUUUUUUUUUCAAAAAAUCAUAGUUAAAAAAACAGCGGAGGAAGAAGAAGAAGAAGAUUAACAUAACCAAAAUGAAUAAACAGACAAAAAAAGGCAAAAAGCGUACAUACAUUUUUCUUGUUAUAGUGAAUAAUAGCAGUAUUCACCCUGUUCUUAACAUAUCUGUAGAAAAAGCCAUCAGUCUUCAAGUCUUCAAGACAGUUAAAAAAACGGCCUCUCGUCUUCUCCAAAUUAAACACCUGUGCAAUUGUGUGCAUGUAUAUAGGCAUUUAUAAGCUCUGGAUUCAACAGAUAGUGUGGAUAUGUCAUAAAAAAAGGUACGAAAUUGUAUACCACAUCAUAAUAUUUCUCCAAUUCUUCAUUUUUUAUACACCAUUCAUCCAAAAAGAAAGGAUCGAACAGGAAAGCGUGGUGUUCGGACCAGUCGGACUCGGACUCGGACCCUGACCCCGACCCGUCGGGCUCGGAUUCGGACCCGUCAGAAUCGGCCUCGUCGGACUCGGCGCCGCGCACGUACUCGUAAUCCUCUCCGGACUCGUAAUUGGUGUCGAGGUCGUCAAACUGAAGUCCAUCCCGGUUUAGGGAUGACAUUUCGCUGGAAGAGGAUGACUUUCCUUGGUCGGCGUCCUUGUCCGCUACUUCUUCUCCGUCGAUUCCUCGAUCCUCCGCCGCUGGUUGAUAAACUCCAAGUUCUUCGUCGGAGGAAAGUAACUUUCCCGGAUCCAUCUGAAGAGGAAAAAACCCUAUAUUUUUUGGUUGAUCAUAAAGUACAAUAUGCCGACAUCACCUUAACGGCUUAACCAUAGCACCUUAUAAGUUGGGCUAAGAGACAGUGGCAAGGUGAUUACCUGAUUGUGUAUCCUUUGAGAGAGGUGAAUUGGAAAUUUAAAGACUAAAUAUGGACACUCAAGAAUUCCCCUAAGAUUUUUGACAAUUUCACUGAGCUCCCCUAAAGUUUGAAAAAUUACACUUAUCUCCCUUAUUUUGAUAGUUUUAGUAACAAAAUAUUAAAAUAAUUUUUUGAAUAAUUUUUUAAUUGAACGCCCAAACAUGCCCUUAUGGAAUGAGUUUUAAUUUAUUUUCCUAUACAAUUAUAAGAUUAUUUAGUAUAAUUAUAAGGAAAAGGUGCCAAAUUUUUCAUGUUCAUAUCUAUUAUUUGAUAAAUAACUAUAAUAAUAAUUUUAUUACUAUGAUAUGAUAUUUUUUAUGAUAUUUUAUUAUGGAUUUAGAUUUAUAAGAUAGAAAAGAAAAUAUUAAAAUAAUUCAUUUUGAGUUUAUAAAUUUUUGGAGUAGUGGGAUUAUCAUAAUUUGGUAGUGCUUUUGGGUAAUUUUUUUUAUUUAUUAUUAAGUUUAAUACCAAUAAAUAGAAAAUAAAGAUCAGCAAAAACAUUGGACUACAUAUAAAAUUAACUCGUAAAAAAAAAUCACUAGUUCGACAUUUGGUUAUAAUAGAAACCUAGAGAUAAUAGUGAUAGUUCUACGGUUUUAUUGAUGAAAAGUUUAAAAAAAGGAAGAAGAAGGAAAAAGAAUGAAAAAAUAAUUUUAAAAAUCAUUCUAAGUAUAAGCAUACCAAAUAAGAGAAUUUCAUUAAAAUAUUUAAAGGUAAAAUUAUUAUUUUAAAUGAUAAGGGAGGUAUGUGUAAUUUUUUCAACCUCAAGGGAGCUCAGUGAAAUUAUUAGAAAUCUCAGGGGAGGUUUGUGAAAUUAUCCCAUAACUUUUUUACCAAAUAUUAUCACACUACUACAGGAACUUUAGAUAGAAUAUAGGAGUAGCUAUUAGCCAAAUACUAAGGAAUAAGCCUAACAAUAGAUUCCCUAGGAGAUCAUUGUGAUUUACCCAUUGUCAAAGCGGGAAAGGGACAGAAAUGAUUUUCAACACAAUUAUUCUUAAACGGUGUAACAUCUUAUAAAUAAGUUAUAAUUCAUUAUUAACUAUUUGUGCAACAUCGUGACAGAUACGUAAUUAUUAUGUAUGAGCGUCAUAUGAGCUGUAAUUAAAUGUCACACCAUUAUUAUAAAAUUAUUAAAAAAAAUUUGAAUAAGUUAUAAUUUGUUCAAACUGUAUUACACCGUCCAAAAACAGUUAUACCUGCUCCUUUUUCCUUCCCCUCAUAGAUGCAUGGUAAUUAGUUUUUUUUUUUUUUUUUAUCUUCAAUGUAUUUUCCUGUCAAGUCCAAUAAUAGUGAUUCAUGUAACUCUGGCAUCCUAUAAUGCCCAUGCCAGGUAAAGUUGUUUCUCCCACACAGAGGUGUUAUGAUUAGUGAUGGCCGCAUGCUCUUCCCCAAUAAUUUUUCCCUACAUCAUUGCCCUCAAUUUAGCAAUUGAAAUGAAAGUUGCUCGAGCCAACGAGAGUAGAAAGUAACUUCAGUAAAAGAUUGAAUAGUUUCAAGAUAAUGCCUUUCAAAUUUACUAAAGAAAAGUUUGAUGCUUUUAACAAAAAUGGACCACAUCCAUAUGGUAGCACUUAUUAGCUUUGUUAUUCCUUUAAUCACAUCUUAGUUGAGAAGAUGCGCCACAUCUAGAGCUUUUAUAUAGGGAUAAAAUUUACAAAUUCGUCACCACUAAUAGCUAGUUUGGGGGGAAGGAAAUGGAUAGAAAAGAAAGGCUUUGAAAGGAUAAUAAAUUCUUUCCAUCGUUUGAGAGCCAAAAAGAGAAGGAAAAGAAAGGAUUUGGACUUCCUUCACUUCUCUCUGUGUACUGGAAAACUUUCCGCCCAAAGUUGGGCGGAAAAGGAAGGAAGGGACUGUGCUUUAAGUGAAAUUUUCAAUAUGACAAUAUUACCCUCAAAAUCAUGAUACAAAAAUUUUUAAUUCCGGAUGAGUCUCUCAGCUUACUUGAUUCACAUUUAUUUUCAAAAAGGGCAAUUUUGUAAAAUAACCUAUUUGAGCAUCUUUUCUUUUCAUCUGUUUUCAACUCCCAAACAAAAGAAAACUACUUACCUUCUUUUCUUUUUUAAAACUCCCAAACAACUUAGAUAGAAACUUAAAUCCUUUCCCAUCCUUUCUUUUCUUUUCUAACUAACCCUUUCUCUUCUUUUCUUUUCUAUUCUAAACUCCCAAACUAGCUAUAAGACAUAAGAUGAUAUGGGAAAGCAAUAAUAAAUAUGCAUAUAGAAAACCAGUAGUCACAAGUCAAUCUUACAGAUCAUGAUAUGACAUCUAUAUAUCAUUGUUGAUUUGUUGUCAAAUUGUCACUCCCUUUUGGUAGGUAUUUCUAGUUGUGAGUCUUAAUAUUAACUCUUGAGAUUCCUCCUACGAUGACUGGUUUUAAAAUGCAGGGUGUGAAAAAAAGCUAUUAAUUUUGAUCAAAGCAUUCAUCUUCUAGUAAAAAAAAGUUAACAAAUUUUGAUAACUGAAGUUUAGACCAAAAUGAAAAUGUUGAGAAUAUAAAUUAAGUAUCAGGUUCAAAUGUAUCACCUGUCACGCCAGCGUGCACCUACCUACAAAGACAGUUAUGACAGCCAGACCAUUCUCAUUCCCAUGAUUCCAUUUCAUGCCUAGUAUUCAUAUUCUUCUUCUUCUGGUGCGACUGAAUCAAAAUUCACGAAGAGAUUAAGGUGAGGGAGACCAGAGAAUUGAUCAGAACAACGAUGGCAGUUGCUAAUGAGAAACCACCAAUGUCUGAAGUUAAGGUUUGGAGUUUCUGUAGAUUGCCUUUCUGGCAAUCCACCAAUAAUGCAGCUGCCGGUGGUGGUGGUGGUGGCAGUGGUUCUUCAUCCUUGCAGCAAAACCAUCUUGCUGCUGCUGAUCAUCAACCUUCCAUCAAGGUCGCUUCUGUGGCCAAGUCCUUUCUUCCUACUCGCCGUAGACUCGGUCUUGAUCCCCCCAACAAGCUCUAUUUUCCCUGUAUGUGGGCUAAUCUUUUUUCAUUGAUGCACGCUUCAUUCUCUCUGAUGCUCUACAUAUAUGUGCGUGAAGCUGAGGUAGUACAUUUUGAUGCGUGUCUUCAUUGCGAAUGAAUCCUGCGUUUUCAACCACUUUGGUGUUCUCUUUUUCUGUCAGUGAAUUGCUUUCUUUUCCUGCUAUUUGUCAGUUUUAUGGGUUUACCAAAUUUACCAAAAGAUGUAUGUUUGGUUAUUGGAAAACUUUAGAAGUCUCUGCUAGUGUACAGGGGCCUCUGCUUUCUUGUUUUCCUCGCUGAUUUUCGUGUUGGAACUGUUCUUGGUUGAUACAAGAUGAACCGGGUAAACAAGUCAAAAGUGCAAUUCGGAUUAGAAACAUCAGCAAGACUCAUGUUGCCUUCAAGGUAUUAUAUGCAGCUUUAUUUUGCUUUUGCAUUGAUUUUAUUGUCACAAGAACAAAAUUUGUGAUGCAUCAAUUUUUUGAGUUUCUAUGCAGUCAUCAAACUCUGUAAUAAUAAAAGAUUUCAUGAAUGUAUCAUUUGGAAAUGCUAUCAUCGGAUCACCAGCUUGAGGCUAAUUAUAUUCUUGAUUGGAUUACUUGUUGCAGAAUCUGGAAAUGAAAGUUUGAAUUUAGGCGUUGUUAUUCAAUGAUUAAAGAAAAAUGGCGACUAAAUUUCAAAGUAAUGACGACCAUGUGGGAUUAAGUGUAGGAAAUCUUCAAUUCAGAAAUGUUUGCAUCAAAUGAAAGGAAAUCUUCUAAACCUUUUAGAAGUUUAUGUAAUCAGAUAUGGUAUAAGAAAAGAGAAGUAUUCCUGAAAAGGAAAUGUCAAUUGACAAAAGAAUGAAGACACAAUGUGCAACUUGCUGAGUCUGCAUUUGGUGCUCAUCGAAUUAGACAAAAUCGAUUUUGCAGAAAAGGAAAAGAUUUUGCUCCAUUCAUCUGCUGAAUGCUAAACCAAUUUUAGCGAAAGAAAGUUUUCGUUUGCCCUUGAGAGUUAUAUAGUUCGAAUGCAAGAGUUCAGUUUGGAGGACAUAAUCCAUUCCCUAUAGUAAAAAAACAACAGAUAUGUUGUGUUUUUCAUUGCACGGUAAUCUAACUGCAAUCUUGCUGUUGCUUUAAUUAGUUCCAAACAACUGCACCAAAGAGUUGUUACAUGCGUCCUCCGGGAGGCAUACUUGCUCCUGAUGAGAGUCUAAUUGCCACAGGUAAUUUCACCCUUGAUCAGUAUCAUUCUUCAUUUACUUUGUGCUACACAUGGAUUUACCAGCAUUUGGACAAUAAGGGUGUACAGAUCUUCUCUUCAUGCAAAAUUCUGAGGUGCUUUUAAUCUCUGAUUGAACAGUUUUCAAGUUUGUGGAGCCUCCAGAGUCCAAUGACAAACUGGAUGGUCUAAAGAGCAGGGUCAAGUUCAAGAUAAUGAGCUUGAAAGUAAAGGGAGACAUGGAUUAUGUACCUGAGCUGGUAAUUUGUUUAACCUUCCUUCAUCUGUUAUCAAGUUGGUGUUUUUGGUUUCAUAGUUCCACUUGAUCAUGAUAGUAACUUAAUCGCUAAGAGUCGUCAGAUAUGAAUUAUUAGCUUCAAGAAAAUUGUUGAUUGGCAAUAAUAUGAUUGCAUACCUGUUUUCUGUACUAAUCUGCAACAUGCUAACUCAAUUGUAUUGUCUCCCCUCUCCUUUUAAUGUUUUUCUAAAUUAUGGUAUAAAAAAUGGAACAAGAGCCAUGAGAGCGUCAUUUAAGGUACAUUAUUGUUACCAAUCACCAAAUGUGUACAGAUUCUUUUUCCCUGUUGCCAAUGGUAACCUUUGCCAGUAAUUGGGAGGAUUUUUAUUAACCAUGAAAAAAUUCCACUUGUGAUUGAAAACUAAGGAUAGGCAAAACUGGAAGAGACUUGAACAGGGAAGAACUUUCUGAAGACCUUUAGUUCUAGUUGAGUUGCAAAAGAAAUCAAAAGUAUUCCUUUCUUUUUAAACUAAUAUGGGAAGGUAGGUAAGGCAAAACAUUCCCUUUCAUGAUUCAUUACAAUAUUCAAGAACCUGAACAUGAUGGUUGGGAAUUUGUUUCAUUGCCCAGAACCUGUAGAAUUUUAAGGAAGAAUUUAUUACAUUGUCACAUUCAUAGAUGAAUGCUUAUUAAAUUGUUUAUUUGUACCAUAUCUGGAUGCUUAGUGGUGAUGAACUGUCAGUGCUAAUGAUUACAUUCCAAAAGAUCCCAAUCAUCUUAGCAUCAUUUGUUUGCCAUUUUCUUCCAUUUUUUGUGUCUAUCUUUAAUUAUUUAACUCUUUACAAUCUUUUGGCAUGUAUAUACAUUAGAAGUUGACGUUGUAGUUAGUUUUAAGCAGGAAGAGAAAAGAAUAUCCACUUUGAUUAAUUCUUCUUAAUUACCUCCUUCGGUGAUAAUUGAAGUCAUUUGCAAAGUUACAUGCCUCAUUUUCCCCACUUUUCAAAAGUUAUCACCCAUUGGUCUAUGCUUCCAAGCUCAGAUUCCAGUAACAAUGCAAAAAACUGGACGAUUCAACCAAAGGAUAAUUUAUUCGCUUAAUGUCCAUAUUAUUACAAUCAAAAAGUGCCAUCAACUCGAUGCAGUUCGAUGAAUGGCUGUGUAAUUUUGUUGUCCACUGAGUAUAUAAUCCAGUUCUUGAUAAUGAUAUGUACACAACAGUAAUUUCCCGGACGAGUUAAUCAUAUUGGUUCUUAUGUUUAUGAUCUUUUUCCCUCUAUUCUCCAUUUUUGCAAAUCCAUUAACUUGCCGUUACUGAUAACAAAUGCAGUUUGAUGAGCAAAGGGAUCAAGUUGCAGUUGAACAGAUUCUGCGGGUUGUUUUCCUGGAGCCUGAUCAUCCUACCCCACUAAGUACAUUUUUAAUUCAUCAGAUCAAAUUAGCUGUAUCUUGAAUCAAUGAACUCAGAUCAUGUUAGUCAUUUCGAAUCCGUAUAAUCACAUUCUGAUUCAUUGAGAGGUUAAAUUUUUCUCUCAAGGCACUCGAAAAACUGAAUCGUCAACUAGCUGAGGCUGAGGCUGAGCUUGAGAUACGUAAAAGGCCUCCUCCAGAGGACAAAGGUCCAAGAGUUCUUGGGGCAGGUCUUGUCAUUGAUGAAUGGGUAAGUUGUUUCAACAGAUUGAUGUUUUGCUACAUUUGUGGUCUUAUAGCUUUAUCUGAUUCCCUUAUUUGUGUGAUCUGUGCUGGUUUUUGUAGAAGGAAAGGAGGGAAAGAUAUCUUGCAAGACAACUGGUCGAAGGAGUUGAUUCAGUAUAAGCUGCUAUACUUUCUUUCCACUGAUGCAGAACAGAAAACUGGAGUGAAAGUGAAAUCACAGGCAACAGAAUCCGGAAUUUAUGAGUUCAACAUGCUAUUUCAGGGAUUCAAUGAAGCAUAAUAGAGAGAACUAUUUUGCUUCCCUUUUGAUAUCAGAAUAACUAUAUGAUUCAAGGAUUGUCUCCUGGCUGAGACUUUUGUUACAUGUAUAUAAAGAGGAUUAGCAAGUAGGAUUGUUCUUCAUCUAUGAACAUUGGUUUUCUCCUCCAAAUUUUUGCUUCCUCCAAUUUGAAAAUCUUAUGUGCCUAUUUUUCUAUGUUCCUGUGGUUUUGGGGCCAUGCAACAGGUUAUUGUCAUGUGUGGAAAAUGCACCAAAAAGACCUAAACAAUUCAGGCAAAAAGAAAUCAUUAACAAUAAUAUUGCAAAUGGUAUCCUGUGCUAAGCUAUGGCCUGACAACUUGAAAGCAUGAACAGUUGCUGGAGAUUUGAUCUACCAAAAAUCUUUCAUCUUUUUCACUUUUGUUGUCACUAGUUGAUUCGUAUCAAAUACCACUGGUAUGUUAUACUUUUGAACUCAUGCUACAAUAUGCAAGUCUCUUUCUAAUCAUUAUGUUUUGCAAUUGGGGAUAAUUUCAAAACCUCCCUUGAGGUUUUUGAUAAUUGCAUGUGGCUCCCUCAAUGUUUCAAAAAUUACACCUACCUCCUUGCCUAUUUAAAAUGACAAUACUAACCUUAAUAUUUUAAUAAAACUCUCUUGUUGCCAUGUUUAUACAAAGGGAUGGAUUUUAUAAUUUUUUUUUCGUUUUUCAUUCUUAUUCAUUUCUCUUAUAUUUCAUUAGAAGUACAGAAUAACUAUUAAUGUUAUCACUAAUAUCUAUCCAAGUCAAACAUUAAACUAGUAAUUUUUUUGAUGACUUUUAAUAUCAUCCAAUUUUUUUGUAACUCUUUUUAUUUGUAUUAAAAUCAAGAAUAAAUCAACAAUAAUUAAAAACAAAUUGCCCAAAAUCACUACCAAACUAUGGUAGUUCCAUCACUAAACUAGUCCAUAAACUUUUAUUAAAAAAAUAGUCCAUAAAUUUAAAAAACACAAAAUAAUACUUUUUUCUCUACCUUAAAAAAAAUCUAUAUUUCCAAUAAAGCACUAUGAAAGAUAGCUUAUCAUAACAACAGAUUUAUUGCUAUAGUUGAUUAUUAAAUAACAAAUAUUGGCAUAAAAAACUCGAUACUCCUUUUUUCAAAAUAAUUAUGUCAAAUUACUUUACAAUUGUUUUGGAAAAAUGAAUUAAACUUUAUAAGAUAAAGGCAUUUUAGGAUAUUCAUUAAAUUUUUGACCUUAUUUUAAGGUUUAGUUACUAAAAUAUCAAAUCAAAUGAGGUAAGUGUAAUUUUUAAAACUUCAAGGAAAUUAAGUGAAUAGUCAGAAACCUCAGGGAGGAUUCUGAAAUUAUCCCUUGCAAUUGUGCGGUUAGUGCUUCAUUUAUAUAAUAGUACUACUUUGUGGAACUGAUUAACCAUGUCCCAUUGAACUCCACUGGAUUUGUUGAAAAAGUUCCACCACCCUUUUUCUACAGACUAAUGAGAGAAAAAGGCAGGCUGCCUUACUUGUGCCAACAUUAUGCUUGUUUUUAUAGCACUUUAAUUGGAGAUCUUUAUCACAAUAAGAUAAAAUUGAGUUUGGAAGCUUUUUUCAUGGGUAGGCACAAUAAAAUUGUAAGAUUGUCACCUGCCCGAGUUGAUGAUAUUAUAGCGUCAAGCAUACUUUCUAUAGACAAAGUUAACUCCAAACUCACAUCUUAUCAUUCGUCAUAAAGAGCAUAGAAUAAGAAUCCUAUUUUGGAUUAUAAUUAGUUCCAUUCUUGACAAACACAUGUUGUGCUUAGAUCACACCACAAAAUAUCUUGAGAGGUAACUGCUAAUUUUGUUCCAUUCUUUUCUAGGGAUUCUUUGUGAGAGUUUUUGAUAAUUUUUUUUUAUUUUUUUUAUUAGAUCUGAGUUUUUUUAAAUUUUGAUUAUCAAAUAUGAAAUUUCCUGAAUCUAUUCGACAGAUCUCACCAUAAUAUCUAAACUUGAAACAGCUAAUCAGCAGAUCUGACGAUUGGAAGCAUGCACAGAUGUUCGUAGGUUACAACUAUUUUAUCUUAUUUUUUAAAUUUGGAAUUUAACAAUGUAAUUUUUAUUGUUCUUCAAAUCAGAAUAUCCUUUUUUUCAGAUUUAUUUUUUGACAUCUAUGUAUGUCUGACGAUGUAAUUUCUAUCAUUAGUGCAGAUUUUAAUGAAAUUAUUAUAUUUUAUAUUAAAAAAAAUUUUGUUCGAGCUUAGGCUUACGUGCUUAUGUGACAGAUUAAAUUAAAGUUGAGUUAAAUUGCUAAAAAGGAGAAGAUACAAGUCGUCCUUAUCAUUUUCUAAGGACAAAAGUUGUCAUUGUCAUCACAUCACUCCAUUUCUUAAUUACUAUUUAUUGAGUAUCUUGGAGACUUUUGAGCGAGUGGAUGGAGUUGCAUACCUAAUUUGCAUUAAAUAUUACCAAAAAAAAAAUCAAAUCGUAUCCUUCCCACAAGUAUAGAAUAAGCCCAAUAAGCAUCAGGUCAUUUUCACUUUUGUUGGGUCGGAUCUCAUUUGAUUUUUAUUUGUUAUUUUUAACUCUUCCAGGCCCACUUCGCCACGAAACUGCUUGAAGGUGGCAGCCUCAUCUUUGUUCUCGUGGGUCCUUAAGUUGAAUUGAAUGAAUUAUUGGAAAGUUGAACACAUUUAUCCUCUAACAAUCUAAGCUUAAUCCAUACAACAUGAUUAUAUAAUAUAUACUGGGAGGGGAGUGCCUGCGCAUCGCGCGGGUGUUUGGUGCCUGUAGGGAACGAGAUUUUUUUGUUAAACAAACAAUAGUACAUUGUGAGAAGAAAUAAAAUUUAAUACGAAAAAAUAAACGAUAUAAUCAAUCAAUUCAUACAGAAUUACAAUAAAACUGUGUCAAAUUGAAGGUUGUUGAAAAUGCAGAAAGGCAAAGCAACACAUAAAACUAACCUUAUUCCAGAAUCUCCACCGAAAGCUCUUUCUUGCUGUUGCUUCAAAUCUAUAAGAUUAUAAUCAACCCAGACCAAUUGGAGUUAGGCGACAAGAAAAAUGCUAUCUUGUAGCUAGGCAACGUGAUAAGAGUCGCUAAUUAUAGGUAUUAAAAACACAUCGACAAAAUUAAGGAAGGAACUGAAAAAUUGGGAGGGUGAAAUCUAACCUCACGCUGAACCACCAGGUAGCUGUGAUUGAAGAGCAUUCUGAGUUGAUUAGUAUGAAACCAGGUAGAAUUAUCUCAAUCCUAGAAUGCGAACAGGGAGAAACUGAUAAUCAACCAUUUAGGCAUUAACAUACCAACAGUUCGGCAAUUGAAUUGGGUGUAAUUAAUGAUGAAAUAAUAGGUAAUUUCAGAGUUGAGAUCGGAUGGAAGAGAAAACGAUGAGGCAAAUCAUUGUAGACAAAGGCAAAAAGAGAAAACUUAACUCCUGAAACUGAAAGAGAUAAACUAACCAACGUUUGUGGCUCAUAAAUGCAGAUUAUAAAUGAUAGAGAAAUCGUUGGCACAUUUCAUAAAUCCGAUUGUCAUUCAAACGUUUCAAACAAAGCAACAUCUCAAAUAGUUAUCUGCGGCUGAAAAGGGGAAUUAUUGGUUGUUAAGAGUUAUUCCGGUAAUUACACCAACACACAAACAUAUAUGGGUUGUACAAAAUGUAAAAACGGUUGCACAUUAAUUACACAUUCCAUCAAUACCCAGAUGGCUCAUCAAUGACAACUUUAAAUGUAUUAAAUGGGGCCAUUUCAGUAAACAUACCCAAAUACAUGCUUCCUUAACUUGUACCUAAAGCUUUUAAACUAAUACACAAUAUUUUACAUUCCCAGAAAACCCCCACCUAUGCGGUUGAAAUUCAACCUAUUCUUUGACCAAAACCCAAUCUUAUAUAAUAUGAGGAUGUGUAUAUAUAUAUAUGUAAAUACGUACUUAUUUUUUAUUUUUUGGAAUUAAAUUACCUACUAAAAUGAAUGUUUAUGAUGAACAAAUUGUUGAAUUAUAUAUGUUUUGUGUAUGUAAAUGUAGACACAUAAAGGCACUUAAACAGAAACGACGACACAUUCAAAAAUUUAAUUAUCAACCAAUGUAUAUAAUUGUUUAGCUUAUAAUCAAUUGGGAUAACUUAAUUAACUAUGGCUAAAACUUCCACAAUGUAUUCUUGAUCUCAUCCUAUAGUUUCUCAUGAAACAAAAUACAGGCAACACUGUUCUAUGAACCUCUCAUGAGACAUCUGUCCAUCAUAUAGGUUUGCUUAGUACGUUUUAUCUUUUCGUGUGAUUGACGAACUAUUAUAUAGAGUGGAGUUUACCUAAUGUACACUCUCGAAUAGCAGAUUGCAGAUUCUCUUAUCAAUAUAUAUAUAUAUAUAUGGUAAAUUCUGUAGUGUAUUCACAUAUUUCAAAUACAGGUGUGGAAAGUAAAUUAUAUGGCAAAGAAGCAGGCACGUGGAAAGGUAAAGAAUAUGUCAAAGAAACUGACAUGUACAGAUGAUGAAAGAAAUAUGUUUACAAAAGCAAAUGGUGACCUAUAACAGGCACGGGCCGGUUUGGAAAUGUUGUGUAUGGCAGAAGCUGAAAAUGUAUUGGGGUGUCACGGAAUUAACAUAUGUAUAAUGGGUCUAGAAAUAAAACACCGUAAAUGUAGUGAUUCAGAGUAAAAUGCCCAUAAAUAGCUAGUAUUUUGUUGAUGUAAUGCAAAAAAAUCCAUAAAGAGCUGGUAUAUUAUGGGCGCAAUCUUUUUUACUUUCAAAUAUUUAAAAUUUGUUAAAUGCAAAAUCUACUAGUUUUCCUUUCGUAAAAGUAUAAGUAUAAUACUUUUUCAAUUUUAGUUACAAACAUAUAUGUAUUUUAUAUAAAUGUAAUAAUUCAGAGUAAAAUACCCAUAAAUAGUUAGUAUUUUGUUGAUAUAAUGCAAAAAACUCAUAAAGAGCUGGUAUUUUAUGGGCAAAAAUUUUUUACUUUCACAUAUUUAAAAUUUGUUUAAUAUAAAAUUUACUAGUUUCCCUUUCGUAAAAAUAUUAGUGUAACACUUUUUCAAUUUUAGUUACAAAUAUUUAUGUAUUUAUAUAAAUGUAAUGAUUCAGAAUAAAAUACCCGUAAAUAGCUAGUGUUUUGUUGAUGUAAUGCAAAAAAAAAAAAUUUAUAAAGAAUAGGUAUGUUAUGGGCAAUAUAUUUUUUACUUUCAUAAAAAUCAGUUUAUGUUAAAUACAGGACAACCAAUUUUCCUUUCGUAAAAAUAUUAGUGUAACAGUUCUUCAAAUUUAGUUACACAUAUUUAUGUAUUUUACAUAAAUGUAAUGAUUCAGAGUAAAAUGUCCAUAAAUAGAUAGUAUUUUGUUGAUGUAAUGCCCGUAAAUAGAUAGUACUGCUUAUGCUUUUUUUUCGGUGUUUUAUUCGUAGGCUUCCUUAUGCUUCCUUAAAAUUUAUUUCAUAGAAAUUUUUGCUAUAUCUCAAUAUUGACAUUAAUGAUACCUCUUGCUAAAAAAAUGGUUGAAAAAAAAGUAGCAACUACAGUCACAAAGCUGCUUUUAGCAACUUUCUUGCAAAAAAAUCAUCUUGCUGCAUUUGAUCGUCUUUGGUAAGGGGUCGAUGGUUUCUAAUUAAAGAAGUUACUUGUUUAUGACAAAAUGGGCACUCUUUUCUUAUAAUGCAGAAAAGUCAUAAAGAGUUGAUGUUUUAUUGAAAAAUGAGUUUAUUUUUAUUUUAUCCGAUAAACAAAUUUCUUUUUGCCUUCAAAAUGGGUACUCUGUUCUUAUAAUGGAGAAAAGUCAUAAAGAACUGGUGUUUUAUUGAAAAAAUGGGUUUAUUUUUAUUUUAUCUGAUAAAUAAAUUUAUUUAUGAGAAAAUGGAUACUCUGUUCUUAUAAUGGAGGAAAAUCAUAAAGAGUUGGUCUUUUAUUAGAAAAUAAAUUUAUUUUUAUUUUAUUCGAUAAAUAAAUUUAGCUAUAAAAAAAUGGGUACCCUGUUCUAAUAAUGGAGGAAAAUCAUAAAGAGCUGGUCUUUUAUGGGAAAGUGAUACUUUAUGAAAAUAAAUCCAUUUUAUAAUAAAAAAAUCAGCUCUUUAUGACUUUCCUAUAUUAUAAGAACAGAGUACCCAUUUUUUCAUAAACAAAUUUAUUUAUCAGAUAAAAUAAAAAUAAACCCGUUUUUUCAAUAAAACACCAGCUCUUUAUGACUUUCCUCCAUUAUAAGAACAGAGUACCCAUUUUGACGGCAAAAAGAAAUUUGUUUAUCGGAUAAAAUAAAAAUAAACUCAUUCUCCAAGCUGGUGUAUUUGCCAUCACCGGGAAGAGAAUGAACAUGGCGUGUCGCGAACUGCCUUGUUCCUCUUUCGGUGAAGGCUGCUAGUUAGAAAUUCAAUUCCUUUGAAUGCGUUUUUUAAAUUUAGCUAUAAAAAAAUGGGUACCCUGUUCUAAUAAUGGAGGAAAAUCAUAAAGAGCUGGUCUUUUAUGGGAAAGUGAUACUUUAUGAAAAUAAAUCCAUUUUAUAAUAAAAAAAUCAGCUCUUUAUGACUUUCCUAUAUUAUAAGAACAGAGUACCCAUUUUUUCAUAAACAAAUUUAUUUAUCAGAUAAAAUAAAAAUAAACCCGUUUUUUCAAUAAAACACCAGCUCUUUAUGACUUUCCUCCAUUAUAAGAACAGAGUACCCAUUUUGACGGCAAAAAGAAAUUUGUUUAUCGGAUAAAAUAAAAAUAAACUCAUUCUCCAAGCUGGUGUAUUUGCCAUCACCGGGAAGAGAAUGAACAUGGCGUGUCGCGAACUGCCUUGUUCCUCUUUGGGUGAAGGCUGCUAGUUAGAAAUUCAAUUCCUUUGAAUGCGUUUUUUCCUUCCCCCCCCUCCUUCUUUUUUCCUCUCUUUCGCGGAGGAAAUUUGAAAAAUCUGAUUUCGCUGAUGGGUUGAAGUGCUCGGCUCUCCUUGUUUGAUUAAUGCGCUAGGGCCUUGGUAUUUUUUGCUUGUCAUGGCCCACCAACUCUCUCUCUCUCUCUCUCUCUCUCUCGAGAUUGUAAUGGGAGGUAGGAUAUGAAUGUUUGAUUUUUUUUAUAUAUAUAUAUUAAGCCUGUGGAAGUUUCUUGGGGCGGCUGCCUUUAGCGUACAAUAAUGCAUACCUUAGUGUACAAUCUGCAGUGAAGCUGCCAAAAAAAUGCAAGUCGACUAUCCCUGUGGUAAGACUUGGAUAUGGUGCAGCAUCUGAUUUUAAUGCGCAACUUACAAGAGCGGAAGCUUUUUGUCAUCACAUUUGAAACUACAGAGUAACAUAGGGAUGCUCUUAGGUACCAUAGAAAACAAUUAAUAUAAAGGCCGCAGAGAAAACAAGUGUUUCAAGUAGAAUUCCAAACGCAAGUCCUAAAAAUGUUGCAAUGGAUAUCCCCGCUAGAAUUCGAGGAACAACCAAAGAGUCCCAUUCUUUGUUUGGCCUUGGCCAUGAGCAAACAAGUUACAAGUGUUUAAGAACUAGAAUUCCAAACCCAAUUCCUAAAAAUGUUGCAAUGGAUACCCCAAAUAUUCCUGCUAGAAUCCCGGGAACAACCAGAGUGUCCCAUGCUUUGGCCUUGGCCAUACCACAUGCUGUUGUAGGACCUCCAAUAUUAGCAUUUGAUGCCAGAAGCAACAGCUUUAGAUCGACGCAAAAUAGUUUUCCUAGUCCGAGUAUCAAUAUGAGAUGGACGGUUACUUGAACAAAUGCAAACAUAAAAAUGCUUGGAGCAGUAUUGAUGACAUUCCAUAUGCUCCCUCCAGCGCCCACAACAGCAAAAAAUACCUGUUCACAGUUUAACCCCAAUUGGGAAAAAAUUAAAAUUAAAAGAAAGAAAAAGGAGUCAUUGAUUGAACAACUACGCAGCGGAUUAAUUAUCCACAACAUGGAACUAAAUAAAUCUGACCCUACUCACAAAAUGAAGCAAUUCAUUGAGCUUAUGACUUGGAUGGGGCUUUUGAGUUUUCACAUUUAAUGGCCUUAAACUGAGCCCUGGAUAAAGUACAUUGGAAGUUGGAUCAAGUGACCGAGGAAGAACGUGUCUGAAUAAAAAGUAAUGACUUUGCAAAUAAUAUGUCAUUCAAAGGCAAGAUGAAAAAAACACUUGCAGGACUACAUGUUUCCCCUUCUUUCAAUAUUGUGGAGCUCAAGAACACUUGUUGCUCAUAUUAGAAGUUACAUCUCCUUCCAGAGAACCAAAAGCAUUUCUCAAUGGAGUAUUGACAUUCAUAGGUUGGUUAAUGUUUCAAGCAAUAAUCCAAAGAGGUAUGCAAGAAAAAGGAGACUACUUAGAGUAGCUUUAUGUUUACCUGCAUUAAGGCCACAGCAAUAGCAUCAGCAGUAGGUGCGAUGGGGCGAAAAUAACCAGGGAAAGAAGUUGCUAAAAUCACAACAAUUGUGGUGAUUACAGGAAGAUCACAAUUUUGAAUUCCAAAAAAUCUGGUAAGAGAAGUGGAAGCCUUGCAUAUAGCGAAGGAAACAGCCAGUGAUGUACCCAUCUGCAGCACUGGUAAUUUGCUUGCAGAAUCGGACGGCAAAUCUGUAGUAGCAUCUGCCACAAAAAUAGCAGUGACAAAAAGAAUCAUUCUAGCAUUGAUGUUAGGGACAUCAUAUUGGGUUAGAGAAAAUAUGAAAUGAAUAGAAAAUGACGAGGUUCCACUUCAUAUGAUGAUGAUAAAUCCAGAGGAAUGUAGCAACAGUCAGCAUACAGAAGUUUUUUUUUUUUGUAAAAAGAACUACUCAUUCACUUUUAAGAUCAAACUAUACGUAAGUAUAAGGUCUUCCAGUCUCAAGCCUCAUCACAUAAAUCACCAUGUAAUACAAUCUGUUUUGAUAAAAUUUGUUACGAAUCAAGACAUCUAAAUUAAUUAAGCAAGUAAACUGCGAAUAUAAAUUUUCACAAAACUCCAUCUUAGCAUAGUCCAUUUUGAAAAAUUAUACCUAAUAGUGGACUCCCUUCAGAUGCAGGCUGAAGCUCAACAAUUUCCUGUCCAGGAUUUGAAUUUUUUAUUACGGAAACCUUGGUUCGACGAAAUUUAACCCUUUGAGUGUUGGAAACUCUAACAAACUCCAUGCUUUUUGCAAAACCCAAUCCAUUUUCCCUGCUCUUUAGACCUGUAAAAGAAGCCGGAACUGCUCCCGUCGCCAUUUUAUCUCCAAAGUCUGAACCUUUUCCCUUCCUAAACCAUCAAAACAAAGGAACUCCAUUACUUUUAGCCCAAAAAUUUACCUUGCGCUCAAUUAAACAUGUAAAACCCAUUAAAUUCUGUAAAAUGGUUUUUAUUUGAAACUUAAAAUCAAGCUUAAAACAAUCAAAUUCACAGAAACCUUCAACCCCACAAAAGAAGCUUGCAUCAAAGAUAACUUCAGCAGUAGAAUUCAGCAAAGGAUAGUUGCAGAGAAAAAACUUACCAGAAUCUGAAAAAACUGUGCUAAAUAGCUAAUCAAAAAAAUGUAUGAUUUUAAGACAAAGCCCCUCUUAUUAUGAAGCUUGAUUCCGUUGGAGAUGGAAGAAUCAAGAGGGGGAAAAAGGACAGUAAAGUUUGGUGGCUGGAGAAGUUUUGAGAGGAGGAAAAAUCAGCAACGGGUUUCAGACAAAUUUGGAGGCUUGGACUGUACUUAUAUUAUUCAGUAGAGUUGGAGGGAAGCUUUCCCGCACUUCUUUUGGCAAAAAUCAGUAUUUGGAGGGAAGAUUUCCCGCACUUCUUUUGGCAUUACAGGGGUGGAUUUAAGGUGGGGGCAGUGGGGCCCCCUUUAAAUUCCUAUAGUACUUGUACAAUUUUAAUAUAAUUUUAAGUGUGUCUCCAGAGUUUUUUUAGAAAGGAUGUGAAAGAAUUACGUGAUUUUUUAAAUUAGUUCAUAAAUUAAAAUUCUAAAAAAAUACGUGGAGCAUAAAUUCCAUUUAAAAUAAGCUAAAAAAAACCUUUUUAUUUUAACUAGCAAGUACCAAUCAUAUCAUUCACUUUCUUUGGACCCUACUUCCCAAUUUCCCUUCCCUCCUCUGGUCCCUCAUUUUCCCCUCACAACCGAGAGCCACUACCUUCCACAACCAAGCAGCUAGCUACUCUUUCUCUUGAUCAAUUCAUCCAAUCAUAUCAUUCACUUCCUUUAUCCUCAUUUCCCAAUUUCCCUUCCCUCCACUGGUCCCCCAUUUUCCUCCACAACCGAGAGUCAUUCUUACUUCCACAACCAAAUUAGUUAUCAAAAUAUAAAACUCAAAGUGAGCAAUUGUAAAUAGUUUAAUUUGUUUUUGAAAUAAAAUUAUUAUUACAUUAAUAAUUUUGAAUUUGUCUUUUUAUGUUUUUCAUGGAAUAUAUGCAUCAUUUGUACUUGUUGGUGAUUUUUUUUUUGCUUAAAAAACUAGAAAAAGAGUAGGUAAAAGAUUUUAGUGUUACUUUGCCCCCACUAAGAAUUUUUUCUGGCUCCGCCCCUGUUUGGUAAGAAUUUUAACCGAAAAAAAGUCCUUGCCCUCGCAGAGUAUAUGAUGGCUCCAAUUUUUGGUGAAGUAUUGUCCUUUUCCUUGCUAUAAGCCUCUUAAUAGCGUCAACCUUUCUACUUCUUGCUAAAGUUGUUGUCGCUAAUACCCUUUUUUGUUGUAGUGAACGAAAGAAAACUAUAAAGAAUUGGUGUUUUAUUGAAAAAUAUAUUUAUUUUUUCAACCAAUAAAUAAAUUUAUUUAUGAAAAAAUGGGUACUUUGUUCUUAUAAUAGAGGAAAACUAUAAAGAGUUGGUGUUUUAUUGAAAAAAUAGGUUCAUUUUUAUUUUAUUCGAUAAAUAAUAUUUUUUUAGAAAAAUGGGUACUAUAUUCUUAUAAUGGAGGAAAGUCAUAAAGAACUAGUUUUUUAUUGAAAAAAGAGUUUAUUUUUAUUUUAUUUGAUAAACAAAUUUGUUUAUGGCAAAAUGAAUACUCUUUUCUUAUAAGGGAAGAAAGCCAUAAAGAGCUGAUGUUUUAUUGAGAAACGGGCUUAUUUUUAUUUUUUCGAUAAAUAAAUUUUUUUAUUUGAUAAAUAAAUUUAUUUAUGGCAAAAUGGGUGCACAAUUCUUAUAAUAGAGGAAAGGCAUAAAGAGUUAGAAUUUUAUUGAAAAACGGGUUUAUUUUUAUUUUAUCCGAUAAAUAAAUUUUUUUUAGGAAAAGGGGUACUUUGUUCUUAUAAUGGAGGAAAGCGAUAAAGAAUUGAUUUUUUAUUGGAAAACGGGUUUAUUACAAUUUUAUUCCAGCCAACUGUGACCCAUUUUCCCACUAACCUAAGGUAGACGGACUAAAUCAUUGAAUUCGUUAACUACAGUCAAAAUUAACACAGAAGCAACUGACUCAAAUCACUCAAUCCUUUAUGGCUUAUACCAAAUUAAUACUAGAAAGCUUAUUUGAAAUAACAAUAAAAUAUUUUAUAAAUGAUUAAAACUUAGUACAUUAGUUAGUAAGUACUCGUAACAUACUUGUAUAAUGCAUGAUUAUAUGUAUAAUUUAAUAUUCUUUUGUACUUAUAUAUUUUAAAAUAUUCUGUGAAAAAUAUUUUGACCUUUCACAUAACCUUAGAAAAUAAUAAAAUUUUAUCAUAUUAUAAAAUAAUAAUUUUAUUUUAUUAUAUUCAUAGGUGUUAAAUUAUAAAAAUUGUGAUAUAGAAACAAGUGAUAUUCUACGUGUAACUAGGAAGAUUUGUUGUUAUUGUUAUCCAAACUUUCAAACUUUUCAAAAAUUGAAAAUGAAUACAAACUUAUGAUAAGACAAAAUUUUAUUAUAUAUUUUACAAGGUUACUUUUCAUAGUAUUUUAAAAUAUAUAAAUACAAAAAAUAUUAAAUUAUACCUAUAAUCAUUUAUUAUACAGGUAUAUUAUGAGUACUUACUAACUAAGAUUUAUCCCCACAUUUGUAUAGUUUGUUGUGACAAUCAGGUUUAUCCCCACAUUUGUUUGAGUUUUGAUUACAAUGGAUAUAAGCUAUUCCCUCCAAACCCCAAAUUUUGAAUUAUAACAUUCAACCAAAACAUGCUCAAACUCUCAGGCUCGGUCAUACAAGGACAGCUAGUGUGAAUAUCGUAGCACGGUGCUUACAUUAUUAAAAUAAAUCAAAAGAUUAUACCAUUUUAAUUUGAAAAAAGUUAAAAAAAUUAUACCAACAUAAUUAAAAUUUAAGAUUUAUCUAACAAUAGUUCAAAGUAUGAAAAAAACUGUAAAUCAUUCAAGAAUUGUGUUUUUGCAAAAGAUGGAUCUUAAAAUAAUAAUAAUAAUUUAUAUUAGAAAAUGAAUGAUAUAUAGAUAGAAAUAAAUGUAAUUGCAUGUUUUUUUUAUUUUAAAAUGAAAUACUUACCAAUAUUAUGCAUUCGAUUUGAUAAUCUUAUAUAUAUAUACAUUAUGAGAAUAUAUAUAUAUAUAUAUAUGUAUAUGUGUGUGUGUGUGUGAAUUAACUACCUUUGAAUUAAUUUUUAUUAAAAAAAUUAUUUAUUUUUAAUGCCUUUAUAAUUUGUGAAUGAUUGUGAGAGUAAAAUAUAUUAUGACAAUAAGAUACGUUGAAUUGUGAAAAUUGUAAUUUAAGCAGGCUCCUAAAUUUUGGAUAUUUGACUUUCGUAGUUGCGAAUUUCUUAAAUUAACGGUUAGUUAUUACUCUAAGUGAUAUGAUAAGUGUCAGUAAUAAAUGUGAGAUGUGAAUUGGAAUUUGCAGAUAUCAUUUUACAGGGGUGGUUAUUAUCCGUUAGUUAAAGUUUAGCAGUUUGAAUUUUAUGGGGUAGUGGAAAAAACAUGAGGGAAAUGUGGAAAAAAUAUAAGCAUGAUUAUAGGAUUUGUAGGGCCGGUUACAUGAUUAGUUAAGAGAUAAAUAUUUUUUAAUUAUAAAAAUGUAAAAUUCUAUUAAAAUAGCACUCAGACUUUUGAUAAUUUUGGAAGCUCCUUAUCCAAAACCCUCCUCAGCAAUACAUAUAGAUAUAGAUACUAAACGAUAGUUAUGAUAGCGAAAUAGUUUUUACCUGAUAUAACAUGUUGUUGCACUUUUAACGAUCAUUUGAUUUAUUGUUGGACCUAUUCACCUAAAUAAAAUAACUCCUAAAAUUAUGGAAGUAAGUUUCCUAUCUAAAACAGUAAGUUAAGUGUAAUAGAUUAGUAACUUUUAUACCUCAAAGGUAAAUUGGAAUAAAUAUUAAACUUAAUUUUUAAAUAAAUAGAUUACUACUUGAUAUCCCAAACUUACUUUUAAAAGAGUAAGUUUAGUUCAAAUAACAGUAAGUUUUUAUACAUAAAUAGUAAUUCUUACUAAUAAUAUGGCAAUAAAAAUGAUUAAGGAUCAAAAUUUACCAUUUUUUGGAAUGAAUGUACAAUUUUUACAUUAAAACCUUAUCUCAAAGUAGUAUUAGGAAGUUUAUUUGAAAUAAUGAUAAGAUGUUUUUAUUAAUGAUUAAAACUUAGAUGUUUUUUUUAAUGAUUAAAACUUAGUACCUUAGUUAGUAAGCACUCAUAAUAUACCUUAGUAAGUUUAAUUCAAGUAAUAGUAAGUUUUUAUACAUAAAUAGUAAUUAUUACUGAUAACAUGGCAAAUUUGAUUAAUAAUCAAGAUUUAUUGAUUUAUGGGACGCAUGCACUAUUUUACUUUAAAACUUAUCUCAAACUAGUAUUAAAAAGUUUAUUUGAAAUAACGAUAAGAUGUUUUAUUAAUGAUUAAAGUUUAGUACCUUAGUUAGUAAGUACUCAUAAUAUACUCGUAUAAUACAUGAUUAUAGGUAUAAUUUAAAAUUUUUUGUACUUAUAUAUUUUAAAAUACUAUAAAAAAUAGUAUGAACUAAACCUACUCUCCAAAAAGUAAAUUUCGGAUAUGCAGUAGUAAUUUAUUUUUAAAAAUUUUAAGUUGCAUAUUUAUUUCAAUUUACGCUUGAACAUACAUCGAUCGGUGCUCUCUGGAUACGUCCAAAUUCCAGUGAAUGUCUUUAAACUAAAUUCUAAUCAAAGUAGUAUCCAAAAUGUAAUGAUUCAGAGUAAAAUGCCCAUAAAACUCAGUACAAGGACAACUAGUGUGAAUAUCCGUGCUAUCCAAAAUAUUUAUGUAUUUUACAUAAAUGCAAUGAUUCAGAAUAAAAUGCCCAUAAAUAGAUAGUAGUUUGUUGAUGUAAUGCCCAUAAUCAGUGGUCCCACGAUGGCUUUGUUUAGUAAUUAGUACUGCUUACGCUUCCUCACAAAUGUUUUAUUCUUAGCCCCUUUAUAUUUAUAUUAAUUUCGUGACAUCCCAACACAUUUUUAGCUUCUGCAGUACGCAACAUUUCCAAACCCCGGUUAUAGGUCACCAGACUCACCACUUGCUUUUGUAGAAAUAUUCUCUUCUUGAUCCGUGCAUGUCAGGUUGCAACGUGCCGCCUUGUUUACCAUAUGUUUUACUUUCCAUACCUCUUCUCUGAUUACUAAACGUACCGCAGCAACAUCCAUAUAUAUAUAUAUAUAUAUAUAUAUAUAUAUAUAUAGGCAACACUCCAUUGUGGGAUUGUAAUGAGUGGCAAUAAUUACAGACAAUUAAUUGUAGCUUGAAAAGGACAAUAGUCUAUAGCCUAUUUGUUUUUCUUUUUGCUUUUGGAGAAGUUUGGUCUUUUCUACAUAUAAAGUAUAAGCUUGUUGAUCAGUUACCAAGUGUUUCACUCGACCAUUUGAUAAUCUUUUGAGCACAAAUCCAAUAAUUCAAUCACUAGAAAAAGAAUGAUUUGUCACUUUCAUUUAUGAGCAUCAUCAUUUACUAAUUCCGUUUGUUGAAAAAAAAAAAUUUAUGAGCAUCAUUAUUUUUUCAACUGAAAAAUGAAAGAUUCCAAUGUCAAUUCAAUUGAGGUUAUCGCCAUGGAAUCUUUGGUCCCCUAUGAUACGAUGGAUUGAUGGGCAACGAAGACUUCCACUCCAACAAGGAAAGAUAAGAUACAAAUCAAUAAUUGAAGGUGUGUAUGUAACGGGUAUCAACAGGACUUAACGGGUAUCAAUGGGACUUAUAGAAUAAGUUAGAAAAAGUGGCAGAAAAGGAAAAUAUUUAACAUGGAUUUGGCUAUAAUAAAACAGAAAUGGAUCAUUCUAAUACAGGUGUCCUUAGACUAGAAACAAAACCCUUAGAUGUAUGCUCUUCCCUCGUGCCAUUCUUCACCUCACCCCCUACCCCAGUGGACCAGGCCAGAGACAGCCACUGGCUAAGGGCUUCCCCUCCCCACGUGACGGUCUAGUCCUUUGUGUCCCACACCCACGACUCUUCCUUCAAAAAAUACUGUAACAAAAUGAAAAAUUCAAGAAAUAAAAAAAAUACAGAAAUUAGAAAAAUUAAAGAAGGGUGGGGCCAUGAUGAAGGUGAAAGAUUGGAAAAUUGGAAAACCCCCUGUGGCUGGUUAGUGGGUGGAUUUUGAUGAGUCAACACAUACUCACUCCGAUAUGGCUGCCACCUGCCCUACUACUAUAAAGAGUGAUGCUUCCUGGCAGACACGUUCUUUCAUCUCGCGGUAUAUCUCGUUAUUAUCGUGGGCUUGGAUUUUGUGUUGCUAUUAUUGGGAGAAACGUCAUCCAAUUGCGCAAUAGAUAUUUUAUCCCGUACCACUUUCUGUCCAACUUUUUAUUAUAUUGCUAUUUCUUCUACAUAAAUAAUAUGUUUUAAUUCUUUUUUGCUUCCUUAAGAUCCAAUAACUAUUAAUUAAGUAAUACACAAAAUUUAACAAACUCAAAAAAUUAAAAUGCAUAAAAAAUGGGAUUUUUUAUGAAUUUUCUGCUGUAUUUUUUAAUUUUCUAUUAUAUAUUGCUUUUUUGAAGCUAUUAUAUUUAUUUUUUACUUAAUUAAUAGUUAUUGGAUCUUAAGGAAGCAAAAAAGAAUUAAAACAUGAUGUUUAUGAAUGAGAAAUAGCAAUAUAAUAAAAAGUGGGACAAAGAGUGGCACAGGAUGUGGGACAGAAGAUUCGUUGCGAUCCAAUUGUUUGUCCUUGUGCAAGUUAGUCGCUGUGGUUCGGCCAAAUAAAAGUUAGUUACCAAUUUUUUUCUUUUAUUUUUUUUUUUGUGUAAGCAAGUGAUUAUGGAUACAAGUUUAUCAACCGAAUUAUUGUGGUUUGAGAAAAUUAUACUUAUUUUUUAAUGUAAAUUCUUGAGUUCAUGAUAAGAAUAGCUCUCGCAAGAGAGUUUUUUUUAGUCAUUAUAUUUUCCGUUUUAAUAAAUAUAUAAGUUUCACUAAAUAAACUUUUUUGUUUAUUUUGUGCAUGAACUUGAUCAAAAUAUACUUGCAAACAAAUUUAUGUUUACAUACUUGUCAAAUAUGUGUAUUUAGAAUUAAUUGACAUGAAAUUCAUUGUAUGUUAGAGAAAAGUUACUUUUAAAUUUCAUUGUGAAUUCUUAACUUUAAAAAUAGAAACAAAUUCCUCAAAAGAAUUUGAUUUAAGUCAACAUACAGGUAACUUACAUUAUGAAUUACCGUAAAUGUCUUUUAAAUCUAAACUCAAUGUUUGAGUAAAACAAGGUUAAAAGAAAUUUUUUUUUUCAUCAAAUCAAUAUUUAAAAAAGGUGACAGAAAGGCAAACAUUCUUAUUCUCACUCUUUUUGCAAGACAAAAAAAAAAUCAAAGAAAAGAUGAAAGAAACUACCAAUUUUUUUUUUUAAAAAAAGAAACUGACAUCCUACACCAAGCACUUUCCCUUUUCCUUCUUUAAAUCAACAAAAUCAUUCCAAUAAUGCAUUAAUCUUUCUCCCUAUUGCCAAUCUGUACAUGUUUUUAAUUUUGAAACCUCCAGUUUACCCCAUGACGAUAAUUUCAAAAAUUAUUAAAAGAAUAAAGUCCAAAAAAAGUUGAUUAUUAUUAUUAUAAUCUUUGAAACCUUUUAGUCUACACUCUGACGAUCAUUUGAAAAAAUUGUUGCAAGAAAAUACCCUAGAAAAGAUUGCAGUUGGUUUCCAAAUCCACUGGCCAUGUAACUUCUUUCUCCAAGAAAGCAGCUUGUAUGAGCAUUUUGUCAAUUUACCUGCCUAAGCUUGUAAUACUAAAUCGAAAAUUGUUAGUAAAACUUUAAAAUUGUACAAUAUCUAAUAAAAUGCCAUCAGAAAAAGCUUGGUUCUCUACUUCUCUUCUCUUUACAAAAUCUCACGAGAAAAUCUAUUUUGGACACAAUCAAUGCGUCCAAACUCUCCUUGAUAAUAACCCCAAUUCAGCCCGCCACUUGCAUUCCAUAACCACCCGGUUUUUUGGCCCCCGGUUCAACCAAAGCCCCAUUCUCAACUUCCUAUAAAAGGCCCCUUCCCAUCUACCCUUUAUCCUCGGCUCUCCCCUUAUUAUUCGAGCCUAUCAAAAACCGCUUUUCAUAAAUCGCUUUGUGAAAAACGCGUUAUCGGAAAAAAUGAGUUACUUCAGCCAAGUUAGGAGGGCCGCCAGUGUUGUCGUGGUAACUGGCCACUCCGAUCAGGGGCAUAAGUGGAAAUCCGGGAUUAAGACUCUCCACCAGGGGAAGAAAAGGUUCUUUAGUUCCUCCGGUGACGGAGCCGAUUUCCGGCCGGUGGCCGUUGUUCUUGCCUCCGACAUGGAAGGAGCUUUUACGAGCGGAAAAGGAGAGGAGCGGAAGAAGCAGACAGAUGACUCUCUCCGGCAAGUUAUGUACCUGAACUGCUGGGGACAAGGCUGAGGAGUGAGGUUGAGUUCUCCGGCGAAGAGGUGCUGGAGGCGUUUGUUUUUAUCUCCGGUGAAGCGAUCGGGUAUUUUGAUGCUCUGCUUUAGACGGGAUUGACUUGCUGGAGAGUUGCCGCUGAGUACGGCGAGUCGAAUGCGCCGAGUUGACUAGGUGGUGAAGGAGAAGGAGGAGACCGAGUUGACUCGGAGUUGCAGAAAGAGGAAGAGACCGAGUUCAGAAGGCUAAUUAAGUUCUGGCCUUGACUGAAAUUAGUACAAAAUGAUGUGGAUGCAAAUGUAAAUAUAUUGUAAAGUUUGUAGCCGAGAUAGAGGAAUAAUAGAAGAAAAAAAAAAAAAGAAGGAAGCUUUUAUGGCAGUUGGAUAUAUCUUUUGUCCUUACUUGAAUGAAUUUUUUUGGUGAUUGCAUUUGAAUGAUUAUCUCUUUUAUGGCAAUUGUAUUUGAAUGAAUAUUUUUGGUUCUUGUUAUGUUUUUUCAUUCUACUUCAGACGAUAAUACUCGAUUUAUCUCAAUAAUCCCAGAAUAUGCCUGCAACAUUAGGGUAAUCCUUGGUUAAUUUUGAUGAUUAAUCAACUUUUCUUUUCUGGAUGAUUAAUUUUGAUGACUAAUCCGUGGCUAAUUUUGAUGAUUCAACUAAGCAAUCCAUGGCGCGUGUAUAACAUUUCAUUUCUUCAAAAAAAAAAAAAAAA